rnacentral:lncRNA from 1 species
UGAGCUAGGAUUACGCAGAGAAGACUGCACGGAGUUGAGCUGGAUUGAGUCUGCUCUUUAUUUCUCUGGUCUUCCAACUGGAUCAACGGUGAAUGAUUUGGUACUUAGUACCCCAUAUCCCAAAAAUUAUUACAAAAACAAAUCAGACUACGUAGUCGAGCCCAUCUCUGAAGUUGCAUUGGAAGGAUUGUGGAAAAGACUCUUCGAAGAAGGGGCAGAGGCAGGUAUGCUUAUCCUUUCACCAUCUGGUGGAAGGAUGUUUGAGAUUUCAGACUCUGAAACUCCGUAUCCACACAGAGCUGGAAACAUAUACCAGAUUCAGCAUAUCUCUUCCUGGACUGAAGAGAACAAUGCAAAUUCUCAAAGGUACAUAGAUUGGGUCAGAAGGGUUUACAAAUACGUGACUCCAUUUGUUACUAAAUCUCCCAGAGCUGCAUACCUGAAUUAUAGAGACUUGGACUUGGGAGCCAACAGGGAAGGCAACACAAGUUUUGCACAAGCUAGUAUCUGGGGUAUGAAGUAUUUUAAGAACAAUUUCUACAGGUUGGCCCAUGUGAAGCAGGAGGUUGAUCCAAGUAACUUUUUCAGAUAUGAGCAGAGCGUCCCUCCUUUCUCAUCCUCAUAGAAAUGGAGAAAUGCUUGAAGGAUUAGUAUAUCAUAUAGUCAUCUAUCAGAAAUUAGUACAUAUAUACGAGUACAACUACAGUAGCUUGGGUCAUAAGUGUUUUCUUUUGUAUACUUAUUAUAGUUGAUGUGUCUUAGUAAACAUAUAGAAAUAUGGGCAAGAUGCAUCUUUGUUAGAUGUUUAAUUGUGUUAGUGUUGUAACAUAUGUGAUUCCUUGAAUGCUAUGAGAUACUUCCUUGGGGUUUUAAUUGUGUACGUAUUAUAUUUUACAAUUUUAUUCACCAUCUGUUGCAAGCUGGGGUUUACUGACUUCUUCAUGACUUACUUCUUAGACACGCAUUUACUUCUAGAAUUCAUCUUAAGGUCACUGUUUAUCUCGUGGAGUUGCAAAAUAUUCUAUUUUGUGGUACCAAGUAGUUUUCUUGAAUGUGUAGCGAGUAUCGUAGGCUCCGUUUGAAUGAACUGCUUUUGAACAUGUUUUUCAAAAAACUUACAAUAGCGAUGUAUAUAAAUAAAAAUUUAUUGUAGUUGUUUGUCUGGAGUAUUUUUAAAAUUUUAAAUAAGAUUAUGAUAUUUUUUUGAAUAUGAAAAAAAAAAUCAAUAAUCACCACCACCCUCUCGAUCUCUCCCUCUCUCUCCUUCCCUUUAUUCCUCCUUCUUCCUCUUCCUCUCUUGUCCGUCUCUCUCACUCCCCACCCCCUUCCUCCUCCCUCUUCCUCUCCUACCCUUCUUCCUCAUCCCUCUUCUCCUCCCUUGCCACCCCGGACCUCCCCUGGCUGCGACCUAAGUAUCGUGCAUUUGAAUUUCACAAUUUCUGCAAUUAAAAGAGGUCCAGACACAGCAUUUGAACGUAAUUAUUAUUGUAGCAUUAAAUUGGUUGAAUUUAGUUAUUGGGAGUGUACGUAAGUUCACACAGCAUCAAAGGAUCAAUGCAGAGUGCAGCAAAGGCGGCUAAUGCCCAUGACGUCAUUAUACAAAUUACGUGUGGAACAAGAAAUUGUAUUAAUUAGUUGGGUACCCUUCAACUCUUCAAAAUAAGUCUUGUAUAAUAGCUUCUUCAUACACUGUUCUGUAGGUCUCACACGCUUCAAAUUCAUAUAUACAUCAUAUGAAUGAAUUCAACUAUGCAUUUUAAAAAUUUCAAUUUCUUUGCCAAAUGUUAGAUAAAAAUUGGAGAGCUAAAAUGCAAAUAAAUAGAAAUACAAAGUUAUCAAAGAUAUACAUGGGAAUUUUAAAAUUUCCUGCAGGUGAUCAUAUUAAAUUAUUUUGAUGUUCAUGUAUAUUGAUUGUUGUAUUGAGUAAUCCAAAUAAUUCUAUAAAAUACAUAUUAAAUUGAAAUCUAUUGAAAUGCAAACAGAAAAAAAAAAGAAAAUUUUUAUUAGAUUAUCAACUUAAUUUACAUGUGAUCAUAUAUUAAAGUGAUAUUGUCUUGUUGAGUCCCCGCUAUUCAGUUAAAAAUGAAAACUGAAUAGUUCUUAUUGAUGAAGGACGAAUCCUAGUUUGCAAUAUAUAUAUAUAUAUAUAUAUAUAACAUGGUCCUCAAUUUGAGCCCUUUUUUCUCUGGUUUUCUUUGUUUUAAGGUGGCUUGAGAUCAUCAAUAUAUUGAUUAUUGAAUUAUUGCACAUAGACAACAAAAAAUGUAGGAUAGGACCAUUUAUAGAUCUGGGCUUGCUUUCAUAUUAGUCAUUCACUUUAAAAGUUGCAUCAAAAUUUUUUUUUUCUCAACUCAAACAUAGCUUCUAUAAAUCAUGCGCAGACCAGGGCAAGACCCACAAGUACAAAGUUAUAGUCAAGGGUUCCAUUAAUCACUGCAAGGAAACAUGUUACUUUUGAUUACAAUCUAUUCUGUUGCCCUAGUUUACAGAUCUGAUGAAGAUCAACAUAGAGUUCUCACACUUUGAGUUAGCAGGAGCUUUCAAAAUGGAAUGCCUGCUUAUAUAUAUGGGUUGCAUAGCACAAUGUUGAAAAUACAGGAGACAUUAACAAAGUUUUCCAAUGAAACCUUAUCUCUAAUUGCAGAAAUGUUUCUUCCUUGCUUUCAAAUGGAAUGCCUGCUUAGAAAAACAAUGUAGAUUUGAAUCUUGAUGGGUGACCCAUAGUUGUACUCCACCCUCUAUCUAUUUUUCUUUGAAAAGAAAUGGUUUUUUUUUCCCACUAAACAUAUACAAAUAUGUAUAAAAACGAAUAAACGCGCUUAAUACACAUAUGAAACUUUCCUUUUGUUGCAACUUACCUAGCAUUUUUUUUUUACCACGAAAAAUACGGAAUUUGGGUAGGUAAAAUUGAAUUUUGAUACAAUCAGUACAGUUAUUGUAUUUGAUACAAUCAAUACAAUUUUUUUCUAAGAGUUGAUGCAUAAUUAUAGACGUGAUUGUAUUCGUAUAAUGAAUUGAUGUACAUGAAUAAAAUUCAUGCAUAUGACACAGUACAAAAGAAUAUAGUAUACAUGAGAUUGUGUAAAAUUUAUAAUAACUAUACAACUGCACCAAAAUCUUGAUCGAAAUUUAAAACGUGCUUGGCAAAUGAUGAAUCAAAAAAAAAAAAAAAAAAAAAAAGAGACGCUGUGGACGUCCAAGACAGCCAAUCAAGUCACGGCUGCGUAAUGGAGUAUUUCCACUGUAUGCAUGCGUGCAUGCAUGCAUGGACCUAUUGAUAUAAGAAGAGCAAAACCUGAAAUUUCCAUUAGCAAACUUGAAUACGUACAUUUCAAAGGUAAUCUAGAGUCUUUUUUUUUUUCUUUUUUGUGCCCAAUACUUGUCCUUGAAAGCUUCCCUUCCAAGUAUUCUCUUAAAUUUUGAGGUUAAAAUCUGAAAAAUUCAUUCGGAGGGAGGGGUUUGAAAUUGACCCUUUCCCAGUAUCAUUCAAAUUAAUUAACUAAUAGAAUUUUAACACCGUGAAACUUCAAAUUCCAAGCUUAUUAAUUAGAUCAUCUACCUCCCAAUUUCCAAUGGUAGGGACGGCUUCUUGGUUUCUUGAGUUUGGUACUUUCCAUUUCCUCCCAUAAGACAAGUAUUUGCUGAAAUUUGGUACAAAUUGAGAUACUUAUUUGGUUUUUCCACAAAUUUGACUCAAAAAUAAUUAGCAUGUGUUUUGACACCCACAAAGAGGAAACAAUAAAAAGAAGAAAAAAAAACCAUUCUAUGGUGGCUCCAAAAAAAAAAAAACAAUGAUGAGAAAUCCAAAUCCUCUUGUAUAUACGCAUGGCACAAAUUUCACUCAGGUAUAAUUAUAACCACAGUGUGAAUGCCUUGUUUUUCUUUCUGUCAUCAUUGUAUCCAACAUUUUUUUCCUGGUUUUUGGCCAUGAAUUUUCCCACUCCCUGAUAGUCUAAUACCAAACUCAUACGCUAAAGACUAGGAAAGGUCAAAUCAGUGGCAAUUGGUACCCCCAUCAUCAAGUUUUAGAAAAAUGUUAUAAUAGGUUUAAAGUUUUCAACUAUUUUCACUUUUUGCGACUUGGAUUCUUGUAAAAAGGACCUAUUUGCCCCUCUGUCCACACAAUUUUCCAAAAUUUCUUGACUCUCACCCCUUUAAAACUAACAAAGUUCACCUUUUGAUUUAUAAUUCUUUCUUUAAAUUUAUAAAAUUUUCUCCGCUAUGUAAGAAAUCUACAUAGAUUCAUUUAGAACAUAAAUAUGAUAUUCAUUAUAAAUCCAAUGCAAUAAUUCAAACACAAGAGGCAUAAAAUUGACGCUAUUAGCAAAUCCAUAAUUGACAGUCAUCCCCCUCCGAGGACCCACAGGAUCCUAGCUUCGUCGCUGGUUCAAAUUGAGUUUAGGUAUGAUAGGUCAAUCUAGCUUCGUCGCUAGAUUGCUUGACUUUUUCUUUUUUCUGUCUGCAAUCCUUACAACAAAGAAACGUAUAGAAAACUGUCAAUGCUGUAGCAGGAGUAUAAACUACCAUCAAAUUUGUAAGUAUAAAUAGCCAUGCACUUACGAUAUUGUAGUGCAUCAAUUCUUGAAGUUAAACCAUAAGAACCUUGCCAAUAAUGGAGACUACUUCAAGCACCAAACUUUCAUGCAUUUUUCUUUGUUCAUUAGUUCUUGUUUUCUCAAUGCCGUGGAGCACUAGGGCUGAAAUUCAUGAUAGAUUUCUUCAGUGUCUUCAUUCUCAGAACAAUGACUCAACAUGAACCAAGUACCAGGUUUUAUGGGCAUUUUAUUCUGAAUCAUUUAAUUUAUGUUAAAUACAUUAAUAUUUGCAAAUAAAAUUCAAAAGCCGUUACACAAAUAUUUUUACGAAAGGAAAAGUAGCAUGUUUUGUAUUUAAUAUAAAUGACGUAUUUGAAAGUAAAAAAAAAAUUCCAUAACAUACCAGUUCCUUACAAGUUUCUUCCAUUAUAUGGAUAACGUAUUAGCUAUUUAUGAGCAAUUUAAUUUGCAUCAUUUAAUUUAUAUUAAAUACAUAAAUGUUUAUAAGUAAAAUUCAAAAAUUGUUACACUAAUAUUAUUACGAAUGGGAAAUUAGUAGGUUUUGUAUUUAAUAUAAAUUAAAUACGUGAAAGUAAAAAAAGAAAUUACCCACUUUUUACUAGCUCUUUACGGGUUUCUUCUAUUAUAUGAAUAAAGUGCUAGCUAUUUAUAGGCAUUUUACACUUUUAUAUAAUUUAUGUUAAAUACAUAAAUGUUUAUAAGUAAAAUUUAAAAAGUGAUACACUAAUAUUUUUACGAAAGGAAAACAAGUAGGUUUUCUAUUUAACAUAAAUUAAAUACGUGAAAGAUGAAAAUAAAAAGUAAUUGCCCAUAACAUAUCAGCUCUUUAUGGGUUUCCUCUAUUACACGAACAAAGUAAUAACUAUUUAUGAGCAUUUUACUCUAAAUCACUUAAUUUAUAUUAAAUAUACAAAUGGUUGUAAGUAAAAUUCAAAAAGUAUUACACUCAUAUUUUUACGAAAGGGAAACUGGUAAGUUUUGUAUUUAACAUAAAUUAAUUAUGUGAAAGUAAUACUCGCAGGUAAUUUAAUUAGUUUAAUUAGUUACUUAAUUUAUGUUAAAUAGAUAACCUACUGGUUGAUUUAAGAUUUAUGAAAACCGGCAUUUUUUCCGGCACAUCUAGUGCUUACAAUUUUUUGUAUUGUACUUACACCCUCUCAACUUUAGUAAUCAUUCUAAUAAUUUAUUCUUCUUUCAAUCGUCUACUAAUACAAGGAGCAAAGGGGCAGCCAUGGAAUAAAAAUACCUUCUCACACAUGAAAAUAAUAUUGUAAUCAGAUUUGGGCUGCAUUAUUACCAAAAACUCAAAAGCAAGGGAGGUCAGUGAAAUUUUGAGGACCUCAGGGGGUGCUAGUGAAAGUGUCAGAAACCUCAGGGGAGGUUUCAGAAAUUAUCCCAAAAAAAGGGAAAUAAAACAGCAACAAGAUGCACACGUGAAACUCACAUGGAGGACGACCACACUUUCAAACCAUCUUCCCGGUUUAUACUACAUUUCUAAUAAUGAUUAACUCCACGGUUAAAAUAUGCUAGAGGCCUGCUUCCCUAGCAAUAAGUGGAUCCACUGUUUUUAGGAUCUGAUUGGACCGGGCAGUCGAACAAAUUCAACCGUGAUCCACUAAGUGUGUUUGUUCGUGAAGAGGCCCCGUCCUGGGCCUGUACACGUGGCAGCCCAGGGAGCUCCGAGCUGGGUUUAGACCCAGGGCCCAUGAGAAAUAUCCCACGGCCCUCCGCCGCUAGGGCUCCGAGGGAUUCCAAGAGAGCAAUCCCGCAUAGGUCGGGAUUGACCCCCCUCAGUGCGGGAUUGGGGGCUAUUCUGGGCAAGCCCCGAAACGUACGGAGGUCGGACUCCUAAGAAGGUAUAAAUAGUAACGCAUAAUGACUGCGCAAGGUACGCUCAUUGAUUUCUGGACAAUUACUCUCGACCGUUUUACUUUCCGUAAAUCUCACUCACCGGAAAACUAACUUGACCGUCGGAGUGCCUGCGGGGACGACCUCGGGGCCCCUGUUAUUUCACUCUCCUGUCUGUCUUUCAGGCUUAGGACGCGCUCUCCCAGUCAGCGAAUCGAGCUCAUCAGGUCAGCUCGGUCAGAGGAAGUUCCAUGCUUCUUCAGUUGGUGCCGUCUGUGGGAACGAAAGUACGAGUAUUUGCGUUGAUGGCGAGAACGCGUUCCAAGCGAACCGUGGACAACACUGAUCCCGGAGCCGGUGAGGGGUCCCGGCGAAUGGAGACCGAAGCACCCUGGGGCGCCGGGGGCUCAGCCCUUUCCGGGGAACGGAGACAGCAGAUCUUCCAGUUCGUGACGGAGAACCUCCCCAUGUUGGAGCACAUCAUUCGACAGGCAAAGGAGGGAGGCGAGGCUGGCGGCGCGCAGACCUCAAAGGCGAAGGGGAAGGAGAGGGAAUCGCCCCCCGUUCCCUCAGAGGACGAGUCACGGGACCAGCCCUCCAAGAGGAAGAGGCCGCGGACCCCCCCUCGGCCGCUGGUCUCGGUGGUCGGGGAUAGCGAGAGGUAUUCCAGUGACGGGUCCGCUGGGGGCCGGCCAAGGAAUCCCUCCUCGUGGAAGCCUACGCGGAACGAGUCUGAGCGUUCCCCCGCCCGAUCCAUCAAGAGCCGGCCACGAGACCCUCCCCAGUGGUAGCCUGUCCGGGACGAGUUGGAGCAUAUCCUGCGUCCGAAACUGUACGAGGACAGCUACGCGGCCUCGCCCUUUACUCGGAAAAUAGAGGACUACCCGUUAUCUCGGAGGUUUAAAAUCCCGAACAUUGAGCUGUACGGCGGUUCGACGGACUCGGAAGACCACCUCUUGGUCUUCCUGACGCACAUGCGUCUGCAAACCGCUGCGGAUGCACUCCGCUGCAAGACCUUCCCCAUGUUUCUGAAGGGGAAGGCCCGGCUCUGGUUCCAGAGCCUGGCACCGGGGUCUAUCCGGAGUUUCGCAGAGCUGGCCAGACAGUUCGUCGUCCAGUUCGUCUCCUCCAAGACUUACUCGAAAAACGCGGCUCACCUGUUGGCAAUCAAGCAGAAGCCGGACGAGUUCCUGAAGAGUUUCAUGACCCGCUUCAACACAGAGAGCCUGCAGAUCAGGGACAAGGAUGAAAAGGUGGUCAUGGCCGCCUUCGUAAACUGGCUCAGGGUGGAAGAGCUCUUCUACAAACUCGCCGAGAAGCCUCCCGUUAACCUAGAAGAACUCUUGACCAGGGCGCACGCGGCCGCUAACGCGGAGGAGGCUGGUCGCUUAAAGAGAGAAUCAGAUCGGGAGCUCGGAGAUCGGAAAGGACGGGCAAACCCUCCCGAGAACAAGGAUGGCCAGGCCAAGAGGACUGUUUUCGACCGGCUCUCAAAGGAUAAAGCCCCCGCUCAAUCGCCACUCCCAGAAAAAGGCUACACCCCUCUCACUCGGCCCAGAGCCCAGGUUCUGGCCGUCAUAGAGGCGGAGGGCCUGGUAGGGCGACCACCUAAGAUGGGGACGCCUCGGAACAAGAGGAACCAAGACCGCUACUGUGCCUUCCACCGUGACGUGGGGCACGAUACGGAGGGAUGUUCGGCCCUGCGGAAGGAGAUCGAAGACCUGAUUCAGCGGAGUUUCCUGGGACAGUUCGUGCGGCCAGGUUGGCCGGGCCAGGAGCCAGGACACGGGGACCGGGGGAGGCCCAUCGUCGCGACUGCCCUGAGCGCCGCGACUUCCCUCGGGCCGACAACCCCGACCCGGACACCCACAACCUUGCCGGGGUGAUAAAUACCAUCGUUGGGGGCCCCACAGUGGGGGACAGCUAAGCAGCCCGGAAGAAUCGGCGACCUCCUCCCGAGGGGGAUGACUCCCUGAAACGUCUGCGCAUGGACGAGGAGAUCACCUUCGGACCGAGGGACGCGGUCCCCCUGGCGUCGGGAAACCAUGAGGCCAUUGUGAUAAACACCGUGACUAAUAACUACCGGGUAAAGAAAGUGUACGUUGACCAGGGGAGCGCAGUGGACAUCCUGUUUUAUCGGGUGUUCAAGGAGCUCGACCUGGAGGAUGGACAGCUCACCCCGGUUCGGACACCUCUGGUGGGUUUCACUGGACCUCCCGUCACUCUGGAGGGGAUGAUCACCUUGAUGGUCACGGUAGGGCAGGCGCCCAAAUGCUGGACCAUUCCCGUCAACUUCGUGGUGGUCAAACAGCAAUCCCCGUACAACGUGUUCUUGGGACGGCCCGCCUUGAAUGACCUUCGGGCUAUCCCCUCGUCUCUCCACCUCAGCGUGAAAUUCCCCACCCCGGGAGGAAUAGCUGAGGUGCAUGGAGAUGCAGAGGUGGUCCGAGCUUGCUACUUGGCCAUGCUCCGGGGACACGAGAAGGUGGUCGCCCAGACGGCCAGCCUGGAGCCUUACAUCCCGGGGGAGGAGGAUCGGCAGCUGAGCACUCAGGACGAGAUCGAGGAGUUCCCAUUGAAAGAGGACAGGCCAGACCAGGCAAUCAGCAUCGGUGCGUCGCUACCCCCCAAAGAGAAGGACGGCUUGAAAGCUCUCCUAAGGGAGUACGCCCAAGUUUUCGCUUGAACAGUAGAGGACAUGCCUGGGAUUCCGACUGACCUGGCCGUCCACCACCUCAACAUAGACCCCCGCUUUAAGCCAGUAAAGCAGAAGAAGAGGAACUUCGCUCCAGAGAGAAAUGAGGUGAUCAGGAAGGAGGUCGGUAAGCUGCUAGAAUCCAAAAUCAUCAUGGAGGUCUACUAUCCGACCUGGCUAGCCAACCCCGUCCUGGUAAAGAAGGAGGACCAGUCCUGGAGGAUGUGCGUUGACUUUACAGAUCUCAAUAAAGCCUGCCCGAAAGACUGCUUCCCCUUGCCGAGGAUCGACAGGUUAGUAGAUGCUACUGUUGGUUUUGACGUUUUGUAUUUCCUGGAUGCUUUCAAGGGAUACCACCAGAUAGAGAUGGCUGAGGAGGAUCGGGAAAAGACUUCCUUCAUCACCGAGGAAGGAACUUACUGCUACCGGACCAUGCCGUUUGGGCUAAAGAACGUCGGAGCUACCUACCAACGUCUGGUCAACAAGCUGUUCUAGAAUCAGGUUGGCAGAAGCAUGGAGGUCUACGUGGACGACAUGAUCGUCAAGAGCCGAACAAAUCAGUAGCUCGUUCCCGACCUGAGGGAAAUCUUGAACAUUCUGCGGGAAAACCGGAUGCGGCUGAACCCAAAGAAGUGUACCUUCGGGGUUAAGUCGGGGAAGUUCCUGGGCUUCCUGGUCUCCCGAGAAGGGAUCCGGGCCAACCCGGAUAAGCUCCAGGCCAUCAUGGACAUGGCCCUCCCGAGGAACGUCAAGGAGGUCCAACGGCUCGCGGGAAGGAUGGCCGCCCUGAAUAGAUUUCUCUCGCGCUCCGCGGUGAGGGGGCUGCCCUUCUUUCGAAUCCUGAAAGCACCGAAGGACUUCCAAUGGACGGAAGAAUGCCAGACAGCCUUUACCGACCUAAAGGCAUAUUUGACUGAGCUGCCUGCUCUGACUGCCCCGGAGCAGGGAGAGACCCUGUUCCUAUACUUGUCCGCCUGCAACGAGGCUGUUACCACGGUUUUGGUGUGGGAGGACAAGGGGGCUCAACGACUAGUAUACUACGUUAGCCGAGCUUUACAAGGGCCGGAGACGCGGUACACGCCGGCGGAAAAAUUGGUCCUCGCCUUGGUGCACGCCGCCCGGAAGCUCCGACCCUACUUCCAGGCCACAGCAUUACCGUCCUGACGGAUCAACCCUUACGGCAGAUACUUACAAAACCCGAGGUCUCGGGCAGGAUGACCAAAUGGGCCGUUGAACUAGCCGAGCAAGACAUCGGCUACCAGCCUCGUACCGCAAUCAAAGCUCAGGCCCUGGCAGACUUCCUCGCCGAGGGAGCCAGUCUAUCCGUCACCGAACCCUGCUCUGUGCCCGAGGAGGCCCGGUCGGGGGAGCCGUGGGUACUGUUCGUAGACGGGGCCUCAAGUAAGGAAGGGAGUGGAGCUGGCUUGCUACUCUCCUCGCCCACGGGGGAGGAGCUGAUUUACGCUCUCAGGUUUGACUUUCCGGCAUCCAACAAUGAGGUCGAGUACAAGGCGCUAUUGACGAGAUUGCGGAUAGCCCACCAGAUGGGUAUAACCGCGAUAAGAGUCCGGAGCGAUUCUCAACUCGUAGUCUACCAAGUCCGCGGGGAGUACGAGGCCAAGGAGGAUGUCAUGAAGAAAUAUUUGGCUAAGAUGCAGGAGGCGAUAAAGCUGUUCGAACUCUUUGAGAUCGAGCGGGUGCCGAGAUCACAGAACAAGCGGGCGGACGCCCUGUCGAAUCUGGCGUCCUCCUCGUUUGCCCACCUGAGCAAGGAAGUCUUGGUGGAGGUAGUCAAGGAAAAAAGUAUUGACCAGGUCCGGGUCUUGGCCAUCGACAGUUCGGCCACUUGGAUGACUCCUCUUGUGGACUUCCUCAGCUCGGGUGUCCUCCCCGAGGACAAAACCGAGGCUCGCCGACUCCAGCUCCGAGCUGCUAAAUACGCCUACGCUGGGGACACCCUCUACCGGAGGUCGUAUUUGUCUCCCUGGCUAAAGUGCGUAACCCCUGAGGAGGGUGACUAUGUCCUCCGAGAAGUGCACGAAGGCCUGUGUGCUGCACACGUGGGGUCCCGAGUGUUAGCCAAAAAAUGCCUACUCCUAGGCUACUACUGGCCCUCGGUGUUUCGGGAUGCCGCAACUCUUGUUUAGAAAUGCCGAGCCUGUCAGGUGCACGCCCCGCUGCGCCACCAACCCACCCGGGAGAUGGUCCCCAUCCACAGUCCUUGGCCCUUUGCCCAGUGGGGGAUAGACCUCCUGGGUCCCUUCCCCCGAGCUCCGGGAAGGUACGAACACCUCGUGGUGGCCAUCGACUAUUUCACGAAAUGGAUGGAGGCCGAACCCCUGGCCACUAUCUCCGGAAGGGCAAUUCAGAAGUUUUUCUGGAAAAAUAUAGUCUGCCGCUUCGGGAUCCCGCACGCCUUGAUAUCCGACAACGGGCGACAGUUUGCUGAAAAUCCCUUCAAAAGCUGGUGCGCCGAGCUUGAGAUUAACCAGCACUUCACCUCGAUCGGACACCCCCAGGCCAACGGUCAGGUGGAGAAUGUUAACCGAACCAUUCUGCAAGGGUUGAAGACCAGGUUGGAGCUAGUCCAGUCUAACUGGCUAGACGAACUACCUAGCGUCCUCUGGGCUUACCACACCACGCCGAGGACGGCCACCCACGAGAUCCCGUUUUCCCUGACUUAUGGGGCGGAGGCGGUGGUGCCCGCGGAGGUCAGCUUCCCCUCGCCUCGAACACAGAACUUCGUUGUGACAGCCAACGAGGAGGAGCUGAGGUGCAACUUGGACCUGCUGGAGGCCAAGCGGGAGGAAGCGGCGAUACGAAUGGCUAAGUAUAAAAGCCAGCUCGCCCGUUACCACAAUGCGAGGGUACGGAAUACGCAGUACAAGUCUGGAGACCUCGUCCUGAGAAAGAACUCAGUCAGCCGAGUUCAAAGGUCCAACAAGCUAGAUCCAAACUGGGAAGGGCCGUACACGAUCUUAGAUACAAGCCGGGCCGGGUACUGUAAGCUUGCGAGAUUAAACGGAGUAGAGGUACCCCACACUUGGCACUUCUCGAAUUUGCGGUUGUUCAUAGGAUAGGUUGGUUCAGGGUAUCUUACUGUAUUCUUUGGAAUUUUAGUACCAUUUCAUUAUUCAAUAAAUGCUCAGUUUUCUUGUUUUAAAUCCCCUCUCAUUGUCAAUGCCGUUUAACUUUUCACUUCUACACUAGCACGCUCAGAUUCUGCUAAGUGUUCUAGUGGGGGGCUCUGAGGGGUGAUGGAGGGUAAUGAAAUGAAAGGUAAUGGAAGGGAGGCCUUUCAAGUCUCGGAGAUCGACGUUCGACCCUGGAGGUCGGCAUGAUUACCUUCGAGUUCGAUGCUCGACCCAGGAGGUCGGCACGAUUGUCUUCAAAUUCUUACGCUUGACCCCGGAGGCUUGCUUGAUUACCUUCGAAUUCGAUGCUCGACCCAGGAGGUCGGCACGAUUGUCUUUCAAAUUCUUUCGCUCGACCCGGGAGGUCGGCGGUCUCAGGACCAAUCCAGAUGAUGAACUAAGGGAAGGCCUUUGGAGUUUGAAUAGAUGCUCGACCCAGGAGGUCGGCGCGGUUCAAAAGAGCCUUAAGGUCCGGUGCUCGACCCAGGAGGUCGGCACUUUUGAGCCUUAAGGUCCGGUGCUCGACCCGGGAGGUCGGCACUCCGCCCAGGCAGCGGGGAUUUGGUCGUUGGUUUAGUGUGGUCGUCUGAUGGGACCUCAGUUUGUCGUCCUUUGGCAAAUCGGUUGUCGGCUUACGGAUGGGCGGAUGCUCGGCCCAAGAGGCCGGCACGCUGUUUCAGUAAAUCAGAUUGGACGUUCGACCCGGGAGGUCGGCGUAACUCAAGGCCUAGAGGUUUCGCGUUCGGCCCAGGAGGUUGGCGCUUCACUCCGGGCAUUAGAAUUCGAUUGUUAAAUCACCCUGAUGGUUUGAUGGUGGGGUGCCCCUGACAACUUAGUUGUUAGCUUGAAAGGCGAUGGAUGUUUGGCCCGAGAAGUCGGCACGCGGCCUUGGUGGGUCUAUUUGGUACUCGGCCCGGGAGGUCGGUGGUCCUUUUCGGUCACUAGAGUUUGCCGUUAACAGGGAAUUGAAAGACAAAUCAGACAGUUUCAUUUAAAAACUUCAUCUCAUAUAUACAUUCAGACCCUAUCUAUUACAAAGCCUACCGAGCUAUACAAGAAAUGGGGAACCUAGCUACGCCUUCUUCUUGCUGGCGACCUGCUCGAGGAGGGAGUUGAAGGUACACCUUAAGCAUGUUGAGAGGUGGGAGCUGAAGGUACACCUUAAACAUGUUUGGGGGUGUGUGGAGAAGGCUGUUAAAAAGGAUCAGCGGAGAUUAUGAGCUGCGGGGCAUUGGAUUGGAGCAGGGUCACAUCCUUACAAGAGGAUGGAAAGGGUUUCUGGAGUAACCACUGCCCUAGGCCACUGGAUCCUUCCCCGAAGUCCUGCCAGGAGCCUCACCCUCCUCCAGGGGGACCUCCGCCAGCUCGGACCCCACAUCGCUCCUGCCCACCAGGUCCUUCAGGGCAUGCCCCUUGCAGUACCCAUCGAAAAGCCAGUCCAGCUUCCCCUCGGCUGCAGGAUUGUAGUUCUUGAAAUCCGCCAAGUUGAAGCCGGGUGGGUUGAGGCUCUUCACCUUGUCCAAGGCCCGCGUGGCGCCGACCUGGAGGAUGGACUGGUUGAGGAGGGCCACGUCCUCGACGAACUGAUCGGAGGAGACGAAGUCCCGAACAGCCUUCUUGCGCUCCCGGCUGACGGUGCCGGAGAGCUCAAUGGCGUGCUCCUCCCUCAACUUCGCCACGCCCUUCUUCUCUUGGUCCAGCUCGGACCGGGUGGAGGCGAGCUGGACUUGGGACCCCUCCAGCUCCUUCUCGGCCUUGCCUAGCUUGGCCUUAAGGGAGUCUACCUCCUUAAGGGCCUUGGCGAGUUUCUACUCGGCCUCCCGAUUCUUCUUUUGCAUCUUCUCCAAGUCGGGAGACAGAUCGGAGAAGCGGGUCACCAGGGCAGCACCGGCGGCGUUGGCCUGAAGAAAUGAGAGUAAGAGUUAGCAUAUUACUAACCCCAUUAAGAGAAAGAACAGGGACCCAAGGGGCCUAAAAGGGAGAGGGCUUACUUGGGCCUGAGCGGUGUAGUACAUGUCCAGGAGUUCGAACGGGCUGGCCAGCUCCAUCCACUUCUUGUCGCGUGGAAGGACUGAGCCCGUGACCAACUCGCGAGCCACCUCGGGGAACUGGGCUCGGUCAUUGAUGGACAGCUCCCAGGACGGACAGAAGUGCCGGGGAUCGUGCAUCGUGGGGGCCUGCCCCGGUUUCGUGGGGGCCACGUGGGGGAAGUGCCACAAGCUCGGGGAGGCGCUUUCCCAGGCGUGCUCCUCCGCAGAGCCCACCCCCAGGUGGACAGGGCCCCCAGACGUCAGUUGGAGAGGGCGCUGUGCUGGGCCUUGCGCCGGUUUCCUCCCGGGUUGGGAAGGCUCGUCCUCUCGACCCCUCUUCUGCCCCGUUGCCUUCUUUUUGCCGGGGACCUGCUUGGAGGGGGACUGAGCUUGAAAGGCCUCCUUCUUGGGGGCCGAGCUGCCCCCAGGAGUCGCAGAGGCCUCCGGGGCCUUCUUCGCCGCCUCGGGCUGUGUAGUGGAGGCGACCUCCUCGGUUGGCGCGCCCAGUAGUCUGGAGAGCCUCUUCACUGCAGAGAACACCACCGGAUUAGUGCUACAGGUCGGAGAAAUGAGGGGGAAAAGGCAACAGAUAACAAAGGAACAGGUGCAGUAUUACAAGUAUCUCGGUCGGCGGGGGACAACGCCACUUCUCCAGGGGACCCGGACAUCGUCCCCAACAGCCCGGCCGCGGAAAUCUUCUCGGUGGAGAACUUGGUUGCGUACAGCUUCACCGCAGAGCCCAACAGCUGGCCGAAGGCCUCAGGGUCCAGGUCCUCUGGACAGGAGUCGUCCCCAACCCCCCCAACCUUCCACGCAUUGGGAGGAAAGUGGAUGGUUUUAACGAAAAAGAAGUCCCCCUUCCAGUUUUUUACGGAAGAGGGGACCCCGUAGAGAAGAUCCUGGGUGCCCUUCCCGCCGCGAUUGCUGGCGGACCGGCGUGAGAAGUAGUACCACCCAUGGAGAGAAGCCUUGAGGGCGUAGGAAGAACGGAAGAGAGAGAGAGAAUAGGGGAUAGAGCAGAUCUGGCAAUAGAUCAGGAAUCCGAUGAUGAUCCUGAUAGAGUUGGAGUGGAUCUGGUUGAUCUUGAGCCCCCAGUAGCUCAGGAUCUCGGCCAGGGCCGGAGGAAUGGGGAGUCGGGGCCCUCGACCAGUUGCUCUUUGUAAAUGGCUACAAAGUCAGGGGGAGGUCGGCAGGCUUUGUCGGUGGGCCCGGCGGCUCGCGGCUCGAAGGCCGGAAGAAUGGAGAACGACGUGGCCAGCUCGGCCACCGCCCCGGGUGAGAGGGUGACCUCCUCCCGGUCGGGGUGACCGUAGUUGAACUCAAGAUCAUCCCCCUGCUCGGUAGCAGGGGUCCCCUCGGAGGAGUCCCUGUCCUCCCCAGCUCCCCCCUGGGCUCCGCCAGGGGAGUCAUGUGGAGACUUGGAGGAGGGGAUAGAAGUGGCUCGCUGCCCGAUGAGGGCAUUGAGCUCGGCCACCUCCUCCAGGAGUUGGACAGAGGGAGAAUGGGCAGAUGGAUAGUUCAUGAUGUCGAUGGGCUCAAGCAAGUCAGGAAUAAGGAAAUUGGGAUUGGAAGCAGAGGAAGAAGAAGGAGGAGAAGAUGAAGAUGAAGGCGGAGACGAAGACGAGAAGGAAAUGAAGAUUCUGGGGGCCCUGCGACGGACCGAAAUCUGGGAUGCGGUGGAAGUGACGCCGGAAUGAUCCGACAUAAAAUGCAGAAGGUGGCAAAAAGGAGAAAAGGAAGUACGAGAGAGGAGGGGAAGGAACUUACUGAUGAUCGGAGUGAAAAAAGGGAUGGAGAAGUUGCCGGAAUCUGGGUGCUGGAAGCCGGAAGUCUUGUUGCUGGAAAAUUGAAAAUGUGCGAAAGGAGGAAAAAUGGCAAAUAAAGUCUGAAAAAGUUUGGAAGUCCCUAUUUAUAGGGGGUAGAAUGGGGGGAAACGGUUGCUUGAAUUUGAACCGUCCCGUGUAAACGCAUUCAAGAGCGGUACGGAGACCGAGGGGACGCGACAACUGAAAGGACGCGGACGCCACUUCCCAAUGUCAGCACUGUACCGGAGGUGAACGCAUUCUAGUCUUCUUUUUUUUACAAAAAAAAUUGAAACAGAUCUGCAGGAAAAUGUGUACUGAACUUGAAAUCGAAUUUAAACUUCAUUUCCAUCCCGAAAUUGAAUCAACUCGAGUACAAACUUUAAGUGCAAAUUUGACUUUAUAGUUCAGUUAUGCCAUGUCCUUUUCUUGAUACCGCAAAGUAGCUGCGUUUUUCCCCUCAUUCUGCUUUUGUUUGUGCCAUAUACCAUCUUCUGCAUUUGGGGACUUUCAGAUUUCCUCUGGAAGAGAACAACAUACCACUGCCGUCAGUUCCCACUACUACUUCACUCAAGAAAUUUGCCUUCCUUAUAAUCUAAGAGAUAGGCUCAUAUCGAUCUCUACUGAGGCUUGAACUUAUCAAAAUCCGAAUUUCAAGAAUGCUAAUUGGCUCUAAUAUUUUAAAAUUCGGACCAGCAAUUGAGCCAGUUGACUCUACGGUUCACGAUUCAACCGAUUUAACUGAUUCGUCCAACAGUUCACUGUCUUUAAAUAAAAUAAAAUAAAAUAAUUAGUUUUACUAAAGAUAACGUGAAGACUGCUGAUUGCUGAGAAGGAUAUAUCCCAUUCAAGACAGCAUAUUCUAAGGGAAUAUUUUAUUCUAAGGAAAUAUCCUAUUAAGAACUACAUUUCAGGAGAAUAAUUUAUUAAGAAAGGCUAAGAAAUUAGAAACAAUACAUGAUUAUCAUUAACAAAUUAAAAAUUUUUCCAAACUUCUGCUGAUUGCCGAAGAAGAUAUAUCCUAUUCAAGGCAGCAAAUUCUAAGGGUCCAUUUGGUUUAUAAGAUGACACAUGAUUGGAUUAAUUAUCACAUGUUAUCUCAUGUUUGGUUGCAUUUUACACAUGGGAUGAUACAUCUCAAUUAACCGAAUUAAUCCCCUAUUCAUGGGAUAAAAUAAUCCCAUGGGAGAAAUUGCAUUAAUCAUCCUGGGAUUACUAAGAGAUAAGAUAAUGAAAUUUUAAACUAAUUUAUCCUUACAAAUAAUAUAAAUUUAUACUCUCAUAAUUGUAUAACCUUACCCUCACACGAUCAUGUAAUAGGAAUGGACUAAUUUGCCCCUACUACCAAUAUAAUCAUAUUUGAACUAAUUUGCCCUUGCGAAUGAUACAAAUUCAUACUAAAUAUUAUAUAACCUGUGAGGAUCUCAAAAUUGCAUUAAUUUCUGAAAAUUAAAAUCAAAAUAUUAUUUCAAUGUUGAAUUUAUUAAAUAAUAUGUAAUUGUAUUUAAAUAUUGUUGUUUACUUAUAUAAAUGUUAUAUUUUAAAUUACAUGAAUUUUAAAAAUUUAUUUGGCGGUUCGCGUUCAGCUAAGCAUUAGGGUGAAUAUUUGCGCACUGACGCGCAAUGUAGCCCUAAGUUGAAAUGUAGGGUAUGUUGAGGUUAUAAAAAAAAAUGUACAACUAAGCUGAGGAAAUGCUAGAUGAGGGAAUUCUACCAGUAGAUCAAAAUUUCGCGCGUAAACGCGAUUCGAAUUCGAAAUGCCCACCAUUAAUGGCAUGCCCAAAAAGUCAACUAGCCUACUCACUAGAUUACCCCAAUUUUCUUCCUAUCUUGUCACCAGCUAUCAACCCUUUUCUUUCCCUCCAAGCUCCCGAUCCUCUGGUGCAAGAAGAAGCAGAAGCCGCUGCCAUUCCAAGCUUCUAACAGCCUUCCAUCCUCAGCCAUUCACACCCCAAUCUUCAAGCUUCCAUUUCCAACUUCCACCUCCAUUCUUGGCUGCUGUCUCGACCGAGCAAGGAGGAGGAAGAUCGCUGCUGCUGCUGCCGGCGUUGCGUCGGACCAGGGGAGAAGGAGAAACCAGCUGCCAUUUUUCUUUCCUCCAACCACAGAACCUUCCAAGCUGACUCAAAAACCCCAGACCCAAGCUUCUCUUCACCUUAACGUUUGCUGCUGUGUUGCUGCUGUGGGUGGUCAGACCGAGAGGGAAACAGAGAGCAAGGGAGCCGGCUGACCCUCUGUGGUUCUAGGAGCAACUUGAGGAACUAGACAAUACCUUUAGCUAGUAAACAACCCACUUGAAGGUAACAAACUCCAGCUUAGCACCUUAGCCAAAAAUUUCAGAUUUUUGCAGCUUUUGGUUCUUGAAAUGUCAGCUUGCGUUGGUGAAACUUGUUGGGUUGCUGAUCCUCUAAGCUAAUGAUUGAUGAAGCUAGAGGUGUUUUAUGUGUUUAUAUGUGUGUUUUGUGGUGGUUAAAUGUUGGGGAAAUUUUAAGAAUGAAAAUGGGGUGCUGGCCGGAUGAGGGAGCAAUUUUCCAGCUUUGUUACCGGUUGUUGUUUUGCAAUUUUUGCUUAGGUAAUGAACUGGAUUGCUUGUUUGGAGGUUAGACUAAUUAGUUGUGAUUGUUAUGGACUUAAAGUAUGAGUUAUGAUUUGAAGAUGGUUGAGCAAAAAAGAGGAGAAAAUUCUGCUCUGCUAAACCGAACCAGCAGGCCUGUUUUUCUUCCAUUUUUACCUGAAAUUUUGAGCUGGAUUUUGUGAAGUUAUUGAGCUAUUUAAAUCGUGUAUAUGUUCACCUAUAUGUGUAGAGCAGUUUUGGUGAAAAUGCAGCUUUGGUACAAUGGAAAACUUCAUUGAAAAAUCAAAGAGAAAAAUGCCCCUUGAGUUGUCCGAAAAAUUCUGGAAAUUUCCAGAUUUUUUGGGCGAAUUUGGGGUUUGGUUUUGACAAGUUUUUGAACCAUUUGAGCUGUAAACAUGUUAACCUAUAUGUGAAGUAUUGUUUGGGUAAAAAUGUAGCCUUUGAGUAGUUGAAAAUUUUUGGACAAAUUGAAGAGAAAAUGGACUGCUUGUACCGAAUGCACUUGAAAAUUUUUCCAGCUUUGCAUGAGACAUGUUGAAUGAUUUUCACGUUAACAUGAACCCAAUUUGACUUGUGUUUAGUUAAGGGGUGUGUAUAGCUCAAUUUGGGGACAAAAUCUAGUAGAGUUUACGUUCAAAAAGUGGACCAAAAUUUUAUUCUUCACGAGGCUACCCAAAACAGAAAUUUUGUUUGAAAUUAGAAAGGAUUUUGACGUUUGGAUUUCGUUUUGGUUAAAUGUGGACUAAAUCUGUCCUGAAAAUGUUUUCUAGCAUUAACCUUUGUUACUAGGUCCACUUCGAAUCAAUAACCUUGAAUUUUAUUAGACCAAAUGCCCUAUUUCGAGAAGUAUGCCAAAUCUGGAAAUUUUCUUGAAAACUCAAGUUUUUGCCUUCAUGAAAAUCCUAGAACCAAGUUGGUCAAUGGAAUUUGGCAAACUUAAGGAGUUUCUAUUUUAUAGAAAUUCCAACGACUAGUUUUACUUGGUUUAUAUGAUUUCCUCUUAAAGGAAUUUCCCAAGAUAUUUUUGGGAAAAAUUAGAAGGGAAAAUUCCUCUAAAUGGUUAAAUGUGAUUUUUCUCAACCUGUGACACCAAAGUGGUGUUAAUUGCUUAUAUGACUCUAGAACUUGGUUAUUGGAAUAUUUGACAAAUUUAGCAAGUUUUUGGUUUUAAAGAAACCUCAAAAUUUAAUUUCACUCGAAAUUUGUGGAUUUCACUUUGAGAAAACGAUUAAUACUAGUUUGGGAUUUUUGAGUGAAAUUAAAUGCUAGUUGACUCGAGUUAAAUUCGCCAACUCAAAAGUGGAAAUUUAUGUGAAUUAUUUGUAUGAUUUUAGGAGUUGGUGAAAAGCACAAUCUCGAUCAAAGUUUGGAAUUCUAGACUCUUCACUUGAGGUGAGUGUCUCUUGCAUGAAUCGUGUUUAACUGCUAGUUGAACUACUUGUUAAAAGUACUUGCCAGAGAUAUCAUGAAAUGUUAAAUGCUAUGUGAUUGCGUGAAAUACCACAAGUACAAGUGUUACAAUGUCGAUUGGAGCGUGGUCUCGUCGACUAAAUAAACCAAACGGAUGCAUGUACCACGCUCUAUUAGAGUGGGAGGUACCUCUCUGUCGUCUUGGUAAAAGUGCUUGCAAAAUUCGUGUUGGAGUCGGGCCCGAAAAUAAGGGGGAAGUCGUUGCUAGGAGACGUGUAGAUUAGGGAAAAUGUCUACAUGGAGAUUAGGUAGUGAAAGUUGACGGAGUGUCAACUACUAUAAAUUACUUGAUCGAGCGCGAGGACUUUGGCUCCUGAGAGCCCCGUAUCCUUUUCUUGUCAUGUUACUUCAUUUUCCUAAAUUGUUGAUUGCUUACUUGUCCAUUUGUACUUGUUAAAUUGCCUAUGUGAAUUGCAUGUUUCGAGGCACCACUGAGCUAUUGGCUCAUCCCUUCCAAUUUGUUUUUUUCCUUGACAGGUUCUGAAAUGCAUGAAGUCUUGGAGAACUAGAAAAGAAAUGUUAUAUUUUGAAUGCCCACUUUUGUAAUUGUACUUUGGGAGAUACUUUAAUAUCUUUUGGAUGAUUUUUUUUUUUGUGCCUUUGGGAAAAUGUGAAUCCUGUGGUGCUUCUGUACCCUGGAUCAGGAAUUUUAAAUUGUACAUUAAGUUGAAUUUAAGUAUUUUAAGUUCGACAUUUUCUUUGAUGCUUGAAAUUGUACUUUUGGACAGAGUAAGUUGAAUGGUACAGUUUGUUUAAGUACUUGGCUUAUGCGAGAAGUAAAGUUUAUUUACGAAUUAUAUUUGAUGAUGUUAGAUGAUUGAGUGAGUGAGUCCCGGCGAGAGCUGGGUAGGCGACUCGUCGAACCCUCUGGUUCGCCUUAGGGGGAGAUGGGACCGCCACAUAACCAUUCUCUGACAUAAUAAUAUGAUAAUAAAUGGACUAAUUUGCCCCUACUAAUUAUAUUAAUUUCUUUCUAUUUUGCCCUAAUUCAUUAUUUUAAAUUUUUGACAAAUUUGCCCCUAUUAAUUAAUUUAACAUUUUUUAGCUAAUUUACGCCUACUUAUGUAAUAAUAAAAGGACUAUAUUGCCCUUGGACUAAAUUGCUUUUAGUAAUCUUAUUUUCUCAACCAAAUUCUAUAUAAAUACAUAACUUUAUUGAUUGGACUUUGCGAAUGAGGUUUUCAAUAGGCCCAAAUUUAGGCCAAAGAAAAAUCUUCUAUAUUGACUUGAGUUUGGCUCAUUUAAAACUCUUAAAUGGGAUGGAUUUUACUUUAACCCUAAUUUAGCCUAUUAUUUAAUUGAAUUUCAAAUUUAUAUCUAAAACUAUGUUAAAAUCUAGUUUUAAGGUCCCGAAUGGGCUGAAUUUGAGUGAAUGCAAAUUUUUAUAUAUCAAAACCCUUGAUUUACUUUAUAAUUCUAAAGUUUCAAAUUACUUUAUUUUAAUGGAAGUCAUAAAUUUUUAAAUUAUUUUAUUAAAUGAUCCUACAAAUUAAGAGGUAUUUUGGUCAUUAAAAUAGUAACUUUAUCUCAUCCAAUCUCCAACCAAACACAAUAUAGGAUUAUUUCGUAAUAUAUCAUAUCCAAUCUAAACCAACUAAACACUGGAUAAUUUCAAUUAUUAAUCCCAGGAUGAUUCAACCUAAGAUUAAUAAUCCAAGAAUGAAUCAAUCCAUCUCAUCCAGUCCAUGAACCAAACUAAUCCUAAGGGAAUAUUUUAUUACAAAGGAAUAUUCUAUUAAGAAGCACAUUUCAAGAGAAUAAUGUAUUAAGAAAGGCUAAGAAAUUAUAAAAAAAAUACAUGAUUAUCAUCAACAAAUUAAAAAUUUAUCCAAACUUGAAUAAGUUACGUUAGUUCACACUUUACACAUGAUCACAAUCAUCUCACUACAGACAGGCCGAGAAAUUAGUAUAGGAAAUUUUUAGAUGAAUUAAAAAAGUCCAAUAUUUUUUAAAAACUAGACUUUCAUAUGAAAAUUCUAAAAAUUUAUAAAAAAAAUUCCUCAAAAUUUGGAUUUUCAAACAAAAUUUCUAAAACUUAGAAAAAUUCUAGAAACCUAUGAACUUUCAAAUGAAAUCCCUAUGGAUUAGCCAAAAAUUCCGAAAAUUUUGAACUUGUAGAUGAAACUCCAAAAAAUUCCACAACUUUUUUCCAAACUUCCUGUUGUCCCUUCAUUUUUUCCUUAUCUGGACUAUUCAACAUUCGUAUGGAUUGCAAUCCUUUCUCAUGUGAAUUUGUAGAAAUUAAUCUCAAUCCCCAUCAAUUACAUGGAGAAAAAACCGUAAACAAAGUAUAAAGUAAUAACGUACGUUGAAUAUAAUAGUAAAAAGCCAAAAAAAAAUUUUUGAGGAAAAGAACAAGAAGAAACAAAAGAAAAAGUGGAGAAACUAAAGCUUCGGAUCUGCGACAGGUUGUCGAUGCUUGUACAAUAAUAAAAAUAAACUUAGUUGCCAACAAAAGCAGUUUUGAGUCAAUUCUAGUACUAGAGCAGGGACUCUAGAUGUGCAAUAGGUUAUUAGAUUUACCCUAGUUCCGAAUAGUUUACUAAAUCCAAUAUACCAGAAUUUAUUCCUGAGAACUUGUUAAUUUGUAUAUAGGGCAAGUAGGGUCGAAUUCACAGAGACUGGAAGUAAUUCGUUUCUACUAAAGUUCAAGUUAUGAGGGGGAUUUUAAGGAAAUUAACAAUAAGCUACACUAACCAAAUAUUGUAGUUGAAUAAGAAUUAAAUAACAAUUAAAUAGCAAUAAGGUAAAAACUCAAAUAGUAUUGGACAGCUCUAGUCAAGAAGUAACUUCGGCAAUGGUUCAACUAAUUGAUCAUCGAUGCAAAGAUAACUCCAAUUAUUAACUAAUAAAUAUGUUAUAACUGUCAAACAAGCGAUGACAGUCAACUCAUCCUUACUGUGUCGAUAACUAAGGUACGCCCGUUAAUCACUACUCUAAUAGAGAAAUAAUUCUAGGUACACCCGUAAGAUUUAAUUCCCCAAUUGCCUUACAUAUUAGAGGAGCCAUAUUCUAACCAAAUAGCACACUACCAGAGUUAUUUUAGAUUAGCCUGCGUAUUCUCCUGACACAAAUCUAAUCAUACCAAUUGUCACUAUUUUAGAGUAGUUAAACAAUUACGGAUUCAACGCCCCAAUUGACAUUAGGUUACUAAAUUACUUCAACGUCCGGGCCCAGGAUAUUCAAUUAACAAAACAACCAUAAACACUGCAAACAGAGAAUAUGCAAAUAUCAGUAAAUAAGACGAAUAAAUAAAAUUAAUUCGAUCUCACGAUUUUUAAAUGAACCAAAGCCUCCGUUAUUCCUUGACUAGAAAAAAAGGAUUGAGUUCAUCAUUGAUUAAAAAAAACCCACACAAAGCUGUAGAACCAGUCGCGGCCAUUGUCACCGAAAUCUAACUAUAUAAAAGCGGGAGUUGGAGAAUGAACAGUGCCAUUUUGGUCGAGCGGUUAUCACGUAAUUUUCAGCAACUUUGAUGGCUUUUGUAUUUGUUGGUUUUGUCGGCUUUUCGGCAACUCCAUUUGCAUCAGUCUUUGACAGUUCCUUAUGUCAUUAGAAUUAGCCUUAGUAGUCUGCUAUUUUUGUGACUUUGAGGGGCUUUUGGGUCUUUUGGUCAUUGAGAAGCCUCCAGUCAUCCUUCUGGUCAAAUGCUACGGUGAUGAAAUCUCAGCUGAAAACCAAAGCAUAAUAACGAAAAAAAAGAAAGGCAAAAGGCAUAACUUUCUAUGUAUCUGUACAGCAAUAAAGGGACGCAGCAGUUAAGCUUCUGAACUUGUAUAGAUUUUCUCUAAUUCAGUCAGAUAAAGCUCAAGAAUCAUACAAAUAAUCUGGGCUAAAAAUAAAAAUUGAUAAUCAAGUUGGAUUAAUAUAUUUUUUCUAAUUUUAUUCUGAGGUUUCACGCAUUUCUAUAUGUUUCUUAUUCUUGAUAAUCUAUGUAUUUGUUGGUUUUUCCCUUCUUUUUUUUCCACGGAUUAAAACAUUUAAUCAAUAUAAUCACAACAAUUAUUUUUCUUUCAUAUUUUUGUAAAAUGCCGCUCAAUAAUAUUAGAUCAUUAAUCAACAUUAAGAGCCAUGUAUUAUUACAUUGUUUUUGAAAUUUACAGUACUUUAAUUUUUUUAAUGUAAGAAACAAUCUAAUUAAUGUUGAGCGUUUUGUAAAUACACAAUUAUUGAGGAAAUAAUUAAUAAAUUAUUAUUGGCUUUAAUGACUUUAAAAAAUGAAUUUUAUUACUGCGACAUGAAAUAAAAAUUGUUUGGAAAAAAAUCAAUGCAUAUAUUGCAAAAAAAUGAAAUAAAAUAGUGCUCUGUAAAAUUGUUGAAUGCAGUGAUUGUUUAGCAUGUUCAGUAGUAGCUUUUGACUGAAUGAUUCCCAAAAGUUAAACAGCAGUAAAAAAAAAAAAUGAAGUCCAACAUUGUUAUCACAAUUAACCAAAAUCGGUUAAGGUGUCAUGGAUAUAAAAAUGGUUUCUAAUCCUACUACUUUUUAAAACAUACAACUAUAAAGAUAUAUUAGUCUACAUAUCCAUAUUAGUCUAUAUAAUUAUUACAAAUUUUUAAUGCCCUUGUUUUUAUUCUUAUUUUUCGUUCUAUAGAAAAGAAUAAUUAAUAUGUUAUUUACUAAUAGUCCGGGCAUCUAAUAACAAUUGCAGGAUAACCGCUUGACAAAAAAACAUUGUUCAUGGGACAACUCUCGCUUUUAUAUUGUCAGAUAAAUAUCCAUAUAUAAUGUAUAUAUAUAAUAAUUAUAAAAUGUUUCCUAAUGGCUCUAAAUUUAAUGUGUAUAUAUUCAUUUUUCCUAAUGGCUCUAAAUUACUCUAAAUUGAAAAGCAAUGUUGUAUGCUAUUUUUUUAUUAUUCUUUUAGUCAAACAUGCAACAUUAAUUACAUUGUUUCUUACAUUAAAAAAAUUAAAGUACUGUAAAUUUCAAAAACAAUGUAAUAAUACAUGGUUCUUAAUGCGGAUUAAUGAUCUAAUAUUAGUGAGCGACAUUAUAUAAAAAUAUGAAAGAAAAACAAUUCUUGUGAUUAUAUUGAUUAAAUGUUUUAAUUUGUGCAAAAAAAAAAAUGGGCCCAUAUUUAUAGAACUUAGUGAGUAAUAGAGAUAUACAUAAAUAUAAAUGGGUAUCUUUAUAAUUACCUCACCCAAACCACAUAAUUUAUACAAAUCAUACCACACAAAAUGUUGACACUGCAUUGUCUCAAUUAUAGUACUUUAUUAACCAUUAUAUUACAAAAUAUCCUUCAUACUUCACAAACUAUUAACACUAUAUUCACCCAACCAAUUUACCGCACUAUUAUUUUAUAAUUCAAGCCAAACUUAUACCACCUAUAUAAUUCUCUAUACUACAAUAAAUAUACAAUAACUAAAACUUGUACAACUUAAUACGGGAAAUAUUCGCCCUCCUGCGCAACGCGCAGGCCGUCCUAACUAGUUGAGAUGAAAAACGGUAGAAUAAGAACAACGGAAUACCACCAAGUCAAAAGAUGCCUAAUUGCUUCUACCUAAGUGUCUAACAUACGUGGACUCCCAACCACUAAAAGACGAAAUUGUCUAAAGCCAAAAAGGAGUCAAAAUUGGCUGCUAUUUUUCCUCCCUAAAAAUCCUCUACUGUACGGUUGCCAAGAGAAAUAAAAGGAAAGAGUUCUACUACUUCUCCUCCACCGUACUGUCAUUAUCAGAAGACAAGGAAACAAUAUUCAAUUCUGUCUUCCAUUGGUCUUGUGUCUCCUGUUACCACUCAAACUCUUUUGCUAGCUAUCGUCAAAUUGGCAUCUUUUUAUGGUAUUUUAUUCCACUCUCUGCAAUAAUUAUAAAUUUUCAAAAGUGAGUGAAAUCUGAUAAUUAAUCCACAUUUGGUAAGGUAAUAGGGGAAAUUAAUUACAAAAUAUAUGGUAAAAUUGUAACCUAUCAAUCUGGUAAUGGGAAGAAAUGGGUUUUGCACCAAAUUGGAUAGUGAGAGUGAAGAAGGGCGAUUAAGAAGUUCUAGAACCAUGGAGAUUACAACUAUGAAAAGUAAACACAAAUUGAAGAAUUUGGGAAGUGUCCAGAGAGCACAUAGAAAAGAGAAGGAAAGAGUAGAGAUGACUAAUUUUUGUGCAAGGUGAAUUGUGAGGGUUUAUGUUUGGUUGUUAGUGUGAUGAUUAGUAAGAAAAAAAUAAAAAAAAAACCAAUGGUUCACGAUUUGCACUGUUUUUUCUGGGUCACCGAUUUUUACCGGGUUUUGACUCUCAUCCAACUUUUAAAUACAAUCGAACCAGAGGCAUGGCCGGUUUAUAGUUGAAUCGAUCAAACCAGCCAGUUUGGUCUGAUUUUAAAAACACUGAUUGGCUCUUGUUUAGAACUUUUGAUAGUCAAGAAAAGCAUGUUAUUUCUCAAUGCACACGUAUGCAUGUCUGGAAUUUUUUAUAUCUCUCCAACUACUUUGAUUCCUUGCAAAUCUGUUAAAGGCUUCCUAGAUGAACCUUUACAAUACUAAUCUUUGUUUGUUGUAUUAUGCAUUUUAAACUUGAGGAGGCUUUUACAAAUUAUUCCUAGAUUCGGUUUUGGGCCUAAUUAUUAAACCUUUCUAGAUCAACAUUUUAUAUAUAACUAGUAAUAGGUCACGUGCUUUGCACGUGAUUAUAAUAUCAUAAAAUAUAAUAUUUCUUAAACAUCAAAAUUUAUUGUUCAAAUUUUUAAACAAAUUUAAUAUUUGCAUAUUUUCUAUUUUUUUUAUUUUUAAUAAUGGGGGGUCUUGAAUCGAGGACCUCCUAUUUAUAAUCCUUCCUGCCUUACCACUCAACCCAACCUUCUCCCUAUUUUGUUUUUUAUUUAAUUUUUCAUCUUCUUUAAUUAAUUGUCCUUUAAAAAUUUAUUUUAAAAGCAAAAAAAAAAAGUUCACAAAAUGUUGUAUCUAUAAAUUCAUAUAAAAUAUCCAAAGAAUUUUUAAUAAAUGAGAAUACAUUCAAUCUCUUUCAAUUUCUACUAACAGUUUUAAGGACAAUUAAUUAAAGAAGAUGAAAAUGUAACAUUUUAAAAAAAGAUUUGCCCAAAUAUGAAAUAAUUUGAUAAAAGUAUCAAUAGUUUGAAUGGUAUGUACAAUAUCGAUACUUCUAAUUACUUCUAUUUGUUUUUUCAUUUUUUCAAGGCAAACAAAUUAUGAUAAUACCACUAAAAAUUUUUAACUUUUAAUUAGAUAUAUGAACAAUUUUUUAUUUUUCUUUUGGACUUAGAUGAUCUGAAUUUGCAUGCUAAGUAAAGGUUAAUUGUUUGUUAACUAUUGGAUUUGGUCCAAUGGUCAAAGUAGAUUCUUAGAGUUUUCUUCGAUGUCAAGUUUACGAUUCAAAUCCUAUUCAUAAUAGUUAGGGAUGGAAAGGGUGUGAGAAAGGGUGGGAGGAUAAAAAUAAAAUAAAAUAAAAUAAAAAAUAAUUUUUUCAUAAUGCUCUACCAUUAUUACUUUUCAUGUUACUUAAGUUGAAUUUGUCAGUUGCUUGAUGAAAUUCUUUAAUAUGAACUUAUAUGCAUGUUUUUUUUUUUGAAAAAUGAAGAGAUAUAUAGUUUUUGAAAUUGAACUCUUUGUAUUAAUUUUUUUUAGUAUUUCUAUUAAUAUUGGAGUAUGAAUGAUCUACCACAUAUAAAUUUUUUCUUUCUCACUAUUCAUUUUUUGAGAAUUGAAAUUUCAUUGGUAGACAUAAUUGAGUUUUUUUCCUUUCUUUUGUUUCCUUUUUUUUUUAAAUUUUUUUGGACAAAAUCUGACAUGAAGCACAAAUGAUAAACACUCUAUUAUUCUAUAAACACCUUGUUCUGAUAUCAAUACUAACAUCUUUGAAGAUUUAAAAAUUUUAUUAGGCAGUGACUACUCAAGAAUUUUUAAUGAAAAUAAAAAAAUUGAAAACAAAAUGCAGAGAGACACAUUGGUUUGGAGUAUUAUAUUUUUUUGUUGUCUUCAUAAUUCAAAUUUAAUUAAGAUUAUAGUUUUCUUCCUAACUACUACAAUUAUUGUUAUUAUUGAAAUGCAAUAAAUCUAAAUAUUAGGGAGAAGGGUAUUUUGGACAAAUAAAAACAAAGACCAAAUCCUACUUAGUCUCUAAUGUUUAAUAUUUUGUCUAGUAAUCAACCAUCAUUUUCUUUUAAAAAAAUAUAUAUGAUAUAAUGAAUUUUAAUCAUCACAAUAAAUUUAAAAUUGAAAAGAGAGUAAUAUGAAAUCUCAAUCAUCAAUUAAUAAGGGUAUAAUUGAAAUAAUAAAAAUUAAGAUCACAAUAAUGCUUUCAGUUACACUCCAAAGUAUCAAAAUUCAUGGUAUUUUUUACAUAGUAAUAAUAAUAAGAGCAAAAUACCCAAUAGCCAUUAAACUUUUUAAAUAGUCGAAUUUUGGUCAUUUAACUAUUAAUAGUAUGCCUUUAUCCACUAAACUAUUGAAAGUGUAAAUUUUGGAUCAUUUCGUCUGAUUUUAUCAUUAAUUUUGUCAAAUCUAACUGUUAAUAGUAUGUCACAUGAAUUGUGUGAACCCUUAGAUCUGACAGAGUUAACAAUGGAAUCAAACGGAAUGGUUCAAAAUUCACACUUUUGAUAGUUCAGUGGGUAAAAAUAUACUAUUGAUAAUUCAGUGGCUAAAUCUUAACCAUUCGAAAAGUUUAGUGGCUAUCCGACUAAUUUGCUCUAAUAAUAAUGAAUCAGUAUGUUCUUCUAAAUCAAUGCAUAUGAUAUAAUGAAUUUUAAUCAUCAUAAUAAAUUAAAAAGAGCAUACUAUGAAACUUCAUUUAUUAAUUAAUAAGGGUAUCCUAUAUAUAUAUAUAUAUAUAUAUAUAUAUAUAUAUAUACAUAUAUAUAUAGAGGAGUUGUAGUUUAUCUGUUGGGUGAUUUUCAUCUGACAUUUUAAGGGGUAAUUUAGAGAUUGUAUAAGUAUCAUACAAGUAAUCCACCUUAGAGUACAAGCAAGCCAUACUUAUUGGAGUAUGAGUUAACUAAAGUUGACAGGUACCGAACCUGUGCAAUAAUAAUAAAUAAAACCUAAUUACCACUAAAAGUAGUCAAUAAUCAAUUUUAGGUACUGGAGCAGGGACUCUAGGUGUGCAAUGUGUUACUUGAUUCAUCCUGUUCCCGAAGAGUUUGCUUAAUCCGAUAUACCCGAAUUAAUUAUCUGACUAAAUUCACUAACUAGUAGACAGUGGCAAGCAGGGUCGUUUCCUCAGGGACUGGGGAGAAAUUUAUUUCCUUUCGAGUCAAGAUAAAUGGGGGAUUUGGGAUUAAAUGCUAAUGAAUUAAAUAAAUCAAAUAUAGUAGAUAAUUAAUUAAAAUAAAUAAUUAGAAGAACUCUAGCCAAGGGUAUACUUCAGAAAUGGUUCAUGUACUGAUCAUCGAUUCAAAGAUAAUUUCACAUUUAUUAAUAGAUUGGUUAUAGUUGUCAUACACGCGAUAAACAACCAGUCUUUCCUUAAUUUAUCGAUAGUCAAUGUACGACCAUUGACUAUUUCUCUAACCGGAAACAAUCCUAGGUACGACCGUAGGAUUUAAUUUCUAGAUUGCAUUAAGGUUUAGAAAAGCCCAAUCCUAACUAACAAACACGCUACGAGGGUUUGUUUAAACUAGAUCGUAUGUUCCCCUGACAUAAAUCCAAUUAUGCCAGUUGCUAACGGGACAGAGGUAAUCGAACAAUUACGGAUCCAACUGCCCCUAAUUAGCAAAGUAGCCUAUGUGAAUAAUUAAAUAUUGUGCACUAUUCAAUCAUACACAAAAGCUAUAACAAUUAAAAGCAGAAAACAUAUAAAUACCAAUAAAUGGAGAAAGUAAUUAAAAUAAUUUAGAUCUCACAGUAUUUAUCGAACCAAAUCUUCAGUUGUCCCCUUGACUAGAAAACAAGAUUAGUUACUCUCCAUUGAGAGUAACUCACGCAAUUCCAUUGAAGGAAAUUGCGUCAAUGUUUGACAAUAGAAAAAAACUACUCAGAGGAGAAGAGAGCCCCCCGGAUGCCGUCCUCUCAAUUCCUAUUUUGUAGCUUCUUAAGAGAAACCAACUCUCCCGAAUUUGUUGCGGUUGAACUCUUAAUCACGCGGGAUCCGGCUUGCUCUUCCUAUUUUCUCGUUUUCUAAGGGAAACAAACUUCCAAUUGCAAAAAGGAAACAUUCUAAAGAGAUAAUACUUAAUUGUUUCCUAAAUAGAAAAAGGUAACUACUAAGAUAAUAUUCCAAGUUCCCUAAUCCAACACUAAAACUAAUAAUGAAGAUUAAAAUCUUCAAAAUCUUCCUUCAAAAAUUGCCUUGAAUUCGACUCGGACUUGGAAAUCGGUUCCGAAUGUGCCACCAUCAAAUUAAUUGGAAAAUUGUCCAUUUUUGUCUCGUUUUGCUCAUUUUCCUACAAUUAGCACCAUUAACCAAAUAUAAGUAGAAUCUAUCAAUUAAAAUAAUAUUUGGCUAAAAUCAAGGAGAAAAUAAUUAUAAAUUUAGCAACAAAUUAUGACCUAUCAAAAGUGCCCUUUGUGAGACGAUUAUUACAUUCACAAAUGGUACUUAUGUGUUAUUAGUGACAAUUUCACCCUUUUAACUACCCUUUUAACUACCCGUUUGGUACAUUGGUAAGACAGAAAGGAAGUGGGGUAAAUUGCGGUAAAGCCAUCCGAUUGAAUUAAUUGUGUUUAAGACAAUAUUAAUGAGCCAAAGUAGAAGAACCAUUUGAAAACUAUUUGUGAAUUCUAACCAUAGGAAGUUUUGUACUCUUCAUCGUUAAAGUUCAAGAAAUAUUAAUUGAGUUCUUCCAACAAAACACACUCAUUUGAACCAAUGAUUGCAGCAUGUUGAAUAGCUCAUUAAAGUGUGGGCGAUUAAGAAUCAUUUGAGUUCAAUGUUACAACUGUAACCGAAAACCCCCUAUCUUCCCCACCAUCUGUAGAUUAGUUUCUAUGUUUCUAUUUCACACCAUUAGAGUUAGAUUUGUAGAGGUAUGCUCAUUUUCACUCGUGCUUCUCGCUUUGUGAACUGUAUAGCUUUGUUUGCACAAUAAAAUUCCUGAAUUAGCUUUUGUCAUAACUUUUGCUAGUGGAUGAAGUGUGGGCAAAUUUUCUUGUUAGAUUGCAUUUUGUUCCUCAAGGCACAAGGUAAUUGUGUAUAUUCACUUGAUGCAUGUAAUCUAUUGUUUAAAUUGAUUACAAAUUUAUUGCAUUGAUUACAACUAUGUGGUGUCUUUAACAAGUGUGUAGAUAAUUGAUCAAAUUUUAGAACUAUAUUAUAGGUGAUGCAAUUUUUUAUUUCAAUAGUUAAGUGCAUGACUUGGUGUGUGUGGAUUGAAAUUGCUAUUUGAAUAGACAAGUCUCUAUAUUCAUAUGAUAUGUUAUUUUCUUAUUGAAUUUAGUUGAACUCAUGAAACAUAAGUCUUUAGAAGUAAUAACAAAACCAAGCUCCAUUCCAGAAGCUCCGACCACAAUUACUAAAACUCAAAACUCUGCAAAAGGCGCUCAACCACUAACCAAGAAGCACCGUACCUAGAGAAGCAGAAAUCUAAUCGUAUCCUUUUUCAUUCCUAUAUCACGUACUCUUCAAUAGAGAUGAUUGCGAGACUGCUACCUCAGCUAUUUACCUACUUACAUUUCAGGAAUACUACUUUAUUUAUCUAUCUAUGUGAAUAAUGUGAGGUUGAAUAGUAGAAUUAUUCAGCAUCAACCUUCAAUUUGAACUACAACUAUGUCUAUCAUCCCUUCACUAUGGUUGCGUAAACUUUUAUAAUUCUCUCAACUGAUUAUCUACUAUAAUAGUAUGCAAUAUUUUAUCUACACAUGAUAUGGAAUUUUUGACUACCAUUAAUAGUAUGUCUUGCCUAAUUGUCCAACAUUACCAAAUUAUUUAACAACACCACAGGUAUAAAUUGCCAUGCUUUGAAUGGGUCUUCUCCCUAGUAAUUAGAAUAAUAAAAACUAAGAUCACAAUAAUGUUUAUACUUACAUUCCAAAGUACCAAGACUCAUGGUACUUUUUAUAUAGUAAUGAUAAUGUUAAUGGUAAUACUAAUCUUCGUUUAUGACAUUAAGCAUUACAAAGUUGAUCAUGAUUAUAGUUAAUUGUAGGACAUUAAAAAUUAGAGUUUGGUCUGGGGGCUAAUCAGCCUAAUCAAUGAUUUUAGUUAGGCCAAUAGAUAAUGCAAGCUCACUUCCCUGAGUAGGUUGAAAUGCACCUAAUCAAAGAAUUUUCCAUGUGUACAAACUCAUAGUACGCGCCAAAAUAUAAAAAUGUUAACAAGCUUGUCGGUUUUGUACAUGUAUUCGCAACUAACUGAAGCAUCUGACUUAAUUUGUCUAGAUUCCCGACUCUUAGCAUUGUUACUCGUGAAACAGCACUUUGGCCGAAACCAUGGUCACGUGACUCACGUCAACGGGUGGAAGCCCACAGUAGGCAGAAGCAAAUGCGGGAGGCCAACUGUGUUCUCCGGGGUUGGCACGGGAGAAACUUGUGCGUGGAUAAAAUAAUGCAAUACAUUUUAAAAUUACAAUAAAAACCUUUUAAAAAUUUGUUCAUCAUCUAAUGCCCAGUAUUUAAAAAUAUUUUGUGAACACUCCCGCCGAGAUGUGGAUCCCAAUGAAAGGGAAAGAACAAAAAUGUUAAUGUCAAAGAAACGUCGAAAAAGAAGGCACAGAAAUGUAGGCGAGAUUGUUGUAACAGAAAAAUGGGUGAAAUUUUCAACAUUAGUUAGUGAAUGUACAUAUCAAAGCAAAUAUUAUGGUAGGUUUUUUUUUUUUUAAUUGAGUUUGAUAUUUGAAAUAAUUGAAUCAUAAAUAUAAAAAGGAAGAGUUGGAAACUUAGACAUGAUUAAACUAAAGGGAGAUGUGGAAUUUUGGUCCCCCAAUAUUUGGUCUAUGAGUUAAACUAGUCCCUGAUAUUUUGACCAAAAUAAAUAUGGUCCCAAAAGUUUUGACAACUAAUAGAAAAGUAGAAUAUCUAAUGGUCAAAAUCAAAUUAGAAUUAGUCAAAAGUUUUGAUUUUGUAUUUUUUGGUCCCUAAUAUUUGAAAAUUUGUUCAAUAUGGUCCCUUAUGUUUUAAAUAAUUAUAUUUCAAAUGAAAUAAAAUGUGAAUUAGAUUAAUUACAUAAAAAAAUGUGUUCUCAAAUCUCUUAAAAAUCCUUAAAGUACUCCACAUUGUCAAAAUACUAUCAUCUAACCUAAAGAGCAUCUCUUCGUUAAAUUAAUUACAAACAAAUGACAACACAUGAAUCAUAUAUAAAAGAAAAAUUAGUGGGAAAAAGAGAAUUUAAAUUUGAGUAUAUAGUAACUUUAAUUUUAAACAAUAUAACACAAAUUGUUGCAUGACUUGUGGAUCUAAGUUUCAAUCAGCUAUGGUUAGGCAUUGUGAUUGCAUUAACAAGUAAAGGUGAUUACCAAUAUGAAUCUAUGUUUUCAGAACCGGACCGGAUAUCGACUCGCCCGAGGUCAGGGGUCAAGGGUCAAUGGGUUCGACCGGGGGUCGAUAAGGGUCGAACCGGAUGACGUCAUAAAUAAAUAUUAUUUAAAAAUUAAAUUAUUGUAUAUAAAAUAUCCAAUAACAUAUUGAUAUUAAUAAAGGUAUAUUUAUAUAUAUUUGAUGUUUCAAAUAUAUUUAACAAGAAAAUACAAAGAAAUUAGAACAAUCAAGUAACAAUUUAUAUUAUUUAAUAAACAUUAACAAGUUUAGAAUUAAAAUUAUGGAUUUAAUUGAAAAAUAACAUCAAAUUUUAUGACAAUAUUUAUAAAAUAUGAAAUAUUUGAGGCAUAUUAAUAAGUUUUCACAAUUUAGGGGGUCAAAACAUAAUAUUAAAAAAGUUUAAACUUUUUUUACAAAAUCUCUGUUGGACCGGUUUUUCCGGUUCUGUACCGGUCAAAUCCGGUCAAACCCGGUUUUUGACCGGAGUUGACCGGGUUUUAUAUCUCCCGGUUCUGAUGACCAACUCGGACCGGACACCUGACCGGUUCCCGGUUCAACCGGUCGGACUGGCCGGUCCGGUCCGAGUUUGAAAACACAGAUAUGAAUGACUCAUGUGAAUUUUAAAAAUAUUUCUUGCUAUUUCUUCUUGUCUUUCCUUCAUAUUAAAUUAAAUAUUUCAAUAACACAAUUUAAUGUAUUUAUAUUUACGUUCAUCUAACAUUGAUAAUUUUAUUGAAUAAUUUGAACAAUUAUAAAAUCUUUAAAUCAAUUGUAGACACCAAAAUUUGAUUUCAAACUUUAUUCAUUUAAUUAAUUUAAUUUUUAAUUUAAUUUGUUUCGAUUUUAGGGUUUUAUUUUAUUUUAUUUUAUUUUUUGACAGAGGAGAAUGAAAAAAAAACAAAAAAAAACAAAGGGGAAAACAGAGUGGGCGGCGGAGUAGGAGGAGAAAAGAAAAAGCUUCAUCUGAGGGCGGAGGGUUUUUGAGCAAUGUUUUUAAACUCGGACCGGUCAGUGAACCGGAGAGGUGGCCGGUUCGCGGUUCGACCCGUCCAACCGGCCGGUUCAAAGGUUCACUGUUUUUUUUUUUUUUAAGUGUUAAGUACUAAGCAGGUUUCAUUCUACACUUGAACUUUACCAACAUAACGAUAAUAAUAAAUUUUCUAAAAGUUAUACAUAAAACAUGGAAUGAUAAAUAUAAUUAAAAUAUCAUAAUUCACCAUAAGUUUUCAUAAAUUCAUUAUAAACAUAAAUAGAUACAAUCCAAAUGUUCACCAAUUAUCACAAAUAAAAACACAAAAAAUAAAUAAAUUAAAUAUUGAAAUUCUUUUACAACCCUUAAAAAAAUCCAUAAAAGAGUUCAAGUUAAGACAAACUAUUUGAAUAGCAAACUUUUAUCAGUGGCAUGAUAAGGAACCACACCACCUUCACAAUUUCAUCAACUUAAGCUGAAAAAGUUAAAAUUUUAUUAUAAAAAUAUAAAUCUAAUUGCUCAAACUAAAAAAAACUAAAAAUUUUUGAAAAACAAAUAUACAGUUAAACACAUAAAAAAUUAAUUGCUACUAAACAUUACUAAUUAACAUGUUAUAUUAAAUUCAAUGAUCCUAUACCAUUAAUUAUUUUAAAUUCAAUUAUCAAUAGCUUCGAUUAUGUGCCAACUACCAUAUUUUUGACCAGCCCAAUGUUAUUAUUUGUAAUUCCUACCCAAUUCCUACACGGAUGUGCACUACUUUUGCAAAAAUUUCAUCCUUAAUUAAUCGAAUAAAAAUAAAAAAAAAAUGAGGGAAACAUAUAAAAAUUGAGGGGAAAAAGAAGAAAAUGCAAAAAAUCAACUAAAGAUAAUAAUAUAGAAAAAAAAACCUUGAAAAGAAAAAAAUUAAACUUACUAAGAUGUUGGAAAACAAGAAAAGUUGAAAUUUUCAACUUGUUUACAAUUUGCUAAAGAUAAUAACCUGAUAAUAAUGGUGAAGACUUGAGAAAAUCUUGUUGUGGAUAUUUGGGUUAAAAAUGGUUAAGAAGAAAAAAUUGAAAAAAAAAUAAAGAGAAGAACUUGAUGUUUUAAUAUAUUUUUUAGUUAAGUAGAAUUCUCAACAAACUUAACUACAGUCUAGCGGUGAGAUUGUCAUAUCCAAAAUGGAGACCCAGGUUCGAAUCUUAGCUACACCAUUCUUGAUAUUUUAUUGAAGAAUUUAAAAAACUGCCGGUUCACGGUUCUUAACGGUUCGCACGGUUCGUCCGGGUUUCAACGGUUCUCCAUGAACUUCCGGCUUUAGCAUUAGACCGGACCGGUGACAUGGCCGGUUCGCGGUCCAACCGGUCGAACCGGCCGGUCCGGUCCGGUUCUGAAAACAUUUGUUUUUGAGAGAAUAGAGAGCCGAGAGAGGGAAGGAUCGGAGAGGGGUGGAGGAAAAGAAGAAGAAGGCAAGGAACAAGAAAAAUCGAGAAGGAAGCUGCGGCUGAAAUCUGGAACUUGGAGGAGGAAUUUCGGGCAGAGUGAAACGGAUGAAAAAGGAAGAAAAGGGGACCGGAUAGAAAAAGAGAAGGAACCAAGGGAAAUGGGAGCUUCAGCUUCAAUCAUUCGAUAAAAAUUUUUUCCAAUCACCACUGCCAAAUUUCCCACCACCUCAACCGGCUGCCGGCUGCCACCACUCUCUUUCCACCCUCCGUCCUCAAAUUCCCCCCAAUUUCCCCAAACGACUCCUCCACAAAACCCCUCAUUUCCCAUUCUGCUCUUCCCCGCUUCCAAUACAAGCCUUUUCUGCCAACGCCUCCACCACAGCCCUUCCCCUUUACCGCCAUCUCUGUCCGCGCCAAGCCCAAAGAACUCAUCCUCAGCAACCUUUCUGUUCUCGGUGGAAAGGACAAGAACAGCUACGACGUCGAGACUCUCAUCAACUUCUUCUCCACCUGCUCCUCUGCCGUGGAUGGUUUGAGCAGCAACAGCAGCGGAGAUUUCCAACUCACCGAGCCGUCACCACUUCAUCGGAUAUCCAUUGCCGCUUGCGAAUUUCACCAAGAAAGCCUUGUAAGUUGUCUUCCCUCUUUGAAUUUCAGUUUCCAUUCGAGCACAAACGUCUGAGCUUCCAAAGCAUGUUUUCCGUGUCUCUGUUAGUGCAAUUUUCUUGUUGAUUGUUUAUGGUUUUAGAAUAUACAGGCUCUAUGUGUCGAUUGGACUGAUUUAUCUCGUGUUUAUAACAAAUUUUGGGCUAGUCAUAACCUCAAUUGAGCAAAAUUUGCUGAAGUUUUUCACGCUCAUUUAGUGUUUGAUAAAAUGCCCGAACGGAAAUCUUGAACCAAAAGAGGAGAUUUUAUGCCUUUUUUUUAAUUUAAGAGAGACUCUGGCUAGUCCAAAGCUGGCCAGAAUACCGUGCGUUUGCUAGUCGAGGAGAGGAAGAGAAGCCACGAACUUUUGAAAUUGAUUUCAUCCAUUUCGCUGUUUUUGCAUUCUACAAUGGUGUGAUGCAUCUUGCCGGGUAAAAUUACCGAAAUGUUGGAGCAUCAGGGGUUGCAGAAGCUUUCCUCUAAGUCACGCCGAAGAAGAAAGCUUCAGCGAAUCAUUUGUUUGCAAAUAUUUGGAAAUUCGUGAAUUGGCCCCUGAACCAUAAGUAAUUUCAUAACGGCCCGAAUAAUUUGGUUUUUCUUUCAAUUGGGUCCUGAAUUAAUUUCAAAUUGACCCCUGGGCUUAGGUCUCUUCAUGUUUUGUACAUAUUGACCUUUGUUCCUUGGCUUUUGCCUAAUUUCUGAUAGGACUUGAAAAUUGGAAAAGUUGACUUAUUUCGCCCUUUUAGAUUUUUAUUAUCUUUUCAUUUUUUUAAGUAAUCUUUUGGGUAAAUUAAUUCUUGAUUUUAGGUUAUAAUUAUGAUUUAAUAAUUUUAUUUGAUUUUAUCAUGUUGGGUUUUAGUGAAAUAGGUGAUUUGGGUUUAAGGGAGUGGGUUUAGCUUAUUCAUUUGGGUUUCUUUUUGGGCUUAGGAAGCUUUGACCCAAGAUGAAAUAAUAAAUGGGCCCAGAAGCUUGUUUGCUCAAGUAAUCUGGAAACGAAUUUGCAGUUUAGUCCCUGUACUUUGCAUAAUUUCACUAUGGCCUUACAAACUUUCAAUUUUUUUAGUUGGGUCCUUAUUUUAAUUGUAAAUGAGUCACUAAACUUUAUUUUUCUUUAAUUAUAACCCCAAAACUCUGUUAAUUUUUGCAAUCAAGACCUUUCUUCUUUUGACUUCAUACAUGUGGGUUGUUUACAUGAUUCAAUUGAUUCAAUUUCAUGUUUAUUUUUAUCUUUUGUGAUUACUUAUUAAUUAAAGUGAUGCCUUGACCUUUGCUUUGUAUUUUGGAGGGUAAAUAAGUGAAUUUGUGUCAUUAGGGCUCCAACUCAAGGGAGGUACACUCUAUCUCUUAUUUUGAUUUUAUUAACCCUAUGUGCUCCUAUGUGAACUUAUGUGUGAAAUUGCAUGUUUUUUUUUGAAUAUUCUCAUUUUAUUUAUUCAUUUAGUUACUUUAUUUGUUUUAAUUUUGUAUAUUUAUUUUAAUUUAAUUUGUAGUUAUUUUGAAAGGCAUUUAAAUGUCGAAUUGUAAUAGUUAGGGGUUUAUUUGUUUAUUAUUUUCUUUUUAUUCAUCCCCCAUUAGAUUGUAGUAGGGUCUUCCCCUAAUGUAAUAGAUAGGGAUUUAUUCGUUUUAUUUUUGCUGUGUGUGAUUUGCAUGCCUAUGUGCUAUGUGUUACCGCUUUCUUAGGACGUGCAUCUAGAUAUCAUGCCUAUGUACUAUGUGUCUUAUGUGAUUUAUGUGUUUAUUUGCUUUAUUUUGCUUUAUCUGAUUUUUUUUAGACUGUAAUAAAUGCAUGUUACCACACUAGUCCAAUGCUAGUUGUGACUCUUUGUCCUGAUUUUUCACUAGUCCAACGCUAGUGAGAAAUUGUAAAUGUGGUCUAGUUCAACGCUAGACCCUUAGGAGCCCUUCGAGCGUUAGAUUAUGAUUGUGUGAUAAAAUCACUUCAUCUCAUGCAUGUUUUUCUACUUUUAGGGUUUUUUUAUCAUUUUUGCAUGACAUUUUCCUUGUAUAUAUGUAUAGUCCUUAUCUCAUAUUUUCCCUUAUAUGUAAAUUCCUUACCCCUAUGUGUGAUACAUAACAUUAGAUUUGCAUUUCAUUUAAGAAUUAGGAUUAGGAUAGUACAUUUGCUUGAUUAGAUUAGGGAUAACCCCUUGAAUAUGGGAUAUGGACGAGUUUAGCUUUCUAACUUUAGCACACUCGUAUUUCCUCUAUUAAACGGAAAAUUGAGUCACGAACAUUAGUCCCCCGUACUCGACAUGAUACACUCCUUUAAGACAUGUAUAUUUGUAUAAUUAUUUUAUUCCUUGUCUUUUCUUAGAAUCUCAUAUUUUGCAUUAUUCGUGACUUCUUUGAAGAGCCUUCAUUGGGCAUCACAAUUAAUGUGAUUGGUAUCAAAUAAGUUUUGAAGGUACAUUUCGACCCCUCGACACCCUCCUAGGUCAGCCACUGGCCAUUUGGUUCAGUGGUCAUCCCUUUCUUUGGGAUGCUGGAGGUUAGGGGUUCAACCCCUGCCUCCCACAACUUGCCACCCUACGUGGCUGGUCUUUGCCCCCACGGGGUAGCUCGAGCGGUCCGCUCCCCCUCCUUAGGGUAUGGCGACCUUCCUGGCUUGUUCAGGGUUCGAGUCUCGCUGUUAACGUGUUCGGUGUGGAGUGGGGCUUCCUUUCCCGGACCGCAGGGGAUUAGUCGGGUCCCGUAAAGAUUGAUCCGGACACCCCUGUGUCGACAAAAAAAAAAAAAAAAAAAGACACCCUCCUAGGUCUAGGGUUUGCAUUCAUAUAGUACAUCCAAAUGUAAUAAAUUCUUAAGUUAAAUUAAGAAAAUCUUUGACUAAAUCACGCAACUAGCCUUGGGUGCCUCGGAUUUUUUUUUAUCCUUGCCUUCCCUUUCUUCAAAUGUGACUCCCGAACUUUUUUCUUUGAUUUUCGUGGAUUUGGAGUCGUUUAAAAAGGGUUUUUUUACUUUUUUCUUUUAUAAUUUAUUUUUUAGGUGACUUGGUACACCUUAACUCGAUAUCAAGUGGCGACUUCGAUUCUUUAUUCAAAAACCCUUUUUAAACUAUUAUUUUGGGUCAAAUCGUUGCAUUUUCAAGUACCAUUUAGGCCUAUUUUCUUUAAAUAAAAAAUCCUUCUUCAAAUCAAAAAUCAAACCAAAAUUCACUUUUUUAAAAAUGUUGUUUUUUUAUUUUAAAAAAUGGGGCGCGACAUCAAUUAACAACUGGUUGAAAUACCAAAAAAAAAGAAAACAAAAAAAUAUUAUUCAAUCAACUCAACGACAUAUAGUUGUUGAUAUUAUAAUAGAAUAUUUAAUUAAUUGUUUUCAUUUGUCAAAUAUAAGUAUUGGACAUUACAUGAUGAACAAAUUUUGAAGAGGGCGUUUGUUGUGAUUUCAAAAUGCAUUGCAUUAUUUCAUCCACGCACAACCAGCUUUCUCCUGUACCCAUUGCAUCUUUUUGCUGUCCGUCUUUGUGCGUCCCUGCAGAACACAAUGGGCCUCCUUGCAUUGCCUUUUGCUAAAAAAUCAUUAAAAAUGUUUUUGGCCAGGCAUUAAAAUAUCGAUUGGAGAAAUUGAAGGCAAAGACACUUUUUGGAACUCCAACCUCAAAUUCUUUAUAAAACCCAAGAAGGAACAGAACAGGGAACACAUGGAUGAAAUUGGAUGUAGAAUUCAUGUUCUGGCCAUCCCAUCCCCACUCCAAGGCCACCUCAAUCCGAUGCUGCAAUUAUGCAAGCGUUUAACCUCAAAGGGUGUUAGAAUCACGCUAGUCACAAGCACCUCAGCACGUUUAUCGGUGCAAAAUCAGUUUGAAUCGAUCCAGAUCGAGUAUAUUCUAGACGAUCAUAACAUUGAAGCUGAGGGAUCAAAAUAUUCAGAGAAAACUACUGCCUUCUUGAAACGGUUUAAUACCGCAGUUUCAGACAAUUUGGCCAAGCUAGUCAAGGAAAAGGCAAGUUCUGGUCAUCCUGUGAAAACAGUUCUGUAUGAUUCAAUGAUGCCAUGGAUUUUGGAGAUAGUGCAGGGACAACUAGGCCUUAAAGGGGCUGCGUUUUUCACUCAGGCUUGCGCUGUUUGCGCAAUAUUCAACCAUAUUCAUCGAGGAACAUUGAAAGUUCCUCUAGAGACAUCUACCAUAUUGCUUCCUUCAAUGCCACAACUGGAGUCGAACGAUCUGCCGUCUUUUGUUUAUAACCCUAGUCCAUACCCGGGUCAUUUGGAUGUUGUCCUCAGUCAGAAUAUAAACCUGGAGAAAUCAGAUUGCCUCUUGUUCAACUCUUUUGACAAGCUAGAAAAUGAGGUAGAGCUCUCAUUCUAUAAAAUAAUUGGAAUUUGGAAGUUCACCCAUUAAUUAGCAGCAUUUUAUUUGACGCUGUUUAAAUUAAAUUACAUAUUGGCAAAUACUUUUUGAAUCAUUGUUAGUGUCAGUUAAGUUCAUCCUUGGAAUUUGAUCAUUUGUAGACCAUAAGAUCUGUUUAUUUUGUUCAUAGCAUACAUCACAUUGUACAAUUUCUAGUUAGUUAUUGCUAAUAAAAAAAAAAGUUAAUAAAUUAAGAAACAAACGACUUAUGUCAACUGUUUUGAAAAUCAGACCGGACCAAACCAGCUGUUUGAAUGGCUAAACUGCGAACCGUUAUUGGCACUGGUUAGGUUUUCUAUUAAACUAGAAAAGGUAAGUGAACUGGUCAAUUCGGAUCAAGAAAUGGUUAAACCAGUCAAAACAGUUUUUAAUUGUCUUUUGGGGGUGGGCUUGAUUAAAUUUUGCUGUUUGGGAAAUAUUACAAUGUUGUUGCUUAAUCUCAACUAGGUAGUGACCUGGUUGACAGAACGGUAUCCAAUCAAGACCAUAGGCCCUUGUACUCCAUCCAUGUACACUGACAAGCGAUUGAAAGAUGACAAAGAUUACACCAUCAAUUUCUUCGCACCAGAUUCAGGAGCUUGCCUAAAAUGGCUUGACACCAAGGAAACAGGCUCAGUUGUUUAUGUAUCCUUCGGUAGUGUCUCAGACCUUGGAGAAAAUCAAAUGCAGGAAAUAGCAUGCGGCCUGAUGAAUAGCAAUUGUAACUUCUUAUGGGUAGUUCGACCUUCUGAAGAGAGGAAAAUUCCUAGAGAUUUCAUGUCCGAGGCACAAGAAAGAGGUCUAAUCGUGAAUUGGUGCCCUCAAAUAAAGGUUUUGUCACACAGGGCAGUGGGAUGCUUCAUGAGUCAUUGUGGUUGGAAUUCGACAAUUGAAGCAUUGAGCUUGGGUGUGCCAAUGGUGACCAUGCCAGUGUGGGUUGAUCAACCUACAAAUUCUAAGUAUAUUGUGGAUGUAUGGAAGGUAGGAUUGCGAGUUAAGGCCAGUGAGGAAAGGGAAAUGGUAACAAGAGAAGAAGUAGAAGGAACUAUAAGAGAAGUUAUGCAUGGGGAGAAGGCAAGUGAGCUUAGAAACAAUGCUUUGAGGUGGAAGGAGUUGGCUAAGGAGGCAAUUAGUGAAGGAGGAAGCUCAGACAAAAACAUUGAAGAAUUUGUUUUCAGUCUUGAAAGCAUUUAGUUAUAUUAAUAUCCAAUUUUCUUCACACAUCUUUCAAAUCUUAAUGAUCUGUUUUUAAUUUGAGAUUGCAAAUAACAGUCAACGUAUGCAUAGAUUAUCCUAAUUGACACUUCAAUUAGUAUUAACCUAUCCAUAGAACUACUAACGUAACUUUAAGUUAGAACCUAAAAUUCUUAGGACUAAACCUUGGGCUGACACACAAUUUACAAUCUUAGAAGCAAUAGUCAUACCAAAUUCCUUUGAAAUUCUUGAUUUUUUAUUUUCUCAAAAAACAUGUUAGUAGGUAAAAUCACGCAGUGAAAGUAGCAUUAUAAUUUUACAAAUACUAGAUAAUAAUAAAGGCACAAGAGGAAACAAAAUAUUCUGUUUUAAGUCACUAAUUUCCCUCAACUACAAUCUUAGGACUCCAAAUCUUUAAAUAGAGAAAUAUAACCACAAAUCCUAUUCUAAUAUAAUAUUAAAACAUGACUUAACCUAUUUCCCAAAUCAAAUUUGACACCAAUUCCAAUCUAGUUACCAAAUAAAAAAAUAUAAUUCUAAAACUACUAAACUUCUAAAUAUGCUUGGUUUAAGGGAGGCAUUAACCAAGCAUAUUUAGAAGUUUAGUUGUUUUGGAGAUCGUGGAUUUAUAGUAUUUUUUAUAUUUUUAAAAUAAUUUAAAACAGUGAACUAGUGACUUGGCCAAGCGAACCAGUUGAACCGAUAAAUGUAGGAACUAGCUGCUUAAAUAGGUCAGUUAUGGGUUCGAGUUUAAAAACAUUGGGUGGAUCCGAUGCUGAUUUUUGUCGUUGUAGUUACUUGAAUGGAUUCGAUACUAGAUUCAGUUUAAAGUACAAAAUGAUCUGGAUCGAAUACUUGCCAAUGAUAAUAAAUAUUUAAAGGGCAAAUUACACUUUACGUCCUAUGGUUUAGUGUUUUUUCAUAUAAACCCCUAUGGUUUCAAAAGCUACACAUGACCUUCUUAUGUUUUGGAUUAAAGUGUCAAAGUGACGGAAAUUAUCAUUUGUAACAGAGUCACCUAAAAUUUAAAAAUGCCCUAAUGUAAAUUUGAAAAUUAUUUAUUAACCAAGGGGGGUUAUGUUUAUAUUUUGAAAACCAUAAGGGGAUGGUACGGUAAAGCAUUAAACUAUAUAGGGGUUAUAUGGCAAAACAUAAAAAUCAUACGGGGUUAGCGUAUCAUAUAUUUAUAAGGGUAAUUUCGAUAUUUUUAAAAGUUCCAUUACGAAUGACUAUUUUCGUCAUUUUGACACUUUAAUCCAAACCAUGAAGGGGUUAUAUAUAACUUUUGAAACUAUAGGGGGGUUAUAUAAAAAAAUAUUAAAUCACGGGGGCAAAGUGUAAUAUCAGUUUAGUGUAAUCCAUCCGCCAGAGGAAAAAGCACGUAUGGUGGCUAUUGAUGUAGAAAGCUGGCUUUUCCUUUCUCUCAUACUUGUCUUCUCCAUAAUAUUCUUCAAAUACUUGUUCAAUUUAGCAUAAAUUGCUGGCUCAGAAUCCCUGUAAAGAAAAUUCAAAACAGAAGCACUAAAAUAUGGAAGUAAGAUUCAUGUUCUAGCCAUCUCUUCACCACUAAAAGGCCACAUUAAUCCGAUGCUGCAAUUAUGCAAGCGCUUAACCUCAAAUGGUGUCAUGGUCUCACUGGCACCUCAGCAAGUAUUUCUCUGUGCAAAAGCAAUUGACUCAAUCAAGAUCGAGUAUAUCCUAGACGAUGAUAACAUUGAAGUUGAGGCACCAAACACAUCAGAGAGAGUUUUUGGUUUCGUGAGGCACUUCAAUAUGGCACUUUCAAGUAAUCUAAGCAAAGCUAGUAGAGGAAAAUGCGAGUUCUAGCCAUCCUGUGAAAGUAGUCCCGUAUGAUUCACUGAUGCCAUGGACUUUGAUUCCUUACAAAAAUGUUAAAGUCUUUCUAGAUGACCCUUUACAAUACUAAUCUUUGUUUGUUGUAUCAUCCAUUAUAAACUUGAGGAUGCAUUUACAAAUUAUAAUUAGGAUGGUAGAAAAAAAUGGCUUGUAGACCAUUAUGUUUGACUCCCAGACAUGGAGGAUGAAAGGGUCACAUGAUGUUUAAUGCCAACAGAAUACCACACAGACCUCAUAUGGUUACUUACACUGUACUAGUUACGACUACGUACGGCUACAUUACAAUUUAUCUUUUAUUUAAAAAAGCUAGGAUAUGAGCAUUAAACUUCUCCCUGUUUUGGUCUUGAACCCAACCUUCUCCCUGGUUUUUUUAACUUAAUUUUUCAUCUUUUUUAAUUAAUUGUCCUUUAAAUCAUUAUUUUAAAAGUAAAAAAAAAUUCGCAAAAAUGUUGUAUCUAAAAAUUCAUAUAAAAUCUCUAGAGAAUUUUUAACAAAUGAGAGUACAUUUAGUCUCUUUCAAUUUCUAAUAUCGGUUUUAAGGACAAUUAAUUAAAAAAGAUGAAAAUGUAACAUUUUAAAAAAUAAAGAUUUGACCAAAUAUGAAAUAAUUUGACAAAAGCAUCAAUAUUUUGAACGGUAUGUACAAUAUCGAUAUUUCUAAUUACUUCUAUUUGUUUUUUCUUUUUUGUUUUAAAGGCAAACAAAUUAUGAUAAUACCACUAAAAUUUUUUAAUUUUUAAGUUUUAAUUAGAUAUAUGAACAAUUUUUUAUUUUUCUUUUGUACUUAGAUGAUCUGAAUUUGCAAGCUAAGUAAAGGUUAAUUGUUUGUUAACUAUUGGGUUGGCCCAAUGGUCAAAGUAGAAUUCUUAAAGUUUUCUUCAAUGUCAAGUUCAGGAUUCAAAUCAUGUACUUUACAAUUAGGGAUGGAAAGGAUGUGAAAAGGGGGUGGAAGGGUAAAAGUAAAAGUAAAAGUAAAAUAAAUAAAUAAAUUUUGUGCAUAAAUAUCUAUUUCAUGCUCUACCAUUAUUUUUUUUUUCAAGUUACUGUAUUUGAAUUUGUCAAUUGCUUGAUGAAAUUCCUCAAUAUGCAAUUAUAUGCAUGUUUUUUUGAAAAAUGAAAAGAUAUGCAUUUUUUGAUGUCGAACUCUUUGUAUUAUUUUGUGUGUACUAUUUCUAUUAAUAAUGGAGUAUGAUGAUCCACCACAUAUAAAUUUUUUCUGUCUGACUAUUCAUUUUUUUGAGAAUUGAAAUUUCAUUGGUAGAGAUAAUUGAGUUUUUUCUUUUUAUGUUUCCUUUUAAUUUUUAAUUUUUUGGACAAAAUCUAACAUAAAGCACAAAUGAUAAACAUUCUAUAAUGCUAAUAACACCUUGUUCUGGUAUCAAUACUCAUAUUUUUUGAAGAUUUAAAAAUUUAAAUAGGUAGUGACUAAUCAAGAAUUUUAAUGAAAAUAAAAAAAAUUAAAAAUAGAAUGCACAGAGACACAUUGGUUUGGAGUAUUAUAUUUUUUAUUGUCUUCAUAAUUCAAAUUUAAUUAAGAUUAUAGUUUUCUUCCUAACUACUACAAUUAUUGUUAUUAUUGAAAUGCAAUAAAUCUAAAUAUUAGGGAGAAGGGUAUUUUGGACAAAUAAAAACAAAGACAAGAUCCUACUUAGUCUCUAAUUCUUAAUAUUUUGUCUAGUCAUCAACCAUCAUUUUCCUUUAAAUCAAUAUGUAUGAUAUAAUGAAUUUUAAUCAUUAUAAUAAAUUAAAAACUGAAAAGAGAAUAAUAUGAAAUCUCAAUCAUCAAUUAAUAAGGGUAUAAUUGAAAUAAUAAAAGUUAAGAUCAAAAUAAUGCUUUCACUUACACUUCAAAGUAGCAAAAUUCAUGGUAUUUUUUAUAUAGUAAUAAUAAUAAGAGCAAAUUACCCAAUAGCCAUUAAACUUUUAAAAUAGUCGAAGUUUGGCCAUUUAACUAUUAAUAGUAUGCCUUUACCCACUAAACUAUUGAAAGUAUAAAUAUUGGGUCAUUUCGUCUGAUUUACCAUUAACUUUGUCAAAUCUAACUAUUGAUAGUAUGUCACAUGAGUCGUGCAAACCCUUAAAUUUGACAGAGUUAAUGGUGGAAUCACAUGGAAUGGUUCAAAAUUCACACAUUUAAUAGUUUAGUGGGUAAAAAUAUACUAUUAAUAAUUCGAUGGCUAAAUCUUAACCAUUUAAAAAGUUUAGUGGCUAUCUGAGUACACUUACAAUCCAAAGUACCAAGACUCGCGGUACUUUUUAUAUAGUAAUGAUAAUGUUAAUGAUAAUACUAAUCUUAAUUUGUGACAUUAGGCAUUACAAAGUUGAUCAUGGAAAAGAGAUAGGGAGAAUUAUCUUUGUGAGGAGAAUUAGAAAAAACACUAAAGAAAAAAGAUAGGGAGAAUUAGGGUUACUUUGUAAAUGGUGACUCCAAGACCAUUGGACCUUUUUGGCGGUGGAGAUCCUCCUCUCUCAGGGUAGAGUUUUGCAGUGGUGGUUACUACUGGAAUGGCAUUGGCAGAUGUUCCCUUGGGUAUUGGUGUAGUUUCAAUGUAUCAAGGGGAGUCGGCACUGCAUCUAUCCCGACAAGAAUUAGUGUCUCUGGUCGAACCAUUCCAAAACAUGUUAGUCGGGCACUUCUCAUUCAACAAGCCACCAAUGGAGGUCAUCAGAAAGUUUUUUGUUUCCUUAGGGCUCAAAGGCAAGUGCAUUGUCGGUCUUCUUGACCCUAAUCACAUUUUGAUCAGACCGAUGCUUCAAGACGAUUAAACAAGAAUUUUUUUCACGGUGGAUGUGGUUCAUUCAUAAUACACCAAUGGUUGUGUCAAAGUGGUCACUUGAUUUUAGGGCUAAUUAGAAGCUUUCGGUAGUUCCAGUUUGGACGUCUUUUCCUGACCUUCCGAUUCCAUUCUUUGCCAAGAAUCUGAUUGCCAAGCUUGCUGCAACGUUGGGAUUGUUACUUAGGGUAGACUCAGUAACAUGUGAUUUGUGUUAUCCAUCGAUUGCACGUGCUAUUCCAGAGGUUGUUUUAGAAGAGCUGGUGAAGAGGGUAUGGAUAGGUGAUGAUGAUUUUGGUUUCUAGCAAAGGGUGGAGUUUGAAAAUUGGCCCACCUACUACCAAUUCUGUGCCCCGGUUGGCCAUCAUGAGGAUAAAUGUUUUAGGAAGAACCCGUCCCUAAACCUAAACUGAAAUCUCAGCGUAAGGGACAGCAAGAAGGAUUGAAAUUAUGUCAAAUCUACAUAUGCAAAGUUGGGGAUAAGGGAAAGGAAAAAACAUGUGAUGAUCUGGCAGUUCAUCAAGUAUAGGAAGUGGCGGUCAUUAGCCAUAAAGUGGAGCUUUCCAAAUUUGAAGACACUGAAAAAGAGAAAGAAUGUGUUGAUCUGGAAAUACACUAACACUAGGUUGUGGCAAUCGUUAGUCAACAGUUGGUGUCAAGUUCGAUUGUACCUAAAGCUCAGGAUAUGUGUGGGCAGAAAGUUGGAGGUUCGCUGCAAGCUAGUUAUGAGUUGGAAGACAAUUUGACGUCGAUGGGUAGAGGUGAUGAGUUUCGUGAGGGCUCUCUUGAUCAGAAUGCAGAUGUCGCAGGUGCGCCUGAGCCGAACACCAUGGCACUAGCAAAUGGGCAUCCCUCUCUGCUAGAGGGCUUUCUCACUGAUGUAGAUUGUGAUGACGAGGUAGGGUUGGAGUUGAAUAAUAUUUUUGCUCCAUUGUAGAAGCUGUCGGACAAUGUUGAUCCAAUACCACCCCAGCUGUUGCAACAUGCUCUAUCACCUAGGAACCUCUCCCGACAAUCCAGUACUUUGUAGCAGCUCAAGGUUUUCCAAGGAGAGUUGCAUCGAAUAUUGUAGGCAUCGAAAUUAUUAGAGGAGAAAUGUCCCUUCUCGUCAAGAUUGGAUGAAAAGGAUAUUGCACUAUUGAAAAACCUUGCAACUGUGCGGCCAGCUAAGGGUAAAAGAAGAUGCGAACGUCCUCCAAAGUCUAAAGUGUAGGUUCAUGAAUUUUCUCAAGCCUCUUAUGUUUGACGUUCCUGUGUUAAAUCCAAUUAAAUUAUUAGUUUGGAAUAUACAGGGGCUUCUCGCAUGGACUCCCUUCGCUAUUUGAGGAAGAUAGUUUGUGAUAAUUCGAUUCACUUAGUGGUUCUUUUGGAAUCAAUGUCAGAUGUUAAUUAGUUGGUGGAUGUCAAGCGUUUUCUUCAUUUUGAUAAGGCAACAGCUUUUGUUCAAGGAAAAAUUUGGUUCCUUUGGGAGGAUGAGGUUGGCAUUGAAUUUACAAAACACACCAAGCAACUGGUUCACGCCAUUGCCAUAUUUAGCUCUAGUUUUUCCUUUGAGAUGUCAGGGGUAUAUGUGAAGUGCACUAGGGUUGGUAGGAGAUCUCUCUGGAAGGCUAUGGAGUUUCUACGAAGUGAUAUGGUUAGUCCUUGGAUGGCGGUUGGUGACUUUAAUGUUGUCUCUUUCACGGAGGAACAAGUUAGCGGUUCUAUGGUGAAUAUGCGAAAUGUCGAAGAGUUCAAUACGGCCAUGUUCAACUGUGGGUUAUCGUCAAUGGAGUUUGAAAGGAAACCUUUUACUUGGGCAAAUGGUUCCAUGUGAUAGCGACUGGAUCGGGCGCUAGUCAAUGCUCGAUAGAUGGACUAUUGUCCGAUCAUGAAGGUUAUACACUUGGCUUGUGAAUGCUCGGACCACUCUCCUCUGUUAAUCAUGUGCAAGGAUAAUAGAGUAAGAAGUUCUUUUUUUCGCUUUCUCAACGUCUGGAGUAGUCAUCACCAGUUCAUGGGAGUUAUGGCGGAUGAAUGGAAGAAAGCAAUCUCUAGAGUAGGCAUGGUUGGCUUCGCUCAAAAGCUUAAGCUGGUUUGAAGGUGGUUAAGUUCUUGGAAGCAUAAGAUCUUUGGAAAUAUUUUCUCUAGGGUGAAGGCUACCGAGGAGAUUUAUAAAUUAAGGGAAGCAGAGUUUGAUGCCAAUAAAGGCGAUCUUUCAAGGUUGUGCUUGAAUGAGGCUUAGGUAGUAUUCUCUUGCAAGCUAGCAAUUGAAUGCGCAUAUUGGCGUCAAAUAACUGAAGGAGGGAGAUGCUAACACAGCAUUCUUUCAUGGGGUAGUCAAGAGCAAACGAACAAGAAGGAUGUCUCGUGGGCAAAAUCUUUAGAGCUCAUUCAGGUGUCAGCAAUAUCCUUUUACUCCCGCCUAUUUGAAUCAGAAGGUCAGCCUAUUGCCCCUCAUUUUAAUUUUGAAGUCCCCAAAAUGACAGAUGCUAAUAAUGCCAUGCUACUUGCACUUCCUUCAAUGACGAAAUUAAAAGUGGUUAUAUUUUUAACGAACAUUAAUAGCGCUCCUAGACGUGAUGGAUUUGGAGCUGGGUUUUAUCAAUCAUCCAAGAGGAUUUGUUACGAGCAAUCCAAGACUUUUAUAGGGGAAUGGGCCAACCCAAGUAUUGGCCCAGUUCUCUUCUAGUUCUCAUCUCGAAAAUUGAUGGAGCCUAUUAGUGGAAGGACUUUUGCCCAAUUAGUCUAUGUAAUAUGUCCACUAAAAUCAUCUCCAAAAUUCUAGCAAAUUGGGUUGGCAAGUUGCUCCCUGCUCUUAUUUCUCUAUGGAAAAUGGGCUUUGUAUCGAGUAGGGGUAUUAUGGAUAACGUGUCUUGUUGGCUCAAGAGUUGGUUUUGGAUGUGGAUAGGCGACUUAGUACUCCGUAUGUUAUUCUUAAACUUGACAUGGAGAAGGCCUAGGACCGGGUGGAAUGGACUUUUCUUAACACCAUGCUGCAGAAGUUCAGUUUUGAAGAGCAGGGGAAUCGAUUAUCCCCAACUAUUUUUUUUUAUUUGUAGCAGAGUUUUUAGGAUAGGGGCUUCACCAAUUGCUCUUGGAGACUGAGCAAUGGUUCUAUGGUUCGACUGGGGAUAAGGUUCCAUAUCUCGCUUUUACUGAUAACACUAUUAUCUUUAUUAGGUGUUCUAAAGGUUGUUUAAUGGAUGUUCGUGAUUUUUUGGAGAGUUAUCAAUCUUAUUCAGGACAAAAAAUUAAUGUCAGUAAGAGCUCCUUCGUUUGUUCUCCUCGAGUCAUGGCUGAGCACUUAUCUAUGGUAUCUUCGAUCCUUUGAUUUCGCCAACAAUCUUUUCCAAGGACUUAUUUAGGUGUUCCGAUGGUGAAUGGGCGAUUAAGAUGUAUUGUGCUUGACAGUCUUCUUUCUAAGUUUUGGUAGCGUCUCUUUCAUUGGAGUUCCAAGUUGCUCAGCAUGUGAGGCAAAAUUGUCCUCAUUCGACAUGUGUUGAGCUCCCUCCCAACGUAUUUGUUACAGGUGGUACAUCCACCUAAGGCAGUUUUAGCAUCAUUGGGGACAAUUUGUAAUUCUUUCUUAUGGGACCAAAAUGGGGAGUCAUAGCGGCUUCAUUGGGCUACAUAGGACAGGUUGUGCUACCUUAGCAGGAGGGGGGUUGGGGUUCCAAUCCUUCUUUGAUGUUUCGCGUUCUUUUGCCUGUAAGCUUUGGUGGUGUCUAAGGAAGCAUGAGCCAGUUUGGUCCAAGAUUAUGCACCAAAAAUAUGUUAGAGGAGUUCACCCUUCGAUGGUGGAACGACCUUCCGCUUUGUGGAAACGCUUGACGUGCGCAGGGUAUACAUAUACAAUUAGUUCAUCGAAAAUCAAGUUUUACAUUUAUAAAUCCUAAAUACCCCACACGCGAUUUUUCGCAAGUAUACGAAUCGUGAGUGAGUAUAGGGUAUUAAGAGUCGAUCCCACAGGGAAGAUUUUCAAUUACCGGUGUUUUUCGAAUUCCUUUAUUAUUUAGACUAUCACAAGUAUAAGAAAUCAAAUCUACACUAUAAAAGUGAUAAAAAUACACUAGAAAACUACUAGAGGUAUGAAAUUCCUUACUACUCUUGCAAAUGAAGUUAUCGGUUAAGUGAAUGCUAUUAUCUUGACUAGUUAUGACGUAAUUUCCUAAUAUACGUGAUAUUCGCUUUCGCCGGUGUACCAACUAUACCUAUAGUUAAUUCAUACCUACUUUCGUGGUUAUGAAACUAACUACAAGCUCAUUUUUUUUAUGAAAUUACAUGAAACAAGUCACUAAGCCACAAAAGUGCACCUCUACUUUCGUGAGUGUACUCCCUAAGUUUAUCAUUUCCUUAAAUUAGUGUUAAAUUCCAAUUUCCAUUGCAAACUUAACACCUUAAGAUUAUCACAAUAAAUGGUCAGUUAAUCAUGAUUAGAAAAGUAAAAGUGAUAAAUAACUUGCUCAAAAUAAUAUCACCAAAUAACCAAUAAAUAUCACAAAUAAGAUAUAAAAAGUUCAUCCAUAACUCUAGAUAUAAACUUUAACUAAACAUGAUAAAAACACAAAUCCAAACUUGUAUUAUAACUAAACAUGAAAUCAAAUGUAAGAGAGAAAGUAGUAGAAAAUAUAUCACCCUUGUCACAUGAGAUCAACCUCUCCAUCUUUGCUCAUCAAUCUUCAUCCAACUCUAACUACAAAUACAAGAAGGAUAAACUAUACUACCUAUACUAUACUACUCUAACUAAUAAACUAAAAAAACUCUAGUGAAGUCUAUCUUUUUUGUGAGUUUCUCUAGCCUUCCAAAAGUUGUGAAAAUGUUCUCUAAGGCCUCUAUUUAUAGAGGAAUUCAAGCUCAAGGUGAGUUGUUGAGGUUGAUAUAAAUUGCUUCUUGGAAUCACCAAAAGAUGCUUCUUGAAUUCUCUAUACUUGCUUGCUCAGUUCCAGCCCGAUUUCUUGCAGAUGAAUUGGUCAAAAAGCUUGUGUGAAUAGAGCACAAGUUGCACAGCCACAAUUGGGGAUCCAAGGGCAAGAUCCAAGGUCGGAUCACUCGAAAUUCCCCUUAGAUCUCAUUUUUCUUCAUUCUUAUCUUCACUGCACAUUAGGAUCCGAGGCCUGUAACAUAGGGAUCCGAGCUCGGAUCCUCCCCUCGGAUGUAGCCUCUAAUCACAGAAGUUUAUUCGAGGGUCGGGUUUAGCACAAAUCAUAACUCAGAUUUACUUGCUCUAUUUUUUGUCCAAAUUUAACUUAUAUUUUCCCGAUAAUAGAGACUGAAUUAGCUCUUAUGUAAAACAUAUAAAUUGUAUCUCUUUGAGUUAGCUUUCCAGUGCUUCAAGAAUUGGAGCUCUGUGGACUGCAAAAUGACCAAAAUACCCUCAACUGGUCAGGGGUCUGUUUCAGCUUUUGACAACAGAGUUGUACUUCUGUAUUUUGACUUUUUGACUAUGAAAAAGACUGAACUGGAUUUCAAUGCUUUCAUACCAAAUGUAGAUCUAUCUCUUAAUUUCAAAAUGAUUUAAGAAUUACCUCAAUACGAUACAUGAAGUUUUUACCAUAUCUUCAAAUAUUUUCUCAAAUCACUCCAUUUGAUGAUUGAAUCAUUAAACUAUAAAAACAUGAAGUUUUUACCAUAAAAAUCCAUAGAAAUGCAAUUUUUAUCACUUAAACCAUAAAAUACAUAUUUUCACUAGAAACUUAGUUAAUUAGUUAUAAAACUAAUUAAAACACAUCAAAACUAACUAAUAAAACACACUAAAAAACACGUAAAAUAUACACUUAUCAAUGCCUCUAGGAAAUUCGCCUCAUUGUGGAGAGUCAGAUACGUUGGUCUUUAGGUGAGGGGUUGGUUGAUGGUGUGAUGCUUGGUGCUUUGAUCAGCCUUUGAUUAAGUUUAUAGGGGGUGCAGAAACUCCCCAUAUGCUCGUGGGGGAGUUCCAUGACUCUCAAGGUUGGAAUGAACAAUGGCUUCGGUGUUGGCUAUCUCCAUCCCAGGUUGCUCAUGUUCUAAAAAUUCCUUUUUCAAGGCAUCAGGAGGACCGAAUGGUGUGGGCUCUUUCUCCCUCCGGGGAAUUCUCUAUGUCAUCAGCCUGGGAGGAGAUUCGCCAGAAGAGGAGCUUAUUAUUGGUUGACAAGUUUGUGUGGAAUCCUAUUACCCUGUUAAAGAUCUCCUUCUUUGCCUGGUGACUUGUGCAUUGAUGGCUUCCUGUGGAUGCGUUAAUUCAAGGGAGAGGUGUCAGGUUGGCAUCUAGAUAUUGCUGCUGUUGUAAGGAGGUCGAAUCGAUUGACCAUUUGUUUGUGGAGGGCCCCUUGGCAACAGCAAUAUGGUCUUUCUUUGCUCGACAAUUUGCGUUAUUGAACCUAAGAAGUACGGGUGUUUUGAUCGGUUGCAAUUUUAUCAUUUAUUUUAUUAUUAAUUUCCUCUAUUACCUGACUUGAUGUGGAUUAAUUAUUAGAUUCUACUUACUUUUCGUAAUUUACAUUUAUUUCAGGGAGUAGAACAAAAAUAUCACAAUCAAGGCCAAUUUGAUAAUCAUCGGGAAAGAGUUCAAGUAGCAGGCAUCCAAGGGUAUUUUUGGAAUAUCAAGAUGCGACCCUCUCUGGUAAUUUGCGGAAGACAGCAUAAUAGAAGAGAAAGGAACGCAGGGCAUGAGGGCUUCUUCCUCUCCGGAAGGAGAGCCGCCGCACAGGAGAUACGAAAUAGAAAUUGCAGAGGAAAAAACACUGAGUUUGUUUGGACAAAAAUAAUUUGGUUUGCAAAAUUUAUUCUCACAAAUCCCAAUCACCUUUUUAUCUCACAUACAUCACAUCACAAAAAGUGCUACAGUAAAUAUUUCAAAUAAAUCAUCCAAAUAAACUCUUAUCCAAACAAACUCACUAUCUUUAGCUUAGCUUUUGAUUCUUGUCUCUUCUAGCUUCACUUUGACUUUUCUUCUUAGCUUUUAGUUGCUUUUCUCCACGCAUGUCAGGGGUAGAGAUUUAGUCUUGGACUUUUCCUUUCAUCUGGAGUUUCUUUUCUUUUCUUUUCGGUAGGAGUAGACAAGGGAUGAGUUAAAUCUCUUUGUCUAGUCAAGGAACAACGGAGACUUUGAUUCGCCUGAAGAUUGUGAGAUUGAUUUAAUUUUAUCUUUUCUUUUAUUUAUUGGUAUUCUCAUAUCCCUUGAUUGCAGUAUUUAUGAUUAUUUAAUUAAUUGAUUGUCUUGGAUCCGGAUAAUUAGUUAGUUUGAUAAUCUAUUGUCAAUUAGGGCAUUAAAUUCGUAAUUGUUUAAUUGCCUUGAAUUAGCAUGAUUAGAUUUGUGUCAGAGGAAUACGCGGGCUAAUAUGAAAUAACCCUGGUAGUGCGUUAUUUGGUUAGAAUAUGGCUCCUCUAAACGUAAGGCAAUUGGGGAAUUAAAUCUUACGGGCGUACCUAGGAUUAUUUUCCAAUUAGGGCAGUAAUUAAUGGGCGUACCUUAAUUACCGACACAGUAAGAAGGGGUUGACUGUCAUCGCUUGUUUGACAGUUAUAACCUAUUUAUUAGUAAAUAAUUAUAAUUGGCUUUGCAUCGAUGAUCAAUUAGGUGAACCAUUGCUGAAAUUAUUUCUUGGCUAGAUUCUUAAUUAUUACUCGUUUGAUUUUAGUAGAUUGUUAUUUAAUUUUUAGUAACUUCUUAGAUUUUCUUUGUUUGUCAUCUUCUGCACAAAAACACCCCCUGAUUACUGUGAAUUUGAAAAGAAACAGUUACACCCAGUCCCUGUGGAUUCGACCUUGCUUACUACUAUUUACAAAAAUUAACUUUAGUUGAGCAAGUUUUUAUUAUUGCACAGGCCCGACACCUGUCAUGUUUCGUCAAUGUUAGUAACGUGGUUCUCCUCACAUAAUUUUGUCUCUUCGAGUCAUGUUCGAGUAGUGGUUCCUCUACUCAUUUUGUGGUUUAUUUGGAAGGCGGGAAUCAAUCUAGAUUUCAAGGUGUAUCAUUUUUGGCUUCCGAGGUGAUUGAGCAAGUAGAGUGGUUCAUUAAGCAAUUGGAAGCAUCUGGGCUACUUCGAGAGAUGCACUUUAGAGGGGAUCGGGAUCAUCCAUGGAGCGUGUUGGCUCUGACGUGUGGUAGCAAGCACCAUUUGAUGGCUAUUGCCUGGGUGCCACCGCCUUUCAAUGUUGUUAAGCUGAACACAGAUGCGAGUGUUUCUUCUUCUACGGUGUUUGGGGGUGGAAUUAUGCGAGAUCACGAGGGUAAAUUAGUCUUUGCCUUUUGAUAGGGUAUAAUUUGUUAGUAUUUUUAUUAUUAAUUUUCCCUUCUAUCCCUGACAAAUAUUGUGUUAAUUGCUGAUAUUUACUCAUAUUUGGUAUUUGGAAUCAAUUUCAGGAAUGAAGCAGAAAACUACCAAAAAGGAGGGACUUUGUGAAAAAUAUGGAGACUUCUAAGGGCUUCAAUCCUUGGGCCCUUGAAUUGGUGGGGGACCACAAGCUAGUGAAAGGCAUUUGGUCAUUUGGGCUUCAAAAGAAAGCAACGUAGAGAGACUUGGAACAAGAAGUACUUGGGAGGCUUUGUCCACAUGUGUGGGGACCACCUAGAUAGCUUUUAGUCAUCUUUCUUUUGUUGCUUUAAAAGGGGACAACGUACAGAAGCAAGAGAUAUCUAGGGCUUUAGUUUUUAGUAGUCUUUUAGUUUAGUUUUAGUUUUGCUUUCUCUGGACUGGCCUCUGACACACGCCAGGUGUUCGACAAUAUUCCCCAACGGGGAGAGUUUCUCAUGAGGCGUGGUUAAGUGUUUCUAGUCAAGGGGACAACUGAAGAUUUGGUUCAAUAAUUACUGUGAGAUCUAAUUUAUUUUAAUUGCUUCCUUCAUUUAUUGGUAUUCAUAUGUUUCCUACUUUUAACCGUUAUAGUGCGUGUGGAUGAUUGAUUAGUGCGCAAUAAUUAAUUAUUCAUACAGGCUAUUGUGCUAUAUAGGGGUAAUUGAAUCCGUAAUUGUUCGUUAUCUCUAUCCCAGUAGCAACUGGCAUAAUUGGAAUUGUGUCAGGGGAAUAUUUGAUCUGGUUUAAAUAAACCCUCGUAGCGUGUUUGUUAGUCAGGAUUGGGCCUUUCUAAUUAUUAAUGCAACCUAGAAAUUAAAUCCUACGGUCGUACCUGGAGUUGUUUUUGGGUUAGGGAAAUAGCUAACGGUCGUACCUUAGCUAUCAAUAAAUUAAGGAAGGGUUGGUUGUUUAUCGCGUGCAUGACAACUAUAACUAAUCUGUUAAUAAAUGUUGGAAUUAUUCCUGCAUCAAUGAUCAGUGCAUGAACCAUUUCUGAUGUGUACCCUUGGCUAGAGUUUCCCCUUAAUUAUUUCUUUGAAUUAAUUAUUUCCUGCAGUUAACUUAUUUAGUUAGCAUUUAAUCCAAAACCCCCCAUACUCUGGACUCUAGAAGGAACGAGUUAUCCUCAGUCCCUGUGGAUUCGACCCUACUCACCGCUAUAUACAAAAUCUGUAUUUUUCUCGAGUAGGUAUUUAUUAUUGUACAGGUUCGGCACCUGUCACCUUUUACAAGGAAUUUGGGGAAGCAAAUGUACUUAUGGCAGAGGCUGUGGCUCUAUGGUGGGAUUUAUAGUUUUGCCAAUAGAAGGUUUCACGUAGUUCACAGUGGAGGUGGACUCGCUGUCUUUGGUUUCGCUAGUUUCUUCAGAUACAUUACGUAAUAUUCUAUGAGCUGUUCGUAUUUUGAUACAAGAGUUGGGCAUUAGUUCUUAAUGCUCGUUCCUUUCCUUUUAUUAGGCGUCGUUAGUGUCCACAAUGUCAGGUGCUUUCCUUCAGCUCUCUGUAAUUGAACCUUUUUCUUUUUGAAAUGAAUUGAGGAGUGACGUCCUCCACCUCUGGCCUCUGGGUUAGCCAAAAAACGAAAAAAAAAGUUGAUCAUGAUUAUAGUUAAUUGUAGGACAUUAAAAAUUAGAGUUUGGUGUGGGAGCUAAUCAGCCUAACCAACGAUUUUAGUUGGGCCAAUAGAUAAUGGAGAUGCAAUCAAACUUUGCUGAGUAGGUUGAAAUGCACCUAAUCAAAGAAUUUUCCAUGUGUCCAAACUCAUAGUACACGCCAAAAUAUAAAAAUGUCAACUAGCUUGUCGGUUUUGUACAUAUAUUCGCAUCAUACUGAAGCAUGUGACUUAAUUUGUCAAGAUUCCUGACUCUCAGCAUUGUAAAUUUGUAACUCGUAAAACUGCACUAUGGCCAAAACCAUGGUCAAGUCAACGAAGUUCCCUUUCUGCCCACAGUGGGCAGAAGCAAACGUAGGCGGCCAGCUGUGUUCUCUGGGGACGCGCAAAGAUGAACGAAAAACAAAAUGAUGUAUCGGCACCGGAGAAAGCCAGGUUGUGCGUGGAUGAAAUAAUGCAAUACAUUUUAAAAUCACAAUAAAAAUUCUCUUAAAAAUUCGUUUGCCAUUUAAUGCCUAGUACUUGAAAAUAUUUUGUAAACAGUCCAGCCGAGGUGUGGGUCCCGAUGAAAGGGGAAGACCUAAAAAGUGAAUGUCAAAAUAAGCUGAAAAAAGGCACCAAAAUGUAGGUGAGAUUAUUGUCAUGAAAAAUGGAUGAAAUUUUUAAUAUUAGUUAGAGAAUUUUGUACAUGUCAAAGCAAAUGUCGUGGUAGGUUUUCUUUGUUAAUUGAGUUUGAUAUUUGAAAUAAUUUAAGCUUAAAUAUAAAAGGAAGAUUUGGAAACUUAGACAUAGAUUGAAAUAAAGGGAGAUGUGCAAUUUUGGUCCCCCAAUAUUUGGUCUAUGAGUUAAAUUAGUCUUUGAUAUUUUGACAAUAAAUGUGGUCCCAAAAUUUUUUAUUUUAAACAAAUUUAGAACAACUAAUAGAAAACUAAAAUAUCUAAUGGUCAAAAUCAAAUUAGAAUUAGUGAAAAGUUUGGACUUUGUAUAUUUUGGUCCCUAAUAUUUGAAAAUUUGAUCAAUAUUGUCCCUUAUGUUUUAAAUAAUUAUAUUUCAAAUGAAAUAAAAUGUGAAUUAGAUUAAAUGCACAAAAAAAUGUGUUCUAAUAUCUCAUAAAAAUCCUGAAAAUUACUCCACAUUGUCAAAACAUUAUCAUUUAGCCUAAAGAGCAUCCCUUCAUUAAAUUAGUUACAAACAAAUGACAACGAAUGAAUCAUAUAUAAAAAAAAUUAGUGAGAAAAAGAGAACUUUAAUUUGAGUAUGUAGUAACUUUAAUUCUAAACAAUAUAACACAAAUCAUUGCAUGAGUUAUGGAUCUGAGUUUCAAUUAGUUAUUGUUUGGCAUUGGAUUGCAUUGACAAGUAUAGGUGAUUAUCAAUAUGAAUGACUCAUGUGAAUUUUUAAAAUAUUUCUCGCUGUUUCUUCUUGUCUUCCCUUCAUAUUAAAUCAAAUAUUUCAAUAAUAAAAUUUAAUGUAUUUAUAUUUACAUUCAUCUGACAUUGAUAAUUUUAUUGAAUAAUUUAAACAAUUGUAAAAUCUUUAUUUCAAUUGAAACUUAAUUGACAAUUGGGUGAAAUGCCAAAAAAAAAAGAAAACGAAAAAUAUUAUUCAAUCAACUCAAUGACAUAUAGUUGUUGAUAUUAUAAUAGAAUAUUUAAUUAACUAUUUUCAUUUAUCGUAUAUGAGUGUUGGGCAAUAGAUGAUGAACAAAUUAUUAAGAGGGCGUUUCUUGUGAUUUCCAGAUGUAAUGCAUUAUUUCAUCCACGCAUAACCAGCUUUCUCCUGCUCUUGGUGCAUUUUUUUCCUGUCCGUCUUUGUGCGUCCCCACAGAACACAGUUAGCCUAGCUCCUUGCAUUGCCUUUUGCUCAAAAAUCAUUAAAAAUUUUCUGGCCAGGCAUUAUAAUAUUCAUUGGAGAAAUUGAAGACAGAGACACUUUUUGGAACUCCAGCCCCAAAUUGUUUAUCUAAGUUUCAUCUUAAAAACCAUCUAAAGAGACAUCAAUUAAUCUAAAUCUGGAUCUUUAUUCUCUUCUACAUUUUUUCUUUAUAGUAUUAUCCUUUGAUUACCUAUCCAAUUCAGCGAAAAUUGCUAGCUCAGAAUCCAAGAAGGAACAGAACAGGGAACACAUGGAUGAAAUUGGAUGUAGAAUUCACGUUCUGGCCAUCCCUUACCCUCUACAAGGCCACCUCAAUCCGAUGCUGCAAUUAUGCAAGCGUUUAACCUCAAAGGGUGUUAGAAUCACGCUAGUCACUAUCACCUCAGCCCGUCUAUCAGUGCAAAAUCAGUUUGAAUCGAUCCAGAUCGAGUAUAUUCUAGACGAUGAUAACAUUGAAGCUGAGGGAUCAAACGAUUCGGAGAAAGGUGCUGCCCACUUCAAACGGAUUCAAAUCGCAGUUUCAGAUAAUUUGGCCAAGUUAGUUGAAGAAAAGGCGAGUUCUGGUCAUCCUGUGAAUAUAGUUCUGUAUGAUUCAAUGAUGCCUUGGAUUUUGGAGAUAGUGCAGGGACAACUAGGCCUCAAAGGGGCUGCGUUUUUCACUCAGGCUUGCGCUGUUUCUGCAAUAUACAACCAUAUUCAUCGAGGAACGUUGAAAGUUCCUCUAGAGACAUCUACCAUAUUGCUUCCUUCAAUGCCACAACUGGAGUCGAAUGAUCUGCCUUCUUUUGUUUAUAAUCCUGGUCCAUACCCAGGUGUUUUGGAUCUUGUCCUCGGUCAGAAUAUAAACCUGGAGAAAUCAGAUUGGCUCUUGUUCAACUCUUUUGACAAGCUAGAAAACGAGGUAGAGUUCUCAUUCUAUAAAAUAAUUGGAAUUUGGAAGUUCACCCAUUAGCAACAUAUAAGGAAGAGAAGCGAGGUGAAGUGCAUACACUAUUAAUUUGACAAUUUAUUAUCGCAUGUUUGUUACUUGGUACCUAUUUGUACAUUCCUAGUCUAUGGGAUUAAAUUUGAUUGGAUAAGUGUAGGUUGUAAUAUGUAUGUAUUAGGCUAAAUGUAUUCAAUGUUCAAUAUGCCUUACUUAGAUUUGAAUCUAGUAUAUCAUAUUUAGUUGUGAUUUUAUAAUGUCAUAUGAUAUGCCAAGAAAAAAAGGAAGCAGGGUAGGGACGGUUGAUCAAUGUAAUAUUUUUUGAACAUUUUGUAACUCUAUUUAAAUUUCUUGUACAUCCUUACAAUAGAAAUGUAAUAUUGGGUUACUAUUCAUAUAAGUCCCAUAUGUAAUAAUUGUGUUUCUGUUGUUAAGUUUUUUAUAAGUUGUUCACGUAGAGUUAUGCUUUAUUUAAAAAAUGUUAUUUCGUUCAGAAUGAUUGUCUUGAACAAAGUAAGUAGCCUUUACAAUUUACAUGAGCAGUGGCAAGAUGGCACGGAAAAAGACAAAGAAAAAUCCAAGUGAAAAGGAAGAAAUAUAAAUAGGAGGAACUACCGAGCUUUCAGAACCAAUCCCAUCGUUUAUAAUUAAAAAGGAAAAGAAGAAACCAACUUGAGAAGAAGAAAUAGAGCAAGCGAACUUAGCUAACGGCAUUGUAUAACAACAUUGAUGGCAGACAAGCUGAGGUUCCAUCUAAAUCACUUAAUACGUGAGUGGUUGGUGUUUGUCUCUCGCAACAUCUACAGAACUCAAUACGUGAGCUUGAUGAUAAUUAUGCGCAACAUGCAGUGGGAAGAAGUCAAGGAAAAGAAGAAAAAAAGUGAAGGUAAGACAUCUUGUUCAGAUUGCCUUUCUUAGUGUGGAAAAAUGGUUACCAGUUAUGUUAAUUAGUAUGCAUACAUCUUGUUAGAUAACUAUUACAUUCUGUAAUAGAAUAGUAAUAGUGGAAAAAUACUUUGACACGGUUGUAAAUGCACAAUCAACUAGUAUAAUUGUAUUAAAUGAAGUCCUAGAAAUUGAUAAUGGAACCCUUGUGAGGAAAGAAAUGCAGACAUAAGUUUACUCUUGUUUAUAAAUUGAAACCCCAAUUAAUUGUAGCAAAUCAGUAAUUGAAGCCCACAGUAUGAAAGUUGAUUGGCAUGAAUCUUGGUUCUAAUGCCUAUAUGUUAGGUUGAAUGUACUUGUUGUUCAAAAUGUCUUGCGCGUAAUUGAAUCUACCAUAUCAUCACUUUAUCUUGAUUUUGACAGGUGCCGAACCUGUGCAAUAAUAAUUACUAAAAAGUCCUAAUUACCACCUCAAUUAAAUAAUUAUAGAACAAAUCCAAGUACUGGAGCAGGGACCCUAGGUGUGCAAUGGGUUACUUGAUUCACCCUGUUCCCGAAGAGUUUGCUUGAUCCGAUAUACCGGAUUUGUCUAUAAAAAUACUAUUUUUGCGUACAAUGGCAAGUAGGGUCGAUUCCACAGGGAGCAGGUAGGAAAUUAUUUCUUUCCAAAUUAGUAGAACGAAAUUGGGGGAUUUUCAAUGGGAGGCAAAUAAAAAUAAAAUAAAAUAAAACAAACAAAAUUCAAAACUAACUCACAAAGCACAAUUCACUGAAAAUAGCAAUUAACAAAAGUUCUACCCAAAGGAUCAACUGCGCAGGCACGGUCCAAUUAAAUGAUCAUCGAUGCAAAGAUAUUUCAUCCAUUUAUCACUAGGUUGGUUAUAGUUAUCAAUAAGCUCUGACAACCAGUUCUUCCUUACCUUUUCGACAGUCAAGGUACGACCAUUGACUGCUUCCCUAACCAGAUAACAACUCUAGGUACGACCGUAGGAAUUUAAUUACCCAAUUGCAUUAAAGCUAGAAGAACCCAACCCUAACCAAUAAACGCGCUAAGAGGGUUUAUUUAAGCUAGAUCCUGCGUUUCCCCAUCAUAAAAUCAAUUAUGGUGGUUGCCACGGGGUGUCAAUUAAAUGAACAAUUACGGAUUCUAUUUAAUUAACGUGGCAGUAGGCUAUUAAAUUAAAACAAAUAUCCGGCCGUUGAUAUUCAAUUAAUCAAAUACCCAUGAACAAUUAAUUCAGGAAACGCACGAAUAGCAACAAAAUUGGAGGAAAUAAUGAAAGCUUGAUUAGAUCUCACAGAUAUUAUGGACCGCGCCCUUGCGUCAACCUUUUGGGUAGAUGGGGAAAUUAGCCGCUUCUCAUCGUUUCAAUCCCGCGUGAUUUAAUUGAAUUCAUUCAAUUAUUUGCCAAGGAAUUGGGAAAGGGAAAUUAACUGCAAUAACAACCGAAAAGGCCCUGCCUUCGUCCCUGCUUCGAAGUCCCAAUUACAAAGCCAAAGCUACGAAUGAAUUGUCCAGCGGAAAAGUUGAAAGUCAGAAGAGGAAAGCGACGUCUAGCGCCUGGGAAAGAGAAAACUAAAGCUACUGUUUUUGAUUCAAUGUCAAUCUAGCUAUCUAAUUUGCUGCCGAAGAAAAAACCAAAAAGAAACGAUGGAAAGCGUCUGACAAAAAGUAGAAAAGGAGAAUUAAAGCUAAGGUCUUGAUGAUGUGCGAAUCCUGCUUCCUCCCUUCUUUAUAGCCGCCGCACAAGAGAAAAAUCAAGGCCAGAGACGUCUGGAGCAAUUCAAAAAGCUAUCCCCUUUGGAGUUUUGAUCCCCUGCUUCGGGUUCACGUGGACCACGGUCCGUCUUUCGGUUUCGUCCACCUUCCAAGGCGUGGCCACGCCCUGGGACGACAAGUCUUCUGGAAAUUUUCCCCUCGAGAUCAUUUUUAAUGCCGAUCACCUAUAAUUCAUACCAAUGUGAAAUAUGAGUUAGACCUCAGUACUUAGCACAGUAAAUAGCCAAAAUUAGGCCGAAAUAACACUGCAAAAUGUGCCAAAUAACUGUUCUAUCAAAUCCCCCCACACCUAGACAAUGCUUGGCCUCAAGCAUUUCAAAGCUCAGAAGUACAACCAAGAGAGCAGAGGUCAUGCAGUAGUCUAUACUAACACAAGCAUCUAGGGUCCCUGACAAUAUCACCAAGGGCAGAACACACCGGACGUCUUGUAAUUCAAAGAAUAUAUAUGAAUAAUAGGAGCACUCAAUUCAACAUCACGGAAUGCCAUUACCAUAGGCUUGCACAUUUAUCACAUCUCCACCCCUUAAAAAUGAACUAAACACAUAAAUCAAAGGGACUUUAAUAGGGUUGUAACGGGGCUCAGGUGAAAGGCGGGUUAAGAGGGUAUAGAUAGGGGGUAAAGUGUCAAGAGAAUGUCCGAAACUCACCAAUAACCACAGUGCUUUACCGGAGGAGUUUCACUAACAAGGCAGUUUCCAUUUGCUGUACACCCUGUACAAGUGCCCCAAAUUUUUUUUUCUUUUUUUUUUUACUGCUCGCAAGGCGUGGGCACGCCUUGUAGUCCAUAGUCCUCUGGUCACGAGGUCUCUUCAUCAAAUCUUUUUUUUUUCGAGAGACAGUCCUGUAAGGCGUGGGUACGCCCUGUAAGUCAAAGUCCUCUGGUCAGUGGCCUUUUUUCCAAUUUCCCCUCCUUUACACAAAGAUAGCAUCAUAUAGCUCCUAAUCUAUCAGCACUUUCAACCCCAAAUUCGUUUGCUUUGCGCAAAUGAUGGAUUUCAGACAUCCCUUGACAACACAGGGAUGAACAAGAAAGUUUAAAGAGGUCUUGGGUUAACAAACACGGAUAUCAACCAGAAACGAAGGACAGAAGCUCAAGUUGGUUCACUAUUGGGAUAUAAAAUGAGGGCUUGAUUUUUUAGAUAGCUGAAGAGGGUUAAAUCCUAAAUGCCCUUAUCAUUUCAAAUGCACUCAGUUCAUCAAAAUGCGGUCUUGACAUGUACAAAAUAGCAAGUUCUAGAAUGUUCAUACCAUGUGCGAUACCCACUCAAUCAAACAAAAUAGAGCAAACAAGAAUAAUAUGCUCAAGUAAGGCUCAAAAGCUCCCCAAAAGUUACAAAAAUGGGUAAAUUCCAGCAUACUCAACAUUCAAUGACAUUGCCAAGGGAAACAAAAUGCACAGCCAGCAUAUACGAUCACAUACCCACUCACUUUGAUUAUGUCAUUCAUCACAGCAACAUGCCCCAACACAAACAAGCAUAAAAAUAACCAAAAAGACGACUAACUACAAUGUUUUUUUCUUUUAAUUUUUUUUCUUCUUUUUUUUUUUGAAAGAGUAACAAAGCAAAAAGAACUAAUGACAAAGAACUAAUGGAAAAGUACUAAUGGAAAAGAACUAAUGGAAACCACUCCCCCCACACCUAAGACCUACAUUGUCUGCAAUGUAACCUGGAAAAAUAAUUUGCAAGGCUAGAGGUAGCGAGAACUUCCCUGACUACUGAAAAGGUGCGGCUGGAGCCUAAGGAGGCGGCGGAUGCGGCGGCUGGAAGCCAAUAUGAGCAUAGAAAGCCGCUUGAUUCUCUGCCUGAAUGCGGGCGAAAACCUGGAGCGCCCUAAGACGACCAUCUAUCCUUGACAGUUGGGUGUUAAGCUCAUGGACACUCUCUUGGAGAUCCGGAUAGCGGGGGUCCCCAGCAGGAGGAGGAUGAGAGGAGGACGGACCCGCCUAAUCCGGAUGGGGUGGCGAGUUAGUGGAGGGUGCAGUUGUAGGCACCCGAGGCCGCGGCCCGCCCUCACCAGGAGGCGUAAACUGAUAAACAUCGCCCACUUUGAAAAUAACCCCCAUUCGCUCCAAGCUACGCAAAUCCAGGGGUUCAUUUUCUCGAGUUAGAGUGUAGUUGUGCUCCUUGUCCAGAUCAAGCACUCCCACUCGAAUGGCCAAUGAGUAAUGAGUGAUCCCAGUAUCACCGGCUUAUUAUGCUUUUGCAUGACCGUUUCCAUCUGGGUGGCCACCCAACAUCCAAAGUUAACCUGAACCUUGUUGCGCAUGCACCAAAGAAAAUAGGAUUCCACUUUGGUAAGCGUGCCGGAGGUAUCCUUUCGCCCCGAGAAAUUGUGAGCUAAGAACCUGUGGACAACCUUCAAGACCGGAUCCUUCAGAUGGGAAGCCUUCGACUGACUCGGAUUGUAAACUUGACGAUCCGUGGACCACUCCCUCCAAAUGUCAAUGUAGUCAGUAGAGAACGGUCGGGUGUAGUCACACGCACUGUUUAUAUAUGCCCCAGAGGCAAUGGUGUCCUCACUAGCAAACCCCAAAGUCAGGUUAAACUCAUUAAUGGACAUACCAAACUGAGUACCUCCCAAUCUGAAAUUAAUGACCUCCGGCUCAUCCAAAGUGAUGAAUUCAUUUCUGUUGAACUCGAAUGUGGAGAAGAAUUCACAACACAGCUCCUCAAACGUAGGGUAAUUAAUGGUUAGAUAUUUUUGCCAACCUAUGGCUGAGAAUAACUGUUCAACUUCCCGUGCAAUUCGCAAAUGGUCCAAGGUCGGGGCAUGAAAGCACUUACAAGGAGUAAAAGGACGGUUUGCCAAGUUAUUAAACCGCUCCACUUGUGCCUGUGUAAGAUUAGUGACCGUUUCCCUCCCUCCUCCAGGAGACAUAGUGCUCUUAUUCAGGCCCAGACGAGACCGAAUGGUGGGUUGAACCGGGGCUCGCCUCUUGCGAGGUUGGGACCCAGACGACCACCAAGAAACAGAUAGGAGACCACAGUCCACCGAAAUUACUAAGUAUUCAGCAGCUCACAGCAAAAGGGGACACAAUUACCCCACCAAACAACAACCAGACAACAAACACCAACCAAUGCCCCACUGCUGUCAAGUAGCCGACAACAAUAAAGAAGACCGAACCAACUUCCCCCAAAUCAAGAAAUCAGUCGCUAAAAGGCAACAAUCAGUGAGCUACCGACCACGUGUACCAAAGAAUAAAUUCACUAGAGCCCACAGAUUUCUCAAGUAUAUAAUCACAGGGAAGCAGAAAUAAGGUCUCUCCCUUCAGAUAAUCAAAUAGCCCAACACAAAGCAAAAUCCCAACAAUAAAAACUCCAAGACAUCAGUUGCCAGUUCAAAAAGAGAGAAACAGGAGUACCACUCUUAUGCUCAGUGCUCCUUCUAACCGGAAUUGGCCGAGCCAGUGCCGCACGGCGAGAGGACUGCGGACGUAUGACUCGCGUGGCUGUGCGCAGAGCUGGCGGUCGCGCGCUGAGUGGGGCUAGCGAGGCGCGCUGCUGGGGUCGCGCGCGGGCUGGUGCUGGGCUGCGCAGCGGGUGGUUGCUGCCUGCGUCGCGCGCUGCUGGGGUUGGGCCUGAGUGUCGUGCGCGCGGUUGCGCGCCUGGCUAACGCGAGGGGAGGACUGGCGCGCGCGGAUCUGCUCGCUGCGGGAGCUGGGCGCACGCGAAGGCUCGCGCGCGGUGAGAGGUGGGCAGCGUGCAGAAUGCGCGCUGGAGGUCGCGCACUUGGCCGAGCGCGCCUGUUGCUGAGGAGGGCAGGGCCUACGCUGCGCAGGUAGCCAGAUCCGGGCGGAGGCUUGCUGGGCGCGCGAGGCAGGGACGCCAGUGGCGGCGGACAGCGAUGGCAAGCGGCGGUGACGGCGGUGCGAGGUGGGCGGCGAAGGCUCGACCAAAACAAAGAGGAGAAGUCUGGAAACGAAGGCAAUAAAAAUUGGAAGAAGAUUGUCCAAGACUAGUCAAAGAAGAUAGAAAAGUGGGGGGAGUAGGGUCUUGGUCAAAGUUUUUUUUUUUUUUUUUUAACUUUUUCGCUAUCGGAGGGGUUGGAAGGCGUGGGCACGCCUUGGAGGGCAUUUUCUUCUGCCCACAACAUGUAAAUGAUGUCCAAACGAUUUUUUUUUUUUUUCAAAGCGUGGGCACGCCUUGGAACCCCUACUCUUCUGUCCAACACCACAAAAACCAUCAAAACAUUAAAAUAAAACUGAAAAAUCAUAAAGUAAGGAAAAAUGAUCACAACUAAUAUUGUAAUCCUUGGGUUACCUCCCAAGCAGCGCCUUUCUUUAAUGUCUUUGGCUAGACAUAGCACCACUCUUUAGUCUGGAUGUAAUUGAAUUUUCCUUGUAAUUGGUGGCCCUCCUCCAGGAUCCACAUGGCCAUUGAGUGCAACUUUUUUCCUAAAUUUUCUCUCCAUUUUUACCUCAUGAAUUGCUUUCAUCCUAUAGGACUUGUUCGCAGCAACCUUGAAUUUAACCCUAUAAGCAAACUUAGAAAAUUCUUGCACAGAGGGAUUAGUGGUAUACAUAGCAAACACAGAAUGAGAGUUAACAGGAUGUUUCAUUGUAUCAAAAAUAUUAAAGUGGACUGUUUCUCCAUCAAAUUUCAUCGUGAGAGUACCCUUACUAACAUCAAUUUUAGUCUGGGCAGUACUCAAAAAUGGUCUUCCUAGUAUAAUGAGUGAUGAAUUUGGGGCACUUCUAUCAUCCAUGUAAAGCACAUAAAAAUCAGAAGGAAAAAUUAAUCCAUCUACUUGCACUAAAACAUCCUCAACUAUCCCAUCCGGAUAAGCACAUGUACGAUCAGCCAAUUGAAUUAUUAUCCCCGUUUCUUUUAAAGGUCCUAAAUUUAGGGAAUCAUAGAUUGACUUAGGCAUCACAUUAAUAGAAGCUCCUAAAUCUAUCAUGGCAUUUUUGAUACUAGAAUGACCAAUCUUACAGGGGAUAGCAAACAUACCUGAAUCUCCGCAUUUGGGUGGGAGUUUCCUUUGUAGUACAGCUGAUACAUUCUCUCCUACCAUCACUCUUUCAUCACCCCUUAGCUUUCUUUUGUUAACGCACAAGUCUUUCAAGAACUUUGCGUACUUGGGUACCUGUUUGAUCGCGUCCAAUAGGGGGAUGUUUACUUGAAUUUUGCGGAACACAUUCAGGAUUUCUUUUUCCUUCUCUACCUUUUUUGUCCUCUCCAACCUGCAAGGAAAAGGAGGUAAGUUAGAUUUAAUAGUGGGCGGAGGAGUGAAGGUUACCUUAGGAUCCUUGCGAAUACGCCCUUCCUCUUCAAUUUCCUUCUCUAUCUCCUCUUCACUUUUGCUUUUUGAACUUUCCAUUUUAGGCCCUUCCAGUUCCUUGCCACUCCUAAGCGUCAUGGUACUUACAUUCCUGGGAUUUACCUCGGGUUGCGAUGGCAGUUUCCCAUAAACGUGGGACUCUAAGCGGUUGAUGGCAGUUGCCAGUUGGCUUAUUCGAACGUCUUGGUCCUUCUUGUCAGCUUUGGUGUCCUGCUGGAGCUGCGCGGUAUUCGCGGCUAAGAAUCUGAUCUCCUGUUGAAGCUGGGUAGUAGUCGUGGCCAGGUUGGUAGUAGUCGUGGCCAGGUUUUUGACUAGGUCCUCUAGAGAACUUCCUGAGUUGGAGGACGAGGGUUGCGAUUUUGGUUGCCAUGGCUGGUGGAAUCCUGGUGGACGAUUUGGAAAUGCAUUUUGUUGCCUGUUCCCAUAACUGAGAUUGGGAUGGUCCCUCCAGCCCGGAUUGUACGUAUUGGAGUAUGGGUCGUACUGCCUGCGGGGCGCGGGCACGUCUCCGGCCAUGUUUACCUGUUCCGCCCCGUCCUCUUGCAAAAUGGGGCACGAGUCUGUGCAAUGGUCCAUGCUAGUGCAUAUUCCACACACCUUCACUCGCGGCGCGUCUCUCAUGGCUAAUUGCCUAACAACUGACGUCAAUUCUGACAGUUGCUGCUGUAAGGAUGAAGUCUCUACCUCGUUGACUCUACGGGGAGGGUUGCUCUCACGGAAGCCAAAUUGCUGGGAGUUCUCUGCCAUGGCUUCGAUGAGCUCCCACGCUUCUCUUGGUGUCUUGUUUGCCAGUGCUCCCCCACUUGCAGCGUCUACGAUACUCCUAUCGGUUGAUUGGAGCCCUUCGUAGAAGUAUUGGAUUAACAGUUGCUCACUAAUUUGAUGCUGCGGGCAUCUAGUACACAACUUGUUAAACCUUUCCCAGUAUUCGUACAAGGACUCACCGGGGUAUUGUUUAAUGCCGCAGAUCUCCUUCCUCAAACUCGCAGCCCGGGAUGCAGGGAAGAAUUUUUCCAAGAAUUUCUUUUUCAGCUGCGCCCAUGUAGUAAUACUACCUGCUGGUAGGUAGUACAGCCAAUCUUUAGCUGUAUCUUUGAGAGAGAACGGGAAGGCUCUCAGUCUAAUUUGCUCUUCAGUGACCCUAGGAGGUUUCAUACUAGAGCAGACCACCUCGAACUCCUUUACGUGCUUGUGGGGUUCUUCGCCAGAGAGACCAUGGAAAGAGGGUAAGAGUUGAAUCAACCCCGACUUCAGUUCGAAAGCGGUAUUCUCAGCCAAAGCGGGGAAUGUGAUGCAUAAGGGCUGGUGAGUCAGCUCCGGGGCAGCCAGCUCCCUCAAUGUUUGGUUGUUGGCCAUGCUUACUUCGUCUUCCGCUGACUCGUUUGCAGCAAAUAAGUGUCCUUCUUUUUGCCUCUUGGUCUCUUGCCUCCGCCUACGCGCUGCCUUCUCAACCUCAGGAUCGUAUACUAAUUCACCUGUGCGAGAAGAACGGGGCAUAAACCAGCAAAAGUACCAAGAACAAUAGAAUAAAAUAAAAAUAAAAAUAAAAACUGAAUUUGAAAAGAAACAAAUAAUCCAAACGCCGGCUCCCCGGCAACGGCGCCAAAAAUUGACAGGUGCCGAACCUGUGCAAUAAUAAUUACUAAAAAGUCCUAAUUACCACCUCAAUUAAAUAAUUAUAGAACAAAUCCAAGUACUGGAGCAGGGACCCUAGGUGUGCAAUGGGUUACUUGAUUCACCCUGUUCCCGAAGAGUUUGCUUGAUCCGAUAUACCGGAUUUGUCUAUAAAAAUACUAAUUUUGCGUACAAUGGCAAGUAGGGUCGAUUCCACAGGGAGCAGGUAGGAAAUUAUUUCUUUCCAAAUUAGUAGAACGAAAUUGGGGGAUUUUCAAUGGGAGGCAAAUAAAAAUAAAAUAAAAUAAAACCAACAAAAUUCAAAACUAACUCACAAAGCACAAUUCACUGAAAAUAGCAAUUAACAAAAGUUCUACCCAAAGGAUCAACUGCGCAGGCACGGUCCAAUUAAAUGAUCAUCGAUGCAAAGAUAUUUCAUCCAUUUAUCACUAGAUUGGUUAUAGUUAUCAAUAAGCUCUGACAACCAGUUCUUCCUUACCUUUUCGACAGUCAAAGUACGACCAUUGACUGCUUCCCUAACCAGAUAACAACCCUAGGUACGACCGUAGGAAUUUAAUUACCCAAUUGCAUUAAAGCUAGAAGAACCCAACCCUAACCAAUAAACGCGCUAAGAGGGUUUAUUUAAGCUAGAUCCUGCGUUUCCCCAUCAUAAAACCAAUUAUGGUGGUUGCCACGGGGUGUCAAUUAAAUGAAUAAUUACGGAUUCUAUUUAAUUAACGUGGCAGUAGGCUAUUAAAUUAAAUCAAAUACCCGGCCGUUGAUAUUCAAUUAAUCAAAUACCCAUGAACAAUUAAUUCAGGAAACGCACGAAUAGCAACAAAAUUGGAGGAAAUAAUGAAAGCUUGAUUAGAUCUCACAGAUAUUAUGGACCGCGCCCUUGCGUCAACCUUUUGGGUAGAGGGGGAAAUUAGCCGCUUCUCAUCGUUUCAAUCCCGCGUGAUUUAAUUGAAUUCAUUCAAUUAUUUGCCAAGGAAUUGGGAAAAGGGAAAUUAACUGCAAUAACAACCGAAAAGGCCCUGCCUUCGUCCCUGCUUCGGAGUCCCAAUUACAAAGCCAAAGCUACGAAUGAAUUGUCCAGCGGAAAAGUUGAAAGUCAGAAGAGGAUAGCGACGUCUAGUGCCUGGGAAAGAGAAAACUAAAGCUACUGUUUUUUAUUCAAUGUCAAUCUAGCUAUCUAAUUUGCUGCCGAAGAAAAAACCAAAAAGAAACGACGGAAAGCGUCUGACAAAAAGUAGAAAAGGAGAAUUAAAGCUAAGGUCUUGAUGCUGUGUGAAUCCUACUUCCUCCCUUCUUUAUAGCCGCCGCACCAGAGAAAAAUCAAGGCCAGAGACGUCUGGAGCAAUUCAAAAAGCUAUCCCCUUUGGAGUUUUGAUCCCCCGCUUCGGGUUCACGUGGACCACGGUCCGUCUUUCGGUUUCGUCCACCUUCCAAGGCGUGGCCACGCCCUGGGACGACAAGUCUUCUGGAAAUUUUCCCCGCGAGAUCAUUUUUAAUGCCGAUCACCUAUAAUUCAUACCAAUGUGAAAUACGAGUUAGACCUCAGUACUUAGCACAGUAAAUAGCCAAAAUUAGGCCGAAAUAACACUGUAAAAUGUGCCAAAUAACUGUUCUAUCAUGUCUUAAUCUAUCCAACAAGUAUUAGGAUAACUUUAAUUAAGAAACUAGAAUUCUUUUGAGACCAAAGACUUGGACUUAUAUCCAAUUUGGCACCAGCCGGUAAUACCUUUCAAAUACUCUUCAACCCAAUUUUUCUUUUCUUUCCUCUGGUUUUUCUUAAGACAGACAGAAUAUUACAUAGGAUCUUGAAGGCCCAUUUAACUGGUUGGAACAUGAGCCAUAUAACUUUGAGCUUCUUCUCAGACUUUCAAACCAUUCUUUUUCUCCCUCCUCCUUAUGACGAGUUUCAUUCGACCGAAAAAUAUACAUACAUACAUACAUACCUACCUACCUACCUACAUACAUAUAUAUAUAUAUAUAUAUAUAUAUAUAUAUAUAUAUAUAUAUAUAUAUAUGGACAUGCACACACAUUCCAAAAUAUCAAGACUAAUGAUAUUUUUUAUAUAGUAAUGAUAAUGAUAAUACUAAUCUUAGUUUGUUACAUUAAGCAUUCUAAAGUUGAUCAUGAUCAUCGUUAUUUGUAGGGCAUUAAAAAUUAGAGUUUAGUGUGGUGCCUAAUCAGCCUAAUCAAUGAAAUGGUGAUGCAAGCUUACUUCACUGAGUAGGUUGAAAUGCACCUAAUCAAAGAAUUUUCCAUGUGUACAUACUCAUAGUACGUGCCAAAAAAUAAAAAAGUUAACAAGCUUGUGGGUUUUGUACAUGUAUUCGUAACAUGUAGAAACGUGUGACUUAAUUUGUCCAGAUUCAUGAUUCUUGACGAGUUCCUUGGAAUAUGGCCUUUCAAAAAAAAUCCGUCAAAUAUGGAUGUGUAGAACUUUGUUCUUGAUCUAUGCCUGUCGUGCCUACAUGACACAACAGGCCAAGGAAUUUUUCUAAAAAAAAUAAACAAAGGAUCAUUGCAUAAUGUGAAAUCUAUGCUCGUAGUGAAUCAACUACUUAUAACUAAUUCAUACCUACUCCGUGGUUAGAUAUAAAUUCAUUAUUUCUAUGAAAUUGUAUGAAAUAAAUCACUAAAACCAUAAAAGUGCACAUCUACUCUAGUGAAUGUACUCCCUAGGUAUAGUAUUUCUUUGUACCAGUGAUAAAUUUCGAUUUUCAUUGCAAAUCUAAUAUAUUAAGAUUAUCAUAAUUAAUGACCAGUAAAUCAUGAUUAGAAGAACAAAAGUGCUAAAUAAUUUACUCAAGAUAAUAGCAUCAAAUAACCAAAAAAAUUAACACAAUACAAUUAUAGAAAAUUCAAUCGAAACCCAAAGUAUAAACUUGAGAAGACAUAAUAAACAUAAAAUUCAAAACUUAUUUAUUAACCAAACAUAAGAAUCCAAUACAAAUGAUAAAGAAUUGGAGAAGAGAAAACCCUUGUGGCAUAAGUUUCAUGCCCUCCUUCUUGAUCUUCAUCUUCAUCCUAAUCUAGCUAAUGUACAAGAGUUAAUGACGCACAAUACUACCUAAACUAUACCAUACUAACCUAAAAGUAAGAAAAUAUAAGAGCUACAUUUUUGUAGUGUGCUCUUGUACUCUCCAAACUCCCCCAAAAUGAAAGAUACAAGUUCUAUUUAUAGAGAAAUCUAUAAGUUCCUUCACUUGUAUCUUCAAUAUGAACAAAGCUUCCAAUAUGUCAAUAUUUUGCGCUUCAAAGCUAAAACACAUCAUUAUAGAAGAAAUAAUAUCAAGAAUUAUUGCUAGAAUCUCCAUUUUAUAGCUAUAAAUCUUCUAUAAAAUGUCUCUCAAAAGGUGUGAAAUAAUGAAGUUGAAAUCAAGUUGCGCAAGUUGUAGCCGCAACAUUGACCUGAAUCCCUCUAGCAAUCCUUCCAAAAUUGUGGCCGAACUCUUGGAGGGAUUGGUCUCUGUUUUGCCAAAACUAUCUACCUUGAAUCCCUCCGAAAAUCCCUGCAUGAAUUCUUGGAUGGAUUUGGUCCAAUUUUCUUUUUCGACAAGUUUCUUUAUACCCUUGAAACUUGUCAACUUUGUGAAUUUUAGAACUUUAAUCAACAUAAUGCAACCAUUUUUUUUGUCCAAAUUGAAAUCAAUUACCAGCUCAUACAAAAUCAACCAAAAACAUACGAAUAAAAGGGAUAAAAAAAAUCUCAUUUAAGCACUAAGUAGCAUUUAGAACUAAUUCAAGCCAAAAUAGAUCAUUUUCUUCUUAUUAUAAAAUAUUGAAAAAAAAGUGACUAAAAGUAACAUAAAAUGUUAUUCAAAUAUAGCACAAAAUAGUCACUUAUCAAAAGGGCAAAGGAAAAAGGACUAAGGAAACUAUAUGUGUUUAAUGUUAAAAAAAUAUGUUACUUCAUUUCUUAUUUACAUGUGCUCAUUUAUAUGCAUCUUUUGCAGGCUCAUGAACCUGAAAUACCACUGGAGAGUGAUUGCAAGGACUCUAAUGCAGCUUCCAUAGAUGUUGCUGAAGAAGUUGAAGUCUAAAGGAAAUUAUAAAUCUUUGACAUAUGUUUGUGACCUUAUAUAACUCACUACAAUUAUGUAUAUUUUUGGUGGCUUUUAACUAAUAUCGAAUGUAGACUUUGUUUUGGUGGCAUAUAGACUUGUAUUCUGAUAACCGGAAUUAUAUGCAUUGCUAAAUUAUAUACUACUUUAGUGAUAACUGAAUUAUAUACUAAAUUUGGUGGCUGAUGCAGUGAUUGUUGUUGAAUUUUUCAAUUUAGGGAUAUUGUUUGUUUGGUUGCUGUUUGGGAAUGCUCAUAUUGCAGGGUAAACAUUGCCAAAUUUCUUAAAAUAAAUGUUGUCACAUUAAAACUUUUUUUAAUGAUUUUAAUGCAUGCUGGAAUAUAAGCUUCUUUUUUGUGCCUCCUCUGUCUACGAGAGAAUUUUGUAUUAUUCGUGAUUCAACUCAAAAAGGACUAAAUUGACUAAACAUGUAUAGUUAAGGGACUAAAUUAGCCCCAAUUAAAGUUUAGAGACUAUUGUAGCUUCUGAUAAAUAGUUUAGGGACUAUUUUGGCCGUUUGCUCAAAAUUUUCUGCUGUAGAAGACGUAUCUUGUAAGUGUUAUUUGACUGCAUUUAAAUUCAGAGUAGUUCUGAACUCAUACCCAUAUGUUUUGCCGAAAUCUACAACCGGAUGACAACCCAAGUGCCCAAGCGACAAGGCAAUUAGACCAACCGUUAAUUCAUCAAUAUUUCUUGAUAGAAGACUCCUAAAUGAUAUAGAUUAUGGCUUAAAUAUCUCUUCCAGCUCAGUUAGUCCAAUUUGGAUUAUGUAUUGUAUUGUGUAGUUAUUGCACAUGCCUCUUAUUCGCUGUACAUUACUGUUUUUAUCCUCUCUCUGUCUUCUCCGGCAAUGGCAUUCCUCAUGUUGUCCAGCACCAAUUGUCUAUCUAUAUCUCUCACGAAUAUGAACAUGAGGAUUAUCAAAUAAUCACAUUCACAACAAAAUAGAAGGAACUUUGAACUAUCAAUAGUGUUGUGAGUUUUUUCAACAAAUUGUGACAAUGUUGCCACUGGAAUAUGGCUUCCAUUAUUUGUUCUAAAGGCAUUAAAGAUGAUUAUUAUUCCUCCAACUAGUAGGUGGAUUUCAAAUCCAAACCCCCUAAAUUAUCCAAACCACAAUAGGGGCUUUCAGUAGGGAUUUGAUAUCGGCCAUGUUUGAUAACUCAAUUCAAUACUUAAAUUUAAUUUAUUCAGAUAUUAAUAUAUUCAGACGCGUUUAAUAAUAAAAAAUAGAACAUCUAAAUUAAUUGACACUGAAUUUUUCAAACAAAACUCACUCCCAAAAAACAAAAAAGUAACAAGCUAUUCACUUAUUACUUAAUGUAAUAUCUAUUUAAUGUAUCAGAUUUAGUAUUUAAUAAUUCAAUAACUUAAUGGAUUCAAGUUUCACAUUGGAUGUUUUCCAUUAUUGACAUUUUACGUACAACUAUUAGAUUGGAUUUUUUUAUCCAAUUUUCAAUUUAGUUGAAACCACAGGAAGCUGUAGUGUAAGUUUCCAAACCAGAGGAAGUUAAAUUAUACAUUUGGCAAACCACAGGGAAAUUUUUGGUAUUUUACCCUUAUUUCUUUGUAACAGUUCAUUAUCAUCAAUUGAAAUGUCAUUGCAAAGUAGUGGGUUUUUUCAUUUUCAUUUAUCUUUAAUUUUUCUUAUAAUCUUGUUUGAAAACAAUGCAACAUAAAGCGCAAACAACAUGGACUCCAUUUUUCCUAUUAAUCGUAAAAAUUGCAUGUUUAACAUGGAGACAUUUAAUUUUAUUAUUGGUGCUUUUUGUUUUGUGGUCUUAGAUGAAGUAGUUAAAACAGAAUCAACUUGGUGUUUAUAAGUGAACUACAUGAAAAGUUUUUGUUGUUUGCAUCGAUUUUGAUGAGAUGAAAUGUUGUCUCCAUUAAAACUAAAUUGUUUAUUGUUUGUUGGUUGUAUAAACAUUUUAAGUGCUCUCUUUUAUGUCGUGCUUAUACCUGGCAAUUGGACGGGUUGGGUGGAUUUGGACGGAUUAAUAUUGGGUUUUCAUUUAAAUGGGUUACACUCAACCCGCCCAACUUUAGAUUGGGUUAAUUUUGGGUUGGGUCAUAUUGGGUCAUCUCAAACCCAUGACCCAAAUAUAAUCCAAUAUAUUAAUUAAUAGAUUUUGAUACAUAAAUUCUCUCAAAUAUAAUUUCACGUACAAAAAAAAAUUUUUAAGUGGAUGCCCAACACAAAUACCCAAAUCGCCCAAAAAAAGAUUUUAUGCUAAUAUUUUCACAAAGAAAGUAUGGUAAUUUUGGAUUUAUGUAGUUUUUACAUAUUGAGAAUACGGUUUAUAAAAACAAAAAUCUUUAGCAUGAAUGAGUUAUGUGGUAGUUAUUAAGCACCGAGGGCACGAGUAGUGGUAAGUUAACAUUAACAUCUCAAAAUUAAUUUCAAAUUUAAUAAUGUUCAAAUUCUUCACACUACACAUUUUGAUGACGAUAAUAUAAAUGAAAAAAAGUCACAUUCGAACUCACAUUGUCACGAUGAAUCUGGCAAUUAUUCUAACACAUCUGGCCUUUUCCAUAUCUAUGGUAAUACCCUAUUAAGUAUGUAACCAAGGAAUUAAAAAUAGGCCAAGUAAAAAAAUUUUAACUUGCUUGGCGAAUUAUGUUAUAAUCACAAAAGAUGUUUAUAGCAAAAAAUAAUAAUAAAAAAAGUCUACAGUUGAUGCUUUUGAGUAACUAUUCACCCUUUUAAGAUUGUGUUGAUUAUUCACUUGAUUCAAUUAGCAUAAGUUGGGUAACGGAUGCCCAAUACAAAUACCCAAACCGCCCAAAAUAUAUGUGGAUUUUUAUUACCCAACCCAAAAUUGAUCCAAUACCCAACUUACCCAAUCCAACCUCUCAAAUUAGUGGGUGGGUUGGGUGGGUUGUUGGAUUUUGGGCAUAAUUGCCAGGUCUAGUCGUGCUAGUUGUUCAACUUUUCAGUUUUUUUUUUUUUUUUUGAAUAAUGAAUUUGAAUUGGAUAAAGUGAGGUGCAAUAUUUUAUUGAAUUUGAACCAUUUGCAUUUUCAGUUGUUUAGUUGGGUGUUUUUCUUUUUAAUUUUAUUUUGUAUUAAAAAAGAAAAAGUACAUAAUUGUUCAAUUGACUCGUGAUCUUUGUAUCAAGAUAUACAAAUGAAUUAUGGACUCUUUUUCUCGUUAUAUAUUUCUCCAAUUUUCACCGGAGCAUUUAUUUUUCAAAUAUUGAUUUUUACAGUCUCAAAUUGUGGCUAGUGAAAAUUUUUAUCAUUGCUCUGAGUAAGAAAGUUGACAUAUAAUAAUUGGAGAUGGAAUGCAUGAGUUGAUAAAUUGUUUUAAAUGAAGAGUUUUCAAUUUUAAUUAUCAACAUGAUUGAGAUGCAAUCAAUUGAAAUGUUCUAUUUUUCUAAUUAGUACCACAAUUGAAAUAAUGCCAAGACGAGUACAUUGUAUACCUGACAACACAGUUUACUUGAAAAAAUUUGAGCCAAAUGUAUGCUCCAAAAAUUUUAAAAAUAUAUAUAUUUUUUUUAUGCUGCUGUUUUUCAGAGUUAAAAUGCCCCUCUAAAGCCUUAAUUACUGAUUGAUCGUAAACAAAUCUACCUAUAGAACAAAGUUAUAGUACACCAAAUUGAUCUCACAAAACUGUCAAGCCUCCUUUAGGGCAAAACACAAAGGCAAUUGCCCUGCAACUACAAUACAGAUUCCAUCUUUGUUGACAAACUACUCUUCCCAAUAACAAGCUUAUACCUGCAGGUUCCAUACAGGUAAAGCUGUUGUGUAAGAACUGAAGAAAAGAAGCCUAUUUAAAAUCGCAACAAAAACAAUUGUACAGUUUAAUCACUUUUUAUCUUCAUGACCCUUUGAGCACUUAGUGUCUGCCUUCACCUGAGAUUUUCCUAGCUUAAGAUACUAGCUGAACAAAUUUAUCAUGUACUAAGUCAGGACUUAUCAGCAUUAAGGGCCUCAAGUUGCUUUCUUAGUUCAUCCAAGUCGUCCAGCAGGUUGCUUCCCUCCCCAGAAACAGGCAGAUUUGAAAAUCCAUCUGCACUUGGCAACUCGUGCGUAAGGCCAUCCGGAAGAAUGCCUGAAAGAAAGAGAUUUAGGAUCUUGUCAACCUCUGCUGGCCUUUGAAUAACAAUAAUAGCAGAAAAAAAAAUAAACCAAAGAAAUCGGAUUAGUUAAUAUCAAGCCCUUCAUCUUCUUAGCACAAGCUCGAGAUACUGGGAGGACAUUUUUUAAGUGCAAAAACACUUCUAAGAUGACAAAACAUGACAAUAAAAAAAAAAAUCAAUAGUUUACUGCUACCUAAAGUUCAGUUGCAGAUUUGUUGUAGAGACUAAAGUGGGAACAACAGAACUAGGAAAGCACCAAUUCCAGGUUCGUAUUUUGCUUCUCUCCAAGUGAGAGAACAGAAAAACAAUAUGAACAAAGGUAAGAUAUAGGCUCCAAAUUUCUGGCAGAGCAUUAAACUGUUAAUCUGCCACAAUAUGUUUUGUCCAAUCUCCAUCCUUACCUUUAACUUUUCAAGUGAAAAAUGAGAAGUGAUUAUUGACACCUUUGCUGCCUCAAUUAACACCAUCCUUUCCUUUCAACUCCAAAAAUAGGUGGUCUAAAAGGGCAAGCAUUGGUUAUGUAGUAUGAUAAAAAAUGCUGAUUUUACCCAUGGUUCAAGAAUAUAGAUUCCUUGAUCUUAAGGAAAGAACAAAAAGAGACCCAAAACAUUAAACAGAAAAGGAGUAAUAUUUCCAGAAUCUUAUAAUCUGCCUUUGAGACUAUUAAAACAGUUCUCUAUGAAAACUGAAACCAUCUAACCAACACAUUCUUGGAUCUUAUAUGAGGGAACCCCUUAUAAGCAUGUGACUUCAAACCAACAUCACAAAACUUCUUGUUCCAUGAUUAACAUUCUUUGACCAGCUUUACAUUCUAAAGUUAGAUCUUGAAAAAUCAACAGAAAGUUUUAACAUCAAGUAAUAGUUGCCACAGGCUAAUUAAAAUCAAAUUAAUGAUAGCAUGAUUAUUCUGGAAAAAAAGAAAAACCUGAACUUCUGACAUCUGGACCAGCCACUUCACUGUCAUCAACGACACUGAAAAGCACAAAAGGACAUGAUACAGCAUCAAUCACAAGGCCAACAAUAAAGACUAGAGAAAACAAAUGUACUCCUCAAAUAGAUCAUCCACUAACAAAACAAGGAAAUCUUAAUGUCAAAUGUUUGGACUACAAGACUAAGAAAAUCAAAGAAAAACUUCUAUAGGCUUACCUUAUGUUCCAUUCAUUAUCUGCAUGAAUGGGACAUUCUGUUGCAGACUGUGCUUCGGCCUCCAUCUUUGCUCUAGCAGAAGCAUCCCUGGCAGGCUUUGCAAGAAUGUAUUCUUUCUGCAGCACAUGUAGCACUUGCUCAACAUAGAAGCCAAUAUGUAAAAUAAAAAAGCAAACAACUUGUAAAUUCUCCAUUGUGCUUUAUUUACCUGUCGUUCCAAACAUGCUGAAUUUGAACAUUGAGGGUUUGGCUUCAUUUCCAUUGUUGGGAAAUAAUCUUUGAGGGCAUUGUAACCCUGAUAUCAAAAACAAGAAUCAGUGACAUUUGAUGCAUAAUUCCAAAUAUAUUUCUUACGGAGGAGAAUGAGGAUUUAAAUUGUACCAGAUAAGGGGUAACUUGCCCGAACUUUAACAAAUAUUUAAGAGCAUUUUGAACAAGAAGCCCAGCAACAACACCCUGUCAAGUCAAGCAAAAUAGCAAAAACAUAGAACACAAAAUUCAAAAACUAAUCAGCAAUGCUCAAGCCUUCACACUUAAUAUGCACAAGAAAUUUGGACUUAUAACCAUGUAAUAAAAAUUAAUGAAAUGCAGCAUUAUGUAAAAGUUUUAGCAAAAAGAGAGGAGUGAUCAAUAAUCAAAAACUCAUUAUGUAAAGAAAACCCCAUCCGGUUAAAAAAGGGUUGCAAGACGGUCUCUCAGGUACAAGCAUGUAAAAUAACAUGAAUGUCAUGGAAAGAUUUCAAUCCAAGAUUGAGAUUUCCUAUCAUUUAUUAGUUAAUCAUUGGUAUACGAUAUUACUCUAUUUUCAGGAAUCUAAUGCUGAGGAUGAUGAAGGUUCACUAUUUGCCAAAGGAAGUUGUCAAACAACUUGAGUUAUGCUAUAUAUAGCAAAUAACUCCAUGACAAAAAGAUAGAAACAUCUCUACAUUUUCUGAAAACUGAAAAGUUAUUACCAUGGUAGUUGGUAGAGAUGCAGCACAAACCCCUUCACGCUUUAGUGUGCGUUCAUCAACACCAGAAGCAACAACCUGACAGAUAAUUUAGUUGUAGAUUACUUUCUUAACUUUGAAAGAUAAAUAAUCUCCCUCCCCCCCCCCCCCCUCUUCCCAAAAAAAAAAAAAAAAAAAAGAGCAUAGCAAGCAAAGAUGCAAAGGACCAACAUAAGGCCAAUUGAUUGCAAAUGCAAGAUAAGUUUCAGAAUAAAAAAUUUAUCAGUAAUACAUAAAUGCUACAAUAUAUGUCAACUAAAUACAGUUUUCAUGAGAAAAUGGAAAUGAAUCAAACAAGAAUCCAACUAUGAAAGUUUUGGCACCAAAUAUUUCAAAUCCACCCAGAUCACUGAAGUUACCAAGGGAGGUGCACAUGCAAAGCACGCAGUUUCUCCGGGAACCAGCAAUUGUAUGUGACCUGAAACCGCAUUUUCAGAUACACCUGCCCAAACAAUCUCUCUUGUGAGUCCUCCGCAAAAUUUCCAGCUCAAAUAAAAAUUUUCAUUUGAAGCAUCCCAUCAACUAUGAGACAGAAUCAGAGAUGAGAAUACAACAGCCCUGAGGCAGAAUCAAAAUAUUGACUUGUGUCUUGAUAUCCUAAGCUCAACAACUAGUUACAUAUAGAGGCAUAGCAUUCAAGUAUUGUGUGUCAUAUAGACGGCAAAUAAGAUGGAUUCGAAAAGGACAAUAUGCUAAAUACAAAUUUAAUGAGAUAUAGAGACAUAAUAACCAAGCCUAUUAAUGCUUUGUCUGUAGCCUAGCAUUUUAAAGAUGUUUUACACAUGGUUUUUAACCAGAUUAGGAGGACAGAAACAAAAAUAUUGCAAAGCAUUUCAGCAACAGAAAUUAAAUGUGCUACGAUGUAGCAUGUCCAUCAUUGGAGUUUGAUAUACCAAUGAACCUACAGAAAAUGAAUAACCAUACUCAAAGAUGCAACAAAACUUUGUAUGAUGCCAAACAAACUGACGUUUUCAUACAGAAGAUACAAAGGAAUCAUCUUCCUUACCAGAUUCCAUCCAUGUUUGGUUUAAUUCAUUGCAAGCCUGGAAAAAAGUGCAACUUUAGUUAAGACAAAAUUGUAACAUUGAGUCACAAAAAAAAAGAAAGAAAAAAGGAAACGGAAGAGAUUCCAACAUUUUCUAUAGAACUAGUGGAAGUAAAACAAAUGCAUCAGAACCAAUCCGAAAAUGCAUCUAGUAUCAACUGUUACCUGAUUUACUACCAUCCUUGCUUCAUAAUUAUCCACACAGCUUAAUACAAGAUCCACUCCGCUACCUUCUGUAUGUGGGCCAAACGACUUAUUUUUGAGACUUGACAUAAAAGUUUCAAAACCUUGAACAGUUGUAAUAUUCAGUGUAUAGCUCUGCAACAUUCAAAACCUAAAUAGUAUCAUUAUCUAAAUGAUAAUGUAAUAGCUAUAUAGUGUUUUUCUGCUAACAGGAAGCAAACUUCAUGCUCAAAUUAAGAAUAACAACAUACAGUGAAAGCAGACAAUAAAAGUGAUAAAAAUCAGAAUAUUCUAGAGCAAAACUACUAGCACAUUCACUUUUUGAUUUAUGUUUCUUUGUUUGGGAGCUGGGGUAUACAAGGUGCAAAGGUGCUAACACAAAUUUUAGUAAUGUGGAUAAUACCACUAAUGAACGAAACAGGAUAACAAGAAUAGUCAAAUGGUAUAAACAAGAAGCAGAAUUUAUCAGUGGAGAUGUAACUGACUUCCAUGCAGCAAAUUUGGCAUAAACAAGGGCAAACAUUGAAGGGUUAGGAGUAUAAAAGGCAAAGGAAUCAGAAGCAGGAAUAUCACUUGAAAACAUCACCUCAAAGACAACAUCUGGAUUAAUGUCAGAAAGAGUUUCAACAGCAGCUUCUGUUUUCGUCAUGCCAACCUAAGACAAAGAAGAAGAAGGAAAAAAAAUUGACAGUUAGACAAGUAACUAUAGAUUAUAAUUUCAUAUUUAAAGAUAGCAGCAUUAUGAUUCCGUGAAUAUUGUUGAAAACUUGGGAGAAACAACCAUACAUGCCCAAAUUAAAACACCUCAGCUUUCUUUUCGAGGAAAAAAGGAAGAAAAUAAAUUUAAAAAAUCAAAUAAAAUGUACUGAUUUAGUAUCUACAUCAUACUAUCCAACGAGAGGAAACAGAAUCUGAAAAUGCUUCAAGAACAAACCUGCUCUGGACGGAAGAAAAGCCUAUUCAUGUUAGCUAACUCUACUUUGUCAUAAUCAUACAACAAUAGACGACCAACGCCACACCUUGUCAACAUUUCAGCGGCAACACUGCCCACACCACCUAUACCCUGUACAUAAAAUCAGAGAAUGAAGAGAGGCAAAGCUUAUUUUUGGAGGCAGAAAUAUAGUGUGAUUGAAAGAUCCAACUCAUCUAUCCUCUCCAAAAUCAAAGCACAACAUUGAGCUCCCAGUGGAGUUUCAAAUAAACUUAUCAAGUGGAUAAAAACUAUUUACUAGAAAUUGGAUAUGAUAUAUAGUAGACUGAUAAACAAGUCCAUAUUUAAAACAAUAUCAGGUUCAGGAGUUGUUUUAAUAAUUUGAAAAAGCAAAUGAUAUGAAUAAAUCUUCACAUCAACAAGUAAAGAAUAAUAAAGAUGCCUUUCUAAUCUUGUGUAACUUCCAAACCUAAGCAUAUGUAUUUAUGAACUAGAACAAUGUUCAUGCAGAAAUCUUGAGAAAGAGCAGCAUAUUAAGACAAUCAUGUGAAAUGAGAAACAGGCAUUGGAAACAUAACAAAUAAGGAUAACGGGAUAUGCUAAGAUACUUACAACAAUGGCAAUUGAAAAUUGCCUUAUUCUUUCAUAGUUUUGCACAAUGCCCAUUCUCUGAAGCGCCAUAAGCCUACUGUAGGGAUUGCUAUCAACAACUUCAGCACUCAUAUCCUAAAAUAGAAUAAGUAUAAGAUUGUGGGAUGCAAUAUAGUAAAGCAGCUGAAAUGGUAUGAUACAACCAUAGGAGCAGCUGAACACAGUUACCUUAACUUUCGAGCGGUGCAUGCCUCCUGACUUAGCAAGAUUGGAGAGCCUUUCAAUUCGACAUUGUAACUAAAAGCACAAACACUAAGCCAUUAAACCACAUUUCCUUAUAUGCACACAUUGCAGUGAAAAAGAUUGAAACUUUUUCAAAAAAAAAAAAACAAAAAUCCAAAACCAAGCAAAACCCAUUAUUUGUAUUAGAAAAAUUCAACUUUUUAAUCAGAACUAAUAUGGAACUUGGUCAAAAUUCAAAACCCAGAAAAACAACGAAUUUAUAUGGCAUUAGCAGAAAACAUUAAACUUUAUAACUAGAACCGAUAAGCCAUUUGGACAAAACCCAAAAAGCAGCUGACUUUUAAGUCUUUGCAGGCCUGCUCUAGCAGCUGUUCUUUGCAUCAAGAUGUUUGCACAUAACGAUUCUUUGCAAUAGUAUAGUCAACGUACUUGGGGAUUAUUCCCCUUUAUUCAAGCUCCAGUUCUACAUUAAUCAAAACCUGUCCCCCAUAAAAAGAAACAAAAUAACAAAAGAAAACCAGCAAAACCCACAGUUUAUAUGAGAUUCAACAUACUGAAUUCCUCCUGAUGUAACCUCAAAUUGGCAUUUAAAGUUAACAUAACUUGAAAUUCAAGAAUUUCUAAAAUUCCCUUUUAAUUUCAUAUGUCAUGCAAGCUUUGAUCUUUCGGAGCUAAUUACAAUAUAUACAGCAACUGUAUUAAAAUUCGAACAGAAGAAUGGAAUCAAAAUUAAAUAGCUGAAAAGCCCAAUAAUAGGGAGGCUUACUUGAUGGAUUUGGGAUUGAUGAGAGGGAUCUGGCAAUGAAUUUUGCAGAGAAUUAAGUUCGUUUAAAAUCUCUUUGAGCUCAGUCUCCAUUGAUGAUCCCAUUGCUUAUGCUUCCAAUGCCUUCAACCUUUUCCCUUUCCUUGAAAAUUCGAAAAACGAUUUGGGCAAUAAAUGCGGAUACGAGGCAAGGAAUCUGAAUCCAAAAAGGCUUUCGAAAGCAGAAACGCAAAGGGGGCCUGGGUUGGCGCCUCUGUCCAAGUGCUCUGUCUAAGGGGACAAAGUAGUAAUUACAAAUAUUAUCAGUCUUACGUUAAUAGGGCGAACAAUUAAUAUUCAUUAAAAUGUGGUUUUAGUUAUAGCAUGAAAUGUAUGCAUAAUAUUCAAAUUACUUGAUCACAAUUUGAUAAAAAGUGUGGUAUGAAAUCGAUUCGGUAGAUCAACAGGUUGAGUUUGAACGCCAGUACAAGCUAACACACGAACUUUAUAAUUAGAGUAUUUAAUUUAGAAAAAAUCGUUCAAAACGUCCCUCAUAUUUUAUAAAAUAACUUUUUUCGUCCCUCACUUUUAAAAAUAUAAUUUUACGUCCCUUACAAAUUUGCAUUGAUCAAAUUUGGUCCUUACUUAGGUUUCCGACUAGUUUUUGGUCGGAAUUCACCAUGUGCCUUGCACGUGAUCAUAUUUUAAGGGCAAAAUUGUCAAAUCAAAUUCAAUAUAAUUCGAUUUAUAAUCCCCCACAUUUCAUAAAAUAAAUUUUUUUGUCCCUUACAGUUCACAAAAUGAAUUUUUUCAUCCUUCACAUUUUUCAAAAUGAAUUUUUUCAUCUUUUAUUGAUCAUGUGUGUGCAUAAUUUUUUUUAAAUCCAUAUAUAUAUCUAUUUGAUUUCACCUGAACAGUACGAAUAGCAUAUGAAAUCAAAUAGAGAUAUAUUACAUACUAUUCGUACUGUUCAAGUGAAAUCAAAUAGAUAUAUACAUGGGUUUAAAAAAAUUGUUAAUUUUUCACUUAUAUUCAUUUUCUUUUACUCAAAAUUUGAAAAUAAAGAAGACAUUUAAUCUUAAAUAUUAUCGAGUGUUUAUAUCGAAUUAAAUUUGGACAGAAAAAAUAAACAAAAGAAAAGUAUGACAAAAGGAAAUAAGUGAUUGGCACUUUCAAAUUUUAAGACAAUUACAAGGCAAGUAAUUCAACUGUUGGUCUUAAAAGUGUCGAGUAGAAAUUCAGAUUUAAACUGAAAUUUGUUAGUACAAUUAUAGAAUUCAAGUUAGGACCCAUUAAUUAGAUGAUCUUAUUAUACAACUCAAUAAAUACAUUAUUACCAAAAGAGAAAGGUCACAAAUAUUGAAUAGGUUCAAAUGGUGAAAUCAUAUAAAUAUAUACAUGGGGUUCAAACAAAAUUAUUACCUUAAAACCCCUAUAUAUAUCUAUUGAAUAGCAUGUGUAUAACUACGAUUAGCAUGUUUAGAUGAAAUCCAAUAGAGAUAAAUUACAUGUUAUUCGUACUGUUCAGCUAAAAUCAAAUAGACAUUUACAUGGGUUAAUAGAAAAAAAACUAUUCAUACACAUGAUCAAUGAAGGAUGAAAAAAUUCAUUUUGAAAAAUGUGAGGGAUAGAAAAAUUCAUUUUUUGAAAUGUGAGGGACGAAACAAUUCAUUUUGUAAAAUGUUAGGAACGAAAAAAUUCAUUUUGUGAAAUGUGAGGGACUAUGAAUCAAAUUAUAUAAAAUUUUGGUUUGACAAUUUUGUCCUUAAAAAAUGAUCACAUGCAAGUCACGUGAUGGAUUCCGACAAAAAACUAGUCGGAAACCUAAGUAGGGACCAAAUUUGGUCAAUGUGAAUUUGUAAGGGACGUAAAAUUAUACUUUUAAAAGUGAGGGAUGAAAAAAGUCAUUUUGUAAAAUGUGAGGGACGUUUUGAACAAUUUUCCCUUCAAUUUAAUUAAAUUCGUUUACACGUCUAUCUAUCUAUCACAGCAGUUUGAUAUGUACAAUGAUUACAAUUUUAUAUUUGUACACUUACUUCUUUUGAUUCAUAUUUAUAGUUGGUUUUGGGCAACAUGAUUUCAUCAAGAAUUGUAAUUAUUAUUAUGUGUGGAUGAGGUGCCUAUAUAUACUAAUGUCUAAUUAAAAAUAUUAACGGAUUAAGAAUAGAAUAAAUGGUAUAAGUGGUCAUGGAACUAAUUAAGAAUUCUUAUUUCUGGUAUUAAACUUUUUCUUUCAUCAAAUUGAUCGCUCAACUAAUGUAAAAAUACAUCUUUGAACCUAUAUAUUUUUGUUUCUGAUAAAAAAUUAAUGUACUUUUCAUUAUUUGAUUGACCAACUUGGCUAAAACAAAUUUUAGUAAUCAAAAAAAAAAAAAUCUUUGAUAGUUUAGUGAACGCGUUUGCCAUUUUGCUCCUAAGGAGUGAUUGCAAAGAAUACGGAUCCAAACAUUUCAAGGGUUAUGUAAUUAGGAGAAGAAUUGAAGUGAAUUUAGAAAACCAAACGUGGAAUGCGUCCAAUUCUACGAAUAUAACAAUGCCUAUCACCUAUAAUUAGAGAUAGUGGUUGUGCAUUGUGCUCCUCCAUGCUUGCAUCUCAAGUAUGUUAUAUAACAUGAAGUUUUCAAAUUCACUCAAGCCUCUCAUUGAUAAAUUAGAGGAUAAAAUAAGUAAACUGGAAUUCAUGGAACCUCCUUGUCUUUCAAACAUGUCCAUGAAACUCCCUGUGAUUUAAACUGAUAUGGAACAAAGAAGUUUGAAAUUCCCAAACUAUCCCAAUUUUCUAAACAACAGGGAUCAAUUGAGGGGCUUAAUUAUAAUUUUAAAAAGUUUGUUUUCCUUUUUUAUUUCUUGAAGAAAAACACUAGUUUAGGGGCAGAAUUGAAAUUCUAAAAAUUUCUUUCUUUCCUUCACUGAACGAGACAGUUUUCGUGCCCAAAUAACCCACAUUUGCGAUGUUACCACUGAAACUUUCAUCUUCGCUCUCCAAUUUCACCACCUCGUCGUCAUCGUCGUCGUCGUCGUCAUAUCCAAAAAAAGAAAGUUAAAAAGCUCUAGUAAAAAAAAAAAAGAAGGAAUUUGAAAUCAGAUGUGAUUUUUGGUUAUUAUUUUGUUUUUGCUAAUUAAACAUUGAUCUAGUCCGGUCUUCGAAAGAGAAAAUUAAUCUCGUCCAUGCACACCUUAAGAUGAAUUUUUUUUUUCUUGUUUGCUUUAGAACUUGAGGCGUUUGAGGUUCAAAAGAAGUGAAUCUUGGUUUUGAGGUUUGAGGUUCAAAAGAACUGAAUCUUGGUUUUGCCUCAAACUCGUGGUUAUCCUUGUUUUAUCAUGUUAAAUCCUUAUACUAUAUAAGAACGAGUUUAGGAUUAGAUUUCAACCGCAGGGGUGAGGCUAUUUUGGGAAUGUGAGAGUGUUUGAAGAGUAAUUGGAACAUUGAGUACAAGUCAUUAUAGCUUUAAUUUCACUAUAAUUACUUAUAUAACCUUUCAGACAUUUAAGAUUAGGGGCAUGUUUGGUAUGUUACAAUGUUUGGUGCCAAGUUGAGUAUCAAGUACAACUGAAUAAAGCUUGUGUUUUGAUAGAAUUACAUAAAAGUCCUUUUAAUCAUUUAUUAUACUAACAUCCAAGCCUUCCAAUUUCCUGAAACCUUUCUCAUCCGUUAAGGAAUUAAUUGGAUGUUUACAUAAUUGGAUUUUAAUUACAAUUAAUUAACUUAAUUAUUAUCUGAACAAUCAUUAUCAUUUUUAUGUCCCCAUGUUUAGCCGAUACCCUUUCUUCUUUUUCGGUUUCACCUCUUUGGUUUUAUUAUGGCUAUUAAAUAUUUGGUGAAAUGCAUAGCUUUUCCUUUAAAUUGAUAAGAACGAGUUUAGGAUUAGAUUUCAACCGUAGGGGUGAGGCUAUUUUGGGAAUGUGAGAGUGUUUGAAGAGUAAUUGGAACAUUGAGUACAAGUCAUUAUAGCUUUAAUUUCACUAUAAUUACUUAUAUAACCUUUCAGACAUUUAAGAUUAGGGGCAUGUUUGGUAUGUUACAAUGUUUGGUGCCAAGUUGAGUAUCAAGUACAACUGAAUAAAGCUUGUGUUUUGAUAGAAUUACAUAAAAGUCCUUUUAAUCAUUUAUUAUACUAACAUCCAAGCCUUCCAAUUUCCUGAAACCUUUCUCAUCCGUUAAGGAAUUAAUUGGAUGUUUACAUAAUUGGAUUUUAAUUACAAUUAAUUAACUUAAUCAUUAUCAUUUUUAUGUCCCCAUGUUUAGCCGAUACCCUUUCUUCUUUUUCGGUUUCACCUCUUUGGUUUUAUUAUGGCUAUUAAAUAUUUGGUGAAAUGCAUAGCUUUUCCUUUAAAUUGAGGUGAGUUCUUUGGGUUUGUCUUCUUCGAUUGUAGUUUUUUUUUUUUUUUUUCUGAUGAUUGGUUUAUUCAAGAACUCCAUAUAGUUUGCCUUUUGAUACUUCUAAUUCCAAAAACUGAUUAAUUGUAUUGUUUUCUUUAGUAGAUCCCAGAGAUUCUGUCUCUGGUCAAAGUACAAUUUGAGAUAAUGUUGUCACUUUCUAAAAUAAUUAGAAAAACAAUUUUAUCAUCUUCUCUUCCUCGGCCAAGGUAUUAUCUCUUUAUUUAAGUUAAAUAACCUUAUUUCUCAUGAACUUUCUCCUAUUGUUCUUGACUCCAGGAAUCUGUUGACUACAUUCCAACAGUUAUGGUUCAAGUAGUUAUUUUUCAUGUAAUAUGAUUUGGAAUUCAGCUUGUGUUUAUUUUAAUUGAGAAUUUUAUGAUUGUAAAAUUUAUUAACUUAGAAUUUUUUACUUCAUUGAAACUAAAAAAGAAAAUUAAUCAUGCUACAUAGUACUAAGAUGUCAUUUGCACUCUAUUUGCUUUCCAUGUUAUGAUAUCGUUCUUGUAUUAUACUGUUUAUAUAGUUUCAAAUACAAAAAAUUUGCUUUUUUAUGCUAUCUAAAAGAAUUUGUAGUGGAACUUGAUAAGUUUAAAUGCUUUAGCUACAGCACCAUUUUGAUUGCAUUGUAUUAAUUCAUUUACUCAUAAUUGUAUGUUGUACAAUGAUAAAUAUGUUUCUUGAUUUAAUUGAAGCAACUAUUAUCCAUAGUUCAAACGAGUCAAUUAAGUAGAGAUGUUAUAUUAGAUACUUAUACAAGUAAACAUUGGAAAAUAUCAUUAAGCAGUUCCUACCUAUAGUUUGCAAUUCGAAUUCAUAUCAGAAAUUUCUUCUGAUUUUAGUUACCAUUUUCUACAAUUUCAAAUUUAGAAAAUAUUAUUUGCACCAAUUUUUUUAUAAUCAAGAUAGUUUCAAUUCAGAUCUUUAACAAUUAUGCAGAUUUGAACUUAUUUAUGAGAUUAUAAAGAAAUGCCCCUAGCAAAAAACACCAAAUCUGAAUAGUUUCUACAAAACUUUGAAAAAGACCAUUUAAGUUUCUUAUCUAUCUAUCAUUUUUGGGCAUUAUUAUCUCUAUAAGAAACAUGUGAUUAAGUCGUAUUAUGCCCACCAAAUUAUAUAAAUAGUUAGUCAAAAAUAAAAUUAUUUUAGAUUAGAUUGGACGCAAAGUGAUUGAUGGAUAAACUUGACUUGAUAAUUCAGGUUGAGCUUAAGUCGAUGGAGAAAUCAGAAGCAUUGCUUGAGGGAUUUUUCACAAACAUAUAUAGAUUCGAGAGAUGAAGGGUCCAAUUGAUACUUUAAAAUGUUUUAUCAUCUUGGAUAAGUUUUAGGAGAGACUUUUUGAUACUUUUCAAUUACACUUCAAACAUUCUUACAUUUUCAAACUACCCUUAUCUUUGCAGUUGAAAUUCAAACAUAACCUUUGAUCACAACGGAUUCUUAUAUAGUAUAACGAUAAGGAUGUCUCAUUGCACAUUAUUUUUAUUGACUCACUAUGUAACUUAUGAUUUUUCUAUUAAAAUCACAUGAUAAAAUCAUCGUACUUCAGGUCCUAUACCACAAAAUAUUAAACAAUAAUUAUUAAUUAUCUUAAAUCACAAGUACCAAAUUCCCGCGCGUCGCGCGGGCCGUCCCUCCCUAGUAGUUACUAUAUAAUUGUGUUGUGGCUUCUAAGGAUUGUCCUGAUGUGAAUUUUAUAAGGAUUAAAAAUGAUUUAGAUAGACCAAGCUGGCCAAUUUCAAUGUUGGGUCUUUUUUACCAUUUUCCGCCUGCUUUUGGCCAAAAUCGACAGUAUUAUAACAAUCUAUACGAAAAAGUGCAAUUUAGGUUGAAAAUUUGUUGAAAUUCUGCCACCAAAUGACGGUAGCCGGAGUGGCUAUUGGGAUAAGACGGCGGUGCACCACCUGAGAUUUUUGACAAUUACUGAGUCCCCUCAAGUUUUGUAAAUUACAUCUACCUCCCUGGUUUUUACUGUUCAUGUAACAAUAUAGACCUAAUAGUCUAAAUUUUUCCUCAAAAGUCAUAAACUACCAUUUUUGUACGAUAACAAAACAAAAAGUACUUUGUCAAUCACCUUAUUUAUAUACUCAAGUAAUUCCAUGUCAGAGUCAUAAAAAUUGUUUCUCACAACCCGUAUGUUAAAUUCCACGCAACACUGAAAAAUUGUUCACCCCUUCAGCAAAAUUCUAUGGAUCCCAUGAAAUGGUCAAGCUUAUAAUCAAUUGCCCAUGUUUGCAUAAUCUUCAGUAUAGGAUGCCAAGGUUUGGUUCCACACAAAUCCUUGUACACGAGCCACAUUGUAGCCAUCAAGGAAAUCCUCAGGAGAGUUUUCUAGGUUUGGAUAGAAUGAAUUAGGCUUAAAAGAAUAAAGUCAUCCUUAUGACUACUAAGAUCUUUAAGAAAUUCAUCUUGCCAAAACCAAAAUUCCAUUCGCAACCAAUUGUACCCCAAACUUCAAAUCCAAUGUUGGAGACCAUAUCAAAAUAAAUUAAUCUAGCCUGACUACUAAGCGUUGUUGAACACAUGUAACUGUUAAGAGCCAAUAAAUAUUUAAUGAAUGUUUAUAUAUUAUACCAACGUGCAAAGAUUGGCUUCUCUUAGUGUACUUUGUGUGCUUAUUUGUAUAACAAUUUGCAAAUAUAUGAAUAUAUAUGUAACAUACAUGGUCCAACAAGGGUGGUAUAUUUUACUCACUGAACAUAGUGAUGCUUACCCCACCACUUUAACAUUUUUAUGUAGUGAGCGAGUACGUUUUACGAGUUUAUUGCGGAUAGUGAUUGGAAUUGGUAGAGCUAGAUUACUAUUGGAAAGCUCGAAUAAUGAUUGAAUAGAUAUUGUUUUUGAAUUAUUCAUGUAAUAAUGAGUAUGUAUGGCUCAAUAGACAAGUUAAUUUGUCAUUUUAUUAUCUUUUGUUGUAGUGUUAGACAUAAGUCCCGCACUAACUAUUUAUUGCUUCCGCAAAUAUGAUGUAAUAGUGAAUGAUACCCUAUACCCUCAAGAGCUACUUCUUGAAGAUACGGCGGCUGUUCCAUUCUGAGUAAGAUGCAGGCUUGGGGUGUGACAAUUUUAAUGGUGUCAAAUGUGAGUCCCAGACUACUAUUCCUACUCCUACAUCGAGUUUAUGAAAGGAAAGGAAAUGGCUUAUGAACUUGGGUCUCUUGGCUACUAAGUAACUGGGGUUAACUAUUUGGGACUAGUAAAUUUUGAUUUAAAAGUUAUUUGGGUCAACUCUUGGACUUGAUUUGUGAUAGUAAGUAUUUGAGUGAAUCUUGCAUGAUUUCUGUGUGAGGUGAGUCUAAGUCAUUGAAUUAUGAUUUUGACUACAUAAGGGAGUAUAAGGAACUACGUGUCACAUACAGGCUCCAUCUGGAAUUCGAGUAUAACCAAACUGACAGUUUGGAUUGUGAUGGAUUUUGUAAGGAUGCAAAGUCCUUAAGUAUGGGUGAAUGUGAGGCUCGACCUACUAUUCAUAAGGAGUAGUAGUCCCGCGUUGAGUUUGUGAAAGGAAAGAAAAUGGUUUAAGGUCUUGGGCCCUUGGCUUCUGAGUCAUUUGGAUUAAUCAUAUUGGACUAGUGAAUUUUGAUCCAAAAGGGAUAUGGGCCAGCCGCCAGCUCUUGGAUCCAAGCCUUGACCAUAUCCAUACAAAACCGAGCAUGUGGUGACGUAGUAUUCCGAGCAUGUGAUUUAACUGCAAACAAAACAGAACUUUGGUUGCACAGCACUGUAUGCAGAUUUAGCUAUACUUGUAUACAUAUGAUGUUUCUAAUGUUUAGAUAAGACCAAACUUUCAUUAUUUCUUGCCUCUAGACAUUUUGUAAUUGGUUGCACUAUGAGAUUUAGACUAGUCUCUGUUUCUAUCCUUUUUCGGCAAAUCCAGGGAGCUUAAAAUACAGAGGGAGUUUGCUGUUGCAAGUAAAGAAGAAUAGAGAAUAGGAGAUUAAGAGAGAGGAAGCUAAGGUGUCGACUACUGAAUAAAUACGUGCCAAGCUUGAAGCCAGAAAGGGGAGAGAUGGAUUAAGUAGCAUGGGAAAGGGAGUGUAAGUUAGAGAUCUUGAAUUUAAAUCCUCUCACUUAAACUAAAAAAGAAAAAAAAAAAAGAAAGAAAGCUUGAGGCCAAAAAGGUCAAGACGAUGGAAAUGAGAAAGUGUAAUAUAUUUUUCUUCAAAAAUAUUUCACCAAUAAUUUAAGUGGACAAAUAGACCUACCUUGCAUUACAUUUUGGGUAAGGGUAUCAAUUGAGUUAAAUGAACCAGGCUUUGGCAAGGUCAAGCCAUUUGGUUGGAUUAAUGUUAAUGAUUUUUUUAUGAAUGAAGGCUAAAUGCUUACAAUAAAUUGUAGUGUAGCUUUUCCUGCACACCAGCCAUGCGUAGCAUGACUCACUAGACAAGUCACUAGAUAUUGAAUAUUUUCCAAACGUUAUUAGUAAAACCUAGACUUAGUUAAUUAAGGUGUUAUCACAUUAAAUCAAAGCACAUUAGUGAAGAGUUUUGGCAUGUAUCUUUAUUUUAUAUUUGUUUGAAAAAUGCGAUGUAUAUUUUACUCUAGAAAGAUGUGAUGGAUCACCAAUUAAUGAUACCAUUAUCUUUGCUAUUAUCCCUUUGUAUGAUUGCAACAUUAAGUACAUUAAUUAUCUGAUCCUUUUGUUUGUCCCAACUAAUCCUGCAUAGAUCUCACCUAACUGAUUUCCUGGUGUGGCUUGUAUCUAUUACUGUUUUAGCCGUCCAAAAAAUUUAAAUUUUUCUUGCGGACCCCUUUUCCAGCUUGAAAAACAAGCUUUUCUUCUUCUUCUUCUUCAUGACUCCAUUUUGGCACGGCGAAAUGGAAAUUUUCUUUCUUUUGGAAGUGCAAAGCUCGUAAUUUACUGUGAAAGGUAAGCAAAAAGAUGCACAAUUUACUGCAAAAAGCAGAAAACAAAGAGUAUGAACCUUAAAGAUCCAUUCAGAACCCGUUCCUUCUUACACUGAAAAUGUUUUGCAAAAUAUUCUAGUGUUGCAAGAGCUUAAGGGAGAAAAUAAUCCAAGAGAGUAGGGAAAAGAAAAAUACUAAAGUCCUUGUUUUCACUUUCCUGUGCAAGCAAUCUUGCUUGCGUUCGGAGAUUUUAGGAAAGGGACAUCGAGUAAAGUCAAGAAAUAAGACAAAUAAACUUCAGAAUUUUAAAUUUAGCAGCUUUUUUUCUAUUUUUUCCCCUUUCUCAUUCUCGUCUUUUAGUUACAAAUUGGGUGACUUUUUGGUUCUAUUACAUUGUAAAGGACUUCAUAAUUGUCAAACCUAAGGAAAGGACUCAAAGGAUCAUGUUUUGAAUCAUUCUCUUCAAUUUUACCUCCGGUCCCUGAGUGUUAAAAGAUACAUAAUUAUUUAUAAAUGUAUUUGUUGUGAUUUUUUUAUGUUCUUUUUUUUUUCUUUUAUUAUCUAUCCAAUGCGUGAAAUGAUGAUUGUUUAUGACAUUCUGUUGCCUAAACCUUAUUUAUUCAAUUUAAUACAUUAAUUAUUCAUGAUUGUUGUUCCUAUUUAGAAUCACAAAUAAACUAGUAUCAACUUUCACUUUCAAUUAAAAACUCCUACCACUUUCAAAAUGGAAAAGAGGAGGGCCUAAGAGUCCACCUUAAAAUCUAUCUCUAGUUACCUGAUUAAUGUCCCUAUUAGGUAAAGAGGCUUGCACUCAUUUUUCCCCCCUCUGGAAGUUGCAUUUCAAUUUAUCUACAAAAGGUGGCACUUGGAGGAAGCUAAUAAGUGUAGUAGGGAACUCAGAAGAAGCAAUAGCAAACCAAUUGAUAUUUCUGAAGGGAAAAGCAAAGAUGUAUAUACUUCCAAUUGAGCAAAUAAUUGCCUUCAUCUUGAAACAUUCUAUCUCAUUACUUCUUUGUUUCCUCUUCACUAUCUUUGUUGUCAAAUGGCGAAAUUCCACUUCAAACCCCUCACAAAACCUUCCCCCUUCCCCUCCAAAGCUUCCCAUAAUCGGAAACCUUCAUCAACUCGGUUCAAUCCCUCAACGCUCUCUGAAAUCAUUAGCUCAAAAAUACGGUUCCCCAAUGCUGCUUCAUCUAGGCAGUAAGCCAGUGUUAAUUAUCUCCUCCCCUGAUGCAGCUGAAGAAGUCAUGAAAACACAUGAUUUAAUAUUUGCCAAUAGGCCUAAAGCAGGCUUUGCUGGAAGGCUUCUCUACAAUUUCAAGGACAUAACGUUUGCUCCCUAUGGUGAGUAUUGGAGGCAGAUAAGAAGCAUUUGUGUACUGCAGCUUCUAAGUCACAAGAGGGUUCAGUCAUUUCGAAGCAUAAGGGAAGAAGAGAUUGCACUAAUGUUGGAAACAAUUAGAGAAUCUUGUGCUUCGUCUUCAGUAAUACAUAUAAACAAAAUUUUGGCAACACUUACGAACAAUAUAGUUUCGAGAGUUGCCAUUGGGAAAAGGUAUUCGGGAGAGGAAAGUGGGAGCAGGUUUCAGGAACUCUUUGUGGAAUUUACCAUGUUGUUGGGUGUUUUCAACGUUGGAGAUUACAUCCCAUGGCUUGCAUGGAUAAAUAAUAUCAAUGGCUUGGAAGCAAAGGUGAAAAAAGUGGCCAAAGAUUUCGAUGAAUAUUUGGAAAAACUUCUUGAGGAGGGAGUGAAGAAGCAGGACAAAAGAGGAAACAAUAAUGGUGGUGAUGAGAAACAGCAGGAGAAUCUUGUUGAUGUUUUGCUUGAAAUCCAGGGAACUGAUGCCACCAGUUUCGCUCUUGAGCGAGAUUCCCUCAAAGCCAUCAUCAUGGUAAAGAAAAUUAACUUUCUUCUGAUUAUCUUCCCCGUUACAGUUUUAUAGUUCUUUUGUUAAUACGUAAGUUUGUCAGUGUUUGGUCUGUCAAUGGUGAAUUGCAUAAGUUUUUUUUUUUUUUUUUUUUUGUAUAAAAUGCAAAUCUGAUGGGCAUUGGAUUUGAGCUUUGGUUUUCUAAGAAUUGAUUUUCGAAAACUCACACAAAUCACCUAGGAAAAAUAACAAAUUCAGAUAAAGAAGUAUAGCAUCGCCUUAUCUCACGUGCAGAUUUGUUGAAGUAGUACAAACAUUUUGUUGUCCGCUGAUUAGAUCGUGACACCAUCCUGGAUAUUUCUAUGUCUCCUCAUAAUGGGAUGAUGCUGGAAUAUUUUUUCUAUUCAAACAUAAGUUAACUGGCUUUCACCAUAUUUGCAAACACUUUGAAACAACCCUAACCAUUUACUACAAUUUUGAGAUACUAUGUGAGCCAGUUGAUGCACUCUUUUAUCUUGGUUGUGUGGUUUUGGUCCCUAUCGAAUGAUACAAGCAAUGAGUUAAGAAUAGAGUGAAAAGCAAAAAAUUAACGACUUUAUAUAAAGGUCCAUGGUUGAGUUAGUUCGUCCAUUAAUUUCUUUGUCUUCUAAGUAGGUAUCUAAUCCUUUUGAAUAUUUUGUACAAUAAUUGAGUACAAGUCAAAAGUUUUAGCUGUACAAACUAUUCUUAUUAUAAAGCAUAAAAUAACAUAGACAAGUAGAAUAGCAAUAUAGUCUUUAUGAGGUAGGUCCCUAUGACGUAUAACUGAAAGAACAAGCAAUUUUGAGUUUGCAAUCAUGCAAACACCAAAUUUUUCUUCAAGGAAUCAAAAUAUUAGUUUUCAUGUAGCUUGUAUCGGAAAUUUGACAUAGAACUUUCUAUGUCCCGAUUUUAUUAUCAUUAUUUUUGUUUUUGCAGGACAUGUUUGUUGGUGGAACUGAUACUACAUCAUCGCUGCUGGAGUGGGCAAUUUCAGAAUUAUUAAGAAACACAAAUGCCAUGCAACAAUUGCAAAAAGAAGUGAGACAAUUCUUGGGAAGCAAAUCAUGCAUCCAGGAAGAUGAUUUAGAGAAUCUCCAUUACCUAAAAGCAGUAAUAAAAGAGGCUCUUCGUUUGCAUCCACCAGUUCCAUUACUUGUUCCUCGUGAAUCAAGCAAGGCAGUCAAAUUGAUGGGAUACGAUGUAGCUGCCGGCACUCAAGUGAUUAUCAAUGCUUGGGCGAUCGGAAGGGACCCAAAAUUGUGGGAAGCUGCAGAGGAAUUUCAGCCAGAGAGGUUCUUGAAUAGCUCUUUGGACAUUAAAGGGCAAAAUUUUGAGUACAUCCCAUUUGGUUCUGGGAGAAGGAGCUGCCCCGGUUCUGCAUUUGCUAUGGUUACAGCUGAACUUGCACUUGCAAAUUUGAUGUGCAACUUUGAUUUUCAAUUGGCUGGUGGAGCAAGACCAGAAGAUUUGGAUAUGACUGAAGCACAUGGGAUCGUUACACCAAGGAAAGUCCCACUUCUGCUAGUUGCAAGUCUACCUAAUUAGGCACUUCAAGAUCCAAGACACCAUGUUGGUAGAUAUGUGUAUAUUAUUCUAUCUUGUCACAACUUUAAAUUUGAGAUGGAGUUUGAUGGGGAAAACUUUUAAAAUGGUGAAAUAUUGCAUUAUCAGUAGCAUUGUGUCCUUGUAUGUAAAAUGUGUGAUUUUGACACAGUUAUGGUGUAAGGUCACCAGCUCAUUCCGGGGAUUUUGGAUUUGUUUGGGAUCAUAAUGGUCUAUAGGGCGGACUAAAUGAUUUUUUCUUGGGUAAAUUACUCAUAACCUACUGUACUUUUAUAUGACACCGGAUGACUAUCCUAUGAUUCAAAAUAUCUACAUAACUCCCCUCUAUUGUUUUAUAUAAAUUGAAAAUUUAAUGAAAAAUGAUCUCUAUAAUAUCAUUAGUUGAAAUACUAAGAUUACGCUUAAUUAAGUACUAAAUUGAAUAUGGGUCCAGAGAUUUUCAUAAAAUCAUGAAUCGAUGCAAAAUUAUACGGAGUUAAGUGAAUAUUUAUACAAAAUUAUAGUUAUAUGGAGUUAUGCGAAUAUUUAUGCAAAAUUAUAGGGCUUGAGUAGAUAUUUAUACAAAAUUUUAGAAGGUUAGGUGGAUAUUAUUAUUUCAUUACACGCACUUUUAGAAUGUGUCUCAGUCAAUCGUGGUAACCAGAGAUGUUUUACAUUUAUUUUUAACUUUAUAUAAAAUUAUAAGAAUUUAUGUGAGUAUUUUGGAACUUUAGGUAGUCAUGUGAUAGUAUGCAAAAAAUACCAAACUACGUGAAUUAUUAGUUUAUAAAAAAAAAAUUGACAACGAAAACUUUCCAAAGAAUUUUAGUGCGUAAAAAAUGUUACUUUUAGAAAGGUAUUGACAUGCAAGGUACAUGAAUUAUUAGUUUAUGAAGCGUACAAUUACAUACCACAAUAUUUAGAUGUUUUGCACAAUCCGAAUAAAUAUACCGUGUAUAUAUUUUACCGAUAAUCAGCUUGUAAUUGAGCCAUAUUUAUCCUUGAAAGUUCUUUUUAUUUAGAUGUUCGGCAUUUUUUUUCUGGUGAUUGUGGCCAUAUUUUCCGAAUUCUAUCCUUGUUACGUCCUGUUUCUGAGAUCGCUUGGCGAUUAAUUCUAUUUGCAACCAAGUACACGCUUUUCCGCGGACAUCUUCUACGCCAUCUUGUUCUAAAAAAGGUACUCAUUACUUCUUUCCAACUUUCUUUCUUACCAUUGUUUCUCACCAUAGCACAAGUCUUUUCUUGUCACUGUUAGUUGAGAUCUUGAACGAGUCUCUUAUGAUGGAGCAGCAUCCCAACCUCACUGGCAAGAUGCCAUGCAAGCAAAAUUGGCUAUUUUGCAAGCCCAUAAUCUUGGAUUCUCACUCCUCUUCCUUCUGACAAACAACCCAUUGGAUGCUAUUGGGUUUAUAAAAUAAAACGCAAAACCGAUGGUCCUCUUAAGUGAUAUAAAACUCGCCCUGUUGUCAAAGGAUAUACUCAACUGGAAGGUGUUGAUUAUCAUGGCACUUUUUCUCCCAUUGCUAAAAUGGUUACUGUCCGUUGUUUAUUGACUUUAGCUACUGCUCGAAAUUGGUCUCUUCACCAGCUUGAUGUUUACAACGCUUCUCUUUAUGGCGAUUUUCAUGGAGAAUCUUGUAUGUCGUCUCAACAAGUCAUUGCAUGGUUUGAAACAAGUUUCUCACCAAUGGUUUGCCAAAUUCUCGAUCAAUAGCUAUCCAAUCUAUGGGUUUUGUAUAAUCCAAGGCACAUUAUUCUUUAUUUAUAUGUCAGAAAGGCACGUCAUUCACAACUCUAUUAAUUUAUAUUAAUGAUAUUCUUAUAGUAGGAAAUAAUUCCACAGCUAUCUCUGAUAUUAAACAUUUUCUACACAAUCAUUUCCGAGUCAAGGAUUUGUGACGGGUGCCGAAUUUGUUUAGUAAUAAAUUACGUGCUCAAGAGAAUAUAAAUUUGAGAAUAGCAGAGAGAAGGAUCAUCUCCACGGAGAUUGGGGAAAAUUUGUUCUUUUUAGAGCAAGAUUUAAUGGGGGAAUUUAAAUAAUUAAAACAAACAAUUAAUUCACACUAAGAUAAUUAAACAAAAUUAAGCUAAAAUUAAAUCAAUAAAUAGCAAAACUCUAGCAAAGGAGUAACUUUUAGAGACGGUUCACACAACUGAUCCUUAGUGCAAUAGUAAAUUCAAUUAUUCAUUGAUAAAUUAGUUAUAGCUAUCAACAAGUUCUUACACUCAGCUCUUUGUUACUUUAAUUUGUCGAUAGUUAAGGUACGACCAUUUACUAUUUUCUUAAUCAGGAGAUAUCCCUUGAUACGAUCAUAGGAUUCAAUCUCUCAAUUCCAGUAAAAAUUAGAAAAGCUUAAUUCUAACCAACAAACACACUACGAUAGUUUAUUUAAAUUAGAUUGUGUGUUUUUCUGACACAAAUCCAAUCAUACCAAUCACUACAAGGAUUAAAAUAGCCAAAUAAUUAUGAAUUCUGCUAUUUUAAUUCGUAGUAGAUUAUCUAGUUCAAUCAAAUAUUGAGCCUUCGAUAUUCAGCUAAACAUAGCAAUCAUAAGAAAUUAAUCUAAAAAGCACACAAAUACUAAUGAAUAGAAGAAACAAUAAAAAUUAAUUCGAUCUCACAAAUGCUUAUAGAACCAAAUCUUCAAGUUAUCCCUUGACUAAAAAAAGAAUUUAGUUGCUUUUCAUAGAAAUGACCCAAGCAAAAGUCGAUGUACAGUCAAAGAAAAAAAAGAGAAAAAUUUGAACCCUACUCUAAUGUCUUUACCUAAUUUUAUAACUAUCUAAAACAUAUCCAAGUUUCUCUAGGAAAAGAAAAUAAAAAGAGGAAUAAAAGAAGAAUAAUAGUUUUCUAAUCAUGAUGGAAGUCCACAUAUUGAAAAGGAUUCUCAUUUGCAGUAAGGAAUUCGAAUUGGAAUUAGAAACAUCCAUGCCUGACAAUCGCGAACUUUCUGAACUUGCGCAAAUUGGCGCACCCAUGACUAAUUGGGUAGAAGUCUUUUGAAAAAAUACCACUUUAACUCCUUUUCAUUCCCAAUUCCUAUAAUUAGCACCAAAUGUAGAAUUUAAGCAGAAUCCAUUAAUUAACACAAUAUUUAACUAAAAUAACAAGAAAAUAUCCACAAAUUCAGGCACUAUUAUGCACCCUAUCAAUUUGGGUGAUUUGAAAGACUUCUGGGCAUCGAGGUCUCUCGAUCAAAGAAGGACAAUUUUAUUUUGCAAAGAAAGUAUGCUUUGGACAUUUUGAAGGAUGGAGUAUAUUUGGGAGCUAAACCAGGGGAUUCUCCUGUAGAACAAAAUAUUAAAUUAUCAGAUGAAGGAAAUUUACUUAAGGACCCAUCUCAAGAUAGACGACUUGUUGGACGUCUGAUAUAUUUGACAAUUACUCAUCCGAUAUCACAUAUUCAGUAGAUGCAUUAAGCAGGCUUAUGCAUGCACCUUGGAAACCCACUUGGAGUUUGCUUUACGUGCACUACGUUACUUGAAAAAUAAUUCAGGACAAGGUUUGUUUUUUCCCUUUCAGAAUGAUCUAUUUUUCAGUGCAUUGUUACACCAAGGAAAGUCCCUCUCCUACUUGUUGCAAGUCUACCUAAUUAGGCACUUGAAUAUGUUAUGUUCAUAGAUAUUCUUAUCAUUAUGGCUGUCACCUUUGACUUUAAUUUCACGCGGGGAUUCAUUCAGAAAACUUUUUAAAUGGUGAAAUACUAAUUUGUGUUUGCUUGUGUAGUAUAAUAGAGAUGGUUUUUUGAGUUUUGAAAGUGCUAUAUAGAAAAUGAAAGGAUACUGAAGUUUCAGAAUAUGUGAAUAUAUUCUUGAACAUUUCUAAAUAGCAAAUAUAACAAGAUUCAAAAAAAAAAAAAAUCUUGUAACUAACUCACGGUCCUUAUCUUUGUGCUUUGCUAAUGGCAAUCAUCAAUCAUGCACUUGAGCUCUUUAUGAUAUAUAUUUGAAAGUAGCUUGUGAUUGAGGACGUAUUAUCCAUGUUUUAUCUUUGUUAUAAUUCUAUUUUAGUUCGUGAUUGACGUCAAGUUUUCCAAAUUCGGUCCUUGUUAAGUUCCAUUUCUGGGAUACCUCGGUGCUUGAUUUGAAAAAAAAAAUACAGUUUAGCCCGAUUUUAUCCAUGAGCUCGAGUUUGCAUAUGAAUCUGAUCACAAGUCAAUAAUUGGUUUGGAAUGAAAAAUUAAUUUAGAAGAGGAUCUAUUUAUUGACAACACAGAAAUUUGUAAAAUUUGUGAAAUGACUAAAAAGGGAAAAUCACCAAUUUGGUCCAUGAACAUUUUCACUUAAACCAAUUUUGUCAUUUACUAUUUUUUUCACCAAUUUAGUCCUCAAACAAUUUUAUUGGGUUCAAUGUAGGACUUAUUGGGCAGCGUCACCACAUUUUAUGUAUUUAGCACGGCGGGUUCGGGGUACAUUUGGAAUGACUGGUUCGAUUGUCUAAUUAUAGGGAUUAUAACAGCAACUUUAAUGCGAUGAAGGAAAGAAACCUCUGAAAAUUGUGAGAGAAGAGCUCAUAGAAAUUAGGGCAAGUCGCUGAACUUGGAUAUUUGCAAGUGAAAUGCAGCUAAGGAGAAACUUCGAUGACUCCGCCUCAAGUUUAUGUAGCAGACAACUCAAACCUGGAUAGUCGAGUAAGUGGGCAAUUGACAGGAGUGAAGGGAGAAAGGGUAGAAUGCUACAAUAGGGAUGAGGUUGUACUUUGUCACUGUCGUGAAGAAUGUAGAAUUGUAACUUUGCAGACAUUGGCGAACCUAGGUAGAAGAUUUCAUGGAUGCAUAAAUUACGUGGUAAAUUUUUGCAAUUAAUCAUGACAUAUUGCUUGUGUAUUUUGAUGUAUUAUAUAUUUUACUACAACUAAUGGCUAGAAUUAAUGGUCAUUGUAGAGACUGAUUAAUCACAUCAGCCCCACAAUCAAUUUAUUCCACUAAUUAAUCGCCCACAUGCUAAACACUGCCAUCGAAGAAGUUGAGAAGAAAAUGUUGAACUAAUUUGGAUCUGAUGAAAGUUUAUCCACAUCAGCCCCACAGCCAAGGAUAAAGUACAAACACAUCAGCCCCACAAUUUGAUGAAAAGGUUAAACUAAAUGCUUGCCACAAACAAACAAAAAGCAAUAUAGCAGAAAAUGUUAAACUAAGUAAGAUCUAACAAAAGCUUACUCGACAUUGUUGCCAGAUCUGCCAUCAAUGCAUUCCAUCGUCGAAGACACGGAUCUGUUCAUCAAUCCCAAUCACAGUUUUCUUAAAUUUUCAUCUUUAUGAAACCCUACUUCUCUCUCAAUUUUUAGAGGUUUUUGUCCCAUCUAAAAGUCUCUAUUAUAAUCCCUAUAAUUAGACAAUCGAACUAGUCAUUCCAAUUAUACCCCUAACCCGCCAUGCAAAAUACAUAAAAUGUGGUGGCGUCACCAAUAAGUCGUACAUUGAAUCCCAUAAAAUUGUUUGAGGACUAAAUUGGUGAAAAAAACCAUGAAGGAUGAAAUUUGUUUAAGUGAAAAAGUUAAGGGACCAAAUUGGCUAUUUUCCUGACAAAAAAAUUUUGAUUUGCAUACAUUCUUUGGGAUGAGUCAUGAAGAAGAAUUUGUUAUUAACGGUACAAAUUUUGAUCAAGACAAAGAAAUUUUUUUAUUUUACUUGCGGGGUGGAUUCUCUUAUUAAUCUUUUCAUUAGAAAUUGUGAGGCUGGAAACUUUUGUGGUGGAAAUAAUUGGCAAAAAGAAGGUUUGCCUUGGUUGCUGAAAAUUUUGUGGAUGAUUAUUAUUUUGAAAAAAUAUAUUGGCUUUGAUGGUGGGCUUGAUUAACUAGAAUUGACAGCUACAUUGUAUGCAUAGUACAAGGCUAAUUUGCUUCCAUAUGCAAAGAUAAAAUUGAGGAUCAACUGCAAAUUGUAAUUGCAUGUCACCUACGUCGCAACAGAGUUUUACAUACAAAUCGUUGGCCACGACGAUGGUGAGUUUGUUUUAAAAGGGACAAUGUUGACGAUAUUAAAUCAAGAUAAUUACUAUGUUCUUGGUUAAUUAGGUGUUUUAGUUAAAUUGGGCUUAAGUGUUAUAAGUGGUAUAGGAAUUGGUUUCACAGUUAAUUUGGUGAUUGAGUUUGUAUAUGUAUGUGAUAGUAGAUUCCAAUAUUACGUUAGUUGAUUAGAUUGGUCGUUUUUAAAGGCCUAGUGGCCGGUUGGUUAGGUGUGCAAAACAGUAGUAAGAAUUACUUAUACUAUAUAAGAUUGAGUUUUAGUGAAAGAGAGGGUUGCAUUUCAACCGCAUAGGCAGGGAUUUUUUGGAAAUGUGAAAUAUUCUGGUGUGUUUUACAAGCUAUAGGUACAAGUGAGGGAAGCUUGUGAUUAGGUAUAUUAUCCGAAAUACCCUUAUUUAUAGACAUUUAAAACUUUAUGUUGUUCAAACAUUUGGGUAUUUAUGGUAUAUGCAAUUAAUCUGCAACCAUUUGUUGCUUUUGGUACAACACACAUAAGCCAGUGAGUUUGUGAAAUUACUUAAAUGCUUUGGAUGCAAGUUAAGGAAGCCUGUAUUUGGGUAUAUUUACCUUUUUUUUUUGGUUAGCAACGAUACAUUUGUAUAACCUAUUCUAUCCUAAUCUAGGGAGAGGGGGAGCCUAAGGAAGCCGUGGCUUAGUGGGUGUAUAAAUCCAACUAGACCAAGGGAGUGCUAUAGCACAACCCUUGGAUUUUUUUCGCUGCUAAUAAGGUUUAAACUGUCACCAACAGCCCAAGGAGGAACUUAAGUUCCUUCCUGGUGGCCAUUGAGCCAUUGGCCCAGUAGUUCUGUAUUUGGGUAUAUUUACCGACCUAACCCCGUUUUAGUGCAUUUAAUUCAAGUUUUCAUUCACGAGGCAUCAGGCUAUUGGUGGAAUGAGCACUUAAUGUGCAACCGUAAUUGCAUUUAGUACAACCUAUACAUGCUCGUGUGUUAGUGUAAUUACUGUAAUAUCCCUUAACUAACAAUUAGUGGGGCUUUCGAGCCGCUUCCUGUGUCUGAAACGUUUGCUUGGUUGCUGCACCCUCAUGAAUGCUAAGGCUUUGGUCGGAACCCAUUUCUUGCUCAUUUAUCUCUGAAUUUAACGGCCAUAAACGUGGGUCAGUUUACUCCCCUUUGCGCUUCAGUGCUUCAGUUUUCUUUUUUUGUGUAAUUGAUGAAGCAAUCGCCUAGAAAGGAAGACAGGAGCACGAUCGUUCGUGCAAAGAGCAACAAAAAAUGAACAGUGCAAUUCAAUUGAGAGGAACUGAACAGAGCAAGUAGUUGAAUGGAUAAGGCGCAACUCUCAACUUAGACAUAUUGCAGGAAAACCGAAAAGUCCAAGGCCAAGUAUUUAAAACAGCAGAUACAAGUACUACUACUAUAACAUUACUAUUGACAUUUGUAUUUUACGGAAAAAAAAUUUUUUGGCGGUUAAAUUAAAAAAAAAAAGGAAGAAAAGAAAAGAAAGAAAUUCGUGCCUCCACAGUCGUCUCUGAGACUCUACCCCAGGUACAAAUGGAGCUUGAUGGCCAGUAAGAAGACAGAAAUGAGAGCAAAGUAGAGCAGGGAAUGCACCAUUAUGGCAGCGCCACUGGUCUGAAGAUUGGCGAAUUCCACGCACCUGUGGUGGCCGGGAAUUUGAAAUAGCAGCCCCGGUGAUAAUAGAACGAACAGUACCACUGCCACAAAUAUUGGACCCCAGUCUGACGUCUCUUGUUUACUUUACCAGGCAGCCCCGGUGAAGGAAGGAUCGAGUGGCCGCUGAAAAUGGAGAAGUGAAAUAGUAUAUUAGAUUAGAUGAUGAGCUGCAGUCAGUGGUGCCACAAUUUAGGUAGUGUUAAAGAUCUCAGACGGCGCACUUCGGAGUUUGGAUGGAACGGGGAAAAAAAAGAAAAUAGAGCAAACAAACAAAGCAAAGCUGCAAUAAGAGUGGAUGGGACUUGGGAGAGGAAACUAAAGGGAGUGGCUCAAGUUACUUGGAUGCUCUCUAGCCGUCCCAUUUUCCAUUGCUUACACUUCUUUCAUGCACGUGGGGUGCCCACUUCAAUUCCAUCAAAAAGCUGUAAGAAUUGCGUCAACUCAACUGAUUCAAACAUUGCCUCCCAUCAAUGUCCCUCAAUAUAAGGUUUGUUCUAAAUUCAUACGUACGGGUGUGUGGUGCACCCGUCUGGUCUGAUGGUGGUUCAGUCCCUAUCAGGUUCCCCCGGCUCAGUUGGGCCACUCCAUAGAGUAAGUUUUCCUUCCCCUUAGGAGUAGGAGUAGGCUAGAUUAGGCUAGAUGUGCCGUUAAGCUAAAAAAAAAAAAAAACUGAUUUAAAUUGGUUCGUGAUUCCACUUCUUUAUUAAAAUGGAAAUGAGAAAAACAUCUGUAAUGAUAUCACUGAUUUUGAUCAGAGUUAACUGGAGGUAGGGAAAAGUGACCGAGAGAAUUGGGAAGGGAAGAAACAGAGAGGGAAGGUAUAUUGAAAGGGAUUGAGAAAACUGAACUUGUUCUGUUUGAUAGCGUGCCCCAUCCGUCCUCUUUUAGGCUUAUUUAUACAAGAUUCUUCCUCUAGAUCCUUCUGCGUUCUAACCUCCCAACUGAAUGAGCAUGCAUGCAAGCAUGCUAUUUUUGGAUGUCUAACAGAGUAACUAACUUCUGGAUCGCUAACUAACUUCUUAAUAAGGAAAGCAUAGCAGAUACAUUUCUGCUAAAAGUAUUUAUAUUAUCUAGGGUCAUUACAAUACCUUCCCCUUAAGAAUCCUAGUCACUAGGAUUGAGCUGGAAAUUUGGAAACUGUGAUUGUAUCACCGUGACAUCCUCCCAAGUUGAGUCUUCAGUGCCUAGGUUCAUCCACUUGAUCAGCACUUGAGUCAUCUUCUGUUUUUUUCUUAUGAUUUCACGAGUGGCCAGUACAUUUGUGAGGUUGUUGGAAACAUAAACACCUCAAGUAUGUCUCAACGCACCUAUUCAGCCUCUCUGUCUGCCCAUCUGUCUGAGGGUGGUAGGCAGUGGAGUAGUGCAGCUCAGUACCUAGCUUCCCAAAUAAUUCCUUCCAGAACAUGCUAGUAAACAGCCUAUCCCUGUCUGACACAAUGCUCAGGGGUAACCCAUGCAAUUUGUAGACAUUAUCAAAGUACAUGUUAGCUACUGACUGUGCUGUAUACUUAGGAGGUAAUGGCAAGAGGUGGCAGUAUUUGGUGAACCUGUCAAUGACUACCAACAUUCCUUCAUAUCCCUGAGACUGGGCAAUCCUUCCACGAAGUCCAUUGAAACAUGCUGCCAUGCUUGCUCGGGUACAGGAAGUGGUUGCAGUAGGCCUGGUGUUUUGCAAUGUUCUACCUUGCUUCUUUUACACACAUCACAUUGCUGCACCCAACUUUCUACCUCCUUCUUCAUUCCUGGCCAGAAAAAUGGCCCUUUCAACCUCUGAUAGGUUCCCAGGUUGCCUGAGUGCCCUCCUAGGGGCGAGUCAUGAAGGCAAAUUAUCAGCUUCUGUCUCAAGCUCCCUGAUGCUCCAAUGUAAACCCUGCCUUUAUACCUGAGUAAUCCCCCACUAAAAGAGUAAUUGGGAAGAGAGUCAGGUGUAAUGGUCAAGGCUUCGGUUAGCUUAGUUACGGCACUAUCCCCCUGGUAACUCUCCAGGACUUCAGAUAGCCAUGCAGGUUUCAUGACCGAGAGGCUGUGUGUAGAGCUGUCUUCUUCAUAGCUUCUUCUAGACAGUGCAUCAGCCACAAGAUUUUCCUUACCUCUCUUGUACUGUAUUUCAUAAUCCAGUCUCAGCAACUUAGUAAGCCAUUUUUGCUGUAAGGGAGUGGUUAUCUUCUGCUCUAGUAGGUACUUCAAGCUCUGGUGAUCUGUCUUGAUAAUGAAAUGAUUCCCCAACAAAUAAUGCCUCCACCUGGAUACAGCUGUGAUAAGGGAUAACAACUCCUUCUCAUAUAUUGACAACCCCAAGUUUUUAGGCCCCAAGGCUUGACUGAGAUAAGCAAUAGGCCUUCCCUGCUGCAUGAGUACAGCUCCUAUAGCCUUAUGACUAGCAUCUGUUUCCAGAACAAAUGGUAAGGAAAAAUUAGGGAGUGCGAGGACAGGUGUGUUGCUCAUCAGUUGUUUGAGUUUUUGGAAAGCUAGUUCAGUAUGUUCACUCCAGUGGAAGUUUUCUUUCUUCAGCAAUUCUGUAAGUGGCUUGGCAAUGAGCCCAUAACCUCUCACGAACCUCCUGUAAUAGCCUGUAAGUCCCAAAAAUCCUCUCAAAGCCUUUACUGAUGUAGGUGCAGGCCAGUCCAUCAUGCUUUUGACUUUCGAGGGGUCAGCCUGUACUCCAUUACUACUGAUAAUGUGUCCCAAAUACUCCACUUGGGACUGUCCAAAGAUGCAUUUAGAAAGCUUGGCAAAUAAGGAGCAAGAUCUGAGUGUUUCUAGGACAGUUUUGAGGUGUGAAAGGUGAGUGUUUGGGUCAGGACUAUACACAAGGAUGUCAUCAAAAAAUACUAGCACAAAUUUUCUCAAGUAAGGUUCGAAUACAUGGUUCAUCAGGCUCUGAAAAGUUGCUGGUGCGUUAGUAAGGCCAAAUGGCAUGACUGUGAAUUCAUAAAGUCCAAGGUGAGUUUUGAAGGCUGUUUUUGGAAUAUCAUCUAGGUACAUUCUGAUUUGAUGGUAACCGGCUCUUAGGUCGAUCUUAGUGAAGAUCUUAGCACCAUAUAGCUCAUCAAGCAAAUCAUCAAUGAUUGGUAUUGGAAAUUUAUCUUUGAUAGUCAGGUCAUUUAGUUGUCUGUAAUCAACACAGAAUCACCAAGUUCCAUCUUUUUUCUUAACUAACAGAACUGGAGAUGCAAAUGGACUAUGGCUGAGCUGAAUAAUGCCACUACUAAGCAUGUCUUUUACCUGUUUCUCUAUUUCAUUUUUCUGGUUGUGAGGAUACCUAUAAGGUGCUAAUUUGAAUGGUUUGGCAUUGGGUAUUAAAGGAAUUUGGUGGUCACAAUCUCUGGAAGGAGGAAGGGAUUUUGGCUCCCCAAAUACAUCUUUGUAGUCCGCAAUUAGAGCAUCUAGGGGCUGUUGAAAAGCAAUAUCCAACUGAGUUACAGAGUGUACCUGAGUUCCACUCAUCUUCAGCCCGCAGGCAUGCUUCCAGAUUUUGGUGCUUAGUCCUUCCUUCUCAGUAUUAUCUUUAGGAAGCUUAAGUACCGCCUCCUUCGACUCUCCUUGUAGCCAGAUCCUUUCCCCUUCCUUAUCAAAUGUCAUGUUCAACUGCCUGAAGUCAAAGGUGAUGGGACUGUGUGCAGCCAUCCAAUCCACUCCUAUGAUCAUAUCAUAAGGUUCUAUGUUAAUGAUAAACAUGUCAUGAGUGAAUGGUUUACCUUGCAUUUCCCAGUUCAUGUUUGGAAUCAUCCUACUACAGGUCAAAUACUCCCCAUUAGCCACCUUGACCUUGAAGGGCUUGAUUGUCUGGACCAUCUCUGGAAAGAGUUGAGCCACAGUAUUUUUGACAAAGCUGUGAGUACUUCCCCCAUCCACCAAGAUUGACAGGGGGGUUCCUUUGAACAGCCCCUGCAAUUUGAUGGUAUUGUAAGUCAUUUUCCCUGUCAGUGCAUGUAUUGCCAUUUCCACUCCUCUGGCCGACUGAGCCCCUUGGUACUCAAUUACCUCCUCUUCCUCCAGAUCCUCAGGCCUAUCUUCUACUGCGACCAUCAAAUGAAUCUCCUUCUGCUUGCACUGGUGACCUGGACCAAACUUUUCUCCACACUUGUAGCAAAGGUGAUGUUCCCUUCGGUACUGCAGCUCUUCUGGUGUGAUUUUCUUGAAGUGUUGGGGUGUUUUUUUGACAGCAUUGGCAAUGACAGGUUUGGUAGGUAACAUAGUUUGCUGAGCAGCAGCCUGCGUGGAAUUUCCCCAACCCAUGGCCCUUUGAUGAGGUUUGUGCUUCCUGUGGUAGGCUUCAAAGGCAUUCUCCUGUAGUCUGGCCAACUCAAAGGCUUUGGACAGCGUCCUAGGGUCGUGAGCUUUCACCAUCGAUCUCAAUUCAUCUGGCAAUCCACUCAAAAAACAGGAAAUGUAGUAGUUUUCUGGAAGGUAUGGGGCUCGAAUCAUUACCUCUGAUAACAGCUCCUCAAAUUUUUCUUGAUAUGCUAGGACUGUGGAAGAGAGUUGCAACUUGUUGAAUUCCUCUACUGGAUCCAUCUGUCCUAAGGUUCCAAACCUCUUACACAGCUCUUCAGAAAACUCCAUCCAUUCCACCUUGUUACUCCUAGUAGAUCUGAAUCCUUGAUACCACACUGCCGCCUUCUCCUCCAAGUGGAACUCUGCCAACUCCAUCCAUUGCUCCUUGGGAAUGUGCAGAAGCUGGCAAUAUUUCUGCAGUUUCCUGAUCCAUUCCCUAGGAUUGUUUCCCCUAAAUGCUGGAAUUUCCAAUUUAGGCGUACUAGCGAAGAAGGCACUCCUAGUGUUCCUUUCUCCUUGAUCUCUACUCCCCAGGUCGGAGCUUCUGGAGUGACUUCCUUCUGGAGAUCCUAAUAUGCCUUUCUCUUGAUUUCCACGGUUUAAGCUGGAGAGCUGCUGCGAGAUGGCUAACAUGAACGCAUCUAGCUUAUUGCCCAGCUCAGCACUCACUGCAUCCAACCUCUCCUCCAUGCUUUGCUUGUCUGCCGCCAAAGAUUCCAGAAUUCCGUGAAUCUUGCUUUCUUGCCUGCGGAGCUGUUCCUCCAUCGUCUUCAUCCUUGUUCCAUCCACCAUUGUGAUAUGUCGAUCUAAGCUUCCUAGUCCAAGGACCGGAAGCUCUGAUACCACUUGUAAUGAUAUCACUGAUUUUGAUCAGAGUUAACUGGAGGUAGGGAAAAGUGACCGAGAGAAUUGGGAAGGGAAGAAACAGAGAGGGAAGGUAUAUUGAAAGGGAUUGAGAAAACUGAACUUGUUCUGUUUGAUAGCGUGCCCCAUCCGUCCUCUUUUAGGCUUAUUUAUACAAGAUUCUUCCUCUAGAUCCUUCUGCGUUCUAACCUCCCAACUGAAUGAGCAUGCAUGCAAGCAUGCUAUUUUUGGAUGUCUAACAGAGUAACUAACUUCUGGAUCGCUAACUAACUUCUUAAUAAGGAAAGCAUAGCAGAUACAUUUCUGCUAAAAGUAUUUAUAUUAUCUAGGGUCAUUACAACAUCCAACUCCAACUAUUAAGGUGAGCUCUCAAGAAAGAAAUCUAUUUUAUGUGGCCACGUAAGGAAUUCACAGCUUGCAGUUAAACCGGGGAUUAUUAGAUUGGUUGGUCCUGUGCAGUUACUAAUUAGUAGGAUGAGUGGGUGGAAAGAUUGGCUUUUGCAAGAUGAUAAUUACACACCCUACCCUACGUGUUGUGUCAACUCCACGGCUUUGAUGAAUUGAUGGCGCAUUGCUAAUUUGUACCGUUACUAUUUAAAUUUGUGCAAUGUUAGGAUUUAGGAAGGAAAAAUGUUGAUUUAGCCUCAUCCAUUGCUUUGUUUUUUUUUUUUUUUUUUUCUAAAUGCUAGAUUUCAAUAAGUUAUUUUGUUAACAGUAUGGGAAAAAAUAAGAGAAAAAUUUUAGUAGUACUAGUAGUAGAUUUGAUGUAAGGCUUCCAGUUUUUGAGUUUUGGUCUCGUUGCAUCGGCCAAUUCAGGAGUAUAUUAAAUUACCUUAAAGCCGUAAUUAGCACUCAAAUACAACAAGGACAUUGAGUGGGCUACAGUACACAUCUGUCUCCUGAUGCCCUAUACGUGAAAUCGCUUGACCUGGAUUCACUCGGUUGUAUCCGGCUUCAAUGGGCCCAAUAUUCUGGGCUGUAACGACUUUUUACAAAACACGUACGCUCAGAACUCUUUCGCGACGCAUCCGAUCCGUGCUGCCUGGAUUGGAAGACUUCGGCCGUUGUUUUUAAGGAUAAUUUCAGAAACCACCACCCCCCAGCCCCGGACGCCGGGGGCUGAGGUGAGGUUUCUGACACUUUCAAGCCUUCCUUGAGGUUUUAAGAACUAUACUAAUUUUCCUUGAACUUGAAGUUUUUGUAACAAAUCAAUUCAAUUCAGACAAAAGUACUAUUAUAACUUGAAGCAACAAUAGUCUAUGCACAUAGCCAGUGCAAGUUGUAAUGGUCAUAAUUUUUUGUCAUUUGCAACUACAUAUAAAAGAUACAACUAACGUCAUAAUGCUAUUAAAUUAUUAGUGUAAGCAUCUAAAUUUGGGUCAAAAAAUUAAUCUUUUUAUUUUAGUUGAUGAGAUAAAAUUAUAAGUGUUAGUGCAGAAAACAUACUAGUCUUAGUCAACAAAUCAACAACAAAAGGCAUAAAUAGUUUGUCUGAACACAAGAUUGAAGAAAUAAGUCAAUCAGAAAAUUCUUCUAUUUUUCUUAUCCAUAAGAUCUACACUUGUCCAUACUAUUUGACACCGGAGUUCUCAUGCUUGACUAUUGUUUACUCCACAAGACAACCUCCUUCCCCGUAGGCAUCAAAAACCCGCGCAUCGCCCUCUAGUUGUUCUAAUCAAAUUGAGUUUUGGGACCCAGAGUGCUAAUAUUGCUUAUCUUCUCUUCUUUGCCAGUUGAUAUUUUUGGUAGCGCAAUCUUCCAUUGCGUAAAUUUAUUGAGUCAUUCCUCCUCCGAUUUUAAGAUGUUAUUUAUACCUCCACUGUGUGGAUUUUUGUACUAAAAUAAAUUCCACUCGUGAUUUUGCUAAUGGCUAGAUUCAAUUAGAACUAAAUGCCCUUUCUGACUUCUUUGUAAAAUUAUCUGCCUCAAUACAAUUUUAACAUUUGGAUUUGCUAUUCUUCUGUAAUGUAAGACUCAGUGUUUGUUAAGUUGAGUACAAUUACGCUUGUGAUUAGAGCUGGCAAAAGAGCUCAAAACCCAACAACCCGCCCAACCCGCACAUUAAUUUUAAAGGAUGGGUUGGGUCAAUUGGGUUAUGAAUUUUGUUGGGUUGGGUAAGAACAACCCAACUUAUUUAUUGGGCGGGUUAGGUUUUUUAUUUCAGUACCCAAUACCCAACUUGUUUAAAAGUAAUUCAGAGUAAUAAAUACAAUAUUCCCCAACUAUUUGUAUUUGGACAUGUGUUAAUAAUUCAUUGAUUAAUUUGUAUUCAAAAUUCUCAUAUAUAUAUAUAGUUUCAAUCAAUUUUUUAAAUUUUUAUUUAAAUGUCAGAAUAGUUCAUGAAUUCUCCUCUCAUAAACGGGAUUUCAACUAAGCUUAUGACCCAUAUUAUUUUACUCCCUAAUUCUAACAAAAAACAAACAGUUUGGCUAAUGGAAUUAAUAGAUAUUCCUAUAAUUAAGAGAAUCUUUAGGUGUUACAUUUUUCAGAGAAUUACAAUUAUUUUAAGAAAGUUUUUUCAAAGGAAGAGUGUAAUAAUUGUAAUUGUGCGUAUUCACAUGUUAAAUUACGAUAUAAGAUGAGCCUAUUAACAACAUCGUUAGAAAUAUCAUAUUCAUAAUUAAUCGGGCAUCCGACAAAACGUUGCUUAUUAAGAUACAAAACAAGUUAGCAUAAUCUCACACAAUCCCAAAUAUAAAUUCCCCAUAUAACAUGUCAUAUAUAUUAAGAGUAGAUGUACGACACAAAAUCAAUAUUUUUUAAGGGACACAAAAAUCGAUAGUGGAUCAAUGGAAGAGAUUAUUGAAAAGAUUAAGGUGGUGUUUUGUGUUGGGGGGGGGUUGCUAUGCUGUUCGUUAAAUGUACAAUUUAUUAUCUAAAAUUCACAAUACAAGCAAUAUAAAAUAUUAUUCUAUUUACGAUAUGUUUCCAAGGAACUUAAGAAGUGAGUGUGUAUUUGUGUGUGUGAAAAUACAUUUAUGUAUGUGAAAAUGUGUUUAUAUGUGUGAAAAUUUUUUUUUUUGUGUGUUAAAAUGUAUGUGAAAAAAGUUUAUGUAUUAAUUAAUAUGUUGGGUCAUAUUUGGGUCAUGGGUUUGAGAUAACCCCAUACGACCCAAUCCAAAGUCAACCUAAUCUAAAAUUGGACGGGUUGGAUAUAACCCAUUUAAGUGAAAAUCCAAUAUUAACUCGUCCAAAAUCUGCCCAACCCGCCCAAUUGCCAGCUAUACUUGCAAUUAUAGGACAAUCUCACAAUAAUACACAGAAUGAAUAUAUAUACAUAACUGAGCAUUCGGUGAUGUAGUGUCCCAAGCAUAUGGUUUAACUCCUAACAAAACAGAACUUUCGUUGCACUAUAUAGAUUUAGCUAGACUUGUACACAUAUCAUCUUUCUAAUGUUUAGAUAAGACCAAGAUUUCAUUAUUUCUUGCCUCUUGACAUUUGUAAUUGGCUGCACUAUGAGGUUUAGACUAACAUCUGUUCCUAUCCUUUCUGGCAAAUCCAAGGAACUUAAAAUACAGAGGGAGUUUGCUAUUGCAAGUAAAGAAGAGCAGCAAAGAGAAGAGUAUGAGAGAAGAAGCUAAGCUGUCAACUGCUGUAUAAAUACAUGCCAAGCUUGAAUCCAAAAAGAGAAUACAUUUUUCUUCAUAAAUACGUCACCAAUAAUUUAAGUGGGCAAAUUUACCUACCUUACAUUGCAUUUUGUCAAUGGGUUACAUCAAUCGAGUUUUGGCAAAGCCAAAUUCAACUCAGAAAAUGAAUACGAAUUUCAAACUUUCAGACUUGGAUUUAAUUUAGAAGGCUCAAAUUCAGCUCAUAAGUUUAAUAUGAGUUUUGGGCUCAUAUCAGGAUUGGGCCAAGCUCAUAACCAAGUACACAAUUAUAUAUCAUAUACUCCUUUCAUCCCAUUGUUAACGUCAUGUUUCUACUUUUUUGUUGUCUUAUGGCAAAAGUCAAACAAAUUUCACUACUAAUUUUCUUUUAUACCCUUAGUAAUAAUGACAAGAUUCCAUCAAUUAAUAAUAAAUAAUUGCAUAUGCCCACCACAACACAUGCACACUUUCACCAUUCCUGUGGCCUUUUGCUUUUAGUUGGCUAUUUCCGUGUGUCAGACAAUGGGUAAAACUGGAAGAAUAUAAAAAGUGCAGUUCACCAUUUACAUAAAAAGUGCAACUCCCGAAAAACGUCCCAAAUUUUGGGACGGAGAGAGUAUUAAUAUUUAUGAACUAUUAUUUAUAUAUAAAUUAUUAAUAUCUUAAUAUUAUGAUAUAUAUAAUCUACAAUUUUUAAUUACGUAUUAAUAUGGGUCGAGUUUUAAUUACGUUUGAGUCUAGUAGAACCCAAAUUCAGCUCACACUUAAUUUGGAUCUAUCAUUUAGAUCCAAACACUUUUUGACCCUACUAUGAAGUGGCGUCCUCUAAUUUAUGAGCAGCCUUGAAAAUUUCUAUCUAUAUUCUGAACUGGAACUAGCAAUUGCAAGUACUUCUUCUCAAUACUAGGAUGAUAGAAUGAUAUUUUCAGUCGGACACUUGUGCAGCAUCCUAUAUUAAAGUACCUCAUCCUAAAUGGCUUAACUUUUGCAGUUGAACACUGUCCAGUAAUUUAUGAAUCCACUUGGUUGGAUUAAUGUUAAUAAUUUUUUAUGAAUGAAGGCUAAAUGCUUACAAUAAAUUGUAGUGUCGCUUGUCCUGGACACCAGCCAUGAGUAGCAUGACUCAUGAAACCUAUGUUUUGAAACUCGAAACGGAUAGUGACUAGGCUGACUCAAGAGUCAAUGGGUUCAAUCAGAUUCGGAUUAAUCUAAGAAUCGGGUGACAUCAUCAUAAUAUUAUAAAUAUAUUAAUUAAAAAUUAAAUAGAUUAUAUGUAAAAAUAUAUAUAAGUGUAUUAUCAAUAUGGAAAAAAUGUUCCUUUUAUCUCUCUAUUUGUAUUCUUAUACAUCCUAAAUUUUAGCAUCCUCCGAUCAUAACUCUAAUUGAAUGUUCUUAAGCUUGAAAUGAAAAUUGAUGCGCCUAAAACUAAUUUAUGAAACUUGUUUGACAAAUAAAGAAAUUUAUGAAAGCAUUUACCACUGUUCAGAAACUUGAGAGGUCAAAAUAGAAUAAUAGAAAAGUUGUGAACCAAUGUCUAAAUCUUUGCUUCUUUCCAAGUUUUCGGUUUAUAAGGAAGAGUAUGCCUCGUCCGGUCUUCUUCAACGUUUCUUCUUCUCCAGCCUGUAACAUCCAAUUUCCUAUUAUGUUGUUUUCUUCCUUUUUGUACUUUUAAUCUUCUAAAAUCUUUUGUCUUCUUUUCUUUCCUCACCAAAGAAAACAUUAAUUUCUAUUCUUUAUGUUCAUUUUUGUCUUCAAUUCUCUUCUCAUUUCUUUACAAUUCUUUUAUUUUAUUUUUAGAUCUUGUUACAUUUGAAUGCUGGAAGAAUUGUAAGUGGCUAUGCUGCAGCCACCGCGAUGGCCACCACCAAUCUAUGCUUUUUAUUCAAGAACAUCAAUUUCUAUUCUUUAGAUUCAUUUUUAUCUUCAAUUCUCUUCUCAUUUUCUCACAAUUUUUCAGUUUUAGAUCUUGAAGAUUUGGAUGUUGGAAGAAUUGUAAGUGGUUGUGCCACCAACACCGUCAUAGCCAAGACCCGAGCUUUUUAAUCAAGAUCUGCAGAUAAAAUCAUCAGAAGUCAAAAAUUGGAAAAAAAAAACUGGGAUUUUUCAUUUUUUGGGUUUCUGGUCUAAUCGAGGUUUUGAUCGAGUCUUAGCCAUGCAAUUUUUAACACAAACUCGAACUGGAUGCUUUGCUGGUUCCUGGUUCAUUUGGUCGAACUAGUCCAUUCGGUCCAAUUUUAAAAACAAUGCACGAAACAAGUCACCUACAGAAAACUCGAAAACAUAACAAACUAUUUCGGACGUUAGAAGUAGAGAUUGAAUAUUUUCCAAACGAUAUAAGAUAAAACCUAGACUUAGUUAACUAAAGGCUUUAUCACAUUAAAUCAAAGCACAUUACUGAAGAGUUUUGGCACGUAUCUUUAUUUUAUAUUGUUUGAAAAAUGUGACGUAUGUUUUACUCAAGAGAGAUGUGAUGGAUCACCAAUGAUACAUUAAUUAUCUUAUCGUUUUGUUUGUCACAACUAAUCCUGCAUAGAUCUCACCUAAUUAAUUUCCUAGGAUGACUUGUAUCUAUUAUUGUUUUAGUCAUCCAAAAAAUUUAAAUUAUCUUGCGGAUCCCUUUUCCAACUUGAAAUACACGCUUUUCUUCUUCUUCAUGACUCCAUUUUGGCAAUGGCAAAAUGGACUUUUUCUUUCUUUUGGAAGUGCAAAACUCGUAAUUCACUAUUAAAAGUAAGCAAAAAAUGCACACAAUUUGCUGCAAAAAGCAGAAAACAAAGAGUAUGAACCUUAAAGAACCAUUUAGAACCCGUUCAUUCUUACACAGAAAGUGUUUUACAAAAUAUUCUAGAAAUUCCAAGAGCAUAAGGGAGAAAAUAAUCCAAGAGAGUAGGGGAAAAAAAAAAUACUAAAGCUGGCUUUCACUUUCCCGUGCAAGCAAUCUUACUUAUGUUCGGAGAUUUUAGGAAAGGGACAUCGAGUAAAGUCAAGAAAUAAGACAAAUAAAUUUCAGAAUUUUAAAUUUAGCAGGCACAUACAUGAGGUUCCCUUCUUUUCACUUUCCCUUUCCCAUUCUCAUUUUUUAAUUACAAAUUGAGUGACUUUUUGGUUCUAUUACAUUGUUAAGGUUUUCAUAAUUGUCAAACCUAAGAAAAGGACUCAAAGGAUCAUGUUUUGAAUCAUUCUCUUCAAUUUUACCCUCCAGUCCCUGAGUGUUAAAAAAUACAUAAUUAUUUUAGAAUCACAAAUAAAAUUAGUAUCAACUUUCAAAGGAAAAGAGGAGAGCCUAAGAGUCCAGCUGAAAAUCUCUAGUUACCUGAUUAUUGUCCCUAUUAGGUAAAGAGAGGCUUACAUUCAUUUUUUGCCCCCUCUGGAAGUUGCAUUUCGAAUUAUCUAUAAAAGAUGGCACUUCGUGGAAGCUAAUAAGUGUAGUAGGGAACCCAAACGAAGCAAUAGCGAACCAAUUCACAUUUCUGAACGGAAAAACAAAGAUGUAUAUGCUUCCAAUUGAGCAAAUAAUUGCCUUUUCUUCAAACAUUCUAUCUCAUUACUUCUUUGUUUCCUCUUCACUAUCUUUGUUGUCAAAUGGCGAAAUUCCACUUCGAACCCCUCACAGAAACUUCCACCUUCCCUCCAAAGCUUCCCAUAAUCGGAAACCUUCAUCAACUCGGUUCAAUCCCUCAACGCUCUCUGAAAUCAUUAGCUCAAAAAUACGGUUCCCCAAUGCUGCUUCAUCAAUAGCAAGUGGCGUCCUCAACUUUAUGACCAGCCUUGAAAAUUUCCUAUCCAUGUUCCGAAGCGGAACUAGCAAUAGCAAGUGCUUCUCAAAUACUAUGAUGAUAGAAUGCUAUUUUGAGUUGGACGCUUGUGCAGCAUCCUAUAUUGAAGUGCCUCAUGCUAAUGGCUUAACUUUUGCAGUUGAACACAGUCCAGUAAUUUGUGAAGCCAUUUGGUUGGAUUAAUGUUAAUAAUUUUUUAUGAAUGAAGGCUAAAUUCUUAAAAUAAAUUGAAGUGUAGCUUGUCCUGGACACAAGCCAUGCGUAUCAUGAGUCACAAAACUGGUCACCUAUAAAAAAGUCAGAGUGAAACAUAACAAACUAUUUCGUUGGUCAGAAAAAGAUAUUGAAUAUUUUACAAAAGUUAUUAGGUAAAACCUAAUUAACCUUUCUUUCUUUAUUUCUCGAAUCAAUGUGAGACAUAAUCUUUUACUCAUGAAUCUAACAAAUCUCCCCUUUCAUGAGUAACCCCUCACAUUAAACCCAAAUUUAUAAACUCUUCUUGGAUCUCACUUUAAUACUAAAUGCAAUCUCACCUUAUCACUUAAGAUUACCUCUUCUCCCAAACACGGAUCCACUCCUCUUCAACAUCUAAAUUGUAUUCUGGACCUCUGCCAACCUUUGGCUUCUUGGUCUAAUACUAACCGGACCCAUUGCCAAACCCAUGUUGCACCUGGUACAACACUAGCCAAAUUCAUUAGCACUUUGGUACUUCGAUCCACCAUCAAGAAGAGAAUUCACCGUUCCAACUCUUAAAAGAACUCACUUGCCCAUGAGUAGUCCAGUCUUGUAAUCUAAAACUCUAAUACCAAUUCGAUAUGGAGAAACACCUCGAGAGAGUUCACCAAAGAACUUAAUAUGUAAGUCAGGAAUCCAACUUUAACCCAAAAGCUUAAGUCAUUAGGUCUCGAGUCCUUACUUACAUAUUAAUCACUCUUUCUCUCGGAUCAAUAUGGGACAUAAUCCUUUUUUCAUUAACCUAACAGUUUUGGCAUGUAUCUUUAUUUUAUGUUUGUUUAAAAAAUGUGAUGUAUGUUUUACUCUAGAAAGAUGUGAUGGAUCACCAAUGAUACCAUUACCUUUGCUAUUAUCCCUUUGUAUGAUUGCACCAUUAAGUACAUUAAUUAUUUGAUCCUUUUGUUUGUCCCAACCAAUCAUCCAUAGAUCUCAAGUAAUUAAUUUUCUAGUAUGACUUGUAUCUAUUAGUGAUUUAGCCGCCCAAAAAAUUUAAAUUUUCUUGCGGACCCCUUUUCCAACUCGAAAUACAUGCUUUUCUUCUUCAUCACGACUCCAUUUUCGCAUGGCGAAAUGGAUUUUUUCUUUCUUAUGGAAGUCCAAAACAGUAAGCAAAAGAUACACAAUUUACUGCCAAAAGCAGAAAACAAAGAGUAUGAACCUUAAAGAACCAUUCAGAAUCAUUCAUUCUUACACUAAAAAUGUUUUACAGAAUAUUCUAGUAUUCCAAGAGCUUAAGGGAGAAAAUAAUCCAACAGAAUAGGGAAAAAAAUACUUGAAUUCUGGGUUUCACUUUCCUAUGCAAGCAAUCUUGCUUACGUUUAGAAAUUUUAGGAAAGGGACAUCUAGUUGAUAAGCUUACAUUUUACAUGUUGAAGUGUAUUUUACUAUUUAGUUUUGGUGUGUUUUAUUCACUUUUAUAGCUAAUUAACUACAUUUCUAGUGAAGUUUACAUUUUGUGGUUUAUAGAUUGAAAAAUUGAAUUUCUAUGGAUUAAAGUGGUGAAAACUUCAUAUUUUUUUUAAUGAUUUAAUCAUCAAAUGGAGUGAUUUGAGAAGAUAUUUGGAUGAUUGUUGAUGAUUUGAAAGGAUGUAAAGAGAAUAUGAAGUGCCAGAAACUCAAAAGAUGAAAUGCAAUCAAGUAUAAAAGAAAGGGAGUUUAAUAGUUUUGACACAUGUUGGUAUUUUAGCUAUAUCUUGAGUUACAAGCAUCAGAUUGAAGUGAUUCUUUAGUUAUUUUGAAAUUAACACAUAUCUCUAUAAUUAUUAUGAAGACAUUGAAAUCUAGUUCAUAAGGUUUCCUAGUGAAAAGGUCAAAAUACAUUUAGCCACUCUUGUUGUCAAAAAUUGAAACAAAGUUUUGAUCAAUCGAGAGUAUUUUGGUAUUUUUCAGUCCACAGUACUUCAAAUUAAGUGAUUCUUGAAGCAUUUGAAGCUAACUUAAAGUUUAUCUUUUGCAGAAGAGCUAGUUAAAUCUCUAUCAUCGACAAAGUAUCAGCUAAAAUUGGUACCAAAAUAGAGUAAAGUUAAUUAAAGGCAUUAUCACAUUAAAUCAAAGCACAUUGUUGAAGAGUUUUUGAAGGAGAGAAAUACCUUGAGGGAGUUCAUUAAAGAGCUCAAUAUAUAAGUUUAGAACUCAAUUUUGUCCCAAAAACUUAAGCCAUUAGAUUUCGGACCCUUACUUACAUAUUAACCGCUCUUUCUCUAUCUCUCGAACUAAUCUGGGAUAUAAUCCAUUACUCAUGAAUGUAACAAAUUUCUUCCUUCAUGAGUAACUCUUCACAUUAAACUCAAAUUUACAAACCCUUUUUUAAGCCCACUUUAAUACUCAACAUAAUCUCACCUUAUCACCUAAGGUCACAUCUUCUCUCAAACAUGGACCCACUUUUUUUCAACAUCCAAACUACAUUCUGAACCCCUACCAACCUUUGACUCCUUAGUUUAAUACCAAUCGGACCCCCUGCCAAACUCAUGGCACACAUGGUCCAACACUAGCUAAAUUCAUUAAUAUUUUGGCACUUUGGUCUACCAUCAAUAAGAGAAUUUUCGCCGGUCUAACUCCUAGAAGAAUUCACUUGCCCAUGAGCAGCCUAAUCUUGCAACCUGAAACUCUGACACCAAUUUGAUGGGGAGAAACACAUCGAGGGAGUCCACCAAAGAGCCUAAUAUGUAAGUCAGAAAUCCAACUUUGACCCGAAAACUUAAGCCAUUAGGUUUCGAGCACUUACUUGCAUAUUAACCACUCUUUCUUUAUCUCUCAUACUAGUGUAGGACAUAAUCCUUCACUCAUGAACCUAACAGUUUUUACAUGUAUCUUUUUUUUUUUAUGUUUGUUUAAAAAAUGUGAUGUAUAUUUUACUCUAGAAAGAUAUGAUGGAUCACCAAUGAUGCCAUUGUCUUUGCUAUUAUCCCUUUGUAUGAUUGCAACAUUAAGUAAUUAAUUAUCUGAUCCUUUUGUUUGUCCCAACCAAUCAUCCAUAGAUCUCAAGUAAUUAAUUUUCUAGUAUGACUUGUAUCUAUUAGUGAUUUAGCCGCCCAAAAAAUUUAAAUUUUCUUGCGGACCCCUUUUCCAACUUGAACUACAUGCUUUUCUUCUUCUUCAUGACUCCAUUUUCGCAUGGCAAAAUGGAUUUUUUCUUUCUUUUGGAAGUCCAAAGCAAUAAGCAAAAGAUACAAAAUUUACUGCAAAAAGUAGAAAACAAAGAAUAUGAACCUUAAAGAACCAUUCAGAAUCUUUUCAUUCUUACACUGAAAAUGUUUUACAAAAUAUUUUAGUAUUCCAAGAGCUUAAGGAAGAAAAUAAUCCAAGAGAUUAGGGGAAAAAAAUACUUAAAUUCUGGCUUUCACUUGCCUAUGCAAGCAAUCUUGCUUACGUUCAGAAAUUUUAGGAAAGGGACAUCUAGUUGAUAAGCUUACAUUUUACGUGUUGAAGUGUGUUUUAUUAUUUAGUUUUGAUGUCUUUUAUUCACUUUUAUAGCUAAUUAACUACAUUUCAAGUGAAGUUUACAUUUUAUGGUUCAUAGCUUGAAAAAUUGAACUUCUAUGGAUUAAAGUGGUGAAAACUUCAUAUUUUUUUGGUAUAAUGAUUCAAUUAUCAAAUGGAGUGAUUUGAGAAGAUAUUUGGAUGAUUGUUGAUGAUUUGAGAGGAUUUAAAGAGAAUAUGAAAUGCCAAAAACUCAAAAGAUGAAAUGCAAUUGAGUAUAAACAAAAAAGGGAAUUUGACAGUUUUGACACCUAUUGGUAUUUCGGCUAUAUCUUGUGCUACAAGUAUCAGAUUGAAGUGAUUCUUUAGUUAUUUUGAACUUAACACAUAGCUCUACAAUUAUGAUGAAGACAUGAAAUCCAGUUCAUAAGGUUUCAUAGUCAAAAAGUCAAAAUACAUUCAGCCACUCUUGUUAUCAAAAGCUGAAACAGAGUUUUAACUAGUUAAAAGUAUUUUGGUUAUCUUUCAGGCCAUGGUGCUUCAAAUUAAGUUAUUCUUGAAGUAUUUGAAACCUAAAUUAAAGUUUAUGUUUUGCAGAAGAGCGAGUUCAGCCCCAUCAUCGAGAAAGUAUCAAUUAAAAUUGGUACAAAAAUAGAAUAAAGUUGAAGAUUGAUCAGAAAUGAGGAAACCUACAAUAAAGCAAAACAGAAGUAGAUAUUGAAUAUUUUCCAAAAGUUAUUAGGUAAAACCUAGACUUAGUUAAUUAAAGGCGUUAUCACAUUAAAUCAAAGCACAUUACUAAAGAGUUUUUGAUGGGGAGAAAUACCUCCAGAGAGUUCACCAAAAGCCCAAUAUGUAAGUCAAGAACCCAACUUUGAUCCAAAGGUUUAAACCAUUGGAUUUCGGGUCCUUACAUAUUAACUGCUCUUUCUUUAUCUCUCGGACCAAGGUGGGAUAUAAUCCUUUACUCAUGAAUCUGACAAAUUUCUCCCUUCAUGAGUAACCCCUCACAUUAAAUCCAAAUUUACCAACCCUUCUUUGAUCCCACUUUAAUAUUCAACGCAAUCUCAUCUUAUCACCUAAGGUCAUCUCUUCUCCCAAACAAGGACCCACUCUACUUCAACAUCCAAACUGUAUUCUAGACCCCUGCCAACCUUUAACUCCUUGGUCUAACACCAAUCGGACCCCCUGCCAAACUCAUGGCGCACCUGGUCCAACACUACCCAAACUUAUUAGCACUUUGGCACUUCGAUCCAUCAUCAGUAAGAGAAUUUUCACUGGUCCAACACGUAGAAGAAUCCACUAAGUCAUGAGUAGCUCUGUCUUACAACUUGAAACUCUAAUACCAAGUUGAUGAAAAUAAACACUUUGAGAGAGUGCAUCAAAGAGCCCAAUAUAUAAAUCAGGAACCCAACUUUGACCCAAAAGCUUAAGCCAUUAGGUCUUGGUCGCUUAUUUACAUAUUAACUACUAUGUCUCUAUCUCUCGGACCAAUGUGAGAUAUAAUCCUUCACCCAUGAACUUAACAGUUUUUACAUGCAUCUUUUUUUAUGUUUGUUUAAAAAAUGUGAUGUAUAUUUUACUCUAGAAAGAUGUGAUGGAUCACCAAUGAUGCCAUUAUCUUUGAUAUUAUCCCUUUGUAUGAUUGCAACAUUAAGUACAUUAAUUAUUUGAUCCUUUUGUUUGUCCCAACCAAUCAUGCAUAGAUCUCACGUAAUUAAUUUCCUGGUAUGGCUUGUAUAUAUUAUUGAUUUAGCCACACAAAAAAUUUAAAUUUUCUUGCGGAGACUUUUUCCAACUUGAAAUACACGCUUUUCUUCUUCUUCAUAACUCCAUUUUGGCAUGGCGAAAUGGAUUUUUUCUUUCUUUUAGAAGUCCAAAACAAUAAGCAAAAAAUACACAAUUUAUUGCAAAAAACAGAAAACAAAGAGUAUGAAUCAUUCAGAACCUGUUAAUUCUUGCACUGAAAAUGUGUUACAAAAUAUUUUAGUAUUCCAAGAGCUUAAGGAAGAAAAUAAUCCAAAAGAAUAGGGAAAAAAUACUUAAGUUCUGGCUUUCAGUCUCCUAUGCAAGCAAUCUUGCUGAUAUUCAAAAUUUUUAGGAAAAGGACAUCUAGUUGAUAAGCUUGCAUUCUAUGUGUUUAUGUGCAUUUUAUUAUUUAGUUUUGGUGUGUUUUAUUCACUCUUAUAGCUAAUUAACUACAUUUCUAGUGAAAUUUACAUUUUGUGGUUCAUAGUGUGAAAAAUUGCAUUUCUAUGGAUUAAAGUGGUGAAAAUUUUAUAUUUUUGUAGGUUUAAUGAUUUAAUCAUCAAAUGGAGUGAUUUGAGAAGAUAUUUGGAUGAUUGUUGAUGAUUUGAAAGGAUAUAAAGAGAAUAUGAAGUGCCAAAAACUCAAAAGAUGAAAUGCAAUCAAGUAUAAAAGAAAGGGAGUUUGACCAUUUUGACAACUGUUUGUAUUUCGGCUAUAUCUUGAACUACAAGCAUUAGAUUGAGUUGAUUCUUGAGUUAUUUUGAAACUAACACAUAGCUCUACAAUUAUUAUGAAGAUAUUGAAAUCCAGACCAUAAGGUUUCCUAGUCAAAAGGUCAAAAUACAUUCAGCCACUCUUGUUGUCAAAAGCUGAAAUAGAGUUUUGACACAUGUCGAGAGUAUUUUGGUCAUUUUUCAGUCCAUAGUACUUCAAAUUAAGUGAUUUUUGAAGCAUUUGAAAGCUAACUUAAGGUUUAUGUUUUGUAGAAGAGCUAGUUGAGCCUCUAUCAUAGAGAGAGUAUUAGUUAAAAUUUGUACAAAAAUAGAGUAAAGUUGAAGACUGAUCAGAAAUGGAAAAACCUGCAAUAAGGCAAAAUGAGGGGCAAUACGCGACCUUAUGCCCACGUUUUGAUGCCCGCGUAUUCUUCAAACGAACUUUCAACCUGUACAUCAACUUGUUCUACAUUUCACACAAUUUUUUCAACUAUUUUCCAAUUCAGAAUAUCGGUUGUAGCUGUAAAGAAAAGUGUGGAAACUUGGAGAAACACCUUUGAUAAUUUCAAGAGACAAAAUUGCCAAUUAAAAACAAUUCAUUUUGAGUUUUAAUUCUCUAAAAAUAGGGCCUUUGUUGAACUUGUUUAAUAACUUUGGAAGGCCAGAAACACUGCUAAAAUGUAGUUUUCACUAGUUUUUCUUAGUUCAUUAGUUUAGUAUAGAGUAGUAUAGUUUCCAUCCACUCUUGUGAUAGCUAAACUUGGUAAAGUUGAGGAUGAAAAUAUUGAGUUUGGAAAUCAUGUGACAAGGGUGACAUUUCUCCUAUCACUUUAAUUCUUAUAUUGAUUCUAAUGUUUGAUUAUAAUAUAAGUUUGGAUCUUGUUUUCAUGUCUUUCAUGUUUAGCUAAAGUUUAUACCUAGAGUUAUGAAUAAACUUUUUAUAUCUUGUUGCGAUGUUUAUUUGGUUAUUUGAUAAUAUUAUUUUGAUCAAGUUAUUUAUCACUUUUAUUUAUCUGAUCAUGAUUAACUGGCCAUUAAUUAUGAUAAUUUUAAGGUGUUAAGUUUACAAUGAAAAUUGGGAUUUGACACUAGUUUAAAAAAGUGAUAAACCUAGGAAGUACAUUCACGAGAGUAGAAGUGUACCUAUAUGGCUUUAGUGGCUUGUUCAUGUAAUUUCAUAGAAGAAGUGAACUUGUAAUUAAUUUUAUAACCACGAGAGUAUGCAUUAUUUAGUUACAAGUAUAGUUAAUUCACUAUGAGAGUAAAUUUCACAUACAUUAGAAAAUUAUGUCAUAACUAGUCAAGAUAAUAACAUUCAAUUAAACGGUAAUUUCACUUGCAAGACUAGUGUGGAAUUCCGUGACCCUAAGAGAUUUCUAUUGUUAUUUUUAUUACUUUGAUUUCAUGUUUAUUGUAUAGAUUUAACUUCUUGCACUUGUAAGAUUCUAAACAAUGAAGAAGUUCAAAAACCAUCAAUAAUUGACAAACUUCUUUGUGGGAUCGAUAUUUAAUAUCCCUAUACUGAAUAAACGAUCUGUAUACUUGCAAAAAAAUGGGGUAUUUAGAUUUUAUUAAAAUUGUUAUAUGGUAGAAUGUCGUCACUAGUAAAGUCAAAAAAUAAGACAAAUAAACUUCAGAAUUUUAAAUUUAGCAGACACAUACGCGAGGUUCCCUUUUUCCCUUUUCUCGUUCUCGGGUUUUAAAUGUGAGAGGUUAUAAAUUACAAAUUCGGUGACUUUUUGGUUGAAUUACAUUGUUAAGGUUUUCAUAAUUGUCAAACCUAAGAAAAGGACUCAAAGGAUCAUGUUUCGAAUCAUUCACUUCAAUUUUACCCUCUGGUUCCUGAGUGUUAAAAAAUACAAAAUUAUUUAUAACUAUGUUUGUUGUGUAAUUUUUAUGUUCUUUUUUUUCUUUUAUUUGCUUUCCAAUGCAUGAAAUGAUGACUAAUUAUGAUAUUCUUGAUGUGCGCGGAGUAUGCAUACAAGAAUAAACCUCAAUCCACAGUCAAGGUUUGAAUUUAUAAUUUUCUAAACUACCUCACACGCGAUUUUCUGUAAGUAUGGUUCGUGAGCAAGUAUAGGGUAAUUAAGGUAGAACCCACAGGGAAAAUGGACAACUACCGGCACUACUAAAGUUUCUCUAUUACUUAGACUAUCGACAAAUUAAAACAAACUAAUCUAAACCACUGAUGGGCAGAAAAAUAUAAAUGAAAGCUCCAUGAGUAAUGAAAUUACUAUCUAUUCAUGCUAGUGCAACUUCCUGACUAAAUUAGUACUAAAACCUCAACUAAGCCAUGGCUUAAUUUCCUAUGUACAUGAUACUUGCUUUCGCCGGCGUACCACCUAGACCUACAGCUAAUCCAUAUCUACUUUUGUGGUUAUGAAAUCAACUAUAAACUUAUUUACUUCUAUGAAAUCACUACAAAACAAGUCAUAAAGACGCACCACUAUUUUUGUGAGUGUACUCCCUAGAUUUAACACUUUCAUAAAUUAGUGUCAAAUUUAAAUUUUCAUUACAAAUCUAACACCCUUUAGAUAAUCAUAAUUAAUGACAAGUUAAUCAUGAUUAUGAGAGUCCAAGUGCUAAAUUACUCAAUCAAGAUAAUAGCCCAAAAUAACCUAGAAAUCAACACAUAACAACCAUAAACAAUCAUAAAUAGUCCACCCAAAUAUCCAAGGCAUAAACUUUAAAUAACAUUACAAACAUAAUAUCCAGAAUUUGCAUUAACAAAACUUAGAAUGCAAUACAAGAUAAAGAGGUGGAGAGAAGAAAAACCCUUGCCACUAGAGCUUCUUAAAUCUCUCCAGCUUCAUCUCUAUCAAUCUCUUUGUCAAGCCAAUGCAAGAAUGGAUCGACAACAACUAGAUUAUCUAACUCUAUCCUACACUAAAACAUGAAAAAGAAUGAGAAAAGUGCUACAUUUGUCGAGAGUUUAUGUCACAACCUGAUACAAUUCCUAAGAGUUGCCCAUGCCAAAUUUCAAGAUCAAACAAUAGUUCAUUGGGGUCUAAUGAAUAGGGUUAAAUUCAAGUCUCUUAUAUGUUUAUUCAAUCCAUGUUAGUGAGUGUUUCGUUGUUUGGUUGGUUUGAAUUAGCUCAUGUUGAGCAUAGGUUCGAUUUGACCAAUAGUUAGUCGUGUGGUUGGUAGAUUAAUUAAUUAGCUUAGCUUAGGUCCGGCCAACUACAGUGACAAACUAAAGUGAGUUAAAGCUGUGAGUUUCUUUUGUUUGCAAAAUUCUAAUUAGGUUAGGAGUUGAGUCUUGUAAGCCUAUAAAAAGGCAACUCUUUCAUUCAAUAGAGGAGACGACGAUUUUAUGAAAACGUGAGAGUUUAACUCUUUUUCUUGUUCUUUUGUGAAUGCCUCUUGACACAAAGUAAGUUAUGUCUCUUUUGUUCAAGUUUUGGUUUAUCAAUUCAAGAUCGCUUUGAAUUGUGACGCCUUACUACCUUCUAAAUAGUCUUGAACUGUCCUUGAUUGGUUUAGAAUCCAUCUUUUGUAUCUAUAAUCUAUUCAAGAUAGAUCGUUCCGUUGUCUGAUCAACCUGGUUCUUCAAAAUAGGUUCUUGCUGGGUCGAGUUCGCAUCACAACCCCUUUGUCUUCCGACUCAAGUAUUCAACACGGUAUUUGAAAUGAAUUUCAACCAUCUGGCACCAUAUACUGCUAGCAACUCUUCUUCGGAAAAUCCUUGAAGAGUAUCUAGCGCGACUAUCUCUAUCUAACACCAUAUACUGCUCAAUACCCUUUCUAUUGCAAAACCUUCUAGCGGGUAUCCGGUUUAGUAUCUGACUCGAAAUUCAUUGUGUAGUCCCGUAUACUCUAAUCAAAUCCAAUGAUGACUUUUGGUAACUGGUCCCGGAUUGUCCUUGCUUGUUGAUCCCUACCAAAAAUAAUAAAUUUUAACAAGUAAAAUGCAAUGAAUUCACAAGUCUUCUCAAAGUUAUUCAAAAGCAUCAAAUACUGCCAAAUGAUUAUUCACAUUGUCGUAGGAGCUCAAAAUUAAUUAUAAUUGAACUAAAAUAUACAUAAACUAUUAGAUAAAAUGGACACUUGUCAAUUUUGUUGCGUAAACCUUAUUCAAUUUACACUAAUUAUUCAUGAUUAUUGUUCCUAUUUAAAUUACAAAUAAAAUUAGUAUCAACUUUCACUUUCAAUUGAAAACUCCUACCACUUUCAAAGGAAAAGAGUAGGGCCUAAGAGUCCAGUUAAAAAUCUCUAGUUACCUGAUUAUUGUCCCUAUUACGUAAAGAGAGGCCUACAUUCAUUUUUUUUUUGCCCUUCUGGAAGUUGCAUUUCAAUUUAUCUAUAAAAGGUGGCACCUAGUGGAAGCUUAUAAGUGUAGUAGGGAACUCAAACGAAGCAAUAGCAAACCAAUUCACAUUUCUGAACGGAAAGGCAAAGAUGCAUACACUUCCAAAUGAGCAAAUAAUUGCCUUCUUCUUCAAACAUUCUAUCUCAUUACUUCUUUGUUUCCUCUUCACUAUCUUUGUUGUCAAAUGGCGAAAUUCCACUUCAAACAACUCACAAAACCUUCCACCUUCCCCUCCAAAGCUACCCAUAAUCGGAAACCUUCAUCAACUCGGUUCAAUCCCUCAACGCUCUCUGAAAGCAUUAGCUCAAAAAUACGGUUCCCCAAUGCUGCUUCAUCUAGGCAGCAAGCCGGUGUUAAUUAUCUCCUCCCCUGAUGCAGCUGAAGAAGUCAUGAAAACGCAUGAUUUAAUCUUUGCCAAUAGGCCUAAAGCAGGCUUUGCUGGAAGGCUUCUGUACAAUUUCAAGGACAUAGCGUUUGCUUCCUAUGGUGAGUAUUGGAGGCAGGUAAAAUGCAUAUGUGUACUACAGCUUCUAAGCCACAAGAGGGUUCAGUCAUUUCGAAGCAUAAGGGAAGAAGAGAUUGCACUAUUGUUGGAAACAAUUAGAGAAUCUUGUGCUUCGUCUUCAGUAAUACUUAUAAAUAAAAUUUUGGCAACGCUUACGAACAAUAUAGUUUCGAGAGUUGCCAUUGGGAAAAGGUAUUCGGGAGAGGAAAGUGGGAGCAGGUUUCAGGAACUCUUUGUGGAACUUACCAUGUUGUUGGGUGUUUUCAACGUUGGAGAUUACGUCCCAUGGCUUGCAUGGAUAAAUAAUAUCAAUGGCUUGGAAGCAAAGGUGAAAAAAGUGGCCAAAAAUUUCGAUGAAUAUCUGGAAAAACUUCUUGAAGUGGGAGUGAAGAAGCAGGACAAAAGAGGAAACAAGAAUGGUGGUGAUGAGAAACAUCAGCAGAAUCUUGUGGAUGUUUUGCUUGAAAUCCAGGGAACAGAUGCCACCAAUUUUGCUCUUGAGCGAGAUUCCCUUAAAGCCAUCAUCAUGGUAAAGAAAAUUAACUUUCUUCUGAUUAUCUUCCGAGCUACAGUUUUACAGUUCUUUUGUUAAUACGUAAGUUUGCAGUGUUUGGUCUGUCAAUGGUGAAUUGCAUAUGUUUUUUUUUUUUUUUUUUGUAUAAAAUGCAAAGCUGAUGGGAAUGGGAUUUGAGCUUUGGUUUUCUGAGAAUUGAUUUUCAAAAACUCACACAAAUCACCUGGGAAAAAUAACAAAUUCAAAUAAAGAAGUAUAGCAUCGCCUUAUCUCGCGCGCAGACUUAGUACAAAACAUUUUGUUGUCCGCUGAUUAGAUCAUGACACCAUCCGGGAUAUUUCUAUGUCUCCUCAUAAUGGAAUGAUACUGGAAUAUUUUUUCUAUUCAAACAUAAGUUAACUAGCUUUCACCAUAUUUGCAAACAGUUUGAAACCACCCUAACCAUUUAUUAUGAUUUUGACAUACUAUGUGAGUCAGUUGAUGCACUCUUUUAUCUUGGUUGUGUGACUUUGGUCCAUAUCGAAUGAUACAAGCAAUGAGUUAAGAAUAGAGUGAAAAGCAAAAAUUAGCAACGUAAUAUAAAGGUCCAAGGUUGAGUUAGUUCGUUCAUUAACUUCUUUGUCUUCUGAAUAGGUAUCUAUACUUUUGAAUAUUCAGUGCAAUAAUUGAGUAGAAUUCAAAAGUUUUAGCUGUACAAACUAUUCUUAUUAUAACAUAGACAAGUAGACUAGGAAUAAAGUCUUUAUGAGGUUGGUCCCUAUGACGUAUAGCUGAAAGAACAAGCAAUUUUGAGUUUGCAAUCAUGCAAACACCAAAUCAAAAUAUUAGUUUUCAUGUAGCUUGUGUCGGAAAUUUGACAUAGAACUUUCUAUGUCCCGAUUUUAUUAUUAUUAUUUUUGUUUUUGCAGGACAUGUUUGUUGGUGGAACUGACACUACAUCAUCGCUGCUAGAGUGGACAAUUUCAGAGCUAUUAAGAAACACAAAUGCCAUGCAAAAAUUGCAUAAAGAAGUGAGACAAUUCUUAGGAAGCAAAUCAUGCAUCAGGGAAGAUGAUUUAGAGAAUCUCCAUUACCUAAAAGCAGUAAUAAAAGAGGCUCUUCGUUUGCAUCCACCAGUUCCAUUACUUCUUCCUCGUGAAUCAAGCAAGGCAGUCAAAAUAAUGGGAUACGAUAUAGCUGCCGGCACUCAAGUGAUUAUCAAUGCUUGGGCGAUCGCAAGGGACCCAAAAUUGUGGGAAGCUGCGCGCCGAGGAAUUUCAGCCAGAGAGGUUCUUGAAUAGCUCGUUGGACUUUAAAGGGCAAAAUUUUGAGUACAUCCCAUUUGGUUCUGGGAGGAGGAGCUGCCCUGGUUCUGCGUUUUCUAUGGUUACAGCUGAACUUGCACUUGCAAAUUUGAUCUGCAACUUCGAUUUUCAAUUGGCUGGUGGAGCAAGACCAGAAGAUUUGGAUAUGACUGAAGCACAUGGGAUCGUUACACCAAGGAAAGUCCCACUUCUACUAGUUGCAAGUCUACCUAAUUAGGCACUUCAAGAUCUAAGAUAACAUGUCGGUAGAUAUGUGUAUAUUAUUCUAUCUUGUCACAACUUUAAAUUUGAGAUGGAGUCUGAUGGGAAAAACUUUUAAAAUGGUGAAAUAUUGCAUUAUCAGUAGCAUUGUGUCCUUGUAUGUAAAAUGUGUGAUUUUGACACAGUAGCAUUGUGUAUGUAAAAUGUGUGAUUGUGUCCUUGUAUGUAAAAUAUGUGCUUGUGUCCUUGUAUUUAAAAUGUAUGAUUUUGUCACUAGCUCAUUCUGGGGAUUUUAGAUUUGUUCGGAAUCAUAAUGGUCUAUAGGGCGGACUAAAUGAUUUUUUCUUGGGUAAAUUGCUCAUAACCUACUGUACUUUUUUAUGAUACCAGAUGGCUAUUCUGUGAUUGCAAAAUAUCUACAUAACUCCCUUUUAUUGUUUUAUAUAAAGCGAAAUUUAAUCAAAAAUGAUCUCUAUAACAUCACUAGUUGAAAUACUAAUAUUAUCCUUAUUUAAGUACUAAAUUGAAUAAGGGUCCAAGAAUAUUACAUAAAAAUCGUGAAUUGAUGCAAAAUCAGAAGGGUUAAAUGAAUAUUUAUGCAAAAUUAUAGGGCUUGAGUGAAUAUUUAUACAAAAUUUUAGGACGUUAAGUGGAUAUUAUUAUUUUAUUACAUGUACUUUUGGAGUGCGUCUCAGUCAAUUGUGUUAACCAAAGAUGUUUUCCAUCUAUUUUUCACUUUAUAUAAAAUUAUAGGAAGUUAUGUGAAUAUUUUGAAACUUUUGGGAGUCAUGUGAUAGUAUGCAAAAGCACAGAGAGGCUUAUGAGUAAUUUACCCUACUUUCUUCUGUGCUUUUGAUUCAAUAAAGAUGUGUGAUUUGAUGCAUGUAAAAUAAACAUAAUUUCUUUUUCAUACAUGAUACCUAUGCUUAACAAAAUCUUGAUUGCGAACAAUAGUAAACUAAUGUUGAGUGUUUAUUUCUUUUUAUACCUUGAUAUUAGUGCACCACAAUUAUGUUUUUUCAUUCUAGCUCAUUUUGAACAUACCAUGGGUUGGAUUUCAAAAGACCAAUUCCAAAAUUAGAAGUCAUCAUCAUAACAUUUGGCUGCAACAUGUUGCAGUAUUUUGUUUUCCUACAAAUUAGAAAAAGUUCCACUUUGAAUUUAGCAAAGUACCAUGUUAUGAUGGUGAUGAUCAACAUCGGGAGAUGAGGAUCAGAUACUGAUGAUGAUGAGCUCAAUAGCUACUCGAGCAAAUGGACAGUUAGUUUUACUAGUUGGUAACAAAAGUUAGUCGUAAUAACUGCUCCAGUCGGUUAGACAAUCCAUCGAGUUGAACAACUGCCCAUAGCUGGCUAUAUAGAGAUGUAUGGAAGAGAUGUAAAGAUUCAUUCUGUUUUGUAGGAAAAAACCCCCCAGUAUUAAUACUCUCAUCAUUUCCUUCUCCAAUCUUUUCUUUCUCUUCUAUUUCUAUCUCUCUCUCUUUCUAUCUAUUCUGGAUUCUGCUUAUUAAAGCAGGAUCAAUUAAUUCCAUAUCUAAAAUUGAAAACCAACUUUUCCAUAUGAUUCAUUCUUCAAGUUAAUUGUAGGGCAAAAAAUGAUAUCUUCUUCUAUGCUCUGAUUCGGUAAAGACGUGUGAAUUGACCCCAUGCAGAUACACAAUAUCUUUUCCUAAGCAUCUUUUUUAAAAUCUAUUUUCUUAUACCUAAAUAUUAUUACAUCACAACCGUCUUCAUUUAUACCAAUUUAAGAUGAACAUACUACAGGCUGGAAUUCAAAAAAAAAAAACUUGGUUUUUUUAUCUCAAUCUCAAAUAAAAAAAAACGUGCAUCACGAUAGUACAAUUAUUUGAUGGUGACAAUGUGCAGUGCUUCCUUUCACUUUGAUUCUUUUUUCUUCACAAAUUUUGAUUCAAUUCAUCUUUAAAACAGGUAUUAGUGGAAGGCAAGUGCAGUAGGGAUCCCAAAGAAAAGAAAGCAGUUCUCAAUUUCAGAAAAUAAUUUAGAAAUGUACACAUUUCCGAUUGAGGAAAUUAGAGCAUUAUUUUUAAAACAUUCAAUCUCUUUCUUUCUUCCUUUCCUCGUGAUCAUAUAUGUUCUCAAAUGGCGCAAUUCUACUUCAAACACGUUGCAGAACCUUCCACCUUCCCCACCAAAGCUUCCCAUAAUCGGAAACCUUCAUCAGCUCGGUUCAAUCCCUCAACGCUCUCUGAAAUCAUUAGCUCAAAAAUACGGCUCGCCAAUGCUGCUUCAUCUAGGCCGCAAGCCAGUGUUAAUUAUCUCCUCCCCUGAUGCAGCUGAAGAAGUCAUGAAAACUCAUGAUUUAAUCUUUGCUACUAGGCCUAAACCAGUCUUUGCCGGGAGGUUACUCUACAAUUUCAAGGACAUAACGUUUUCCCCCUAUGGCGAAUAUUGGAGGCAGGUAAGAAGUAUUUGUGUACUUCAGCUUUUGAGUAACAAGAGGGUUCAGUCAUUUCGAAACAUAAGAGAGGAAGAGAUGGAAAUAAUGUUGGAAAAAGUUCGAGAAUCUUGUGCUUCUUCUUCAGUCAUACGCAUUGAUGAAAUUUUGGCAACACUUACUAACAACAUUGUUUCAAGGGUUGCCAUUGGAAAAAGGUACUCAGGAGAGGAAAGUGGGAGCAAGUUUAAGGAAAUAUUUGAGGAUUUUACUAUGCUAUUGGGUGCUUUUAACGUUGGAGAUUACAUCCCAUGGCUUGCAUGGAUUAAUAAUGUUAAUGGCUUGGAAGCAAAGAUGAAAAAAGUGGUCAAUGAUUUUGAUGAAUAUUUGGAAAAGAUUGUUGAAGAGGGAAUGAAGAGGCAGGAGGAAAAGAAAAGCGGUAGUGAUGGUAAUGAUAAGAAACAGCAGCAGAAUUUUGUGGAUGUUCUGCUUGAAAUCCAGAAAACAAGUGCUACUGGUUUUGCUUUUGGGCGAGAUUCCCUUAAAGCUAUCAUCCUGGUAAAGAAAAUUAAUUAUGUGCAUUUUUUUCUUCUUCUUUUUUGGUUCUCUCUCAUUACAAUUUAAUUUAGCAUAUGGAUUUGCUGUUCUUUACUUCCAUUCUAUCCUAGGAUACAGAAAUUGAUGUUUGUUGCGUCCAGGCUGAGGCAUUUUUGCUGACUAAAUUUUUUAAAAGACUAGAAUAAUUAGUAUCGAGGGCUGAUACAUUUUCUUUUUAUUUUCAUAAUAAACAAAAUUAACAGUUUGCCCUUUUUUUAUUCAUCAUACUCUCUGAUUUUUUUUUUAAAUGUUGGGUACGAAUUUGGACCCUGGUUCUAAGGCUUAAACUCCCUACAGAUGGCUAACUUACCUAUGGCAAGUUCCUUCAUUAGAAUUUAAUUUUGGCUUAUAGAUCUCCUAUUUUAAGAUAAGAAUAGUGUUUGGUAUGUUGAGGUCGGAAUUGCAUAUGUUUUACAUAGAAUAUGCGAAUUUAAGGGGAUUUAGGAUGGGGUUCUAUCUCUAAAUUGAUCUUUAAAAACUCGACAAAUAACCUAUGAAUAAUAAAUAAUUCAAAUUAAAAAAUAAGAACGUAAUUGUAUAUAUGUUUCCACCAUUAUUGCAAGCAGUUUCAGUCCAUUCCAAUCACUUUUAGUGUUCAUAACCUACUAUCUGGAACGCUUGAUGUAUUCUUUUAUCUUGAUUGUAUGUUUUUGCUCAUUUCCAAUGAUACCAGCAAAUGGUGAAACAAACAAUCAAUAAGUUAUGAAUACUAGGAUGAAAACCAAAGGAAAAAAAAAAUCAACAAAACUAAAUAAGGUGCAAGGUAGUGUGUUCAUUAUUGACUUGUGGUAUCAUCAUCUCAAAAUGGUUUGGUAAAACAACAACAUAUUUUGAAAUUAUUGUAAUUAAACUAUCAAUUUUAGCACUUAAUACAUUGAUAUAUCAAAUUGUGAGACAUCCUUCAAAUCAUUGAAAAGUAAUGAAUUUCUCCUAAUAUGUUAUAAUUGAAGUUCAUUUAUUUAUUUAGGAGUAACAAAUGGCGAAUCUAUUGGUUUUAAAUCCAUUUGAAUAAUGUGUUACAAAUUAAUGAUAUGCUAACCACUGAUAGUUUAGGGGCUUUAUUAAAUGGUCUUGACCACAUGGAGCCCAACAAUAGUCCUAAAUCAUAAAUCUUAUUUCUUUUUUAUGGAGUGUGAUUGGGGCAAGGUAGCAAUCAUGCAACCGCCAACAUGAAAAAAUAAAUAAAAAAAAAAACAAAGAAAGAAAGAAGAAGAAGCAGAAGAAGAACAAAUCACGUUAUGUUUGUCAAGUGCAAAUGCAAGUUGGGAUUCUCCAAGUUGACCCAAGUUUGCUUAUCAGGUUGAUAGGAAAAAUCAUUUUUUCAGACGACUUAUUUCUUUUUCCAAUUUGCUUAUCCAAGUUGGCCCAAAUGGAAGGAUUAGCUAAGUAUUGGAGUGUUAAAUGUUGCAGGACAUGUUUGUUGGAGGAACUGAUACUACAUCUGCAUUGCUACAGUGGGCAAUUUCUGAGCUGCUAAGAAACACAAAUGCAAUGCACAAACUGCAAAAAGAAGUGAGACAAUUGCCAAGAUGCAAAUCAGGCAUCACAGAGGAUGAUUUAGAGAAUCUCCAGUACUUAAAAGCAGUAAUCAAAGAGACACUUCGAUUGCAUCCACCAGUUCCAUUACUUGCUCCUCGUGAAUCGAGGAAGGCAUCCAAGAUAAUGGGAUAUGAUAUUGCUGCCGGUACUCAAGUGAUCAUCAAUGCUUGGGCAAUGGGAAGGGACCCAAAAUUGUGGGAAGAUGCCGAGAGUUUUUGGCCGGAGAGGUUCUUGAAUAGUUCUGUGGACAUUAAAGGGCAACAUUUUCAGUUCAUCCCAUUUGGUGCUGGAAGGAGGAGCUGCCCUGGCGCUGCAUUUGCCAUGGUUACAGCUGAACUUGCACUUGCAAAUUUGGUGUUCAGCUUUGAUUUUGAAUUGGCAGGCGGAGCAAGGCCAGAGGAUUUGGAUAUGACUGAAGCUCCUGGUAUUGUUACACCAAGGAAAAUUCGUCUUCUACUACUUGCAAGUCUUCCUAAUUAGGUAGUUGCAAGCUAUUAUACUAUCAGCAAUUAGGUAAUCACUUUUGGUAUUGGCGUGGAGUUCAAUCAAGAAAACUUUAUGAAGGUUUAAUGAUUUAUUAUUGCUCUUGCGGGCAAAUAAGAUGGUAUUUGAGUUCGAAAAAUGUUAUGGUCACAACAAGAGGUAAUAUGAUUUUACCUUUCAAAAGUGCAAAAAUAUUUUGAAACGUUUCAAAGAUGCUAUUAUGGCAAGAUUACUUCAAUAGAUAGUGAAUUUUUUAAAACUUGAGAUCUUUCAUUAAUACUUCCUUCUCCCAAACUAUCCAAUCCAUCUCUCCCCCUAAUAGAUAGCAAACUUAAUUAUACGUAAGACACAUAUAGCAUAGCAAACGAGUCGAGUCGAAUUGAAUUUUGAGCUAAUCUAAUUGAGUCUCGAACCAAUUUUAUCAAACUCGAACUUAAACUUCACAAGAGCUCAAUUUUAACCUUUAGUUUUUCUUGGAUAAUAUUAAGGGAUUUCAGGCCAGAUUCGAGGCAGAAACUUGAACCAUGGGAACUUGAAAUGAACUGCUUCAUAAGAACGCGAUCCGUUAGGGUAUCCGUACGCUAAUAAGUGUAGUGGGACAAUGUCCAUUCGACCGUCCCAGAAACAGCAUACCAUUCUUUGCCCUCCAUAUGUAAUAUACAUUAAUUGACAGGGCCAGCUUCAACAAAUUUUGGUAGGUGCAGGAAAGUGAAUGACCGAAUCCACUAAAUAGUGAUGCCAAUUAUAAGAGCCUGUAAAGGUGAAGCACAAACCCUGAAUCUUUCUCCACCCUGCAGUGGAAAGAGCACAAGGUGAAGAUGAUCGUGUGUUUCUUCAGCCUGCUGGCACAAUGCUUGUUUUAUCUUCUCAAGGAGUAUUUUAAGUCUUACAAGGGAACAGUUUGAGAAUUGAACCAAACAGUUGAGAUUGAGUGUUUCUAUGAUGGCCAUAAACGAUAGGUACCGCAUGUUGUAGAUAGGUAUAUCGACAAGUGUAAAGGAAAAUUAAAAUCAACUGCUCCAAUUUAGGUCUUUGGGCAAUGUAAUACAAAAACAGAAAACGGAGAAUAAUAUACCACAAUGUUCAAAACGAUUAGAAGAUUUUCUGCUUUCAUGAGACUAUAAUGGAUCUAAGAACUAAUGGGCCGAAAGAAAUACCAAAAUUAAAAGAUCAAAAUUGUGGCCUUCACAUUGCUGUGCAAGCAAUCUUGUUUAGGAGGACGGAUUUUAAGUAAGGGACCUGAAAUAAAUUAAGAAACUAGAAUAAAAACCAGAAAUAAGACUAUGCAUGUCAGAUCUUCAAAUAAAUUAUAUAAAAUUUACUUUUAGAAUAAUAUUUAGCAUUUUUGUGAUGUAAUAUAUAUGACAUAAAUGUGACCGAUCAAAUAAAAAGGUGAUGAAAAAUUGUGUUUGUAAUCUAGCAAAAAGAAAAAACUUUUUUUUUCCAAAUUACAAGAUAUCCAAAUGGUAGGCUAUUAUUUGUUUUUAAUAGUAGGCAAUUCAAUUUUAGCCGAGACAUGCAUGAAUCUUUUUUCAUUUACUAUUUAUUAUUAUUUUCAAUAAUGAGAAGGCCAGAGGAGUGACAAGACCAAACACAGACAUGUUGGAUGCAUCAAAAGUUAGCGGGCAUAAACGGACGUAUACAUGAGGCUGUAGAUUUGUAAGCCGUAACUGUCAAAAUCUGAGACAAUGAUUCGAGGAAACAAGUUGUGAAUCAUCGUUUUCGUUUUUAAUUUCACCCACUUCAAUGAAAUUCAAAUUGAUUGUGACUCUUUGGUCCCCUUGUUAAAACAUACACCAUCCAUUCCAUAAUUUGCGUGAUCUUUAAGGAAACGUCCAUUCAAGAAAACAUUUAAUUGUGGCGUUUAGAUGUGGUCAAUUUGGAUGUAUAUACACCAUAAAUCUAAAAUUCAAGUUCGAUAUUAGCCUGCGAGAAAAACAAUCUCACUAAGUAACAAGAUAAGAAAGGUAAUAGGGUAGAAACAAAGAAAGGAGAUGCAAUGAAAGAAAGAGAAAAAUGCUGUGACUCUUACUUUGAGACGUCCAAAAGGUAAAAAAAAUAACGCUGAAAGGAGACGCAAUGACUACAUUAUUAGUAAUUGUGCAUUUUGUAAAUUGUGAUUAAAUGCUGUCCGAUACAUGGAUUAUUUAUGGUUGUUGUUGUUACAAUAUUUUUCCUACAGUUACCACGAAAUAACUCUAAUUUCUAUAAAGAAAUGACCCCUAAAGGUUUUCUAGUAUGUUUUGAGCAUUCAUCACAUCAAAAAAAUUUCUCUCCUUCAUCCACAAUAUUUUGCAACUAAAAUUUUUAAAAAAAACUAUGUCCCUAGUUUUUCAAAUUCUUUUCCUUGCUCUUCUUCUAGAUGUUGUUCAUCACACUAUAUGGAAGAACUAGUCCAAGAAACCUGUCAAUGUGGUAAAAUAGCACCCUUGAGAAGAUCUUAGACACCGAAAAAUUCUAGAAGAAAAUUUCUUGGAUAUUCAAAUUAUACGGUUUGAUUUUUACGAUAAACUGAUUAUUUUUUUGUACUUUUUGGAAAAAUAAUUUGAAAUACGAAAAUUUUUUAUCUAGAAUCAUCAUACAUGUGAUUACUUCAAAUGGAUAGAUCCGAAACUUUAUGCAAAAUAAAAGAAAUAUGAGCAAUAUCCGGCCCAAACCUGUGGACAUUUGUGUCAAUUCAUUAUUUUUUAAGGAUAGUAUUGUUCUUUUGAUGUCAACCGUCAACACCGUUACUAAAUGUUUGCAUUGACUACCAAUGAAAGGAAUAAAGUGAGAACAAUAAUAUGUUAGAGUGCAACUGUAAAACACACCAAACCUUUGGAGGACUUCUUGUAAUUAACCCUAAAAAAAAAUUACCUCGGUUGUAAUCUAAUAUAGAUCAUUUGCUUUGUAAAGCAUUAGCCACAAAAUCAUUAGCCCCCUCUCCUUGUAGCUUUUUUCAAAAUCAUUAAUAAAAUCCCUUGUACGGGAUUUGUUAUUUUUAAAAAAAAAUUAGCCACAAAAUGAGUUUGUACGUACCCCACAAGCUAAUACAUCACUCAUUCAUGUGUCAUUUUCCAAUUAACCGUCCGCUAUUUUAUGUUUGGACCAAGAUGAAUGGCAAUAUAUGUGUCUUACAUGCUCCCAACAAAAAUUGGAAUCACCAAUACAUUACUAUCUACGUGCAUAAAAGUACCUAUCAAUUUUUCCACAUUGAAUGAAAUGUUGUGGAAAGAUGCUGAGGAGUAUGUUCCAAAUACUUUUCCACAAUAUAUACUAUCUACAUUCAAAAUACUUUCAAAUUUUCACAAUAUGUUCACUUUCCAAUACAUUUUGAAAUUCUGGAGAGAUGCAGAGGAGUUUAAGCCAGAGAGGUUCUUGGAUAGUCCUGUGGACUUUAAAGGGCAACAUUUUCAGUUCAUCCCAUUUGGUUCUGGAAGGAGGAGCUGCCCUGGUCUGCAUUUCCCUUGAUUACAGCUGAACUUGCACUUGUAAAUUUGAUAUGUUACUUUGAUUUUGCCUUGGCUGGUGGAGCAAGACCAGAAGAUUUGGAUAUGACUGAAGCUCCUGGGAUUGUUACACCAAGGAAAAUCCCUCUUCUCGUAGUUGCGAGUCUAGCUAGUUAGGCACCAGCAAUUAAGAUGCUAUGUUUAUGUACCUAGGUGCUCUUCUAUUUCACCAAUGAGGUUGUGAAUUUGAUUUUUGGCAUGUUGGUUAAUUCAGAAACUUGAGAAUGUUAUACUGAAAACAAAAGGUAAUAUAAUUUGACUUUUUGAAAGUUUGAAAGUAUUUUAGAAUGCUUCAAAAAAAAAAAAAAAAAAAACCAACAUGACAAGAUUAAUGGGGCGGGAUAGAGGUUGUACAAAAUAUUUAUGUCAGUCAUGAUCAACUACUUAGCAGGUCUGCCAUUUUGGUCCAGGUGAAUGAAAGAGUUCUAUAUGGACGUACAAAUCCUCUACUUGAUUCUAUAAUGAUUUACUUGGGAUGUAAAUUAGAAUAAAGUAGGUUUUUGCAUGUUCACAUGCAACUAUCUCAUUAAUUUUAUAUCAAUUACUUGCCAUACCAAAUAGUUGAUCAUGACCGACAUAAAAUUUAAAAAAUAUGUCCCAACAAAGAUUCGCCGCAGAAGACAUCCGGAUCAAGAGAUCAUCCAAAUGAUAGUAGUAAUUGAAAGCGUGGACAUGGAAAUCUAUAGUACCAACUGUAACUUUUUAUUCUAUCACUAAUUCUUGUAUUCAAUUUUUUUUUUCCUUUUAUUGAUUUAGAGGUGGAAUUUUAAUUUAAGAAGAGGGGACAGAAACGGGAAAAUUUAGAAUCAAGGGUUUCUUUUUUUGGGUUUUUCAAGAUAAUAGAAGUAAAAGCACAACGCACUAGAGAGGGGAAUAACUGAUCCAUAUAGGCUUCCAAAAUUUUUAGCAUACUUUUAUUAUUAACUCAUGAACUUCAUUGUGCAAUUUAUAUGUGGGGAUUUCAAACCACUAGACAAGAGCUCAUUAGCUUAAAUUAUGACUUUGUUCGUACACUUUUGACGUUGCUAUAUAUGUAUUUUACAAAAAAAAAUUUCACUUAUACAAAGAUUGCUUGUAACCCAAAGAGGUUGGUUGUAAAGUCAUAAAUCUCAGUUCAUGGUUAAUAGGUUUCAUGUUUUAAUGGCCGUAAACAACCAACAUGUGUCCAGUCAGUAUUUGCAUUUAUUGAAAAGGUUUUAUUCAUCUUUCAAACAUUUUUUUUUUUUGUGGAUUAACAACCUAGUAAAUUUGAAGAAGCCUUGAAUCCCUUGUCGUUUUUUAAAUUUCAUCUCUCUCUGUUAAAAAAAAAUUGAUCGUGUAUUGACCAAACAUUUAUAUAUAUGGUUGAAUCCCCUACAACUUGUACGAGGGUAAUCCAAGACAUUCCGUUUGUACUAGCGGAAGCAAUUUCUUUACGAGCAAAUAUUUUGUACCUAUAAAUGUUGGACAUUGAUUGGAUAAUUUAUGUAUUUCUAUUCAUCUUCAGCUAAAUGAAGGUGGGAAAAGAAGGAUUUGUCAAAGUUUCUUCCAAACCAAAAGAUAAGUAACUUGACAAGUAAUAGAUCUCAUACUUGGCAACAAAUAGACUUUGACAAACUUCAUCAACUCUUACAUGUCAAAGAAAAGGCCCAAGUGAGAUUUUGGUGUCCAAAGUUGAGAUUUUGGCAUAUCAGGCCAUGGCAUGUUUCAUGGCACAUCAGGCUGUGCUUAACUUUAGUUUCUUGCCAGUUGCCAUCCUUCAACAAAUACUUUCUGAGAUUUUUUUUUUUUCAACAAACGAACAAAUACUUUCUGUGAUUCAAUCUGGUGAAAAUGUCCAAAAGUGAAAACGGGGCCAAGAUUGUGAAAUUGUUUCGGCCAGUUUUCUCAUUGACAAGUGACAUCGUUCAUAUAUAACUUACAGAAGUCGGACCAAAUCCAAGAAAACAAUUUGGAUAAAUCACACUUUAUCCUCCUGUGGUUUAGUUUUUUUUUCUACAUAAUCUCUCUAUGAUUUCAAAAGUUAUACAUAACCUCCUUAUGAUUUGGAUUAAAGUGUCAAAAUGACGAAAAUGAUCAUUCGUAACAGAACUUUUAAAAAGGAUUAAUCACAUUUUAUACCCUUAAAAAAUACCCCAUUUUUCAGUUUACCCCCUAACCUUUAAUUUUGCUCACUUAACUCCCUUUAGAACAAAAUUGCCCUUGCAUUAUUUUGACUUUUCAUUUGCCUUGUUUUCCUUUCUUUUAUUUCUUUUUCUCUUUCUUUUUUAUUUAAUUCUUCCUCUUUCCCACAAAAAUUUUCACCUUAAUUAUUGAAAUUAAAAAAAGGAAUUGUAGAGAUCUAUCUUCUCUUUAAAUGAUUAAAAAAAUAUUCAAAUCACUUUCCUAAAAUACAAUUUUUUUUAGCCUUUCAAUUCUUUUAAUUUUGGGUUUUCCUCUUUCCUUUUUAGUUUCUCAUUUUAUUCUCAAAAAAAUAUCAUAAGAUGAAAUUAUUUUCCUUUCUUUUAUUUCUUUUUCUCUUUCGUCUCUCUUUCAUCCUUCCCAAUAGAAAUUCCAUUUCAACGAAAUUUUUUGUUUUAAGUUUAUAAUUGCAUAUUUUUGGGUGAAGGUUUAAAAGGUAUCAAAAACUAAUUUUGAUUUUUUGUAUGAUGCCACGUGUCACAAAUUUCAAUUGAUGAUUAUUAAUCAGGUCACAAUUUCAUCUUAAGAUAUUUUCUUGGGAAUAAAAUGAGAAACUAGAAAGGAAAGAGGAAAACCCAAAAUUUAAAAAAUUGAAAGGCUAAAAAAAUUGUAUUUUAGGAAAGUGAAUAUUUUUUUAAUCAUUUAAGGAGAAGGUAGAUCUCUGCAAUUUCUCUUUUUUAAUUUCAAACAUUAAGGUGAAGAAUUUUGUGGGAAAGAGGAAGAAUUAAAUAAAGAAGAAAGAGAAAAAGAAAUAAAAGAAAGGAAAACAAGGUAAAUGAAAAAUCAAAAUAAUGCAAGGGCAAUUUUGUCCUAAAGGGGGUUAAGUGAGCAAAAUUAAAGGUUAGGGGGUAAACUAGGAAAUGAGGUAUUCUUUAAGGGGAUAAAAUGUGAUUAACCCUUUUAAAAAUGUUGAAAUUAUCCUUAAAAAUACAUGAUACACUAACCCUGUAUGUUUUUAUAUUUUAUCAUAUAAUCCCCUUAUAGUUUAAUACUUUACCAUAUAACCCCCUUAUAAUUUUCAAAAUAUACACAUAACCUCUCUUAGUUAAUAAAUAAUUUUCAACUUUACAUAAAGGUAUUUUUGAUAUUUUAGGUAACUCUGUUAAAAAUGAUUGAUUAUUUUCAUCACUUUAACACUUUAAUUCAAAGCAUAAGGGGGUUAUGUAUAGAUUUUAAAAUCAUACUGAAUUAUAUAAAAAAUGCUAAACCAUGAGGGGUAAAGUGUAAUUUACCCAAACAAUUUUGAAGUCAAGCACCUAAGUUGAAUGUGUUUCGAACUUCAGUAGGUAAAGCACAAUUCUAAUUGAAGGCGUUAUCACAACAUCUGAAAAUACAUAUGAUGUUGAAUAUUUCUACCUUCACCAAAGGUAUCGGAAUCCGAUCGGAACCGUAUCUAUCACACAUGAAGCGUCUUAUUGAUUAGAGAAGCACGAGCGCAUCACAAAAGUUACAGAUGCUGGGUUCAACGGUUUCUUUUAUUUUUAAUCCUUCUCUUUCUUUUUCUUCUAUCUUCCCUCCCAAUUCUUUUCCAUCACUGAAGAUGCCACGAAUAAAAUUUUGAAAAACACAAGUCUCCAACCUAUGAUCAAUCCAUUUCUAUCACCAGAUUUGUGAAGCUAUCUGAAUUAUCACCAGAUCAGACGGGUGUAUUACAUUCGCUUAGAUUUUUUAAACAGAACCACUUUAAUGUGAUAAAUUGGUGGGAUGUAAAUCCACCAAAUUUUAAUGCAUUAAUGGUGGUCACCAGUCCAAAGGCCGGUGGUUUGUGAAGCUAUCAAACCGGCAAUAUAAUGUGGCUCCAUCACACCAAACCAAUCAAAAAAGCAUCAAUCGUUGCAUUACACAUACCACUACUACUAUUCCUCCUGCUAUUUCACUUGAUUGUGACUCUUUCUCUCUCUCUCUCACAGAAACCUGUAGCUUUCCUUUCGUUCUUUUUCAAGUUGGUAGGUCAGUGCAGGACCACCAUCUCAUGUGUGUGUAUCACGUAGAUUUACAAUUUUUCUUUAGGACCCAACACGAAAUACCCAAAAGCUGAGAUUCAAAGAAAAUAUAUCGAUUGUUAAAUAUAUAAUUACAUAAUAUAGCAUUGGAUUUUUGUUAAAUUUUUGAUAAUGUAGUUUGGACAGAUGCAAAUAUUUUAAUAUCUCCCAUUAAUGAUUAAUUCUUAUCUGUUCACCUAUUCUAUGGAAAUAAUGGAACAUAACAGAAAUCAAAAAGAGGAUUCUGAUCGCAAAUACAAACUACCUAGACACAAAACUAAAGAAGUCCAAAUUGUUAUGAUCCAGGCGCAGAACAAACAACUAUUGAGAUAUCAAAUACACAACAAUUUAAUGAGAAACAAGUCACAAGCAUGAAAGAUAGACGACAUACAAUAUUUAACGUGGUUCGGCUCCACCAUUGAACCUACGUCCAUGGAGAGAACUCCGUUCUUUAUUGUGAGAGGAAAACCCUAUACAAGAAUACAAUUUGAACCCAAAUCCAACCCUUGUAUACCAUCUCUCAUCUCCUAAGAACCCUCUCUCACCCUAUGUAUAAGGUUACAUGAUGCCCUCUUGUGUGCCCUUGUGUGUCUCUUAUAUAGUAUGCCAACCAACCUAUUUAUGCGAAACAUUAUUUGACCAAAACCCAAAUAACAAUAGGAAACCAAUUCUAAGUCCUACACUGAUUUAGAAUAGAAAAUAACUUCUAAUUCUAAACUAAAUAGAAUAUUUCUUGGUUGCUAUUUCAAGUAACUAAAACCAAUUAGGAAACUAGUUACUUCCACACAAGAUAAGAAAUCUACCUAAAAGAAUUUAAGCCAAUUUCCUAACAAAUCUCCACCUUGACCAAAAUUUCUUUUAACAACCAUUUGCCUUCAACUACCAAAUAAUAUGGUACCAAACUACACACCCGAAUCAAUACAGUCCUGAUACCAAAUUGAUUCAAUCGACAAAUGAAUAUGUGUAGUUACCCCGAAUCCAUCCUCCAGUUAACUCGUGAGAAGGUGCCUCAAUUUACCAUCUCCCUUUGCAGGAUUUCUACUCACCACAACUUGUAAUUUGGGAUCCCCUUCUGUGAGUUCUAACCCUAACCAUUGAGGCAAUCAAGUCGUAAAGUCACGAUACUUCUUCCCAUUCUCAGAACAGUCUCGCCACGUGUGGUUUCCAAGACUCCACCUAAAACGGAAAACUCGUAACUGUCAGAGUCUUCUGGCGCAUAGAAAUUAGAUCUCCUUGUUUCUUUAGGACAUGUGACACACUACCCAAAAAACAUAAUCAAAAUCUAAAAUUCACCAGAAUGAAGUAUCAACCGUUGGAGGUGUGAGAAAGUCUCCACCGAUUCACAUCCAAAAUCAACAUUGGACUCCACAUUUUCCUUGACCCUUGAAUCACCUGCCUAGAUUCACCGUCAAGCAUCUUCAUAUUUUUUGACUUUUCAUCCUUCAUCAUCAAUGCUUUUUGCCAAACCAUUGAAACAAGGAUUUCACCCAUUAAAUUAUUCAAUUGGUGACAGCUACCAAUCCACUUGAUCUCAAUAGUUAACCGGGAUCCAACCUUGAACAAUCAAGCUCUUAAUCCAACCAUUCAGUUUGUUAGGAUCCAAGUGCUUGAGAGCAACCCAGUCUCGCAACCAGGCCCUGAUACCACUUGUUAGGAUCCAAACGCAGAACAAACAACUAUUGAGAUAUCAAAUGCAUAACAAUUUAAUGAGAAAAAAGUCACAAGCAUGAAAGAUAGACAACACACAAUAUUUAACGUGGUUCGGUUCCACCACUGAACCUACGUCCACGGAGAGAAACCCGUUCUUUAUUAUGAAAGGAAAAUCCCAUACAAUAAUACAAUUUGAACCCAAACCCAACCCUUAUAUACCAUCUCUCAUCUCCCAAGAACCCUUUCUCACCCCAUGUAUAAGGUUACAUGAUGCCCUCUUGUGUGCCCUUGUGUGUCUCUUGUGUAAUAUGUCAACCCACCUAUUUAUACGGAACAUUAUUUGGCCAAAACCCAAAUAACAAUAGGAAACCAAUUCUAAGUCCUAUACUGAUUUAGAAUAGGAAAUAACUUCUAAUUCUAAACUAAAUAAAAUAUUUUUUAACUACUAUUUUAAGUAACUAAAACCAAUUAGGAAACUAGUUACUUCCACACAAGAUAAGAAAUCUACCUAAAAAAAUUUAAGCCAAUUUCCUAACACAAAUUAAACUGUUUCUUUUUUUAUUUCAACCUUACCUAUAUUAACAUUAAGAGACUUAUUGUUAAUUUAUUGUCAGUUUAGGUCCAUUAUUCCUGUCUAAGUUGUUGGAUAAUUUAAUCCAAGAAAUAGGAAACCAAGAAAUGUGAACCUUAUCAAGCAUAUGCAGCUUCGAGAAACUUGGUUGGUGCAGGGAAGUAAUUCAACAAAUCCAAUCAUUACUGGUGCCAAUAAUAAGAGCCUCUAUAGAUCAAACAUGAGCCCUGAAUCUUUCUCCACCCUGCAUUGGAAACAGAUGUCAAGAAAAAAGAAAUGAUCGUGUGUUUCCUAAGCCUGCUGGCACAAGGCACAUGUUGCAUCAACCUGUAACAUAUGCCAUAGAAUUAUUGUGCCAUGCAAUUAUUGGGACAAUGAAACUACGUGGCUUGACUGAAUUCGAAUUGAGACUGAAUUAGAAUGAUUCUGUUGUUGCAUAUGGCCAAUUCUUAAAGUGUCAGAAAAAAUUGGACGGUACUUGAUGAACGAAAAUCAUAUGAUCAAACAUAAACCCGCAGGAAAUCACAAGAAAAUUUCUCAAGAGGCAAAGGAAUCUUCUCUAUAUUUCAAACAAGGCUUCGUCUAUUCUGAUGCAAACCAUACAAUACGCAACUCAACGGACAGAGGCUUGGGUACUGACUCUAUAUAUGAAAUUGAAGGCUUCUAACGUAUGAGCCCUACACGGCUAACUUAUCAGACAUAUGCUUGAAAUAUUAAAACUUGAGUAGAUCCCGUUUUCAAAAAUUUAAUGAUUCAAAUUGUAUCAUACUACUUGAUGAUGGUAUGAUAUAAUUUGAAUUAUUAAAUAUUUGAAAUCUAGGUCUAUCCAAGUGUAAGCUGACUUGAAAUACUACUACUGGCUAAUACUCAUACAAAGGGGUUUAAAUCCCAUGUGACCAUCAUACUAACGAAUUUAUACAAAGAACAAUAUAUACCAACCACUUAGCUAUUGACAGUGGCCAAUAAUUAAACACACCAAUUAACUUGGUUUAAUUGACAAAUGAGAGUUGACAAAUAAGUGCUCAAAUGGGCAAAAUAAGUGCUCCAAUGCUAUUGUGGCGCAUGCCCAUUGACUUCCACGACAAUGUCCGAUCCACAGUAGAAUUUAGCUUCUCUCUAUUUUUCAUAAUGCACAUUUAAAUGCAUGACAGAUAUUUUUAUAUAUUAGAAAGAGAUAUAAUUUUAUUUAAAAUUUAACUAAUCUUAACCUUUAUUAAUAAAUGAUGAUAUGUAUCAUACAUCCAAAUGUGCACUGCAGCAAAUGGAGAGAGAAUCCACUAGAAAAGAGCCAAAUCCCUCCACAGUGUAUUAGGAUUAGGAGAUAUCAUAUGUAUAUGUGGUUACUAUACCUCUUUGUGCAAGAUUUCUAUUUUUUUUUUUUUUUUUUUUACUAAUGAAAGCUUUUUUUGGGUUCAAGAAAUAUUUUAAAUCUUACAACGUAAGGGUUUUGGAGUUGGAUCAAGUAGUUAUGAACAAUUGGGGGUGAAGGAGCCCCGGUUAGGCAAAUCUUAAGUUACCAUAUCACAGGUGUUUGUUCGGUACCAUACUUUCAGAUCAUCAUGGCUCUUUAAUCUAGGCUAUUGAUACAAAUACAGAUCAAAUUAUUCGAAUAAUCACUAAAUUUUUUGAAUAUUCGAAUUUUGACUACUCAAUUUUAAUAGUAUAUUUACACUUUAUACCCACUAAACUAUCAAAAAAGUAAAUUUUGAGUCAUUCCAUCUAAUUUAACUGUUAAUUCUGUCAUAUUUAAUUAUUAAUAGUAUGUCUCGUGAAUCGUGUGAAUGAUAGAAUUAACGAUGAAAUCAGACGGAAUGUUCCAAAGUUUACACUUUUUAAUAUUUCAGUAAAUCAAAAAAUAUACUAUUAAUAGUUGAAUAGUCAAAUUUUGACUAUUUAAAAAGUUUAAUGACUAUUUUGAUAAUUUGCUCUACAAACGUGUGCGUGUGCUUAAAUGUUAAUUGGGAAGUGAUGUGAUGUACAACAUUAUGUUUUAUUGCUGAGGUAGCCACAAAAAAAAAAAAACCUUUCCAAAAAGAUCUUUCAGAAAGUUAGCAAUUUUAUCAGUACCGUCCAUAUAUUUAUUUUAACUCCAGUUCCAAAUAAAUCAGAAUAUUACUCUUGUCAUAGUGACAGUCAAACAAAAGUGCACCACUCCUUUUUAGGUUUGUUGGACAAUGUAAUUAGGCGAAAAGUAAUGAGUGAGGAAAAACGAAGGCUAAUAGACCAACCAAGACCACAAAGAUCUUGGGGCACAUGAUGUAGAUAUAGGUUGACAAAAUACGUGUAAACGAAAAUGACAUGGCUGCAUAGACAAAUGCACUAUUCUGACUUAGGUCUUUAGGCAAUGUAAUACCAAAAAGGAAAAAAAAAAACCUAUAGUAAUACACCACAAUUUUCUAAAUGAUUAGAAGAUAUUCUACACUCAGAGGGCUAUUAUUGAUCUAAGAGCUACAAAAAGAAAUGCCAAAAGAAAAAUUAAAAGUUGUGGCUUUGGCUUUACUGUGCAAGCGAACUUGAUAAGGAGCUCAGAAGACAAAAAAAAAGAAUCUUGAUUAUGAGGAGAGAUUUUAAGGUAGGGACGUGAAAUAAAGUCAAAAAAAAAAUUAAAAAAAUAAGAAAUACAACAAUGAUUUCCGAUAUUAAUUUGGAUAACAAGUUUGUUUGGAUAGGAUGUUAUUUGAAAUAAUUACUAUAAUAUUUUUUGUGAUUUGAUAUAUGUGACAUAAAAAAAAGUGGUUAAAAAUUGUGUGUAUGAUGUAAGUAAAAUAAAAUCUAAUUUUUUUUUAAAUUCUUGAUAUCCAAACACACCUAGAUUUUUUAUUAUAAUAAUACAGCACUGAUUGUAAUUUAAUAUAUGUAAAAUAAAAAAAAAUAUGAAAGGAAAAAAAAUGUUGAUGGGAAAUCAACGAAUUGUCAAAAGUUAAGGACUCAAGGAAUGAAAUGUUAUGUUUGACUGUGGAGGAAUCAUGGGCACCACAAUGGACAGUGGCUUGCUGGCUUUACUAAAACCAGAAACUUUUUACUCCUUUUCUUUCGUUCUAUUGAAAGUGUCGUACAUUUUAUUUUAAAAUAUUUAUCAUAUUAAAAAAUUAAAGUAACUUUUAGUUUAUUUUUUCAAUAUAACUCUUCUUUCUAAUUAUAUGCAUAUUAUAAUUCAAAUUUAAAUUUUAAAUUUAUGAGAAUAAAAUUAAAAAAAAAUAUAAAUAUUAUAAUCAAAUCACUAUUUUAAAAAUUAAAUUCUCAAAAUAUGACUAAAUAAUUGGGACGACGAGGAGUAUAACUCUCUUCAUCAUCAGUGUAGACCCUCAAAUUAGGGUUAAAUGCAAAAAACCUCCACAAACUAUAUACCCAGUUGCAGUUUAUUCCCUAAACUAUAAUAAUAAGUAUUUUGCCCCCUUUAAUGAUAUAUUUGGACAAAUCUACCCUUUUUAUUUUAAGCAUUGUUAUUUUUCUUUUUUCCCUAUCAUUUUCUUAUCAUUUUCUUUUCAAACUCUUCCUUUUUUUUCUUAAAACAUUGUUUAAAUAAGUAGAUUAGAUUAGUCAAAAUUUGUUUAUUUCUUAAUUUCGUAUGUCAAUAUAUUAUAAAAAAAAAUCUAUGGAAUACAAGAUUUUCUUUUCCAAAUGUUGAAGUCAAUGUCAUUAAGAAAUUUAACUUUUCAAAUAUAUAAUAACAAAAUAGGGAAAUUGAUUAAUCAAUUAUUAGUAGUAUCAAUAACAAAAAAAAAUGAACUACUAUUGUUGUUUAUUCCUAUUUUUUAUUUCACUACAAAUAACAAUUGCUAACUUUUUUUUUAUUUAAUAUAUAAUAUGUUACUUUUAUUAUAAGUAGUUGAGUAACUGCGAACUCUUAAUUAGUUUAUAGGUAUUUAAAUUGUUGAAUUACUAGAUUAAUAUACUUUACAAUAUAAGCUACAUAUAUUUUGUAAAAACAAAGAGUUUGUGACAAAUUAUUAAGAAUGAAUUUAACAAAUAAACAAAUUAAAAAGCAGUUUAAAAAAUAUUAAAAUUUUUUAUGUAAGUCUUUUCAAAUCUGAGAGAGACGUUGGCUAGUUCCACGAGAGAAGGAGAAAAAAAAAAGAAAUAAAAGGAAAAAAUGAAAAAAGCUAAUAGAGAGAAAAAAAGAAAGGAUUUAAAAUAGUAGGGGUAGAUUGUCCAAACAUAUCAUUUAAAGGAACAAAAUACCUAUUAUUAUAAUUUAAAGGGUAAACUGCAACGGGUAUAUAGUUUGUGGGGAUUUUUUACAUUUAACCCAAAUAUUUAAUCAAACAAAUCACAAACAGUGGACACAAAAUGAGAUCCAAUAUGCAAGGGAUGUGGAGAAGAGCUAGAAACAAUAGAACACACACUCCUGCAAUGUCCCCUAGCAAAGAAUGUCUAGAAAGUAGCUCCAGUUAAGUGGGAUGGUGCAGAUGAUCAGAGAUACAACUUCACAAAGUGGUGGGGGAGAAUCUCAGAAGCUAAAUCUAGACAAGAGGGAAACAGCCACAUUGGUCUUACCGCGAACAUUUUAUGGCAGAUUUGGAAAGAUAGGAACAAAAGGGAAUUUGAGAAUGCCUGUAACCAUCAACCGUGCAAAGUAAUCCAAAAGGCACAUACAGAAUGGUUGGACAUGGAGGAUGUAAGAAAGCAUGAAGCUGAUUGGAGUACAACAGAAACAAUGCCAGACCUGGAGAUUGGAAAUGAAGCACAAGAGGACCAGUCCUUGAAAAGUAUGACAGUGACAACAACUACCCUACUCAAGCCUGCUGUGGUAGGUAUAGGGGUUGAGAUCAGGACAUGGUCACAUGACACAACAGAAUCAUGGGCACUAAAGGACAGAAGUCAUGGAAACAAAAACAUGGACGCGGCUGCAGCAAUCAGAUUAGUGUUGUGCAAAGCGUUGCAUAGGGGAUGGCGCAACAUCAAAGUAAGGGUCCAAAACAAAGAAGUGCUGAGACAAAUAUUGCUUGGGAGAGUGUUGGAUGGCAGGUUAACAAUGAUCUUAGAGGACAUAAUUUGUUUAAAGCCAUUGUUUCGAAUGUGCUCUUUUUGUUUAGAUAAGAAUGAUAAUAGUUCUGCUAGUGCUAAUGCUAGCUUAUAUGCCUUAGGCAUUUUGUUGGAUGAGGAAGCAUCACUUCCUCUGUGUUUUUGAACACAAGUUAUACAGCUUAACGAGCCGUUGCUCGACAUGUAAACUCUUUUACUAGAUCAAUGAAAGUCUACUAACGUUUCAGGAAAAAAAAAAAAAGACACAAAAUGAGAGAUUCACACCUCAAUCAAUCAAGCAAGAAAGGACAGAUUAACACUGUUCAUCAUCAGUGUAGGCCCUCAAAAUACAAAACAAGCUCGAAAGCUUGGCAGCUCAAUCGAGGAAGAAAGGACAAACGAGUUCCCCCGCUGCCAGAAGACAAAAACGAAGAAACGGGAGUAGGAGGCAUUUUCUUAUUAGGGCUCUGAAUCUUUUCUUAUUGUUGUAUCGAUCGAUCAAAAGUUAUGAUUUUUAUAUAGAUUAUCAAGUAUCAAAAUCUUAAUGGGAUUUAAAUUACUAAAACAUACUAGUAAUAAGAAAUGACAGCUAAAUAACAAAAUAAGUAGUUUUCUAAAUAAAUAAAUAAAUCCUAAAAAGAUUUGAUUUAAUAAUCUUACAUUGCCUCAUUUAAACCAAUGUCGUCAAAUCAUAUUGUAUCGAACAUCUUUUCCAACUUAAAAAACAGCUCCACCUUUCAUGGUUUCAUGAAAAUAUCUGCCACUUAAUUUUCGCUCUUGCAAUAAUCAAUGGCAAUCUCUUCAUUUUGAACUAGUUCACAAAUAAAGUGAAAUUGAUAUUAAUGCAUGAAAUAUUGGAUUGUUUGACAACUCAAUAGCAAAUUUGCUAUCACAAUAGAUCUUAGUAAGACCAACUUGUUCAUAUUGUAAAAAACCAAGCAUUCUUCUCAUUGAGUACAAUGCUUGAAUAGCACUGUGGACACAGCCAUAUACUCCACUAAUACUGUAGAUAAUGUCAUCACUUGUUAUUUCUCAAAAAAUUAUGAAAAUACACCAUUAUUUUGAUAAAAGGUAUGACUUGAUGUACUUUUCCUUUGAAUUAUAUCACCGAUCCAAUCGCUGUAAAAGCCAACAAGAUUAAAAUUAUUAGAAUAUGGAUAAAAUAUACUAUUAGAUUACAUACCUCUAAUGUAUCUUAAAAUCCUUUUGGCCCCUGAUCCAAACUUUCUCAUGAUACCUUUAAGUGAAAAGGUUACUAACUAGAAAUUUACAAGUCUUAAUGCAAAUAAUAGUUCACAGAAAUUAGAUGAAUAAUCGUAUGACCAUGAAUGGUACCAUGCGAGAUUGAAUUGCUAUUUUUAAAAGUUUUUUAUAUAAAAAAAAAUCAAUAUAAUGAUUUGACAAGACUAAAUCCCUUUCUUUGGUGAGGCUAUCUCACCUUAUCAGCAGUAUUUACAUCCUUGUGCUACAAGAAUGCUCCCACAAUUCAAUAGGGUAAAAUGGUAGGCGAUACCAUCUAGUUCGUUCGAAUUUUCCAGACUCGUGAUGCGCGUGCUUUCCAACUCAUCAUACACGGCUUUUCAAGUUGUACAGGACCGCAUCGGAAGAGGGACAGGAGCAGUUGCAAACUGCAAUCUUGUUUCUAGUGGUUCAUGAUCAAGAUUUGAUAAAAAAUAUAUAUAUAAAGUUCAAAUAUCAUUUUGUACAAUGCUUUUUAUAUUAAGGAUAAUUUCAGAAAUUUCCCUUGAGGUUUCAUGAAAUAUCAUCUAGCUUUCCUAAACUUUUCAAAAUCUUACUUAGCACCCUUAAAGUGAUAGUAGGGCCAUAUACUAAUAUCAAAGGUGAUAAAUUGUCUUUUUUUUUUUUUUUUUAGGUGUGUCCCGCAGGGAGUGGACCCCGCAGACUAUUCACCACCCUCAACAACUUGCUGGCAGCAAGGUUCGAACCAGGGACCUGAAGCCCCAUCUUCAGCACCCUCAACCACCAGACCAAACCCCUGAGGGCAAAGGUGAUAAAUUGUCAAUAAUACCUUCAUAUUUAAAUUUUCCAACCUUGUUUUUUUUUUUUCUCUAAAUUUCCUAUUUUUCUUUAACAAUGUCUAUACAUACACACAUACAUAUACAUAUGUAUGUAUGUAUAAUUGAAUUGCAAAUGUCAAUGAAAUAUAGGAUUUAAUCAAUGAAAUAUUCAACGCAUUUGGAGAAGAAUAGCUGUAGGUUCUUUUUAUUUUUUUCCUUUUUCGGUGUUUCACAACUUUAUUUAUUUAUUUAUUUAUUCGUAUUCAUGUAGAGAGCAAGAGAAAUAAAGUAAUUGAAACUCCGAACUACAGUCUUUCAAAUUCUGACUUUUUUUAUAAUAAAAUUUUCAUUUUUCACACCCAUAAAAAACAUCUAUCUAUUUUGAGUAAAUUUUUUGUAUGAUAUUGAAGUUAAAUUUCAUCUAUUACUAAGUUUUUUUUUACUCAAAUGUAUGAUUUUACAUGCUAAUUACCUUCAACGUUAUGAAGGGUUCUAUUUGUAGAAAUGGUUUAAAAAAUAGUAUUUAUUUUUACUAUCUCUUCCUACUAUAGAAGUAACUAUUGAAUGUAACAUAAAAUCUUACCAAUUUUCAUCUCCCUCACUUUUCAGAUGGUUCCAAUUUAGUACUUUUUUUUUCUUGGUUUGUAAAAUGUUCAUGUUUUUUAUAGCCUAAGGGUAUUAAAGAGACUAAAAUAAUCUCUCUCCUCAAACAUGAAUUUUUUAAUAUUACUUUUGGUUAGGAGGGUUUCCAAUGUUACCAAAAUAUUAAUUCAAGGGGUGCUAAAUGAGAUUUUGAAAAUCUCAAGGGAGUUAGGUGAUAUUUCAUAAAACCUCAGGGGGGUUUUAUAUUAUGUGUAGAAUUAACAAAAUUUUACUUUAUAAUUAUAGUUCAUAAAACCUCAUGGGACCUAGGUAGUUUUUAUAUUAUGUGUAGAAUUAAUAAAAUUUUAUUUUAUAAUUACACGUUAUUGAAAGUAAAUUAGGCUAUUUGCUGAUAGAAUUAAGUCCUAUGCAUUUUACGUGAAACUGUUCGGAACGGUUUUCUAAUAACCGUUGGGCCCCUUGUCCCACUUGCCCCACUGCAUCAUUGCUCGCUAUUAGCUCUGGUAGUACUAAAAUCAGAAUAAGUAAUAAAAAACGAAGAGAAAGACAGAAGAGGAGGAGAUUGAUCACAUGGCUGAAAACCAGAAACCCCAUCUUCUUGUCUUGCCAUUUCCUGUAGAGGGCCACAUAAAUCCGCUGCUCAACUUCGCCAAACGCUUGAUCCCAAAAGGGUUCAGGAUAACUUUCAUAGUUGCAGUUGAUUUCACUAAAAAAUCAGCUCAUGAUACGCAAGACUCAUCAUCCUCAGAGCUAUUUAAUAUUGAGUACAUUUCUAAUGGCUCAAAUGAAGGUGAAGAACCAGACAGCUUGGCAGGCCAUUUCAGACGGUUACAUGCCAUAAUGUCCAGAGAUUUGGUGAAGCUUAUGGAGAAACUAAACAGAUCUGACUUCCCACCCAAAGUUCUUGUUUAUGAUUCAACCUUGACAUGGGCUUUGGACGUAGCUCAUCAGAUGGGGUUGCUUGGAGCUUCCUUUUUCACUCAAUCCUGUGCUGUUUCUACCUUAUAUUACCAUUUGCAAGAAGCGAAAUUGAGUGCUAUUCCGGAUGAGGAGCAUUCAUCGGUGCUGAUUCCUCCGCUUCCAUUGCUCCAGAUUGAUGAACUUCCUUCGUUUACCCAAGUCGAUGACAAGGAUCACACCAUUGUUAAGUUGAUGGUAGAGCAAUUCUCUAAUGUUGAGAAAGCAAAUUGGAUAUUUUUCAACUCCUUUGAUAAGCUGGAAUAUGAGGUAAGUUGCAAAUUUUGGUUAUGGCACAAAUUUUACUGUUCUUGCUCAGUCUUCACACAUUUUCUCUAUAGGAUUUCUUAGAAAUUUUUACACUUAUUGAUCUAGAUCAUCAAAUAUCAUCUCUUCUAUACACAUCUGAAAUCUCCUCUUUUGUAUUUGUCAUGAAUUUAGGCCCUUACAUCAAAGGUACUCUGAAAUACUAAGAUUUGAGGUUAAUAAUAUUAUAGUGAAAGAAAGUUCAGUUGUAGAUUACAGAGCUUCUCUAACCAGCAAAAACACCGCAGGAAAAAGGUUUUCAAAGAGAUAGGGAUAAUAUCAGAAACCUCCCCUAAGGUUUCUCUUAAUAUCACUUUUCAUCCUUAAUGUUUUUAAAAUAUCACUUGUUUCCCUUCCUUUUGUUAUUUGUGUAACAAAAUUGUAUAAAAUUUCUAAACUACUCUUUUGCUUGCUAAUUGAAAAUACUCCAAAGCAGUUUUGUUUACUCUAAGAGAACCAUCACAUAAAAAACAAUCUCUAAUAGUACUACCGCUUUAAAAUGCUAUAGUCUAUAAAAAUAUAAAUUUGAAAAUAAAAAAGAUAUUUAUAAAGAAAUAUACUACCACCAAUUUAACUCUAUAUGUUCAAAACUAAUUUUUUAUGAACCUUAUAUUUUUUUCCAACUUCUUCUCAACCCGUGCCCAAGUCUUGAAAUUGUAUUGAUCAUUAUAAAAAUUAACUCAAAAUAAACAAAGAAAUCAUAACCCAUUCUAUCACAAUCAUAAACAGUAAAAAAUAAACAAAAUUCAAUUUACUCUAUAAAUUAGAAAUAUAAAAUCACAUAGUCAUCCAAAAAAAUGAGUAUGAGAAAAUGUUGGAGUAAGGAGAAGGAGAAGAAAGUGACUCUUAUUUCUUUUUUUCUUUUUUUUUUAGGCUCAUUUAUUUGAUAUGUAUCAAGUGAAUUAUGUAUCAAGUGAGGGUUAAUAUGGUCUUUUUGCAGUUGCUAGGGGAGAUAAGUGAUUUUUUAAAAUCUUAAGGGCACCAAGUGAUAUUAGGAGAAAUCUCAAGGGAGUUUUAACUUUUAAGAGUGUAUCUUUGACUUCAAUUUUAAAAAUUCAGUGUCCCUCUAUUUUUAAUGCGUUUGAAUAGAAAAUACCUGUCUUGAUCAGAACACUUUUUUUUUUCUAACAUUUUCUUGACGAAACCCAAGAAUUUGUCUUGAUCAGAACACUUAGGAGUUGUUUUUAAUGCGUUUGAAUAGAAAAAUGUCAAGUCGAGUUUUCUCGCAAGCCACUUGAUUCUUUUGUAACUCUGAUUGCAACAAUGUCAAUUACUAUAAGAUAACGAUCAAUGUGAAGUGGUUAUAUUAUUUAAAGUCGUACAUCCAGUCCAAGCAGUUGCUCCCAACUCGAGAAAAGGUUGACAGUGAAUUAAAAAGUGCACAUGCUAUUGUGUUUUUGUCUUGCAUUGAAUAGUAAUUCUAGUUAAUGGUCAUUAUAUUAAAUAUAAAGGCAACGAACGAAAUUUGACCCAAAAAGUUUAAAAGAACUAGCAUCUAUGUCCUUUUUUUUUUUUAAUCCAUUUUGCAUCAAGUUUCCAGGCAAUUAGGAGGUAAUUCAUCGCAAUGAUUUUGUACUCAUCACAAUACUAUCAGGUGGCAAAUUGGAUGGCUAGAAAAUGGUCGAUUAAGACAGUUGGACCAACUAUUUUGAAGGACAACAAACAUCACGGGGCUUGUCUAGUCGAGAUGAAGUCAGAUGCUUGCCUAAAAUGGUUGGACGAAAGAGAUUGUAGCUCAGUUAUUUAUGUAUCAUUAGGUAGCGUGGCUGUACUUGGAGAAGAACAAAUGGAAGAGCUUGCUAGGGGCAUAGCCAAGAGUGACCACCACUUCUUAUGGAUGGUUAGAGAUUCGGAAGAGUGCAAACUUCCAGCCAAUUUCAAGUCUGAAAUAUCAGAAAAAGGUCUAAUUGUCAACUGGUGUCCUCAACUUGAAGUUUUGGCACAUCAAGCCUUGUCAUGUUUCAUGACACACUGCGGCUGGAAUUCGAUGCUUGAAGCACUGAUUUCGGGUGUGCCAAUGAUAGCUAUGCCACAGAUUGUUGAUCAAUUCACAAAUGCAAAGUUUGUCGCAGAUGUAUGGCAGACUGGGGUUCGAGUCAAGGCCAAUGACAAGGGAAUUGUUACUAGAGAAGAAAUUUCAAUGUCCGUAAAGGCAGUUACUGAGGGCGAGAGCGCAAAGGAAUUCAGAAGAAAUGCUGAGAAGUGGAAGGAACUGGCACAAGAGGCUGUACACCAAGGUGGAAGUUCUCAUAACAACAUUGAUGAGUUCGUUUCACAAGUUUUGAGCGUCUAGUUAAUUUCAUUUAGCUACAAAAUCAGGUCACGUGAAAGCCUCAUAAGCAUCUAUGGCAGACAAUAGUAUUAUAUUGUUGAUUCAAUCAAUUGAUGCAAACCUGUCAUGCUUGUGUACGAGAAUAAUAGAAAAUUAAUAAAGUUUAUUGGAUUAAUCGUGUAAAUAAGAUAGUAUGCAUUUUCAUAAUUUCUUUUAAGUAUAACUGUAAAACAAAUCCAUUUAACUAAAUUUACCCAUAUCCGCCCAUGAAUAGAUGGGUAUGGGUAUCUUAAAUUUUUGCAUAUGAGUAUUAUUGAGUAACCCAUUAAACCCAAUAAACCCAUUUAGAAUUGUCUUCCCCCAAACCUCCUCUCCUCCCCCACCCAUUUUGUUUUUCAAAUUUUUCAUUUUGUCAUGAUGUUAAUUACUUUUGUUUCAUUAUUAUUAUUAUUUGUUGGUUUUAUCUUAUCAUUUUAUUUUCUCUUAGUUUGUUAACUUACUCAUUUUUUAGCAUUACCAAUUUAUGACAAGUUUUAGCCUCUUUUCUUGCUUUUCCAAAAUUAAAUUUUAAAUUUACACAUGAAAAAAAUACUAGAGGUUCAAAAUUUUUGGAUUAAGUUUUUAUGUUAACUUUUAUAGUACUUAGUUCAAAUUUUUAUAUUCUUAUUGUUUAAUUAUUAAAUAAUAUGUAAUUUUGCGACAUAGAGUACGGAUGAAAAAAAAAUUGAUAAUUAGGCUUAUUAAGCAUUAUAAGUAAAUAUUUAAAACUAAUGAUGGGUGCAAAGGAUAGUAUAAAUUGAUAACUUAGUUUGCAAAAAUGAAUUUAAAUGAAUUUACAAAAAGUUAAAAUAAAUAGAUUAUAAAUGGGUAAUUGGUUACCCAAUUCAUUUUUUGACUUACCCAUUUAUACUCAUCUAAUUAAAUGGGUAUAAAUGGGUUAACUCACUUAUACCCAUUACCCAUUUUACCCAACCCAAACCCGUCCAAAUCACCCAUUUUGACACCUCUACUUUUAAGCAAACAAACCUAAGCCCUAAGCACCAUCAAGGAUAAUUUAUCUCAACACCGUUUCACUUCCUAGUAGGUGCAAGAGAGAUUACAUGGAAAUGCAAGGCCAGUUUUCACUCUCUUUAGUUUCUAACAGACUAGGAAGCACUGCAACAAUAUACUUCAUGAAGGGGGUUAUAAGCGAAGUUUUGAUGUAAUACUACUGUUUUUUUUCCCAUAUUGUUUUCCUCAUUGAGCUAUCUAAUUAAGUAAAAAUAAAAAAUAAAAUUACUGUCAGUAAAUCUAGAUUGCUCUAAAUGAAAGCAAAUCCCAGGCACUGGUGUUGCAGUAAUUCCAAUUCAGUUUGUUCAAUAGACUGGGCUACAAUAGAGGAACGCUGCUCUAUUUGAGCCUUUAUAGUUGUACCCAACUCUCUAAGAUUUGUGCCAUAGAGCAGGCCUCAGCAUUCUGCUGAGAUUAAACUGAAAUUAAUGGUACGAAUAUUGAUUUCUUAGAUAAUUUUAACAAAAAUAGAAAACAUAAACAAUUUCUACAUCUUUGAAUAUUUUUCAAACAUGUGUUAAGUCAUAAAAGUUGCAGUGUACUAAUAUCUCAUUAGUAGACACAUAAUAAUAUGUAGGAGAAGAACAACCUUAAAAUAAAUUUCGUGAUGCUAUCAAUGCAGGUUUUACACAGGAUGAUAAUUAAUUUAUUAAGGCAUAUUUAGUCUUAUCCUAGUAAUUUUAAACAAUAAAAAAAUCGACGAGGUUACCUAUUUAGAUAAUUAACUAAAACCCCUAGACCAUUUUCUUAUCUACUUUCCCUUUGUUUUGGUCUUUUGCGUUUGCUCCUAGAUUUUUUUUCUUCCCUAUUUUAAUUAUUUAUUUUCGGAGUUCAAAUCAUAGUUAUCAAACCCAACAUGAUGGUUCAAGCGGUCAACUCAAUGAACCAAUCACUUAAUUAGGUCGAGUUACUAGUUGGACUAGAUAAGAAAGUAAACCAUUGAAAAAUCAAUGACCGGUUGAUUCGACCAAUGAAAAUCGGAAACCUAAUCACUUUUUGUGUAACCCAGUAGUUUUCAUAAAAUUCGUAAUAUUGGGUAGUGAGCUUUUUUGUUUUCUCUUAAGUCUUUUUUUUUUUUUUUUAAAUUAAGGGAUUGAAAACAUAGUUGUUAAGUCUAACCCAGUUCAACAGAACAACCUAAUGAAUCGGUCACUUCAAAGGGCCUGGUUGGAAAUUGGACCGUCUAAGGAAGCAACCAAUUGAACAGUUAGCUACCUAUCAGUUCAACUCGUAAAAAUUGGAACCCUAGCUGCUCUUUGUAUAACUCAUGAUUUUUCAAAAACUUCUCGAUAUUAAGCUAGUGAGUUUCAAACAUAUGACGUUUAACUUGAUUAGUAUCCUAGAACUUAUAAAUUAAGUAGCAACCAUUGGACCAAAUGUCCUUUUAGUGUUUAGUGGACUAUUUUAUGUAUUUUGUAGAAUCUUGUUGGUGUUUUAUUAGAUUGGUGAAUUUCGGACAUGCUAUCUUUUACUUAAUUAGUAUGCUAGAACUUACAACCUAAGUAGCAAGUGCUGGAUCACAAUGCCACCCUGUGUUUAAUGGACUCUAAAAGUUGCCUAUUCAAAGUUUCAAACCAGUUCACCUAGAAUACUAAAAUCACUAACCAGCUAAACCGGUCUCCUUGUAGAUUGAUCGCCGAAUUGAGUUUAAUAACUAUGAGUGAUAAAAACUCUUAUUCAAUUACAAGAAGCAAAGCGAAAUAUAUUUAAUGUCUUUUCCAGCACUUUUUUUUUUUGAGUUGUCAUUUUGCACUUGUUUUCCUAUUUCCUAUUACAGAUAAAGCAACUAUCCUACUUUUGGUAGUUAAACAAAAAAAGAGUUUCACUUUUUGUUUUGUACUUGUUAUCCUGCUUUAAGAUAGGUUUAAAAGGGAGACUUCACCAAAACCAAUCACUUCUCCAAGUUUCCUUAGAAUAAUCUAACACCAAGUCUUUUGUAAUAGGUUCAAGUGAUGGGCUUCAAUUUCACUCAUAUCCAUAUAUAGUGUUUGUUUAAAGUCAGUCAGGAUCAAUUAUUGGGUUUCAUAAACCCCUUCUAUGAGUUUCAUAAUUAACUACUAAAGAAUAAAAUUUGGCUUAUCUAUUGUUUUAUUAUUAUUAAUAAUCCAUUGCUAUAAAAUUAUCAAACACUAUGAAUUUUUUUUUAUCAAAUUUAAUAUAUUCUCCAAUUUAUCAUACCCAUCGUAACAUUGAUUCUAAAAUUGAAAUCAAAUGACUCCUUAGGGGAAACUUCUCUCUUUCUGUCGUGAAUAAGUAGAAGCUUUCUUAAAAAAUCCAUUAGGAGAGAAAUCAAAACGAGAAAAUUUAAUCUUUGUUUUCUACUCCAAUAAGAGAAAUAAGGAAUUGGUUUAAGAAAGUAGAUAUAUGUGCAUAUGGAAACUCAAUCAAACUAGAAAUAUUUUUCAAAUUUCAACUUUUCCAAUAGUAAAAGAGUAGAUUACUUGUUGCAAAAGAGGUACUUAAAUUUUAGAUUAAGAUUGUUAUGAUGUAACAUUUCCUUUGUCCAUGUCCACAUAGAAAGUGAUGCACUAGUGAUGAAAAAUUCGGUGAUACGUAACGUUAUUCUUCUUUUUUUUUUUUUUCUUUUGGUGCAAUUUUAAGUUGGUUUAUGAGAAAGUGUUGAGAUUUAAGCGGAUAAUUAGUUGGCCUUUACAUUGGGGAAAUGUUACAUUGAAACCUGCCAAGAACUUUGUGUGCCGAGAACAUGUUUGUUAGAAUCUUCCAAGAUUCUAAAGCACAAAUAUUUAGAGAAGCAGGGAUGGCUUGCCAGCUGUAUUUUCAAACUCGGACCAAAUUGACUGGUCCAACCGGUUGAACUAGGAACUGGUCAGGCAUCCGAUCUGAGUUCUCUCGUAAUAUUGCCUGACAAAAUCCUGGUCAAAAGCUGUGUGUCGACCGCAAACCAACAACAACCUGCUUUUUUUUUCCCAUUAUUUCCUUUUGUUUCUUUCUUUCUCUCCUCUUCUUCUUCGACCAACUUGAGUACCAACACACAUAUUUCUUCCUUCCAUUAGCAGGUAUCCAACCCAUCAAAAAUCACCCUUAAAUGCAUUUCUUAAAUUAGAUCUUAUCAUAGAUUUGAUGUUAAAAAAAAUGGUAAAAAGACAAGAAGAAAAAGGGAGAUGGAGAAGAGAAGUUUGAAAAAAAAAAAGGAUAAAAAAGUUUUAGAUUUUGCAACUUUCGAGCAAAAAAACCAGCAAAGAUAAAACUAACCAAAAAAAAAAAGAAAAAAGGAAAGAAGAAAGAUUGACUUUGAAUUGCAGAUAAGUUGGAUAGGAAGAAACUAGGAAAAGAAAAGAAUGAAUGAAACGGCACAAGCAAGUGAUGAGAGGAAAAGAAUGAAAAAAAAAACUAGGAGAAUUAGUUUUUGCGGGUUCAAAAUUUUAUCAAUUUUGUGGUUUGGCCCCUAGAAUGCUAGAAAACUAUUAGUACACCUAGAAAUAUUUUAUAGUUUAUUCUAUUGUCCUAAAUUCUAGUAUUACGUUUCAAAUAAGCCCUCCAAUUGAAUUCUACACUCGUUGAAUAUGCAUUAAAUUGUAUAGAUUGCUACUUGAUUGCAUUACUUUAUUUGUAUUUUCUUAUAAAGUAUUUUAGAAACAUCAAACAUAUACGAAUAUGCAUUUCUUGAUAUGAAUACGUUUCUAGAAAUUUUACAUAGUAUAUUAAUUUUAAAAAUUAAAUAUAUUUAUAACAUCAUAAUGAUGUCGUCUGAUUCUUAUUAGAUAGGCCGUGGUAUUAUAUUUUGUUUUAUCCUUUUUAAUCCUAUUCAAAAAUAUAAAACAUAGAAAGAGUGACAUUUAUGGGAAUUACGACUCCGAAUCCUAGGUCGCCUUGUCUUCCCUCUCAAUAGUAAACUGCCACGUCACCAUCACCCACAUCCUUAUUUUUGUAAUCUUUUUGAAGAAUUGGCUGGGCUGGUUUAUUAUCAUCCCAAGUAGGGGUGGAGCUGAUUCAAGCUACUCGACUCGAGCUCGAUAUGUACUCGAUCUCGAGCUGCUCGUUAGAGCUAUCGAGUCGAGCUCGAGCUCAGAAAUUUGAUACUCGAGUAUCACAUAAAAAAAUUAAAAAAAAUUAUAUAUAAAAUUACUAAUAUAGGUAAAUAAAUUCUGAGAAAUUACCGGUGAGUACCCUUAUCGAGUCGAGCUCGAGCUUUUUAAGGACUCGAUCGAGCGCGAGCUCGAGCUGUGAUUCUCCGACUCGAUCGAGUUCGAGCUCGAGCUCGAGUAUAAUUAUAUUAUAGCCGAGUCGAGCUCGAGUACAGCGGUACUCGAGCUCGACUCGACUCGAAUACACCCCUAAUCCCAAGCCAAUCUUUUCAAUCAAAAUAGCAUAAGAAUUCUUAAAUUACCAGUUCUUUGCAAUCAAAGCUUUUCCUCUUUCUUCGGAGGGAUUCCUACCCGGCAGACUUCAGAAAUUCCGAAAAGAGGGUUGGACAGAUUCAGAUGUCUGAUGUCAAAUUAUUACUGGUAUUAAGUGGCAUUAAGUAUUGAACCAAUCUUUUAUGUUCUGUCUAUUACUACAUUUUCUCUCGGUUUAUACACACUUUUGUAAUGCCUAGGAAAAAAAUGGAGGAAGAAGAAGGGAUAGAUAGAUGUGCCGUAGGUAGUCGCAAAUUUGACUAGUUGGGACUUGGAAACGAAAGCCAAGCCAAUAUCUGCGUCAUGUCUCACAUUUGACUAGUUGUGGGGCUGAGGAUCGGAACCGCCUAUAUCCAUCCAAUUCAUCAGUUACGUAAUUUUAUACAAUUUUCCUUACAUGUAAAUGCACUGGUCCUUUCCUUUCAAAACUUGUUUUCUGCAUUUUCCUUUUGUUUGCUUCUUCAUCACCAAGAGUCACUCUCUGUCAUCUAUUUUUAUCACUAAGCGCAUUUUCCUUGUAAUUUGCACACACAUCGAGUUUGUCUUUCUCACUAGUAUUAAUAAUUUCUGAUAACAUACAAGAUCCUGAGGUCAGUCCCUGUUAAAAUCUGCCAUCAGCUAAACUGGAACAGGCAAGAUCCUUUUAGGCGAGCAUCAGCCGCAAGCAUUAGAGUCUUAUCCACAAAUGCCCAGUCUCAACAUCUAAGCUAAGAUUUUCUUUGCCUCCAACAUCUUGUGAACUGCAAAAAAUCCCUUGUCUUUUCUUUUUGUUAUUUUAUCAAAUGCCGAACUGAAUAGAAGGCAACAAUGUCAAGCAUAUAUCCCUGCUUGAUUUGGUGAAGCGGCCAAUGCAAACUCUUAGGACCACCCGUCAAUGUGAUGUAAUUUUCUUUUCUUGUUGAAAGUCUAGAAGUGGUCCAUCUCUGUUCAAAUUUAAAGCUGGCAUUUUCAACUCUUAGUUAAAUAGAGUAACCAUUUAACUUCUGAUCCCUUCAAUUAUUCAAUAGUCCAAUCCCUCUUUGUUUUCAAAAUCCGCCUGUUUAUGCCAUGUUGGUGCUCUAUAUAUAUAACUGAUUAACUCUGCAGCAUAAUUUUCCAUUGAGUAGAUAGAUAGUAGCUAAAGAGAAGGAAACAUGGGAACAGUUGAUAUUUCCCCUAGCAAAAUUCAUAUUCUUGCUUUCCCUUUUCCUGCAAAAGGUCAUAUAAAUCCUAUGUUACACCUCUGCAACCGCCUGGCCACGAAAGAUUUCAGGGUUACACUGAUUACUACAACUUCUAUAUUCAAGUCUGCUAAAACCAAAACCAUCGGCUCCAUCAAGAUUGAGUGUCUUCCAGAUGACUCCGAUGAACCCGUUGAAGAAGAUCUCAAAGGCUUUUUGGCAAGGUUGAGAGCUGCUGCUUCCAGAGGCUUGGAAGAACUGGUUGAGAAAUGUAGAAAGACUGAUCCGUAUCCUCCCAGAAUUGUGAUUUAUGACUCAACUAUGCCUUGGGUUCUGAACUUAGCUCAUCGGGUGGGACUUCGCGGUGCUUCUUUCUUUACUCAAUCUUGUGCUGUUUGUGCUCUUUACUACCAUAUGGACCAGGGAACAAUACAGCUUCCUCUUGAUAAGGCUGUUACUGUAAAAUUGCCUUCAAUGCCAGCACUUGGAAGCAAUGAUCUUCCUGAUCUCCAGUACUUCCCUGAUCCAGAUAGUGUUAUCACGAGGACUCUUCUUGAUCAGUUCUCGAACAGUGACAAAGUUGAUUUCAUUCUGUUCAACACUUUCGAAGAAUUGGAGGAUGAGGUAAGUUGGAAAUCCUAAUUAUAAUCCAGUGAACAUACAUUAUUGAUGGAUUUUUUUGGGUGAUAAUUCAUGUAACUUUGUCAAACUAUGUAAUACUCUUGGAUGGGCAUAAGCAAAAUUUUAAUCAUGUGGAAAACUUUCUCUUUUUUUUUUUUAAGAAAACAAUUGAUUUUGGAUGACUCCCUAGUUUGUGCUAGUAUUGUCAAAUAGGAUAUUAGAAUCGGCAAUUAAUUAACGUUGUACAUAAGCCGGAUUCAGAGAUUCUUGAUCGUGUUUUGGUACCCACAAGCACUAUUCUCUGAUAGGUUGCCAAAUAUAUCAAAACUGAAAACUUAGCUAGUCUCCAAAUGCCGUGCCAAUUGGGAAUCCUUUAAUUCCUUAUUUACUUCUCUUUUUCCAAAGAAAUGUUGUGUCAAAUGGUCCACCGCUUUUCCGAUUUUCAGUACUUGUUAAUCAUGCUACUGCUACUUUAUCUAUCAGGUGGCAACAUGGAUGGCAGAAAGGUGGCCAAUUAAGACAGUUGGACCAACAGCUCCACUACUUUUUGUAGACAAAAGACUACAGAAUGGCAAUGAUCAACAAGGGAACUAUCUGUUUGAGACAAACGCUGAAGCUUGCUUAAAAUGGUUGGACGAAAGAGAAACCUGUUCUGUAGUUUAUGUAUCGUUUGGGAGCGUUGCAGCGCCCGGAGAAGAUCAGAUCGAGGAAGUGGUAGAGGCCCUCCUGAGGAGCAACUGCAAAUUCCUUUGGGUAGUCAGGGAAGAAGAAGAGAGUAAGCUGCCAAAGAAUUUCAAGUCUGAGUCUUCAGAGCAAGGCCUAAUCAUAAACUGGUGUCCACAACUUGAGGUUUUAGCCCACUGGGCGAUCGCGUGUUUCGUGACUCAUUGUGGAUGGAAUUCAACCAUUGAAGCUCUAAGUGCGGGCGUGCCAAUGAUAGCAGCGCCACAAUGGGUUGAUCAAACUACAAAUGCUAAGUUUAUUGCUGAUGUAUGGCAAACGGGGCUGAGGGUGAAGCUAAAUGAUAAAGGAUUUGUCAGAAGAGAAGAGUUUGUGUAUUGUAUCAGAGAAAUUACUGAGGGUGAAAGGGGGAAGGAGAUCAGAAGGAAUGCUAAGAAAUGGAAGGAAUUGGCCAUACAGGCAGUAGGAGAAGGUGGAAGUUCUGAUAGGAACAUUGAAGAUUUUGCGACCUCACUUUUGUGCCUCCCAUGACGCGUUUCUGCUCUAGUCUCUUGGGAGUUUGUGGAUGGAAACUAUCUGAAAUAAGAAUUCUGUACAAGUAUUUUAAUAAUAAAACGAUGACAAGAUUUGAUUUUGAAUGUAAAUCUGUAAUUGUUUAGAAGGAUUUAGAAUAUGCUUCUUUUCUGUAGGACAAAUUUUAUGUUCACCAACUAUAUCACCAAAAUUUAGAUCUUUUUAAUUUUUUUUUAAUUUGUCUUUUCUAUUAUAGUUUUCAAUUUUUCAACAUGUCUUUUUCAUUAUAGUAACUGAAGUAUGACCACUUUAUUGAAAUUGUCCUUUUCACAAAGACAAUCACACUUCAUUCUACGCCUCUCUUCCUUUGCUGCUGCAUACAACGGCUUAUAGUUUCAAUCACAUGAGUUUAGUUUAUUGUAGUUAAUGUUGGAAUAUUUUCAAAUAUUGAAAUUUGGACAGAUUUCUAGAGGUAGUUUUCUGCGUUUCAUUGUUAAAAAAAUAUAAGUACUCUUGUAGAUAAUAAAUUAGUAAGGGUAUUCUUGUAAAUAGUUUGUUAAGUUUGUACUAUUAUAAAUACUAGUUGGUCACUCAUAAUACAAGUGCUAGACGUUUUUCUCCCAAAAUAUAUGUUAUCGUGGUAUCAGAGUUAAAGUCCUAGGGUUAAGGUAAAACAUCUAACAAAAGUUCUAUUCACGCGAUACUAUUCAUUGCGUUACUGUUUACGCGUUAUUGUUCCAAGGUACUAUUCAUCACGAAUUUUGAUUGUUUUUGGUUUGAAGUGUUAUUUGUUAUGGCUGAAAGUUCAUCCAAAGUGUCGUGGCGUCCAUUAAUGUUAUGACAAUGAUGAUGUCUCAAAUUACAAAUUGAAAGUUGAACGACACUAAUUAUCAAUAGUGGUCAAAAGCUGUUAAGAUUUAUCUGAUAGGCUUAGAAAAGCAACAACAUCUCACAGAUGACUCUCCUACGGAGAAUAACAAGAGACUAAUGUGGAUUCAAAAGGAUGCCUAAAUUCUUGGAACACAAUGGAAUUCUAUGGAGCCAUGAAUUGCUUACAUAUGUUCUCAUUAUGAGACAACAAAAGAAGUUUGGGAUUAUAUCCGGUUAUUAUACUGCAGUAAUCUUUCAUGGAUGUAUAAUAUUUCUUUGGAGUAUUUUCAGCAACAAGAUAACAAGAUAGUAACCGAAAACUUUGCCGAUCUCAAAUGAAUUUUAGAAGAAUUAAAUGUUGCAAUGCCUUUCUCAAGUGAUAUUAUAGUUAUACAGAGGCAAAGAAAACAAAUACUUGUACUCAAAUUCUUGACUGACCUUAAGUUAGAAUUUGAACCAAUCAAAUCUCAAAAUUUAGUAGGUGAAUAAUUACCAAUCCUUUCAGAGGCGUAUGCUCGUGUCUUAUGUUCUACAUCUAAGGAUAAUGCAGGGUGAUGGUACUUUAAUUAAUGACAAGUCUGCUUUAGUUUCUGACAAUAAUCGGAUAGAGAAAUUUAGUCUUGAACAUGAGCAACUUAGUUUUGGACGUGGCUCUCCUGGAGGAAGAAGUAAAGGAGGUCGUGGAGGUCGAAACACCCAUAAGUGUACUCAUUGUGGUUUGAAAAAUCAUACUUGUGAUACUUGUUGGGAUUUAGUUGGAAAACCUCCUCUGUUUGCUAAUGCGGUUACCACUGAUCAAGUUGAAUUAGGUUCUUCAACACAAGGGUUCCAGAAGACUUUAACUUUAUCUGAGGAAGAUUAUGUUAAAUUCCUAUAGUACCAAACUACAAAUCACACAUCUCUUCCCUCUGCUUCUUUAGUAUAAGAAGGUAAUGUUAUGGCUUGUCUCUCCACAUCUUCUAAUUCUGAUUCAUGGGUUAUUGACUCAGGGGCUACCGAUCAGAUGUCAGGUACCUUUAGAAAAUUUUCUAAUAUUCAAAAGUCUACUUACUUUUCUCAUAUUAUUUUAUCUAAUGGAUCGACAACUAAAGUUAAAUGACUAGGCACUGUAGAAAUUAACCCUUCUCUUCCGCUGUCUUCUUUUCUUCAUGUAUCCAAUUUGCCUUUUAAUCUAAUAUCUGUUAGUAAAUUUACUAAAUUUCUGAAGUGUUCAGUUAUUUUUUUUCUAAUUUUAUUGUCAUUCAAGAUUUGAAGACAAAGAGAACGAUUGGUGGAGGGCAUGAGUAUAGUGGUCUUUAUUUUCUUAACUCCAAUGAUCCGAUUGCAUGUCCUGCUAUUGUUUUUCUCUUGAAAUUCACUGUUAUUUGGGUUAUCUAUCUCUACAAAAUUUGAAGAAAUUGGUUCCUACUUUGAGUCAGUUGUCUUCACUAGAAUAUGAGUCUAGGAAAGUAUCAUCGUGUUUCUUUUGCCCCUAGAGUCAAUAAACGAAUUUCUGAACCCUUUUUGUUAGUUCAUUCUGAUGUUUAUGGUCCUAAUCGCAUCACUUCAAAAUUAGGUUUUAAAUAUUUUGUAAUCAUUAUUGAUUACUUUUUCAGAGUUAUAUGGUUUUAUUUAAUGAAAGAUCGUUUAGAACUAUAUUUCAUUUUUUGUGCAUUUGUUACAGAAAUAAAAAAUCAAUUUGGUGUACCUAUAUGUAUACUUCACAGUGAUAAUGUGAAAGAAUAUUUUUUUACUCCUUUUGAUACUUUUAUGACUAAGUUUGAUAUUAUUCAUCAGUUCUCUUGUCCCUACACUCCACAACAGAAUGGAGUUACUGAAAAAAAAAUUGGACAUUUAGUUGAAAUUGCUCAACCACUUUUGUUGCACAUGAAUGUGCCUAAACAGUUUUGGAGUGAUGCAGUUUAACUGCAUGUUAUUUAAUUAAUCGCAUGCCAUCUAAUAUUCUUGGAGGCCAGUUAUCUUACUCCAUUUUUUUUCUCGUGAACCUAUGUUUAAAUUACCUCAUUGUAUUUUUGAAUGUGUGUGUUUUGUUCAUCAGUUUGCUCUCGGGGUGGAUAAAUUAGAUUUUCAUGCUAUUAGAUGUAUUUUCUUAGGAUAUGCACAAGUGCAAAAAAGAUAUAGAUGUUACAGUCAAAAUUUAAAUAGAUUUUUCACUUGUGUUGAUAUUACUUUUUUUGAGUCCACUCCUUAUUUUAUGAAACAAUAUAUGCCUAAUGAGUUAGAACAGUAUUUCUCUUUUCUUUCUCCUGUUUUACCAACUCCUUCAUCUUUAUUACCUGAGUUAUACAGUCCACCAGAUUUUACAACUCGAUUAUCUUAUUCUAAUCUUCAAGUUUAUUCUCGUCAUUUCGUAGUUGAGAAAGCUCCUCAUAUACCAUGCGCUUCACCAAUUAACUCUCAAUUUUUAAAUUCAGGUAUGACGCCCUCCUGUGUAUUAGAUCUUCCUAUUGCUUUAUGCAAAAGUAAGAGGCACUGUAUUUCUCAUCUUUCUCAUCUUAUUUCUAAUUUUGUUUCUUAUUCUCGUAUCUUUUCAUCAUAUUUUUCUUUUGUUGCUUCACUUGAUUCUAUAUUCAUUCCUAAAUCUAUUACCCAUACUCUCAGUCAUCCUAGUUGGAGAUUAGUUAUGCAAGAAGAGAUGUUUGUUUUGGAGAAAAAUGGUACUUGAAAUCUUGUCCCUCUUCCUUCUAGUAAGCCUGUUGUUGGUUGUAAACAGGUGUACACUAUAAAAGUACAGUCUAAUGGACCUAUUGAUAGAUUGAAGACUCGUCUAGUAGCUAAAGGAUAUACUCAGGUGUAUGGAAUAGAUUACUUAGAGACAUUUUCUUCUGUUGCAAAAAUUACCUCUGUUCGUUUUUUUAUCUCUUUGACAGCAACUUAUAAUUGGUUAUUGCAUCAGUUGGAUGUGAAAAAUACAUUUUUACAUGGAGAUUUAGAAGAAAAAAUAUAUAUGGAACAACCUCUUGACUUUGUUGUUCAGGGGGAGAAUUCAUGGUUGGUUUGUCAUCUGAAAAAAUUCUCAUGUGGAUUGAAACAGUCUCCCACGGCUUUGUUUGGCCGAUUUAGUAGUGUUGUCAUGGAGUUCGAUCUAACAAAAUGUGAAGUAGAUCACUCUGUGUUUUAUUGACAUUCUAAUGCUGGUAAGAUUUUAUUAAUUAUUUAUGUGAAUGAUAUUGUGAUUACAAGUGAUGAUAUUAUGGGGAUCUAGAAGUUUAAAUCCAAUCUGCAGGCAAACUUUCACACAAAGGUUUUAGAUCACUUACAAUAUUUUAUGAACAUUGAGGUAGUUAGGUCUAAAUAUGAAAUUUAUUUAUGUCAAAAAAUAUAUAUACUCGAUAUGUUGGGUGAAGUUGGAAGGUUAGGUUGCUAACCUGUGGAUAUUCGUAUGGAGCCUAAUGUGAAAUUAGUAGAAGAUCAAGUUGCAUUACUAGAUGAUCCUCAAUAAUAUCGAAAACUCAUAGGUAAAUUAAAUUAUCUCAUUGUAACGAGACCUGACAUUUCAUUUGCAGUGAAUGUCGUGAGUCAACUUCUUGAGACCUCUUAUACCAGUCAUUAGGAUGCUACUAUACGAAUUCUCAGGUAUCUUAAAAGUACUCCUGAAAAAGGGUUGUUAUAUUAAAAUCAUGGAUACACUGAUAUUGAAGGAUACAGUGAUGCAGAUUGGGCCGGUUCUGCCUCAAAGCGAAGAUCGACCACAGGAUAUAGUGUGUUUGUUAGUGGUAAUUUAGUGUCAUGAAAAAGUAAGAAGCAAACAGUUGUCUCCAAGUCAAGUGUAGAAUCUGAAUACCGCGCUAUGGCUCAUAUUAUGUAUGAGUUGAUUUGGUUGAAAAACAUGUUACUUAAAAUUGGGCUUGAACAUAAACAGUUUAUAAAUUUAGUGUGUAAUAAUCAAGAGGCUGUUCAUAUUGCGUCUAACCCAAUGUUUCAUGAAAGAGCAAAACAUAUUGAAGUUGAUUGUUAUUUCAUUCGAAAGAAAUUGUUUGAUGGAGUUAUCAAGACAUCUCAUGUACCAUCUGUAGAUCAAUUGGCUGAGUUGUUUACUAAGAGUUUAGGGGGCUCUAGGGUGAAAUACAUUUGUAACAAGUUGGGUGUUUAUGAUAUAUAUGCUUCAAUUUGAGAGGGAGUGUUAAGAAAAUAUAAGUACUCUUGUAGGUAAUAAAUUAGUAAGGGUAUUCUUGUAAAUAGUUUGUUAAAUUUGUACUACUAUAGAUACUAGUUGGUCACUCAUGAUACAAAUGCUAGACGUUUUUCUCCCAAAAUACAUGUUAUCACAUUCGCAACCAUUCAGGUUUCAACUGUUAUUUGAAGAGAUACAAUUCCAAAUAUGUUUCUAACGGUUAAUAACUGUUUAGGGGACAUGAAAUCUUAUUUAUGUUGAUCAUUUGUGGUCGUUUGACUAUAGACAAAAAAGACUUACAAACUCUAGAAGAAUUUCUACUCUUCUCUUCUUUAUUCUUGGGAGGUUGCAACAACUUAGUGCAGAGUUUUGCAACCAAAUUUCAUCUUAUUCUAGAGAAUAUUCAUCCUUAAUCUUUUGCAUAAUAUAGUGGACGAAUAAAGUCUUAAGGAAAGAGAUUUACAGUCACAAUUUGAAGCCUUUUUUCUUGUUAGUUUUAUAGCCAUUUCAUAAUAUUAUCUUUGUUAUUGUUCCAACAAUCUUAAGGCUUUAUUCCUCCCUUGAAAUGGCAAGCACUAAAAAAGAUUUGACUGUCAAUAGUGUUAAACUUGACCGUUUUGAUUGAAGGAAUUUCAUUCGUUGGAAGAAGCGAGUGCAUUUUCUUCUUGUGGCCCUCAAAGUGGUGUAUGUUCUAACUAUUCUAAGACCUGCAACAAAUAAUGAAGAAGAGACGUUGGAUGACAUCUGCAAUAGGCAAAAAUGGGACAUGGAUGAUGAGAUUUGUAAGGGCACACAUUCUCAAUGCAAUGAGUGACAGGCUUUUUGAUGUCUAUCAUUCGGUGACAAUAGUCAAGAAACUUUGGGACAAGUUAGAAGCAAGGUACAUGAGAGAGGAUGCAACAAGUAAGAAAUUUCUUGUCUCUGGUUUCUUUAACUAUAAAAUAGUAGAUUAGAGGCUUGUUAUGGAUCAAUUUGCUAAACUUGAAAAGAUGUUUAAUCAUUUUUCUCAACACAAUUUGUUCAUGGAUGAGACAAUUGUUGUAGUUCUAUAAUUGAUAAACUACCACCCUCUUGGAAGGAUUUCAAAAGAUAUCUCAAACACAAAAAGGAAGAGAUCACUCUUGAAAGUCUUGCUAACUCUUUUCGUGUUGAGGAAGAGUUUAGAAUGCAGGAGAACAAAGAUGUUCAACUGAAGGAAGAAGAAAAGGACGCAGAUUCUACUUCCAAAGUGAACAUGGUUGCAGAGGGACAAAAAAACAAGUCCAAGGAUAACAAAAAAUCCAAUCAAUCAAAGAAUCAAUCUAACAAGAAUAAGAAAAGGAAGAAAAAGGGGAAAUGCUACCAUUGCAAGAAGGAAGGGCAUUACAAAUAUGAAUGCAAAUUUCGCAAAAAGAAGAAAAUGCAGAACCCCGAUUCUUCAAACAAUGCAGUCAAGAAUCUUGUGGCUAUGAUUUCUGCACUCAACAUAGUUGAGGAAGAUUUUCUUGGUGGAUUGAUUCUAGUACUACCUGCCAUGUAUGCAAGAACAAGGACCAUUUCAAGUCUUUGAAAGAAAUGGAUGAUGAACAAUCCAUAGUAUACAUGGCUAAUGCCGCAACUGUUCCUAUUAAAGGGGUUGGGGAAGUAUAUUUAAAAUUUACAUCUGGACAUGUUGUAAUUCUUACAAAUGCACUGUUUGUUCCGGAAGUAAGAAAGAAUCUAGUUUCGGGUAGUUUGAUGAAUAAGUUUGGAUUUAUACUUGUGUUUGAGACUGAUAAGUUUGUACUCACCAAAAGUGGUAUGUUUGUGGGCAAAGGCUAUAUAUGUGAUGGCAUGUUCAAACUAAAUGUCAUGCCUAUUAAUAAGAUGAAUAAGAAUAUUUCUUUUGCUUAUGUACUUGAGUCUACUACUACUUUAUGGCAUAAUAGGCUUAGACAUGUUAAUUAUAGGAGGAUACAUCAUAUGAUCAAACUUGAUUUGUUACCUAAAUAUGUCCAAAUGGAGGAUGGUAAAUGUAGAACAUACUUGUUAACAAAAAAAACUAGAAAUUCAUUUUCAAAGAUUGAAAGGAAUACAAACAAGUUACAUCUUAUUCAUAGUGAUAUUUGUGAUUUGCAUGGUACCAUAUCCUUAAGGAGAAACAAGUAUUUUGCCACUUUUAUUGAUGAUUGCACUAGAUUUUAUUUUGUAUAGUUGUUACAUUCAAAAGAUGAAAUCAUGCAUAUGUUUAAGAUAUACAAAGUAGAAGUAGAACUUUUAUGUGACAAUUUGAUUAAAUGUUUAAGAACUAACCGUGGUAGUGAGUACUAUCAAAAGGAAUUUUUUGAAUUCAGUGGUGUUAAGUAUGAAUUCAACGCUCCAUGCACCCUCAACAAAACGGUGUGGUUGAAAGGAAAAAUAGAGUACUUAUGAAAAUCGUGAAUGUAAUGCUGUCAAAUUCUGGUUUAAGUCAAGUUUUUUGGGGAGAAGCUGUACUUAUAGCUUGUUACAUAUUAAAUAGAGUUCCAAACAAAAGGAGCUCUAUAACUCCUUAUGAACUUUGGUACAAACGAAAGCCAAAUCUCAAACAUUUGAGAGUUUGCGCUGUAGAACCAUUGUCAAAGUUCCUAAAUCUAAGAAAAGAAAAUUAGGUAAAAGAGGUGUUGAGUGCAUUUUCUUAGGAUAUGUACAAAAUAGCAAGGUCUAUAGAUUUAUGAUAAUAGAACUUAAUAAUUCAAUAUCAGUUAACAUGAUUAUUGAAUCAAGAGAUACUAUUUUUAAUAAGAAAAGAUUCACCUCUAUAUCUAGAGAAAUUGACAAUGCACAAAACUAGAAUGAAUCACAUAAAGAUAGCUUAAAUAAUGAAAAUAAAAUCAUUGAACCAAGAAGGAGCAAAAGAGCUAAGAAGACGAAUUCUUUUGGUUCAUAUUUUGUUACUUACCUUGUUGAAGGGACAAGGUAUGCAAUAAGUAAUACUAUUCCUUAUUGCUUUAAUACCGAAGCUGAUCCUAAAACAUUUGAUGAAGCAAUGAGAUCAUAUGACGCUUCAUUCUGGAAGGAGGCUAUAAGUGAUGAGAUGGACUCAAUUAUGGCCAAUAAAACUUGGGAGUUAGUAGAUUUACCACCAAGUUCCAAACCAAUUUAUUGCAAAUGGAUCUUCAAGAAGAAAUUGAAGGUGGAUGGAACCAUAGACAAGUUUAAGGCCAGAUUAGUUGCCAAGAGGUUUACUCAAAAAUAUGGCAUUGAUUAUUUUGAUACUUACUCGCCGGUAGCUAGAAUAGCUACCAUAAGGGUGCUACUUGUGAUAGUUUCAAUCCAAAAAUGGAUAAUUCACCAAAUGGAUGUCAAAACAGCAUUUUUUUUUAUUGUGAAUUGGAUGAAGAAGUGUACAUGAAACAACCCAAAGGGUUUUAGUACCUGGGCAAGAGCACAAAGUGUGCAGACUUGUAAAGUCCUUGUACGGAUUAAAACAAACUCCAAAACAAUGGCACCAAAAAUUUGACCAAGUAAUGCUUGAUAUUGGGUUUAAGAUUAAUGAGUCGGACAAAUGUAUAUACAGCAAGUAUAUGAGUGGUAAAGAUGUCAUUAUUUGCUUGUAUAUGAAUGAUAUGUUAAUCUUUGGUACUGACUUAGAGCAAUUCAAUGAAACCAAAAAAUUGCUAUCAUGCAAGUUUGAAAUGAGGGAUAUGGGAGAGGCCGAUGUUAUUCUAGGAAUAAGAAUUAAGAGAGAGCAAGGACAAAUUUUGCUUUUACAAUCUCGUUACAUUGGAAAGAUUCUUAGUCGUUUCAAUCAUCAAGAUUGUAAUCUGCCUUAACUCCCGUUGAUCCGAAAAUUGACUUUAUUAAACAUGUUGGUGAUCUUGUGUCUCAAUUGGAUUACACCAAAGUGAUUGGAUGUUUGAUGUAUGCAAUAACAUGUACAAGGCCAGAUAUAGCUUUUGCUGUAGGUGUAUUAAGUAGAUACACAAGCAAUCCAAACAAACAACAUUGGUUUGGUGUAACUAGAGUUUUGAGGUAUCUAAAACAUACCAAAGUCUAUGGUAUUUGCUAUAGUGGCUAUCCUUCAGUAUUAGAAGAUUAUUCGGAUACUAGUUGGAUGACAAAUAAUGAUGAUCAUUCUUCUAUGAGUGGUUGGGUCUUCAUAUUAGGUGGAGGAGCAAUUUCUUGGGCAUCCAAGAAUCAAACAUGCAUAACCAACUUCACCCUGGCAGCUAAAAUUAUAGCCUUGGUUUCAGCUAGCACAGAAGCCGAUUAGUUACAAAAUUUGCUACAUGAAUUACCAAUGCGGCCAAAACCAAUUUCGCCAAUUUCCAUACAUUGUGAUAGUGUUGUUACGCUUGCUAAAGCUUAUAGUUAACUGUACAAUAGCAAAUCUAGACAUGUUGGAUUAAGACCUAAUCUAGUAAGAGAUUUGAUCACAAAUGGUGUGAUAACCAUAGAUUUUGUAAAAUCAAAAGAGAACCUGGCAGAUUCUUUAACUAAGGGAUUAACAAGGAAAUGAUGAUUUAAACAUCUAAAGGGAUGGAGUUGAAAUCCAAUCCAAAAAUCACUAACAAUGGAACCUCAAUUCAACAUUAGUUAUAACAACUAGCCUUGAAUGCAAUGAGUAAAGUACAUUGAUAUAGUGGUUUGAACACUACAAAACAUCCUAGAAGGUGUGUUGUGUUUGUUCCCGCUUGAAAUUGGAAGGUCGAACUUAGAGUUCUUAACAAGUCUUGUAAAAUGCUACAAAUGGUGGGGGCAUUAAGAGCUUGCCUAUAUGAAUGUUGGAUUGGUGGCAUCCACAAAGUUUUGGACUUAACUUUGAAUACGUUCAUGAAAGAAUAGGGAUACAAGACCUAAUGUAUCACUUGUAUAAACAAAUUGAAGAGAAGUAAAUUUGUGUGUGCUAAUUUAUGUGGCUUGUUGCAUAUACUCUUGGUUCAAAACUUGUCUACCAAGUAGUAUUAACAAGUUAUAAUCAAUUAACACUAAGAUGGUAGUUUGCAAAAAAAUUAACAUUAAGAUAGUGGUUCAAUUGAAAGAUACCAUUAUUUAUACAUAGAUUAUCAAAAUUUUUCAGCGAUCCAUAAAGAAAUUUUCAAUAUGUUGAAAAUGGCGGGCGAUUGUUGGAAUAUUUUCAAAUAUUGAAAAUCUGGAUAGAUUUCUAGAGGUAGUUUUCUGUGUUUCAUUUGCAACCGUUCAAGUUUCAACCGUCAUUUGAAGAGAUACAACUCUAAACAUAUUUCUAACGGUUAAUAAAUAUUUAGGGGAUAUGAAAUUUGAUUUAUGUGGAUCAUUUGUGUUGAUCUUGAUCCCUAACUUUUGAUGUUUACAAAACAAUUGGAUGAUACUAAUAUCUCUUCAAAAAAUAUUUUCAGUUAUGAAGCAAAUCUGAUUCAAAGAUCAAGAGCAUUUGAAAGAGAUAAAGGAAGUUGAAAGCUGUCGGACGCUCGCGAAGACAACAUCGGACGUCCGAUAAACAAUGUAGCACUUCAGACGCAUGAAAAACUCCAUCACCGGACGUCCGAAAGAGUUAAGAUAUUUCUUCUAACUUACUAUCUGCUUUUGGACGCAAGCACCAGACGUUCGAUAGAAUUGAAGAAGAUUUUUCAAACUCACUGCCUGUUGUCGGAUACAUGCUUCGAAAGUACCGGACGUCCGAUAGAAUCUUUCAAACUCUCUAUCUGCUAUCGGACGGUAGUACCGGACGUCCGAUACUCCCAACGGCUAGUUGACUUUUCAGGUACUUUCUAUCCGUUGGAAGCAUUAAUGAAGCACUUUCUUGGUCUUAUAUAAAUAGUGCAUGAUCAGAAAGUUCAAAUAAUUUUUGCACACUGAAGAUAUAAAAGAUCUAGAGUAGUUUUAGUGAGAAAACACUCUUCACGAAAAAUUUGUAGUCUUGGUGGUAUGAAAUUCAUUGUAAACUUUUCAUUUGUGAGUGAAUACUUCAAUAGUGUAGUUCUGAGAGAGUUGUCCUGAGGCAUAGUAAAACUUUCUAGUUUGACCGAGUGAGGCUUGGGGCAAGGAGGAAGUGAGUCUUCCUUUGUACACAAGAUUGGUUGUAUUUCAUCCACUUGAAGAAACUUGUUUUGUGAAUUGAAUUUCGAGCUCAAGAGAAACUUGGUAGUCAAUUGGUUUGCAACUCUUCUCUUCUUAUUUAUUGUUAUCUUAUGAUCUUUAAAUUGCUUAUAUUUUCUACUUCUCUCAAGUGAUAUUGUUCUUUUAUUGAUUGAUUCAUUGGGUGAUCACCAAAAAAAGAAGGUAAAUUUCAUAUUGAGCAAAAAGUGCCCAUAACUUGAUUAGUUUUAUAAUCAACCUAUAACUUGAUUAGCUUUAUAAUCAACCUAAUUCACCCCCUCUUAGGUUGUUUUCGAUCCUUACAAUUGGUAUCAGGGUUUGGUCUCCUAGAGAUUAAGCUCAAACGGCUUUGGAGUAAAAUAACAACCAACAAUGCCAUGUUUUUUGAAGGACAAUCUGUCACUAGACCACCUAUGUUUAAUGGAUCAAAUUAUAUGAGUUGGAAGGAAAGAAUGAUUAUUUUCUUACAAUCUAUUGAUAUUGAAUUGUGAUUUAUUGUUAAUGAAGAUCCAUAUGAUGCCUCUAUAAUUGAUGAAGUCACUCAUAGACCAAAACCAAAAAUCAAAAAUGAGUUGACUGGUGAAGAUAGAACCCACCUUACUUUGAAUGCCAAAACUAUGAAUGUGUUGUAUAGUGCUUUAGAUUCAAAUGAGUCCAUUAGGGCCAAGGGUUGUAAGUCUGCUAAAGAAAUUUGGGAUAAGUUGAGAGAAAUCCAUGAAGAGAGUGAAAAUGUACGAGAACAAAAGAAAUCAAUCUUAUUUACCAAGUAUGAAUCAUUUAAGAUGGAAUCUCAUGAAAAUAUUGACAAGAUGUAUUGUAAAUUCAAUGACCUCAUUAAGAAUUUAGAGGUGCUGGAAAAGGAAUACUCCCUAGGUGAGAAAAACAGAAAAUAGUGAAUGCCCUGUCCAAGGAUUGGGAAAGUAAAGUGACUGCCAUUGAAGAAACUAAAGAUUUGAACUCUAUGCUUAUUGAAUCUCUCAUUAACUCUCUAAUCUCUUAUGAGCUGAAGUUUAAGAUUAAGGUGCAAGAGGAAGAGAAUGCAAAAGUGAGAAAGAGCAUUGUUCUAAAAGUUUCUCAAGAUGAAGAUGACUCGGCUUCCUUAGAUGGAGAAGAUGUGGAAGUUGAUGACAGUGAUUUUGCUCUCAUCACAAGAAGUUUCAAAAGAAUUCUCAACAAAAGGAGAUUCAGAAAAGGAGAACCUAGCAAUACAUUUCCAAAUUAGUUCAACAAUGUAAGAAACAAAGCAAAGCAAGAGAUCAAUAAAAAACAAACUGACAAAUGUUAUGAAUGCGGUCAACUUGGACACUACAUGAGUGAGUGUCCAAUGAUAAAGAAGAAAGAAGGAAGAAAAUCAAGAUUCAACAACUUUCAAUUCACAUGGAAUGAGUGCAACUUCGAUGGUGAAAUUGAAGAGGAAGAAGAAUCUGUUCAAUUGGCUUUUAUGGCCAUUAGAGAUGAUGAGGUAACAACUUGUAACUCUCAAUUUGAAAGUGAUAAUGAAACUGAUGAUGAUUUUGAAUCUUUCAUUAAAAAAUUGUAUGAUAACUUGAAAGAAUCUGAUGUUAGAAAUAAGGAAUUAAAAUAGAAAAUUAGUUUUUUGUUUCAAGAUAAUGCAAAUAUUUUUCAAUAAAACAAAAAGUUGAAAGAUGAAAAUGACUACUUCAAAAAGGGUGAGACCGCUUUACACUUUGACCUUGAUAGAAAAACAAAGUUUUGUGAAUUGUUCAAAAAGGAACAAGGUGAUUUGAAAAGAAGAACGAAUGAUUUAAAUGAAUUGCUCCAACAUAAAAAACAAAACUAUUUUCAAGGGAAUGAAUCAAAGGCUCAUCUUGGCACUUAUGAUAAAAAAAAUAAAUUCUCGUGCAAAUGAUUUUACUGUUUAUAAGAGAAGACUAGUAAGAUUUAUUAAACCUGUUCAUGUAAAUAACUCUUUGGUUAUGUGUAAUUUUUGUUGUCAAAAAGGUCACAUGAAAAGUGAUUGCUAUGUGAGGAUAUGUAUGUGGAUAGUUAGACAUGAUGCUAACUCUCAAGAACCCAAAAAUUAAAGGGUACCAAAUAUUAGUUCUUGAACUCUUGAGUAGGUGAACCUGGUGAACAUCAUUAAGGAAUCAAAGUGGUUCGUAGAUAAUGGAUACUCAAGACACAUGAUCGGUGAUCCAUCACAAUUAAUUAGACACAAUGGAUACUCAAGUUAUGGACACUUUAGCACAUCCUUUUUUGUGUGAAAAGUGAAGAUUUAGAUGCUUUAACCGCCUGAAAAAUCUCAAUUUAACACGGAUGUUAUACUUCUCCGCGCUACAAUAAGGAGAAAGUUUAUGUUCACCGACCGUAUUACCAAAUUUAGCGAUGAGGUCAUUAACCUGUACAAUCUUUAAUGUUUUCAAUUUUUUUUCCAGUUUAGCAAACUAUUUUCUUAGAAAAUCAAUCAUUUAUGAGAAACAUAAUUUUACUGUUAUUAAUAAUCUUUUAUCCAAUCUAUGUAGAUAAACGGAGAGUGAAAGAGAGAUUUCAUGAAGACCGUCUCACCAAACUCAUGUUAGGGCCAGAUCUUGGCAAUUAAAUUAUUUAUAAUUUUUGGUAAAAAUACUCCACAAUGCAAUAUUGUGACGGGUGCAUCUGGUAUGCUCAAUAAAUGUGCAACUUAGAAAUAAAUAAUUUCUUUUUUUUUUGUGCGUGUGAAUUAAUUGCAUCAAAUUCUUUGAUACUCAAAAUCGUAAUUUCGAAAUGUUAUUCUCAUGUAAUAUGGUUCAUCCUUAUGGGGUAAACAUGAAAGUUUAAAAGUGGCCAGAAACUAUACCAAAAGCAUGUGGAUGCCUUGUAUGUAGCAAAGAUGACAGAGACUCGAAAUCUUGGCCUAAUGGUACUGUUCAUUACUUGCACAUCCACUUAAAAUCAAAAAACAAAGAAAGAACACAUCAUAAAUAGAAAAUUUGUCCAUUUGUACAAUUUCUUGCCUUUGUUUCUUGUACUAUAUGUGUUUGGCAGUUUUAGGCUGUUGCAUCCCAUUUCUGGUUGCCGUUUUCAUGUGAUUCCAAUUCAAUUGCAUUUGGACAAACAAUAACGAAUGAACCAAAACAACGAUGUAGAUAAGUUUAAGCCGAUUUUCAUUUCCUUCUAGAAAAAUUUCAAUAGCCUAAAAGGAUAAGAAAUGAUAAUAUGUGUGGUUGGAGAUCUCCAAUGAAUGGUCACCGAUAAAGCCAGCCUUCAGAGAUAAGCUGUGUUUAGAAAACUAGAGGACCCAUAGCGAUCUGCCCUUUUUUUUUUGUGUAUAAAACAUUUUAUAAUUUGGAGUGUAGUGAUCUAGACACUACUUCAAAGUUUUAGAUGCCGGUUUAGUGAUCGAAAUUGAGAAUUCAAAAAAUAGAGGUCCUAAAUUCCACUGUAACUAUAAAGAUUGAGUUUCUUUUCUCACUAUUGCGAAAUUUUUCAUGUUUCUCAAAAGUAGUUUAGUUGCAAAAAACAGCUGAAAAAGUACGAGGUAGUAUGAUCUUGGAAUAACCAAAAAUUAGGUGGUGAGCCAUUUUGUAUUUUAUUUCUACGACAUGGAAUCAUGUCAUGCGUCUUAUGAAAUAUCAUUUUCUCUUCAAAAAAAAUGAAAUUUCUUAAUCGCAAGACAGCAAUCAUUCAAUUCAUUAUAACCUUUGUUGAUAAUUCGUGGCCCAGAGAAGGGGACAAUGCUCUCACUGCCGCCACUGACUCUAUCAAUCAAAAUCUUCACAUCUACGUAUGAAAUUGUAAUUGGUGGCCUAGAGACAGAGACAAAUUAAGUGAGGGCAAUUCAAAAUUUCCACAUCUAUAUAUAAAAUUGUAGUUUUAUCCCCACACUUAAAUGAAAUUGUCCUCACUAUUCUUCAACAAAAUCAAAGUAUUAGGAAAUUGCCCCCAACAAGAUCUUCAUAUAUGCAUAUAAAAUUGUAAAUUUGCCCUCAUACUUAAUGAAAUUAUAAUUCAUGGCCCAGAGAGACAGAGACAAAGUGGGGGCAAUUCAAAAUUUCCACAUCUACAUAUAAAAUUGUAGUUUUAUACCCACAGUUAAAUGAAAUUGUCCUCACUAUUCUCCAACAAAAUCAAAGUAUUAUGAAAUUGCCCCCAACAAAAUCUUCAUAUAUGCAUAUUAAAUUGUAAAUUUGCCCCCACACAUAAACAAAAUUGUAAUUCAUGGCCCGGAGAGACAGAGACAAAGUGAGGCAAUUCAAAAUUUCCACAUCUACAUGUAAAAUUAUAGUUUUAUCCCCACACUUAAAUGAAAUUGUCCUCACUAUUCUUCGACAAAAUCAAAGUACUAGGAAAUUGCCCCCAACAAAUCUUCAUAUAUGCAUAUAAAAUUGUAAAUUUACCCUCACUUAAAUGAAAUUUUCCUUACUACCCUUCAACAAAAUCUAAAGUAGUAGUGUGCACUUUGUUUAUAUGUUUCUGUAUCCAAAUUUAACAAGACCUAAAAUAGAUGACACCACCUUGUAAAAAAAAAAAAAAAGAAACUCAACUUGCAUUUAUUCUUCUUCUUUAUCUAUUCUAAUGUGCAAACCCAUUUGAAAAGCUUUUCUAACCAUUUUCAUUACACAUUGGAACUCACAAAUAUUAAUGCAGUAGUCAUACGUCUCACAAAGAUGUUAAGACGACAUCAGAAGAGUUUCACAUCCUUUAGGUCGUGGGAUCCCCAAUAGGCUUUUACUCCCUCCGUUCCACUUUGAUAGUUCUAUUUCUUUUUUCACACAGUUUAAGAAAAAAUAGUUAACUUUGUUGGAAAAAUAAAUUUAGAUUGAUAUUUUCCUAAAAUACUCUCACAUUAAAUAUGGUACAAUUUUAUGGGAACUUGAAUUGAUGGUAAAACAAGAAUCAACUCUCAUUAAAUGAGGUAGGUUUAUAGUAACAACAACUUACAUUGAAUAAGGGUAUUUUAGAAAAAUUAAAAUACAACUACAUUUUUCAAUUGGAAAGUGGACUACAAUUUGGGACAGACGAAAAAGGAAAAUAGGAAUAUCAAAGUGGGACGGAGAGAGUAAUUUUUUUUAGUUGAGGCAAUAAUUACUAAUAAUUGAUGCUCAAUGACAUUCUAGAAGUACACGUAUGAGCAGAUACCUUGACAAUAUUUGUAGACAACCAAAAACAAGUAGUGAAGGUCAUAAAUGUUUGAGCAAAGAGCAAAGUAUUCUAGAAAAACAACAACUAUAAGUUGCCAACUUUACUACCAGUUAACGUCAACGUGUCCCUCAAGGUAAUCUCAAAAUAAUGGCUUCCACGGCACAUCAAGAAAAAUCAAUACCAUUGCAUCAUUUUGGAUUUCAUUGAAAAUACCUUUUGUGUAAUCUUAUUAAUAAGGGCAAAUUACAUUUUACCCCAGUGGUUUAGCAUUUUUUACACAACCCCUCUAUGGUUUCAAAAGCUAUACAUAACCCCCUCGUGGUUUUGAUUAAAGUGUCAAAGUGACGAAAAUAAUUAUUCGUAACGGAACUUCUAAAAAUGUCAAAUUACCCUUAUAAAUACAUGACACACUAAUCCCGUAUAAUUUUUAUAUUUUACCAUAUAACUCUCUUAUGGUUUAAUACUUUACCAUAUAACCCCUUUAUGGUUUUCAAAAUAUACACAUAACCCCCCUUGAUUAAUAAAUAAUUUUCAACUUUACAUAAGGGUAUUUUUGAUAUUUUAGAUGACUCCGUUACAAAUGAUCAAUCUCGUCACUAUGAUAAUUUAAUUCAAACUAUGAGAGGGUUAUGUAUAACUUUUGAAACCAUAGGGGGGUUAUGUAAAAAAAUGCUAAACCACAGGGGGUAAAGUGGAAUUUGCCCUAUUAAUAAUAAUUCUCUAUGCACAGAUAUGCCACGAUAUAUAGAAUAAUUAAGAAAAAACUUUUUUUUCUGUAGGAAUGCAACUAAAGGACUUUUCAGUGUGUGUAACAUAGCACUUCCAAUCGACUAGAGAUCUCGAGGAUCAAAAGAGGUGAGCUUGAACCACUAAGGCUUGGUUUAGUGGCCAGCAGGGAACUUAAGUUUCUCCGUGGGAGUUGGUCAGGGUUUGAACCUUUGCCAACAUCAUUUUCACCAAAGGAGUAGCAGUAGCAGGCAGGUAGGUAGGCACACUACAGGAAUGGCGGCAGGAUGCGUCUCGCCUCCCCCAUCAUCCUCUUCUCCAAAGACCCCUCCUUGUAGUAGAAUAGGAUUUAAAAAAAAAAAAAAGGUGAUCUUUCUUUCUAUGUUAAGUAUGCAGUUCAUCUAAAAGUGUAUCUUACUUUUUGGAAAUUAUAUUUUUGGGUGGUGAAUCAAAUCUCUAAGGUUCAAGCACAAGACGGAGAGCUAAUUGGUCAUUAUCCACUCCUUCUACUCUUUAGAAGUUUCCAAAACCACAAUUAUGAUGUUAACACGCACUAAAUAGAUUAUUACAAUAAAAUAGUCCAUGAUUAUAGACAAAUCGUGCCAGAUAAUUGCACAAAGUGUACAACUAUGAUCUAACCAAGCACUUCCUCUGACCAUAGAUAUUAAUUUGUCCGAUCUAAACAUGUCCUUUCCUCCCUCCCAAAUGGAUAGUUUAAGAACAGGUGACCAAAGUUUUUGAAAAUUUUUUACUCGGAAUUUGUUUUAAGCCAAUUGAGUUAGUGAUCAUUAGGAAUAAUUUGCAUUUUACCUGCAUAGCUGUUUUCAAGGUCAGUGAUUCUCUGAGCUAUCUACCUUACACAUAGUCCCUCAAUCCCAUCGAAAGUUGUCAUGUUUUCAUUUUAAAAUAUUUCAAACAUUUGUCAUGUUGCAAAAGUCAAAAUACGUUUUAGUCACUCUUUCCAAUAUAGCCCUUCUUUUUAGUUAUAUGCAUGUUACUAUUUAAAUUUAAAUUUUGAAUUUAUAGGGAUAAAAUUGAAAAGAAAAGUAUAAAUAUCACAAUUAAAUCAUUAUUUCCAAAAAGUUGGAUUCUCGAAGUAUGAUUAAAUAAUUGCAAUGGAGGGAAUAAGAAGGAAGGGAGGUUUAGUGUUUUAUCUCCCCUUUCACCACGCAGCUUUCUAAUAAAUUGGCAAGUGGCAUGCUUCCAGCUAUAAUAUUCCUUGCAAAUUGCUGUUGGUACCCAUUCUAUAUAUCAAACCACAAAUUUGUGCCUUUAAAAAAGUUUGGGCUUUUUUCCCUUCUUUUAAUAAGCCCAAUGGUUUUCUUUAGACUAAAUUAUCUUAUUCAGUUGAGCCCAUCACCGUUUGAUUAUAGACUAAUAUUGCGUUAGAUUGAUUUCCAUUAAGUCCUAAUUGAGAUUGAUUUUCAUUACGUACUAAUUGUAAUUAUUUAGAUAGGCAAACGGCAAUUGAAUUGCUAUUUUGCCGGCUAUUUUAAUAACUGUAUCGGUUCCCUUUGCAAGCUCUCCUCUAAUUUUUCUGCCCAAGAACAGUUUUCUUUCUUUUCAAUUGUACUUAGUCAAGUUUUAGCUAUAGAUUGACCUUAUGAUAAAGAAAAAGAAAAAAUUGAUGUCCCCUUUGUUGCCUAUUUCCAAUAAACAUCGGUAUUCUUUUGCUAUAACAAAGAAAACAAAGGCCUAUUGUUUCCUUCUUCCUCCAGCCGUUUCUUCAUCUGGUAUGUUUACUUCUCUUCUUUUUUUAAUUUUCAUUUUUUGCACCUUUAGUCUGAAGAUUAGGACUUUAGGGUUUUCCUGUUAUUAUUUUCUUACCUUUAUUAGUGAAAAUUAAGAAAUUAGGGCUUCCUAAAUUAUAAUUCAGAUUUUUCCUAUUUUUUGGCUUUCUAUCCAUCUUUCUACUGAUGCUUCUUUUUCCCAUGUUUUGCUACUUGGAUAAUCUCCAUUGCGUUCUAAGCACAGAGGUUUGGCCGUUUGUUUCCUUCAGCUUGCUACAACUCUCGCUAGGUAUGUCUUGCACCUCAUUCUAAAUUUCAUAUUACAUGUAGCAACUUUUUCUUUGUUUUUAAACUAUUUAUUUAUGUAUAUUGUGUGUUUAGUUGAAACUCUUUUUUUUUGUUUAAAGUACUUGGCUACUCUUUGUGAUUUAGUCUUUUUCCAGCUUUGAUCAAAUCAUGUAUCCAUUUGGUUUUACCUUUGUUCUACAGUUGUUUUGUUUUGUGCUCAGCCAUUUGUCUUAUACUGUUUGGACGAACUAUAUAAAGAACCAUUAAAUGUAAGACAACUACAUGGUUGGUUAAAUAAUGAUUAAGAUAUGUUAUGGUCAGCCAUUGUUUGUCAAAUUUUGCUGACACAAAAUCCAAGGAAAAAAAAAUAGAGAACAGAACAUAUUGCAAUAAAAAGAAAAAAAAAUGGAAGUAAACAAGUUUUUGCUUCAUGUACGCAAAAGAUGAAUGCCCGAACCACUAAUGCCAUAACUGGACCUCUCGAUCUUUAGCACUAUCGGUGUUUUUCAUCAGAUUUGUAUAAACCCUAUCUUCUAGUACCAUAACUGAUUAUCUUCUUGAUAAAAAUAUCCUAAAGAAGACAAAAUGUUUGAUACAUCGGUGCUACAUAAUUAAGAUCAACUGUUACUUGACUAAUAGGCAGUAGUUUGUUUGAUAGAAAAGGUAUCAAUAAGGUAUUAGGCAGAGCAAGAGCACAAAGCAACAGGGACUCCUCAACUCACUCACUAUGCUAUGUGGCAGUGCAUGAAGAAGCAACUCAUCCUUAUAUGCAUCCUUUGAUCAUCUCAAUAGAAUCUUUGUCGCUUAUGUUUAUGUCAGAUUCUGCCCAAAAAAAAAUAAAAAAAUAGAACAAAACAAAAGAGAAACUCAAUUAUCGGAGAGAAUUCUAAUAGUCCUCACCUAACUACUUGACCAAAUAAAAUAAUUUAUUUAAUCAUGAUAUUAAGUAAAACAAAUUAAACAAUACCAUGAUACCUUAAAUAAAUAAAGAUAUUUAAAGAAAUUUUAAAAAAAAGUAUCAUAAUAUUAAGCACUCCCCUGACUACUAGACGAAAUUGGGCAAAAGUUCAACUAAAGAGGCCCUAGACUCAAACUGUCUCAUGAUACCUUAAAGGGAAAAAGACACUGGCAAAAUUGUAACUGGCUAGAAAUUUACAAGUCUUAAUGCAAAUAAGAGUUCAUAGAAAUUAGAUGAACAAUCUUAUGAUAAUGUAGGGUAAAAUAUUGCUAAGAAGAUGUAAUUUUCCACACUCAUGAUAAACUUGCUUUUCAAGUCACAGUAACUAUCCAUCUAAACUGAAGUUGUACUGCAUUAUUGCUCACUAUUAGCUUAGUUAGUACUAAAAUCAAAUUAAGUAUAUCAAAAACAAGACAGAGAGAGACAAAAGUGGAGAAAAUUGAUCAAAUGGCUGAAAGCCAGAAACCCCAUCUUCUUGCCUUCCCAUUUCCUGCAGAGGGCCACAUAAAUCCGCUGCCGAACUUUGCCAAACGCUUGAUCCCAAAAUGGUUCAGGAUAACUUUCAUAAUUACAGUUGAUUUCACUAAAAUAUCAGCAUAUUAUACACAAGACUCAUCAUCCUCAGAGCUUUUCAGUAUUGAAUACAUUAGAUGGCUCAAAUGAAGGUGAAGAACCAGACAGCUUGGCAGGCCAUUUCAGACGGUUACAUGCCAUAAUGUCCAGAGAUUUGGUGAAGCUUAUAGAGAAACUAAACAGCUCUGACAUCCCACCCAGAGUUCUUGUUUAUGAUUCAACCUUGCCAUGGGCUUUGGACGUAGGUCAUCAGAUGGGGUAGCUUGGAGCUUCUUUUUCACUCAAUCUUGUGCUGUUCGUACCUUAUAUUACCAUAUGCAAGAAGGGAAAUUGGGUGCUAUUCCGGAUGAGGAGCAUUCCUCGGUGUUGAUUCCUCCGCUUCCAUUGCUGCAGAUUGAUGAUCUUCCUUCGUUUACCCAAGUCAAUGACAAGGAUCACACCAUUACUAAGUUGAUGGUAGGGCAAUUCUCUAAUGUUCAGAAAGCAAAUUGGAUAUUUCUCAACUCCUUUGACAAGCUGGAAUAUGAGGUAAGUUGCAAAUUUUGGUUAUGAUACAAAUUUUGCUGUGUUGUUGCUCAGUCUGGGUUCGCCAUUGCGGGUCGUGGUCGUGUCGCAGUUGUAGUUAUUCCACAUCCGUCGCAGUAUAUCGGUCACAUAUCGAGCGAUACACAUAUUGUAACAUAUUACUCUCUCUUACAUGCACACCCACAUUAACUCUCACAACAGAACUACUCUUCUCUCGUUUGUUCAUCUCCCGGUUAGCUGCAGCUUUUGUCCCUCUACAGCCAAAAAUUUUUUGGUUCCAUUUCCGGUACAACUCAGUCCAACUCACCAAUUUCUCAACGAUACGCACCAAAACCGUUCCAACUCGUCUGAUAUUGGCUGAGUUAUUAGUAGUCACCUCGGAUAUAGCUAAGUCUACGAUUCGGGAAUCAGUAUUGUACCGGUUCCCAUUGUUCCGGUUAUGUCUCAAUUGAGUCAUCGUGGACUCGGUCGAGAUGUCGAACCAUGGUCUGUACACAGUGUCUAUUGGAUUUCAUAGAAAUUUCAAAUUUUUACAUUAAUUGAUCUAGAUCAUCGAAUAUCAUUUCUUCUAUCCACAUCUAAAAUCUACUGUUUGCAUUUAUCAUGAAUUUUGGCCCCUUGCAUUAAAGUUCUCUGAAAUACUAAAAUUUGAGCUUAAUUAUAUUAUAGUGAAAGAAAGUUCAGAUUAUAGAGCUUCUUUAAUCAGCAAAACAUAGAAGGCAAAAGGUUUUCAAAGAAAAAUGCCAAGUUGGUAACUUAAAAAUUAGGUAGCUUAGACCGAUCUUUCACUUCAAUUUUAAACAUUCAAUUUCCCUAUAUUUUUAAUGCGUUUGAAUCGAAUGUGCUUGUCUUGAUCAGAACACUAGAGAAUAGUUGGAUCUUGUGUAAUGAAUCACACCUUAUACAUGCUCUUCUCAUGGCAAAGAUAUAUAUGCACUUGAAUAAAGGUUAUAUCAAAGGUAUCAUCUUGCUGUUGUGAAGGAAAAUUAGCUCAAAGUUGUAACUAGAGCUGCAAACCAGUCGAGUUGAAUCAAGUUUUGAUCUCAUCAAGCCGAGUUCAAUUCAAUUUUAUCAAAUUUGAACUUGAUAAGCUUUUAUAUAAAACUCGAGUUCAAGUUCGAUCUCAAAUUUGAUUCUAGUCGAGCUCAAGGUUGAGCCUACUCAAGUUUUAAAAAUAAAGAAUAAUUAUUUUAUUUUUUUGAAUGAAUAAAAUAGUCAUUUUCCUUAGUAAAUAACAAAAACAUUAGGGAUAUAUAUUUAAUUUUAUUAUAAAAAUAAAAAUAUUAUAUAUAUAUAUAUAUAUAUAUAUAUAUAUAUAUAUAUAUUUGAGUCGGAUUGUGAGCUAGCAAACUAAGUUUUUCUAUGUUUCACUUGAGUUCAACAGCUCAAUUUAGUCGGAUCAAACUCGAGACUGAACUCAAGUCAAGUUUUGAUCGAAUUUACUCGCAAACGACUUGAUUCGUUUGCAGCUCCACUUGUAACAAUGUCAAUUAUAAGAUAAGGAUCACCGUGAUAUUAUUUAAAGUCAAACAUCCAGUCCAAGUAGUGGCUCCAAACUCCAGGGAAGGUAGAAUCUGAAUUAAAAAAUGCACGUGCUAUUGCAUUUUUGUCUUGUGUUGAAUAGGAAUUCUAGGUAAUGGUCAUUAUAUAAAAUAUAAAGGCAACUGUGAUAGCCCCACUUUCUCCAAAGGCGAACCAGAAGGGUCGGCGGACCGCCUGCCCAACUCUCGUCAGAACUCAUUAUAAUUCAUAGCAAGAAUUACUUGAAAUUUCUAAACUAACCAAAAUAAUAUUCAUUACACCCCAAAAUAACAUUUACAUACAUCCAAAAGCUCUUACAUAGGUUCGCCUACAAAAGAUUCAUCAUUCGGCGUCUAUCUUAAUUACAACCUGAAAAUAUAUAUACACUACAGUCAUUUCUACUAAAAUAAAACUUAAAGUCUCUCAAAACAUUCCAACGGUAUUCUUGAGCACUCUCGGAUCCGAAUCCUGUUAAGGAAAACAAAACGUGGGAUGAGCUUACGCCCAGUGAGCAUUCCAGGUAAACAGGCAAAAUAAGAGAAUAACACAAUUUAACAUGUAAGCACAUUUUCCCAAGUAAUAUAGGUUCAAGUAAAUCGAUACUCAACUUUAGAAACUGGUAGUGUAGCAAUUAAUUGUAAUACAAAUCUUUCAAUGUAAAAUACUUGAUAAACAAUAACAUACAUGCGUGCAUUCAAUCAUUCGUUCAAGUAAAUAAAAGGAUGAACAAUAAUUUAAAUAUUAAAAGGAUAGGGGGCUCACAAGGAGCAACAUUCACCUUAUAACUGCCAAUAAGCAAUUCCCUAUAUUUUACCACCUUAUAACCUCUGAACUCCCACCUUAUGUCCUCCGAAAGAUCAACAAUCCCCUCAUUUAACAUUCACCUUAUGCCCUCCGAAAAAUCAACAAUCCCCUCAUUUAACAUUAAACAUUGUACUCAAGGCCUUUCGACAAAGAGUUUUGAGCUUUGCACUUAACAUUGGUAAGUUAUAAACCCAAAACUGUCCAGCAGAUCCAACCUCGCAAAUGGCGGGUCUCGGAUAGGGUGCCAGCAUAGGGUUAAGCUCAGUUCAGCCGAUGCGAUAAAGUACACAUUGGCCUACAUUCUGGCACAUUUAUCAUGCAUUCAUGCAAUGUGAACAUACGCUCAUAGCAAAUUAACAAGACAAGAAAAUCACAACAGUCAUUCACUUAUUAGCAUGCCAUUCAAAGGAGAGCACUUAAGCAAAUAAUAGUAUUUUCUAAAGUCAUGCAUAAUCAAAUAACAUGCAUUGGAACACUCAUCAAUCAAUCGCAACCCUUCACCUUAACCCUGGUUCGUUCUCUUGAACUCUCUCGAGUCCCAUGAUCAUAUACUAUAUUAAAAGACUAGUAAUACAAAGCCAAAAUGCAUGAAAUGAUUGAGAUUUCAAAACUUCAUUUAGAAAUGCAUCAAUUUACAAGUUUUAUGCCCAUAUAACCUAUCAAAAAUAUAAUAUUUUCUUGUUGCAAUCGAGGAGAAAACCUCAUGUGCUUACUAAAUCAACGUUGCAAAAGUCAUUUGGAGCACAAGAGCAUCAAUUAUAGUCAAACGUUUGAAGAAAUUAGAACAAGACUUUCAAAAUACAAAGUUGAAAAUUGUCCGGCCUAAAAUGAUUUGAAGAAACUCAUUUCCUUUCAUUUAAACCUCAAUUUUACUCAUAAAACCAAACUCAAAAUGGUUUAACAACUCCAACUUAAAGUUGGAAAUGAAAGCAAGAGCAAGUUUAGAAAACAAAAUUUUCUCCAGUUUUGCGCGACACUGUUUGAAAAAUCGUAUCGCAAGCUUCUUAAGUCCAAAAUUUAUAAACUUUAUACCGUUGGAAAAUAGACUCAAAGGACUACAAUUUUCCAGAUUUAUAAGAUUCCGUCCAUAAAUCAGUCAAAUUCUAGUCUCAAGUUACUGCUUCAUCAAGUAGAAAAACAGAGCAGGUGUGAAAAUUCAGUCAAUUUUGGAAAAUCAUAGAUAUUUAUAGGAAUUGAGAAAAAUUCUGAAAUUUUCACGGUAAAAUGUACUCUGAAUCUAGUUUCAAACACAAUAAGCAGAACUCAAUUUGGAUUUUUUUACACCAAAAUAUAGCAGAUUUCCCAAGACUGCUUAGAGUCUCCUGCGGGAAAAUUUCCAGGAACACUUCCCCUUAUUUUCUUAACUUUUCCAUCCAAACUCAACACCAAUAUUUAUGGCAAUCCAACCUCAAACACAACCACAAGUUACAGGCUAUAAAGUACAGUUGAUUAAAGCCACAAAACCAUCCAAUAUAGCCAAUUUCUAGCUCAAAAAUCAACCACGACAAAGCUGAAAUGACAUCCCAAGGCUGCAAUUUAACAUAUCAAAGCUCGAAAAUUCAAGCCCUAAGCUAAAACUACUAACAAAAGCUGGAAAUUCCUUAAAGGAAGCCAAAAAGUGCUUGUACAAGCUGGAAAUCCUUAUGGACAGCCCAAAAAUUUCCUAGCAAAGCUGGAAUUCAUCAUUCAAAGCUGGAAAUAACAAUCUACUACACAAAACUACAAAGUCUUCCAUAAAACCUAUUACAAACAAGCACUAAUCUCAUUCAAGUGCAAGAUUAAAGAGAUAGAGUAACUUCUUGCCAAAAGUACCUUCAAACCUCAAGAUGAGUAGCAAAUUUCAGCUUUCUUUCCCCCCCCCCUCCCCAAAAAACACUCUACACCAGCCACCUUCCUUCCUUGUAGCAACUCUCUAUAGAUUUGUUUAGGGUUUUAGGUUCAUUUCCCACAAGUUUUAGCUAGGAAACAAGAUGAAACUUAAAGAAGUUUUCCUCUCUUUCUCUUUUCUCUCUCUUCGCCAAGAGGUAAGAAAAUGGAGUGUUAUUUGUGUCCAAGAGGAAAGACAAGUUUUAAAGAAAGCUUGGUCAAUAGUACCCUUGAUUGCCAACACUUGGCAUUCCAACCUUUUUCCUUUCUUUUUUUUUUCUUCUCUCUUGCUUAGUCAAAAAUUUCGGCCAACCCUAGGGAAAAAUAGGGAAGGGAAAAUAAAAAGGAAAAUAAGAAGAUUAAAUAAAGAAAAUCUUGGUCAAAUAGUGUUUUUGACCGGUAACAAGUAACGCGAGUCGGUUCAAGCCUACAUCCUUGUCUCUCUUGUACUUGUAACUUAUGAUUCACUAAUUUACUCUUAGUACUUUUAAUCACAUACUCUCUCUUGCUUAACACUCACUCUCGUCCACCAAAUAUAAUGCAUACAUCUCACUAGUCGAUCAAACUAUCUUAAUACUCUAUAAAACUUAACAUGCACUGAAAUAUAAAAAGAAAAGAGAAAAAUCCUAACUUAAUCUUUAAAAUCACUAUCAAAUUAAGGCUAGCAAGUAAGCAAGUAAAGUGAAAUUAAAAGGAAAUAUAAAUUAAUUUUUUUUCCAAAAAUAGGAAAAAAAAUUUAAAUAAUUUCCGGGUCCUCACAGCAACAAACAAAAUUUGACUCAAAAAGUUUAAAAGAGCUAGCAUCUAUUUUUCUUCUUUUGCAUCAAGUUUUUUUGGCAAUUAGGUGGUAAUUCGUCUCAAUGAUUUUAUAUUCAUCACAAUACUAUCGGGUGGAACAUUGGAUAGCUAGAAAAUGGUCAAUUAAGACAACUGGACCAACUAUUUUGAAGGACAACUGAUAAGAGUUUAUUUUACGUAUUUUUAGUGUGUUUUAUUAGUUAAUUUUGGUUUGAUUAUUUAGUUUUAUAACUAAAAUAACUAAGGUUUUGGUAAAAAUCUACAUUUUAUGUUAAAGUGGCUAAAUAUUGCAUUUUAUGGAUUUUUAUGGGAAAAACUUCAUAUUUUGUAGGUUUAAUGAUUCAAUCAUCAAAUGAAGUGCAUUGAGAAGAUAUUUGGAUGAUUGAAGAUGGAUUAAAGUGAGGAAAAUAAAAUAUGAAGUGUAAAAGGAAGAAAUGCAAUUUGAGGACAAAAAUCAAGAAAAGUCAGCUUUGACAACUCAGACAUAUUUUCGUAUUUUGACUAUAUCAGGAGCUACAAUGAUCGGAUCAAGGUGAUCUUGGUACCAUUUUGAAUCUAAGAGAUAUAUCUACAUUUGGUAUGAAGACAUCAAAGUCCAAUUCAUCCGUUUUCAUAGUCCAAAAGUUGAAAUACCGAAAUUCAACUCAGCUGUCCAAAGUGGAAAACAGAGUUCCGACCAGUGUUUAGUAUUUUGAUCAUAUCUCAGUCUACAAAGCUCCGAUUUGGAUGAUUCUUGAAGCAUUGGAAAGCUAACUCAAAGAUCUACAACUUUGGUGUUUUGUACAAAAGCCAGUUCGGCCUGCAUCAUGGAGAAAAUCGCAGUUUAAGUAAGGACAAAGUGAAAACGCGAGUGCACAAAACGAGAGUUGUAGACGCGUUUUGUAAAGGCGCGUUUUCUGGCCGAAAUUCUGCAAUUUGCUCAGUCAAUUCUCUUGUGUUCAUACCACUUUCCAGCUAUAAGUUGCAAGAGAAUUCGGUGCACAUGCUUCAGAAGACAAAAGGGCAGACAAGGUGGCUUAUUUUCAAGUCAAAAACAUUUGUUAUUGACUAUCCUAACAAAGUUGAGAUUUGGGAAUCAAAAUGUGGAAUUUGACUUGGAAAAAUGGAGCUCUUAAGCAGUUUAUAUGCAGAGACAUUUUGGGUGGUCUAAAAAGGGGGAAAUAUACGGGAGAAGCUUGAAGAGUGCAGAAAUGUAGUUCUUCCAUUUCCUUAGUGUAGGAUAGUGUAGUAAGUGUAGUUAAUCCAUUCUUGUAUAAUAGCUAGAUUAGGAUGAAGAUGGAGAUGAAGAAGGAGAAGUUGAAGCUCAAGUGACAUGGGUUAUCUCUACUCCAAUUCUUUAUCUUUUGUAUUGGAUUCUUAACUAUGGUUAUUAUGCAAGUUCUGGAAUUUAUGUCUAUUAUGUGUUUCUAAAGUUUAUGCCUUGGGUUUGGUUGAACUUUCUAUGAUUGUUAGUGUUUAUCAUUUGGCUAUUUAACUGCCAUAAUUUGAGCAAGUUAUUUAGCACUUUAGCUCUUUAAAUCAUGAUUAAUUUGGUACCAUUAAUUGUGAUUAUCUAAGGUGUUAUUUCUGCAAUGAAAAUUGAGAUUUAACAUUAGUUCAAGAAGUGCUAAACAUAGGGAGUACACUCACGAAAGUAGAGGUGCAUCUAUGUGGUUUUUAGUGAUUCAUUUCAUGUAAUUUCAUUGAAGAAAUGAACUUGUAGCUAAUUUCAUAACCAUGAGAAUAGGUAUGGAUUAGUUAUAAGUAUAAUUGAUUCACUACGAAAGUAGGAUUCAAAUGCAUAAGGAAAUUACACCUUAACUAGCCUAGAUAUAGUACUAAAUGAUCCAAAUAUAGCACUUGUAUGAGUAGUUAGGGAUACCACAACCUAAGGAGCUUUUAUUUGUUAUUUUGUAUAAUUUCAGUAGGUUAAAUUUCUUAUAAUUCAUUGAUAGUCUAAAUAAUAGAGAAGCUUUAGUAAUACCGGUAAUUGUUCACUCUUCCCUGUGGGAUCGACCCGAUAUAUACCCUAAACUACUAGUUGAUCUGUAUACUUGCAGUGAACGGGUGUAAUUCGGUAUUUUUUAGCUUGCACGUAUGUAAAAUACCCGUCAAGUUUUUGGCGCCGUUGCCGGGGAAGAUUUGGCAAUAUCGGUGUGAAGAGCAACUUUAUUAAUUUAGACAAUUUUUCUUAUUUUUGUUGUUUUUGUUGUAUCUUGUGUGUUUUAUGUCAUUUUUUUGAGUCAAUUUUUAUUAUUAUUAUUAUUUUUUUUUUCUGUUUUAGUUUGUGUCUUGGAAUCUAUCCUUCUUAACUGAUCUUACUUUUGAGAUUGUUUAAAAGUAAUUUUAGAUAAUGAGGAGGGUAGGUGAAUUGGGAGGACAAAGCUUGAGAAAUGAAAGAUUGGCAAUGGAUGGUUACCAAGUGCAAAACUCCUUCAACAGAGGUAACCAAGAAAUUACUGAAGGUAUGUCUUUUGAAGAUGGUUUGAAGUGCUUAAAGGCAAAAUUUGAUGUUAUGAUGGACACAAUUAUGCAUGAAAUUGAGCAAGGGAGGAAUGUUAAUGAUUUUAAUUCUUAUCAUGUGAUUUGUGACUUGUGUGGAGGUUAUCAUGCUACUAAUACAUGUAUGCAAGCACAAAAUGUGGACUAUUAUGAUGAAUUAGAGCAUUACAAUCCUUGUUUUGAUCAAUAUAGUGCUAAUUGGAACAAUUCUCCUGUGUGUGGUUGGGAUAAUCAAUGUACUUAUAAUAAUUCCUCAUAUUUUUACGAUUACCAACCUGAAUGUAUCCAAUAUGAAUCAAAACCAUCUUGGGAGUUGGCAAUUGAAAUGGUAGCUAAUGAUUCUAAGCCAUCUUGGGAGUUAGCUUUAGAAAAAUUAGCUAAUGCAACUUCCAACCGUUUUGAUAGGGUUGAAGAAAGAAUAGAUGAACUGACUUCUCACUUUAGUAGAAUACAAGAGAAAUUGAAUGCAUUGUGUGAAGUUAUUUCCUCUAAAAAUUUGCAAAAUGAUCCUAGCAUGAAUGGUAGGAAUGUUGUAUGUGAAAAUGGAUUUCAUUUGGAUGAAAAUGAUGAAUUUCAAUUGUGUUUUAAUGAGCAAAUAUCCAUUUCACAUGAUAAUAUCUUUGGAACUAACCUUGAACCUCAAGAGGUGAGUUUUAAUGACUCAUUUUUCACCCCUCUUGAGGAAUGCAUUGAAAGUGUAGGUUCUAAGGGUAUUGCUGCCCAGGAUACUCUCAUGACAUUUCCGUUGGUAAGUUCUCAAGUGGUGCAUAUUCAAUGUAAUAUUUAUGAAACACUUGGGAUAGGUAAGUCAAUUCCAUUUCUCCUAUCAUUAGAUCAUGUGACUUUUGCUAUAAAGUCACCAUUUAAUGAUCCACCACAACCAAAAAUGGUGGAUUAUUCGUUAACUAAGCCUCCUUGAAAAAUGAGGUGAAAUAGUCAAGCUAUUGACUUUAAAGAAGCGCUUAUUGGGAGGCAACCCAAUGUUUGUUUAAAUUUAUGUUAUUUUGGGGUGAUUUUAUGUUUAAAGUAUAUGUUUGAGUUAUUUUGUUAUUUUUCAUUUGUAGGUAUUGGAAAUGGAAGCAAAAGUGACCAAAUGAGGUGAAAAAGGCGAAAUUUGAUCAAGGAACUCAAACCCUCAAUUUGAGUAAUUGUUGUUUUUGAUUUGUUAGAAGGGGUUAAAAUGCAUAUUUUGAUCAUUUUACAUGUGCAUGCAUUGAGAAUUUUAGCAAACAAAUGAUCUAUGAUGCAUUUUGAGUGAUUGGGGUACAAAUGGUAAUUUUUCAAAAUUGGCUUUCUGCAAAAAUUUCGCAGAAGAAAACGCACUUGGGCUGAAAACGCGCCUUAGAAUCGCGUUUUCCAUAAUCGCGUUUUAAAUUCUGCGCCUAUACUGAAGAAAACGCGACUUAAAAACGCGACAGGAAGUCGCGUUUUCUACAAAGUCGCGUUUUCCAGCCUGUUCAGAAACCAAAAACGCGACUUUAAAUAUGCGACUCAAAGUCGCGUUUUUAAGCAUAGUCGCGUUUUCGAUCCUGCAAGAUAUGUGAAGAAACGCGACUUCAUAAAACGCGGCUUGGUGGCGCGUUUUGAUGAGUCGCGUUUUUGAAAAAAAAAUGCAGAUUCCUUGAUUCUCUUUUUUCUUCUUUUCCUCAUAUAUAUUUUCUUGUACCUUGAGUUACUUAUUGUGUAUUUUUUUUAGGUACAUCACGAAAACAAAGGAUUGAAGUUACGGAUCAUCAUUUUGUUUAUUAAACCUUUGUUAUCACUUUUGUUUCUCAUUUUUCAUUUUUUAGGAUUACAUCACUAAUGGUUAUCCAAUGAAACUCAUGAAGCGUUGGAGAUACACGGACAAUGGAUUUUGAAGCUUCAUAUUCAAUCGCAACAAUAGGGGAGUAUUACCUUUCUUUAUCUUGAUUUUCCUUUUUACACAUUGAGGACAAUGUGUAUGUUAAGUGUGGGGGGAGAAUUGAGAUUAUAUAUAUUGUAUGUGAUUAACAAAAGAAAAAAGAAAAAAAAUAAAAAAUUCUUCUACUCCAAUGAUUCUUGUACUUAGUAACCGGGAGUCUUCAUCUACAAAUGUCGACUUUCGCGUAAAACGGUACUUGAAUUAAGAGUAUGCAAAGCAACUUGAGUAUGUGAAGUGUUGAGUAACCGGUGAUUUUCAUCUAAAAAUGUCGAUCCUCGCGUCAAAAGGCAUUCUCACGUCUUAAGUAAUAUUUAGAUAUGUAAUAUUAAUAAAUAUCUUUUUAAACAGAAUUAAAAGAUGAUCAUGAGUUUAGGAAGCAUUAUUAUUGACCAUAUGAGUUACUUACUUGUAAGAUUGGGUAAGGAUGAAAAAUUGAUUUGAAUUUGUUAUAAUAACGGUAUAAUUGGCUCUCCUUUACUUGAUAUUAUGAGUACUUGAACUUAAUUGAAUAAUUGCAUAAUGGUUAUUUACUUUGUUUUGAGGAAAUGAAGUUGAAAUGCUACAUAUGUUUAUUUUCAAAUUUUGGAUCAUUGUUGGUUUGUAUUUUUAUUGCUUGAGGACAAGCAAUGGUUCAAGUGUGGGGGUAUUUGAUAAGAAUAUAUUUUACGUAUUUUUUAGUGUGUUUUAUUAGUUAAUUUUGGUUUGAUUAUUUAGUUUUAUAACUAAAAUAACUAAGGUUUUGGUAAAAAACUACAUUUUAUGUUAAAGUGGCUAAACAUUGCAUUUUAUGGAUUUUUAUGGUAAAAACUUCAUAUUUUGUAGGUUUAAUGAUUCAAUCAUCAAAUGAAGUGCAUUGAGAAGAUAUUUGGAUGAUUGAAGAUAGAUUAAAGUGGGGAAAAUAAAAUAUGAAGUGUAAAAGGAAGAAAUGCAAUUUGAGGACAAAAAUCAAGAAAAGUCAGUUAUGACAACUCAGACAUAUUUUCGUAUUUUGACUAUAUCAGGAGCUACAAUGAUCGGAUCAAGGUGAUCUUGGUACCAUUUUGAAGCUAAGAGAUAUAUCUACAUUUGGUAUGAAGACAUCAAAGUCCAAUUCAUCCGUUUUCAUAGUCCAAAAGUUGAAAUACCGAAAUUCAACUCAGCUGUCCAAAGUGGAAAACAGAGUUCCGACCAGUGUUUAGUAUUUUGAUCAUAUCUCAGUCUACAAAGCUCCGAUUUGGAUGAUUCUUGAAGCAUUGGAAAGCUAACUCAAAGAUCUACAACUUUGGUGUUUUGUACAAAAGCCAGUUCGGCCUGCAUCAUGGAGAAAAUCGCAGUUUAAGUAAGGACAAAGUGAAAACGCGAGUGCACAAAACGAGAGUUGUAGACGCGUUUUGUAAAGGCGCGUUUUCUGGCCGAAAUUCUGCAAUUUGCUCAGUCAAUUCUCUUGUGUUCAUACCACUUUCCAGCUAUAAGUUGCAAGAGAAUUCGGUGCACAUGCUUCAGAAGACAAAAGGGCAGACAAGGUGGCUUAUUUUCAAGUCAAAAACAUUUGUUAUUGACUAUCCUAACAAAGUUGAGAUUUGGGAAUCAAAAUGUGGAAUUUGACUUGGAAAAAUGGAGCUCUUAAGCAGUUUAUAUGCAGAGACAUUUUGGGUGGUCUAAAAAGGGGGAAAUAUACGGGAGAAGCUUGAAGAGUGCAGAAAUGUAGUUCUUCCAUUUCCUUAGUGUAGGAUAGUGUAGUAAGUGUAGUUAAUCCAUUCUUGUAUAAUAGCUAGAUUAGGAUGAAGAUGGAGAUGAAGAAGGAGAAGUUGAAGCUCAAGUGACAUGGGUUAUCUCUACUCCAAUUCUUUAUCUUUUGUAUUGGAUUCUUAACUAUGGUUAUUAUGCAAGUUCUGGAAUUUAUGUCUAUUAUGUGUUUCUAAAGUUUAUGCCUUGGGUUUGGUUGAACUUUCUAUGAUUGUUAGUGUUUAUCAUUUGGCUAUUUAACUGCCAUAAUUUGAGCAAGUUAUUUAGCACUUUAGCUCUUUAAAUCAUGAUUAAUUUGGUACCAUUAAUUGUGAUUAUCUAAGGUGUUAUUUCUGCAAUGAAAAUUGAGAUUUAACAUUAGUUCAAGAAGUGCUAAACAUAGGGAGUACACUCACGAAAGUAGAGGUGCAUCUAUGUGGUUUUUAGUGAUUCAUUUCAUGUAAUUUCAUUGAAGAAAUGAACUUGUAGCUAAUUUCAUAACCAUGAGAAUAGGUAUGGAUUAGUUAUAAGUAUAAUUGAUUCACUACGAAAGUAGGAUUCAAAUGCAUAAGGAAAUUACACCAUAAUUAGCCUAGAUGUAGUACUUCAAUGAUCCAAAUAUAACACUUGCAUGAGUAGUUAGGGAUACCACAACCUAAGGAGCUUUUAUUUGUUAAUUUCUUGUAUAAGUGCAGUAGGUUAAAUUUCUUAUUAUUCAUUGAUAGUCUAAAUAAUAGAGAAGCUUUAGUAAUACCGGUAAUUGUUCACUUUCCCUGUGGGAUCGACCCGAUAUAUACCCUAAACUACUAGUUGAUCUGUAUACUUGCAGUGAACGGGUGUAAUUCGGUAUUUUUUAGCUUGCACGUAUGUAAAAUACCCGUCAAGUUUUUGGCGCCGUUGCCGGGGAAGAUUUGGCAAUAUCGGUGUGAAGAGCAACUUUAUUAAUUUAGACAAUUUUUCUUAUUUUUGUUGUUUUUGUUGUAUCUUGUGUGUUUUAUGUCAUUUUUUUGAGUCAAUUUUUAUUAUUAUUAUUAUUUUUUUUUUCUGUUUUAGUUUGUGUCUUGGAAUCUAUCCUUCUUAACUGAUCUUACUUUUGAGAUUGUUUAAAAGUAAUUUUAGAUAAUGAGGAGGGUAGGUGAAUUGGGAGGACAAAGCUUGAGAAAUGAAAGAUUGGCAAUGGAUGGUUACCAAGUGCAAAACUCCUUCAACAGAGGUAACCAAGAAAUUACUGAAGGUAUGUCUUUUGAAGAUGGUUUGAAGUGCUUAAAGGCAAAAUUUGAUGUUAUGAUGGACACAAUUAUGCAUGAAAUUGAGCAAGGGAGGAAUGUUAAUGAUUUUAAUUCUUAUCAUGUGAUUUGUGACUUGUGUGGAGGUUAUCAUGCUACUAAUACAUGUAUGCAAGCACAAAAUGUGGAUUAUUAUGAUGAAUUAGAGCAUUACAAUCCUUGUUUUGAUCAAUAUAGUGCUAAUUGGAACAAUUCUCCUGUGUGUGGUUGGGAUAAUCAAUGUACUUAUAAUAAUUCCUCAUAUUUUUACGAUUACCAACCUGAAUGUAUCCAAUAUGAAUCAAAACCAUCUUGGGAGUUGGCAAUUGAAAUGGUAGCUAAUGAUUCUAAGCCAUCUUGGGAGUUAGCUUUAGAAAAAUUAGCUAAUGCAACUUCCAACCGUUUUGAUAGGGUUGAAGAAAGAAUAGAUGAACUGACUUCUCACUUUAGUAGAAUACAAGAGAAAUUGAAUGCAUUGUGUGAAGUUAUUUCCUCUAAAAAUUUGCAAAAUGAUCCUAGCAUGAAUGGUAGGAAUGUUGUAUGUGAAAAUGGAUUUCAUUUGGAUGAAAAUGAUGAAUUUCAAUUGUGUUUUAAUGAGCAAAUAUCCAUUUCACAUGAUAAUAUCUUUGGAACUAACCUUGAACCUCAAGAGGUGAGUUUUAAUGACUCAUUUUUCACCCCUCUUGAGGAAUGCAUUGAAAGUGUAGGUUCUAAGGGUAUUGCUGCCCAGGAUACUCUCAUGACAUUUCCGUUGGUAAGUUCUCAAGUGGUGCAUAUUCAAGGUAAUAUUUAUGAAACACUUGGGAUAGGUAAGUCAAUUCCAUUUCUCCUAUCAUUAGAUCAUGUGACUUUUGCUAUAAAGUCACCAUUUAAUGAUCCACCACGACCAAAAAUGGUGGAUUAUUCGUUAACUAAGCCUCCUUGAAAAAUGAGGUGAAAUAGUCAAGCUAUUGACUUUAAAGAAGCGCUUAUUGGGAGGCAACCCAAUGUUUGUUUAAGUUUAUGUUAUUUUGGGGUGAUUUUAUGUUUAAAGUAUAUGUUUGAGUUAUUUUGUUAUUUUUCAUUUGUAGGUAUUGGAAAUGGAAGCAAAAGUGACCAAAUGAGGUGAAAAAGGCGAAAUUUGAUCAAGGAACUCAAACCCUCAAUUUGAGUAAUUGUUGUUUUUGAUUUGUUAGAAGGGGUUAAAAUGCAUAUUUUGAUCAUUUUACAUGUGCAUGCAUUGAGAAUUUUAGCAAACAAAUGAUCUAUGAUGCAUUUUGAGUGAUUGGGGUACAAAUGGUAAUUUUUCAAAAUUGGCUUUCUGCAAAAAUUUCGCAGAAGAAAACGCACUUGGGCUGAAAACGCGCCUUAGAAUCGCGUUUUCCAUAAUCGCGUUUUAAAUUCUGCGCCUAUACUGAAGAAAACGCGACUUAAAAACGCGACAGGAAGUCGCGUUUUCUACAAAGUCGCGUUUUCCAGCCUGUUCAGAAACCAAAAACGCGACUUCAAAUACGCGACUCAAAGUCGCGUUUUUAAGCAUAGUCGCGUUUUCGAUCCUGCAAGAUAUGUGAAGAAACGCGACUUCAUAAAACGCGGCUUGGUGGCGCGUUUUGAUGAGUCGCGUUUUCGGAGAAAAAAAAAUGCAGAUUCCUUGAUUCUCUUUUUUCUUCUUUUCCUCAUAUAUUUUCUUGUACCUUGAGUUGCUUAUUGUGUAUUUUUUUUAGGUACAUCACGAAAACAAAGGAUUGAAAUUACGGAUCAUCAUUUUGUUUAUUAAACCUUUGUUAUCACUUUUGUUUCUCAUUUUUCAUUUUUUAGGAUUACAUCACUAAUGGUUAUCCAAUGAAACUCAUGAAGCGUUGGAGAUACACGGACAAUGGAUUUUGAAGCUUCAUAUUCAAUCGCAACAAUAGGGGAGUAUUACCUUUCUUUAUCUUGAUUUUCCUUUUUACACAUUGAGGACAAUGUGUAUGUUAAGUGUGGGGGGAGAAUUGAGAUUAUAUAUAUUGUAUGUGAUUAACAAAAGAAAAAAGAAAAAAAAUAAAAAAUUCUUCUACUCCAAUGAUUCUUGUACUUAGUAACCGGGAGUCUUCAUCUACAAAUGUCGACUUUCGCGUAAAACGGUACUUGAAUUAAGAGUAUGCAAAGCAACUUGAGUAUGUGAAGUGUUGAGUAACCGGUGAUUUUCAUCUAAAAAUGUCGAUCCUCGCGUCAAAAGGCAUUCUCACGUCUUAAGUAAUAUUUAGAUAUGUAAUAUUAAUAAAUAUCUUUUUAAACAGAAUUAAAAGAUGAUCAUGAGUUUAGGAAGCAUUAUUAUUGACCAUAUGAGUUACUUACUUGUAAGAUUGGGUAAGGAUGAAAAAUUGAUUUGAAUUUGUUAUAAUAACGGUAUAAUUGGCUCUCCUUUACUUGAUAUUAUGAGUACUUGAACUUAAUUGAAUAAUUGCAUAAUGGUUAUUUACUUUGUUUUGAGGAAAUGAAGUUGAAAUGCUACAUAUGUUUAUUUUCAAAUUUUGGAUCAUUGUUGGUUUGUAUUUCUUAUUGCUUGAGGACAAGCAAUGGUUCAAGUGUGGGGGUAUUUGAUAAGAAUAUAUUUUACGUAUUUUUUAGUGUGUUUUAUUAGUUAAUUUUGGUUUGAUUAUUUAGUUUUAUAACUAAAAUAACUAAGGUUUUGGUAAAAAACUACAUUUUAUGUUAAAGUGGCUAAACAUUGCAUUUUAUGGAUUUUUAUGGUAAAAACUUCAUAUUUUGUAGGUUUAAUGAUUCAAUCAUCAAAUGAAGUGCAUUGAGAAGAUAUUUGGAUGAUUGAAGAUAGAUUAAAGUGGGGAAAAUAAAAUAUGAAGUGUAAAAGGAAGAAAUGCAAUUUGAGGACAAAAAUCAAGAAAAGUCAGUUAUGACAACUCAGACAUAUUUUCGUAUUUUGACUAUAUCAGGAGCUACAAUGAUCGGAUCAAGGUGAUCUUGGUACCAUUUUGAAGCUAAGAGAUAUAUCUACAUUUGGUAUGAAGACAUCAAAGUCCAAUUCAUCCGUUUUCAUAGUCCAAAAGUUGAAAUACCGAAAUUCAACUCAGCUGUCCAAAGUGGAAAACAGAGUUCCGACCAGUGUUUAGUAUUUUGAUCAUAUCUCAGUCUACAAAGCUCCGAUUUGGAUGAUUCUUGAAGCAUUGGAAAGCUAACUCAAAGAUCUACAACUUUGGUGUUUUGUACAAAAGCCAGUUCGGCCUGCAUCAUGGAGAAAAUCGCAGUUUAAGUAAGGACAAAGUGAAAACGCGAGUGCACAAAACGAGAGUUGUAGACGCGUUUUGUAAAGGCGCGUUUUCUGGCCGAAAUUCUGCAAUUUGCUCAGUCAAUUCUCUUGUGUUCAUACCACUUUCCAGCUAUAAGUUGCAAGAGAAUUCGGUGCACAUGCUUCAGAAGACAAAAGGGCAGACAAGGUGGCUUAUUUUCAAGUCAAAAACAUUUGUUAUUGACUAUCCUAACAAAGUUGAGAUUUGGGAAUCAAAAUGUGGAAUUUGACUUGGAAAAAUGGAGCUCUUAAGCAGUUUAUAUGCAGAGACAUUUUGGGUGGUCUAAAAAGGGGGAAAUAUACGGGAGAAGCUUGAAGAGUGCAGAAAUGUAGUUCUUCCAUUUCCUUAGUGUAGGAUAGUGUAGUAAGUGUAGUUAAUCCAUUCUUGUAUAAUAGCUAGAUUAGGAUGAAGAUGGAGAUGAAGAAGGAGAAGUUGAAGCUCAAGUGACAUGGGUUAUCUCUACUCCAAUUCUUUAUCUUUUGUAUUGGAUUCUUAACUAUGGUUAUUAUGCAAGUUCUGGAAUUUAUGUCUAUUAUGUGUUUCUAAAGUUUAUGCCUUGGGUUUGGUUGAACUUUCUAUGAUUGUUAGUGUUUAUCAUUUGGCUAUUUAACUGCCAUAAUUUGAGCAAGUUAUUUAGCACUUUAGCUCUUUAAAUCAUGAUUAAUCUGGUACCAUUAAUUGUGAUUAUCUAAGGUGUUAUUUCUGCAAUGAAAAUUGAGAUUUAACAUUAGUUCAAGAAGUGCUAAACAUAGGGAGUACACUCACGAAAGUAGAGGUGCAUCUAUGUGGUUUUUAGUGAUUCAUUUCAUGUAAUUUCAUUGACGAAAUGAACUUGUAGCUAAUUUCAUAACCAUGAGAAUAGGUAUGGAUUAGUUAUAAGUAUAAUUGAUUCACUACGAAAGUAGGAUUCAAAUGCAUAAGGAAAUUACACCAUAACUAGCCUGGAUGUAGUAAUUAAUGAUCCAAAUAUAGCACUUGCAUGAGUAGUUAGGGAUACCACAACCUAAGGAGCUUUUAUUUGUUAAUUUCUUGUAUAAGUGCAGUAGGUUAAAUUUCUUAUUAUUCAUUGAUAGUCUAAAUAAUAGAGAAGCUUUAGUAAUACCGGUAAUUGUUCACUCUUCCCUGUGGGAUCGACCCGAUAUAUACCCUAAACUACUAGUUGAUCUGUAUACUUGCAGUGAACGGGUGUAAUUCGGUAUUUUUUAGCUUGCACGUAUGUAAAAUACCCGUCAACAACAAACAUCACGGGGCUUGUCUAGUCGAGAUAAAGUCAGAUGCUAGCCUAAAAUGGUUGGAUGAAAAAGAGAUUUUAGCUCAGUUAUCCAUGUAUCAUUAGGUAGCUAGUGUGGCUGCGCCUGGAGAAGAACAAAUGGAGAGCUUGCAAGGGACACAGCCAAGAGUGACCAUCACUUCUUAUGGAUGGUUAGAGAUUCAGAAGAGUGCAAACUUCCACCAAAUUUCAAGUCUGCAAUAUCAAAAAACGGUCUAAUAGUCAACUGAUGUCCUCAACUUGAGGUUUUGGCACAUCAAGCCGUGUAAUGUUUCAUGACACACUGCUGCUGGAAUGAUGCUUGAAGCAUUGAGUUCAGGUGUGCCAAUGAUAGCUACGCCACAGUUUGUUGAUCAAUUCACAAAUGCAAAGUUUGUCGCAGAUGUAUGGCAAACUGGGGUUCGAGUCAAGGGCCAAUGACAAGGGAAUUGUUACUAGAGAAGAAAUUUCAAUGUCCAUAAAGGCAGUUACUGAGGUCGAGAGCGCAAAGGAAUUCAGAAGAAAUGCUUAGACGUGGAAGGAGUUGGCACAACAGGAUACAUCCCAGGGUGGAAGUUCUCACAAGAACAUCGAAGAGUUUCUUGCACAAGUUUUAAGCAUCUAAUCUAAGUUAAUUUCAUUUAGCUACAAAAUUAGGUCACAUGAAAGCCUCAUAAGUAUUUACGGCAAACUGUAGUAUUGUAUUGUUGAUUCAACCGAUUAACGUAAACCUGCUAAUACUUGUGUACGAGAACGAUAAAAAAAUAAGAAACUUUACAGGAUUAAUCACGCGCAUAACAUAGUAUACAUUAGAGAUGUCAAUUACAGUUCAAUUAUGUUAAUCUGCCCAAAGCCGUCCAUCGAUAACCCAUCCAUUAAUUUUGAAUGGGCCUAAAUAGGUAGCAAUUAAAUUCAUUUAAUUAGUGGAUAGUGGGUUGACUUAACUCACCCAUUUAUAUUCAUUUAAAAAUAAUCAUCCAUUUAAUUAAACUCAAUUUUUAGUGAGUGUUAAGCAAAUAAAUUUGAAUGUCUUUUCUUGCACUUCUUCCUUUUUUUUUUUUUGUUGAGUUGUCAUUUUGCACUUGUUUUCCUAAGCAUCUAUCAUACUUUUGGUAUUUAUAAACAAAAAAAAAAAGGAGUUGCACUUUUUGUUUUAUACUCGAUACCCUACUUUGAAAAAGGUUUAAAAAGGAAACCUUCGCGAAAACCAAUCACUUCUCCAAGUUUCUUUAACACCUAGUCUUUUAUUACUGUCAUAAGAUAAUAGGUCUUCUUUUAAUCUAACACCAUUCCUGUUACACACUAAUUUUGUUCUUGGAUUAACUAAGGCAAAUCGCUAUUAGCCAAAACAAAAAGAAAAUCCCAGUUCCUUCAUUUCUUCCUUCUCCUUUUUGUCUUCUCUCCCAAUUCCGCAAAUCGUUCUUGUAAAAAAAGCCCCAUAGCAUAUCGUUUCCAGAUAAUUCGUUGCAGCAUCUUAAUCUGGGUUCGCCUUGUGACUUGAAUUCACAUUAGUGUAUUGGACAGAAACAAAGUUUGAAAAUUGGAAAAGAAUUCUUCUACUUUUGGUUUUCUUUCUUUUUUAUAAUAAUAUUAUGCACCAUUGAAUUUUUCCACCACGUGUAUCACUUCGUUCAUGGACUGAUGAUAUGGAAAUUAGUUCCUUUCCAUCCUUGUCAACUAAAGAUGGGAAAACUGUUAUCUAGAAGAAAAAUUGUUUUAAUGAAAAUUAAAAUGCCCUUACUUAUUUACAAGGGCAAAUUCCACUUUACCCCCUGUAGUUUAGCCUUUUUUACAUAACUCCUCUAUAGUUUCAAAAACUAUACAUAACCCCUCAUAAUUUGAAUUAAAGUGUCAAAAUGACGGAAAUGAUCAUUCGUAACGGAGUCAUCUAAAAUGUCAAAAAGACCCUUAUGUAAAGUUGAAAAUUAUUUAUUAAUCAAGGGGGGUUAUAUGUAUAUUUUGAAAAUCAUAAGGGGGUUAUAUGGUAAGUAUUAAACCAUAAAAGGGUUAUAUGGUAAAAUAUAAAAAUUAUACGGGAUUAGUGUAUCAUGUAUUUAUAAGGGUAAUUUCGAUAUUUUUAGAAGUUCCAAUACGAAUGAUUAUUUCCGUCACUUUGACACUUUAAUCCAAACCAUGAGAGGUUAUGUAUAGUUUUUGAAACCAUAGAAGGGUUAUGUAAAAAAUGCUAAACCACGGGGGGCUAAAAUGUAAUUUUCCCUAUUUACAAUCAUACUUUAUGAAACCUCAAUUAAGGUAAGGCAUUUGCAAGUUCCUAAUGCUUUGUUAACUUGAAAAGGCAAUUGACUUAUAAAGUCUGUAGCAGAAAUCGUUGUCUACGAUCCAAAGCAGAAUCAUCAAAUACAUGCAAUUAAUACGGCAGAAGUUUCUCCGCAGUUUGAAUAUGUGCCCAAGAUCAUCAAAGGAUUGCAAAUAAUUAAUGCUUUGAGCAGAUAGAUAGUAAAAAAAAUCAAAAGGCAUAAUUAAUACAAACUUAUAUAAAGUAAAAAAACCAAAAGAUUGAUUGAAAGUUGCUAUAGUCAGGGAAGUGAAAAAAGAAAAAGAGAAUAAGUGGGUGAAAAAAAUGAAGAUAGAAUUAAUUGUUACCAAAAAUAAAAUAUUUAAAAUCAUUGCAAGUUACUAUAGUAAAGGAAAUGAAAAAGGAAAAAUGAAUAAGAGGUAAAAAGAAUAAAGAGAGAAUGGAUUGUUACCAAAAAAUAAAAUACUUAAUAGCUAUUCAAAUAAAAAAUUAAAUUUAAUCACAUAGCGAAAAGAUAGAAUGUGCAUUUAGCAAAAAGUUAAAUAGCAAAUUGGACAAUCUAUCGAAAUAGAAAUUGAACAUUGUUGUUAUAGUACAUAUAUAUACUCUGCAGCACAAUAUUCCAUUCAGCAGAUAGAUAGUAGCUAAAGAAUAGGAAACAUGGCGACAAUUGACAUUUCCCCUAGCAAAAUUCAUAUUCUUGCUUUCCCUUUUCCAGCAAAAGGUCAUAUAAAUCCUAUGUUACACCUCUGCAACCGCCUGUCUGCGAGAGAUUUCAGGGUUACACUGAUUACUACAACUUCUAUAUUCAAGUCUGCUAAAACCAAAGCCAUCGGCUCCAUCAAGAUUGAGUGUAUUCCAGAUGACUCCGAUGAACCCGUUGAAGAAGAUCUCAAAGGCUUUUUGGCAAGGUUGAGAGCUGCUGCUUCCAGAGGCUUGGAAGAACUGGUUGAGAAAUGUAGAAAGACUGAUCCGUAUCCUCCCAGAAUUGUGAUUUAUGACUCAACUAUGCCUUGGAUUCUGAACUUAGCUCAUCGGGUGGGACUUCACGGUGCUUCUUUCUUUACUCAAUCUUGUGCUGUUUGUGCUCUUUACUACCAUAUGGACCAGGGAACAAUACAGCUUCCUCUUGAUAAGUCUGUUACUGUAAAAUUGCCUUCAAUGCCAGCACUAGAAAGCAAUGAUCUUCCUGAUCUCCAGUACUUCCCUGAUCCAGAUAGUGUUAUCACGAGGACUCUUCUUGAUCAGUUCUCUAACAUUGACAAAGUUGAUUUCAUUCUGUUCAACACUUUCGAAGAAUUGGAGGAUGAGGUAAGUUGGAAAUGCUAAUUAUAAUCCAGUGAACAUGCAUUAUUGAUGGAUUUUUUUGGCUGAUAAUUCAUGUUACUUUGUCAAACUAUGUGAUACUCUUGGAGGGGCAUAAGCAAAAUUUUAAUCAUGUGGAAAACUUUUUUUUUUUUUAAGAAAAAUAUUGAUUUUGGAUGACUCCCUAGUUUCUGCUAGUAUUGUCAAAUAGGGCAAUUAAUUAACGUUGUACAAAACCCGGAUUCAGAGAUUCUUGAUCGUGUUUUGGUACCCGCAAGCACUAUUCUCUGAUAGGUUGCCAAAUAUUUCAAAACUGAAAAUUUAGCUAAUCUCCAAAUGCCGUGCCAAUUGGGAAUCCUUUAAUUCCUUAUUUACUUCUCUUUUUCCAAAGAAAUGUUGUGUAAAAUCGUCCACCACUUUUCUGAUUUUCAAUACUUGUUAGUCAUGCUACUGCUACUUUAUCUAUCAGGUGGCAACAUGGAUGGCAGAAAGGUGGCCAAUUAAGACAGUUGGACCAACAGCUCCACUACUUUUUGUAGACAAAAGACUAGAGAAUGGCAAUGAUCAACAAGGGAACUAUCUGUUUGAGACAAACGCUGAAGCUUGUUUAAAAUGGUUGGACGAAAGAGAAACCUGUUCUGUAGUUUAUGUAUCGUUUGGGAGCAUUGCAGCGCCUGGAGAAGAUCAGAUCGAGGAAGUGGCAGAGGCCCUCCUGAGGAGAAACUGCAAAUUCCUUUGGGUAGUCAGGGAAGAAGAAGAGAGUAAGCUGCCAAAGAAUUUCAAGUCUGAGUCUUCAGAGCAAGGCCUAAUCAUAAACUGGUGUCCACAACUUGAGGUCUUAGCCCACCGGGCGAUCACGUGUUUCAUGACUCAUUGUGGAUGGAAUUCAACCAUUGAAGCUCUGAGUGCAGGUGUGCCAAUGAUAGCAGUGCCACAAUGGGUUGAUCAAACUACUAAUGCUAAGUUUAUUGCUGAUGUAUGGCAAACGGGGCUUAGAGUGAAGCUAAAUGAUAAAGGAUUUGUCGGAAGAGAAGAGUUUGAGUAUUGUAUCAGAGAAAUUACUGAGGGUGAAAGGGAGAAGGAGAUCAGAAGAAAUGCUAAGAAAUGGAAGGAAUUGGCCAUACAGGCAGUAGGAGAAGGUGGAAGUUCUUGUAGGAACAUCGAAGAUUUUGCAACCUCACUUUUGUCCCUACCGUGACGCGUUUCUGCUCUCUUGGGAGUUUGUGGAUGGAAACUACCUGAAAUAAGAAUUCUGUAUAAGUAUUUUAAUAAUAAAGCGAGGACAAGAUUUGAUUUUGAAUGUAAAUCUGUAAUUGUUUAGAAGGAUUUAGAAUAUCUUUCUUUUGUAGGGGAAAUUUUAUGUUCGCCAAUUGUUAGUGUGUUUGGAUAGUAAAUUAUUUAGAAUAAUUUUUUUAAAAAAUAUUAUAUUACUUUUUUAAUAUGACGUACAUGAAAUAAAAAAAAUCGUUUCACCACACUCGUGUUAGGGACAGAUUUUGGAAAUUAAAUUAUUUAUAUUUUUUGGUGAAAAUACUCCACAAUGCAAUAUUUGUGAUAGGUGCAUAUGGUACACCCAAUGACGAAUGGUUUUCGAUAAAAUACAAUAACGAAUGAACCAAAACAUGAUGCUAAGUUCAACUACAACUACAAAUAUUAAGUUUCUUUUCUCGCUGUUGUGUAGACAUUAACGAGUUUUUUCUCUUUGUUUCAUUUGAUUGGAUAAGAAAAAGUUUAGGAGAAGAACAAAGGUUAAUUUACGAUAAGGUUAGGGUCGAUGACAAUCCCUUAUGGUUAGUUAUAAUUGUUUCUUUACAGAUCAUCAAUCAGUUAAAAAAAAAAGACAAAGAUUAAUUAAUGCACAAAAAUGUGAAGACGACUUCAGAAAAUUUAAUGCAGAAAAGUUUCACAUCCUUUAGACCGUGGGAUCGCAAAUAGUGUUUUAAUAUUGCUGGCUGAUGCAAUAACUGCUAAUAAUUGAGUAGAUAUCUUGACAAUAUUUGCAGACAGCAAAAACAAAUAGCAAACUAUUCUACAAAAACAACUGCUAUAAGUUGCGACACCAUGGGCACGUCGUGGUGGAUGAGGGAGAAGACGCCACACAAGGCCGGUGUCCCAAUCAAGGUUGCUGUUGUUUGAACAUAAAAUACUGGGUGUGGGAAGGACGGUGUAAUGGAGAAAUAGAAUAAUCAAGUGGUUCAACUGCUUUCACUUAUAAACCCGAGAUUGAUUAAGUCUUCUUUUUUUUUUUUUUCGCUUAACGCUCCCGAUUUUUGAACAUUUACUACACUCAAUCGUCAUGUGAACACAUAAUCAAGGGUUAAUUCCAAUUUGUACCCUUUAUCUUUAUCCAAUUUCUCUUGUUGGUCUAUAAAUUUCAAAAUGGGAUACCUUAGUCCCUAAAUAACGACAUUUGUAAUCCUUUAGUACCAAAUGUAUAGAACGUGUCCAAUUUUGUUUCUUAAAUUUAAAUUUACUCCAUCUUACUAGCUAUUGUAUACAUACUGACGUAUAAAAUUCAUCUCACCUCCUGACUGAUGUUAUUUUCUAAAACAAUUUUGCCCUACUAACACAUUUUUUUGUUAGUUGCUUGCCUGUUUAUCUUAUCCAUCAUUGUCUUCAUAAUUUUCCUACAACAUUUCAACCUCCUUCCUCCACCCUAGCCUGGUAACACUUUGAUGCACGUUGUUCAGAAAGCCAACCACCAUCAAUAUGAAAAACCCAUACUCUUAGGGUCCGUUUGUUUCGGGUGAAAAUGUUUUCCAGGAAAAUAUUUUCCUAAUUUCCCGUGUUUGGUUGCACAAAAGUUACUGAAAACAUUUUCCUAUGUAAAAUAUUUUCACUCAUCUUAUGGAAAACAACUUCCCUUCCAAACUUACUGAAGUUGUUUUCCGAAAUGCAUGCAUCCCGCCUGUAGUAUGUUCCAAACUUACUGAAAACAUCUUGUAGUAUGUUCUUUUUUUUUUUUAGUGUAAACAGGAGGAUUCGAACCCAAUACCUCUUCCUUACACUCCCUCUCCCGUACCACCCAACCCCACCCAACCCUCCCCCUAGUAUAUUCAAAAUAAAAAAAAAAACCUCAUCCUGCUCAUCCUAUGCUAGUAAUUAAUUAUGUAUAAUAGGAACAUUCUUUUCUAGAGAAACUUUCAGCAGUGAGAAUGCAAGAUAUAUAUCACAAUAAGUAUUGCGUAUGAUUGAUUUUUGACACUAAAUGGCCAGCAAUUUGUUUAUUGCUUAAGGAGAUAUUUUUUAUUCAUAUAUACAUUUCUCCAAGAUUUUUUAAAGUUAAACAAUGAGAUAAAUUUUCUUAUUUUGCAUGGGAAGAAGUAUGUAGUUAUAAUGUGUAAAAAGUAAAGAUAGAAAUAAAAGUGAAAAUAUUUCAAAAGUUAAACAAACACCAGAAAAAUGAAGUAAGAAAAUAUUUUCAAUAAGCUAACCAAACACCUGAAAAUGAUGAAAGGGAAAUGAUUUUCAUGGAAAAUUACUUCCACGGAAAAUAUUUUCCCAAGGAAAACAUUUUACUUCCAACCAAACAGACCCUUACUCAUGCGCUCUUCCUUCCAACUGUUAUAGCCAUUACAUGGCUCCCGCGCAUGUGUUAUUACAUUUUUCAUUACGUCCGUCAUUCUUUCAAUGUUGCAAUCUAACUUUUCAUAAUGGUGAUUUUUCUCAUUAGCACAGCUCCAAAUUACUUACACAUGAUACUAUGCUUUAUUACACUCGUCCAGCUCCAAUACGUCACUUAUUCCACCACCUUCCCUACAUGCUAGUGAUAGAUAAGGGGCCUUACAGUUGCACCCACUCUGCAAUUCGUACAUCGGUUGUGCUUUUUCUACAUGGUGUUAUACGUUCACAAUCCUUAUUGCAUUAAAUUAUUUGGUUUGUCUACAAGAUAAAAAUGUAAAUAUACAGUUAAUCAUGAUGUAUAAUGCCCACAGAACAUCCCUACCGCACUAACCACUUCUCCAAUUAAUAACUACUCUCACAUUUUACGAAUGCUUGUCUCUUUAUACUUGUCCGGUUAUCUAACUUAUCUCCAAGGUUUCAAACCCUCGACUGUUCAUUGAACCGAAAAAUUCACCGGGUCAUGAAUCACUAGUUCAACCAUUGGAUUGGCCAUUUUUGUUCUGUGACAUCAUAAAUAACUAAAAAAUGAAUUAUAUAUUACUACUUUUAUCACGUAUGUAAUAUGCACAUCCCACCAUAGAGCUUUAGACACAUGAUCAUAACUAUAGUCCUUUUGCUAAUAAGUAUAUAAUAAAGCAAACUAAAAGAAAUGCAUAAAAUAAAAGUAAAGAAAAAGAGCUAUAAUUAUAUUAAUAUGACAAGCUUGACACCAAGAAAACAAGAAUCUUACUUUAGAAAAUGAGUAAAUUACAAAGGAAAACAAAAAAAUCAUAAAUUAGGAAAUCAAACCUACGAAUAUGGUUUAGGCACAAAAUUGAACUUUGUUGGAGGAAUUUGAAAGACUAGUGGUGAGAUGAUAAAGAGAGGGGUGAUUAGGAAGAGAGAAAAUUGAAGAAAAUUUGGUAAAAAUUAGAUAUAAAAGAAAGGAAGAAGAUUGGAGUCUUGGGUCUUGACUUGAGUCAACUAUAGAUUGUAGCUAUCUAAUUAGUUACUACGUUUUUUUUUUUUGUCCUUUUUUUAUAUUUUGACCAAUUGAAUGAACUAGACUAGUUUAGAAAAAACCAUCUCAAUUUGAUGGUUGAUUUUCAUUAAAUAAAGUGACUUUUUAGCCCCACUGGGUUUGAAGCAUAACCCAACUCAGACAACAACUUAACGACGGUUCAACUGGGCAGUUUGAGUUGGGUUUUAUUUCAUUACCUUACACACCCAUUCUUCUAUCUCACUAUUUUGCCCACUUUUGGUCCUAUUUUUAAUUUCAUUGGUAUUACAUCUUCAUUACAUGCAGAUUUAUUUCCUAUGAUUCGCUUUUUGAUAUAAGCAAGAAAGCUAAGAGGGUCACUUGGAACUUGGUGCAUGCAAUUCAAGGUCAAGUUGGAGUUUGUCGAAGCAUUGAAGGAAUCGAAUGUCCGAUAAGUUCCAUCAAAAUCCUAAUUCAAGUAUUAAUUUGCUUACUUGAAAAUUGGGUUAGACGCAGGCACGCCUAACAUGCAUGAAGGCUUCUAGUUCGCAUGGUUCGAAGUCAAGAAAUUGUCCCAAAAUAUAUUGAAGGACUUGAGAAUGGAGAUUGGAAGCGUGUUCAUCUCAUUCAAAUGGUGGAAGAGUCACAUUUAAUGCUCAAGUUAUGUUGAUGUUUAGGUCUUGAGUCAUUAUGUUAUUUUCAAUAUUUUAGUGUUAAUUUAGCCAUUAGUUAGUAAUGAAAUAAUCGGCCAAGUAAGGCCGACUUUAGGGUUUCCUUUUCUUCCUAAGUUUUGUAUUUUGUUAGUUUUUUCAAAUUCAAAUUAGGAAGCUAGUAUUAUUUCCAAACUGGAUUAGUCUUAGUAGUUAAGUUUUAGCUAUAAAUAGGUUUGUUUUAUUCUAUUGUAUGACAAAAAGUGAGUUGUUCUCCUCUUAUGAAAUUCCUUGAUGGAACGUGAAUUCUUUCUUGAACUGUAUCAAGUAUUUAGUUUGGAUACUUGUGGUAUUCAAGGCAAGAUAAUCACAUCAUCUUUUUCUUUCAAGCCAAUAAUCAAUCCACUAGGUUUUUAGAGGUAGUUAUUAUUUCAUAACCUGGUCAACAUAACUUCCACUGCUUGAUCGACUUGAUUCUUUAAGAGAGGUUCUUGCUGGAUCAACUUGGUUCUUCAAAAUAGGUUUUCUAAGGGUUUGACUCCCAUUAAAUUUCUUCCAAGUGAAAUCGCAACCCUGUGUUAAGUCAUCAUAAAAAAAAAAAAAAAUUGGAUACUAUUCAUGUUACCAUAGUAAUUACUAUUCAUUGUUCCUAUUGCAUUACUGUUCAUUAUACUAUAGCAUCACUGUUCAUCUCGAAGUUAAUAUUCAUCUGAAUUAAAAAAAAUUUUAGAUUAUUUUUUUCUGUUCGUUCCUUCGUUUUUGUCAAUUUUUUUCUUCUUGAAUCUAUUUUAGGGUUUUUGUUUCUAGGGUUUAACUUCAUGUUUCUCCUUGAUUUGUUCCAGCCGUGUUUUGUCCUUUCUUGUGUCGUUUCUUUGUUUCUUAAAUCUGUCAUCUUGUGUUUAACCUUCCAUAGUUGUGUGUUUGAGUCCAAAAAAAAAAAAAAAAUCUGAUCGUGUAACUUACCUUGUAUCCAUAGUAGUUCAUUAUUUUUACUUGCUGUCUAUUUCUUCCUUGUUGCGUUUCACUUGUUUCUUGCACUGAAUUUUGUUGAUUCUUGUUAUGCGAGCCAUUGGUGGGGAAAUCUUGAAGUUCCUGAAAUUUUGGUUCAAAUGUUAAAGAUCUUGAAGGUUCUUGAAACAAAAGAAACAAAGAAAAAUUGAAUUUUGAUCAGUUUGGGAGACUUGUUUGAUCUCCAAAAGCUUCAAGAAAAAAAAUCUGGAUUCGAUUUCCUAAAACAAAUCCUAGUUGAAAUUGGAUUUCCUAAAAGAGUCACUUUCAUCCAAUCAUUGUUCUAUUCCCCUUUGGAUUUGAACAAAGGGGGUUCUAAAUCUUGUUUAUCUUGGGAAAACACUAAAAAUCCAUGGAAAAAUCCUGGAAAAAUUCCAAAUCCAUUUUGGACAAGAAAACAGCUGCGAAAGUCACUCUAGUCAACUAGGGUCUUCUUAUUCUUUCAUCCAUUAAAUUUGUUUUGUGUCAAUUUCUAUUUUUGCUAUUUUAAUCAUCAAUUUUAUGAGUUUAUUUACAGUCUAAUCACAUGGUAAAGUCAGCUUUUGAGUCAAGUCAUCCAUUUAUUUUUGUUCAUCCUAGCCGUUGCAUUCCAGUUGGUUCUAUUGGUGAGUUGAAUUGUUUACCUAGAGAAAAUUCUGAUUUCUUAGAGGAGAGCUAUCAAGGGCCUUGAGAACUUAAUUGGUGAGAUCAUUAGAAUGUUAAACUCUUGAGUGAUACAUAAGGGUUGAGUGUAAACACGUGCCGGAACGAGUGAGGAAAACUUUUCUCUACUAACUCUUUUGCAAGUUACAUCAGCAUGUCAAAGGAAAGUGAAACUUCUACUUUUGAUCCUACGCUUCUUAUAGAGGCCAUGACAAGUCAAUUGCGUAAAUGAUGAAUGAGGAGUACAUAUGCUACUCAUCCUAUCUUUCACCAUUUUUCCCAAGACUUGAGGACAAAUCUUUUUCAAGAGGAGGCAAAUGAUAGGAGCAGGAAAGCUAAGAGGGUCACUUGGAGCAUGGUGCAUGCAAUUCAAGGUCAAGUUGGAGUUUAUCAAAGCAUUGAAGCAAUCGAAUGUCCGAUAAGUUCCAUCAAAUUCCUAAUUCAAGUAUUAAUUUGCUUCAAGUUGAAAAUUAGGUUAGACGCAGGCACGCCUAACAUGCAUGAAGGCUUCUAGUUCGCAUGGUUCGAAGACAAGAAAUUGUCCCAAAAUAUAUUGAAGGACUUGAGAAUGGAGAUUGGAAGCGUGUUCAUCUCAUUCAAAUGGUGGAAGAGUCACAUUUAAUGCUCAAGUUAUGUUGAUGUUUAGGUCAUGAGUCAUUAUGUUAUUUUCAAUAUUUUAGUGUUAAUUUAGUCAUUAGUUAGUAAUGAAAUAAUCGACCAAGUUAAGCCUCAAGUAAGGCAGACUUUAGGGUUUCCUUAAGUUUUGUGUUUUGUUAGUCUUUCCAAAAUCAAAUUAGGAAACUUGUAUUAUUUCUAAAUUGGAUUAGUUUUAGUAGUUUAGGUUUUAACUUUAAAUAGGCUUCUUCUAUUCCAUUGUAUGACAACUUUUGGAAACAUGAAUUAAUAAAAGUGAAUUGUUCUCCUCUUGUGGAGUUACAUGAUUGAACGUGAGUUCCUUUUUGAAUUGUAUCAAGUAUUUGAUUUGGAUACUUAUGGUGUUCAAGGCAAGAAAUCACGUCAUCUUGUUUUUUCAAGCCAAUAACCAAUCCACUAGGUUUGUAGAGAGUUUCAUAACCUGGUCAAGAUAGAUCUUUUCGUUGCCUAAUUGAUUUGGUUCUUUAAGAUAGGUUCUUGCUAGGUUGAGUUUACAUCACCUUUCAUUCCAUUAACUAUUGACAUUGUAAGAUAAAUAUUGAUACCUAUCAAACUAACAAUAUGCCAAAUUUGAUAACUGAAGUUAUUUCUAAGACUUGAUGAAAUUGAGGUCUUCGUAAAUUUGAUAACAAAUUUGAGGACCUAACCUACUACCCCGAUUCUAUCAUGGGUGCUGGCUUGAUGGCUUAGUUUUUUCUUAGACAAUAAGAGGAAGAAGAAAGCAAAAAUAAAACCAAAAAAGAAAAGAAGAUGGCUUUGAGAUAGUUCAGGGAGAGAAAGUGUACAUGAGGGGUCCCAAAUUCGAACCCUUCCACUUACACUAUGAAAAAAAUGGCUUUUGAUGAUAUAUUGAGACUAUAGCUGUUAAUCGGGCCAUCGGAGCCGAGCUUUUACAAAUUUAGACUCUGCUCAUAUAGUUAGUAUCACUUUUGGGUUUCGGGUUAUGAGUUUCGAGUUGAUAAAUGUGAAGCUCAUACUUGGCUCACAAAAUAUUCACACUGUGGGCCUAAUUCGGGUUUGAAAACUCACUUAGUGCUCCUUAAUUUCCUUAAUAUAAUUACUAUGACUAUUAAGUUCUAAAGCUAAUUUAACAUUUGUAGGAUCACAAUAUUAAAACUAUACAUGAACCAGUAACAGUUCAUUAAAAAGUACAAAAACCGAGAAUUUUCCAAUAAUAAUAUAUCCAAUUAGUUCAAAGUACAUAGAAAAUAGUAAUAAAACAUGAUCAAUAGUCAAUACAUCUUCAAACGUCCUCAAUUUGCUGGUAGUGUCCUUCUGAAUCUUUUGACAUAAUUUUGUAUACUGAAUAUAAGUUGUACAUAUUAAUAUAUUUUGACACAUAUAAAGCAAUGUUAUUAAACCUGGCCCGACCCAACAGUUUAACCGGUCAACCCUAAUGAAUUGACAAUUGAGCUGGGUUGGGUCUUUAAUUGGAUAAUUUAAGCAAUUAAACUGUUAACUUGUCAACGGACCGGUGGUUCAACCGAUGAAUUCGGUGAACCGACUGGUUUUGUAAGGAACCCGAGUUUACGUGUUGUUGUGGGAAAAAUUUUGAGAAGAUACUAAAGUGAUGGUUUGAAUAUGAGACCUCAUGUGUAUAAAUAAGUGCAAUCACCACUAGUCUAAUAGCCCAUUUGUUGAUUGUUUAGUCCUUCUUAUAUUAUAUAUUAGACUUUUAUUCUUAUUUUAUUUUUUCAAAAUAAAAUUUCUUUGGAAUCUUUUAAUAAAUUUAUUAUUCCCCAAACUCUAUAAAUUAUGAAAAGGAUUUAAAAAAAUAACUUAUUACACAAUUCAUUUUAAAGGCAAAUAUCAUUCCUAAUAGCCUUUUGCACUUAAAAUUUGUAAAUAAACUAGAUAAUUACACUUAGAUAAAAUUUUAUACUUUGUUAUUGGUGGAUUACUAAUUAAAUUUAGAUUUUGUUAAUUCUUAUAAGAAUCAAUGAUUCUAUAAUAAAUUAGACAAACUGAGCAUUUAGUAUGGCAUAGUUUGUUAUAAUUUUAACCAUAUCAAAAAUUAUGAAACAUAAUAUGUAAAUAUAGGGAUAAUUUCAGAAACCUCCCCUAAGGUUUGUCAUAAUAUCACUCAGCUCCCUUGAAAUUUUUAAAAUCUCACUUAACACUCUUGCCAACUUGACAAGACUAAAUAUUCCUAUCAAAGGUCACAAAUUGACAACAUUGCUCUUGCUCUUAAUAACUAUUUAACCACAAAGCCAAAACAAAAUAAAAUUUUAAAACCAAAAAAUGUAAAUUAAAAAAAUAAAUUGUUAGCUAAUAAUGAUUCAUAUUUCUUUACAUUAGGGUCAUGGUGGAAUAGCAAAGGACAUAGAUAAAUUAAAUUUAAUCAAGGUCAACCACUUGGGAGGAUAUUUUUUGCAAUUAAGUUGCAAUUAAGGAAGUCAACAUAUUUUUUGGAAAAAUAUGUUUUAAUUCAUGCUGUAGUUUAAAUUUUGUUUUUGUUCCAAUACAACUAAAAUAAAGAGUUUAUGUCAAGAAAUUUAUACCUUAUAAAAAUUUGACCUUAUUUUAUUUUCUAUUGUUGUUAUAAAUUUCAUAAGUAGGAUAACAUAAGGGUAGUAUUGGAACAAAAGUUUUAUCUUUCUUGUAUUUCCUACAAAAGGGUUAAAAUGUUACAAGAAAUGUCAAUCCAAGAUAGAUAAGUGAGAUUUAAAAACCUCAGGGGAGUUUAGUGAUAUUAUGAGAAAUCUUGAGGGAGGUUUUUGAAAUUAUCCCUUAAGCAUAUUUAGUGACCCACCGGUUGGACCACUAACCCACUAGUUGAACCAGUAACCCGUUGACCCACCUCUUUUCCUGGAUUCCUCCCCGAGCUGGGUUUAAUAACUAUGGAAUAAAGCAUUAAUAUUUACAUAUAUAUGCAGAUUAAAAAGUCGGGCCUAUAUCAGGUCUAAGUCUAAUAAGGUCUAACCUCAACUUACAUUUAAUUGGAGUAAUAUUGAGACCCAAAUUUAGUCCAAUUCAAUGAAAGGUUAGGCUCAUCGGACUUUCUCUCGAACCGAGUGGACAUAACUUAGACUAAUUUGACUCCAUUGACAGACCUAAUUGGGACUUCCAUUGCGUACUUUUUGCUGACAUCACCAAAUAAACAGUCAAACAUUUAUUGAUUAUUAGUAAAUGGGUAUUUGUUAUAGAUUUAUAAGGUUUAAGGUUGGUUUCGUAAUUCUGCCAAAUCUCAAGGAUAAUUUGGUAGUUUGGCUGAAUCUCAAGGGAAGUAAAUAUAAAUUCAAAGCCCCGUAGUUAACUACUACAACUGACUGUUCCACUAUAGAGCGCUUAGUUACACCUUGCGAUGUUUCCUCCACGUCUAGAUGUACCCAAAUCCACACUACUAUAUAUUGGCGUGGGAAAUUAUAAAUUGGGCACUCGUUAAUAUGGAUAAGAAAUAAUCUGUUUAAUUAAUGUAUUAAUUAUUUCAUAUUUUGAAAAACUAUUUUCAAGAAAUUCGCAUUUUAAAUGACAUACCUAACCUUUUUACUAAAAAUAGAUGCGACAAAUAUUUCACUAGUACUUAGGAAAGCAAUUUAGAACUAUGAAAAUUUUAGCUCAUAUUUAAAAUCGUCAAUGAUUUGAGAAAAUAUAUUUAAGACAAAACCAAUGCAAAAUUCAAGAAAGAAAUUAUCAUUUCAAUUGAAAACGUUCUUGUAUUGGAAGUUCGAACCAUUUUAGUUCUCAAUGUGAUUUCACAUUAAAAUCAUUAAUUUAGUUUUGACUAGUGUUGUCAAAAGUCUUGAGAAGUUUGUUAAGUUUAUUUAUCAAUUAAAAGAGAAAGAAAACCUAGUAAACCAAACACAAACAAUUGGUUUAACUAAGAGAAUUUGUUUAAAAUUCACCCAAAGAGUACAUUCUUGUUUGUUGAUGUUUUUUGAAAUUUUCUUUUUUUAACAAGUCUUAAAAAGUUUAUUAUUCUAGGUUUUCUUCCAAAAUAAAUUGUAUUUUUCCUUCCAAUUUAUCAUGUUGUGGAGGAUAAAAUGUUCCAAGUUCACAAUUGUUUUCCUUUUUUUAAGCCAUAAAAGUCUUGAUUUAGUUUGGUUUAGAAUUUGGGAACCUACUAUCUCUUUGUAGUUGAAAAGAAAUAAAAAUAUACAAAUAAGUUGCUUUAGCGACCUUGACAGUGUUAAAAGCAUGAUAAUUUUGUGAUUUUCUCCAUAAAGUAUUUGGAACAAAAUAACAUUUUACUGGUAAAAAAAAAAAACUGGGAGAAGGCGGAGGAGCAAGAAAUUAAAUUGUAACAUUUAAUUUGAGAGGAAUAAUUUCUCAGACAGGGCAGAUUCGAGAAGCAGUUAACCAUAGCAGAAGAUUUCAAGUUCAGAGUAUGCAUGUUUUCAAGCUUUGAACAAGAAAAGAGAAUUAAAUAAUGCUUGCUAACAGAUUCAUGAAUCUCUUAACAUAACAUUUUGAGCGAAUUGCGCGAAAUGUCACUAAACUAUUUCAAAGUGCCGGUUCUGGUUAUUAAACUUUUUUAUUAGCGCGAAAUGUCACUGAACUAGUAAAUCUAUACCGUUUUGGUCACUCCGUGUAUUUGUGCCGUUAGGAGAGACGGAAAUCAACUUUUUGAGGGGUAAUUUCAUCUACACAAUAGUUAAAAAAUUUAUGCCCUCAUUCUUCUUCACCCACAACCAUAGUGCUAUACCAUAUUUACAUUCCCAGCCUUCCCGUACGCAUCAAUCAUCACAGAAUAGGUAACCUCAUCCGGUUCACACCCAAAAGACGGCAUUUUUUCGAACCACUGGACGGCUUUCUCAGGUAAAGAAGACAGCCUGGCGCAGCUAAUUAUGGUGGAAAAGGUGACAUUAUCGGGCUUAACUCCUCUCUCAAUCAUAUCCGUAAACAAUUUCUCGGCUCUGUCCAAGUCUCUACAUUUUCUAAACACCUUGAAGGUAACAUUAUACAAAAUCACUUCUUUCUUCAACUUAAGCCUUUCCAGAAAGUAACUCAGCACCAAAGGCGCAGUUUCAGAGUUGGACAUGUUAUUGAGCACAACGGCAGCAUCUUGCUCUACAACUUUGCCACCCAAAUUAGCCAAAAUACUAAUAACGUCAGCUUCUACAGGGUCACACGAGUCCAAUUGUUGGGAAGCUUGGACUAAAGAAGCAUACCUGAAAUCGUAGGAAUUGCGCCUGAGCUUUGAUGCCCUGGAGCUGUUGGGGUUGACCCAGAUAUAGCUUUUUGAGGAAGAAGAGAUGGUUUUAGCAUCUGGGCGGUGAGGAAUUUGGGAAAUUGAGGGGGAUUGUUGUUGGGAAGCCGGUAUAGAGAGGGAAGGUUUUGGAUGGGGCUUGAGAGGAGGAAAAGCGAGGGCGUUAUGGGGGAUGAUUCUGAGUUGGUGGAGGUGAGUGGGAUAAAGAGAGUUACAGAAGAGGUGUGGGUCGCGAGAGAGAUGAGACGGCGAAUAGGCGGCGGCCACCAUUCUUCUCUCUACUCUCCUUCCUUCCUUCUCAGUCAUCACUCACUCAGCAGAGCAGUCAGCAGCAUUUGAGUUUUCUUCUUUUUUACAACUAUGAAAAAUUUCGCCUGCAUUUUUUGGUUGAAGUUUGAUGGUGCCGCCAUUCAGAUUAGCCAUCUCCUUUAUGUCUUUGCCGGAUACGGAACCAUUGAUUAUGUAAAAGCCAAGGUUUUAAAACCCGGACCGUCCAUUGAACCGGUGAGAUGAAAGGGUCGAGGUUCAAUCGGUCGGACCGGUUCAACCUCGGUUCAUUGAUUUUUUUUUAAAAAUAAUUUAUAUAAAUAUAUAUGCACAAAAUAAGACAUGCAAUGGACUAAUUUAAAACUGUAUAUGAUGAAAAGUUUACUAUUUUUGAAUAAUUUGGAUUUUCAAAAAUAAAUUUUUUAAAUUAUAAGUUAAAACAAAUAAAUUUCAUUUCAAUUUUAAUUAUAUCUACCAAAAAAAUCUCAAAUCCAACCCAAAAAUAUCACAAUAUUUUGAAAUUAUACAAAAUUCACGUCUAUGAGAAUUUGACGUUGAGAAUUAAAUAUUGUAAUUUAAAAAAGAAAGUUUGGAGUUCGAAAGAAGUCAAGAGAAUUGAAAAUAGAAAUGCAAACUUGAUAAGAAACAAAAAAUGAGAUAAAAGUGAGUGGUUGUGGCAUUAAAUAAUUUGGGUUAAAGAAAAAUAAUUCUUUUUUAACUUUUUUCAAUUUAAUGGACAAAACCAAAAUUAAAAGAUAGAAGAAAACAUCAAUAAAUUAAAACUAAAGAGGUUUGAUUAAAAAAGGGAGUGACAAAAGAAAAGAUGUGAGAGAAAGAGAGAGUUGAAAAUUAAAAAGAAAGAGUCAUGAGAAAAUGAAAUUUUGUAAGAAAAAUGGAAAAAUGAAAUAUAGAUGUUUGUUUUAUAUAAAUAAAUUAUCAAAAAAAGCAAAUAAGAUGUGAUAGUGCAAUGGUUAUUACAUUGGUCUUCUAUUGUAAAUGUCUUGAGUUCAAAUCUUGAUAGAAGCAUUUUGCAACAAAAAAAAAAAAAGAGGAAAAACUCGAAAAUCGGUUCAAUCCGGUUCAACGGGUUUCGCGGUUUUUACCGGGUUUGACCGGUUUUUUGCCAAAGUCAACCUAAGCAUGGAACCGGACCGGUGCCAUGGCCGGUUCGCGGUUCGACCGGUCGAACCGGCCGGUCCGGUCCGGUUUUCAAAACACUGGUAAAAGCUUCAAGGAAAAGGCUGUGCAGACAAAUUUGCCCCUCAAAAAGUUGAUUUCCGUCUCUCCUAACGGCACAAAUACACGGAGUGACCAAAACGGUAUAGAUUUACUAGUUCAGUGACAUUUCGCGCUAAUAAAAAGUUUAGUGACCAGAACCGGCACUUUGAAAUAGUUUAGUGACAUGACAUUUCGCGCAAUUCGCUCUAACAUUUUACAGCCUAGACAACAUUUCACUACCCAAGGAAAGGCAUCAUUAUUUAUUUACUUUUUCCCGCAUUCAAGGAAAGCACCAUUAAUUAUUGAUGAAACAGAAAUCUGGUCGGUCCGUUUUAAAAAAAUAAGGCGGGCAUGACGAAGAUCAUCGCAUACCGCACUACUAAAGCCUAUGAAUCAAAAAAGGGAGAUUUGGUCAGAAGCACGGAAAUAAAUUACAGAAGUUGUUGUGGGCAGCAUAUAUAUUGUAGAUUUGGUUAGGUAGACGAGAUGCAAUAAUGGAAUACAAAAACAGAUGUUGUCAGCAUCAAAGUUUACUUUGUGCAUUUUUUUUUAAUUUUAUAUGAGGAUAGGGCACACAUUAAAAUAAAAAAUUUCAACUUUAUAGCAUCGAAGUUUUACUUUGGUUUACCAAAAGGGUUAUUAUUACUUUAUUCCCUUAAACUAUAUCACUGCUAUUAAUUUACCCCUUAACAUUAUCUUUUAGUCACUUCAUCUUCAUAGGUAAUUUAACUCAGUAUAUUAACAAAUUUUGAACAAAAAUACCCUUUUAUUGUAUAAUAUUACUACGUUGUUAUUAUCAUUUUGUCCCUUUAAAUUAUAGUGAUACAAUUGCUUUGUUCCCUAACAUUAUUUUCUAGGCGUUUUAUCCCAUUGUUAACCUAAACAAUAUGUUCAAAAAAUUUUUAAUGUAUUUACCCUUCUUAUGUAUAAUUACAAAUAAAAAAUUGGAAUAGUUAUUCUUCCUUUUUCACUCUAAGAGUUCCAAAAACAUAAAAAAUAAAAGGGUUUUUUCAAAUUUCUUUUUUCACGUUUAUUAAUACUAGGAAAAGAAAAGGAGAUAGAAAAUUAAAUUUUAUAAAGAAAGAAAAUAAGGAACAAUCUAAUAUUAUCGUAUUACUUUAACAUCGUCAGGAUUAUGACUGGAAUUGGGUGAUAAAUAAAAAAAAAUAAAGUAUACCUAACUUUUUCUUAUUUGUAUUUUUUUAAAAAAGAAUAGAGCUCUCUCUCUCUCUCUCUCUCUCUCUCUCUCUCCCUUCCUACCUUUCUAUUUUUUUAAUAUUAAUAAGAUUGCCAAAAAGAAAGAAAUUAAUGCUCUAAUUUUUUUUCUUGAUACAAAAAAGGGAGAAGAGUAACUCCAAAUUUUUUAUUAUUUUUAUUCUACAAAGAGGUGGGUACUUUCUUCUAAAAUUUUUUAACUUAUUAAACUACUUUAAUGGUGGAAUAAAUUUCGUAAAAAAUAACUUUAUGGGUAUAUUAAUAAUAAGGUUAUAGUUUAUGAAGGUAAAAUAAUAAUAAUUUUGACCGUUAAUCUUAGAGAUAAGGUGACUAAAAAGUAACAUUAAUUGUUUUCUCUCUCUCUCUCUCUCUCUCUCUCUCUCUCUCUCUCUCUCUCUCUCUCUCUCUCUAUAUAUAUAUAUAUAUAUAUAUAUAUAUAUAUAAACACACACACACAUGUAUGAACUGAUUAACUCUGCAGCAUAAUAUUCCAUUGAGUACACAGAUAGUAGCUAAAGAAUAGGAAACAUGGGAACAAUUGAUAUUUGCCCUAGCAAAAUUCAUAUUCUUGCUUUCCCUUUUCCUGCGAAAGGUCAUAUAAAUCCUAUGUUACACCUCUGCAACCGCCUGGCUGCGAAACAUUUCAUGGUUACACUGAUUACCACAGCUUCUACAUUCAAGUCUGCUAAAACCACAGCCAUCAGCUCCAUCAAGAUCGAGUGUAUUCCAGAUGACUCCGAAGAACCCGUUGAAGAAGAUGCCAAAGGCUAUUUCACAAGGCUCAGAGCUGCUGCUUCCAAAGGCUUGGUGGAACUGGUUGAUAAAUAUAGAAAGACAGAUCCGUUUCCUCCCAGAUUGGUGAUUUAUGACUCAACUAUGCCUUGGGUUCUGAACUUAGCUCACUGGAUGGGACUUCGCGGAGCUUCUUUCUUUACUCAAUCUUGUGCUGUUUGUGCUCUUUACUACCAUAUGGACCAAGGAACAAUACAGCUUCCUCUUGAUGAGUCUGUUACUGUAAAAUUGCCUUCAAUGCCAGCACUUGAAAGCACUGAUCUUCCUGAUCUCCAGUACUUCCCUGAUCCAGAUAGUGUUGUCACGAGGCUCCUUCUUGAUCAGUUCUCGAACAUUGACAAAGUUGAUUUCAUUCUGUUCAACACUUUCGAAGAAUUGGAGGACGAGGUAAGUUGGAAAUGCUAAUUAUAAUCCAGUGAAUAUACAUCAUUGAUGGAUUUUUUUGGCUGAUAAUUCAUGUAACUUUGUCAAACUAUAUGAUAUUCCUGGACGGCCAUAAGCAAAAUUUUAAUCAUGUGAAAAAUUUUCUUUUUUGUUUUAAAGAAAAAAUUGAUUUCGGAUGACUAGUUUGUGCUAGCUUUGUCAAAUAGGAUAUUAUAAUCGGCAAUUAAUUAACGUUGUACAAGAGCCGAAUUGAGGAAUUUUUUAUAGUGUUUUGGUUAGGCAUGUCAAUUGAACCAUCUGAAUCAGGUUUUAACAAACUCAAACUCAGUUUAUAUAGUUAGUAACACUUUCAAAUUUCGAGUUACGAGUUUUGGGUUGAUAAAUAUAAAUCUCAUACUUGACUUACAAGAUAUUCGAGUUGUUAGUCAAAUUCGGGUUUAACCCAAAUUCAUUUAUUACUCUUUAAUUUCUUUAAUAUAAUUAUUAUGACUAUUAAAUUCUAAAGUUAAUUUAACAUCCGUUGGACCACAAUAUUAAAACUAUAUACGAAACAGUAACAAUUCAUUAAAAAGUAUAUAAAGCAAGAAAUUUCCAACAAUAAUAAAUUCAGUUACUUCAAAGUACAUGAAAAAUAGUAACAAAAUAUGAUCAACAAUCAAUACAUCUUCAAAGGUCCCCAAUUUGCUCAUACUAAGAUUUGUCCUUAUGAAUCUUUUGAUAUAAUUUUGAAUAUUUAAUAUUUCUUAUAUAUAUUAAUAUAUUUUAUCGAGUUUGACUCAGCUCAUGUUUAAUCCGAGUCUAAUAUUUAGGGCCAAUCUCAGCCUAAUUCAAAGAUUAGGCUCAUCGGAUUUUGUCUCGGGUCGAGUUCAAACUAGCCUGACUCUAUUGGUAGUUCUAGAUUUGGUGUCCCUAAAUUCUCUGAUAGGCUUUGGCUAGUCUCCAAAUGUUGUGCCAAUUGGGGAUCUGUUAAUUAUUUAUUUGCUUUUCUUUUUCCAAAGAAAUGAUAUUGCUGAUUUUUUGUCAAUCAUCUCUAUCUACUCUAUUUCUACUUCUAUUCCUAUUCUAACCUAUUUUAGGAGGUGAUUCAACUGGAUAAAAAAAAAUCGACGGGAACUGAGUUACUCUCGGACCAUACGGGUGCACUAUACACCUAUAUGGAUUUGGAGAAGCCACAUUAAUGAUAAAGUAAUGGGAGGCAAGGUUUUAACUCUUAACCUCCCACCCCACAAAAAUUUAAGCCUUUUGUGGUGGCCAACUACUCUAAAGAUGGUUAAAAAGGAGGAGUGCAACACGAGUACUUUUCAAAGGGUCACCUAUCUUAGUAUUAUUCUCACCCAAUCGCACUUAACUUCGAAGUUCUAAGGGAUCCAGUACAAAAACUAGAUUCAAAGAUUCUUGAUAGUGUACUCUUAAAGCUAGAUUCAGAGAUUCUUGAUGUGAAGAAUUUUCCAACAAUAAUAUAUCCAAUGAGUUCAAAGUAAGGAUGGCAACGGGGCGGGGUUGGGGCGGGAAACGCCCCCGCCUACAAAUUACCCCCGCCCCCGCCCCGUCCCCAUCCCACCCCGCCCCGCUUCUCCCGUAGGGGCACCCGUGGGACUAAUAAAAAUUUUUUAUAUAAUUUUAUUAUAGUUAAAUUUCAGCAAAUAAUCAAGUACUAAAAUAUCACAUCACCAAAUUCUUAUUCAUUGUAAUUUCACAAUUGAAACUUAUAAAAACAAUCAAACAAAAGUUAUUUGAAUACAAUCCAACAUGAUGAAAUAAAUACAACUAAAGUAGUCAAGUUUUCACUUUUGGCGCAAAUACAACCACUAAUUCAUUAUUGUACCUGUGCUUUUUUUUUUUUGUGAAAAAAAUGCUAUUGUAUUAAGUGUAAUUAGGGAUUUAGUAUAAAUGUAUUAGUAAAUUUAAUAUAACCAAUUAAUAAUUUGUAUUAGUACACAUAUAUAAUUAUUAGUAUAAUUGAUAAUAUCAAUUAUAUUACAUGUACUAAUAUACAUUAUAUGAUACAUAUAAUUAAUAAUAUCAUUAUCAUAAGUUUGUAACUAAUUAAAUUAUCUGUUAUAUAGAAUUAUAUACAUAUAUAUUUUAUAUAUUUAUUUAUUUAAAGCGGGUAGCGGGGCGGGGGAUAGGGAGCGGGUACACUCCCCCGCCCGCCACCCCGUUUCUAAACCGGGGGGGGGGGGGGAAAUUCCCCCGGGGGGCAGGUGCCCGCAUUGCCAUCCUUGGUUCAAAGUAUACAGAAAAAUAGUAAUAAAACAUGAUCAGCAAUCAAUACAUCUUCAAAAGUCCUCAAUUUGUUUGUACUAAGAUUUGUCCUUCUGAAUCUUUUGACAUAAUUUGUGUAUUUAAUAUUUCUUAUAUGUAUUAAUAUAUUUUGAUAAAUAACUCAUAAAUAUAAAGCAUUAGUAUCAUAUAUUUAGAUAUGUAUACACCAAAAUAUGAAUAUAUAUACCAAAUUAUAUAUUUCUUAUACCAUCCAAAUUAAUUAUAUAUAUAUAUAUGUAUAUGUAUAUAUAAAAAUGUAGAUUAAAGGGUCGAGCCUAUAUCAAAUUUAAGCCUAAUAAGAACCAAACUCACCUCACAUUUAAUUUGGAUAUAAUAUUUAGGCCCAAAUUCAGCCCAACUCAAUGAAAGAUUAGGCUUAUCAGGUUUUUUCUUGAGCUAAGUUUGGCUUGGCGGGACCCUAUUAAUAGUUCUAGUUUUGGUACCCCCAAAGACUAUUCUCUAAUAGGCUGCCCAAUAUAUCAAAAGUGAAAUUUUGGCUAGCCUCUAAAUGUUGUGCCAAUCUAUGAUUUUAAACUAGGAUCACACUAAUUCGUCUAACCGAUUGUAUCGAAAACCGGUCAGUUAUCCAAUUCGAGUCUCUUUAAAAAACAGUCAGUCAAAGAUUUGGUCAAACUCAAUCAAAGACUGGGUUUGACAGAGAAGUGGUAAAAUUGGUUAGAAUUAGUUUUUUUUUCACAAUUUCUCCAUUCUUAUGGGUUUUUUUUUAUUGUGAAAAAGAAGCACUUUGAAAUAGAUUAGUCAAAAGCAAAGUAGAAUUAAGUCAAUGAGAAAGCAUUAUUGUGUUUCAUUAGAAUCUCAUGCGACAUCCUCUUUACUAAAUUGAGGGAAUUUAAAAAAAAAAAAAAAAAAGAGUCCUGAGAAAGUGUAUAACUUCAAAAAACCUAAAUUAUAAAAAAAAAAAAGAAGAAGAAGAAACUGGACUCAUUGCCAUUCUGAUGGCUUUUAUUUCUUCUUCUUCCCUUUUUUUUUCCAUUCUUUUGAUCUUUGAAUAGCACAAAGAAUUAGUGUCAAAUGAAGUUAGAAACCUAGAUUAGAAGAAAAUUUUCAUUCUCUAAAUUCACAAGCUCGAUUUCAUGCAAAAGUUUUGAAAGAUUUGAAAUCAAAUAAGAGGAAAAAAAAGGAACAAAGAAGGGAAGAGAACAAAGAGGAGGGAAAAAGGGAAGAGAACAAAGAAGGGAAGAGAACAGAGAGGAGGGAAAAAGGAAAAUAAUGAAAAAAAAAAGAGAGUUUUUGUAUGCAUUUGAUUUGCGUGAGAUAAAAGAAAGGAAGAGAUUUGUGGACCUUAUGAUGGAGAGAAGAAGAAGGAACAAAGAAGAAGAAGCAAAGACAAGAUGAAAAGGAAAGAAAGAGGCGGCUAACAAAAAGGAUACGAUCGGUUUAGCAUUUAUUAGCUUUAAAUGCCCCAAAAAGUUUUAUAAGCUCAUUUUGACCCCCUAUUGUUUUAAUAAAUUAUAAAAUAACCUAUUACGUUUUCUAAAUUACAUUUUUUACCUUUAACUUUUUAAAAUUUUUAAGUGGAACCCUUUAGGCUAAAUUUAAACACAUCAAAUAUGUAUGUAAAGUUAUAAACCACCAAUUUCAAAGGAAUUUUUAUAUAUUAGAUUGAUUAUAUAUUAUUUGUAGAUAUUUAUAAUGUAUUUAUAAUGUCAUCUAAUUUGACUUUCGAAUUAAUCAGUCGAAUCCGCUGACCCCUAAUCUUUACCGAGUCACUAUCUAGUUUGAGUUUUAAAAUAUAGGUGCCAACAGGGGAUCCUUUAAUUCUUUAUUUACUUCUCUUUAUCCAAAGAAAUUAUAUUGCUGAUUGAUUGACCAAAUGUUGAGUCAAAUCGUCCACCACUUUUCUGAUUUUCAGGACUUGUUAAUCGUGUUACUGUUAUACUUUAUUUAUCAGGUGGCAAAAUGGAUGGCAGAAAGGUGGACAAUUAAGACAGUUGGACCAACAGCUCCACUACUUUUUGUAGACAAGAGACUGCAGAAUGGAAAUGAUCAACAAGGAAACUAUCUGUUUGAGACAAACGCUGAAGCUUGCUUAAAAUGGUUGGACGAAAGAGAAACAUGUUCUGUAGUUUAUGUAUCGUUUGGGAGCAUAGCAGCGCCCGAUAAAUCUCAGAUCGAGGAAGUGGCAGAGGCCCUCCUGAGGAGCAACUGCAAAUUCCUUUGGGUAUUCAGAGAAGAAGAAGAGAGUAAGCUGCCAAAGAAUUUCAAGUCUGAGUCUUCAGAGCAAGGCCUAAUCAUAAACUGGUGUCCACAACUUGAGGUUCUAGCCCACCGGACGAUCGUGUGUUUCGUGACUCAUUGUGGAUGGAAUUCAACCAUUGAAGCUCUGAGUGCAGGCGUGCCAAUGAUAGCAGUGCCACAAUGGAUUGAUCAAACUACAAAUGCUAAGUUUAUUGCUGAUGUAUGGCAAACGGGGCUGAGAGUGAAGCUAAAUGAUAAAGGAUUUGUCGGAAGAGAAGAGUUUGAGUAUUGUAUCAGAGAAAUUACUGGUGGUGAAAAGGGGAAGGAGAUCAGAAGAAAUGCUAAGAAAUGGAAGGAAUUGGCCAUACAGGCAGUAGGAGAAGGUGGAAGUUCUGAUAGGAACCUUGAAGAUUUUGCGACCUCACUUUUGUGCCUACCAUAAUGCGUUCCUGCUCUCUUGGGAGGUUGUGGAUGGAAACUAUCUGAAAUAAGAAUUCUGUAUAAGUAUUUUAAUAAUAAAACGAGGAUAAGAUUUGAGCAAAGUAAGAUAUUGAGAAGCUUCUGAUUCUCAAUAAAAAGAUCAUUCUAAAUACUAUUUUCCUCGCACUCCUUUCUUUCUUCUAUAUUCUGUUUUCUUUGAGCAAAGUAAGAUAUUGGGAAGUUUCUGCUUCUCUUGGUUGUGCAGAUCAAAGGGAAGCAACAACUAUAGAGUUGGGCUGUUAUAUUCUGGAGGCGGCGUGCUAAACUUUCUGCAUCGAUUAAAAAAAAUACCGUAGGGGUGCGUAUCAUCUUAAAGAGAGCGUUCUACGCGCCUCAACCCUACCAAACUUUUUAGUAGCUGUCAAAUUCAAGGUGGUUGGAUUAAAGAUCAGAAGUUGUUCGUGUACUGUCUUCCAAUAAUUUUAAGAUCUAAUCCGCACAUCAACCCAUGUCAAAUUAACUUUUGAUGGUACAAAUUAUUUGCAUUUAUUAAUGCAAUAUUGAGGUAUGAGAUUUUUGUUUAUUUCUUUGUUAAAUUUUAUCAGAGAAAUUACUAUUACUUAUAUGAUUAUUUUGGUCUAGAACCAACAGAAUCUAUAAUUGUUUAGAAGGAUUUAGAAUAUGCUUCUUUUGUAGGAGAAAUUUUAUGUUCGCCACUUGUUAGUGUGUUUGGAUAGUAGAUUAUUUGAAAGAAUUUUUAAAAAUAUAUAUCAUAAUACUUUUUUGAUAUGAUGUACGUGAAAUAAAAAAGCCAUCUUACCAAACUCAUGUUAAGAACAGAUUUUGGGAAUUAAAUUAUUUAUAUUUUUUGGUAAAAAUACCCCACAAUGAAAUAUUUGUGACAGGUGCAAAUGGUACGUCCAAUAACAAAUGGUCAUCGAUAAAAUACAAUAACGAAUGAACCAAAACACGUGCAUGAGAUAUCAGUUUAGAAAGUAGUGAUGCUAAAUUCAACUACAACUAUAAAAAUUGAGUUUCUUUUCUCGCUAUUGUGUAAACACUAACGAGUUUUUUCUCUUUGUUUCAUUCGAUUGGAUAAAAAAAAAAAAAGUUUAGGAGGAGAACAAAGGUUAAUUUUCCAUAAGGUUAGGGUCGAUGACAAUCCCUUAUGCUUAGUUAUAAUUAUUUCUUUACAGAUCGUCUAUCAGUUAACAAAAAAAAACAGACAAAGAUUAAUUAAUGCACUGCUCAUACAUCUCACGAAAAUAUGAAGACGACAUCAGAAAAUUUAAUCCAGAAAAGUUUCACAUCCUUUAGACAACCAGAACAAAUAGCAAAGUAUUCUACAAAAACAACUACUAUGAGUUGCCACACCGUGCUGGAUGAAGGAGAAGACGCCAUACAAGGCCGGCGUCCCAAUCAAAAGGAGUAUGAACGUAAAAUACAGGGUGUGGGAAGGACGGCGUAAUGGAGAAAUAAAAUAAUCAAGUGGUUCAACCGAUCUCACUUAUUAACCCGAGAUUGAUUGGGUCUUCUUCUUUUUUUUUUUGGCUUGGUGCUCACUUUUUUGCCCAUUUUUGGUCCGAUUAUUAAUUUUAUUGGUAUUACAUUUUCAUUACAUGCAGAUUUAUUUCAUAUGAUUAUGAUUCCCCUUACGGGUUCCAUUAACUACUAACAUUGUAAGAUAAAUAUUGAUACCUACCAAACUAACGUUAUGCCAAAUUUGAUCACUGAAGUUAUUUCUAAGACUUGAUGGAAACUGGGUCUAAAAAUGGAUCUCCUGGUGAUAGCUUUUCUAAGGCUAGAAUUGCAUCGUACCAAAGAAAACGAAUUUAGAGGAGUACUAUCGUUGAUUUCAGUCACUAGCAAUGGCGGUGGAUGACGAUCGCUGCCUAACCUACCGCCCGGAUUCUAUCAUGGGCGCCGCCCUGAUGGCUUAGUUUUUUUCUUAGAUAAUUAGAGGAAGAAGAAGACAAAAAUAAAACAAGAAAAGAAAAGAAGAUGGCUUUUGAGGAUAUAUUGGAAUUAGAGUUGUCAAUCCUGCCAUUUGAACCGAACUUUUUUCAAAUUUAGAGUCAAUUCAUAUAGUUAGUUUCACUUUUGGAUUUCAAGUUAUGAGUUUUGAGUUGAUAAAUUUGAAACUCAUGCUUAGUUCACCAAAUAUUCGGACUGCGAGUCUAAUUCGGGUUUAGUCUAAACUCACUUAUUGCUCCUUAAUUUCCUUAAUAUAAUUACUAUGACUAUUAAGUUCUAAAACUAAUUUAACAUCAUAAGAUCACUAUAUUAAAACUGUAUACAAACUAGUAACAGUUCAUUAAAAAUUAUACAGACCAAGAAUUUUUCAACAAUAAUGUAUCCAAAUUAGUUCAAAGCACGUGAAAAAUAGUAAUAAAGUAUGAUCAACAAUCAACACAUCUUCAAAAGUUGUCAAUUUGCUGGUACUAAGAUUUGUCCUUCUGAAUCUUUUUGACAUAAUUUUGUCUAUUGAAUAUUUGUUAUAUAUAUUAAUAUAUAUUUUGAUACAUAAUCAUGAGUAUAAAGCAUUAAUAUUAUUUAUAUAUAUAUAUAUAUAUAUCUGUGUGUGUGUGUGUGUGCAAAUUAAAGAGUCAGGCCUAUAUCCGUUUUGAGUCUAAUAAGGUCCAAUCUCAAUUCACAUUUAAUUCGGAUCUAAUAUUUAGAACCAAAUUUAACCCAAAUCAAUGAAAGGUUAUAUUCAUCGGACUUUUUUUAACUUGGGCUUGGGCUGACUCGAUCCCAUUGACUGUCCUAAUUAGGACUUGCAUUGCAUACUUUUUGCUGACAUCACCAAAAGAAACAGUCAAACAUCUAUUGAUUAACAAUAAAUGGGUAGUUGUUAUAGAUUUAUAAGCUUGAAGGUUGGUUUCAUAAUUUCGCCAAAUCUCAAGGAUAAUUUGGUAGUUUGGCUAAAUCUCGAGGGAGAUAAAUGUAAUUAAACCAAAGAAUGAUCUUUGAGCAAGGAAGCCCAAUAAAUCGAUCGCCUUUGACAUAUCUCCUAGCAAAAGUUUCCCCGUCAUCGGCUUUCGACUAAAGAAAUGGUUAGAAGAUUUUCUUCUAUUCUCUCAUGGAAAAGAAAUUGGAUAUUUGGAAAAUUAUUCCGGUUCUUAUAUUAGCCCUUACAAAAUAAUUGUAAGGAUGGCUUUUGGUUCAAUUAGCACCGUUGUUGUAUUUCCUUCAGAAGUUAGAUUUGCACUUACGUACAUCAUUGUAUUUGUAUAAGAAUAAAAUUCAUGCGUACAAUGUACCAUAGAUCCAGGGCUAGCUCCUGCAAUGUACCAAAAAGAAAAACAAAAUGAGCAAUUAGAGGGUGGUAGAAACUACAAGUCAAGAACAAAUCUCCAUACAUGUUCAGAUAUCAUUGAUCAGGCUUUAAGAUUUCUUUCGUACAUCUUUUCUUUGCUGUAACGAAUUAACUGACAUUAGCACGCAAAUUAUGCAAGAGAAGUUCAGGUUUCUUGAAAACCCAUCAUCUGUCCUGUCCAAACUUGCUUCUAAAGAAGUGAAAUGGGACCAAAAAGUACUACUGCCAUUGACUAUGGCUGAAGACUGAAAUUAUGCGUACAACAAAGUAAUUUUAUUGUACAAUAGACUACGUAAAAUAUGUCACACAACUGCAUUGAAAAACUCAAUUUCAUGAAAGUACACAACUGUAGAAGCAUAACGUAUUGAAUAGGAGAAAUAAGCUCCAAAUUUCUAUUUCCAUAGCCAGACAGCAGAUUUCUUUAACUUCAUUAUGAUCCCCUGAGCAAUCUGAAAACUGAGAACAACUAGUUGCUAGAGAGCUAAAACUACGAGACUCCAAAUUAGGAGCAGAUUGGCUGUGACCCAAGUGUUGAAAACUUAGAAUAGAUCGAGCCCAAACAUUCAAAUAGUCAGAGAAAAUCUUCUGCCGCCUCAAUAUUGCUCUAGAAGCCAUUUUCAAGUCUCUGACGCCACAAAACGAUUAAUUGGAUCACAUCUCCCAGAAGCACCUGAUCAAACCAAUGAUAAUCAGUAUCAGUACCAUUCAUAUUCAUGGCAUAAGCAAGAAAAUCAGCGCAAAAGAGUAACUAGCAAGCACACACUAAUGAAAAUGAAUGCAUUUCCUUCUUGAUUGUACUUACAUUGUUCAUCAAAAUCAAAUAUGACUUGCAUAUCAUGCAGACAAACAGAUACAUGCAAUGUAUACACUCCCUGUGAUGGCUUUUUUUUCAAUUGAGUUUUUUGAUGCAGUUUUGUGACUGGAAACAAGCAUCAUGAAAGUACCGAGUACUAAAUCAUUAGAACAUGUCUAACUUAGUAUAUUUCUUGCUAUAAUCCGUCAGUACUAGCUUAUGAGGCUAGCAUGAAGCGUACAUCAGUUAGAUUAGUGCUUGGGAAGUGUUCCCGACUGUGGCUUGGGAAGUAUUAACUCCCAUGUAGAGAUACGAGUCACCAGCGGGCGAUAGUCAUUGCAAAAGAUUCAAGAAGAGAGGCUCAGCAGCAGAAGUUAAGCUUUCCAUUACUGUGUUAACAGGGUCACAAAACCUGAAGUAUUAGCAUAUUCACAUUAGUAGAAACUGGCGGAGUUAUCCCCUACAGUCCUUCAGAUUCAGCUGUAUUAUCCUCCUCAGCUCGACCGCCCAACUUCACUAUAUCUUCGACAAGAAUCUUUCCAUCUGUUAUCCACAAAAAUCAUGAAAACCACAUAUCAAAAAGGACCAAGCAGAAUUCCUUCAGUAAGAACUGAGAAAGUUGAGUCUGAAAGCACAUAGAAUCUACCGAAUUUGAAGAUCCAAAAACUACCAAAUUGAAAUCAGUAAAGGUCACUUGUUCAACAAUCUGUCUUGGCAUAAAAAGAUUCCAGUUUUGCAUCACAAGAUUGUUCACAGGACAAUAGCAGGAACCUAAUAAGAUAUAUUUUGUCUAAAGGGAAAUGGUGUUCAAAACAGAAAGACCUACUUUAUGAUAAGCCGUUUCGAUAAUAUACAUUCGAAUGUUCAGCAGGGACCUUCAGCACAUUACCCACUUCAUUUUAACUAGCAUAAACACUGCACUAGCUAAAAGCCGCAUAAAUGUCUAGAAGUUGUACUAGCUAGGCACAAUUUGUUUUACCGUGCCCCUUGCUGUGGAAGCCGUUUUUGUUUUUUUUUUUGGGGCGGGGCGGGGGAGGGAGGGAGGAGGAAGAGGGGGGGAAGGUCCAGUAUAGAAGGAAUGAUCUCUGCGCUCAUGAGCUUCUCUAGCACUCAAAUCUAUCCCCAAAAGCCUUGGUUGGUUAAUUGGGUUCACAAGCUCUCUCAACAUACAACCCAAAACAUAAACCAACAAAGCAAACUCAUAAUAUGGAAUAUCACAGGCGAGUGGGAGAUAUCUGCACUUACCUCUAUCUUUUGAAAGGUUGCUAAUGAGUUCUUGAACCCCUUCUUUGCCUAAAGUAUCUUUCAAGUACAUCGCUGCAGCUGCCACCUCCUCCGGAGUAACUUUCCCAUCAUGAUCUCUGCAAAAGUGCAGCAGUAAUCAUAGACUUGUAUAAAUGGAGUAUUGUUAAUUAAAACAGAGCCCCAAUUGGAUUGAGUAGAUGUCGCUCAUUGUAGUUAAAUGGCUAAGUUUAUCUUAUAAACAACUAAAACAACCUCAAGUUACAUGCUUGUUACUCAAUAGGUGCCUAAUCUCUCUAAAAGAAUCUUCCAUGAGAGAAGACGAGAAUUCACAAGGAAAGACCAAAAAUCCAGAGAAAAAACAAAGGACACAUCCAACAACGGAUCAAAAAUAUUUGAAAAAAACUACCUCACUAUCUCCACAUCUUUAAUUGAUUUACAAAUUUUAUUCAUACCAGUUUUCUUAAAGCUCAACUUUUAACAAUAUAAAUGUUUGCCAAAGGCAUUAUGUUCCUAAUAUUUGUCAAAGUAUUGAUCUUGUGAGUCAGCAAAUUGAAUCACCAUUAUUAAGUUUUCUAAUGAACUCAGAAAACAUAACCACCAGCCAGUUAACUGCAUCUUUAUAUUAGUCUGUAUGUAAGAAUGGGAAUUUUGAAACAAGGCACAACCAGCUACACAAUAAGCAAAGUAAGUAUAAUCCACAAGGGACUUUAGUCACCUGUCAAGCACUCGCCAAUGAUCACCAAUCUGUGCAUCCACAUCAUCAAUUUCUUUCUCAAGGUUCUGUAGCAUGGCAUCAACCUGUUUGUUGCAACAAAGUACAUUUUCAGAUGAUUAUCGAUGGUAAGUUUCUAUAUGCUCUUGUUCUUGUUUUCUAACAUUUUUUCUCUUUUCUGUUUUUCCUUUUCUUUCUUUUGACUUCUAUUUUCGUUUUGCUUUUCUACUCCCCUCAGGGGAGGCCUGGUUUAGUUGUUUUAAGGAACAUAAAAGUUUUACCUUGUCAAUUAGUGCAGAUGAAACCUCGUCUGUAUCAGCUUCAUUAGCAUCUUCAGUUUCAACACGAGCAGCUCUAUAUGCCUUCAUUGCUUCUGCUUCAGCCUCUGUGCCUUCUUUAUCUACCAUGCUGUUGUAAAGUUCGAUCUGGCAAGAUGAAGAAACUCUACUCUGAGAAAGUUAAAUCUUUUUUUAUGCUUUAUGAGAUCAGUUUAUAUUCUUGUCACCAGAAACUCAGCCCAGAAUAUUUCCCCAAACAAGCAUUCAAUUAACUACAGUGGUAUCAUGCCAACAAGUCUUAGACAACCUAGAACCAUAACAAGGUAUAAAAUUGUAACAACAAAACGUACCUAUCUUCUAAGCUCUUAUCCAUUAUGUAAAGGUUAAACAAAAUAUACAAAAUACUUCAACAGCAAUGAACAUAGCAUGUUCAAAAUUCAGGCAGUAAGGCUCAGUUAUCCAAAUACAGAGUCCAACAAAGGCUAGAACUAUUGACUAAUAAGGAUUUGGAUAUGACACAAAUAAAAGAACAAACACAAAAGACCCAAAACAAGAUACAGAAUUUACAAGUUCAUUUGCUUUAAUGAGCUAAACCUAUUCACUUUUUCAUUGCUAUCUUAGCAAAUUUAACAUCCAUAGAAUCAGUAACAAUCAGCAAAAGCGUAAAAACUAGUUUCCCACUGAGAUAUUUGAAGGUCAAAGAAUCAGACUGUCCCAAAAGCAUGAACAAAAAUGUCAACUUUUCAGAAACCCAUGUCUCCAUAGGAAGUCAUAACAAAGCAGUUAAAGGAAUGGUAAAAGAAAUUGAUUGCUCAUUCAGAAAACAAAAAUUCUCUCUGUUCUUUUUUCCCCUUUACCAAAAUUUAGGAGGUAAACUGCUUUAACCAUACCUCUUUAUUGACAAGCCUCAGAAAUGCUUCACGCUCUCUGCUCACAGACUGAAGAAUACAACACAAAGGAAUUAACUAGAACCAAUUUUUCAUGAAAAUAUCGGAUGUCAAACAGAACAAAUUUAUGAGCCAUUCUUACAGAAGCAGCAGCUAAAACAGCCAAUGCACGACUAAUUUCGCAAAGCUGGUCUCGCUUGUCUAAUGCUCUUGCUCUAGCUCGUUCUUGUGCUUCCCUAGCUGUUGGAAUAGUCAUCUCUUUCAAAGCCACAUCCUCUCGACUACCAACACUUUCCUUCUUUCUGGCUAGCUCUUCUUCCUCUUUUUCUUCCUCCUCCUGCAGUUAAUUGCAAUACAGUCAUCAAAUCAAAGCUGAAUUUAUGAGGCUAAAAAGCUUUCCAGCCGAUUUCAAGAAACAUAGGACUGAGAAAAAGAAAUAAGUUUUAGAAAAUUUACCUUGAUGAGCUCCUCUUCCAUCUCCAGGAACUCUAAUUUUCUUCUCCUGUCAGAAACGGAGUCUUCUGUGCCCACAGUAUCCACAACUUCAUCAGGGAGUGAAGACAAUGUAGCCCGUACUGCUUCCUCAGGCUUCACCUUCCCAGAAACAGUAAAAGCUCUAUUUACAACAUAUAGACAAUUAGAUCAGCAAUAGCCAAUACAGGAGUUGAAACUGAACAACAAUGUUGUUUGUGUACCUUGAAAGGAUCAAAAGUGAAGAUGGCACAGAGUGAUUGAGUGACAAAUCUAACCAGUCACGAAGCUGCAAGGAUAUGCCAAAGUAAUUUUUUUUAAUUCCCAGUAUGACAAUUCAGUAGAAAAUCUAGAACAAAGAAGUGACACAAACUAGCCUCAAUCAAGGGGUCCUCUUCGGAAAGUCGAACAUUUUUGUGCAUAUAAGAAGAUAUGGUGAAUGCAUGCUUGCAUGUAUGCAUGUGUAAAGUUUGAGUUUUUCCCAUUCUCUUUUCAAUCCACUAGUGGGGAAAGGAAAAGGAUGGGAGCAUUUUCCGCUUUAUAUGACAAGUUAGAGCCACAUGAAUGCGAAGAAAGUUAAAACAACAAAAUUUUGCAAUUGUAAAAUUUCAGGAUGCAGUCUGAUAUUUAAAGGGCUUAUGCUGAACAACCUUGGAAAAAAAUAAGGACCAACUUCAUUUGGUGGUAUUCAACAAGAAGUGCCAGAUUAAGAAGACUCAUUAUACAGAAAUGACUUGUGCUUUAAAGUAAGAGUGCAGACCCCUCCUGUAUGACUUUUCCGUUUACAUACAAGAACAAUGUGUCGUAUGUUUCUUGGGUUAGGAUAAAAUUUAUACUUUCUUGAACUCCACUAUGCACAACAUUCAUGUAAAUUCUGUAGCAUGAAAGAUUACCAAAGCUACUCAUCUCCUUGGGCAUUAAAAUUAGUACAUAACUCCUACGUGAAUCACCAGUUUAAAUAAGCCACGAAUCAAAAUACUGGGAGAUCUACAUCCAAAUAUGGUGCCGAAAGAAUGUGGUCUAAAUGAUCAAUCCAAAUAUGAAGUACUAACUUUGUUGACCUCAUGAAAGGUCAAUCCACCAAUGUUGAUUGAGAUCAAUUUUCAGAGGGAGGAAAAAAAAAGAAGUGGAAACAGCCUCAGACAGGUUAAAGUAGAGAAUACCUGUUGGCGCAUUUCCUCCACUGAAAGCAGUCCUAGCAUGCCACGCUCUCUACAGUCCUCACGGAGUUCAGCCUCUGAUAGAGACUCCACACCUUCCGCUUGAAUCAAUUUAUCAUCAUUCUUUAUGCUAUUAAUAAUAUGUAUUAAAUCUUCAGAAAUGAUAAUACUGUGAACUCAAUUAAUCAUACAGAGGAAAGUAAAUUAACAGUUUCAUGUGGAUAAAGGUAUGAAGUUAUGCAGAGGAUUUGUGUGGACAACAAAACUUUUAUCAGGAAAUAUUUAAGAUCAAAGCAACAACAAAAUCUGAACAGUUCAACAAAUUAAAAAGUCAACAUAAGAAAACCAAUUUUCCCAAUUCAAACACCAAAAAAAAAAAAAAGCAACUCCGCCACAUCAUUCCAAAGCCAUUCUCUUACUAAAUUUCUAAAGAUAUGUAGAAACAUUUGAUAAGAUAGAAUAGUAAACAGAGUUAGAUCAUCCACUUCACCUUUUCAGUCUCUUCCGAAGCAUAAAACGCAGAUAAGCAUCUGUCCCAAAAGGACUGAUUCCCAUAUACUUGCACAUAUUCACUAGCCGAGGCCUGAUGCAGCAAAAAGUUAGAAGAUUUAGGCAUACAAAUCAAUCUCAUUGACUUAACAAAAUAAACAUGACAAAGAUGGUAAAGAAAACCAAAAAGCAACCAAAGCCGCUUCAACCUGCUUAUAUUGUCUAACGUGAGUUCAUCAUUGAACAACUUAGCAAAACCCAAGAUUUCCUCAUUAGAGACACCAGUUCCUGUUCUGACCUGCAUUUUCAUUUCAUGUGGAUAUAAAACAAAGCAGUUUUGAGGAAUUAUGUAACUAUACAAACAGCAUUAACCGUUUCUGACCCUGUUUAGAAAUUCAUCAAGAUCUGCUGCUGUCUUUCUUGUUUCUCCACUACGUGAGUUCUGAACUUCCUUCGCCAUUUCUUUGGCAGUAUCCUGAAGAAAUUUUGCAUAUUCUAUUCUCGCAUUGAGCCUUCUUACCAAUUUUUCCUACAAAACAACAUGUAAUUAACACAGUAACAAUGUUAACCUCAUACAAUUCUUUUAACCACAUACAGAUUCAUCAUACAUAUGUUCUUGUAGAAAGAGCAAAAUGCAUGGAUAUCAGGAAAAUAAGUGCGCUUGCACUUGUAGUUCAAACAAAAACAGAGGCCAGAGUGUACAUGCCUAUCCUACUUCUAUAGACACUUUUGGAUCUCCUUUGAGAAUAAUAAAAAAUGGAAGGACUAAAUUGGUCCUAGUUACUCUACUCUUCGGGACGGAGUGGAAGAAGGGAGGGGAUUCUCGAACGCGGAAAGGGAUCCAAUGAAUUCGAAAGAAUUGAACGAGGAGCCGUAUGAGGUGAAAAUCUCACGUACGGUUCUGUAGAGUGGCAGUAAGGGUGGCUUAUCUGUCAACUUUUCCACUAUCACCCCCAAAAAACCAAAAAUGAAGUGGUAUCUAUCAGGAAUGAUUUUUAUCCACCCCAGAAGGCUUCUUACACUUUCUUAGAAUGUUUUUUAGGCCAGAAAGCUUCUUACAAGUGGCUAAUUCCAAUGAAAAUAAUACAAGCAAAUUUUCUAAAACAGAUAUUCACCAGCAAGGGGUGAUUUUACCAAGAAAACAUGUCAAGAAUUCUCAUCAGUUCUAAAGCUUAUAUUGAAUUCGCUAGACUCCUGUUUGGUGGAGUAUCUUCACCAUCUCCCCAAGAUCAUGACCAUCAUGGAACUUUCACGAGGAGAAGAAAAUAGGGAAAAGGAAAAAGGGCCUCCUACAGGUAAAGGACAUUAAACUUUUAGCAUUCACCAGAAAAAACUCUUACCUCUUCUUUCAUCUUGUCUUGAAAUGUUGAUGGUAACAUAUUUGGGAAUAGCUUCAGGAAUACAGGUAGCAAGAAUUCCAUGAAUGGCACAAUAAUAAAAACAGCAAAAGGAACAAGUCUAAAAAUAUCAGCAGUGGUCCGUGUAAGUUGCUGCCUCUCCCUCCUAGAGAGAUUCUUCCCACCUGCAAGUUUCAACAACAAUCUUGAACUGAUCCUCACAUCGGCCCAAAGGAGCUUAGUGCCCAACCAGUAAUGCUGCAGUGUUGAUUUGAACUCAUUUUUCCAGUGAACAAGUUUCUGAGCCCAGUCCUCCCUGAAGAAAAGAUAAAUCGGGGAAUAAGAUAAACAUACAAAUGAAAAGAGAAACAUUGUUUGAUCAGUAUUAUUUUCAUCCAAAUAAACAGACAAGCAGAUAGGUAACUCCUCAACCUGCUCAUUGAAGCCACAGCUCUCAUAGCCGGGCCAAUUCCCAAAAAUGUGGCCCAAACUCUUUGUAGAACAGACUUAGCAACUUUCUGAGAUUCAUGCAACCGCUUUGAUUUCGCUUUAGCCUUUGCCGUACUCAAACCAACUACAGCUUCAUCGCAUUCCUCUGGUGAAGCUUCUUUUCUCUUUUUUGAAACCCUUUCCUCAUCCUCUUCAUCAUCACUACCCAAAUUAGGUUGCUUUGCAGUAGCUGUAGAAGCAUAACGUAUUGAAUGUGACAUCAACCUCACUCCCGUAGGCGAAAUAAGCUCCAAAUUUCUAUUUCCAUAACCAGACAGCAAGAUUCCAUUACUUCUACGCCAAAGCUUCCCUGAUGCUGUGAAUUUUAAUAAUUCCUCAUUACUGACUUUAACUUCAUUAUGAUCCCUUGAACAAUCUGAAAACUGAGAACAACUACUUGCUAGAGAGCUAAAACUACAAGACUCCAAAGUAGGAGUAGAUUGGCUGUGACCCAAGUGUUGAAAACUUAGAAUAGAUCGAGCCAAAACAUUCAAAUAGUCAGAGAAAAUCUUCUGCCGCCUCAAUAUUGCUCUAGAAGCCAUUUUCAAGUCUCUGACUCUACAAAACGAUUAAUUUGGAUCACAUCUCCCAGAAGCACCUGAUCGAACCAAUGAAAAUCAGUAUCAGUACCAUUCAUAUUCAUGGCAUAAGCAAGAAAAUCAGCGCAAAAGAGUAACUAAUAAGCACACACUAAUGAAAAUGAAUGCAUUUCCUUCUUGAUUGUACUUACAUUGUUCAUCAAAAUCAAAUAUGACUUACAUAUCAUGCAGACAAACAGAUACAUGCAAUGUAUACACUCCCUGUGAUGGGCCUUACCAAAAAAAAAAACGAAAUAUAGCAUAUACAGUGCAUUUGUAUGUUCAACAAAAACUAGCAUUAGAUUCCAUAUCUAAAUUUCCAGCUUCAUUCCAGACAGGAUAAAUAGAUAGAAAUAUAGAAUGGGACCUGUUCUUACCCAAAAUUGACAAAUUUUCCAAAACUUUAUUCACCUAACAUAAACAACAAAAUUAAGCGAAAGAUCAUUUUAAAAUUCAUAAAAUUACAUGGCCGUGCACACAAACAACAAAUAAAUCACACAGUAAUUCUCAAAAAUCAUACACGCCUUGAGCAUUUUGAGAAACAAAACUCAUGAAAUUUUUCCUCAAAAUCAAACCUACUAGUAAAACUUAACUAAUUCACCCCAGCAUAACAGCACCAAAUUAGAAACUACAAAUAAUCACAUAUUUGUACUAAAACUUUUCACAUAUCAAACAUGCUUCAUUUUCCCCACAGAAUUUAAAAAAAAAAAAAAAAAACUUUUAUCAAGUAACCAAAAAAAAGAAUAAGAGAAAGACAAAAAGUCACAGAGGAAAAGCGAAAUUUCUGACAAUUAAAACGAACUUGUCGCCCAAGAAAUGCGAAAUAAUUAUCGCAACUGAAUCAAAAUCACUCCGAGCAACAAAAUUUUACCUUCAAAAAACAAUCAAUCAAAAUUUAAGAAAAAAAAAUAAAAUAUCGACGUAAUACGAAAAGGCAUUUUCUUCACUUACAGUACCUUGCGCUUCCCAAAUAGAACCAACUUUUCAGCUUAUCGCCUUAGAAAACGCGAAAUAAUCACAAAAAAAAAAUCCAAAAAUUACAAAAAAAAAAAUGUCCGCAAAAAUGUAAAGCAAUUCUGGAAAUUAAACUAAAUCAGAAAACAACAAAAUUCAGAAAAACAAAAAAAAACCGCAAAUACUACAGAAACAACUCCGAUCAUGAUAUAAUUUUUCACAUAACAAACAUUAAUCGGAUAAAACAAAAAAAAAACGGAAAGUUGACUCCAAUACUGAAGAAAAUGUCAACCACAGGGAGGAAUUUAACUUACAGUACCUUGCGCUUAAGGAAUUGUACCGAGCUUUCAGCAGAAAAUUUUCUCGUUAGAAUGCGAAGAAUUUUUGGUAGAAAUGCAGGUUUUGAUCUGGUAUUUAUUUGGUGCCUGUACGAGGACGAAAAGGAGAAAAGGAGAAAAGGAAGGUGGGGAAGGAAAAAAAAACAAAGAAAGCCGAGUUUUUUGGAAAAAAGUGACCGAGUGGGGUCCGUAGAUGGGAAAUUAUUAGGUGUGGUAAUUGUAUUGGUGUUUCGGUACACAGCUGUUCUAUUGACAAUUUGACACCGUUCGAUUUAAUCUAAAUAUUUGUCUGCUUUUUUCUUUUUUAUUGAUAAUGAAACUGAAAUAUUUGUCUCCUUUAAGAUUGGAGACUUUUUUAUUUCUCUUGGAUUUGGGCCUUUAAGUGGGAGUGGACAAUUGAGCACAAUUAGCAAUGAAACUCCAGUCUGGGCUACACAAAUUGGAAUCUUCUUCUCAUUUAUUUUUUUUUAUUAGAAAGUUAGGAAGUUUACUAAUGAAGUUUACCAAUCAUAUGUUGCAUACAUGCAAGGAGUUUUUUUUUUUUUUACUUCCUAAUUCUUUGAGCUCUUGAUAUCUAGUUAUGAAGGUUAAAAAAGAGAAGGCUUUAAUUUCUCUAAUGCGUACUCUUUCUUUACCAAAUUAAAAGAAAUAAAAAAAGUAAUUUCUCGAAAAAUGUUAAACAGUCAGACGUGUAAAAUACGGUUGAAAUUUUUUUCCAAAAAGAAAUUUCAAAAAAAAUUUCAAGUGUUUACGAGCAAAAAUUGUCUAGUCAAUUCAUUUUUCUCCACCUUUGUUGACUGUUUCUUGAAAAUUCUUGUACAUAGAAAGGAAAGUAAAUCACAAGUUUAUUUGACAGCAAACAACAAAAGGGAUUUUUGAGUAACAAUUUCCUUUUAUUAAACUCAAAAUCUCUACUAAUUCCAAGAUUUAUUUGACACAGAUGGCAGAUUUUGGCAGUGCAGAAAAUGUUCCACUCAGCACAUUUCUUCCUGCUCAGAACAUCUUCCAAUUGCAUACAAAAUUUUACCAUGGUCAAUUCACCUCGUUAGCUGCUCACUGAUUGAAGAUAAAACAAGAAAAGAAUAAUACAUGAGAGUUAACAAAGUUCAACUCGUUCAACAUUACAUGAUUUUACAGCUCCUCCUUCAGUUUGAAGAUACAAAAAAGCAAUUUAGUGGCAACCAGAAAGAACUACUGAACAAUAAUACUAGACUCGGAUGUUGUUCCAGUUUCUUGUUAAAUGAAGAAGAAGAAGAAGAAAAAGAAACCUUAUUACAUUUUCUUCUCUUCUUCUUUAUUAGGUACAACCUUAUUACAUUUUCACCACAACCAUGUUUACAACUCACUUCUCUGUAUUUCAUCUCUUGAGAUGUACCAGUAUAUUAUCACCUUAUUUAACCCAACUGUUGCUGCCAAAAUUUACCAUCAUUUACGGCCGAGCGCCAGCCAAGAUAUGCUCUGAAGAUACUCGGAUUUGCAAGCAAUAAAGCUACUGCUUUCCUCAGGUUUGCUUGAACUGAAAUGCUCCUUAAAUCCUGCGAGCAGAACGUCGAAAAACAAAAGAGGUAAAAACUAAAAAUAAAAAGCAUGCAUUAUAGUCAAAUAUCUGGAAUCACCACACAUGUUCUAAGUAUUCAGAGGGUAACUCCUUUGCCAGCAAGCACUUGAUUUAAUAUGCUUGACACCAAGAAAUCAAGAAAUCUCCAGUUUAAUGCACAUGCAACUCUUUUGACCUCUUCACUCUUCAGCUCUUUUGCUUAUCAGUGCUAUUCAGCAAAGCAUGAAUAGGGGCAAGUCGACUAGUACAUGUUUCUUACAGCUUUGAAGGCUCAAAACCAUAAAAGGGGAAAGGUAACGACAAGGCGGAUGAAAUGUCCUCAAAAUUCAUUUUACGAAUUCUACAUAAUUGCACAAUACAUGCUGUGUUACUAAUUACGGUAAAUUUCCAGAAGCAGAUAUACAAAGCUAAAAGCAGCCCACAAUUUCUCCUUUCAUUUUUUGCUUUUUGAGCAGGGCUGUUUGGGAUGGAAAAAAGAAUUAGCAGUAAAACCAUACCAAGGAAGCUUAAACGUGUCCUUCCACCAUCCAUUUUUUGAGCAGUUGGCAACAAUUCUAUCCAUGCACGCAAUGACCUCUGAGAAAGUUGGUCUCAUUACAGAUUCUGGACUCCAACAUUUUUCAAUCAACCUUAAAAAAAGGAACAUGUGAAUCUUCGUAAGCAGUUUAACAGAUUCCCUACAUCCACUCCUCAAUCAUAAGUGAAAAUGCAAUUCAGGUUGCAAAAAGACACAGAAGAAUAUCAAAGUUGUAGCUAACACCUCAUUCUUCUAUUAUACCACAAAGGCACAGACUGCUAAACUUUUUUUUUUUUUAAAUCAUCAUAUAGAUCAUGAAGAGAUCAUUACAGCGGUAAACAGUACCUAUAAUACCAGCUUAUUGACAAUUACCACAUAUUCUAUAAUGCCAAUUCAAGAUGUUCAUUAUACAAAUACAUAAUUAAGACUCACUCUCUUAGCUCUGAAGGAUAAUUUCUUUUUGUCUUGAAAGUUGGUCUCUUUCCUUCUAAACACAUCAUUUUAGCCACCUCUUCAGCAGGCUUAGGAUGAAAAGGUGGCACUCCCUCCAACAUCUGUCAUGAAUUCAGAACCAGAAACAAACCAAUUACAAAUUAUUAAUCAUUUCUAAAGGAAAUGUCAAUCUAAAAGUCAGACUUUCAAUAAAUGUCAAAGUUAAAUGGCAGAAACUUAUAGGAAGAAGAGAAGGGAUGAAACAGAACGCAAUGAAGACUUGACACUCCAAAAUCAUAUUUGCACUUGGGACAAUCCAUCAGAAGAUGCACAGAAUCAGAGCACACAUGAUAAAUAUCUAUAACACUCUAAACUCUUCAGGUGUCAGAAUUAAAAAAAAAAAAAAAAACUCUUCUUUUGUCAAGAUCUGUUAUGCAAUAGUAUCUGCAAUAUUGUGAAAAUGGUUGCUGCAGAUAUGAGAUAAGCAAUGGAGGUCGGUGCUAGCAUGUAGUUAAAUAUCAUAUAAUCUCAAAUGGGUAAAGUGUGAAGGAAUCUUUAAGCCACAGCACCCCCCCCCCCCCCCCCAAAAAAAAAAAAAGAAAGAAAAAAACUUUCUAAGAAUAAAAGAAGGAAUCAGAACUUGAGAUAGAAGAGGUCAUUCAUGAAGACAUGAAAAGCUCAUGCACCAUAACAAUAAAGUAAAAAGGUUCUUGAGUGACUUCAGAGUGCAUAUGACUCGGGGACAUAUACAUGGUACCAACACCAAGCCUGCCAUCCCAUGAAGAGUCAUUUGGGGGAAGAUGCUUCCAAAGAACCAACUGUUUCGUGUGACAAGUGGUUCACAGAAUGCUAUCAGAUAUUAUGUUUCAGUGAAGCAGAAAUAGUGGUUGAUGUGGGAUGGUGAAUGUGAUGAAGACGUUCAUCUUUUAGCCUGUGGAUGGUUGUCCAUACUUUCCACAAGGAGAGACCAUUAAAAAACAUACUUAGAAGCUAAUCAUUUGGCAACGUCAGGGUAACACAUGGAACCUAUUUGAAACUGCAAGUAUAAUUAGUAAUUUAAGGAACUAUUUCUCAAAUUAAUUGUUCUUCUCCCUGAAAUAGUUAUGACUUUCUACGUUUAAAGAUGUAGAUUUACUCACAGACUAUAAGGUCAGUGCAAGUUUCUAAAUGGUGUCCCAAUGUAUUUAUGUUAAGCUUCAUCAAAAAGGAAAAGGAAGCGUGGAAAGCUGUAUUUAAGAUUCACAAAGCAAGGUCAAAACUGUCCAAUUUUCAAAUUAAAGCUUUAAUGAAGCAUGGGAAUUUUAACGAGAAACAAGUAAACACCAAGUGAAUGCAUAAAGCAUAACAAGAAAUUUCAACAAGAUAUCUUACAAAGUUAAGAAGCAUUCAGACCUCAAACUUUUAGAUGAAGAUUUUUUUAAAAAAUUAAAUAAACAAAAAAGAAGAGAGAGAGAGAGAGAGUAUACCUCAUAAAGCAUCACACCAUAGGAGUAAACAUCCACCGUUCUAUCAAAUAUUUCAUCCCUGUAAAUCUCCGGCGCAGUAUACAAACCUGCAAUUAGAAAGGAUAAUUGUGAAACUUAUUUGAGAAAAAGGGCCUUUUUCCUCUAAGGCACAUUUGGAUAUUAAUUUCUCUCCGUGCAAUCAUGUUCCAGACUAAACAACUUCCCUAUAUAAUAUGCUUAUCUUGAAAUAAAUUUCCAUUUGGACACGUGCUUUACAGAGGGCAUUGAUAUAACUAGUAGACUUUCUGAGAAUUUACUUGCACGGUCAAUGAUCUCAGGCUGCAGCAAUUUUGCCUUGUCAGGUGAAAUAUUUGACAAUCUGAUCAAUCCAAAACCUGCAACCUUCAACAGACCUCCACAGUCCAGCAAAAUAUUUCUGGCACCUUACCAAAAGUUUCAAAUAUUAAUACCAGUGUGCUUCUCAAAGAAUUCAAUCAGAUAAUAGGAUCUCACCCUAAAAUUAACUAAAGCAUUUAGUUGCCUUACUUUGGCUUUAAAUCGCAAUGAAUUAUCGGGUCUGGUUUACAUUCAUGAAGAUAAUUCAUGCCCCUGCUAAGAAAACCAGAGCAAGAUGUUACAGUACAAACUGGAUAUGGAUCCAAAUGUAAAGGCAACCAUAACAGGACAGUAAAUGAAAUGCGAGGGAACUAUUAUUCCUUUAAAGUUCAAAAGCAAUUGUACAUGAUGCAAAGUUGCACUUGCCUGGCAAUAUCAAGAGCAAGUCUCAAAGCUUUGGAUGGACUUAAUCGCCCUUUUUUUUGAAGAUAGCAACCUAAAUCACCCUGUCAAAAGCAUGGCUUAUGAUCAAUGUCAAUCUCAUAUCCAUAGAAAGGAAAUGUAACUGGCAACACAAUUCACUCUAGUUUAUAAUUGUAAUUUGGGAAUGACAGCAUUGACAUUUCAAAUCUACUCCAUAUUCCAGAGCAGAGGAAAACAAUUUUGUACACUGGUACAACCAAAAUAAGUUGAUGGAGAUAUGGUCUAAUGGCUCAACCAAAUUUCUGAAAAGAAAAAUGCAGGAGCCCCACAACCGAAUUUCUGAAAAGAAAAAUGCAUUAGACACAUGUACUUACUUUGUGAUACUCUAGAAGUAUCAUCAUGGGUAUUUCUUGUGUGACAGCCCCAACAAACUGAACAACAUUGGGAUGCCGAACCUUUUCUAACAACGUCAACUCAUGUCUGAAAGCAUUUCUGCAACAUGAACAUUUAAAGUUCAAAACUAGAGCCAUAGCCUCCAAGCAACUUAGAACAUAAGCAAACAAUUACAAACUGCAACUCCGAAAUGGACUGAAUAACCAAACAGCAGCACAGUAAUAUAUCAUGUCCAAGAGCAAAGGUGAAAAAUACUAAUAAUCAAAUAAAAUUUGGAAAGGAUAGAUUAGUUCUUAGAACAGGAGCUGACUUCAAGGGAAAAAACACGUAAAGAAAAGUGAUUACUUAGCAACACUUCCAACCAAAGCCAAGGAAGACUAUGAACUCGCCAGUUAUACAGAAUUUGCCAAAGACUGAAUUUCUAGCUCUUGAAAGAGCCAGUAAUUAGCAAAGACCAACAACCAAAGAUUUUUCCAAUGGCAUGUAUAGGUUUGGGAAGAGUGAUUGUAUAGUUGGGAUAGGUACAUUAACAAUUAUAAUUAUGAUGCAAUUAGAGAGGCAACGAAUUUAGCCUAGCAGGUUAUUUGCCAUUAUAAGUAGUGCAAGCACAACAAAUCACGUCUUCUACGUCCAAAAUAGGAUAGGAUAUUAAUUUGAAAUACAACAAUAUCGGCUUUGGAGCAGAGAGGGCCAACAAAGAACUACAAUGGCAUCUGAUACCAUCAUCAAGGGAAAAACAGGUUGCACCUGACCUGAUAACUCAGACCUAACAGUUUUAUCAUCUCUAAAAGAGAAUGAGUACCAUGUUUAUUUAUUAAAGUCAACUGUUAUCAAAAAAAUACAUUCCUACCAAUUGUUUUGUCAGGCAUUGAACAGAAAAAACUAAUAUUUCAAAGAUGGGUAAAAUUUGAGGACAUACAUUAUUUCAGGGUCUGAAUGGCUAUCCUUGUCAAGUAUCUUAACUGAAACUUUUGUGCCAUUCCAUUUUGCUACUUGAUAUGAUCCCUGUCCAAAGUUGUAAGUACAAUCAAUUCACUGCAGCAAAAAGGGGCCAAAAAAUUGUUUUGGCAACAAACUAUAACGUGACCUAGUUUCUAACACAAGCAAAAUUUUGAAAAGAAUAGCUUGCGAGUAGAAUAAUCCAACAACAUCUGUUAAACAAAAAAUUAACACCAAAACUACCCUACACAGAAUGGAAGUACAUGCAAGUAUGGAUAUUGCUACGCCAUACCAAUCUAUAGAUGAGAAUUUGAAGUUUAACUUUUCCAAAAGGAGGUUUUAGCAUAUAAGGGGCAAAAAUUACCUUGACACAUACAUAGCUGAAAUAAGGAUUAAGAAAUCAAGAAUCAGAUUAAGAAAGAAACUGCAGAAGGCACUGACAAACUCAGUAACAUGUGUGUUUGGAUAGUAAAUUAUUUGAGAUAAUUUUGUGAAAAAAAACUGUAGCACUCUUUUGAUGCGAUGUAUGUGAGAUAAAAAAAUGAAUGAAAAAUGUGUUGAUGAUGCAAGCAAGUCAGUUUGUGUAAAUAAGGUGAAAAUAAUGUGUAAUCCAAACAAUUGUUUUUCUUUAAGCUUUGGAGAGAAGUUUGUUUUACAACCAAAGAAACUGGAAUUUUGUCUUCUCUAAAACAUCAAAAGUAAUCCAGGCUAGAUUUAAUUGAUAAUAGCUGCCCUUUGACUGAAGAACUAGAGUAUUGAGAUCCUUCAUUAGUUCAAUAAACCAGAUUAAGUAAAUGUUUUAGCCAAGACUUUUAAGUAAUUUGUCUUAUUUGUUCUGUCAAGUUCAUACAUCUCACUUCCAGGCUUCCCAAAAAUAAAUCAAAUUCCAAAAUAGCUUUUAGAAAUCAUCUUGUUCUGGAACAAUGGUUGUAAAAGGUAGCCUCUGUAGCAUAUUAGUGCGGUACAGUCAUCACCAAAAAAAAAAAAAAAAAGGAGUUGAUGCGAAUGGGGACAUUCGUAUCAGGAGUGCAAUACAGUGCUUACUCUCAAGAAAGCUUGAAAAUAUGGAGUUCUCACUCCUGAGCGAUCCAAAACAAUUCAUACAGGAUUACACUAUCGUUCAGAGAAUUAUCAGCAAAGCCUAUUCUACACCUAAGCACUUUGGUAAUAAGAUUCAUCAAAACCAUGACGACCAUUUGAAUUUCAACUAGUUACAUUCAAGCUUCAUAGCUUCAAUUACCUCUUUCUGCAGAUUCAACACUCACAGAACACUAAGAGAUACUACGUAACUAGUGACCAACUCUUUUCCUUAAAGCUUUCACGAAUGCAUGCCUAAUCCUCUCAUUUGAUUUUUCAACAUAUUUCUUAAAACCUCCAUUAGUCAUAAAUUCAGAAUUUUGAACCCAAAGAACCGUAAGAAACUGACUUUCUUUUGCUAUCUCAUAUCAAUUUUCAAGAACUUAUGCAAGAUGAUAUCAACCUCACCUACUUGAAUAGCAAAAGCACUUCCAAUAACCUUCUCCGAAGCUAAUUCACUAUGAGAUUUAGUUUUUCUCCAUGAAAGCCUCAGAUAGAUGCAGACACGACAGUGAGCAUUUCUGGCUGUCUGACAGACCUCGUGAUGCAAAACAAAGUAGUUGCUAAAAACCCACUACAAGGUAAAACAAUUAAUGCAUACUUGAAAUUUCUCACAUUGAGCAUUAUGCCUCACAGGCAAAGAAUGAUUAGCAAAUAGAAAAAUGAAAUGAAACUUGCCUUAGAGAUACCAUCACUUCUCCGGAUUUGAAUAUCCAUGGGAUUGAGCUCAUACUCUGGAACUUCCCGAGGAUUAGAAACAGUCAUUGGUGUCUUUCUGGUUUUCUAGGAAUAUGGUUCACUUAUAUCAGUAAUCAAUCAGAAAGGAAAUUCUACGGAAAGAGAUCUAAUUUGCACUUACCGGAGCUUUGGCUCCACGGGCCUUCAAAACAUUGUAAACUUCAUUGUUCCCAUAGUAUUUGGCAUCUGCUGCGGCCUGUCACCAUGCAGAACUCUUACAAAAUGACAAGCUGAAUAAUAGCAACAAAAUAAUUAUUCAUUCAUCCAUUCAUUUGCUCCACAGAAAGGCCACUGCUUUUGCUUGUUAUGCAUCAUAUGCUUCUUCCUACCAACAUUCAAUUUCCUGUUUUACCAAGUUAACUGCAUCAACUAGGACAAUCUUAGCAGGGAAAAUGUUUGCACAAUCUGCACGUGUUGAACAAGCACAACAUGCACCAUUUACUUUUAAAAGUUACACUCUCAACCAUUUAUUCAACAUGCCAACUCAAACCAACGACAAAAUAGCCUCCAUUUCUCAAAUAUUAGAAAAAUCUUGGAAUUCUUUGCCUAAUUCACACAAACACUCACAUUUGCUUGUACCAAAAUCGUCACUUUACAUUAUUAACAACAACAAUCAGGAAAAUCAACAAAUCAAAACAUCAAGAUUUAUUCAAGAACAAAAAUUCCCGCACAAUAAAAAAAAAAGAAAACAAUGCACCAUCCUAAAACAAAACAAAAGGAAGCAUAGCACCAAACUAUGGUAAAUUAUCUACCGUGCUGCCCCAUCGAUCACGGGCAUCAAUAUUAGCCUUUCGACUCAACAAAAGCUUGACAACAUCCGCAUGUCCUUCGCAAGCAGCAAUAUGCAGAGCAGUCCUGCCAUCCAAAUCAAUACUGUUAACAUCAACCCCUUGAUCCAACAAAUCCUGCAGGCCCUCGACAUCUCCUUUACAAGCCAAGAACAAAAGCUGCAUUGUGGAGUCCAAAUUCUCCGGCACAGACAAGCCGUCCUCGCUCGUCGGACUUCUCCUGAUCGGAUCAAGCGACGAUUGGCGUCCGAAACUGAAGCGCAAAUUAUUCCGCCUGGGAUCCAUCGAAUUCUGCCGCCGAAAACUGAAUUUCCCGCUUCUUCUCAACGACCCAGUUGAGAAUUGCCUCGAUAUUCCCCGCUUCAGCUGCGCUGCUAAAUCCAUUUCUGUAACUGAUUGAUCCUAAAUUGAACUAUUUACUCAUUUAGUUUAUUUGGUUUUUGAGAAAGGCAUAAUGUCGUGGUUGGCUCAAUGGAUCGAGAGCUCCCCCGCUCCCGAUUGCGAGCUGGGGGAAUAGGGAAAGAGGAAGAAAAGGGAGAAAUGGAGAAGAAAAUGAAAGCCAGAGAAGAAAAUGGAGAGGCUGAGGCUGAUCGAAGAGGAAUGAAGGAGGAGAAAAAGAGGAAAGGGGUGAUAAAGGGUAGAUUUGGUGGGGUGAGUUGGUAUAUCGCCUGGAUCGACUUAGCGAAAAAGACGUUACUUUUACUGCCUUUUGGCUUUGCGGGGGAAGAUCAUUUUUGUAAGAUUGUGUACAAUUCUUUUUUUUUUUUUUUUGAAAAAAAAAUUAUAUGAAAGUAGUGCGCCUUCUUGCUAUUUAGUGAAAAUUGCAUCAAACAUCCUCAAAUUUUGUGGUUUGACAUUUUUUGUCCAUCACUUGUGAAAUUUUGUGGUUUGACACCUUGUCAGAUGAAACGAGGGAUGGGAAGCCGUCUCAUUGCCUAAAAGCUUUCUAGUCCCUCGUCACCUUCACCUCCACCUUGUUCCUCACUUUGUCUCGUUAUACCAUGAGUGUUCCCGUCCUACCCUAAUACUAUUUUUAUUUUUAUAUUUAACUAUAUAUAAAUUGAUUAAUCAUUCUUUUUGAAUAUUUAACAAAAAAUUGCCUUUGAGAUAAAGUUUAGAAAUUAUUUUGAUCUUAUGAAUCUAUUUCCCUGUAUUUGAUGUUACAUAAAAUCUAGAGGGAGAAUUGCAAUUUUGAUUUCCAAUGUUUGGUCUGUGUAUUAAAUUGGUUCCCAAUAUUUCGACUAAAAUAAAUCUAGUCCCUAAAGUUUCUAAUUUUAGGAUGAUUUACUAUAACUAACAAAAAUAGAACAAUGACUAAUAGUCUACACCAAGAUAGCAAUUAAUCAACAAUUUUGACUUUGCAUUUUUCAGUCCCAAUUAAUCAGCAAAUUUGACUUUGCAUUUUUUAGUCCGAAUGUUUUGAUUUUGAAUCACAUUGUGGAUUCUUAUUUAAGUCUGCUGUAGUAUGCCAAUCCUUUUAGCUGCAAUUAAUCUGCAUAAAAAACACCAAUGCCAAAUUUUAGUACUAGCAUAUUAUUAAUACAAUAAAAAAUAGAUCUUUUUUUGUUAAGAAAUUCAAGCUUAUUUAUACAUUGAAAGUAAAUCAAGAAUUAAGGAAUGAGAAUUAAGCUUGCAUUAAAUAGCUUAAGUAUAUAAACAAAUCAAUUUAAUUGCAAGUAUGAAGCUUAGAGCAGGAAAAAAGAUUUCAAUCAGGGCAUAGUUUGCUUGAAACUAAAAUGUCUGAAUAACAGUUUAUAUAGCAAUAUACAUGUUAUUGACACGAGCACAAUUUCAGCUAGACAAGGAUAAAAAGAUGUACUUGAUUAAAAAUGAAGAUAAGAAAUACAAAGUAAAAAUGGGAGAUUUGGAGAAAUUUGUGAAGAUUUCUUUAGAACAGAUAUUGAGGAGAAGUUUUCUCCUUUUCGGGAUGCCAUAAUUUUUUUCUAUCACAUUUUCGAACUUCUGAUUCCCUAAAGUCCAAAAUGAAGUUCUAAUUUUAGAUAAUAGUUGUUGGAUAUUAAUAAUAAAGGGCCCCAUUCUUUAAUAAGUUAGAAAAUUGCCUCAAAUAUUAGUCCCAAUUCCGAAAUUUAGUCCUAAGUUUCUAAUAUUUUAAAGAAUCCGUAGAAUCAUGAAAUCUUAAGAUUCUACGACCCAAAACACAAUCCUAGCGAUUCCAUUAGUUUUAAGCCACUUUAGAACCUACAAAUGAUGUCAUAAGAUUGUAUGAUCCUACAAUACCAAUUGAGAUGUCAAUAACCUUGAUUAGGAGAUGGACUAUCUUUUGACUUGUUUCUAUCAUAUUGAGUCAUGUUUCAUAUAGAUGUCAUUUUCCUUGUCCAAAAGUAAGGAAAUAAAAUUAUGAAAUAUUGGUGAGAGGGAAACUACCAUUGCAAACUACGCUAGCAAGGGUUGGUUGUAAGACUCAAAAAAGGAAUCUGUGUUUUGAGUUUUUAUUUUUGAACAAACACGCUAAAUAUGGGAGUCAUGGCAAAUCUUGCAUGAAAUUUUGUUGCUAAGACAUUUCUUUCUAGACAUGGGUUUCAUUCUAUAGGUUCGGCUCCAUCUCAAGCCACUUUCAUCUACUCUUUUGCUUGUUACCAUUGUUUGGUUAAUUUAACAAGGAUUAGUUUCUACUACCUUUCAUUGUGAAGAUGAGAUCAUUGUUUUUUUGUGUCAAUAUGACUGUUCAGUAUAUACAUUUAUUAGAUUUCAUGAUCUAAUUAACAUUAUAAUUUUGAACUUUGAAUUUAUUAGUAUUUUAGUUUUAACUAUGUCAAUGAAUUUCAAAUAAUUGUAUAACUAACUUUAUAAUUGUUGUGUUGUUGAUACCAUAUGCUUUUUUAAUUCUUUUGAUUGACGUAGUAGCUAAAUACUUUUGCAAGAGGCUCAAAAACUAGCUUUAGUUUUCUAGUUGUAUUUUGUUUCUUUUCUUUUUGGUAUUGCUUAAUUGCAAUUUGGGGAUUUUUUUUAGGUGAGAUUGAAUUAGGCUAUACAUCCUUUUGGUUGCAUUACCCCUUUUGUGAUUAGUAAUAUGCAAUUAAAACUAAAGACAAAGAAUUUGCGUCUCUCACUUUUGGCUCGAAAAGAGUUAAUCAAAUGCAUCCAUGACUUCCACCUCUUGUCAAAAGAGAAAAAGGCUGAAUGGGAUGAGUUGUUUGAUCCAACGUACGGGUACCCUAGCACAAUUAAUAAAAGCAUUUAACUAUAUCAAGUCCUAAGACAUAUGUUUAGAAAAAUAUUACGAACUUGAAAAAAGAAAACUGCCAUGUGUUACACCUAUUGGAAGGGUAAUUAUAUUGUAUAUUCAAAUACUUUAAAUUAUUUGUUUGAAUAUGUCUAACCUAUGAUUUUUUUAGAAGCGGAACAUUUAUAUCAAUGGUUACACAAAAGAUCAUGGAGUGCUUGGAGGAACGAUCCUUAUCUGUGUCAAUUCCAUAUGUGAAGAGCCUGCAAUGUUUUGCUGGAAAUGUAAUUUGGGCUUUCACUUUCACAGUUUUCACCUGAUACCAAUUUAAUUUGUUUUCACCUAGUACCAAUUUAAUUUAUUUUUGAUUUGGAUGAUGACACUAUAAUUUUUCUUUUUUUUAGAGUGUUUAAUGGGUUUAACAGAGUAUUAGAAAAUAGAAGAUAAAACUAUAAUAAAAAAAAAGGUAAGAUGAUACCUAAACAUGCUUUGUAGGUGGUUAGUUCUACAGAAAAUCCUUUGAAAACAACAAGUGCUAGAUCAAUAACAGUGGUACAAAACCGCUCCACAACCCCACAAAGGAAAAAAAGAAAAGAAGGGAAAAAAUAUAUCAUCUUAUGCACGAAGCAAACAAACUACUAUCUUCAGUCUUCCACUCGUUUCAUGUGGUUGGUGGUUGGCUAGGGGUUAUAUGGUGAUAAUGAUGACAGAGUGUUCUAUCUAUGUAAGAAUUCAUGGAAAAAUGGUUGGAGUCACAAGGCAUACAUUAAGGGGAUUCGGGGUACAAAUGGUCAUCAGUUGAAUCAUACCAAAAUACAAAUAAUUAGACCACAAUGUGUCAUAUAGUUAGGUUAAAAAAAAUUUUAAAUUAUAUUGACAUUUGAUAAUUUCUGCCAUAUUUUUCUACAAUUUCUACAUGAAAGAGAGGUAAAGAGAAAUGCAACUUCAACAUCAUCAUGAAUUACAUCUUUUCCUUCUUUGAUGGGCCAUCAUAUGUAUCAUGAGGAUAUGAAACCCGGCCAUUCUCCACUAAAUCCCAUGCCACCUUGAUGAAUCCCUUGUGACCCCAGCCGCUACCCCAUAAGUCCUUGCAUAGGUAAAACAACUUCGUAUCAUCACCAUCCUCGUACUCCAGCCAAUCACUUGCAAUGCAUGUUGGGGUAUCAUCUUAUCGUCUCAUGUUUUUGAUUUUAUUUUCUCCUUCUCAUACUUUAUUGGACCCAAGUAAACACUUGAAAAAAUAAAAACUCAUUAUCCAAAUCGAAAAUAGUUAGUUGAAAACAAUCACAAUAAAAGACUUACUUACUUUCCAGCAUAACGCUAUAGACUCUUCACAUGCGGAACCGACACAGCUAAAGAUUGUUUCUUCUUUCUCGUCAAUUUUUGUAUAAUUCUUGAUCUAGACCUUUCCCCUAAAAAAUAUUCACAAGUUAGACAUACUAAAACAAGCAAUUGAUGUAGAAUAGAAAAUAAGGAAUUUGUCAAAAUAUGGAAGGAAAGAUGGAUAGGAGAAAACAAGAAUGGAAAGAUCUCAAUGAAGUAACCCCAGAUUCUCUAGAUAAAGUCUGUUAAGGAUUUAAUUAAGAACCAAUAGUGAAAUGAGGAGGCGCUAAAUGAUUUAUUUUCAGUCGAAGAGGUCAAGAAGAUCAAUGCAGUAGACAGUGUAGUUAUCACUUACCACUCUAGGAAAUGGUCUAAAAUAUGGCUGUUUCCAUUCUUCAUACGAACAAUAUUUUUCUGUACAUAUACCCUGAUGCUUGAUAUAUUUAAAAACUUUGUUAAUUGUACUAGGUUACUCGUAUGGUGGAUCAUACGACUCCUGCUAUUCAACUUUUUCUCUUUAGAGAGGGGGAAGAAGUUGUAGAUGCAAUUGAUUAAUUCUUGAGGUGCUAGAAGAAGGAGUUGAUGCCCUUUUUCCUUCAGAUAAUCUUCAUGCUCCAAACAAAAUGCAGCAUAAACACAAUCUACUGCUGGAAAUGCAUAGCAAGCAGCUGCAAAAGAAACCAGCUCUCAUAACAAAAUUAGCACAUAAAAACCAAAAUCAACACACAAAUAUCCCUUGAAAUUUGGCCAAACUACCAACUGAACCUCGCAAUUUAGCCAAACAACAUAAAAAUCCCCUAAUCCUUGAAAUAUCUAUCCUUCUUAUCCUAUUGUUGAGUUGUUUGAUCCAACAUAUGGGUAUCCUAGUAAAAUUAAUAAAACAUUUAAAUAUAUCAAGUCCCAAGACAUGUGUUCAAGCGUGUAAAAGUCCCAGGGCAUAUGUUUAGGUGAAAAAAGUUACAAUCAGACAUGUAGCAAAGGAGAUUUUUUAAAUAAAAAUUAGAAGGGGCAAAGAUUUAUCAAAUCAAUACAAUUUCUCUUUAUUGCAAGGAUAGAAGUGAGGAUUUAUAAAAAUAUACUUAGUUUAAAAUGAAUAUUUAUCAAAACAAACUAGUUUCUCUCUACCUCAAGAACUGGUUGAUGUGAUAUUCGGCCAAGUAAUUCUAUAAUUUUUCUACUGAUUUCUUUUCAGUGAGAUAAAUUAACAUCAUGCCAAUAAUAUAUUUCAACCAUAUUUUACAUAAAAUUGACACUUUAUAGGAACUAAAGAAAAAAACUUUUUUUUGAUUCAAGUGGAGAAUUUAUUAUGAUAUGAAUAUGAUUCUAUAAUAGUGUUGGAAAAGACUAUGUAUUGUGGUUAAUAAAUUACAAGUACUUAUAUUUAUAGGGUAAAAUACAUAAAACCCCCCUGUGGUUAAGGAAAUUGACAUGAAACUUCCUCAUUGUUUAGAAACACCCACUUAACCCCCCUGUGUUUUGGACUUCUUUGGAUUUUACCUACUAACCGGCUGGGAAACUAGCGAGUGAUAUUGACGCGGGCUAAUGGUAACUUGUGACUAGAAGAAACUCGUUUCAUUCCAAUUUUGCCCUCCAUGUCUCUUACAAAUGAAACCCACCAUAGUUGUAGUUCUGCAAAUGAAACCAUUUGUUAGAGAAAUGCAAAACGAAGACCCAAAAGCGUAAGAGCUUAGCAGCUUUGGAUGGGAGAAAAAGAGCUUUGGAGGGGCUAAAUCAGCUAUCAUUUCAAGGGAGAACCCAAAAAUGUCAAGCUCCCAAAAUUUUGGCGGUGGAUCGAGGGACCUAAGGUACCAAAUCCGGCGAUGUUUCUGCAACAAUAAAGCAAAGAUUAAGGUCGUAGAAUCUGAAAAACCAUCAAAAGGUAUGUUGUAUUAUGUAUGUGAAACUGGUGCUUGUUCAUUUUGGGCAUGGUGCAACCCAAUUAGUAGAGAGGGAGGCACUAAUGAAUCAUCUUGCCAAAGUCCAUACGUUGAAAGGGUUUCACCAAUUGGACCUGCUACAGCGGAAAGAUUUAUCAUGCGUGGGCAAGGAAUGGAAAGUAAUAACUAUAACAUCAUUAUGGAAUUACAAUCGAAGAUUCACAAUGUCGAAGCAACGAUGGGGUUGAUGAAGAUGAUGAUGAUGCUGACUGUACUUGCGUCUCUUUUGUCACUGGUUGUUAUAUGUUUUAGAUGAAUUUUGGGCAAAAAUUGUAAUGUAAAAGUAGUGUAAUAGAAUCUGGAGUUGGGACAAAUUGUAGUGCAAAAAUCACAUCCUGGUUUCAAUCUGGAGUUGAUUUUCAUGUUUCAAUUAUAAUUGAGCGAAUGAAGCUGCUUUUGUUGAGGACAUUGAAAAAAGCUACUUUUAUUCAGGACCUAAGGUAAAGGCCCUAAGAUUUAAAUGUAAUGAAGUUGUUAGAUCAAGUCAUUAGAGUGUCUCAAGUAAUAUUGCUAUCCAUAAACACUUAGAAGUAAUAUUAGUCAUCUUAAGAUGUUGCCAUCCUCAAAGAUAUCUCAAAGACGCAAGUACAUUAAUCUAACAAAUACACUCUGAUCUAACAAAGACACUCUGUUAAGUGCAAACAUAUAACUAGUAAUAUUGUCAUCCAUAAACACUUGUCAGAUUUAGUCAUCUCCAGCAAAGAUAUUGCAGUAACGUGACCCAUUACGACAACCAUACCACAAUGGUAUCCUACCAUAACGUGCCCAAAAGAUUCACCAGCAAUACAGUCACAAGACAUGAUAAAUCAGCAAAGAUAUGGAUAGUAAUCUGGAUUGCUAUAAAUAAACAAAAAAAAACGUGGCAUAUUACGACAACCAUACAACAAUGGUAUCCUAGCAUAAUGUGGCCAAAAGCUACACCAGCAACAACACAGUCACAAAUGCCACAGUCAACCAAAACAUAGCCAAAAAUCUAAGUACAAUACCACAAUGGCCACAGUCAACCAAUGUUAUAGUCAAAAAAUCUGAGUACAAUACCCACGACUGUAUCUGCCAACCAAAAGAUAGCCAAAAAUCUAAGUACAAUACCACAAUGGCCACAGUCAACCAAUGUUAUAGCCAAAAAAUCUGAGUACAAUACCCACGACUGUAUCUGCCAACCAAAAGAUAGCCAAAAAUCUGAGUACAAUGAAAGAUAUUCAUACAUGUAUACCAUGAUGGUAUCAGUACAUUCAACCAGCAAAUGUUUUAGCAUAACUAGUACAUUCAACCAAUUACUUCCUCUUCAACUGCAGUUCAUUUUGUUGGUUUUUUGGAGCCACAAUGUUGCAGCUUUGACAUCCUUGCAGGUGGUUGCUUUCUCUUUAAGGAUCUACUUUGCUGGCUCUCUUGGUUGGUACCACUGGCAUGUCGAUUAGGCUCCUGUAUAUAAGUUCGCAUGGUUAAUAUGUAUGUAAGUAUAUUGCAGCAGCCAAAGAUUGACAAUUACUUUCUAGUACCUGUGAAAGUGUAGUACUGGUAGUCCUUGAGACCCUAGCCUGAGUUGCAGAAGCUACAGAUGUUGCAUUUGUACCAGUUGGACCAACUUUAGGUGCCUACACUUCAAAUUGAAAUGAAUAAGUGUAUAAGUAGCAACAAAACAACUUUAGGUGCCUACAGUUCAAAUUGAAAUGAAUAAGUGUAUAAGUAGCAACAAAACACACUUUCGCAUACUUUUGACUAUUAAAUGUUACAUUACCUUGUAAAGUUUAGACUCAGGGUGAAUCGCUGAUUUGCAAGUUCUUAUGUUAUGUCCAGAAUUCAAACACCUCCGACAGUAAACUGCAAGACCUUUUCUACUUGCUUUCUACUGAUUUGUAGGUUCUUCUGGACCCUUCUUCCUCUGCUUUUUUGGCCUACCAGGUUGUCUCUUCACCAAUGGUGGGUUCAAAUAUUGCAUUUUGCUAUCUACCCAAAACUGUCUCGAAGGAACAGGACCAAUUGUGAAGUUGUAGGCUCUUAAAUAUGCUUCCCUAUGGUAACAAGCAUCAACAUAUUCCUCGAAUUUCAACUUUCUGCUCUGAAUGCAGGCAACCGCAUGCACGCAAGGAAUGCCACUAAGCUGAAAAUGACCACAGGUGCAUGUUUUCAUCUCUAAAUUGACAACAUUUGUCCUUCCAUAGCCAUCAACUUCCAAAUUCCCAUUUCCUCCAUAAACCGCAACACAAUUUCUUGCCUUUAUCUUAAGUUUCUCUAACUUCUCAUAAAUGUUCGGACACAAAGUGCCACCAUGUUUCAGCAUGCCCUCUCGCUUGGUUACCAUCCUUUGCAUUAAUCUCCUCCGAAUCCACUCCAGCAUUGUUAUUAUUGGCUCUCCUCUAGCUUUUAGAAUGUAAUUAUUCCAUGACUCACUCAUGUUGUUAACGCAAGUGUCACUCCUACAAGCUGUGCUAAAGUGAGCUCUGGACCAUAGUCUUGGAGGCAACCGUUUGAACCACCCCGCAGCUGUUAACUUGUCACCUUCUUGUGGGUCAGCCCUUUCCAGAUUUGCUAGGGCAGUUUCAUGCUCCGGCAUGUUUGCUGCUGCAGCAACAUCCCAAAAAAGGUCUCGAAGGUCUUGAUUCUUGAAUCUCUGUUUGAAGUUCUCGAACAUAUGUUUCAAACAUAAUCUAUGCUCUGAUUCAGGAAACAAUUCUUCAAUUGCAUGGACAAGACCCUUUUGUCUAUCCGAGAUGAAAGUGUAAGCCACUCCUUUGUUUCCUCUUCCAAUUUGACUGAUUAAUUCCCGUAAAAACCAACUCCAACUGUCGUAAUUCUCUACCUCAACAACAGCAAAGGAAAUAGGGAACAUAUUCUCAUUGGCAUCCCUACCCAAGGCUGUAAGGAGUUGACCUCCAAAGGGACUCUUGAGAAAGCAGCCAUCUAGUCCUAUGAUAGGCCUACAUCCUUCUAGGAAACCAUUUUUCAAAGCACCUAAACCAUAAUAUAUCCUCUGAAAUGUAGCCCUUUCCUCAAUAUUUCGCCUAUCAAUUAGCAAUGAAAUAUGACUAUCAGGAUUUGAAUUUUUAACAGUAGCUACAUAAUCCCAAAGUCUGUGGUAUUGCUCCAUGUCAUUGCCCCUAAGUGCCUCUAAUGCUUUUUGCUUUGUUCUGGCAGUUUUAUUCUGACUAAUGUCUACCAUAAACAGUCUUCUUGUCUCAUUCACUAUGCCAGGAAUACUGCACCCAAGAUCAUCCUUCACUUUGGCUUGAAAUUUAUUACUCAGUUAUGUUGAAGUGGCAUGUCGAUUGCUGUAAUCCCUGCCACAAUGAUGCUCUCCCUUAAGAGUCUUGAUCAUAAAUGUCUUUGUUUUCUGGAUUGUGCUUGCAUGAAUUCUCCAACUACACCCCUUUGCACAUUUAGCUGUGAUUCGAGAGCCUUCAUUUCUGAUGUAGUUGUGCUCAUAUCCCUCCCUAAUUUCCCAUUCCACCAAAGCCUCUCUAAAUUUAUAGAAGCUAGUAAAUUUAUGACCAACCUUUAGUUCAAAAUGCUCUUUCCUAAAUUCCUCAUCCGCAUUGAAGUAACUGUAGACAGGGAUGCUUUCGUCAUCAGAUCCUAUUCCUCUGUCAAACAGAUUUUCAUCAUCCUCUACUUCCUCGUUCCAGUCCUCUUCCUGCUCAGUCGCAUGGCAUCUAUCAUCCCUCCUUGAUGUUGGCUGACUUCCCACUUCAUGUUGGUAAUUGGAUUGGGUUUGCUGUUGAUGUUGUCCCAAAUCAGGUUGUUUUGUAGCUUUUGGUUGCAGAUUUUCUUGUUGCUGUUGAUGUUCAUCUAAAUCAGCUUGCUUUGUAGCUUUUCCUUGUUUACAUUCUUGUUGCUGCUCAGACCCAAUACCAACCGAAUUUGCAGAUCCAACAUUUAUAGAUGCCUGUGUUGAUUCUUGACCAUGUAAACCUGCAAAUAUGUCAUCAUCUUCAGGCAGUUCUACUGUUUCUCUUAGCCAGUCAGGAAGAUCUGAAUAAUCUGGUAUGACUUCACUUUCUUCUCCGCCUUCUCUCUCUGCCUGUGUGGUUGGUUCUCCGCUACAAUCAGUCUGCUCUUCUAUUGGAUCUCUUUCUGCCUGUGUUGUUUCUUCUGCUGCCUUCCUUGUAGGAGACUGCCGGAGCUCUGUUUCUUCUGCUGCCUUCCUUGUAGGAGACUGCCGGAGCUCUGAUGAUGUAUCACCUUCUUCUUUGUCUUCAAAUAAUCGUCUGACUGAUUUCCUUGCACUUAACUUUACUCUUUGCAACUUAGCUUUUUUAUCAUUUGUUGUCUUCGUUCUCUUGGACUUGUUCACGUGUUGGGGUCCCACUGAAAUUGGAUCUGACUGUAUUUGUGGUGACUCUUCUUCACAGAUCCCCUUUGCUCUAUCUCUAAUGUGUGGAUUGUCAUUAUUGUCCUCCCUCCCAUUUACUAAAGGGUCAAUGUCAUCCCUGCCUUUAACAGUUGAGGACGAACCAAUCUCAGCCUGCCAGCCAUCAUGAUACGGAAGUGCAAGUAGGCCAUCACCAGUCACUCUCUUGUACAUUAAUUUUCCUUCUGGGGACACAAUUUCAAUUGGAUCAUGCCCCCUCUCAGCAUAUAUGUGCAUUUCUGGAAGCCCCUCAUAACAUGUUGUCAAUAAUUCGAUGUCGACAUCAUCGUUGAUGGGAACUGCACCAACAUCAAGGUCAUGAAACGGAAUAGAGUACCAUAAAUUCACAUUUGCUACGCCGUGCUCAAUUGUUUGGUACAUUUUUUCAAACGCAAAUACAGAUAAUUCAUCAGGGUCCCGUCCACAAAAUACCCUCACGUGUUCGCAAGUGUAUCUAAUUCUCGGUUUCCAUUUGAAAUAUCCACCAUAAUGCAUAUGUAUGUCUAUGGUCUGCCACGGAUUAUCUCCCAUUCUUAUGCACCUAACCCAAAAAAUCAACAUUAACACACUUAUCUAGAAGGAUAAAAAUCAUAAUCAAUACCAGUAUAGACCACAGUAGUUCUGAUUACUCCAAAAAAAUAAAUAAUCAACAUUAACACACUUAUCUAUAAGAAUAAAAAUCAUAAUCAAUACCAGUAUGGACCACAGUAGUCCUGAAUACUCCAAAAAAAUAAAUAAUCAACAUUAACACACCUAUCUAGAAGGAUAAAAAUCAUAAUCAAUACCAAUAUGGACCACAAUAGACCUGAUUACUCCAAAAAGACCCAUAUUUUUUGCAGUAUAUUGCAAUUUUUAAAAAAAUUUCCCCCAAAGAUUGUCAGAAAAGCUUCUGACUAAGCCAAACCCAGACUUUUUGCGUAUUUACCAAUUUUAAACAAAAUUUUUCUACAAACAUUGUCCGAAGAUUGUCGGGAAAGCUUCUGACCAAGCCAAAACUGAAAAUUUGCAUAUUUACAGAAUUAAAAAAAAAUUUCGCACAAACAUUGUCGGAGAAACUUCUAACUAAGCCAAAACUAACAAUGGCGAUUCUUUUACCAAGUUUCAAAAUAUCCCCAACACUUUAACAAAUCAACUCGUCUAUUGCUUAAGGUUCGGAUAUGUAUUUUACCUGGUUAAUAGAUAAGUCCAAUGCGUUGCGACUACGACCAAUCUGCACAGCAACGCCGACCGAUCUACACUAUAACGCCGAUCGAUGUUCACUAUAUAUCCCGCCGAUCUGCAACACAAACACCUUCUUCUUGGCUGUAGGUUUAGGGUUUAUCUCUCAUUUUAUGAAAUGUAGCUCAAGCCCGACUGAUCUUCACCGUAACUCACACCGCUAUGCAUAAUGGUGCUUCUUCUUGGUUGUAGGUUUAGGGUUUCUUUCUACGCGAUUUUCAGAAGUCCUCUACUGCAUCUGUAACUUUUCACAUAUUAUAUAUGAGGGUAUUUUUGGUAUUUCAUGUUAUUACCGGCUUCCCAGCCGGUUAGCAGGUAAAAUCCAAAGAAGUCCAAAACACAUGGGGGUUAAGUGAGUGUUUCUAAACAAUGAGGAAGUUUCAUGUCAAUUUCCUUAACCACAGGGGGGUUUUAUGUAUUUUACCCAUAUUUAUAUUACAAUUAAAUUUAAUUAUUAUCAUAAAUCCAAUACUCCCUUUUAAGGUGAUUGCUGCCAUUUUUAAAAUAAGUUACAAGUACUUGUGAUUGAUAGUAAAGAUUAUUUGGAGAAUCAAAAUUUUUGUUGUAUUGUCAUUAUACUAGAUGUUGAGAUUGAUUCAUUCUAUUAUUUUAAAAAGAUACAAUUUAUCAAUUACAUUUUACAACAUAUCCUAGAAAAUUGAUCGUUUUAAAUUUUUACAAAUUUAUAGAAACUAACUUAUUUUUUGUAGUUAACCAAUUAGUGAAGUACAUACUAGUUGAACAAAAAAGUUAACUUAAACAAUGUAAUUUUUUUCUGUAUUUGACACUGAUUGACUGGACAAUCCAAUCCUUUUGCUAUGCCAGUAUUAUUUCAUCUAUUGAAAUUUAUUUGCUUUAUUUUUUUGAUUUAUUACUUCUUAUUUAGUUCAUUUUGCAAUAUUUUCGUGGCAAGUCAAUGACAACUUUCAUUAUAUAAAUUGGUGAAAAGUAGCACAUACUGGUUGAAUGAAAAAACUAAUUUGAAUAAUCACAUGAUUUCAUUGUGGCAAAAUUAUAUAAGUUGUGGGAAUAUACUUACACAUUAUUAUUAAUGUAUUAUAGCAUGUUCAAUAUGCUUUACAACAUACAAAGAGUCAUGAUAGCCUUCAUUAUACAAAUUAGUAUAAAUAAAGUGCCUUCCACUAUUAAUUAGUUUCUUAAAUACUUGUUCAAAAAAGAUUAACUAGUUAGUUUCGGGUUUUCUUUCAUCAAUAUUGUGCCUCCUAUUGGUAUUUAUUUACUUUGUACUGUGAAAUCUCAAAAUUUUUGACAUUUUUUUAAGGCUGGAAACUGUUUGAUAAACUAACAAUACAAAAUUAGCAUAACAAUAAUUUAAUAAGUUUACUUACCUCUUUAGAGAAUUAUCCCAACAACCUACUGUUACUCAACCACUAAUAGAUAUUGGGUUGGUUAACUAUAUCACGUUCCCUGAAGGUUAAUUAACUGACUCAACAUUAAUCUACUUUCACUCAACCACUAAUAGAUAUAGGGUAUGAAACCCGGCCACUCUCCACCAAAUCGUUCGCCACCUUGAUGUAUCCGUUGUGACCCCACCCAUGCCUCCACGAGUUUUUACAUAAAUAAAACAACUUCUCUUCAUCACCAUCUUCAAACCCCUAACCAACCACUUGCAGAGCAUGCUGAGGUAUCAUCUUGCCUUCUCAUUUUCUGUUUUCAUCUACUCCUCCUCAUAUCGUGUUGGACCCCUAUAAACACCCUGAACAAAAAAGUUAUACCGUCAUACAAAUAGAAAAUAAUCAAUCACGUAAUAACAUUGAUACCAAAUGAAAACAAUAACAGUGAAAGACCCACUUACAUUUCCAGAAUAAUGCCGUAGGCUCCUCACAAAUGGAACUGACACAGCUAAAGGUUGUUCCUGCAAGCGCUCCAUAAUCUUUUCUUUGCUGCCAAUUUUUGUAUAAUCCUUGAUAUAGAUCUUUCGCUUCUAAAAAAAACAUACACAAGUUAGACAAGAUUUUUAAAAAAUAUACACAAGUUAGACAAACUAAAACAAGCAAUUGAUGUACUUGAAUAGAUAAUAUAAUUACCACUCCGGGAGGUGUAACACAUGGUUGUUUCAUUCCUUUAAAUGGACAAUGAUUUUCUGAACAUACACCACGCAACUAGAUAUAUUUAAACGCCUUGUUAAUUGAGCUAGGAUACCCAUAUCUUGGAUCAAUGGACUUCCCCCAUUCGGCCUUUUGCUUUUCUGAGUGGGGGAAGAGGUCAUGGAUACAGUAGAUCAAUUCUUGAGGCGCUAAAAGAUGCAGCUGAAAUUACUCUGUCUUGAGAAAUUUUUCAUGCUCCAAACAUAAUGCCGCAUACACGCAAUCUACGGCUGGAAAUGCAUAGCAAGCACCUACGCAAAAAUGUAGUUUCCAUGAUAAAGUAAAAUAGAAAAAAGAAAAACAACAUACAAACGAAAAUCAACACACAGAUAGCCCUUGAGAUUUGGCCAAACUCCCCACCGAACCUCAAGAUUUAGCCAAACAACAUAAAAUCCCUCUCUUAAAAAACGUCUAUUGCAUAUCUUGGAUGAAUUAGUGAAAUGACUAGAUGCUUACAACACUUAUGAAUUAGUGAAAUGACCAAACCCCAAGAUUUAGCCAAACAAUAUAAAACGGAAAACUCUUACUUGAUCAACACCCACUAAUCAUAAUAGCAAUAUAAUGAUAAAAAAAAAUUUCAGUCUUUUAUGAAUUUUCAGAUCCAAUUUCAAAAAAUUUCCAAAUCUUCAAAACACUAAAAAAUUUGCCCUAAUCAUUGAACAUGGACAUUCACAUGCAUAUCAUAAUCUUGAUUUUGAUUGUCAAAACUUGAUUCACAAGUGCUUGCUUACUUGCAAACAUCUAUCGCGAAUAGGGGUAAUGCUUUUAGAGGGAUGAACAGCCCAAUUCCACUUCACCUAAAAAAAUCUCAAAAUUACAAUAAGCAAUAGAGAGAGAGAGAGAGAGAGAGAGAGAGAGGGAGAGAGCAAAUACAACUAUAAAACUAAAAUUUGGCCCAUGAACAGGAAAACAAUCGAAAAUUAGGCAUAAAAGCAUUAUAAAAUAAAACAUUGUAAUGUACAAUGGAAAAAAUUCAGAAUUGGGCUCAAAUGCAUGAUAAAUGAAAGAUGAAAACAUUGUAACAUACAUAUUUGAAAAAUGGAUGGGAAAAAUCAACAGGUUCCAGGUCAGGCGGGGGCUCUAGAUAUUCCAGUAGAUCGCGCAAAAGUUCAAAUCUCGACAUCCUGCCAAAAAACAUCAAUGAUGUAAAAAGUAUCAGUAGGAUGAAGGAAAUAACACCAGUGAUUUGCAUUACAUAAAUCAAAAGUUUUCCGCAAAAAAAACAUAAAUCUUCUCAAGCAAUCAUCUUACUUACACACUUAAUGUUAACAACAGUCCUGAAGUUCAAGCAUCAAAGCAAUAGUAACUUUGGUAUAAGAGAUGAGUAUAUUAAAGGGCGCAUCAAGUGUGCUAAACACCUUCAGAUUUAGGUAACAAAUUAUUGACAUAAUCACACAAAAUAUGGAACAUGAAUCCAGCUUUUCACUUAGUCCGAAUUUUGGAAUACAUUCUAAAAGUUGAAGCCCAAAGCAGAAAUCUUAAGUUGAAAUGGGAUAAAAUCAAAUGGAGGACCAUAAAUGUAAUUGUGUAUUAGAUGCCAAAUUUGCUGCUUUGGUUCCUUCCUUUUGUUUCGAUAACUGUGAUCUCUUUAGCUUGUAGUAUACUACAUUAAAUAAUUAAGUUAAAUUGGCGAUUCUUCCAUGCUUCAUAGUGGUUCGAAAGGUUCUAAGUAUGCUGUUAGAUAAUGAUUUGCAUUGACCAGUUUGGUGAGCUCUUUCGGCAAAUCAUUUACCCAUAAUCGGAUGUCAAGUUAGAUGGAUUUAUAUAAGGUUUUAAAGCUGCCUCUUGAUUGAGGGUGUAUUUUCUAAUUGAUCUUUUGCCGAGACUUUAAGAUUCCAUUCCUCCACACUUGAUUGAUUAGAUAUCUUAUUCGAGUUUAUAUUUGCUGCUUGAGUUCUUCUGUAAAACUUGUAUAUGGGAACAAAAGAUGGGAUAAGAUUCGAGCAAUAAUAACUUAUUAGGAUACGAAUAUGAUUAUAUAAUAGUAUUGGAAACGACUACGUAUUGUGGUUAAUAAGUUACAAGUACUUCUAUUUAUAUUACAAUUAAAUUUAAUCAUUAUCAUAAAUCCAAUUCUCCCUUUUAAUGUGAUUGCUGCCAUUUUUAAAAUAAGUUACAAGUACUUGUGAUUGACAGUAAAGAUUAUUUGGAGAAUCGAAAUUUUUAUUGUUUUGUCAUUAUACUAAAUGUUGAGAUUGAUUCACUCUAUUAUUUUAAAAAGAUACAAUUUAUCUAUUACAUUUUGCAACAUAUCCUGGAAAAUUGAUAGUUUUAAUUUUUUACAAAUUUAUAGAAACUAACUUAUUUUUUGUAGUUAACCAAUUAGUGAAGUACAUACUAGUUGAGCAAAAAAGUUAACUUAAACAAUGUAAAUUUUUUUUUUUUGUAUUUGACACUGAUUGACUGAACAAUCCAAUCUUUUUGCUAUGCCAGUAUUGUUUCAUCUAUUGAAAUUUAUUUGCUUUAUUUUUUUGAUUUAUUACUUCUUAUUUAGUUCAUUUUGCAAUAUUUUCAUGGUAAGUCAAUGACAACUUUCAUUAUAUAAAUUGGUGAAAAGUAGCACAUGCUGGUUGAAUGAAAAAACUAAUUUGAAUAAUCACAUGAUUUCAUUGUGGCAAAAUUAUAUAAGUUGUGGGAAUAUGCUUACACAUUAUUAUUAAUGUAUUAUAGCAUGUUCAAUAUACUUUACAACAUACAAAGAGUCAUGAUAGCCUUCAUUAUACAAAUUAGUAUAAAUAAAAGUGCCUUUCACUAUUAAUUAGUUUCUUAAAUACUUGUUCAAAAAAGAUUAACUAGUUAGUUUCGGGUUUUCUUUCAUCAAUAUUGUGCCUCCUAUUGGUAUUUAUUUACUUUGUACUGUGAAAUCUCAAAAUUUUUGACAUUUUUUUAAGGCUGGAAACUGUUUGAUAAACUAACAAUACAAAAUUAGCAUAACAAUAAUUUAAUAAGUUUACUUACCUCUUUAGAGAAUUAUCCCAACAACCUACUGUUACUCAACCACUAAUAGAUAUUGGGUUGGUUAACUAUAUCACGUUCCCUGAAGGUUAAUUAACUGACUCAACAUUAAUCUACUUUCACUCAACCACUAAUAGAUAUAGGGUAUGAAACCCGGCCACUCUCCACCAAAUCGUUCGCCACCUUGAUGUAUCCGUUGUGACCCCACCCAUGCCUCCACGAGUUUUUACAUAAAUAAAACAACUUCUCUUCAUCACCAUCUUCAAACCCCUAACCAACCACUUGCAGAGCAUGCUGAGGUAUCAUCUUGCCUUCUCAUUUUCUGUUUUCAUCUACUCCUCCUCAUAUCGUGUUGGACCCCUAUAAACACCCUGAACAAAAAAGUUAUACCGUCAUACAAAUAGAAAAUAAUCAAUCACGUAAUAACAUUGAUACCAAAUGAAAACAAUAACAGUGAAAGACCCACUUACAUUUCCAGAAUAAUGCCGUAGGCUCCUCACAAAUGGAACUGACACAGCUAAAGGUUGUUCCUGCAAGCGCUCCAUAAUCUUUUCUUUGCUGCCAAUUUUUGUAUAAUCCUUGAUAUAGAUCUUUCGCUUCUAAAAAAAACAUACACAAGUUAGACAAGAUUUUUAAAAAAUAUACACAAGUUAGACAAACUAAAACAAGCAAUUGAUGUACUUGAAUAGAUAAUAUAAUUACCACUCCGGGAGGUGUAACACAUGGUUGUUUCAUUCCUUUCAAUGGACAAUGAUUUUCUGAACAUACACCACGCAACUAGAUAUAUUUAAACGCCUUGUUAAUUGAGCUAGGAUACCCAUAUCUUGGAUCAAUGGACUUUCCCCAUUCGGCCUUUUGCUUUUCUGAGAGGGGGAAGAGGUCAUGGAUACAGUAGAUCAAUUCUUGAGGCGCUAAAAGAUGCAGCUGAAAUUACUCUGUCUUGAGAAAUUUUUCAUGCUCCAAACAUAAUGCCGCAUACACGCAAUCUACGGCUGGAAAUGCAUAGCAAGCACCUACGCAAAAAUGCAGUUUCCAUGAUAAAGUAAAAUAGAAAAAAGAAAAACAACAUACAAACGAAAAUCAACACACAGAUAGCCCUUGAGAUUUGGCCAAACUCCACACCGAACCUCAAGAUUUAGCCAAACAACAUAAAAUCCCUCUCUUAAAAAACGUCUAUUGCAUAUCUUGGAUGAAUUAGUGAAAUGACUAGAUGCUUACAACACUUAUGAAUUAGUGAAAUGACCAAACCCCAAGAUUUAGCCAAACAACAUAAAACGGAAAACUCUUACUUGAUCAACACCCACUAAUCAUAAUAGCAAUAUAAUGAUAAAAAAAAAUUUCAGUCUUUUAUGAAUUUUCAGAUCCAAUUUCAAAAAAUUACCAAAUCUUCAAAACACUAAAAAAUUUGCCCUAAUCAUUGAACAUGGACAUUCACAUGCAUAUCAGAAUCUUGAUUUUGAUUGUCAAAACUUGAUUCACAAGUGCUUGCUUACUUGCAAACAUCUAUCGCGAACAGGGGUAAUGCUUUUAGAGGGAUGAACAGCCCAAUUCCACUUCACCUAAAAAAAUCUCAAAAUUACAAUAAGCAAUAGAGAGAGAGAGAGAGAGAGAGAGAGGGAGAGAGCAAAUACAACUAUAAAACUAAAAUUUGGCCCAUGAACAGGAAAACAAUCGAAAAUUAGGCAUAAAAGCAUUAUAAAAUAAAACAUUGUAAUGUACAAUGGAAAAAAUUCAGAAUUGGGCUCAAAGGCAUGAUAAAUGAAAGAUGAAAACAUUGUAACAUACAUAUUUGAAAAAUGGAUGGGAAAAAUCAACAGGUUCCAGGUCAGGCGGGGGCUCUAGAUCUUCCAGUAGAUCGCGCAAAAGUUCAAAUCUCGACAUCCUGCCAAAAAACAACAAUGAUGUAAAAAGUAUCAGUAGGAUGAAGGAAAUAACACCAGUGAUUUGCAUUACAUAAAUCAAAAGUUUUCGCAAAAAAAACAUAAAUCUUCUCAAGCAAUCAUCUUACUUACACACUUAAUGUUAACAACAGUCCUGAAGUUCAAGCAUCAAAGCAAUAGUAACUUUGGUAUAAGAGAUGAGUAUAUUAAAGGGCGCAUCAAGUGUGCUAAACACCUUCAGAUUUAGGUAACAAAUUAUUGACAUAAUCACACAAAAUAUGGAACAUGAAUCCAGCUUUUCACUUAGUCCGAAUUUUGGAAUACAUUCUAAAAGUUGAAGCCCAAAGCAGAAAUCUUAAGUUGAAAUGGGAUAAAAUCAAAUGGAGGACCAUAAAUGUAAUUGUGUAUUAGAUGCCAAAUUUGCUGCUUUGGUUCCUUCCUUUUGUUUCGAUAACUGUGAUCUCUUUAGCUUGUAGUAUACUACAUUAAAUAAUUAAGUUAAAUUGGCGAUUCUUCCAUGCUUCAUAGUGGUUCGAAAGGUUCUAAGUAUGCUGUUAGAUAAUGAUUUGCAUUGACCAGUUUGGUGAGCUCUUUCGGCAAAUCAUUUACCCAUAAUCGGAUGUCAAGUUAGAUGGAUUUAUAUAAGGUUUUAAAGCUGCCUCUUGAUUGAGGGUGUAUUUUCUAAUUGAUCUUUUGCCGAGACUUUAAGAUUCCAUUCCUCCACACUUGAUUGAUUAGAUAUCUUAUUCGAGUUUAUAUUUGCUGCUUGAGUUCUUCUGUAAAACUUGUAUAUGGGAACAAAAGAUGGGAUAAGAUUCGAGCAAUAAUAACUUAUUAGGAUACGAAUAUGAUUAUAUAAUAGUAUUGGAAACGACUACGUAUUGUGGUUAAUAAGUUACAAGUACUUCUAUUUAUAUUACAAUUAAAUUUAAUCAUUAUCAUAAAUCCAAUUCUCCCUUUUAAUGUGAUUGCUGCCAUUUUUAAAAUAAGUUACAAGUACUUGUGAUUGACAGUAAAGAUUAUUUGGAGAAUCGAAAUUUUUAUUGUUUUGUCAUUAUACUAAAUGUUGAGAUUGAUUCACUCUAUUAUUUUAAAAAGAUACAAUUUAUCUAUUACAUUUUGCAACAUAUCCUGGAAAAUUGAUAGUUUUAAUUUUUUACAAAUUUAUAGAAACUAACUUAUUUUUUGUAGUUAACCAAUUAGUGAAGUACAUACUAGUUGAGCAAAAAAGUUAACUUAAACAAUGUAAAUUUUUUUUUUUUGUAUUUGACACUGAUUGACUGAACAAUCCAAUCUUUUUGCUAUGCCAGUAUUGUUUCAUCUAUUGAAAUUUAUUUGCUUUAUUUUUUUGAUUUAUUACUUCUUAUUUAGUUCAUUUUGCAAUAUUUUCAUGGUAAGUCAAUGACAACUUUCAUUAUAUAAAUUGGUGAAAAGUAGCACAUGCUGGUUGAAUGAAAAAACUAAUUUGAAUAAUCACAUGAUUUCAUUGUGGCAAAAUUAUAUAAGUUGUGGGAAUAUGCUUACACAUUAUUAUUAAUGUAUUAUAGCAUGUUCAAUAUACUUUACAACAUACAAAGAGUCAUGAUAGCCUUCAUUAUACAAAUUAGUAUAAAUAAAGUGCCUUUCACUAUUAAUUAGUUUCUUAAAUACUUGUUCAAAAAAGAUUAACUAGUUAGUUUCGGGUUUUCUUUCAUCAAUAUUGUGCCUCCUAUUGGUAUUUAUUUACUUUGUACUGUGAAAUCUCAAAAUUUUUGACAUUUUUUUAAGGCUGGAAACUGUUUGAUAAACUAACAAUACAAAAUUAGCAUAACAAUAAUUUAAUAAGUUUACUUACCUCUUUAGAGAAUUAUCCCAACAACCUACUGUUACUCAACCACUAAUAGAUAUUGGGUUGGUUAACUAUAUCACGUUCCCUGAAGGUUAAUUAACUGACUCAACAUUAAUCUACUUUCACUCAACCACUAAUAGAUAUAGGGUAUGAAACCCGGCCACUCUCCACCAAAUCGUUCGCCACCUUGAUGUAUCCGUUGUGACCCCACCCAUGCCUCCACGAGUUUUUACAUAAAUAAAACAACUUCUCUUCAUCACCAUCUUCAAACCCCUAACCAACCACUUGCAGAGCAUGCUGAGGUAUCAUCUUGCCUUCUCAUUUUCUGUUUUCAUCUACUCCUCCUCAUAUCGUGUUGGACCCCUAUAAACACCCUGAACAAAAAAGUUAUACCGUCAUACAAAUAGAAAAUAAUCAAUCACGUAAUAACAUUGAUACCAAAUGAAAACAAUAACAGUGAAAGACCCACUUACAUUUCCAGAAUAAUGCCGUAGGCUCCUCACAAAUGGAACUGACACAGCUAAAGGUUGUUCCUGCAAGCGCUCCAUAAUCUUUUCUUUGCUGCCAAUUUUUGUAUAAUCCUUGAUAUAGAUCUUUCGCUUCUAAAAAAAACAUACACAAGUUAGACAAGAUUUUUAAAAAAUAUACACAAGUUAGACAAACUAAAACAAGCAAUUGAUGUACUUGAAUAGAUAAUAUAAUUACCACUCCGGGAGGUGUAACACAUGGUUGUUUCAUUCCUUUCAAUGGACAAUGAUUUUCUGAACAUACACCACGCAACUAGAUAUAUUUAAACGCCUUGUUAAUUGAGCUAGGAUACCCAUAUCUUGGAUCAAUGGACUUUCCCCAUUCGGCCUUUUGCUUUUCUGAGAGGGGGAAGAGGUCAUGGAUACAGUAGAUCAAUUCUUGAGGCGCUAAAAGAUGCAGCUGAAAUUACUCUGUCUUGAGAAAUUUUUCAUGCUCCAAACAUAAUGCCGCAUACACGCAAUCUACGGCUGGAAAUGCAUAGCAAGCACCUACGCAAAAAUGCAGUUUCCAUGAUAAAGUAAAAUAGAAAAAAGAAAAACAACAUACAAACGAAAAUCAACACACAGAUAGCCCUUGAGAUUUGGCCAAACUCCACACCGAACCUCAAGAUUUAGCCAAACAACAUAAAAUCCCUCUCUUAAAAAACGUCUAUUGCAUAUCUUGGAUGAAUUAGUGAAAUGACUAGAUGCUUACAACACUUAUGAAUUAGUGAAAUGACCAAACCCCAAGAUUUAGCCAAACAACAUAAAACGGAAAACUCUUACUUGAUCAACACCCACUAAUCAUAAUAGCAAUAUAAUGAUAAAAAAAAAUUUCAGUCUUUUAUGAAUUUUCAGAUCCAAUUUCAAAAAAUUACCAAAUCUUCAAAACACUAAAAAAUUUGCCCUAAUCAUUGAACAUGGACAUUCACAUGCAUAUCAGAAUCUUGAUUUUGAUUGUCAAAACUUGAUUCACAAGUGCUUGCUUACUUGCAAACAUCUAUCGCGAACAGGGGUAAUGCUUUUAGAGGGAUGAACAGCCCAAUUCCACUUCACCUAAAAAAAUCUCAAAAUUACAAUAAGCAAUAGAGAGAGAGAGAGAGAGAGAGAGAGGGAGAGAGCAAAUACAACUAUAAAACUAAAAUUUGGCCCAUGAACAGGAAAACAAUCGAAAAUUAGGCAUAAAAGCAUUAUAAAAUAAAACAUUGUAAUGUACAAUGGAAAAAAUUCAGAAUUGGGCUCAAAGGCAUGAUAAAUGAAAGAUGAAAACAUUGUAACAUACAUAUUUGAAAAAUGGAUGGGAAAAAUCAACAGGUUCCAGGUCAGGCGGGGGCUCUAGAUCUUCCAGUAGAUCGCGCAAAAGUUCAAAUCUCGACAUCCUGCCAAAAAACAACAAUGAUGUAAAAAGUAUCAGUAGGAUGAAGGAAAUAACACCAGUGAUUUGCAUUACAUAAAUCAAAAGUUUUCGCAAAAAAAACAUAAAUCUUCUCAAGCAAUCAUCUUACUUACACACUUAAUGUUAACAACAGUCCUGAAGUUCAAGCAUCAAAGCAAUAGUAACUUUGGUAUAAGAGAUGAGUAUAUUAAAGGGCGCAUCAAGUGUGCUAAACACCUUCAGAUUUAGGUAACAAAUUAUUGACAUAAUCACACAAAAUAUGGAACAUGAAUCCAGCUUUUCACUUAGUCCGAAUUUUGGAAUACAUUCUAAAAGUUGAAGCCCAAAGCAGAAAUCUUAAGUUGAAAUGGGAUAAAAUCAAAUGGAGGACCAUAAAUGUAAUUGUGUAUUAGAUGCCAAAUUUGCUGCUUUGGUUCCUUCCUUUUGUUUCGAUAACUGUGAUCUCUUUAGCUUGUAGUAUACUACAUUAAAUAAUUAAGUUAAAUUGGCGAUUCUUCCAUGCUUCAUAGUGGUUCGAAAGGUUCUAAGUAUGCUGUUAGAUAAUGAUUUGCAUUGACCAGUUUGGUGAGCUCUUUCGGCAAAUCAUUUACCCAUAAUCGGAUGUCAAGUUAGAUGGAUUUAUAUAAGGUUUUAAAGCUGCCUCUUGAUUGAGGGUGUAUUUUCUAAUUGAUCUUUUGCCGAGACUUUAAGAUUCCAUUCCUCCACACUUGAUUGAUUAGAUAUCUUAUUCGAGUUUAUAUUUGCUGCUUGAGUUCUUCUGUAAAACUUGUAUAUGGGAACAAAAGAUGGGAUAAGAUUCGAGCAAUAAUAACUUAUUAGGAUACGAAUAUGAUUAUAUAAUAGUAUUGGAAACGACUACGUAUUGUGGUUAAUAAGUUACAAGUACUUCUAUUUAUAUUACAAUUAAAUUUAAUCAUUAUCAUAAAUCCAAUUCUCCCUUUUAAUGUGAUUGCUGCCAUUUUUAAAAUAAGUUACAAGUACUUGUGAUUGACAGUAAAGAUUAUUUGGAGAAUCAAAAUUUUUAUUGUUUUGUCAUUAUACUAAAUGUUGAGAUUGAUUCACUCUAUUAUUUUAAAAAGAUACAAUUUAUCUAUUACAUUUUGCAACAUAUCCUGGAAAAUUGAUAGUUUUAAUUUUUUACAAAUUUAUAGAAACUAACUUAUUUUUUGUAGUUAACCAAUUAGUGAAGUACAUACUAGUUGAGCAAAAAAGUUAACUUAAACAAUGUAAAUUUUUUUUUUUUGUAUUUGACACUGAUUGACUGAACAAUCCAAUCUUUUUGCUAUGCCAGUAUUGUUUCAUCUAUUGAAAUUUAUUUGCUUUAUUUUUUUGAUUUAUUACUUCUUAUUUAGUUCAUUUUGCAAUAUUUUCAUGGUAAGUCAAUGACAACUUUCAUUAUAUAAAUUGGUGAAAAGUAGCACAUGCUGGUUGAAUGAAAAAACUAAUUUGAAUAAUCACAUGAUUUCAUUGUGGCAAAAUUAUAUAAGUUGUGGGAAUAUGCUUACACAUUAUUAUUAAUGUAUUAUAGCAUGUUCAAUAUACUUUACAACAUACAAAGAGUCAUGAUAGCCUUCAUUAUACAAAUUAGUAUAAAUAAAAGUGCCUUUCACUAUUAAUUAGUUUCUUAAAUACUUGUUCAAAAAAGAUUAACUAGUUAGUUUCGGGUUUUCUUUCAUCAAUAUUGUGCCUCCUAUUGGUAUUUAUUUACUUUGUACUGUGAAAUCUCAAAAUUUUUGACAUUUUUUUAAGGCUGGAAACUGUUUGAUAAACUAACAAUACAAAAUUAGCAUAACAAUAAUUUAAUAAGUUUACUUACCUCUUUAGAGAAUUAUCCCAACAACCUACUGUUACUCAACCACUAAUAGAUAUUGGGUUGGUUAACUAUAUCACGUUCCCUGAAGGUUAAUUAACUGACUCAACAUUAAUCUACUUUCACUCAACCACUAAUAGAUAUAGGGUAUGAAACCCGGCCACUCUCCACCAAAUCGUUCGCCACCUUGAUGUAUCCGUUGUGACCCCACCCAUGCCUCCACGAGUUUUUACAUAAAUAAAACAACUUCUCUUCAUCACCAUCUUCAAACCCCUAACCAACCACUUGCAGAGCAUGCUGAGGUAUCAUCUUGCCUUCUCAUUUUCUGUUUUCAUCUACUCCUCCUCAUAUCGUGUUGGACCCCUAUAAACACCCUGAACAAAAAAGUUAUACCGUCAUACAAAUAGAAAAUAAUCAAUCACGUAAUAACAUUGAUACCAAAUGAAAACAAUAACAGUGAAAGACCCACUUACAUUUCCAGAAUAAUGCCGUAGGCUCCUCACAAAUGGAACUGACACAGCUAAAGGUUGUUCCUGCAAGCGCUCCAUAAUCUUUUCUUUGCUGCCAAUUUUUGUAUAAUCCUUGAUAUAGAUCUUUCGCUUCUAAAAAAAACAUACACAAGUUAGACAAGAUUUUUAAAAAAUAUACACAAGUUAGACAAACUAAAACAAGCAAUUGAUGUACUUGAAUAGAUAAUAUAAUUACCACUCCGGGAGGUGUAACACAUGGUUGUUUCAUUCCUUUCAAUGGACAAUGAUUUUCUGAACAUACACCACGCAACUAGAUAUAUUUAAACGCCUUGUUAAUUGAGCUAGGAUACCCAUAUCUUGGAUCAAUGGACUUCCCCCAUUCGGCCUUUUGCUUUUCAGACAGGGGGAAGAGGUCAUGGAUACAGUAGAUCAAUUCUUGAGGCGCUAAAAGAUGCAGCUGAAAUUACUCUGUCUUGAGAAAUUUUUCAUGCUCCAAACAUAAUGCCGCAUACACGCAAUUUACGGCUGGAAAUGCAUCGCAAGCACCUACGCAAAAAAGCAGUUUCCAUGAUAAAGUAAAAUAGAAAAAAGAAAAACAACAUACAAACGAAAAUCAACACACAGAUAGCCCUUGAGAUUUUACCAAACUCCCCACCAAACCCCAAGAUUUAGCCAAACAACAUAAAAUCCCCCUCUUAAAAAACGUCUAUUGCAUAUCUUGGACGAAUUAGUGAAAUGACUAGAUGCUUACAACACUUAUGAAUUAGUGAAAUGACCAAACCCCAAGAUUUAGCCAAACAAUAUAAAACGGAAAACUCUUACUUGAUCAACACCCACUAAUCAUAAUAGCAAUAUAAUGAUAAAAAAAAAUUUCAGUCUUUUAUGAAUUUUCAGAUCCAAUUUCAAAAAAUUUCCAAAUCUUCAAAACACUAAAAAAUUUGCCCUAAUCAUUGAACAUGGACAUUCACAUGCAUAUCAUAAUCUUGAUUUUGAUUGUCAAAACUUGAUUCACAAGUGCUUGCUUACUUGCAAACAUCUAUCGCGAAUAGGGGUAAUGCUUUUAGAGGGAUGAACAGCCCAAUUCCACUUCACCUAAAAAAAUCUCAAAAUUACAAUAAGCAAUAGAGAGAGAGAGAGAGAGAGAGAGAGGGAGAGAGCAAAUACAACUAUAAAACUAAAAUUUGGCCCAUGAACAGGAAAACAAUCGAAAAUUAGGCAUAAAAGCAUUAUAAAAUAAAACAUUGUAAUGUACAAUGGAAAAAAUUCAGAAUUGGGCUCAAAGUGCAUGAUAAAUGAAAGAUGAAAACAUUGUAACAUACAUAUUUGAAAAAUGGAUGGGAAAAAUCAACAGGUUCCAGGUCAGGCGGGGGCUCUAGAUCUUCCAGUAGAUCGCGCAAAAGUUCAAAUCUCGACAUCCUGCCAAAAAACAACAAUGAUGUAAAAAGUAUCAGUAGGAUGAAGGAAAUAACACCAGUGAUUUGCAUUACAUAAAUCAAAAGUUUUCGCAAAAAAAACAUAAAUCUUCUCAAGCAAUCAUCUUACUUACACACUUAAUGUUAACAACAGUCCUGAAGUUCAAGCAUCAAAGCAAUAGUAACUUUGGUAUAAGAGAUGAGUAUAUUAAAGGGCGCAUCAAGUGUGCUAAACACCUUCAGAUUUAGGUAACAAAUUAUUGACAUAAUCACACAAAAUAUGGAACAUGAAUCCAGCUUUUCACUUAGUCCGAAUUUUGGAAUACAUUCUAAAAGUUGAAGCCCAAAGCAGAAAUCUUAAGUUGAAAUGGGAUAAAAUCAAAUGGAGGACCAUAAAUGUAAUUGUGUAUUAGAUGCCAAAUUUGCUGCUUUGGUUCCUUCCUUUUGUUUCGAUAACUGUGAUCUCUUUAGCUUGUAGUAUACUACAUUAAAUAAUUAAGUUAAAUUGGCGAUUCUUCCAUGCUUCAUAGUGGUUCGAAAGGUUCUAAGUAUGCUGUUAGAUAAUGAUUUGCAUUGACCAGUUUGGUGAGCUCUUUCGGCAAAUCAUUUACCCAUAAUCGGAUGUCAAGUUAGAUGGAUUUAUAUAAGGUUUUAAAGCUGCCUCUUGAUUGAGGGUGUAUUUUCUAAUUGAUCUUUUGCCGAGACUUUAAGAUUCCAUUCCUCCACACUUGAUUGAUUAGAUAUCUUAUUCGAGUUUAUAUUUGCUGCUUGAGUUCUUCUGUAAAACUUGUAUAUGGGAACAAAAGAUGGGAUAAGAUUCGAGCAAUAAUAACUUAUUAGGAUACGAAUAUGAUUAUAUAAUAGUAUUGGAAACGACUACGUAUUGUGGUUAAUAAGUUACAAGUACUUCUAUUUAUAUUACAAUUAAAUUUAAUCAUUAUCAUAAAUCCAAUUCUCCCUUUUAAUGUGAUUGCUGCCAUUUUUAAAAUAAGUUACAAGUACUUGUGAUUGACAGUAAAGAUUAUUUGGAGAAUCAAAAUUUUUAUUGUUUUGUCAUUAUACUAAAUGUUGAGAUUGAUUCACUCUAUUAUUUUAAAAAGAUACAAUUUAUCUAUUACAUUUUGCAACAUAUCCUGGAAAAUUGAUAGUUUUAAUUUUUUACAAAUUUAUAGAAACUAACUUAUUUUUUGUAGUUAACCAAUUAGUGAAGUACAUACUAGUUGAGCAAAAAAGUUAACUUAAACAAUGUAAAUUUUUUUUUUUUGUAUUUGACACUGAUUGACUGAACAAUCCAAUCUUUUUGCUAUGCCAGUAUUGUUUCAUCUAUUGAAAUUUAUUUGCUUUAUUUUUUUGAUUUAUUACUUCUUAUUUAGUUCAUUUUGCAAUAUUUUCAUGGUAAGUCAAUGACAACUUUCAUUAUAUAAAUUGGUGAAAAGUAGCACAUGCUGGUUGAAUGAAAAAACUAAUUUGAAUAAUCACAUGAUUUCAUUGUGGCAAAAUUAUAUAAGUUGUGGGAAUAUGCUUACACAUUAUUAUUAAUGUAUUAUAGCAUGUUCAAUAUACUUUACAACAUACAAAGAGUCAUGAUAGCCUUCAUUAUACAAAUUAGUAUAAAUAAAGUGCCUUUCACUAUUAAUUAGUUUCUUAAAUACUUGUUCAAAAAAGAUUAACUAGUUAGUUUCGGGUUUUCUUUCAUCAAUAUUGUGCCUCCUAUUGGUAUUUAUUUACUUUGUACUGUGAAAUCUCAAAAUUUUUGACAUUUUUUUAAGGCUGGAAACUGUUUGAUAAACUAACAAUACAAAAUUAGCAUAACAAUAAUUUAAUAAGUUUACUUACCUCUUUAGAGAAUUAUCCCAACAACCUACUGUUACUCAACCACUAAUAGAUAUUGGGUUGGUUAACUAUAUCACGUUCCCUGAAGGUUAAUUAACUGACUCAACAUUAAUCUACUUUCACUCAACCACUAAUAGAUAUAGGGUAUGAAACCCGGCCACUCUCCACCAAAUCGUUCGCCACCUUGAUGUAUCCGUUGUGACCCCACCCAUGCCUCCACGAGUUUUUACAUAAAUAAAACAACUUCUCUUCAUCACCAUCUUCAAACCCCUAACCAACCACUUGCAGAGCAUGCUGAGGUAUCAUCUUGCCUUCUCAUUUUCUGUUUUCAUCUACUCCUCCUCAUAUCGUGUUGGACCCCUAUAAACACCCUGAACAAAAAAGUUAUACCGUCAUACAAAUAGAAAAUAAUCAAUCACGUAAUAACAUUGAUACCAAAUGAAAACAAUAACAGUGAAAGACCCACUUACAUUUCCAGAAUAAUGCCGUAGGCUCCUCACAAAUGGAACUGACACAGCUAAAGGUUGUUCCUGCAAGCGCUCCAUAAUCUUUUCUUUGCUGCCAAUUUUUGUAUAAUCCUUGAUAUAGAUCUUUCGCUUCUAAAAAAAACAUACACAAGUUAGACAAGAUUUUUAAAAAAUAUACACAAGUUAGACAAACUAAAACAAGCAAUUGAUGUACUUGAAUAGAUAAUAUAAUUACCACUCCGGGAGGUGUAACACAUGGUUGUUUCAUUCCUUUCAAUGGACAAUGAUUUUCUGAACAUACACCACGCAACUAGAUAUAUUUAAACGCCUUGUUAAUUGAGCUAGGAUACCCAUAUCUUGGAUCAAUGGACUUCCCCCAUUCGGCCUUUUGCUUUUCUGAGAGGGGGAAGAGGUCAUGGAUACAGUAGAUCAAUUCUUGAGGCGCUAAAAGAUGCAGCUGAAAUUACUCUGUCUUGAGAAAUUUUUCAUGCUCCAAACAUAAUGCCGCAUACACGCAAUCUACGGCUGGAAAUGCAUAGCAAGCACCUACGCAAAAAUGCAGUUUCCAUGAUAAAGUAAAAUAGAAAAAAGAAAAACAACAUACAAACGAAAAUCAACACACAGAUAGCCCUUGAGAUUUGGCCAAACUCCCCACCGAACCUCAAGAUUUAGCCAAACAACAUAAAAUCCCCUCUCUUAAAAAACGUCUAUUGCAUAUCUUGGAUGAAUUAGUGAAAUGACUAGAUGCUUACAACACUUAUGAAUUAGUGAAAUGACCAAACCCCAAGAUUUAGCCAAACAAUAUAAAACGGAAAACUCUUACUUGAUCAACACCCACUAAUCAUAAUAGCAAUAUAAUGAUAAAAAAAAAUUUCAGUCUUUUAUGAAUUUUCAGAUCCAAUUUCAAAAAAUUCCAAAUCUUCAAAACACUAAAAAAUUUGCCCUAAUCAUUGAACAUGGACAUUCACAUGCAUAUCAUAAUCUUGAUUUUGAUUGUCAAAACUUGAUUCACAAGUGCUUGCUUACUUGCAAACAUCUAUCGCGAAUAGGGGUAAUGCUUUUAGAGGGAUGAACAGCCCAAUUCCACUUCACCUAAAAAAAUCUCAAAAUUACAAUAAGCAAUAGAGAGAGAGAGAGAGAGAGAGAGAGGGAGAGAGCAAAUACAACUAUAAAACUAAAAUUUGGCCCAUGAACAGGAAAACAAUCGAAAAUUAGGCAUAAAAGCAUUAUAAAAUAAAACAUUGUAAUGUACAAUGGAAAAAAUUCAGAAUUGGGCUCAAAGGCAUGAUAAAUGAAAGAUGAAAACAUUGUAACAUACAUAUUUGAAAAAUGGAUGGGAAAAAUCAACAGGUUCCAGGUCAGGCGGGGGCUCUAGAUCUUCCAGUAGAUCGCGCAAAAGUUCAAAUCUCGACAUCCUGCCAAAAAACAACAAUGAUGUAAAAAGUAUCAGUAGGAUGAAGGAAAUAACACCAGUGAUUUGCAUUACAUAAAUCAAAAGUUUUCGCAAAAAAAACAUAAAUCUUCUCAAGCAAUCAUCUUACUUACACACUUAAUGUUAACAACAGUCCUGAAGUUCAAGCAUCAAAGCAAUAGUAACUUUGGUAUAAGAGAUGAGUAUAUUAAAGGGCGCAUCAAGUGUGCUAAACACCUUCAGAUUUAGGUAACAAAUUAUUGACAUAAUCACACAAAAUAUGGAACAUGAAUCCAGCUUUUCACUUAGUCCGAAUUUUGGAAUACAUUCUAAAAGUUGAAGCCCAAAGCAGAAAUCUUAAGUUGAAAUGGGAUAAAAUCAAAUGGAGGACCAUAAAUGUAAUUGUGUAUUAGAUGCCAAAUUUGCUGCUUUGGUUCCUUCCUUUUGUUUCGAUAACUGUGAUCUCUUUAGCUUGUAGUAUACUACAUUAAAUAAUUAAGUUAAAUUGGCGAUUCUUCCAUGCUUCAUAGUGGUUCGAAAGGUUCUAAGUAUGCUGUUAGAUAAUGAUUUGCAUUGACCAGUUUGGUGAGCUCUUUCGGCAAAUCAUUUACCCAUAAUCGGAUGUCAAGUUAGAUGGAUUUAUAUAAGGUUUUAAAGCUGCCUCUUGAUUGAGGGUGUAUUUUCUAAUUGAUCUUUUGCCGAGACUUUAAGAUUCCAUUCCUCCACACUUGAUUGAUUAGAUAUCUUAUUCGAGUUUAUAUUUGCUGCUUGAGUUCUUCUGUAAAACUUGUAUAUGGGAACAAAAGAUGGGAUAAGAUUCGAGCAAUAAUAACUUAUUAGGAUACGAAUAUGAUUAUAUAAUAGUAUUGGAAACGACUACGUAUUGUGGUUAAUAAGUUACAAGUACUUCUAUUUAUAUUACAAUUAAAUUUAAUCAUUAUCAUAAAUCCAAUUCUCCCUUUUAAUGUGAUUGCUGCCAUUUUUAAAAUAAGUUACAAGUACUUGUGAUUGACAGUAAAGAUUAUUUGGAGAAUCAAAAUUUUUAUUGUUUUGUCAUUAUACUAAAUGUUGAGAUUGAUUCACUCUAUUAUUUUAAAAAGAUACAAUUUAUCUAUUACAUUUUGCAACAUAUCCUGGAAAAUUGAUAGUUUUAAUUUUUUACAAAUUUAUAGAAACUAACUUAUUUUUUGUAGUUAACCAAUUAGUGAAGUACAUACUAGUUGAGCAAAAAAGUUAACUUAAACAAUGUAAAUUUUUUUUUUUUGUAUUUGACACUGAUUGACUGAACAAUCCAAUCUUUUUGCUAUGCCAGUAUUGUUUCAUCUAUUGAAAUUUAUUUGCUUUAUUUUUUUGAUUUAUUACUUCUUAUUUAGUUCAUUUUGCAAUAUUUUCAUGGUAAGUCAAUGACAACUUUCAUUAUAUAAAUUGGUGAAAAGUAGCACAUGCUGGUUGAAUGAAAAAACUAAUUUGAAUAAUCACAUGAUUUCAUUGUGGCAAAAUUAUAUAAGUUGUGGGAAUAUGCUUACACAUUAUUAUUAAUGUAUUAUAGCAUGUUCAAUAUACUUUACAACAUACAAAGAGUCAUGAUAGCCUUCAUUAUACAAAUUAGUAUAAAUAAAGUGCCUUUCACUAUUAAUUAGUUUCUUAAAUACUUGUUCAAAAAAGAUUAACUAGUUAGUUUCGGGUUUUCUUUCAUCAAUAUUGUGCCUCCUAUUGGUAUUUAUUUACUUUGUACUGUGAAAUCUCAAAAUUUUUGACAUUUUUUUAAGGCUGGAAACUGUUUGAUAAACUAACAAUACAAAAUUAGCAUAACAAUAAUUUAAUAAGUUUACUUACCUCUUUAGAGAAUUAUCCCAACAACCUACUGUUACUCAACCACUAAUAGAUAUUGGGUUGGUUAACUAUAUCACGUUCCCUGAAGGUUAAUUAACUGACUCAACAUUAAUCUACUUUCACUCAACCACUAAUAGAUAUAGGGUAUGAAACCCGGCCACUCUCCACCAAAUCGUUCGCCACCUUGAUGUAUCCGUUGUGACCCCACCCAUGCCUCCACGAGUUUUUACAUAAAUAAAACAACUUCUCUUCAUCACCAUCUUCAAACCCCUAACCAACCACUUGCAGAGCAUGCUGAGGUAUCAUCUUGCCUUCUCAUUUUCUGUUUUCAUCUACUCCUCCUCAUAUCGUGUUGGACCCCUAUAAACACCCUGAACAAAAAAGUUAUACCGUCAUACAAAUAGAAAAUAAUCAAUCACGUAAUAACAUUGAUACCAAAUGAAAACAAUAACAGUGAAAGACCCACUUACAUUUCCAGAAUAAUGCCGUAGGCUCCUCACAAAUGGAACUGACACAGCUAAAGGUUGUUCCUGCAAGCGCUCCAUAAUCUUUUCUUUGCUGCCAAUUUUUGUAUAAUCCUUGAUAUAGAUCUUUCGCUUCUAAAAAAAACAUACACAAGUUAGACAAGAUUUUUAAAAAAUAUACACAAGUUAGACAAACUAAAACAAGCAAUUGAUGUACUUGAAUAGAUAAUAUAAUUACCACUCCGGGAGGUGUAACACAUGGUUGUUUCAUUCCUUCAAAUGGACAAUGGUUUUCUGAACAUACACCACGCAACUAGAUAUAUUUAAACGCCUUGUUAAUUGAGCUAGGAUACCCAUAUCUUGGAUCAAUGGACUUCCCCCAUUCGGCCUUUUGCUUUUCAGACAGGGGGAAGAGGUCAUGGAUACAGUAGAUCAAUUCUUGAGGCGCUAAAAGAUGCAGCUGAAAUUACUCUGUCUUGAGAAAUUUUUCAUGCUCCAAACAUAAUGCCGCAUACACGCAAUUUACGGCUGGAAAUGCAUCGCAAGCACCUACGCAAAAAAGCAGUUUCCAUGAUAAAGUAAAAUAGAAAAAAGAAAAACAACAUACAAACGAAAAUCAACACACAGAUAGCCCUUGAGAUUUUACCAAACUCCCCACCAAACCCCAAGAUUUAGCCAAACAACAUAAAAUCCCCCUCUUAAAAAACGUCUAUUGCAUAUCUUGGACGAAUUAGUGAAAUGACUAGAUGCUUACAACACUUAUGAAUUAGUGAAAUGACCAAACCCCAAGAUUUAGCCAAACAAUAUAAAACGGAAAACUCUUACUUGAUCAACACCCACUAAUCAUAAUAGCAAUAUAAUGAUAAAAAAAAAUUUCAGUCUUUUAUGAAUUUUCAGAUCCAAUUUCAAAAAAUUUCCAAAUCUUCAAAACACUAAAAAAUUUGCCCUAAUCAUUGAACAUGGACAUUCACAUGCAUAUCAUAAUCUUGAUUUUGAUUGUCAAAACUUGAUUCACAAGUGCUUGCUUACUUGCAAACAUCUAUCGCGAAUAGGGGUAAUGCUUUUAGAGGGAUGAACAGCCCAAUUCCACUUCACCUAAAAAAAUCUCAAAAUUACAAUAAGCAAUAGAGAGAGAGAGAGAGAGAGAGAGAGGGAGAGAGCAAAUACAACUAUAAAACUAAAAUUUGGCCCAUGAACAGGAAAACAAUCGAAAAUUAGGCAUAAAAGCAUUAUAAAAUAAAACAUUGUAAUGUACAAUGGAAAAAAUUCAGAAUUGGGCUCAAAGGCAUGAUAAAUGAAAGAUGAAAACAUUGUAACAUACAUAUUUGAAAAAUGGAUGGGAAAAAUCAACAGGUUCCAGGUCAGGCGGGGGCUCUAGAUCUUCCAGUAGAUCGCGCAAAAGUUCAAAUCUCGACAUCCUGCCAAAAAACAACAAUGAUGUAAAAAGUAUCAGUAGGAUGAAGGAAAUAACACCAGUGAUUUGCAUUACAUAAAUCAAAAGUUUUCGCAAAAAAAACAUAAAUCUUCUCAAGCAAUCAUCUUACUUACACACUUAAUGUUAACAACAGUCCUGAAGUUCAAGCAUCAAAGCAAUAGUAACUUUGGUAUAAGAGAUGAGUAUAUUAAAGGGCGCAUCAAGUGUGCUAAACACCUUCAGAUUUAGGUAACAAAUUAUUGACAUAAUCACACAAAAUAUGGAACAUGAAUCCAGCUUUUCACUUAGUCCGAAUUUUGGAAUACAUUCUAAAAGUUGAAGCCCAAAGCAGAAAUCUUAAGUUGAAAUGGGAUAAAAUCAAAUGGAGGACCAUAAAUGUAAUUGUGUAUUAGAUGCCAAAUUUGCUGCUUUGGUUCCUUCCUUUUGUUUCGAUAACUGUGAUCUCUUUAGCUUGUAGUAUACUACAUUAAAUAAUUAAGUUAAAUUGGCGAUUCUUCCAUGCUUCAUAGUGGUUCGAAAGGUUCUAAGUAUGCUGUUAGAUAAUGAUUUGCAUUGACCAGUUUGGUGAGCUCUUUCGGCAAAUCAUUUACCCAUAAUCGGAUGUCAAGUUAGAUGGAUUUAUAUAAGGUUUUAAAGCUGCCUCUUGAUUGAGGGUGUAUUUUCUAAUUGAUCUUUUGCCGAGACUUUAAGAUUCCAUUCCUCCACACUUGAUUGAUUAGAUAUCUUAUUCGAGUUUAUAUUUGCUGCUUGAGUUCUUCUGUAAAACUUGUAUAUGGGAACAAAAGAUGGGAUAAGAUUCGAGCAAUAAUAACUUAUUAGGAUACGAAUAUGAUUAUAUAAUAGUAUUGGAAACGACUACGUAUUGUGGUUAAUAAGUUACAAGUACUUCUAUUUAUAUUACAAUUAAAUUUAAUCAUUAUCAUAAAUCCAAUUCUCCCUUUUAAUGUGAUUGCUGCCAUUUUUAAAAUAAGUUACAAGUACUUGUGAUUGACAGUAAAGAUUAUUUGGAGAAUCAAAAUUUUUAUUGUUUUGUCAUUAUACUAAAUGUUGAGAUUGAUUCACUCUAUUAUUUUAAAAAGAUACAAUUUAUCUAUUACAUUUUGCAACAUAUCCUGGAAAAUUGAUAGUUUUAAUUUUUUACAAAUUUAUAGAAACUAACUUAUUUUUUGUAGUUAACCAAUUAGUGAAGUACAUACUAGUUGAGCAAAAAAGUUAACUUAAACAAUGUAAAUUUUUUUUUUUUGUAUUUGACACUGAUUGACUGAACAAUCCAAUCUUUUUGCUAUGCCAGUAUUGUUUCAUCUAUUGAAAUUUAUUUGCUUUAUUUUUUUGAUUUAUUACUUCUUAUUUAGUUCAUUUUGCAAUAUUUUCAUGGUAAGUCAAUGACAACUUUCAUUAUAUAAAUUGGUGAAAAGUAGCACAUGCUGGUUGAAUGAAAAAACUAAUUUGAAUAAUCACAUGAUUUCAUUGUGGCAAAAUUAUAUAAGUUGUGGGAAUAUGCUUACACAUUAUUAUUAAUGUAUUAUAGCAUGUUCAAUAUACUUUACAACAUACAAAGAGUCAUGAUAGCCUUCAUUAUACAAAUUAGUAUAAAUAAAGUGCCUUCCACUAUUAAUUAGUUUCUUAAAUACUUGUUCAAAAAAGAUUAACUAGUUAGUUUCGGGUUUUCUUUCAUCAAUAUUGUGCCUCCUAUUGAUAUUUAUUUACUUUGUACUGUGAAAUCUCAAAAUUUUUGACAUUUUUUUAAGGCUGGAAACUGUUUGAUAAACUAACAAUACAAAAUUAGCAUAACAAUAAUUUAAUAAGUUUACUUACCUCUUUAGAGAAUUAUCCCAACAACCUACUGUUACUCAACCACUAAUAGAUAUUGGGUUGGUUAACUAUAUCACGUUCCCUGAAGGUUAAUUAACUGACUCAACAUUAAUCUACUUUCACUCAACCACUAAUAGAUAUAGGGUAUGAAACCCGGCCACUCUCCACCAAAUCGUUCGCCACCUUGAUGUAUCCGUUGUGACCCCACCCAUGCCUCCACGAGUUUUUACAUAAAUAAAACAACUUCUCUUCAUCACCAUCUUCAAACCCCUAACCAACCACUUGCAGAGCAUGCUGAGGUAUCAUCUUGCCUUCUCAUUUUCUGUUUUCAUCUACUCCUCCUCAUAUCGUGUUGGACCCCUAUAAACACCCUGAACAAAAAAGUUAUACCGUCAUACAAAUAGAAAAUAAUCAAUCACGUAAUAACAUUGAUACCAAAUGAAAACAAUAACAGUGAAAGACCCACUUACAUUUCCAGAAUAAUGCCGUAGGCUCCUCACAAAUGGAACUGACACAGCUAAAGGUUGUUCCUGCAAGCGCUCCAUAAUCUUUUCUUUGCUGCCAAUUUUUGUAUAAUCCUUGAUAUAGAUCUUUCGCUUCUAAAAAAAACAUACACAAGUUAGACAAGAUUUUUAAAAAAUAUACACAAGUUAGACAAACUAAAACAAGCAAUUGAUGUACUUGAAUAGAUAAUAUAAUUACCACUCCGGGAGGUGUAACACAUGGUUGUUUCAUUCCUUCAAAUGGACAAUGGUUUUCUGAACAUACACCACGCAACUAGAUAUAUUUAAACGCCUUGUUAAUUGAGCUAGGAUACCCAUAUCUUGGAUCAAUGGACUUCCCCCAUUCGGCCUUUUGCUUUUCAGACAGGGGGAAGAGGUCAUGGAUACAGUAGAUCAAUUCUUGAGGCGCUAAAAGAUGCAGCUGAAAUUACUCUGUCUUGAGAAAUUUUUCAUGCUCCAAACAUAAUGCCGCAUACACGCAAUCUACGGCUGGAAAUGCAUCGCAAGCACCUACGCAAAAAUGCAGUUUCCAUGAUAAAGUAAAAUAGAAAAAAGAAAAACAACAUACAAACGAAAAUCAACACACAGAUAGCCCUUGAGAUUUUACCAAACUCCCCACCAAACCCCAAGAUUUAGCCAAACAACAUAAAAUCCCCCUCUUAAAAAACGUCUAUUGCAUAUCUUGGACGAAUUAGUGAAAUGACUAGAUGCUUACAACACUUAUGAAUUAGUGAAAUGACCAAACCCCAAGAUUUAGCCAAACAACAUAAAACGGAAAACUCUUACUUGAUCAACACCCACUAAUCAUAAUAGCAACAUAAUCGCCGAUGACCCAUGUAACACUAUUUUGAACUAUGCCUUAAAUGUUGUGAAACAGUUUGCUUAUGACAGACUGGACAUGCUAAAUAACCUUUAGUGCUCCAUCCAGAUAAAUUAGCAUAACUAGGAAAGUCAUUAAUGGUCCGCAGUAAAGCAAUUUGCAUUUGAAAAUUCUGCUUUGAUGAUGCAUUAUAAAUAAUCACACAUAUGUCCCAUAAUUCCUUCAACUUAACCACAAGAGGUUAAAGGUAAACAUCAAUAUUAUUUUCAAGUGCAUUUGGACCAGGAAUAAGUAGUGACAACAUAAAGUAUGGCUGUUUCAUACACAUCCAUGGUGGAAGAUUAUAAGACAUCAAUACUACCGGUCAUGUACUAUGAUUCACAUUCAUGUUUUUGAAUGGAUUAAAUCCAUCCAAAAUCGACCCAAUCUAACAUUACGAGGUUCUUUUGCAAAUUUGGGAUUUUAGUAAUCAAAUGAUUGCCAAACUGGAGUAUCUACAGGAUGUCUCAUGUGACCAUCCUUAGCACGGCCCUCGAUAUGCCAUUUUCAUGAAAUAUGCAAUUUUAGAUGACAUGAAUAGACGCUGCAAUCGGGGUUUAAGUGGAAAGUACUACAAAAUCUUAUGGGGAACUCUCUGUUUUUCACCAGUGGAUCAUCCUCUGAUGGCACCCACCUAAGAUGUUUACAAAUGUCAUAUUUGAUCUUUGAUUCAUAUUUUUCCCAAUACAAUGUGCAAUCAUUAGGACAAGCGUCAUUGUUUUUAUAUCCAAGUUCUAGUUCUUUCAUUAUCUUUUUUUGCUUCAAAAUAGGAAUUGGGUAAAUUUACACCUUCUGGGAGUGCUUGCAUCAACAAAUCAAGAAGUGUGUUGAAUAUGGAAUCAGGCAUUUUGAAAAGAAAGUUUAGAGAAUUGUGGGCAGUCUGGAUAAAGGGAUUGCUUUGAAUCAUUUAUUAGAUUGUAGAAUUUCUUUGCAUCAUUAUUAGGCUGCUCUAUUUCUAAUCUUUCUACCAUAUCUAGGUCCUAGUUUAGAACUCCUAAUGCAUCUUACAACAGUCCCUGCAUAUCAUCUACGAGAUUGAGUGGAGGAAUUUCAUUUGAAGGGCCAUCAGGAGAUGUAUGUAGAACAUUCGAAGAUAGCUCUCCAUGAGCUAUCCAUUAUGUAUAUCCUUUAAUAAACCCUUUCCACAUCAAGUGUGAUUCGGCCUGGUCUCUCAUGACAAAUACCCCAUUUCCACACCGAAUGCAUGGACAUAAAAUCAUCUCCCCCACACUCCCAUUUGCAAAUGCAAAAUAAAGGAAAUCUUGUAAACCAACUUUAUACUCAUCACUUGAUUGUGACAAAUUUAUCCAUCUUUUAUCCAUGUUCAAAUAGAUUCUAAUUUAAUAAAAAAAGAAAUGUUUAUUAACAUUUAAAAGACAAUUCUAUCUAACAGAUUCUAAUUUAAUAAAAAAGGAAAUGUUUUACUCCAUCUAAAAUAGAAUUCUUCUUACCAUAUUACAGAUUUUUGAACGAAACAUUUACUUAAAUAAGUAAAGUAAUUUCAAUGAUAUCCAGAAAAUGCAGCAAAGAGUUUGUUUAAUAGAGACAGACAACAAAUUAGAAUUUCAUUCCAAUAAUUGAAAAAGUAAAAUCUAAACAAUAAAUUGUUGCCAAAGAUGUCUAGCAUUGAAGUAAUAAGAUUGGAAUAUAUUUACAGCAUUUCAAGUUAAAUUUGAACAACAACAAAAACAUAUUAAGUACUAGCUCCAAUUAAUAAACCUAAACUAUAGUUAUGGAUUCAAUUUAUUAUAACUGAUCAUAGGUCUUAGUACUUAACUAACAUAAAAUGCAGCUAUAGAAGUUGGUCAAACCUUGUUCUUCUCCUCCUUGUAUCCUCUUUAAGUAGUAGGAUUCUCUAUUGAACUUGAUUAUGUGCUGUCCAAAUCUAGUCACCUAAGAUAAAAGGUUAAAGAGGACAAAAAAAGAUAGUCUCAAAACAGAGCAGUGCUUGACAAUCAUAAAAGAACGGUGCAUCUUUGUCCCAAAGAUAUAAGAAUGAUUGAAGUUUACUUAAAUCAGAAAUUGAGAUAUACCAUGAAUGAGGGUAAACUAAGAUUUGGUUUGACAGUUGUAUUACUAAACUAUAUUGAAUCUAAACCAUUUUAGUAGAGUCACAUAUUCUAAAUUUGAGUUUAUUUGCUACACCAUGCCACAUUAGUUCUGCCACAAAUGGAGUUGGUUGAAAAUAAAGACAUAUUGGUGAUGUAACAUUUAAAACCCGGAAGUAUAGUAAGAACUAAAACAGGUGCUAGUUCCUAGUUUCUGAAGAGUUCAAUUCAAAAAUUUUCGGUUUCUACUUCAAUAUGUCUAUCUUCAACAACUAUACAUAUCAAUUCAGUUCCAAAUCUUCUCACAAUAGUACAUAUAAUCAUACAAUAUCACCCUCCUGUAAGUAUGUUAUUGCACUUUAUUAGUCUCUUGAUGACUAUCUAUCUUUCUAACAAAACCCCAAAAUCCAAUUACAAGGAAGAACAAAUAAACCAAAUUCCAAGAGCCAUCAAAUGAAGAAUGAACAAAGCUGAAAAUAAGAUGCUUAAACUAGACUAAUAAAGUUUCUUAAACUCUAUUUGGUUUCUUAUCACAAUCCGAAUCUGAAUCCAAGAACUUGGUAAUUACCAACCACUCAAGUAUCGCCCAAUAUUGCCCUGUUUAGGAGCACAUAAUUUAAACAUCUUCAAGUUCAACCAGCAGCAUUAAAACUAGUUAAACAACUAUUGAGAUGGGGCAGAUAUAUUUUGAAAGUUUCUUUCUGGCAAAACAGCAAACACAUAGCAAAUAUUAUUAGACUUCACGUUUUUGGGUGGAAAAGUAUAACACUAAAUGCUUGAAAUCAGUCCAAACUCAUGACAAACAGAAUAACCCACUUAAUAUCAGAUGCCUUUUGCCUCCUUCUUGGCCAAAAGGCGCCUUAGUGGAGCGCCAUUUUGUUUCAACAUUUUCUGUUUUUUUUUUCAAUCCGUUUCCAACAUUACGAUGUCGUUUUGGUGUCUCCUUUUCCUUUUUAAUGACUAUUCCUAUUGCAUGUCAUAUUAAGAUUGUAUUAUGACAUUUUGCUAAAAGUGUCAUAAUAAGUAUGUCAUUAAAGACUAUUUUUGUAGUAGUGUCUGAUUCCUGUUGCUAAGCUAGUUUGUAAAGCUUGUGUCUAUUAGUGAUGCACCUUGUGCAUUACGCUUGCAACUUGUUAACGGUCUAUAAUCCUUUUUGUUUUCCAAAUAGAUAUAUUUUUCAGCAGUACAUUACCUGUGCUUUUGUAUGGGAAGAUUAGUUUUAUAGUAAUUUACCUUAUUUGGACUUUCGUGAGAAGUUGAACACUAGAUACCUUUUGUCUCCUUCUUGGCCAUUUGCCUCUACUUUUCAGGCUCCCUUUUUUUCCUGCUGCCUUUUUGUGUUUCUAUUGCUGCUCCACAUUAUUUUAAUAAAAAUAGCUCGGGCAUAUAGUGAGAAUAUCAUGCCUUAUGAAAGUGGCAAUGCCUUUAAACUUCCACUUAGUGUUUCAGUUUUCUUGUAUUAGAAUCAUAGUGGACUUAGCCUUUAAACUAUAAUUACUUGAGGAUAUGUAGAAAACUUAACACAAAUGAUAUUCAAGAUGUUCUUAAGCAAGCUUUUCAAGCCGGUACAUUAUGGCCAUGUACUUUACCCUAGUUUUCAUGAGUGUUCUAGAGAACUAACCCAAUUUCUCAUAAGAGUAGUCAAACCCUUACACUCAUAUAGGUGAGUCUAUCAAGAAUGUUUCUGUGACUAAAACAUCCCACCCAUAAGGGCUAUAGAAUUCAUUAAGAGAUUAGUUUUCAACCUCUCAUAUUCGUCAUAGAAUUACAUGCAUAGCAUCCUAUGAUUAGACUAAAAAUUUGCAUGUAUCACAAUAAGCGACUCUAUGAUUCAUUUGUUCCUUUGGGUUGAUCCAUAUAAAUCUCUUCAUUUAAAUCACCAUUAUCCAUUUGAGAUAUUUUUAAUUCAUGAAUUGCUACUAUAGCUAUUAAAAGUUGUAUAGAAGUCACUCUUGUAACUGGUAAAAAAGUAUCGAAGAAAUGUAUCUCUUCCUUUUGCUUAAAACCUUUUGCAACAAACCUGACUUUAUAUUUAUCUAUAGUGCCAUCAGGUUAAAGUGUUUUCCUUAAUAUCCAUUUACAACCUAUAGUUUUACAAACUGGAGGUAAAUCAACUAAUUUUCAAGUUUUAUUAGACAUUAAAGAUUCCAUUUCAUCAUUAAUUAUUUCUCUCCAAAAAUCAGAAACAAAUGAUGACAAAGCUUUAGAAAUAGUUAUAGAAUCCCCCUCUACAUUAUAAGUUUGAAAAUCAGGACCAAAAUUUUUUUGUAUUCUUUUCCUUUUACUGGAUCUCAAUUGCUCUUUUCCUCUAGUUGAACCUUUAGCGUUAGAAGAACUAGUUUCUUCGGAUAUUCCACUAUAUUAGUUCAAUUUUAUACCCCCACUAUCUUUAAAUUUGAAUGAAAAUUUAUUUUCAUGAAAAAUUGCAUCUAAAGAUUCAAUUACUACGUUAUUUUCUAAAUCUAGAAAUCUAUAUGCCUUACUAUUUAAAGAAUAUCCAAGAAAUAUUCAUCUAAUUGCUUUUAUUCCUAAUUUUGGAAUUUUUGGUUCAGAAAUGCCUACAUACGCUAAACAACCCUAUACUCUAAAAUAUUCAAUAUUGGGUUUUUAUUUCUCCAUAAUUUGUGAGGAGUUAUUAAAUCUUUUUUAUGUGGUAAAUAAAGUAUAAUUUGCUGAUAAAAUAGCUUCACCCCAUAAAUUUUUAGGUGCACUCGAAUUUGCUAACAUAGCAUUUGUUAAAUCUAUCAAAGAUUUAUUUUUUCUUUCAGCCACACCGUUUGAUGGAGGUGAAUAUGAUGGAGUAACCUUAUGUAUUAUUCCUAAUGAUUUGAUAAAAUUUAUAAGGCCAAUAGUAUCAUAUUCUUUUCCUUCAUCUAUUCUGAAUCUUUUGAUUUUCCUUUCAAAAUGAUUUUCAACCUUUUUAAAAAAAAUAAUAAAUUUCUCAAAAGCCUCACUUUUAUGUUUCAUAAGGUAGAUAUAACAAUAUUUUAAAAAAUCAUCUAUAAACAUGAUAAAAUAUCUUUUACCUCCACAUGUUAAUAUGCUUUCAACUUCACAAAUGUCAGAAUGUAUUAAUUCUAAUAAUUAUGUUUUUUUUCAACUUUUAAAUGAGAUUGUCUAGUUAUUUUAGUCAUGCUACAAUAUUCACAGUUUUCAAACUCAUUAUGCAAUUUUGGAAUUAAUCCUAUGUGGCUCAUAUUUUUUAAGUAUUUGCUAGUUAUAUGACAAAGACAUGCAUGCCACAUAUUUAUACAAGAAACGAUGUAACCAGAUGUAGAAAUUUCAUUCAUUUCAACAUUAAGUUUAAACAUACCAUCACAAGCAUAACCUUUUCCAACAAAGGUACCAUUUUUUGUAAGCACAUAUUGAUCAGACUCUAUAGACUGCUUAAAACCAGAUUAAGAAGAUAGCAAGAAACCAAGUUCUUCUUAAUUUCAGGAACGUGAAGAAUAUCUCUUCGGGUCAAGACACGCCCAGAAGUAAAUUUUAGUUCAACUUCGCCCAUGUCUAGAACAUUGGUUGUAUGUGAAUCUCCUAGCAAAAAUUUUGUUUCUUUUUCAAUAUCAGAAUAACUUUUGAACCAAGUUCUAUCAUACCAAACAUGUCUAGAGGCACUAGAAUCAGCCCACCACUCUUCAGUAUUUCCAACAAAAUUGAUUUUAGAAAUCAUAGCCACAAAUGGCUCUUCUAUUGGUUGAGUCACAUUAGCUUGUGGCUUAAAAUUGGGUCCAAAUGUUCUAAAACGGCAAUUUUUUGCACGAUGACCCAAUUUUUCACAAACAAAACAAGCUCUAUUAUUCAUAUUAUUUCCAAAAUUUUGGAACAUUUGAAACUUAUUUUGAAGGGGGUCCUUGAUUUGACUUUUUCUGAUUAAAAUUAUUUUUUGAAAACUUGUUUUUCAUAUUCUUCCCUCUAGACUUCAAGUAGGCGUUAUUUUUGUCUUGUUGACCCUUAGAGACAUUGUCACUAGAAGUUAGGAAGUUUACCUUAGUAUUCCCAUUGAAAUCUUCACCUUUAUCUUGUUUUCUUCUUCAAUGUGCAACCUUGCCAUCAAAUUUCCUAUAGUCAAUUCUUGUUGCUUGUGACGUAGCCCUUUCUGAAAAUCUUUUCAUGAUGUUGGAAGUUUGUCAAUGAUGGCUGCAACUUGCAUUUGUGGAUUGACUUUGACUCCUUCACACUCAAUCUCAUGGAUGAUCAUUUGCAAGUCAUGAACUUGCUCUAGCAUUGGCUUGUUCUCCACCAUUUGGAACUCAAAAUAACGGCUACAAGCAUAUUUUUUCGAACCUACUUCUUCGAUAUCGUAUUUUUGUUGCAAUGCUCUCCAAAUUCUUUUGCUAAAGUAUAAGAUAAAAAAUAAAAAUCAUAAAGUUCAUCAAACAAACAAUUAAGGAUAUAAUUUUUGCAAUCUUCCUCAUCAUUUUUCCAUUUUUGAAUACCCUUUCUUUAUCAGUCAUUAGACUGGUGUCUAUCUUUUUUGGAUUCUUUGUGGCUAGGACCCAGGCAACCUUCAUUAGUUUCAAAUAGAACGUCACUUUUUUGGCCCAUCUUUUGAAGUUGGCCACUAAAGCGAAAUGGUUUGUUAAGACCACUAGAUCCAAUAGUGCUAGCGUUUGCAACACUGCUUGCAACUUUCAUGAUACUCGAAUCAUCUUAAAUUGUUGUUCCUUUAGAACUUGAUAUGCAUGAUCAACCUACAAAACAAAGGUUAAAGAAAGAGAAAUAAAGCAAUUUUGUCUAAGUGAGGCACGGACUAGAUCGCUCUCUUAAGACGAUUCGCACCCCUCUUGGGAUUAUGCCAAGUGUAGAAGGUUGAUGGUACAACAACUCAACCUAUGCCUCUGAGAUACAACAGCUCAGCCUAUGCUGUUACUUCUACUAAAUCUACACAAUUUAGAGAAUCUAAAGCUCUUCCCAACACCUAACUAAUGCCCAAUAAAAGCGAGAGAAAGAUAGUUUUUGAGAUAGUAAGAAAGUGUAUCAAACUUGGUUGAUAGUGGCCUCUAUUUAUAGGCUAAACUUUAGGAGUAUUAGAAUACCACCAUUAAAUGGAAUAAAUAUGUCAUAUUUUCAGGUACAAAUUUUGAAAAGGUCUAGGUCAUUGUAUAAUAGUUAAAAUUCACUAAAUAAAUUCGUAAAACCUAAUCAUUACAUAGGUUACAAAUACAAGACAAAUCUCAGAAGUUACCCUUUUGAAUGGUUGAUUUUAUGACUGAAAAUUCAUUAAAAAAUUUGUAACUUGUUGUUUUUGAAUUUAAAAUAAGCAUGUGAAUGAAUUCAAAAUAUAAUGAUAUUUUUAUUAAAAUAUCCAACAAUAGGAAUGACGAUUUAAGCUUAUUGAAAUCUAUUCAUCUUGCAAAAUUUGCAUCGAUUGUCUCUUUCUCUAUUACAGUUUUAAACAGAUACAUUGACCAAUUUGUUGAAUUGAACCAAAAGUAGUACUAAAACAAGUGUACAAGACUCUAAAAAAACAUUUAGAAAAACUUGAUCAAGAACCUAUAACACUCUAAAUAAAGCAUCACUUUUUGCUCAUUCUAUUAGCUUUUGAAUGGACUAUCUAACUUUUCUAUCCAGUUUUUAACUAGUACCCUACCCAAUAAGUUUUGGAAUAAUUUCAAAAACCUCUCUUGAGAUUUCUCAUAAUAUUAUUCAACUCCUCUAAAGAUUUUAAAAUGUCACUUACCUCCCUUGUUAGUUUGACUUGACUAAAUAUUUUUAUCAAAUGUCACAAAUUAAUUAUAUUACCCUUACUCUUAAUAACUAUUUAACCAAAAAGUCAAAACAAAAUAAAAUUUUUAAACCAAAAAAUGUAGAUUAAAACAAAAAUAAAUUAUUAUAUGAUAAUAGUCUAUAUUUCUCUUUAUUGAGAUCAUGAUGGCAUAGCAAAGGACAUAAAUAAAUUAAAUCCAAUUAAAAUCAACCACUUAGGAGGAAUUUGGUGAAUAAUUAAUACCUUGAAAACUUUCAUAGACAGUUAUAUGAAAGCCAAGAAUUUUUUCAAAAAACAAAAUCAAGAAACUUUUUUAGGAAAUACAUUUUAAUACAUGAUGUAGUUUAAGUUGUAUUGAAAAUUAAAAUAAUCUCUUCAUAUAUGUGAAUUCUACAAGGUGUAAAAUUUGGAGAAAAUGACCUGUUUCAUCCCUUAGAUUUCGCAAAAAUAUUCUUUUCAUCCCUCAUUUUUAAAACGAAAUAAAUUCGUCCCUGAAAUUUAAAAAUUAAAACUAUUAUAUCCUUGAACUCAACUUUCAAUCUAAAUCAAACCAUCUUAUAUCCUAGUAAUAAUCUUCAGUGAUAGAAUUGAUAGAUCACUCGAUCAACUCCAUCACAUUCACAUGACAUUUAUUGAACCAAAAAAAGUAAAACAAUUAAAAAAUUAUAACAUAAAAGGCCUAUCUUUGUUUUGAAAUAGUAGGGUUUCUUUUUUGGGUAAAUUUUUUUAUGCACUGUUAGCAUAUAAACUUGUGAGUCUAGAUGUAUACUAUACAUACAAAGUUUGGUAUUUAAAUUAAAAUUAAAAUGAUGUGGCAGGUAUCUAGACCCGUCAGUGUAUACAAUGAUAAUGUACGAAAGAUUAAUUCUUUUUUAUGUUUUAAUUUUAUAUUUUCCUUUUUAAGUUUAUUAAAUUUCACGUGAAUAUUAAGUUGAGUUAACCAAGUAAUUUGCCAAUUAUACCCCCAAAAUUUGUUAUUGGAUUGUUGGGUGGUUGGAUUCAAAACGAAAGUUGGUUUCAGGGAUGUAAUAGCUUUAGUUUUUAAAUGUCAAAAAUGAAUUUGCUUUGUUUUAAAAGUGAGGGACUAAAAGAAGUCAUUUUUUUGGUAAAUUUUGCUUUGUUCCAAAAUAAUUAAAAUAAAUAGUUUAAGUUAAGAAAUUUACACCUUAUAAAAAGUUAAUCUUAUUUUAUUUUUUAUUAUUGAUGUAAACUUUAUAAGUGGGAUAACAUGGGGGUAGUACUGGAAUAAAACACUUUAUCUUUCUUGUAUUUCCUUCAAAGAGGCUAAAACGUUACAAUAAAUGUCAAUCCAAGGGAGAUAAAUGAAAAUUUAAAAAUCUCAGGGGAGCUGAGUGCUAUUAUGAGAAAUCUAAGGGGAGGUUUCUGAAAUUAUCCCAUAAGUUUAAGUAAGCGUAAAAUAGUAAUGUCAAAUCACACAUUGGGAGGAACAUGUAUAAUAAUUUGAAUCAAUCAAGAAAACUUUUGGCCAAUCAAUGAAUUGAAUCAAUCAAAAGAACUUCUGGCCAAUCACCUACUGAAUCAAUCAAGAGAACUUUUGACAAUUAAGAGACUAAAAAGUUUACUUUUGACAAAAAAAAAAAAAAAAGACUAAAAAGUUUACAUUACUUUUAAAAAUUGUUACUCUGUUCAAAUAUUAGAUGGAAGUUUUUUUUUUUUCAACUAUCUUACCAAAGGUCAAUCUAUUAGGAUUUGUAUUGAUGGGGCUUCCAACAACCAUUACUCUAUUAUCAUUUGAUAGUCCAAACAAAUUGUAAAGUUAGAUAAACGACUAGAAAAUCUUGUUAGAUAUAAAUUUGAUGCAUUCAAAAUCUAUAGAGCAGUUUACUAAAAGACUUGUUACGUUUCUUGCUUCCAUUUUCCAUGACUUUAAAUAUCUUCACUCUGUCUGCAAUAAUGAUUUAUUGAUUUGCAAUCAUAGCACUGUCUCCUUAUUAGGCUUGUCAACGGUCCGGGUCUAGACCCGAAUCCGACCCCGAUCCGUGAAAUUAUUGUGGGUAUGGGUCGUAGGGAUUUAAUUCCGUUAUUCGAACCCGGAUCCGGAUCCGUUUUGUCAAACAAAAAAAUGGAUCGGAUACGGAAUAUAGUAUUCCGACCCGUAUUAGACCCGGAUCCGAAUAUAAAUAGAUUAAUAAUUUAAAAUAUGUAUAUUUAUCAAUAUAAUUUGAUUAGGGUGAUGUAUUUGAGUAAAGUCAAUUUGAUUUCUUUCCUUAUUUGAUUUUUUUUUUGUAUUAGUUAGAAAUUAGUGCAUAAAUAUAUUUUUCUCUCAUUUUUAUUAGAAAUUGUAAAUUUUGAUAAAUUUUUCGGGUAGAUCCGAUCCAGAUCCGAGAUCCGUCGGAUCCGGAUCCAAAACAUAGAGUAGAAGACCCGUCGGGUAAACGGGUCGGACCGGAUCCCAUUUGGUAUGCCGGGUCUAGGUCUGAAAUAAUGAAUUUUGACCCGGACCCGGCCCGUUGACAGGCCUACUCCUUAUCUUGGGAACUCUCACAAUUUGUGCAAAUUUUAGAUUUCUUUGUUUUUCUCUUCUUAUUUUUGAAAAAGAUCAACAAACAAGUCUAUCAAUCAACAAAGACUUGGUAUUUUCUCUUCUCACCAAGAUUUGUAACCUCAGCUAUUGAUAUCUUCUUCCAAAGUAAUUAUCUAUUUCUUCUAUGAGAAAUUUUGCAGACUAAAUUUUUCAUUAUUGAGCAAUUUUGUGACAUAGGACAAAAAAAUUAGAAAAUAUGCAAGAAAAAUGGCUUCUAAAGAGAAAAAGAGAGAGCUUUUAUGAUUUUAUCGAACUUGGUCUUGAAUAAGAAUCUCUUCCAAAUUUUUACAAAUCAAAUACUGCCAAUGAAAUCUAAAAUUUCAAUUUUGAGUGCCAUCUAUUUUAACCAUAAGGUAAAAUUGCAUAUGGAAUUUUUUUUUUAUCCAAUUAUUAAUCAAAACGAUGUCAUUUUGAAAGGAUUUGUUUCACCUGACUAGGUGGCACGUGGUGAUCCAAGUAUUUUGGUUUGUACGACAGCUAUUCUCAAGCAAUUUAUUUGACAGCUGUUUGUGCCCCGAAUCCAUGAAGGAAAAGCAAGAGAGAUGAUGUAGAUAAUGAUUUGUUUGUAAUUGCUAGAAGUUGAUAGUUAAAUUACAAUUAGCCAAUUUUUUGUUGGAUAUGCCUUUGAAUUUUUUUUGGGUAAAUUAAAAUUUGCAUUUGCAUUUGAAUUUUUUGAUAAAUUAAAAUUUAUUUCCAAGCAGUAAAAUGUACGUUACAAUCACUACAACCCAUGAAAGCAAAACGAUUUUUCUUUGGAUUUGCUUGUCAUGUUUGGAUAUCUUUCCACUUGGUGCCAUUACAGUUUUUAUCAUUCUUAUCUGGAGCUUUCUAAUUGUGGAGUGAUUGUAGUUUACAUUCUUAUUGCGUGAUUUGGAAAUUGUGCAAUUGGAAAAGCUAUUGAUGUGUCAAUUUGGUCGACUUGAGUAUGUAGUGUUCUCUCGUAUGCUGUUUUAAGUAAUUUUUAGCUAAUACAAAUGGUUAAAUGCUGAUUGACCUUCACAGUUGAUACUUAGUAUUUGGUUAUGUUAUCAAGCAAUUCAGGGCUUCUUAACAAGGUCCAGCCAAGUUUCACCUUACGCCAAUGAUGGCAGAAACGUUCCCCAGAAUAUGAAAUUUUGAAUUGUUAGGAUAGGAAUUGGCUUUUGAGUCUUUAACCACUACAAAUCCGCUUAUCCACAAUUUGCAAUUGAUAGGAGUUGGUUAACCAUUCAUUAUCAAUUAUUAAAAUGCAACUUCUAAAGAAAUAAGAGUUGGUGAAAUAUUCAAUGGAUGUGUUGCAUGUAAUUUACAAUUACAUGUUCACUGUUGAGUACUUGUGCAUUUUCCCAUCAAUCCUACCUCUCUUGUUAAAGGAAAACUCACUUCAAGAACCCAUCACUUUUUAAUCAAUUAACUUGGUUCUUUAAUCAAUUAACGAAUCUAUAAUCUAAAUAUAAAAGCAAACAAGAAUAUAAAAAUCUGUAAUAAACUAAAAUAAUUAACUGAAAACAAGCCCUAACUAAUAUAAUAAUUGCAAUGAGAUAAAUUUUCGAAUAAUACCAAACUAGAUAUUGAAACAACCAAUAGUAGUACCAAAGUACUUAUCAAGACAUGUUGUUCUCGUUGAUUUUAGGUAUUUCUGCUGGAGUUUUCUCGAAGAAGACGGCGUUUGAUCAAGGUUUUUAUGCUUAAUUCUUGCUCAAUGCGAAUGGUAGGCACAGGAUCCGAAUCAGAUUCAAGCUUAGGGUUUUGCGCCUUUAAAACACCUCGAAUAUCCCACUUUCUCUCUUUUUCAUAAAAAAAAUAAAAUAAAAAAGCACUGGAAAUUAAAAUAGCCAAUAUAAUGCCCUAUUUAGAUUGAUCUCCAUGCAGACACAACUUUCCUGGUCUCUCCCUCUCAAACAUAUACACAAGAAAGAAAUACCCACACAUACAUUGCACAAUUGGAUAUACAUCCUUCCUUUUGGAUGGUUGGAUGGCUUAAAGAGGUACUAAUGGAGGAAAAGGUAUCAAAGGCUGGACAAUGCCAUCAAGAUGAAAAGAAAGAAAGCUGAAGAUUGCUCAUCUAGGGAGCAAAAGAAGUCAUAAAGAGCGUGAAUUCUGAUUAAAAGUGAAUUCAAGGCUAGUUGUAAAGUUUCAUGAAGCAUAUUGGUGCAAUAACACGUUUAGCAGGCAGCAAAAGAUUUCACCAUACUAGGAAUAGAGCAAAAAGGUUUUUUUUUUUUAAAAAAAUUUUUUCCCAAUAGGAGAAGGGUGGAAUUUAAGAAGCGGUUACGAGAAAAAGAGCAGGAAAAUGUCAACCAAUUACUUGAACACAAAUUUUGCCAAUUCUUUAUCACAAUUAAUUUUAGCAUGAAAGGUCAUAUUUAAUUAACGUAGAUUAUAUUUGAUGAGAUCAUUUUAUUUAUUUAUAACUGUUGUCCAUCAAGAAGUCUAGCAGGUAAGUAUUUUCUACAUUGCAGUACUUUUAAAUUGUAUAUAUAAUUAAUUUUUUUGCCCCGUCAUUCAAAUUAAAACUAGCAAAUGGUUAUCGAAGGGAAAGAGAAAAAACGCCAUGCAAAAAUAGUGACUGGGACUAAUAUUCCCUCCUGAUAGAUGAAACUAUUAAGACAAUUUAAUUCAAAAAUUUCAUCAAUUGGAUAUAAGGGUGUCAAGCAAUUCACAAGACUUGAAUCCAAAUGCAAGGAGAAAAGAAAAAUUCUUUACAUCCAUGGUUAAGGGCUUUUGCUCACCCAAUCUAAUCCCAUACAUGAAGUAGGAGACAAGAACAUAAAGCAAAACAUCUACUAAUGAUAACAGUCAUCUAUAAAACAACUGAUCACUGUAUUGAUACUAAGAAAUUAACGUCUCAUUCUUGUUUGCUUUUGAUUUUGCAUAAGUGAUGAUAAAGAAUAAUCAGAAUCAACAAAAAUUACUCUUUGGUAGAGUAUGAAUUUUAAAUUUAUUAUUAUUAUUAUUAAAAAUUUAUAAAUCUAAAUAUAAAAACAAACUAGGAUAAAAAAAUGAUUAUUCAAAAUCAAAAUUUAUAAUCAACUGAGAUAAUCAAUAGAGAAACAGCCCCAACUUAAUAUAAGAAUCACAAUAGGAUAAUUCUCACAUAAUAGUACCAAACUAGAUACCAAAACAAGUAAUAGUAAUACCAAAGCACUUGGAGUUUUCUCGAGGAAAACGGCGCUCGAUCGAAGUUUUCAUGCUUAAUUCUUGCUCCACGCGAAUGGUAGGCACAGAAUCUGAAGAAUCAUGCUCAGGAUCGGGUUGUCCUUCUCUGAAACAGCCCAAACAACCCACUGUUUUUCUGGUCGUUUCCUGGCCAUCUUGUGUCUUUUGUUGGCCACCAGUUGUACUCUCAUUAGAGUCCUUUGGAAAAUCCUUCUUUCCAGACAUGUUACCCAUUGUUUUGCACCAAAUCAACGGGAAAACAGAAGGUGCGGCUCAGUGUUCAUUGGGGCUUAUUUAAAGAGUGAAAGUUAGGGUAUUCCUUCAUCAAUAGUACCACAUGUUAUGGAAAUAGUAUUGUUAUGGAAAAGUUAUUAAGGAAAAGGAAAGAAAAAAGAAGGAAUUUUGGGUAAUAAUGAUGGCAAUUGGCACUGAUUAGUACAUUUAGAUUUAUUGGUUUCCAUUGGAGUACACUACACAUUUAUUGUUUCUGCCAUUUUGGGUGCUUUCUUGAUUUAACUUCAUAUUUCCAAAAACAACCUGUGUUGUGUUUGUCGAUCUCUUCACUAGCUCAUCUUUCUUAUCUUUUUUCUGCUUUUGAUUUAGGUGCAUGAUGAUGAGAAAGAUUUUGGGGUAACAAAAACACUUUAUAUACUUUCUAAACUACCCUUGAUGAUGAGGGGGCUUUUGAUAUACAUAAAAAUCUAUCUGUUUUUGUAACUACCCACUAUCAAUAUGAUUUUUUACCAAGUAAUAUGUAUUUUUUUCAUAUUCUAUUUUUCAACUUAUUUAGCAAAUCUUAAUUUUAACUAACAAUUACCAAAUAUGUUUAUGAAUAACUACCAAAUAACUAAUUUUUAUAAAUUUUAUUUUGAUAAAUUUUUUACAUAUGUAUUGUCAAGAUAUAAAACCAAUUUUCUUGAAAAUUAUUUUAAUAAAUAUACUCAAAAUAUUUUACAAAUAUUUUUUUUCUAUUAGUUGCACACACAUUACUGUGUGCCUUGAAUACUAGUAUAUUUUACAACAUAAAAUGUUAAUAAUUUAUAUGUAAGUUUGUAUUAAUUCUUAAUUAUAAUAUAUAUAAUUAUGUAUUUAAUUAUGAGUUGGGACCAAGCCCGAUAUGAACCCGAAACUCAUAUAAUAGUAUGAGUUGAGUUUGAGGUUUUUUAAUAUAAGCUUGAACCUCAAAAACCUAAAAACCAAAAAUUCAAAUAAUUUGUGAGCAGAGUUUGGUCUUACUAAAGUCUGGCUCUAAAAGCUCGAUUGACACCACAAGUUGUGGAUUGCCUUUGCCAUUUGGAUGAACUGCAAGAAGAUCUUGUACUUGAUGUUCUAAGUUACCUGUCUGUGCUUAAUAUAUUCACCAGAGCAUGCUGGUAGAAAAUAUACCCUAUUUUCUGUGAUUAGGAGCAGUCUAGCCAGUUGCAUUCACCAAUGGGUUAUUUUGGAUUUUGAGAGAACAAAUUUGAGACAAUGAAUUACUACCUUCUCUGCACAGUUGGAAAAAUAGACUUCUGCAAACUGACUACAUCAAUUAUAAGCCUCUUCUUUUAGGUAUGGAGCCAUUAGCAAAACAAAGAUUAUGAACAUUCUUUUAGGCAUGGAACCAUUAGCAAACCAUUUGAAAAACAAAGAGUAUGAAGUUUAACAAAUUUUCAAAGUUAGAUUUUCUUGAGAGGCCUAUAGUGCCAUCAUAACACAUGUUCAGAGGAUUGCUUUAUCUUCAUCUUAAUGAAUCAUUGAGGUGCAAUUGAUAACAAUCUCGGUCUCCUAUUCUGAUCAUACCAUACAGAUUACAGAUAUUUGACAGUUAUAUAUGUCCACUUCCAAAAUCAAAAGAAACUUGAUAAUCUAUUUGCAUUUCCCACAAGGAAGUUCUACAAGAAAAAAAAGUGUACAAGUUUAAUCGAAAGAAUUGAAGCCAGUAGACUACUUAGACAUGGUGUCCAACUAAAGAUAAGACAAGCAUAACUGAUGAGGAGCCAAUAAGACCAAAUUUGAACUGCCUAGUUAGUUGGUUUAAUCCUGCAACUUUGGACGGGGAAAUGGGUGAUGCAAUCGGCAACGACCGCUUGCAUUGUCUUCACAUCAUCAUCAGCUUUGGCAUCAGAGGGGGCAUCAAGUUGCUUGGCUUUAAAGGUGAUAAAAAACAGACGAUUGAGGGUCCAAACGACUUUCUCAACAUCCACAAGUUCAUACUGUUUGCCCUAAUACAACAACAAGGCAAGGCAGUCAAUCAAAGAUGCUUUAAUUAAUUCACCCAAAGUGUAUAAGAAGAUCCCAAAAAAUCAACAAAAUAGCUCGGCAGUUUGAACCAAAUCAAAUGGGGAAAAAAUUGUUAAAUCACACACCCGAUCAUCCUUGAAGAUCUUCACCGCCUCACGUGCCAUUUUCUUCACUAAGUCGUAGCAUCCCUCAUCCUCCCUGAAUUCUGGGCAAGGCACGUACAUAGCAAAGGAGCCUCCAGGAUACGCAUCCUCAUCAACAUCAAAACCCUGAAAUUUUUUUUACUACUUGUUCUGUUUAAUUAAUCAACAACAUUUUGAAAAAAAAAAUACAAAUAUCCACUGUUGCAUAUGAAAUUUAUUAUGAAUAGCAGCGAUCGAACAAAUACUACACUAAAGCAAAAUCAAAUCCACCGAAUAAUAUACAUAUAAAAGGACUUUCCAACAAAUAAUGAUGUAGCUACGUUACCCCGCUCUCCUUGAUCUGACUGCUGUAUUUAUGCCACAUCUUAGCGGCCUCUUCUUCAGUUCUUCCGAGGAGCCAGGAUUCCUCCUCUUCCGAGUCCGGACUCAUGAUGUCGUCUGUUGAUGGGGGCUCACGAAAGAGACCAUCUUCUUCCUCGGAUUCGGAUUGUUUUUGUCUUUUGGCGGAUGGUUCUCCGCCGGCGCCAUACUUGAUGCGCCAAUACAGAUCAUCAAAGUCGUCGGUUGGAGGCGGGGCAGGUUGAGUAUCGCUUUUUACGGACGAACUAGCGUUCAUAAUUAUUUUUUUUGGGUUUUUUUGAAGCAGCUUUGGAUUGUGUUUUCUCCAUGCCCGCUGGACGUUUAUUAUACUCCUAGUCCCUUAGACGUCCAGCGGGCGUAGCAAACCGUGGACUUACCAGGAGCUCCAUCGAUCAAAGUUCGAUUACUCGAUUAUAGUUGGUUGUCGAAUUGAACUCGAGCCUUUAGGGAUAAGUUUAUCAAACAUUUCGAGUUGUGUGUAUGUAUGUAUAUAUAUUAUUUAUUAUUAUUAAAUUAUAGAAAAAACUUAUAUUUUUAAAAGAAAUUAUAUGUUUUACCACUUUAACUUGAGCGUGAAUUUGAUCUUAAACUCGAACUCAAAUUCUCUAUAUUGACAUAAUUCGAGCUCAAGUUUUGGAAUGAAAGAUUUGUUGAGCUCGAACUCAGAUAAUACAAUUCGAGCUUGACUUGCCAUCCCUUCUCUAGCCUCCAGCUCCCAUAUUCUAUUUUCUAGAUUUUUGAAUUUGUAAUUCAAGUGGUAGUAUAUGUUUUUGGUUUAAUUACUAUAUCAAUGUUUUUACUCGGCAUGGAUAAAAGAUCAACGGAAGAAAGGAACAACUCUGGGAUUUGAUAUAGUACUUUAUGGGCAUUGAUUGUAGAAAUUCGACUAGAGUUAAACUAAUCUUUGAUAGGUUAAUCAAUAAUUAGUUAAAAAUUUCUACUUGUCUUGAUACCUUCUAUCAUAUAACAAUUAUUCAUGUUGCCCGAAAAGAAAAAUAUUCUAAACCUACUGUAUCAUGAUUAAAAGGUCAGUCUAUUACGUAAAAAAGCAAGAAAAAAAAGGUCAGUCUGUUAAAAUUAGAAGUUCAAAUAGGGAAUCAUAAAAUAAAACUGCAAAGACUACCAUUUAUCAAGACUUAUCAUACUUCUAAGUAGUGCUCAAAUACAGAUUAAGUCAUAAAUGACCAAAUAUAUACACAUAAGUAUAGACAUAAUCCGAGUAUAUAAACAUGUAUUCACAUAAUUAUAUAUAUAUGUGUGUGUGCACGCGUGCCUAUGUAUGCAUUACUGAACCGGAACUACAAAAUAAUAAUAAUGGUGUUACCCUUCUUAAAAGGAAAAGGAAAUUGGUGUUACAUUUUAGCAUCGGAAACUUAGAACUAAGACAAAUAAAUAAAUUAAUAAGCUUAGAGCUAUGUUCUUGACACGAGCUGCAAGUUACAGCUAUACAAGGGACUAGGAUGAUACAGGCUGCAAAGGUAUAGGAAGUCCAUUUUCUGGGGUAGGCAUUAUUAUAGCACCAAGAUCCUUUUAUUGGGGAACAAAAUCUCACAUUUGUGCUUUUUGACCACAUUAUGGAAGAAUGCUAAUACAGCACCAAAUGGAACGUAUGUAAAUGGAGCUAAGCCAUUUGCCUUCUCCUCUAGAAUCAUACCCUGAAGGAUCAAAUUUCUUAAACAUGGUGCUUUAGUCAAUUUCUUAUCACAAAGUAUCAAAAUACUCAAUGGUGUAUCCACCAUUUCACUAUAAGAUUCUAGCUAGUUAUAGUCUACUGUUAUGUCCCUUGAAUGCGGAGGUUCUAAAUCUUGAUGAGUCUUCUUUUCCUACUCCAUUCUUGCCAAAAUUUUAGGAUGUUUAGUUCUCCAGUUUAAAAGAUUAAAGAAACCAUACAUUCUUUUCUGUUAUAUUAGUCAAUUGCAGAAUAGUUAGUUACCUUCUAAUCAAUUCCAUCCAUUCUCCAACUUAAGAAGUUAGAGAAAGUAUGUAAACUUUUCCUUUUUAAGUUUGUCAAUUACUGAUCAAUUACCUUCCAAUUAGUUCUAAUAUUCUUGCAAUCAAUAUCAAAUUCAAUGCAUAAAAUAUUUUUCUUCUCCCUCCCUACCCUUGAUGUAAGCAAAAUUCUGACCAGUUCCAAAAGGUUGAGGAGCCAAUUAUGUUACACUUCCCUCCUUGGCUUUUUCAGUCUUCCUCUCUCAUUACUUGUGCCCAAUACUUUUGAAAUUUUUUUUAAAUUACACUUAAAUAAUGAUUACAACACUUGAAAAACUUAAAAACCUUUUAUGCUUUUGCCCUUUUUUUCCCCCUUGGAUUCACUAGUUGGCACCUAGAACUUCACCGUCCAGUCAUUCCUUUGUGUUUUGGCUAAAUUACUAAUAACCUCCCUAUGGUCAAGUGUAUUAUCAGAUGACCUCCUUAAUUUUAUAAAUUAUUUAGCUAAUCCCCCAAUUGUUUCAUAUGACACGAAAAUGUGAUAGAAAGUAGCCUCCAUACCUUCAUGAGUUGAAAUUCCAAUAUUAUCUAUACUUAAGUACAACAUAGGAUAAUGUCUAACCACUUUGCCUAAAAUCAGGGAACAUUAUUUCAAUAUAUUCAAAAGUAUAAAAGGUUGAGUGGAUAUUUAUUCAAAUUAUAGGAGAGUAAAUAGGUAUUAUAGUUUUAUUAAAUGCAUUGUUGAAACGCGUCUAGGUCAAUUGUAGUAAUUACUUUGCGUCCAUUUUCCCUUUUACACAAAACCACAGGGAGCUUGUGGACAUUUUAAAUUGUUGGGGGUUCAUGUGGCAAUAUGCAAAACAUAGGGGGAUUAGUACUAAUUUAGGAAAAAUAAUUCAAAAUAGUCCUUACAUUUCACCUAAUGAAUUUUUUCGUCAUUCACUUUUAAAAUAUUAGCUUUAUAUGCCUUACAAAUUCAAUUUAGCAAAAUUUGGUUACAAUCUAAGUUUUCGACCAUCUUUUAUCCCGUGAUCACUAUGUGACCCACAUGUAGUCAUAUGUUAUUUAUGAUUCCGAAUCAUAAAUAAAACUGCUAAGACUACCAUUUACCGAGACUUAUCAUACUUCUAAGUAGUGCUCAAAUACAGAUAAGUCAUAAAUGACCAUAUACACACAUAAGUAUAGACAUAUUCCGAGUAUAUGAACAUGUAUUUACAUUAUAUAUAUGUAUGUAUAUAUAUCUGCACGUGCGCGUAUAUAUGUAUUAAUGAACCAGAACUACAAAAUAAUAAUAAUGUUGUUACCUUUCUUAAAAGGAACAGGAAAUUGGUGUUGCAUUUUAGCAUCGGAAACUUAGAACUAAGAUGCUUAAAAUGAACCAAUAAAUAAAUUAAUAAGCUUAGUGCUAAGUUUUUAACACGAGCUGAAAAUUACAGCUAUACAAGGAACUUGGAACUAAGAUGAUGCAGGCUGCAAAGGUAUAGGAAUUCCAUUUUCUGGGGUAGGUAUCAUAUCACCAACAUCCUUUUGUUGGGAAGCAAAACCUCACAUUUGUGCUUUUUGACCACAAUGAGCACAAAUGUGGAAGAAUGCUAAUAAAGCACCAGACGGAAUGUAUGUAAAUGAAGCUAAGCCAUUUACGUUCUCCUCUAGAAUCAUACCCCGAGGGUCCGUUUGGUUCACGGACUGGAUCAGAUAGGAUGACUCAUCCCGUAUUAUUAAUCUUGGGUUGAAUCAUCUUCAGAUAAAUAAUCCAAGUUAUCUAGUGUUUGGUUGGUUCUUGGUUGGAUAGAAUAUGUUGGAAAAUAAUCCUAUCCUGUGUUUGGUUGGAGAUUGGAUGAGGAAGGAUUAUUAUUUUAAUGACCAAAGCAUUCCUUAAUUUGUAGAUUCUUUUUAAUAAAAUAAUUUAGUAUUCUAUAAAAUAUUAAUAAAAUAAUUUAAUAUUUAUAAAUUUUAUUAAAAUAGAGUAGAUUAAAACUUUAUAAUUUUAUCAAGGGUUUUGAUAUAUAAAAAUUCGCAUUCAUUCAAACUUAGCCCAUUUGGGCCCUUAAAAAUAGAUUUUGACCAAGUUUUUGAACCUAAAUUUGAAAUUCAAUUAAAUAAUGGGCCAAGUUUUGGCUAAAUUAAGGUUAAAUCGAUUAAACCUAACUCAUUUAAGAGCUUUCAGUGAGCCAAACUCAGGCUAAUAUAGAAGAUUUUUCUUUGGAUCGAGUUUGAGUUUAUUGAUAUCCUCAUUCACAAAGUCCAAUUGAUAAGAUUAUAUAUUUAUAUAAAUUUCGUUUAGAAAAUAAAUUUAGUAAGGGUAAUUUAGUCCAAGGGCAAUAUAAUCCUUCUAUUAUGAUGUUAGUAUGGCAAACUAGUCAAAAAUUUUAAAUCAAUUAAUAGGGGUAAUUCAAAAUUUUUAAAAUAAUGAAUAGGGGCAAAUUAGUCAAAAAUUUUAAUAGAAUUAGUAAGGGCUAAUUGGUCUGUUUAUUAUGAUAUUAUUAUGUGACAGUAUGGUUAUAUAGUAGCUAAUUUGAAUUUCAAUCAUUCAUAAGGAUAAAUUAAUCCAAAUAUUGUUAUAUUGGUAGUAGGGGCAAAUUAGUCAAAAACAUUAAAAUUAAAUAGUAGGGGCAAAUUAGUCCAUUCAUAUUAUAUUAUCAUGUGGGAGUAGGAUUAUAUAAUUAUAAGAGUAUAAAUUUGUAUUUUUUAUAAGGAUAAAUUAGUUUAAAAUUUUAUCAUCCUAUUUGUUGUUAUUCUGGGAUCCCAUGAAUCGGGGAUUAAUUUAGUUAGGUAGGAUGUGUCAUCCCAUAUAUAAAAUGCAACCAAAACAUGAGAUGACACAGGAUGAUUAAUCUAAUCCUGUGCCAUCCCAUGAACCAAACGGAUCCUGAAGGAUCAAAUUUCUUAAACAUGGUACUUUAUUUAAUGUCUUGCGACAAAGUAUCAAAAUACUCCAUGGUGUAUCCACCAUUUCACUAUAAGAUUCUGGCUAGUUAUAGUCUACUGUUAUGUCCUUUGAACGCAGAGAUUCUAAAUCUUGAUGAGUCUUCUUUUCCUACUCCAUUCUUGCCAAAAUUUUAGGAUGUUUAGUUCUCCAAUUUAAAAGAUUAAAGAAACUAUAUAUUUUUUUCUGUUAUGUUAGAACUAAUUGGAAGGUAUUUGAUCAGUAAUUGACAACUUAAAAAGGAAAAGGUUACAUACUUUCUUUAACUUCUUAAGUUGGAGAAUGGAUGGAACAUUGUUGAUCAAUUACCUUCCAAUUAGUUCUAAUAUUCUUGUAGUCAAUAUCAAAUUCAAUGCACAAAAUAUUUUUCUUCUCCCUGCUUCCUACCCUUGAUGUAAGCAAAAUUCUGAACAGUUCCAAAAGGUCGAGGAGCCAAUUAUGUUACACUGCCCUCCAUGGUUUUUUCAGUCUUCCUCUCUCAUUACUUGUGCUCAAUACUUAUGAAUUUUUUUUGUAAAUUACACUUAAAUAAUGAUUACAACACUUGAAAAACUUAAAAAACCUUUUAUGCUUUUGCCCUUUUUUUCCCCCCUUAGAUUCACUAGUUGGCACCUGGAACUUCACGGUCCAGUCAUUCCUUUGUGUUUUGGCUAUAUUACUAAUAACCUCCCUAUGGUUUAGUGUAUUACCAGAUGACCUCCUUAAUUUUAUAAAUUAUUUAGCUAAUCCUCCAAUUGUUUCAUAUGACACGAAAAUGUGAUAGAAAGUAGUCUCGAUACCUUCAUUAGUUGAAAUUCCAAUAUUAUCUAUACUUAAGUACAACAUAGAAUGUUCAAAAGCAUAGAGGGUUAAGUGGAUAUUUAUUCAAAUUAUAGAGGAGUAAAUAGGUAUUAUAGUUUUAUUAAAUGUAUUGUUGAAACACAUCUAGGUCAAUUGUAGUAAUUACUUUGUGUCCAUUUUCCCUUGUACACAAGACCACAGGAAGCUUGUGGACAUUUUAAAUUGUUGGGGGUUCAUGUGGCAAUAUGAAAAACAUAGGGGGAUUAGUAUUAAUUUAAGAAAAAUCGUUCAAAAUUUUCCUUACAUUUCACCUAAUGAAUUUUUUAGCCCUUCACUCUUAAAAUAUUAACUUUAUAUUCCUUACAAAUUCAAUUUAGCAGAAUUUGGUCACAAUCUAAGUUUUCAAUAAUUUUUUUAUCUCGUGCUCACUAUGUGACCCACGUGUAGUCAUCUGGUAUGUACUAAAAAAGCCAGAUCCUACUUUUUAAUGGAAAAAAUAAAUAUAGAUUAGAUUCCACUUUUUUUUUGAAAAAAAAUGAAAAUAGUUUGGGUUAGAUUCUACUUUUUGAAGGACAAAAUUGAAUAUGGAUUGGGUUAUUUAUUUAAUUACAAAUGGGAUCUAACCUUUUCAUUUUGUUCCUAAAAAAUGGAUCAUGUAUGAGUCAUGUGAUAGAUAUAGAAUAAAAAGUGGUCGAAAACCUAAAUUGGGACCGAAUUUUACCGAUACACUUCGCUUCGCUUUGCCCAUUACUCACUUUCUUGCAUGACUUUACCGUCAAACAAAUAGAGCCUGUAUGUUCCAGUUGGUCCAACUGAUCAUUGGAUAAGUUUCUAGCCAAAUGUGUCGUUUCAUUUGAAGUCCUCUCAAGGCAUGCUUGCUGUCUUCAGUGCUGGCAAAAUGUCAUUCCAGAGGAAGAUGUUCAUCAAUCUGAAUUUUAUUGCCAUUUUGUCCUUUUCUUCUUGAUUGUCUAUUUGUCAUUUGGAUGAACUGUUAGAAGAUAUUGUACUUAUUGCUCUAAGUUUCCUGUCUGUGCUUAACCUCUGCACCAAAGAUGCUGGCUGGUAGAGAAUGCGCCCUAUUCUCUGUGAUUCAGAGCCAUCUAGUUGCAUUUACCACUCAUUUGGGGGAGAAUGCAUUGAUGCAUUGUUUUAGCCUCUAAUCAGGACAUCCUCAUACCUCCCAGCACGUCUGGAUAGAUUUAUCAUUACUUUCGAGUAGGCAAAAUAAAUUUAUGCAACCAAGUUAUAUCAAUCUGUUAAUAUUUUAGGUCAAGGACCAUUCUGCUAGAAAAGCAGAGAAUAUGAAGUCUAACAAGUUGCUUAAAUCAGAUUUUCUCUUGAUAUCAAGUGGCAUCACAAGACAUGAUGCCCAAAUAAUUGUUUUACCUUUGUCCCUUUGAACUUAAUUAUUGAGUUAACCAUAUUGUUAUCCUACUCUUACCAUACUAUACAGUCAUUUGUCAGUUAUGUUGGCUUUCAAUAGCAAAAGAAACUUGAUAAUCUAUUUGCAUUUCCCAAAAGGAGGUUCUACAAGAAAGUGUAAAAAAUUUAAUCAAAAGAAUUCAAGCCAGUAGGAUACUCAUGGUAUCUAUUACUUGGGUUCCACUUUAGCUGAGAUGUUGUAUCCACCACUGUAGUCAAAUGCAUCACUGCUGUUAACAUCCUUCCUAGGCAUCACAUCAUAGAGAUGUUUAGCACCUUUCGCCAUUCCAAAAUCUGUGGCAGAUGAGGAUGCUGAUAUUGAGUUCGUAUUCAAUCCAUCAUUCUGUAGAAUUGUUUCGAGUUCCUUCACCACUUCACUCAUUGUUGGGCGGUCUGCAGCUGAUUCUUCCACACAUCGCAUUGCCAAAUCUACAAAUCUCCCGAAGCCUAUUAGAGUGGUUGUGUUUCGAAUGGAUGGAUCCAUUAUAUUCCCUAAGCCAUAGCAUUCUUCAUCAUUCUUGUCCAUUGCCAUUCUCACUUCACGGACGAUGUACUUUCCCUUUUCGAUAGGUUGUUUAACUGUUACCAGCUCAAGCAUAACCACACCAAAGCUAUACACAUCGCUUUUCUCCGUCAAUUGUUGGGUCAUGUAGUAUUCAGGAUCCAGAUAACCCUGGAAUCAGAGGAAAGGUUACUGUUAAUUGCUCGCGAUGGCAGUAGAAAGGACUUUUGAUGAUGUAUCUAAACAUGGACUUGGGAGUUCUUUCAGGAUAAGGUAGCUGUAAAAACAUCAAAUAUUACCAGUGUGCCUUUAACUUGAGUGGAUACAUGCCCUUUGGAACCAUCACAAACAAGCUUAGACAAGCCAAAAUCUGCAACCUUAGCUGUCAGAUUUUCGUCCAAGAGAAUAUUUGUGGACUUGAUAUCUCUGUGGAUUAUAGGAGGGUUGGCAAGCUCAUGCAAAUAAGUCAAUCCUCUUGCUGAACCAAGUGCAACUCGAAGUCUCCUUUUCCAGUCUAGAUAAAUUCCACUCUUCCCUGAAAACAUUUAUAAUGUGAAUAAAUUGCAUCAAAUUCUGCAAGCUGCCUUAGUUGGGCAUGUCUGAGAUAAAAGGUUUUCCUAGUGGUUAUUUCCUGAUAUUGAGAUCAAAUUCUCAAAGAUCCCUGAUUUGCGUAUUAACGAUUGUUGCCAAUAGUAACUAAGUCAAAUUCUUUCUGUUUAAAAUUAGUACCCAAUUUUUCAAUUGGGCCAAGCACAUUGACAUAAUAAAAGUUCUCAGCAUGCAAUACUGAUUCCGAAGAUGAAAGAAUCUCCAAAAUCUCUAAGUCCCUGAUCUUUUUCUCAUGAUAAAAUGCCACCAAGCAUAAGGAACAUGUUGAAUUAGUAAAGAUACUACAACUGUCAUGAAGUGUCAGCUAUGAAAUGCUGCUUUGCUGACACUCUGGCUUCUAAUAAGCUAAAAAGAUGAUCUUUCGGAAUAUAUGUUUUAAGCAUGGAUUUAGUUUGGGAGGAAGGUGCAGAGAUGUUGAGGCAUGCAAUUGAGUGAUUAGAUUUUAUAAAAACCUGAUCAAAUAUCCAAGAAUGAAAAGAAAAAUAGUGAAUUUUAAAUGAAUGAUUGAAUGCUAGUGAUAAUGCCCCGUUCAACAUAGUCUGGUUCAAAGGCAGGCAGGCAGGCAGGCAGGCAGGCAUUGAACAACAAAAACCUUUGGUUGUUAUCUUCUAAAUCUUGUAUUUGUGUCCUCAAGGAAAAAUUCAGAAUCAGUACUCUUCCUGUGUAAGCAUUACCUAGUGUAUGGCAUGGAAGCAAACAUACCUGAUAAACUCUCCCUUAGAGUUCCAUGCGGCAUGAACUCAUAUAUCAAGAUCUGUUGUCCUUGUUCAAAACAGAAUCCAACCAAGCCAACAAGGUUUUUGUGAUGAACUCGUGAGAGCAGCUCAAUCUCAGUUUUGAAUUCAAGUCCACCUUGCAUGGAACCUUGUUGUGAUCGUUUGAUUGCAACAACUUGUCCGCUUGGAAGCAUCCCUCUGUAGACCUAAGAACCCAGAAAUACAAUUGAGUUGAAAUUGAGGAAAAUUUGUAGAUUCAAAAUCAAAAUAUUUGACAGCAUACCUUGCCAUAGCCUCCAGAACCGAUCUCAUUUUUCUCAGAGAAGUUAUUGGUUGAUUUCUUCAGUUCAUCAUAAGAAAACCAUCGGGCUCCUUUUAGUUGAGGUGCUCCUCCGCUGUCUUUUCCACUUGGACCCCAAGAUGCUGGUCAAAAAAUGUUUCAGUUAUAGCACAUUCACGAAAGUAACAAGGAGUACUGAGCUGUAGUGCAUAGGUCAUACCAAAUGGUUUACUUAAUCCAAUGGCUCUUUCAGCCCGUCUCUUUUGCCAGACAGCAUAUAUGCCUAGGCCAACAAGCAACACCACCAGAAUGGCACAGCCAGCAGCUAUCGCUGUAAUAAUUGUUUUGCUUAUGGCAUUUCCACGUUCAGCUGCAACAGGUCUGUUGUCAGUAGUUUGUUCAUUUAUAAGUCAGAAAACUAAGGAAAGUGAACAGAAAUUAUUAGACUUUUAUACCGCCGAAAGUGUAAGGAGAAGCUAUAAAGUAGUAGGGCCCAAAUUGUUUUGGAGGCUUGUAAGUCUGGUUACUUAAAGCAAAUCCGAUCCUCUGGACCUCUGACCUGUUAAAAUACUCUCCUACGGAUGGAAAAAAUCCCAAAUGCACCUGAAGAUAAUCAUCAACAUUGAAGAAAGGGUUCUGCAGAGAAACAGAACCAGGAGUAAGGCCUAACUUCACCCACAGGCUCAUUUCCAGCUGCUGAAAUAGAGUGUCAUUAGACAACUCCCUGAAGGAUGGUGCUCUGAAGUACAUUGUUCCCUCAUAUGGAUAAGCACAGUUACAGCUCUGUGGGCUGAUUUUUUUAUCAGCAGGACAGGAUUUGCUUGCACAAUUAGCCAGGCUUGUAGAAUAGGGCUUUUCUGCUUGUUGCUUAACCUGACAGUAACUGGUCUUUGCAAGACCCGCAUCACAGACUGGGUUUCCUAGCAAUCUUUGUUUACAUAGAUGAAAGAUAUUAACAUUAGUUGGAGAAAAGGAUUGAAAAUUGUUUCUUGGCAUAAAAAGUAGUAGAUAUAAUAUUGUCUCACACAAGUGUAUUCUGAUAACCAGAACCAAGAGUGACAUAGGGUAUUUCAUUGUUCUCCAAAUCAACAAGUUGAAGUUGCUGACCGAUUGUUUUUCCCAUAUCCAGUGUAUCGUUAAAUGCAUUGUUUCUCAGUUUCCUGUAAAAAGUUGACAUGAAAUGAAUCAGCAUAACCGGAUUACCUUUACCUUUUAAAAGAUACAAAAGAAUGAUUUUAGUGUCCCGUGCAUGCUGAUUCAAACUUACACUUGUUGAAUUUGGGGUAAACUGAAUAGUUUCUGAGGCACCAUUCCCUCAAGUGAUCCAUAUUCAACAACCCUGGCACAAUUGCAACUUCGAAGCAUAAGAUAGAUCCAUGACUAGAAUAAUUUAUCGUUAAGCUUCUCAUUAGUAUCUUAACACUACUCACAAAGUUGUUAGUGACGCUAAUGUACUGAACCAGGCUGGAGAUUGUGAUGGUUGAAAAGAGUUGUUACUCAAGUCCCUGUGAAGGUAAACAAAAGCAUAGAGUUCACCUUCCAAACAGAAAACAGGUACAUAAAACUUGAUUGUGGAAAUUCUUGAACCAUCACUUACACAUAGUUGAGGGAAAUCAUUUCCGUAAUGUUUGGAAAUGGACCUGAUAACUGAUUAUGUGCUAAGUUCCUAGACGAAAACAGAAGUAAGAAAGAAAGCAUUUUAGUUUAGUAUCCAAUGGCAAGAUUGAAGAAAGCACAAUAUUUCUUCAAAUUUCAAGAAGAACCUACAAUUCCACCAAAUUUGUGAGAUUGUUGAGGUCUGAUGGGACUUUGCCAGUCAGGGCAUUUCGAUCUAGCCUCCUGUACUCCGUUAUAGCAUUCACACCAGAAAUGGUAAGAAUGACAGGCCAACAAAACUAAGUCAAUCUAAGAGGGAGAUCGAAUGAAAUGGUUUGAGCAUACUCACAGAACCUCAAGUGUCUGAACAUAUCCUAUUGUUGAGGGGAUUCCUCCAGUCAAAUUGUUGGCAUCAAACAGUCUGUCAUAAGAAUGGAAAAUAAGAAGAAGAAGAAGAAGGAAAAGAGACAUAAAGGAGACCUUCAUAUUGAUUGUCUGGUAACUUACACAUGAAUAAGCACCAUGUCGGAGCUGAAAAGUGCAUUUGGAAUUGGGCCAGAAAGCUGGUUUUUGUUGAAAUGGCUGUAGAGCUAUAAAAAUCAGACUCUUACCCCUGGAGGAAAUUGGUUAGGAUAACUGUUCACAAAAAGAAUCAUACUCACAAGUGUUUUGCCUUUUUUAACAGGUCCAACCCUGGAGUUUCAGUCAUAGAUGAUGAAACAGGUAUUGGUCCUGUCAACUGAUUAUCUGCCAGAUCAAGCCAGUAUAAGUGGGAAAGCUUUCCUAGCGAAGGUGGUAUUCCACCAGUGAAGUUAUUUGAGUUAAGCGCCCUGUCAUGGAAGAUGAAGCAGAAAAUUAAUCGAGGUUAACAAAUCCUCGUACAAUGCCAUGUAGAAUGAAUAUAACGAUGUCUACUGUUGCUUACAGGAAGGACAACUGUGCAAGAUUCCCGAGUUCAUUUGGUAUAUUUCCAUUGAAGCUACAUCCAGCUAGGAUUCUGGGAAACAAAAGGCAAGAAUCUUGGUUAAACAAAGAAAAUUGCUUCGUGAAUAUGUUCCUGGAAAGAGUUUCCUGGGAUCAAAAUUUGAUGUAGGAUUUUGUCAGAUAAUUACAGUAUACUCAAAUUUUGCAAGUCUCCUAUUCGUGGAGAGAGUGAACCAGUGAGGCCUCGGUUGAAUGAUAGAUCCCUGAAACAAUACUUUGAACGUGAAUUCAAUGAAAGCAAAGUUAUAAACUUUUAUUACUUAUGUGCUUGACCAGCUGAAAUAGCAAUAGAAACUCACAGGGAUAUCAAUUCGGUGAGUCCUCCAAUGUCACCGUUGAGUUUACCUGAUAAUCCCAUACUUGACAAUCCCCUGAAGUAUCAAUUCAUAGUGUGAGGCUACAGGCAUGGAUUUUUUAGGGUAUCAAGCUACAUGAAAGGAAAUACCAGAAUGAAUUUGCAACAGCCUGAAAGAGUAGAUGAACUACUUACAAUGCAGUGACCCUUGAGUUGUUACAGGAGACUCCUUCCCAAGGAUCUCCACAAGGAUCAUCAGACUUGCCCCAAUUUGGUGGUGUAUUUUGCCAUUGAUCUUUCAAAGACCUAAGAACAGCAACUGCAAGAAUUUGUAUCCAAUUAAGAUCAAAAGGACUUUACAAGCAUUGAAACCACAUAACCAAAGAAUAUAUGGUACAUUCAAGAAACUCCAUUACUAGCAAGAGUUAACAGGCUGCCAAAAAUGGAUCUGUUUAGGCCGAUUGAUUUUCUCAGUGGCUAAAGCCUGGGGAACCACUAUGGCUACUUGGUAUAAAUUGAGAACAAGAUAUUAUGAAGCAAUAAUUAACUUAGUUUCUUUACACUCAUGCUACACGGGAAAAAUAUUGGCAAAAAAUCAAGUCAUAGAAAACUUGAAACUCUAUUACACAUAUUACUAGAGCGGAAAAAAAAAGGUUUCUGGAGCAGGAAAAGUGAAAAGAUAAGGCUCCUAUGUUUUCCUCUCUUUUCUCUUUUUUGGCAGAACUUCAUGAUGUUGUGGCCUUGUAGUUCCUUCAUCCAUUGGUUUGGUCACCAUCAGCUUAAUCUCCUUGUGAAAUUAAUCCAGAGACAGCUGUAUACAUAAUCGUAGAAUCCAGAGUUGAUCCAUUAGUCCCAACAGACAUUAAUUAGAACUUAAGGUCAAACUUUUCCUCAACUUUAUAUCUCAUAGUACACUAUACUACACAUGCCAGAAGGACAAUAGAAGCAAAAAUAAAGGGCAUUUGAGGAGAGUUUUGAGAACACAUCUAUUCCACAAUAUAAACAAAGAACUUUUUUAUCCUUAUGCCCUAAAUGACAAUUAGUUUUUAGGUUUUCACCUCAAAUUCUCGCUAAAUUAACCUCAUUUCCUUUGACACCUAUACUGCAGCUAAUGAUGUCCCACCCCAAUGUUUUAAGAAGGCCUAGCACCUUCAUAAUGAAUUGUAUAAAGAAUGAAAGGCAGGCCUAAUAUAAUGAUUAAGGAACAUGAUUUCUCUUUCCCUACACCCCAACUCACCAUUUUUCUUGAUCCAAUCUAAGAAAUGGAAAGCAUAGAAUAUAUAUGCAGCUAAUAACUCCUCCCUGACUUUCCCUUUCUCACUUUCCAAAGCUGAAUAAAACUCUCUUUCCAUACAUAUAGACCAUAAUUCAACAUAUCAUGCUGUCAUGUGCUUGAAAGACCAUGGCAGAUUUGAAGCUCGAAAACUUCUUAUACAACUCAGCUAAAUGAAUUUUCCUGCCCAAACAUAGAUUUCAAAAAAAAAAAAAAGUGUCUUAUAAAUUUUACUAAAAGAGUAUCCUUGACAUUAUUAUAGCUCAAUUCAAUGUUAAAUUGUAAAAUCUACAAAUGACAUAUUGUUCACGAAGAAUGAAUGGGGCAAGUCCACUCUUUACACCUAGAAAAAUAUAGCAUUUGGAUGCAGAGUGCAUUAAAAAAAAAAAAAAUCAAUCCAACCAAAGGGACAAUCUGAUACUAUCAAAUUGGAUAAGAAAUGCCUCCAUUCCUACGCUGAUAAAUUUGGAAAAGCAUGCAACAUGAGACAAGUAUAGUACAUUACCAUCACGAGGAUCCGUGUAAGAGAAGAUGCCACGAAAUCUUGCAGACAUCACAAGAUAAAAGAGAAGCAGCCAAAGGGCUGCCAUUGCUGCACUCCCUCCUUCAAUUCCCUCCAAAGUAUCUAUUCUUCAGCUAAUUCACCCCCGACUUCAAUCCUCAUUAACUCGAUUUCAUGCAGAACAUGCCUUUAGGAAAAUGCUGGAAAUGAGCAAAAGUUCUUUGUUUUCUUUGAUCUGCUCUCUCUUUGGGGAAGCAGUACUAGUAUUCUUGUAUUCUUGUGGAUGUUUGGUUGUUUCUUGACAACUAUGCUAAAGAUUUUUACUAGCUGCCGGCCUAGAGUGUUUAAACAAACUUUUUCUUCAGGUAGGGUGAAAGGUGAAGGUGACAACAAUGAUGAUGACUAAGUCCAAGAAAUAUCAGCUCAAAAAGGGUAAAAGAAAAUGUUAGCUAGCUAGUUUGGCCUGCUUUUCCAUUUUCCACUCUUUCAAUCAUUAAACCUUUUCUUAGAAGCCAAUCUUAGUGUCUAUCAUCCCCGCACUCUCCACUACUACGACAGACACUAUCAACAACAAAGUCACAACUGCUCCAAAUUUAUCUUUUUCAUCAAAAUCCAUCAUUUUGUUCCCAUCCUCUUGAGGGUCCACAACCAUUAUUGUUCAUAAUUCGUGGAAGCAAUUAACUAAUAAGAGUGGCUUGGUUAAUUAAUGGGAUUUUGAUGGAUUUGAGAUGGAAAAUCUCACGCAGUAUUAAUGUAUUCUCCGCCUGCAUGCGCACCCUUGUCAAGAAGAACAAAGAUAAUGGUCUAAAAUUAGACGGAUUAUGUGACCAAAUUAAACAGCUUCCUAGAGGAACAUUCUGCAGCCGUCUUGCACUAUUUUAAUUAGUAAAUGGGAUUUGCAUGUUUUCUCUAGAAAAUAUAUACUGGCAGUCUGGCGUGCAAUUGUUCUUGGAACCUACCAAAAUGCAAUGGAAUUGGCCCGGUUUGCCUUGAUUGCUUGUACUUUUUGAAAUUCUCAAACAUGAUUUGAUUGCAAUAGUGAGUUGUAAUUUGUUGAAAUUUUCAAUUUUUACGUGUCAUUUUUGACAGAAAGAUCAUGAUUAAUUGUUAGAAUAUUUUCUUCUUGAUCAUUUUCACAAUACCUGCAGGUAUCAGUGUGAGAAAGUGAUGAUCUACGAGCAACGAGGUUAUAAUAAUGCCUAAUACAUAUGAUACGUAUGUUUGGAUAUUAGAACAAGUACUAUUAAAAUACCGUAGCUCUUAUUGUACCUCAAAAUUUAGUGAACAUUUGCAUAAAUUGUUGUUUCUAUACAUUGAGUUUUUUUUUUUUUUUUUGACGAACCCUGUACACAGAGGAAGGAUGUCACCCCUAAUUUAUUGAAGACAGCAAAAUAAAUAAACUAUGGAGGAGGACUAUAUCUGAUCUCCAGUAUAUGCAGAAAAGCCAGUAAAUGAGAAGUACUACUUCCUUACAAGACGACAAUAUGGUAGUCCUUUCGAAUCUAACAUAAUAAUAUCUCUACACUGCUUAGGUAAAUCUGCCAUAGACAAAUACAGUUGAUAACCAGUCAAAUGAAGAGAAGCUAAUGAAUCGGCUGCAGCAUUAGCCUCUAGAUAAAUAUAGGACAAUGAAGCUCCAAAUCUGGCCAACAAGUCCAUACAUUGAGUUGAUGUGGACGCAUAAAAUAUACUUCUAAUUAUAUCUAAAUUAUGUAAAAAAAAAAAAAUUACAACAACAUGCAACAGGACAAAAAUCCCAACUAUAUCUAUCCAUGCAAAUGCGUUGAAAACUUAAAGAUGAAAUAAUGUUGUAGAAUUUUAGUGUCACGACCCUAAGAAAAUUGCAAUAAUUCGUCCCUUAAGCAUUUUAACUUUUUCGAAAUUGAUUCAAUUCUCCAACUAGGCCUAAUUUACUUUUGGAAUGUUACAUGUUAGGAUUAGGUGCAUAUAUCAAAUGUGACGUGAAAAGGACUGUUUCACAAGACAUCAAGCAAGCCUAAUUGCUGCAAACAUUAGCUUAUAAUGACAUAUAAAAAAAAAAAAAGAAAGUCAAUUAGUCUAGUAAGGGGCAAAAUAGUUUUUGAAUCCAUGCACGUGCACCUUACAAAUUAGCUUAUAACAAAAGGAAAUUUGUAGUAGAUAAUUGAACCAAUUUGAUGAGAAAAAUAAAAAAGAUUGGAAUUGAUCUGUGAAAUCUAACCAUUAUUAAAGAAUGUUGGAUGGGAGAAUAUUCUAAAUCAAACAAAGAAAGUCCCCCAAAAGUAAAAAAGAAAUCAAUUUGCAGUUUGACUGCCUAAAGGAAAGGAGGAAAAAGCUGGGAAGGUAGCAGGAUUUAUGGUUUAUUAAUUUUUCAUUAUUGGAAUUAAGUAUACGGUUUAUUAGAAACAUCAACAAAGGAAGACAAACAUUAUUGACCAAUUUUGAGAGCUUUGAAUUGCUAAUGACUGGUUGACUACUAUGUCACAUGAAUUUUCUAAUUUCUGUGGGGCAUUUGGGCCAUUCACAUCUAAAAAAUUCUCAAGGAUGUUAAUAGCAAUCUCCACUUAUUCUGUUGAAUUAUUAGAAAUUUACCUAAUUCUUACGUGAAAAAAAAUUCUACCUAAUUCUUAAAUGUGAAAUAACAAGGUAAUACUAGUUUUGGUCCUUUUGGAAAAAGUAAUUCAGGCUAAACUAAUUAAAUUGCAUGUGAUGAUAUAGUUCAAAUGGAGAUGGGGAAUUUUUUUUUAAAAAAAAAAUGAACAAAGUAUUGAAAUUUUUGCUGCUUCAAGGACAAAGUAAAUUAUUUGAAACUCAGAAAUCUAGUUGAGUGACGGAAAAUAUAAUAACUAAAAUUAUGCAGUAACUAUCUACAGAUGAUACCCAAAAAAGGGAGCCAAACAUAUGUUUAGCCAAGUAUGGAUUUCUUUGAACUCCUGGAUAAAAUAUGAGGAAAUGUAUUCUGUAGAUAAUAUAACUUCUGGAAUCAAGAAGGGAUAGUUUUGAGCAUAUUUCUUAGUUUAGAAGAUAAAAUUCCACCACUCAAUUGUGUGUCAUUGUAGUGCUAUAUGGGGCCAACGCAUUAUGGAAUUGAAAAUGUGGUACAGUUGAAGAAGUAUAGAUUAAUAAUGACAAAAAGUACAUAAAAAUGAAAUUGUCUAAUUUACACUGAUAGUAUAUAUACUGUUAGCAUUUGAUGAAUAAUAACUAUAAAAAAUUUGAAUUUGAAAUUCAACCGUUAAAAAUAUGUCGUGGAUCCAACGGUGAUAAUGUAUACACUGUCAGUUACUCAUUGUUUAAAGAAUUUAGAUAUAAAGUAUAACAUAAUUCAUGCAUGUAUACAUUAUUAACAUUUUUAAUUUUUUGUACACAUCCAACUUGGGUAUGUGUAGAAUUUUCCCAUAAUUAACUUCGCUGUAACAGGAUCCAUCUUUUAUUCAGAUUUGGAUAAUGUUUGAGAGGCCACCACCAGCUUGAUUCAAUAGGAAAACGUUAAAUAGAACAAAAACUAAAAUGACCAAAUCAGACUGUUAAACUCAUAAUUGUCCAUUUUUUUUCAGUGGGAGGUCUCGAACUACAAGGAUCUGAAUACAAGGAGUCAAUAAAUGCAAGCAUUUGUAUUUCACAGUUUGGCAUGUAAGUAAUUGUAUUUAAUAGUUCGGCUAACGGGUGUUCGAUUAGCACUUGUCAAGAAGAGUCUCACGCGUUAGUUUUUUUAGAAGAGUAUAGUUUAUUUGAGAAAAUGUCUAACUGCAGAGGACACAAUGAUUGUGGUUAUUCGCAUGUUAAGUUAGGUGUAAUUUAAGUAUGAUAAGGAUGGCAAUCCGUUAGAAAAAUCCUAAAUUUAGAUAGCAAUUCAGCUUUUACAAAUUGGUGCCCUGUUCUAAAUUAUGCAAGUUAAUAAUCAAAAUCAUUAGCUAAUCUAAUGAGAACAUCUUGAGUAAAUUAUUCAGUAAAGUCCUUAGCCGAUCUAAUGGCAACAUGCCCAAUGAUGAAAACUUGGAUUGAAGUUUACUCAUUUAAAUGUAAAUUGUGGCCUAAUACAUGCUUAGAUAACAACUAAGAGACAACAGCAGACUUAGAUAGAAAACUGAUUUUUGACCAAUUCAAAGCCAAAAGUCUUCAAGAAAGAUCAAAGAUGUAGAACGCAUCCGGACUACAAUCUAGUACAACCGAAUAUACAAUCACCAACUUCAAAAAGUAGCAAUAUGUCUUUUACUGUAGCAAAGAUGCUUGUGGCAACUGGCAUGAAAUCAACCAGUAGCUGGGUGCUGAAAUUUUCUUUUCUGACAAGUAUCAUUUUGGUGGGUUGAUGAACAGUCCACAAAGAUGUUUGCUUAUGUUUGUCACUACACAGAUAACUGCAUUUGUGGACUAAAUUUGCUAAGGUUCUUGAAGUUUUAUUUCUCUGGGGCAAUAUUACAGAAAAACUUGCAGAAACUUUUGCUCCAACCAUCGUUGAGUGUAACUUGCUUUUCAGUUGAUUUAGAAACAUCUACUGGUCAUUGCUUGUAUAGAACCUUUGAGUUAAAUAUUUGUCUUCAAUUAAAAUAGCAAAAGAAAAAGUGAUGAUCCUACAUCUUUCAUCAAUGUCUGCAUGGAGGACAUCAAGGGGAAGGAAAAUCGUUUCAAUUAUCAUUACAUAACUCCUGUGAGCUGCUAAGUCAAUUAUCAUUACAUACACAUUUCGUUGAAGAUUGUUGAGAGAAGGAUGUUGAUUAUUUUCCUUGUAAUGCUCAGACAAGAUCAAUUUAAAUGGGAAAAUUACGCGCAGAGAGGAACCAUAAUCUAAGAACUACAACUGUCACUUAUAGCUGAUGUUCUUCAUUUUCUCUUGUUUAAAACUAGCAUUUUUGGCACUAUCUACGUGUGCAGAUAUCUUUAGAAUGGUCAUAUUCAUUACUAGAAGCUUGAAAAGGGUGACCGUACUGAAGGUCGUUUAAAAUCUGAACAUAAGAACAAUAUGUUUGACAUAUGAUAAGAUGACAGAAACUUUUAACGCCAAGAGUAGGUUCCUGUAUAGAUAAUCGAGUUUACACUGUUACAUGUAAUAAUUAUACGUAUUCCAAACUGACUAUAACAAUUCUUAUAUAAAUUGUUAAUGAAUUGCAUCGCCAAUAUAGUGUACCCUACAGGUUGAGGCAAAGAAAUUGUGUAUGGGGAACUCAGGAUUACCAGUUGAUUUCUGACUGUUUUUGGAACAAUACCACGAUAAGUUCUUGCUCUUCAGAACAACCAAUGCUUCCUCUUCGGUUUAUGCUGUACUGGAGCAUCUGUGCAAUGGAAAACAAUUUCUCAGUUUAUUGAUUAUCACACAUCUAAUCAUGAUUAAUCAGAACUGAAAUCAUGCAAACCUCGCAGUUCAUAAAGUGAAUUGUAGUGCACCUCAGACCAAAAGCUUAACCAGAGCUCUGCACCAUUCAAAGAAAAAAGAGUAUCUUAAUAAUAUAGACAUAGUGCAGCACACAUUUGUAGUUCCUUGCUCACACACUUGGAAACACAAUCCUAACAUUUAGGGGAACAGCAGGUUAUUCCUAGAACCUCGAACCAGUAUGAAAUCCGUAUCCCUUAUAUAAUGAAAGUUUGAUUUCUCAUCUCUAGUAAUUUCCUCUAGACAAAUCACAUAAACUUUCAAAUUAACAUUUGACACAGCACAAGUUUAAGCUUGAAUAAUUUCUUUAAUUCCUCAAACCAUAUUGAACAAACGUGUGCAAAUGACAAGGGGCAAAAAGAGUUGCCAGCUAUGGAGAAUGAUAUUUCCACCCAUAGUAGUAAACUGACUUGAUGAAAAUUUGUUGGUAGUUGAGUUACCAAUGAGGAUGUUGACUGAAGAGAAAAAUGGUGAAAACUCCUGCACCAUUUGUCUCCUUAGUCAAUGCAACAAUUUUCUGUAUCUAACUAGCUUAACAAGUUUCGAGCUAAACAUGACUUUGACAUUCAAAUAGGAAAAGUUUACAACUUCGUUUUUUUGCCCCACAUUGACUAUGCCCUUGAUUUUUACUUUGUUGCAUCUGCUAAAGAGAUGACCAAAAGUAAAUUUAAAAGAUCAACUUGGCAAAUUUUCAAAAACUUAGAAGAUUUGUUCGUUUAGGGCUUAAUGGCUCGCGUGAAAUUGCUUGGAAUUUCAGGGGCUUUGUUAGAGAUUUUCCUAUUUCACCUGCUUCUAUAUUCUUAGCUUCUUUUGAUGAAAAGAGAAAAAGGAUCCCGUAACUUAAGCGGAUGAAUUGCAGCAGUGACAUUGAAACAUGACCAACUGAUUUUGAUGAAAGGAAAUGUUGCAUGAGGAACUUCUGACACUAGAAAGAAGGGUCACAAUCAUGUAAUGAAGUCAUGGGAUUCGAUUGGCUUCUUUAUUGGCACCAUGCCUGAGAUAAACAAGAAAGGAAAUGCAAUACCUCGCUUAGGCGCUUGAUAUUGUGGAAUAAUCUCGAUAAAGCAAGUAUCUCUAAACGAUGUCAAAAGGCAUAUCUUUGCUGCAAACUGCACGAAUGAAGCAUUGUCAAUGACCUUGCACAAACAACAAUAGGAUAUGAUCAGGUAUCAAUUUUCAAGUCAAAUAACACAUUAACCAAAAAGGGACACUACCACAUAGAAAUGAAACUAAAGAUGAGCAGGACUCAGAAAGAGACUCUUGCAAAAUUAAUCAACAGUCUCUGGAAAAAAGUAAUUCUCCAAUGGCCAUAAGGUAUUGUCCUAUUCAUGAUCAGUUACUAAAAGGAAGCACCCAGGAUUAUUCAAUCAAAAAGAGUGUGUUCCUAAUGCUGUUCUAUGGGUCCGCCAAAGUGUGCAGGCACAUCCCUUUGUGACGAGGAGAAGAAAGAUUUUUAUAUAUUUAGCGUUGUUCUUGGGUUGAUGUCAUACUUCGUGUCAGGUGGAGAAGUUGAUUAACUGCAGGAUGAUGAUAAAAUUUGUAAACAACAGUUUGAUCUGUUGCACUAAAACCUUCUUAUAAAUUAGUAAGAAUCCUUAAGGUGCCAUGAACUAUAUAUAUGCCCGUAGAUUCCAGUAGAUUUUCUCCCUAGUAAAAAUGCCUGCUACACAAAAAAUAUUCUCAGAAUCCUUUGAGACCUAAAAGCUGGCUCAAUUUCAGUCAUCUUUAUUUGAACCACAGAAAAUUAGGUCCAGGUUAUAGGUUGUUAACCUGAACUUAGCACUAGGUGCAGAGUAAGUCAAGUAGGAUAUCAUUCCUGUAAAAGAUUCUUCUUUUGACAUUGAAAUUAAGCUUCAAUUAAAUUCAGUACUCCACGAUAUACAGGCAUCAACAGGCCAGAUUGAAUAACUGUGCAACAUCAGAAGAGUUCUAGGAAUAAAUGAAAAAGACACUAGCCGGUUGGAAACCAGCUAAAAAAUGUACUCAACAUAUUUAUAAGCUUUCAACAUAAUUAACAUCAAACCACUACUACUAACUUUUGCAAUUUCCCUUUUACAACAUCCAGAGGUAAUCAUUUUGGUUUUCUUCGGGAGUUACCACAAUUUUUCCAUCUAAUAGUACAAUACUUAAAAUAUGAUUUAAAACAUGAUCCUUCAAAAUCGCAGUCACCUAUGAAACUUGCAAUUCACUUCAACUUUGACAGAAAUAAUUCUCUUGGUUUAGCUUCCUUUCAAACUUAGCAAGAUUAAAGGGCAGAAAUCACUAACCAUAUCUAUCUUGCUGCAUCAAUUUUCCUUUCCAAACUUUUCCAAUGGGGAAAUCUUAAACAAAGCUCUUAAGUGUUUUAGGUUUGAAAUGAGGUACAUCUGCCACAGAUAACACCUUCUUCAGACCAGUUCAUUUUAAUUCUUCUAUUAGACUACCAGGAACCCCACCAAUUACUGCUUAAAAUUAUACUUCACUUGGUUCACAUUUUAAGGACUGAGAUAUUCUACUUUCUUUAUUUGAGAAAAAAGAUGCACAAUGUCAUCUCCCCUUCAGAGAUAAGGUUAUUCUAACCUUGCCUAUUUUCACCAGCUUUGGAAAUGGUAUAAGACUCUACAAUGUUCAUUUUACCUAUAAUGUCUGAGGCCUUCAAAAGCCUCAAAAUUGAAUCCCGCCUCUUAACAAAAUACCACUAAUCGUUCACAAGUAUUGCUUUUUUUCAUUGGAGAUUUAAAAAAAAAAUUUGGUUUUAAUAGUCACCCAAAAGCAUAGAGGAUGACUUCAAAUAUCUGAGACAAAACCAUAUCUUCUUCUCCCCUUCACCAAAACUCAUCUAACUCAGUCUGCUCUCCUAACCUUUGGACGAUGCUAAUAACCAGCACAGCACUAGCAGUAUUUAAUUUGUAACCACUGCUGGCUUUCAAUCUGCCAGUCCUCGCAUCCCAAAAAAUCCAACUGCCUUUCUUUUUACUGCAUAAUUGCUGCAGAAUUCGAAGAGAUGUUUGCUGAAUAUGCUUCUGCAGACUAGCACCAUCAAAGGGUAUCAAAUUUUACAACAAUUGUCAUCUUCUUCUUGAAGAGCCAGAAAAUUCACCACAGCAGCAGGAAGGAGGGCUGAAGGAUGGAGACACAAAAAACCAGACUUCCUUUGUACUUGCAAGGGUUUGUUAGUACAAAAAACCGAACCACUGAAUUUACUUUGUUUUUGCAAAUGGAAGAACAAGUGAAAGGGAAGAAGAAAUAGGAAGAAGAACACCAUUUGGACAAUGGUUAUUGACUUCCUGGAAAUCGAAUUCUGUAUUUCUGGAAGUCCAUUACAAGUAACAAUUUUUAUUAAAUUUUCAAUAAAAAGGCAAUAUUUGAGUAAAUAAUCCAAGGUGGCAGUUGUAUAAUUUGGACAUACAAUCAAUGCCUAUUUAUAAAUGAAGGUAACAUUGGGUGGAAAGUCAAUAAAAGUACUAAACACCAUUUCAGCAAAAAAAUCUGUCCCUCAUUGGCAGGGGAAGGAAACAUACAUCCUUACAUAAAAAAAAAAAAAAAUCCUGGAAGAACAAAUAUAACAACAUAAAAAGAUGAUUGCAAGUGCUUUCAAAAAAAAAAAAGAAGUAUAUUCUAAAUCCGGGAGGAGAAUAACCAUUAUCAUUACCUUUCCAACACACAACACUUUGAACUUUCUGCACGACUUUUUUCUUUGAUUUCUUGAAUUUUAGGUUAAGAAAAUUAUACUGCAGCAUUCUUAUUUAACAAUUUGCUGAUUUAUUACCAAGACACACAAGGAUCCAUUUUCUGUGUUGGAAAAACUGACCAGAGGAGAAGGAAGGGGGGGGGGGGGCAAGAAAAACAAGGAUGUUUGAAGAAUAAUAGACCUUAUCGGCUGCUGCUUGUAGUGUAACAUGGUCCCCCCACUCACCUGAUCUGCAAAUACAGAAAAUCAGACCCAGAAUUAGAAGCAGACUACAAAGGAAUAUAUAAAGCAUACAACUGCAUCUUUGAACAAUUUAGAGUAUCGAAUUGGAGGCAUAAUUAUUCACAAAUGAGUAUCCUACUUAGCCAUUUUCUUCCGAUAACGCUUGUACUUCAUUGGAACGUAACCUUCAUAUAAAUUAGGGUAGUCCUUCAGCUGAAAUAGAUAAAGAUUUGAUGGCAUGAAAAAGUUAAAAUUGGGAAUUCCAAUAACUACAGGUAGAGUUGAUAGCAUUGGAUCCAGUGCAAACAGAUCUUCUUAAUGCAAUUGUGUCCAAGGCAUUUAGAGAAUUAACUUCUCAGGCAAAAAAGUUGCUAACGGAGGGGUGAUUGAAAAAACAAUCAUUUGAUGAACGUUGCAGAAGGCACUGCCAGCAGCUCAUUCCGCUGGAGCAGAUAGAAGGCCAUAAAUGUAAUAGUCAUACUGCAGAAAGUAUACUGUGUACCUACAGAAUGUAAAACUCAUAUAGGCUUGUAGUAGAGAUAUGUUACACGGAGAUGGUCAAAAUGUCACAAGAAAUCUAGGCUGGAAAUGUGCAAGUGCUAGCUGAAAAUUUAGUGGAUGGAUUGCUUGAUCAAAGGACCCUUGACAACAUGACAAAUAUUUUCUUUUUCGAAUUACAGAUACUAAAAUACCAUUUAAUUUGUCACAUGAAAUAAGCAUUCAACCUUCCAAGUGUAAUUUCUAAACCAAUAAAAAUUAAACUGGCUAGCAUCAUCAAUCAACAGACUAACAAGGAAAAUGGCGGAUCAAGAUAAGAGACAGUACACUUGAAAAAAAGGUGACAGAUAGUAUAAGAUCUUUCACAUAAAAGAUGUAACAAACACAAGUAAUCAACAUUGUAUGGACACCAAAACAUCAAAAUUAAGCAGCAAAAUAAGGUCGUGCCCUAUUUUGUAUAAUUAUAUUUGACUCCAUGAGACUGCUUACCCAUCUACAAAAGAAAGCAUCAAAACCACAAACAUAAUUCCUGGACAUAAUUAUUGACCAAAUAUAUAAUAGAUUAUAGUUAAUCUAUUCGGCAUAACACCUAACUCAAGUCUCAGUAUCUUAGAAGCUGCCCAAGCACAAACCUGUUUCACAACCUCCUUCCUGACUUGCCUAUGAUACUCUGGGGACCUAUAAAGCUGGUCUGAAAGAGCUCGGAACUGAAGAAAAGGACAAAUAUAAAUGAACAGAUGAAUGGCAUUAGGAUCUUAAAGGCAACAAGAAAUUAGCAAACCUGACAAUUGCCAUCUCCUGAGACCUUGACUUCAUAUAAACCAUAAACAUUUAGCCUGAAAGAGGAUCAAAGAAGGAAAACAUUCAUCAGCUUAUCCCAGCUGAAGAGUUAAAGGAGUAGAAGAGAAGGCUACAUCUUUUCCUUUUCCUGGUAAGCAAAUUAUAGCCUUGGUACCUAUUGAUAAUUAAUUAUUUUCAACAAUAUCAAAAGGUAAUAGCAUGAUCUUAUUUAAACUCUUUCUCACUCUUCUGUUACAGACAGAGGCAAGCAUAUACACAAAGAGACAUUGGUUGGUCAGGAUGUGGAGCAGAUGGAGCACCUUGAUGCCUGUAACUGCAGAGAGUAUUUUCUGGUAAAGUUUAGUAAGCUUUUCAAAGUACAGAGGAAAUUUUUCCCACUCUAUCAUAGAAAAUGGUACUAAGUUCUGUCGACAAAGCCCUAGCAACUGCCCUUGGUUUCAGUUAUCAUGGACAGAGCAAGCAUUGCAGCCGAGGGUGAUGAGAUACACCUUUCUUCAUGCAGCUAAAGCGAUCCAAUGUGGUACGCAUGAAAGAAGCUAGUUGCGUCUUCUCAACUUUACAUAGUCCAACAUCAUAUCUUCUUUCUGUUUUAUCUAACAAGCCAUAAUUUCUAGAAAUACAAUCUUAAGUCCCUUCCCUCAAGACAAUCAAGUAGAUAGAAGAUGGGGAAAAAAUAUAAUCCAGAGUAACCUCAAAUCAUACAAUUCAACUAUAUAUGAUUCCAUUGCUCCAGUAUUUAAAAAGAUUAUGCAAGAAAGUAUUUAGUCUGAAGAACAGGGCAUGGAAGAACAAAUAAGCUACUCUUCCUAGAGGCGAAAAGGGGAAAAAGAUAGUAAAUUUGCCUAGUAUAAGAUUUAAAGGCAUUAUUGAAUAUAAUUUCAUAAAGAACAACAAAAUUAGGUGGGACUGAUUCCCACUAUAAUGUCUUAAGGCUGCAUUUUGAUUAUUAAGCAGAACAGUUAAUUGAUCAAGGAUAAACUUGGGAAAUCCGCAAACUAGUAGAGGGAGCUACGCAAUCAAAUUUAGAAGGCUUUGAUUUUUUUCUUUUUCUGAGGGACUCAACCUAGUCAAUAUCUUCUGAACAUCUUUAGGAAUGAUUUACCUUGGCCUCCUCUGGAAUUUAAUUCUAAUUAUAGAACCUGCACAAUCUUAUUUCGAUUAUAAUAGUAAACAUUCAAGUUUCAUUUCAGUUUCUACACCUUUCUUGCCAAGACAAUUUCAAAGCUUGGUUGAUGAGUAGAUGGGAAGUAACUAAGUAUUGUUCUACUCAAAAGAAUGUAAGCUUAUAGAGGUUGGUUGAUCAUCCUACAGAACCAAUACAACUUAAAUAUUUAGCUCAGCCUUUAAGACAGAUUUCUUAUAGGCAGACUCGAAGUAAGGGUAAGCUCAUGCAUUACUCUUAACAGACUAUAGCAAUGUUAUUGUCGUACACUGGGCUUUAUCUAGAUUGCUGACCUCAUACAAAUAUGAAACCUGGUUAAUCUCUAUAGCCAUCCAAAAUCAAGAUCUCACUUUCUUCAGUAAAGAGAUUACUUCUAAGAAAACAAAUCUGUGCAUGCAAUAGUAUAGAACCACUAUACACCCGUGCCAAAUUUUAUGUCAGUUUUUCUUUUUGAGAUUGCUCCAAUAUAAAGUUCACCUUCAUCAAAUGAAAAGUCUCUCUCUUCAGACAUGCAGUAAAAGAAGUUGGAAACUCAUGAGAUUCAUUAAAUUUUAUUUUUUAGCCUUUACAAAACAUAAGAGGCAAUGUCAGCAGAGUUAGAAAGUUCUAGUAUAAUGUCAACCAAAACCACACAAGGGGGCCACAUAACUUUAAAAAGUUACAGGGCAUCUGAAGGUAUUACUCUUUAAGCGGAGAAACUAGGUAGUAUAUCAAGCACAUCAAUUGUUCAGAAUAAAGUAAUCUUAUUGUUAGAAGGCCUAACAUCUGCCAAGUGUUCUAGUGUCAAAUGUUCUUUCGACUAUCAUUCUCCAAAUACACAACAGUUCAUAGCAUCUUUCUUACUCGAAAUUGCAAAAGACUAAAAAUCCUCAAAUAGUACAAUCCAACUCUCUGACUUUAAUUCACAAAUAUCCAGCUAGAAAUGGCCUCUUCCUUCUUUGUCCCAGAAGGCAAAAAUCCCUUUGUUCUACAUGGCAUUUAUAAGAAUCCCUUUGUUCUAUUUUAUAUGAUAUACAUGUUACUCCGGAUGUAAAACAUUUGGCGCUGACCCUAGAAGGAAAUAUCUUACAAAUUUUUAAGCACUUAGAUAGUAGUUGGUGAUGUUGGGCUGAUCAUAUUCCAAUUUCCUAUCUUAACAAUUAACCUAAAAUACACAUGGUUAAUGUUUUCCCCAUUUUAUCAUAGAGUUGCCAAUAUCAUUCAACACACAGAGCUGAUUCAAAAGCUACCAUAUAAAAUGAGAUGGAAAGAGGCUGCUAUUUACAAGAGUUCACUUCUUGGCCAAUUUUACAAAUCAAGAAAUGUUUCUGAACUGUAUACUCCUUGUGGCAAUAGCAUGAUAGAUAAGAAGAGAUCACAAGUGAUAAAAGAUAGUAAAACUCAAUAGAACAGUUUUAUAUGAAGUUUUUCAUCAUAUUUUUUACAGUUUCCCUACUAAUGAAGAGAGCAAGACACACAGACAGACAGAUGGCCUGUGUCUCUCUGCAUGUGUGCGUGAGAGAGAGAGAGAGAGAGACUGCAAUGAAUCUGUAGACUAACCUCUGAAAUAACCGCUGGUAAUCCAAACUAGCAUCACUCGAGUCCGGGAUGUAAGAAUUUAUUUUUGGAACAUGCUGUGAUUCCAAACAAAAAUGGAAUGAAAUUAGAACAUCCAAAAAUUUGUAACAGUAAUUUGUUCACUUCUUCAAUGUUUUCAUAGUUUUUGAAAGAAAGUAGGUUUCUCCUACUACAGCAUGGUGUCAAAGUAAAUUAUUGCAGAGUUUUUUUCCCAGAAUAAUAUACAGAGAUACAAAAACAACUAUGUUUAGACAAUAACCAAAUUGUAAUGUAGGACUAUGUAUGUCUUACAGGAAUAGGUGCUAGAUGGGAAACCCUUUGACCAACUGCCCCAUCUAAUUUAGCAUACUCCUCAGAGAGCACCAUGGCAAUCAUCUUAUCAUCCUCUAUGUCUUGUUGACUGCUGGAUGAAGUUGAAGUAGAACAUUCACCAAGGCUUGCAUUCCCAUUUGUCAUAGUUUGUUUAUCAAAAACUUUCAGCUUCCUCGAGCAGUUGACAACAAAGAGCUUAUAGCUUCCUCAAAUCAAUCAACACAGAACUUUAUAUACUCUAAUCUGCAAGCAAAAGAAAAUUUGGUACAUUUACUCCGUCAGACAGGAUAUCCAAAACUCAAAACUCCCAGCACAUUUUUAGUUUUUUAACCUAUGAUUUAGGAAUGCAAGAACAAAAUCAAUAGGAAAUUCAAAAUAUACCAACGGUGCAACUAAUAUAGGUGCCUAAGACUAAACUGGAGUGCUAAGAAUGGACAGUUCAUAAUUGAAAGUAAGAACUUCCAACCAAGAGAUGCAAGUGAAAAUGGAGGAAACUCUCUCACCAAAUUGACAAAUAACACCAUAUAUGACCAUAUGAGUGCUCUAUAUGCAAGCCAACCAUUUGUAAGAACAGAUUCUCGGAAUUCUCAGCUAAAAGAAUGCAGGGAAAAUAAGGUUAACCCUCUUGCUAAACUCACAAAUAACACCAUAAAUGAGUAGAAUUGAUGCUCAAUUUAUAAGUCAACCUUUUGAUCCGUGAAAACACGUUUGACAAUGAAAGCUAUUGAGGUAGGUAAGCGUGUUCAACUAUUUAGGAAAAUCAAGCAUUGGAAUGAUUCCAAUUUCCAAGCAUCUAUUUCUGGAAAUUAAAAAUACUUUUUUUCAUCCAAUGUUUGAUUAAUCGUAUUUCCCUGCAAAAUCCAACAUUCACUCAAGAUCCAAAACUUCUAAUUGAUUCAUUCUCACGGAAACUGUCGGCAGAAUAAAAAGACGAUCUUUUUCAACAGAUUAUUGGGACAUUCCUGGUCAGACAGUUAAAUGGCAUUUGAUGACACGAAAAGGGUUCGAUUCAUUCACAGGUUUCAAUCCAAUCACAUAAUCAAAGACCCAAAAUUUUGAAGAAAACAGAAAGCAUCACAACAUUAGCAGCAGGAAUCAUUCAGCUUUACCUUGAGGCUUGAAGAUGGAUGACAGUUUCAGCAGCUUUCUGGUGGGAGAAUGAAGGAAUGAAGGAAGAAACUUUCGAGAUUCCGAGUUGUGGACCUGGCAAGAAAUGGAGUGUGGGGAGUUUCGGCUUGCAACUAACGCGGCAAAUCUUGGAGUGUGAGCCAAUGGAAGUUUGGAACCUUGAGCAGUUGAUCAAACAGGUGACACGGAACCGAACAAAAUCCUAAUUUUUGGCAGAUAUUUUGAAUUUUUAAAUUGUCCAAAAUUGCACUCAACCUCUCUUGUCAACGUGUACAUUUUUCUCUCGCUUGUCUCUUUCCUUCUUUUCCUUUUCUUUUUUGAUAAGAAAUGGAUUUAUUUGAGGGCAAAUUACACUAAAACCCCUUGGAUUAGUGUGAAUAACCUGUUUGGCAAAUGAAUUUUUUUAUCAAUUUUUUCGCUUACAACUUUUUAACAACUUUAAUUACAGUAAUUUCAAAAACUCCUUAAAAUUUUUAAAAUACACACUUUACAAUACCUAGAAACACACUAAAAUAAAAAAAUAAAUUCUUCUUUCUAUUCUUCUACUUUCUCCUCCCAUCUCAACUCACCACUCCACCACCGACUAACAUUGAUGCCAGCCGCCAGUCACCUUUUUUUAAAAAAUUUUUUCUUUGCUUUCUCCCCUCUCCCUCCUUCUCCUCCCUGCCUCUCCUCUCCUCUCCUCUCCCCUCCCCCUCACUCCACUCUCACCCACCACUUCCUCCCCUCGUCUUCCUCCCCCUGCAACCCUCCCUAUCUCCCAUGCACGAUCUGGGAGUGUUAGGGUUUGUCAAGGUUUCAAUCUUUCGGACAUAAUAAUAUACGAGCCAUAUUCUUGCAUCAUAUUUUCACUAGUGAUAUACCAGAAAAACAAAACCAGACACUCUUAACAGGUUAAUAAUGUCUUCCUCAAUUGAUCAGAAAGUAAUGAAGUAAGGGAAAAAAGAAAAAAAAAGAAAAAAGAAAGGGACUCUAUGGUGAUGCAUCUUUAUACAGUGUGAGCUCAGGUGGUAACAGUUACCCACCCGGAUGCUGCAAGUAGCUCAGCUCAUAUCAUAACAGUCAUCCACCCAGUGGCGGUAAGUAGCUACAGUGGCGGAGUGGUAUUUCUGAGAAAAGGGGUGACAACACAAGACAAAAGGGUCGCAGUGGGCUGAGGGGAACCACUUGCAAAAUGAGAGAUUAAUCCAAUCCACAGGUGAUUAGGGGCACCUUCAACCGCAGUAUUGAAAUAGAUGGCUGAGAUCGAGCAGAGCACCUCCUACCCGAUCUACAACCGCCCAUAACACAGUGCAGUCCCAUACCAAGGACUUGAGCAGUCAGGCUAGCAAGUAUUUCUGGAGGCUUCCAGGUAGCCUAGAGAUUCUUGAAAUUACUUGCAAGGUGUAAAGAACAACCUAGACACCUAACAGUUAAUUAGGGGGGUACACAAUAAAUGGCAAUAACCAUAAACAACAGAUUCAAAAACAAAAAUGACAGUCAACUGCAUGAUAUCUUAACAGUUUUGUGUCAAUUGGCAUAUAUUGCUAAUCAACUCAAAAAUAUUACACCCAUUUGGAUCACCAAAUCCAAUAACUAUAGCGACCAAUGAAGAAUAACAUGUUGGAGAGAGAAAAUUUUGCAAGCUAGAAAGCACCCCAAAAUUGCAGGCCACUCAGAUUCAAUGGCGAUCAUUACUCGUUAUCGGAGUAAUUAAACUUUACUGAGUGUGAUUGCAAGUCAAUCUGCCCUCCUCUAUAGCUACCACGCUUCUUCUUGGUCUUUUCAUGCCGGAAGCCCCUGAAAGAAAGAGAGAGAGAGAGAGAGAGAGAGACAGUUUGUUCUGGUUAAGCUGCCACCAAAAUACAAACAAUGAUGUAUACGUAAAAGGCAGCUACUUCCAAACUGCAUGUGCAAAGGGCCCAGCCAUGUUAACUCAAGAAUGACAGGUUUUACUCCUAUUGUACGGAAGCAUACAAUAUUAAAUCAUGACUAAGCAACUGUGAAGAAAAAUACUCAGUUGAGGCCUUUAGAUCUCUGCCACAGGUUCCUCUUUCAACAAUUUGCUCAAUGUACUAACUAUCAUAAGAAUUGCUAAGAUGUGAAAAAUGACCUUUAGAACCAAAAACUGGUCCAAAAGGCAGAAUGGUGUUCAAACAUAAUACAUUCCAAACUUUAAAUUCCAACAAUAUGACGGAAAGCCCAAGAUCCCAAUUAUAUUAGCAAAUGGGCGAACUUUAAGAAAGAAGCUCUCUUAACACUUGCAUGGUUCCACUUGAUGCCCACUUAUAGGUCUUUCUAUUCAUUGUAUAUCUUCUGCAAUGCUGCAUUAUAACCCUAAAACUAAAAGUUAUGACCCAUUUUCAUCUUUAACAAUACAACUUAGGCAGGUUAUCCAUUCACCUUCAAUUCAUUUUUUCCUUAGACGAAUUUUUGUGAAUUUAAUUAUGUGGAGACUUAUUGUUAUUCUAAAUUUCUUUCUGUAUUUAUCAGCAGAGUUCCACCUCAUAUCUAUUUAUUCACCAGAAAGAGUCUUUUCCCUGUGAUAGGAACCAAUUUACAAACAAGGAAGCAAAAAAUCGUUUGACCAUGAAGCACAAUUCGAUGAUAAGAAAUUAGAAUACAGACCUUCCUUUCACCUGGCCCAGGACUUCUUGUGCUUUUGCACCAUAACCAAUUUCUGCACCACUCUACCCAAAAAAAAAAGAAACAAAAAAAUCUUGAGGGCAAGAAAAGUGUAAAAGCACACUAUUAUUUUUUCUGCUUCCAGGAUUGGAAAAUGGAAGCUGUAAAAUAUAAAAGUCCUCAAACCUUUGCCCAAUAAGAAUUAUCCUGAAGCCUCUCAUCAGCAAACUCCACUGCAUCGACUUUCACCCUUUGAAAAGCAUUCACUGUUUUAGGCUGCAGUAAUGGUGACAGGUUUAGGUUGUCUUGAAUGAUUAGCCCAAUUAGUGAAACAUGCAGACGGGAUACUGGAAAAAGGUAAAACGACUGCAUUGAGCAGUACGUUUUCUAGAAGACAAUGUACAUAGAAGAGGCACGCACAAACGUCCACACAAUUAUACCCACACACACACACACACACACAGAGCCCAGGGUAAAAGCUGCCUAUUAAGUGCUGCCAUUGGUGUAUUUACAUGGCCAAAAGAUCGGGUAAAUAAUAAACAGCAUGCAUACCUCAGCAGAUCCAUUGCGCUGUUUCCUAGCACAUUUCUGCGCAGCAGAUCUCUCAACACCAUUUUUCUUGAGAACCACCUGUGUGUUUACAUUGAACUGUUUCUGUGGCUCACUAACAUCGCCAUUCUCCUUUUCCGUUUCUCCAGCAACAUGACCAUCACCUCCAAGAACCGAAUUGACUUCACCUUGCUUCACAACAACCUCAGCUUCGUCUAUGCCUUCGGUUUUUCUCCUUUUGGAUUCUUCAAUUGCUGCCCCUUCAACAGGCUUAUCCUUCUUUUCAUCAGAAGCAGAUCUUUUUCUCUUCUUUGACUCCUUGUUGGCAACAUUAUCUGAUGUCUCCUGUGAAUUUCCUUUGUUUUCCACACCAGUAUCAGAUACAUCCUUUUUCUUUCUCUUCUUUUCUUUCAGUUUCAGUUUACUAUCAUCCAAUGGGACGUCUACAGUGUCCAUGUCUGUGUCCCUGAUAACUGCACUUUCUGCUCCCUUGCCAUCAUCAACAGGAGAAACCAUCCUUAGCUUCUGCUUCUUCAGCUUAUCCUUAGGUUUAGUUGUCUCUGAAGAGUCUUUAUUGCCAUUGGCGCUGAUAGUUUCUAAACUUUCUGGUUUUCCUUCAAUGGCCUUAGGCAAUGAGUCUUCUUGUUUUCCAUUAUCAUCAAGUGAUUCAGAUGUUAACUUAUUUUUCUUCUUCUUCUUCUUGUCUAUCGGCUCCUUCAUGGACUCAUCCGCCUUCACCUCAGAAAUAACAGAUUUGGCAUCAUCGUUUUCUUCAGUACUCUUUUUCUGCUUCUUCUUACUAGCAGUUUCUACAGGAGCAUCUUUGUCCAUCGUCCCAUCAGCACCUUGUUCUGCACAAAUGUCCUAGGAUAAGCACAAACCAAUACAUUGACCGGCUAAGCUAAAUAGUACUUGAAACAGGAAAUCAGAUUUGACAUAAGGGAGGAAGGCAGGAACAAUAGUAUCAUUAAGUUCUGUUUUGUCAAAUACCUUGCUCCUUCUGGCCUUUGAAAUCUGUAUCAGCACUUCUACUGCACGUCAGAGAAGCUCAACUAGCAUGAGAAACAGAAGCUGAAGCUAUGUGCAAAAUGUGAAUCGGACAUUAUUAAAUCUUCAUGCAUGGAAACCUAUUAUAAAAAUAUACAUUUUUGAAAGAUGGAAACCAAAAAAUGUCUACGUCAUACAUCUGUGAAAAUCAUUUUUCCUGUCAAUAGGUGUUGGUCACAUUCGCCAAAAUGGAAAAAGCAUUCCCAUGGUAAGGUAUUAGCAUAUUUAGCAAGCAUGAUCUUUUGGAUGGGAAGCUUUUCAUAACAUAGAGACUCCUCAUUAGCAAACUCGUCAUCAAUCCAUUACAUGCAAUCUCAUUCAAGCCUUGGGAAGGCAAGCAAGCACUAACUAAAAAAUCUUCAGAUAACAAACAGGCUUAGGACUGAAUAUCACAUAUUUUAACAGCCAUUUUAUUCUUGUUACACUUCGGCAUUUUGAUGUUGAUUCCUCAUUUUGAGACACCACAACCACCAGGUUACUUGGACACAGAUCCACAUUUUAUCACAUAAGCAACUGCUUUAAACAUCAAGAUAGAUCAUUUUGAGAUGAACACUUUUACUCCUAAAGCAAAUAUGGUUUCUGCGAUGAAAGAUUUAAAUCUACUAUUGUCAAAUAUACUGAGGUCCUAACACCAUCAAAUUACAAAGCAAAUGACCAAUCCAAUAUCUCCCCUAUUUACAAGUAGUUUAUGCCUGUGAUAUUUAAAAAAAAUGAAGGGAAAAAAAAGACUGCCGAGAGAUAAUUAAGUUCAGAUCACUAAGUGGAUAAUAGAAGCGCCACAUGCAAGUUGACUGUGACUUUUGAACUUUUGAUGUCUAAAAAAUCUUCCUCAUCUAUCAUAUGAUGCAUGAAAAUUGCCAGUGGGGAGGCCACUGUGUUACGUAAGCAGUCUAAUCAAAGGGUCUAAAAGGGGUUGCUCCCACUGCUUAUAGUCUAAUACCCUUAUUAUCAAACAUAGUAAUAUGCUUCUGUUUACCUUUGCUAUUGAUAACUAGCAUAUCAAAGUUCUCUGACAUGGAAAAAUUCUUGCUACCAACUCUAAUGGCAGAAUUUUCUGACUACAUUCCUGAUCUAACAAGCUUACUUUUUAUUCAUUUUUUUGUUUUCUUUAAUAAAUUAGGUGGGCAGAAUAAGUCAAGAAAACUCUGCCAAAGAAUUUCAAAUUGCAUUUCUAGAAUAACAAUAAAACUCUGCUAAAACACAGCAAAAAAAUCAAAAUUCAAAAGUACAAAAUUUUCAUUGUCAAAUUUCUAGCCUACCAGUUAUCUAAAUAUUUGCAGUACAUCUCCUCCAAGUCAAAUGAAUCUGCCUUCCAAGAAUCAUCCUGCAGUAAAAUCAUGAUCAACUGUUACAGUCUGGCCAUUUAAAACAUUAAUACAAAAGUUACUGAAUCUGAAUUCAGAAGGCAGAAUUCCAUCUUACAUUAGGACAUAAGCAAAAAUGCAUGCAUCACUACUCUGCCGAUAAAGCACUAAACUUUUUCACGGCCCGAUGUUCAGGCAGUCAGUUUAUAAUACAAUUAAAACAAACAUCCAAUAAGUAAAGGUUUAGAGCCUUAAAAAACAUCAUUUAUAUAAAAUUACUACAGUUAACAUUUUUCUAGAAACACCCAAAAAGCAACCAUCCAAACAGAGCCAUCAAAUUUGAAAAUAGAAUUUUUGUUUAAAGAUCAAAUGGUAGUGCAAUGCCAAUAACCAAUAUACAGUCUACUAAAUCAAAGUAUACAGUCUUAAACAACAACAUUGUACGUUCUGCUUCACCACAUCUAUAUCUUUCUCUACUAGAACGAUAAAUUUAUCUUUCCCUAUCUAAAUUUGGGCAUGUCUAUGGAUUUCAAUUGCAUAAAGUGUAGUGUAUUUUUCAAAAACUUCAUAGUGAAGUAUCAAAUUACCUCAACUUGAGCUUCUUUCAAGAAGCGCUUAAACGUCUUGGAAAAACCCUUGUCAUGAAUAUACUGAAUGACAGAGUGAAGAAGAGCAAUCUUAGUUUCAGGCUGCUGCUGCUCCUCCUUAACCAGCGUUUUCGUCAUUGUCCGUCCUGUGCGCUCGAGCUUUCCCUUCUCCUUCUGCUCUGCAAGGAGAACCUGGCGAGGCUUGAAAGCAACAAUUCGUCUUGAAACUGAGCUAUUGCUCUCUUCUCCUCCUUGGAUCAUACACUGACAUUAUUAAUAUCAAAAAAAUCAAAAACUAAUUCAUUUUUCCAAAUUCAAUUCAAUUAACUCAAAUACAAAAAAAAAAAAGCAAAAAAAAAAAAACAUGUACAAGCUAGGUGGUGGAUGAGAAAUUUCAAACUACACAUACAAACAGCAAAAAACAAAUGAGGUAGAAAAACAAAUAAAAAAGAAGAAAAUGUUAUCGAAAUCAAGCAUUAAUUCUUCCAAUAUUGCAGUAACCUAACAAAUUAUGCAAAUAAGAGUCAAUAACAACAAAAAAAAAUUAGAAAAAACAACAUCUCCAAGCCAUUGACGAGAAAUUUCAAUCAGUAUCCAAACAGCUUAAGCUAAAAAGGAAAAUUAAAAAAAAAGGGAAAGGAGAAAAAGUUCUUACCAGCUGGGUUGUGAAGAACAGGAAGGCGGCAGGGAGGAGAAGGUGGAAGUUUCUGGAAGAUGAUAUUAUUUUUCUUUAGCAGUUAAUACUACUGCUAAGCAGUAGAAUUAGGGUAUAAGGAAUUAGCGGAUAUGAUUAGGGUUUUUUAUUUUUCGGGUUCGGGUUAAGGAUGUGGGUUGGUUUGAAGAUGGAUAGUCACAAGACACAACGACAAUUAGGUUUAAUUACAUUUUCUACCCCUGAACUUGUAUAUAUGGGACAUGUUGUACUAGAGUUUUGUAUUUUUUUUUUUUGUCGCAAAUAUAGUGGUAGUAUAACCUAUUCUAUCCAAUCGACGGAGAACCCGUCGGAGAUAGUCACUUGAAAGUGAUAGCCACAAUUAAGUGACAAGGUAGAAGGUCAAGAAUUGUUAAUGACUUUAAAGUUUUGGUAAUGACCAACAGCCCAAGAGGUUUUUGGCUAUUAGAGUUUUGUAUGCAAGUGAAAAUUGUCACAUUACAUUGUACAAUAUUAGGACCAUGAAUUUUAGAUUAGAACCAUGAAAUUUUAGCACCCUGAGAUUUACUAGGUUAAAAAUAAGGAAAGUGAAAAUAAGGAAAUAAGCAGUAAGGCCAUCAUUUUGAUAUUAUUCGUUUAACAUCUAGUUGCAUAGUUUGUGUAUGACUAAUAUAUAUAUAUAUAUAUAUUAUGGGUAUUGGUAAGAAGAAUAGGGGAGGCAAUGUUGCUCUCAAAUUAAAUAUGACCAAAGCUUAUGAUAGGGUUUCUUGGAUUUUUUUGAUCAAUGUGUUACGUGCUUUUGGGUUUGGUGAAAGAUGUAUUGAUAUGGUUUGGCGUCUUAUUUCUAAUCCAUGGUUUUCUGUUUUGAUUAAUGGGAUGCCAUGUGGUUUUUUUCCAUCUUCUCGGGGGCUUCGUCAAGGGGAUCCUUUGUCUCCUUCUUUGUUUAUUAUAGGUGCAGAGGUGCUUUCACGGCUUUUGAAUCAACUUCUGCUGCAUCCACGCUUUAAUGGUUUCAAGGUUCCUCGAGGGUGUUCUCUAGUUAGUCACCUGGGGUAUGCAGAUGAUAUUCUUAUUUUUUCUAGUGUCUCAGCAGUAUCCCUGAAGUUGUUAAUGGAAACGCUGAAAAAGUAUGAACAUGUUUCGGGCCAGAGAAUAAAUGCCUCAAAGAGUUGUUUCAUGGUUCACCCGCGACUAUCCCGGACAAGAAAGGUAUUAAUUCAGAGCAUAACGGGCUUUUUCCCAAGGAAUUUCCUUCUAACUAUCUUGGCUGUCCUCUAAUGGUGGGAAGACGUAAAAAGGCUUAUUUCCAGAAUUUGAUCACGACGGUGGCUGCUACGAUUGUUUCUUGGAAAAAUCGUUUGUUGUCACUAGGAGGUAAGGUUGUACUUAUUAAACAUGUACUGUCCUCGCUUCCAUUGCAUUUGCUAGCUACUGUGUCACCUCCAAAAUCUGUAUUUGCUACUCUCGAGCAUUUGUUUGCAAAUUUCUUUUGGGGUUCAGAUGAGGGUGGUUUAAAAUACCAUUGGAUUCGUUGGAAAGAUCUUUGAGCUCCAAAAGAGGAGGGUGGGCUUGGUAUUAGAUCACUGGAUGAUGUUUUUAAUGCCUUUUCUAUUAAGCUAUGGUGGAGGUUUCGACAAAAUGCGUCUCUUUGGGCUAAUUUUAUGAUGGCAACCUAUUGUUCAAAUGCGUACCCAGGUAUGGUUGUUCGUUCGGAAGGGGCCUCUCAUACGUGGCGUAGGAUGUUACAUGUUCGGGACAUUGCUGAACAACAUAUAACUUUCAUUAUCCAUUCUGGGGACUCUAAUUUCUGGUUUGAUAAUUGGUUAGGUUCUGGGCCUUUGGCUAUGCGGUUAGGGAGUGUUUCGGAUCACAAGGUGUCUGAUUUUUUAGUUGAUGGCAGGUGGAAUUUUCAGUUGCUGGGUUUGUGGGUACCUCCGUUUAUUAUUAACGACAUCUGAAUGUUCACUCUCCCUCAAAUUGAGAAUGGUGUGGAAGAUUUAAUGAUAUGGGCUCCUUCUCAAUCUGGAGUUUUCACGCUGAGCUCAGCUUUUAACCUGGUGCAAUCACAUAAGCAAAGGUCAUUUAUGUUCUCAAAAGUCUGGCACCCACAAAUUCCUUCCAAAGUGUCUGUUUUUCUUCUUCGCUUGUUGCGAAAUCGAUUACCCAUGGACUCCACGCUAUGUAAACUUGGUAUUUCGAGCCCAUCAAAGUGUUUAUGUUGUGUCUAGGCUAAUGGUGAGACUUUGGACCAUGUCUUUUGUAGUGGACAGGUAGCAGUUUCAGUUUGGAAUUUCUUUGGCUCUGCUUCAGGUGUGCUUAAUUUAGGUGGCUCGGUUCGGGCAUAUAUUGCAGGUUGGUGGUAUAGCGCACCAAGAAAUGGUUUCAUUGCAUUUGUUCAUUUUAUUAUACCUUCUCUGAUUUGUUGGAAUAUUUGGAAGUCCAGAAACUCGGCACGUUUUGAAGGGAAACUUCUUUCUCAUGUCAUUAUCUCUGAGUUUGUUUUUGACAAUGUGAAGGACCUCUUUAGUUUACAAUUCCCUGGGUACCCAUUCGUUUCCUCAGCAUGGAUGGAGUUUUAUUCUUCGCUCUCUUAUAUUCAUAAGAAAGUCUCAUUUAUGAUUGUAAGGUGGUGUUGGCCACUCUUGGGUGUAUUUAAACUUAAUACUGAUGGCUGUUCAAGGGGUAACCCAGGGAGGGCAGGUGGUGGUGGGGUUUUGCGUGAUGAUGGAGGAAAUUUCCUGCUCGCUUUCUCCUCUUUUUUUAGGAAUGUAACCAGCAUUCAAGCUGAGGCGCUCGCUCUUUUCUUUGGGGUUAAGUUGUGUCUCUCUCGUGGUUAUGUUAACUUACACAUUGAAAUGGAUUCGUUGGUUCUUGUUCACAUCCUAAAACAGGGAUCUAGCUGUCCAUGGAGUAUUUAUACAGAGGUUAAAUACCUUCUAAAGUUUUCGUCUAAUUUUGUUGCAAUUUCUCAUUGCUUUCGGGAAAGUAAUCAAGUAGCCGAUUCUUUAGCAAACAUGGGAUGUGAUCAAGGUUUCAAUACAACAUAUCAUCAGCUUGUGGACCUCCCUAUGAAAGCUCGUGGGGCGUUUCGCUUAGAUAGAAUAGGCCUGCCUUCAAUUAGGAAAUGUGUUCAGCGUGGAUGAAAAGCCCAGUUCGAAAUUCUGCAGUUGAGCCUUAUUUGGUUGGCCGUCACAUUCUGUUUUAACCAUGCAGUUGUUAUUAAAUUGUCUUCAAACUGUCGUAAAGUUACAUUGUAGUAACUUACUACCAUGUGGAUAAUUUUCUUGUAAAAUAUAUAUAUAUAUAUAUAUUGAUGUUAUAGAUAGUUAAUAAUCAAUUUGGUGAUAUAUAUAGUCACUUCAUACAAUUUAUUUGACGAGAAUUAGUAUUAGUACAAGAACUUGGAUCCUUGUCACUGUUUUGAGUAUUAGGUCCAAAACUGUCGGUUCAAUUGAUUAGAUCGAAAAUUGGUGUCAGGUUUCAUAUCAAAUCUAAAAUGUUAAAAGCAUCGGCUAAAUUUGGUCAAGUGCUGGUUAAACCGGCUAAAAGUGAUAAAAAUAAGGUUAUUCCAUCACUUUCCACGUUGGGUUUUUUCUUUUUUUAAAAAACGAAUAUUUUAGAAUGAUCCAAAUUACUUAAUAUUAGAAUAUAUAAAAAUUGAAGAAAAGAAUUUUGAUUCAAACAGUUGAAAUUCAUUAAACUAUAAAAAUCAAAAGCUCAACUAGUUCACUCACUGGUUCGAGUUUUAUAACAUUGAUGCAUGCGCACAAAGUUCAAUUUUAUCACUAAAAUUCCUAAUAGCAUGUUUCCAAUUCAAAAUUUAUCCUUUACUAAUUCUAUAAAGAUUAGUGCAGUUUUAAACUAGAAAUUGGAUAUGAAAUAGUUUUGAGAAAAAAAAAGAAGUCUUUACAAUGUUGACCGGAGAUCAUAAAUGAUUGUACAAUCUAAAAUAGAGGUAUCUCUGUAUGAAAUUGUUCUGGGGGAAGUUAUGGUGAUAGUAAGAAAGUUAAUAGUAGUAUAAUUUACGUUGAAUAAUUUGUUAAGAUGUGCCAUGGAUUUUGUUCAAGAACAGUGUUGCAUUCUUUCUUUUUAUCUGUACUGGAAGAACUUUUUUACUUCAAAAAAAAAAUUAAACGAAUAAAUUUGAAAAAAGGCAUCAUGCUUUUAUACGUGAGCUAUUGCUGGCUUUAAGUUUAAAAAAAAAAAAACUUUGGAUUUCUAGCUACCACUAUCCACACUUUCAAAGAUGAAAUUCAGGAUAUGCUGUUUCUAGCAAUUUUGCAAGCAAAUCUGGUUUGAGAUGAUGGACUAAUUCGGGAUCCUAAAAUUUUUUUUUGAAAAAAAUCAUUGAGAAAGGAAUUACAAAGAAAAUAACUAUUUCAUAUACGUCCAGCAUUAAGCCACUAGUAGUAAGUAGGGCUGAUGCUGAACCGAGUAGCUUGACUCGAGCUCGCAAGCUACUCGGUCAGCAGCUCGGCUCGAGCUUGUUUUGACCGAGCUUGAGCUGCUUGAUAGAAGCAACGAGUCGAUCUCGAGCUUCAAUAUCUUGCACUCGAAAGCUCGACGAGCCUAAUCGAGCUUUUAUAAUAUAUAUUUUAAUUUUUAUUAUUGUGAAAUAUCAAUAAUAUCCUUUACUUAAAAUUAUAAAAUAUUAAUUUUUAUUACGUGAGCUUGAUUAGGCUUGAUUGAGCUCGAAUAGACUUGAUUGAGUUCGAUUUGAAUUGAUUACAUUUAAUUAAACUCGAGUUCGAGUUCGAGCUCGAGUAACGUAAAUUGAUGUCGGGUUCGAGCUCGAGCUCGAAUUCUAAAAGCUCGACGACAAGCUCAAGCUCGAUCUCGAGCUUAGUUAUUUUACCUCGAGUUGAGCUCGAGUAGUGCACUACUCGAGAUCAACUCGACUCGAACGCACCCCUAGUAGUAAGCAUCUCAGGGGCCGCUUGGUACAAGGAUUUGGGAAUCAAGAAUUGGAAUCACCACCAUAUUUGUUGCUUGUUAAAUAGGUAUGGGUAUUGAAAAUUUGGAAUGAAAUCUAAAAAUCUAGUGACUCUCAAUUCCCGACUAUAUUGGGAGGUUUUGGUUGAUUCCCAAAUUUGACUCCUAAAUGAAAUAUAAAAAACACACAACCACCCUAACAGAGUACCGCCCCUUCUCCUUUCAACGCCAUCCCCAACCACCAUCUCACUCACCGCACUUCCACCAAUACUAUUGCCACCUCCCCCACCCCCAAAAAAACCUCACUCACCCCCCACCAACACUCCAAAACUGACCCAAAAAAGGGAAGAAAUCGCGAGAAAAAAGUGGAAACUUGAGUCGCAUAAUAGGUGAUGCGGUGGCGGAGGCGCUUUGCUUCUUUAGUACGGUGUUCGAUGAGAGCAACGAGAGCUUCCUCUUGCUCUUUCCUGUUUCCUCAUCGUCUUCUUCUUCAUGAUUGCCGCCAUUGUUGCUUCUCUUUUCUUCUCCUGCUCCGCUUGUUUUUUCGAUUUUAGACUUUCUGAGAACCAGACGGGGAAGGCCAUUCAUGUUCAUUUAGUCUUGUUUCUUUUCUUCCGUGAUUGGCUCUGAUUUUUAUAGUGUUUGACCAAAGAAGAAGAUGAAGAUUGUAUGCUGAUACCUAAGCCUAGAAAGUGUUUACCAAGCAAUAUAUAUUGGAAUGAUGACAUAGGGCCAUACCCAUACUAAUUAUUUGUAUAUGAUACCAAUUCCAAUUACAAUUCCGGUUCAUGAACCAAACGCCCCCUUAAAGUGAUUCUCCAAUCCUGGAUAUCUUAGACAUACUUGAGCCACGUGUGCAGCUAUACAACGCCUUCCUACUUGGACAACUCAAAGGCGUGAUUGUUGGACACUGGUUGCCAUACGACUUUUUCUUUUUGGUCUCCAUAAUGUGCCAAUAGUGUAAUCAUAUGAGGGCCGGUGCAACUGUUAUCCUGCCCUCCAUGUUAAGAGAGAGUCCACUCUAAUUUUUUUUUUGGUGGUUUCGUUAUAUAUCGUUAUUUAGUCUAUUUUAUUUUGUUUUUUAUUUUAUUUUUGACCUCUUAGUAGUUAUUAGAACUUAAGAAAUAAAAUCAUUAAAUCAGAAGCUUAUGAAGAACACAUGACAAUGAAAUAAAAAGUGUCGCAAAGAGCAGAAAGGAAGCAGAAUAGAAGAUCCAUUGUGAUCGAGAAGGAUUAUAUAUACCUUAGCCUACAGAACUCAGAAAUAGAUGAUAAUGCAUGGCACACCAACUCAAAAUCAUUCAUAUAUAUAUAUAUAUAUAUAUAUAUAUAUAUAUAUAUAUAUAUAUAUAUAUAUAUAUAUAUAUAUAUAUAAUAAAGUCGUAUUUUCAUUCUCAUCGCUUUAUGUUUUCUCUUUCGUACGUGGCUUAACGACAGGACAAGUGAUUUCAACACGCUCUAUAAAAUAACCUACGCUCUUCCAUCUCUCUCUUCUUUUGCCUUUGUUCAUUUAUUCCAUGAUUUCCACCUUUUUAAAAAAAAAUAACCUAUGCUCUGUAUGGAGCUUAUCUCUCUCUUUUCAUAAGCACGAAAUCAAUUAUCAAUAUUUAUCUAAAUUAAAUUUCAAAUCUAAAACCGUUCUUAUCAUCCAUGUAUGACUUAGAAAACCGUUCUUAGCAUUCUAUCCUAUAUUCGCGGCUGAUUAUCAUUCUAUCAUAAUCAUAUAUUUACGGCCACAUGCUUCUCUUUUGGUUUGUGAACUUCUAGGUAUAACAACAAGGUAUGAUCCGUAUAAUUUCUUUAACAUGCAUGCCUUUAGUAAAACUAUUUUUUAUUAUCAUCUUUUUAUAUCCUUAUCAAUUCUUAUUUCCUACCCAAAGUUAUGUACUUUAAGCAACUUAAAUUAAGAUAAAACUAUUUUUAAUAUUCUUAUCAAUAUCUUUUUAUAUCUUUAUCAAUUCUUAUUUUCUUCCCAAAGUUAUGUACUUUCAGCAACUUAAAUUAAGAUAAAACUACUUUUAAUAUUCUUAUCAAUAUCUUUUUAUAUGCUUAACAAUUCUUAUGCCUACAUAUAGCUUCUUUAUAUGGUUAGGUAUUUCCAGUGCAAGCGGUUGGCAUAUUAAAGUAUUGAUUUUGGAUUUCCACUCUUCUUGAUUAUCAGGUAAAUCUUCCUUCGAUACAUAUUUUUCUUUUUUAAAAAGACAUGUUCAUCUUCAAUUGUAAGAAUUUAGUAACAUAUCUUGAAUUUUGUGUGUUUUGGUUUUUUUCUAUUUGUUUUGUAUGAAGAGAUAGGAUUUAAAAUAGUAUUUUCAUCGUAAGUUUUCAAAUAGAAACAUGUUAGUUGUUUCCACCGAAUUGGACAACAUUCAUAUGCUAUAGGAUGCAUGUUAGAUGUUUGUUAAUUUGCCUUUGUUUCGUUUGUCCAAGGUACUGGGCUUGUAGCUGGUGCUGUGGAUCCCUACUCAGCGCAUACUCCAAGAGUUGAAUUUGUUAUUUUCUCCAGCCUUUUUUUCCCAACCACAUGUAAGUCUGUUAGUUACUUUAGUUAAAUUAUCUAUUCUAUGUUUUUCACUACUGUUAAACAUUCAUAUUAUAAGCAUUUAGCCUAUGCCUCUUGAGUGAUCAUGAACUGAGAGAGGCAAAUUUAUUUUCGUUCCUUUUGCGAAGACAAAAUGUCUACUAAAUUUUUAUCUUGAAUUGUGGGUGAUCAUGGGUUUUGUUGUCCAGAAUUGUAAAUACAAUUUGUAACUAUAAUCUGGAACAGUUUCAUCUUGAGUUGUUCAAUUUUAUGGAAGUAAAUGCUAUUGUUGAUUACGUCCCAUGUUGUUCUUAAAUUUUUAAUAAUCAAUUGACGAAGAUAUUUCUUCAAAAAUUUUGUAUCUUUAGCUAUUAUUGCUGUUAGUUACUUUAGUUGAACUAUGUUUUCUAUGUCUUCCACUGUUGUUAAAUAUUCAUAUUAUAAGCAUUUGGCCUAUGCCUCUUGAGUGAUCAUGAACUGAAAUGGGAAAAUUUAUUCUGGUUCCUUUUGUGAAAUUUAUGUAUGUUGGUGUUCAAGAAUCAACGCAACAAGAUUUUCAUGGGCAUGAUAUAUAGUCAACUAAGUUUACAAAUACAAUUUAGUAUAAAAGUAUUACCCACUUUAAUACAUCAAAUACCAUAAAUAGUCUGACUAAUUAAAUGUACAAUAUUUUAUUUUAGCAUGAGGAGGUAGAUUUAAUAUACUAUUUUGCUUUCUUAAUCUAUAAUCUUUAUGUAUUGUGUUACACAACUUUGAAUGUGAUAAAUCAUUUAUUUUUUAAUACUUAGUUGUCCUGCUUUGCUAUCAUGCAAUGAUAAUGAAAAAUCAAUAAAUACUGAUUUGUACGGAUAAAUGGAGGAGAAUGUUCAAACAGAAGAAAAACGAAAAAAAAGUUUCUGAAGAAUAGAAUAUUAUUUGAUACUAUUUACUGCACUUUUUAUUUCUUUCAAGUUUUUGAAUGUUAUAGUAUUGUCGAAUGUUUCCAUUUUUGAAUUAUUAUUCACUAAAUUAGAUUUUAUAUUAUAAGAAUACUUUAUAUUAUGAUGCGCACAUAGUAAUAUACUUAAGAAAGGUUAUAAUAAAAUAUACAUUAAGUUUGUAUUUCAUAUCAACAUUUUUAUAAAUUUGACUAAAUAGUUUAUUAUUUUUCGAAGAUUCCCGUUCAACGAACGGGUACAAAACUAGUUAUCAAAGAAUUACAAAUUGAAAUGAAGGCCUUGUUUGGCACUUGAGUUUUUUUGUCAAAUUUGUCUGUUACAAGUUUUUUAAAAACUUUAGUUACAGUAACCUUAAAAUACUUCUCAAAGUUUUUAAACUAUACACUUCAAAAUAUUCAAAAUUUUUUUUACACAUUUCAAAAUUUUUUUAAAAAACUUCUACAUUAAGUUACAGUAAAGUUUUAGACCAACAUCCAAAAAACUCACUUACCAAACAGGGCCGAAGUUAUGUCAAAUAGCUGACUUUAAAUCCAGCUGAUGCUUAAGAGAAUAAGGAUUUCAUUAAAUUAUAGUUCAAACUUAUGAUGGUAUAUAUAUUUUUUCUCUAAUGGCCAGUAGCAUCUAGGUUCUUGAGAGACUCCAUUUGCACAUGUUAAAUUUUGAGGCCAUCAAUUGAAUAGACAAAGUAAGCUUUGCAUGAUCCUUAUAAUAAUAUGUUUUCAAAACAUUGGGAUACUCAUAAUUAUCUAGAAGUAUUAUAAGUAUUCCAACACGUCUUUUCCUUUACUUAGUCAAGUCAACUUUGUUGCUGGUAGCUUGUUUCUUUUCAUGGAUGCACAAUAGUGAUUGCAAAAGAACAAUUAAUGGCAUAGGUAUAGAGAGUGAUUUUAAAACUGGAUGAUUGAAAUUGAAUUUGUGAGCAUAAUUUUCAACAAACUACAAAGAUUGUUGUGUUAUUUGCAUAUUGAAAAUUGUCUCAUUAUCUGUAUUGAUUAAGUUUAAAGUCUACGUUCAUUGUAUCAAGUUAUUGCCCUUGACAAUUGUAGAAACCCUGGAUCAUUUCUUGAUCAGCACAUGCUACAAAAAAAAAAAAAAAAAAGCCAAAGCUGUAGACAGUUGUGGAAAAAAGAACAAAAACAACAACAACGACAAAAAGAAGAAGAAGAAAAAAAGGUAUUGAUAUCUCUUGUCUUGCAUUUGCCAUCUCGCUACUAAUUAUCUCCAAUUUAAUAUUCCUUGGGGUUACAUAGAUAUCAGUCAACACGUUUAAACUUAUCAGCGUAUAUUCUUGGUUUUAGCAUAUUUAAUUAAAGGCUCCAUUUAACGGUUGCUCAAUUCGUUAAAAUAUAGUAUAUAUUUCAAAUGUCAUAUUUUUGAAAAUAUAAAAGUAAUUAGAAAAAAUAAAUAAAUACAAAGAAAGGUAGUUAAAAUUAAAUAGAAAAAGUAUAUAAAUGCAAAGGAGGUAAUAAUUGUAAUAUAUGUGUAUACAUGGUAAGUCAAGUGAAUUUUAGGUGUGUUAAUAAAACCCUUAAUUAAAUUUAUGUCCGAAAUGGUCAACUAUCACGUUUUUUUCCUUAAAUGCUCUCAUAUUCAAUUCGUUUAUACAUAAUUAUUCAAACUCCAUACCAUCUUUGGACUCCACCAAUUGGUUUAGUUCCUCCCCAUAAAUACCCUGCAGGUAUAUAUAUGUUUAUAUUUAAGGAUGGCAACGGGGCGGGGUUGGGGCGGGGGACAAAUUCCUCCCGCCCCGUCCCCCGUCCCCCGCUCCCCCUGUCCUGUCCCCGCCCCGCCCCACUUUUCCUGCGGGUGCCUUCGUGGGGCUAAUAAAAAUUUGUUAUAUAAUUUUAUUAUAGUUAAAUUUUAGCAAAUAAUCAAGUAUUAAAAUAUCAAUACAUCACCAAAUUAUUAUUCAUUGUAAUUUCACAAUUGAAACUUAUAAAAACAAUCAAACAAAAGUUAUUUGAAUACAAUCCAACAUGAUGAAAUAAAUACAACUAAAGUAGUCAAGUUUUCACUUUUAGCACAAAUACAAUCACUGAUUCAUUAUUGUGCUCGUAUUUUUUUUUGAGAAAAACUGUUAUUGUAUUAAGUGUAAUUAGGGAUUUAGUAUAAAUGUAUUAGUAAAUUUAGUAUAACCAAUUAAUAAUUUGCAUUAGCAAAAUGUUCAUGUAACCUUUUCCUUUGGAUUACGUUUCCGCAUCAGUUGCAUUAGAUUAGAGCAAGUAUCUCAGAGCACGUAUCUCUUGGGAUGGCUACUGAUAAUAGUAAAUGUAAUUCUUACCCUAGUGACGGAGUCGAGGGUUUAAGAACAUCAUUUGCUGCACAUACUAUCCACUUGGAUGCUAGAGAUACCAGCUUGGAUCAAAUAGAUGCAUAUGUGGAGGGAAUGGACGGUGUGCUAGCUACUCUCAUGGAGUGGAUGGGGUUGCAGGCUGUUGGGAAUGGUGAUGAGAGAGAUGAUCGUGGUGAGGGGUUGGCCAUUUGAGUUGUUGGAUUAAAACUGUUGAUCCCUAUGGGGGAGUUCAUUGCACACCUUGAUCUUACGUGAUUUAAGCCAUUUGAGCUCUAGCAGAGUUCUGGUCUCAUGUUAAGCACAAUUCUCUUUUUGGUAAUUGACCCCAAAAAAAAAAAUUGCAGUCCACAUUUUUUCCAUUUGUCAAUAAAAUCACAGUCGUAGACUUUUUCCACAGUGUGCACCUAGUCAGUGAUGAGGAAAACUGAUUGGUGAAGAAUACAACAUGGAAUUGGCAAUUAGAGCAUCCAGAGCCUUGAUCAUCUUUUUCCUUUUUUAUGUUUUUCUGGAAUUCAAUACGAUUGUCCUUGCCUUGUCCUCUUCAACUACGGAUAACAUGCAUGAACUAAUUUGAUAGAUUUUGUUUUAAAUUCUCUUUGAAAUUAAGGAAUCAAAGAGAAGUUAAAAUUAACCAAUGGUAGUGUUCAAUUUUUUUUUUUUUUUGACGACACAGGGGUAUCCAAGCUUUCGACCCGACUAAUCCCCUGCGGUCCGGGAGAGGGCGCCCCAACACACUCCGAGCAUAGUAACCACGAGACUCGAACACUAGUCAAUGCCUUAAAAAAGGACUACAUCACCGCCGAACUACCCCACGGGGACCAAUGGUAGUGUUCAAUGGUUCAUCCUAAACUUGUAGAGGGACAAGCAUAGGAUCCUCUUCCCACCAUUCAAAUUAGUUUAGUAGAACUUUAACAUUUCAAUGCUUCAAAAUCCAAGCUCAUUGCAUCCUCUUCCUCACAAUUUCCAACGCUAGCUCUGAUAUCUUAUUUUCUUCAGUUUGGUACUUUUAAUUUUCUCCUGUCAGACAAGUACUUGCAAAAGUUUCAUAUGUACUGAUCAAGUUUAUUGGUUUUUGUAUAUCUGAUGAGUUGGAUUAAAAAAAAAAUGAAAAAUGUAUAGUUCUUAUUGAUGAAGGAAACCUAGCUUACAGUGUGUAUAACAUGGUCCUCAAUACUAGUCCUUUUUUAGUUAUAGUUCUUUGUUUUAAUGUGGCUUGAGACCAUGAAUCUAUUGAUUAUUGAAGUUUUGCACAUAAACAACAAAACAAGUAUGAUAGGACCAUUUAUAGAUCUGGGCUUGCUUUCAUAUUAGUCAUUCAUUUAAGGGUUCCAUUCAUUUUUUUUUAAGAAACUCAAACAUAGCUUUUAUAAAUCUAUUCUGCAGCCCUAAUUUACAGAUCUGAUAAGAUCAACGUAGAGUUCUCAUUUUUUGAGUUAGCGGGAGCUUUCAAAAUUGAAUGCCUAUAUAUAUUUAUAUAUAAAUAUAUGAAUAUAUAUAAAUAUAUAUACAUAUAUAUAUUGAUAAAAUAUCAUAAUUUCAUUAAAAUCUAUACUAAUGGCAGAAAUUAUAUUAUUAAACAUACAUAGAUAUCAAAGAACAGAUUUGAAUAAAGGAUACUCCAAAUCUGAACAAUAAUAAAAAUUACAUUAUAAAGCUUGAGACUAAAGAUGGCAAUGGGGGCGCCGCGGGGGUAGAAAUGGGGCGGGGCGGGGACAAAAUAUUUCCCCCCGCCUUAAAACAGGGUGGGGGGUGGGGAAACAUACACCCGCCCCAUCCCCCUCCUCGUCCCCCACAUACAAUAAAAAUAUAUAUAUAUAAAUAUAUAAAAUAUAAUCCUAAAUUUUCUAAAGUUGCACCCUUACUUACAAGUACAACGCUAGUCAGUGCCAACAGCCGCCGCAACAACUGAAGAAAUUUCUUGGAUUAUUGUUGAUUUGUUUCUAACGCCCCCCUCCCAAAAGACUAAGCUAUCCAAUUCCAACCAGUUUUGUUCUUAACCUUUUUUUAUUUCGAUCGAUUUCCUUCCUUCGCACUGAAUGUAACUUGACUUGUUAUACUUUAUUUCCAUCUUGACAGCAUUUUAAUCUUAUUUAACAUUGUUUACAAUUGUAUUAUUGUAAAUAAACAUUUAUGAUAAAUUGAUUUCUUCCCUCGUGGGGGACCACGAGGGAAACGGGGCGGGGGCGGGACAGGGGGUGGGGGGCAAGGGGCGGGGGACGGGAGAAGUUAUUUGACAAUGGGGCGGGGGGGGGGGCCCCGCCCCUAUGAAUCUAUUGAUUAUUGAAUUUUUGCAGAUAAACAACAAAACAAGUAGGAUAGGACCAUUUAUAGAUCUAGGCUUGCUUUCAUGUUAGUCAUUCAUUUAAGGGUUCCAUUAUUUUUUUUUUUAAGAAACUCAAACAUAGCUUUUAUAAAUCUAUUCUGCAGCCUAAUUUACAGAUUUGAUAAGAUCAACAUAGAGUUCUCAUUUUUUGAGUUGGCCGGAGCUUUCAAAAUUGAAUGCCUGCUUUAUAUAUAUAUAUAUAUAUAUAUAUAUAUAUAUAUAUAUAUAAUAUCAGAAUUUCAUUAAAAUCUGUAGUAAUGGCAGAAAUUAUAUCAUUAAACAUACAUGGAUAUCAAAGAACAUAUCUGAAUAAAGGAUACUCCAUAUCUGAACAAUGAGGUAAAAUGAGGUAAAAUAAUUGUAACUCCAUGGACAUCUGUAUAUGCUUCCAAUCGUCAAAUCUGUUGAUUAACUGUUUCAAAUCCAGAUAUUAUGGUGAGAUUUGCCGAAUAGAUCCAAGAAAUUCCAGAUCUAAUAAUCAAAAUGUGAUUUGCGAUGAAUUUAGGCAAACAUGUAUAAAAACCAGAAAACGUGCCCAAUUCAUAUUAAACUUUCCUUUUGUUACAACUUACCGAAAGCAUUUUCUACUAUGGUUGAAUUUCAUUACAAUUAUUACGGUUGAACUAUUUAUUUCAUAAGGUAACAUACAAUUAUUGUGAUUAUAUUUGUAUAUUGAAUUGAUGUACAUGAACAAAAUUCAUGCAUAUAAUAAAAUAUAAUAUACAGCAGAUCAUGUAAAAUUUAUAAUAACUAUUUAACUGUACUAAAAUGUUUGAAUCCAAAAAGAAAGUUCUUGACAAAUGAUGAAUAAAGAAAAGAGACGCUGUGAAACUCCAAGUUCCAAGUUCAUCAGAUCCUCGACCUCCAAAUUUCCAAUGGUUUCUUGAAGUUGGUACUUAAUUCAGUUGUCCUCCAAAUCUGGAUUGUUUUUACUAGUACUUUGUUUACACUUUGUCAUGACUACCCAUCACUUUGUCUAUCUUCAAAUAAACUGCAGGAAUAAUAAUAGUAAUAAUUUGCAGCUAUUGGAUGUUGAUAUUCAAUUUGAAUUUCGUUAUCAAUCCUCUUUGGAUAUUGAUCCAUUUCUUUUUUCUGUUGCCUUCGUUGUAGAGUGGAGUUAGGUAAUGAAUUGGUAGCGGCACUGGUGUAUGUUGGACUACAAUACUGGGAUUUCGUCGCAGCCGUUGGAUGCUGAAGUGGAAGUUUGCACAUUUGGGUGCCGGCGGUUAUGGGCAAAGUAAAUGUGGAUUGGAAGAAUAUGAGGAGGAGGAUUAUCACGAGCGAGGCCGCAGGGGACCCUUUUUUUCUUUUCUUCUGCAGGUUAAAAAGGAUUUUGGAUUUGUGGAUGUGGUGGAUGGUGGAUAUGGAUGUGGAUUAGGGUAGAAAUGAAUCUAAUUAAGUCGAACACCCUAGUGUUCAAACUUUUUUGAUUACUUUAAUGAAUUUAAAAUUUGGUGCAAGUUUGCCUUAUUUAUUUGUCGAACCAAUUUGAACGAGUGUUUUAUCUGACUUAAAAGUUAUUGAAUAUAAAACGCUGUUCAAACUUAGUUUGACUAGUUAGCGAUUUAAAUUAGAACGAGCUCUUACGAAGUCCAGUUCAAUUCAAUUAUUGAGCAGUUUGAUUCAUCUUUCAACUCUAAAUGAGAAAGCGAUGUCGGGAGUGUGUCGAUGAGCUGAGCUAUGCCAUAAACUUGGGGUGGGGCGGGGGCGGUGCUCUCGUUUCUUCUUCUUCUAGCAUGUGAGAUAAAGGAAAGGAAAAUGAGGUUAAUUUGCAGAGGAAACUGGAAGGUCCCCCAAACAUAAGGGGAAGAAGCCUUUCCAAGUCUUUAAAGCUGGAAAUAGCUAUUGCAACCAUGGUUAGUCAUUUUAGCCGAGUCAUAACCGGAACAGAGGGAACUGGUAUGAUACCGAUCCUCAAAUCGUCGAUAAUUUCAUAUUCGCAACGAUUCACUCUAACUCGAUCGAUAUUGAUCGAUGCAAAUUCGUGAUGCAUGGCCAAAUAUCCGAAUCAACUUGAAGUCGAAUCAAAUAUUUUUUUAGAUUGUAUCUUUAUGGUUUUUUUUUUUUAUUUUUAGUAAUCUUUUCAGAUUUUUUGUGAAAAUUUUUAUGUGAUGUAAUGUAUGUAUUACCCGAUAUUCAAUCAAUAUGCCGCGAUAAAUAUGAAACAACCGUGACUGCGACCCACGACGGCUAACCAUGAUUGCAACUAUGACCUGGUUUGAGGGGAACAAUUACCGACCACCAUUGACGAAUCGCAAUCCUUUGACUGGCCCGCCAUUAAACAUCCUAUUCUUGCAUAUUCUUCUUCAACACUUCUACGUGGAUGUAUCAACCGUAAUAGGUUUCCCUGAAAAUAUCUUGGGCCUUAAUUCACACAGUUGCAUUGGCUGCACUUACAGUUGAAUCUGAGAACAACAUGUUCAAGGCGUCUUGGUUUCUUGAGUUUGGUACUUUCAAUCUUCUCCCUUAAGACAAGUAUUUGCUGAAGUUUGAUACACAUUGAGAAACUUAUUUGGUUUUUUUUUUUCCCACAAAUUUGACUCAAAAAUUCAUAGAUUCAUUAGAACACAAAAUUCAUCCUUUUUUUUAACUUAGACACAAAUGUGAUCGCCAUCAUAAAUCCAAUGCAAGAAUUCAAACAUAAGAGGUAUACAAUGAUCCACGUUGAAGAUGAGUUUUUACCUCUAUUUUUUAAAAAAAAAAUCUACAAUUGACAGUCAAUCCCCCCUCCCCCUCAUUCAUUCAGAUUUAAACUCAGUGGUGAUAUUGGAGGACUCAAGGAAUUGACGUCUAUGUAGGAUUUUGUCAGAUUGAUUACAAUAUAUAAGCUUUGCAUGAUCCUUAUAAUAUACAAUAAGUUUUCAAAACAUGUGGGAUACUCAUAAUUAUCUAGAAGUAUUAUAAGUAUUCCAACUCGUCUUUUCCUUUACUUAGUCAACUUUGUUGCUGGUAGCUUGUUUCUUUUCAUGGAUCCACAAUAGUGAUUGCAAAAGAACAAUUCAUGGCAUAGGUAUAGAGAGUGAUUUAAAACUGGAUGAUUGAAAUUGAAUUUAUGAGUAUAAUUUUCAACAAACUACAAAGAUUGUUGUGUUUUCUGCAUAUUGGAAAUUGUCUUAUUAUCUAUAUUGAUUAAGUUUAAAGUUAUUUAUAGAAGUUGAAAUUUGACAAAAAACAAAAUAAAGUUUAAAGUCUACGUUCAUUGUAUCGAGUUAUUGCCGUUGACAAUUGUAGAAACCCUGGAUCAUUUCUUGAUCAGCACAGGCUAGAAAAAAAAAAGCCAAAGUUGUAGACAUUUGUGGAAAAAAGAACAAGAAGAAGAAGAAGAAGAAAAAGGUAUUGAACUCUCUUGUCUUGCAUUUGCCAUCUCGCUACUAAUUAGCUCCAAUUUAAUAUUCCUUGGGGUUAUAUAGAUAUCAGUCAACACGUUUAAACUUAUCAGCAUAUAUUCUUGGUUUUAGCAUAUUUAAUUAAAGGCUAGCUCCAUUUAACAGGUGCUCAAUUCAUUAAAAUAUAGUAUAUAUUUCAAAUGUCAUAUUUUUGAAAAUAUAAAAGUAAUUAGAAAAAGUAUAUAAAUACAAAGAAGGACAGUUAGGAUUAAAUAGGAAAUGUAUAUAAAUGCAAGAGAGGUAAUAAUUGUAAUAUACGUGUAUACAUGGUAAGUAAGACGAAUUUUAGCGUGUCUUAAUAAAACUCUUAAUUAAAUUUAUGUCCAAAAUCAAAUGGUCAACUAUCACGUUUUUUUCCUUAAAUGCUCUCAUAUUCAAUUCAUUUAUACAUAAUUAUUCAAACUCCAUACCAUCUUUGGAUGCCACCAAUUGGUUAUGUUUAUAUUUAAGGAUGGCAACGGGGCAAGAUUGGGGCGGGGGCUGCCUACAAAUUCCCCCCACCCCCGCCCCGUCCCCCGCUCCCCCUGCCCCACCCCGCUUUCCCCGCGGGUGCUCCCGUGGGGCUAAUAAAAAUUUGUUAUAUAAUUUUAUUAUAGUUAAAUUUUAGCAAAUAAUCAAGUACUAAAAUAUCAACACAUCACCAAAUUAUUAUUCAUUGUAAUUUCACAAUUGAAAUUCAUAAAAACAAUCAAACAAAAGUUAUUUGAAUACAAUCCAACAUGAUGAAAUAAAUAUAACUAAAGUAGUCAAGUUUUCACUUUUAGCACAAAUACAAUCACUAAUUCAUUAUUGUGCUCGUGCUUUUUUUUUGAGAAAAAAUGUUAUUGUAUUAAGUGUAAUUAGGGAUUUAGUAUAAAUGUAUUAGUAAAUUUAGUAUAACCAAUUAAUAAUUUGCAUUAGUACACAUAUAUAAUUAUUAGUAUAAUUGAUAAUAUCAAUUAUAUUACAUAUACUAAUAUACAUUAUAUAAUACAUAUAACUAAUAAUAUCAUUAUCAUAAGUUUGUAACUAAUUAAAUUAUAUAUUAUAUAUAUAAACAUAUACAUAUAUAUUUUUUAUAUAUUUAUAUUUUUAAAGCAGGUGGCGGGGCGGGGGUACACUCCCCUGCCCCUGCCUCGUUUCUAAGCAAUUUCCCCCCGCCCCAACUCUCGCCCCAUUAGCCCCCCGCAGGGCGGGUGACCGCCACUCGCCCCCAUUGUCAUCCUUAUUUAUAUUUGGUCCAUGCCUCUGCUUAUCAUCCAGACACAGCUACAUUAAUGAUGGCAUUUCUAUUUCUAAAUAAAAAGGCUGUUUGGAGUAUUCUCUGUUCCUGCACCUUCGUUUUCUGUCUUCUUCCCACAGCAUUUUGUUCUGGACGUUUGCAAAAGCUUGAUCUACCAGUUCCUGGUCCCGAGUCCUAUGCAUUCGAUUUGGCAGGUCAUGGACCUUACACAGGCGUUGCUGAUGGAAGAAUUCUCAAAUAUGAAGGACCAAUCCUUGGUUUCGUCGAGUAUGGAUACACGAAAGAGAACAGGCAAGAGUUGUUUUUCCUUGUACAUAAUGUUCGAUUUAGUCAUUAGAAAUAAAUAUCCUCAAAUUACUUAAUUGGUGCAUUUACUGUAUGACCACUAAUCUUGCCGCCUUCCCUUCCUAAUUCCUAUUUGGUACAGGUCCAAGCAAUUAUGUGAUAAUAUUGAUACAACAGACCUAGCAAAAAUUUGUGGGAGGCCACUUGGUAUAGGGUUUUACUACAAGACUGGAGAGCUCUACACAGCAGAUGCUGGUCUAGGCCUUGUAGUGGUUGGACCUGAAGGAGGUCCUGGAAAACAACUUGCCUCUGGUGCAGAGGGCGUGCCAUUUGGCUUGCCUGAUGGCCUUGAAGUUGAUCAAGAAACUGGAGUUAUAUACUUUACGGAAGCAAGCUCCCGCUACAAUAUCAGGUUGACAAAAUAAUCUGUACUAUAGCUUGAUUUUCUUCGACAGAUACAGUUUGAGAUCGAAUGUUAAAUUCCUGAAUUGUUUACACAAAACUUAUGGCUUGUUUGCAGUCAAAUUUCACAAAUAAUUUCCACUAGAGACGCAUCAGGAAGGUUAUUGAAAUAUGAUCCACAAACGAAGAAAGUCACAGUAUUGCUCAGAAGUCUUGCAGGGCCAGCAGGGGUGGCAAUUAGCAGAGAUGGCUCGUAUAUUCUUGUGACAGAAUUUCUGAACCAAAGAGUCUUGAAGUAUUGGUUGAAGGGAACCCUUGCAAAUACAACACGAGUUCUGGUAAACCUGUCAGGAUCGCCAGAUAAGAUCAAGAGGAACUCUAGAGGCGAUUAUUGGAUUGGAUUGAAUGUUCAAAGCCAAGGGCCAAAUCCCACGACAAUAAUUCAAGGACAAAGGAUAAAUGGAAAAGGGCAUAUAUUGGAAACAAUAACCUUUAGCCCUGAUUUUAAUGCUUCAGUGAUCACAGAAGUUCAAGAAUACAAGGGUGCACUAUACUUAGGUUCUCUAUUUGUUGGAUAUGUGGGAGUAUACAGGAAAUUUCCGUUAACAUUGAUAUGAUGAUAGAUGAGAACUGAGAAUCAAUAAGCUGAUUACACAGGGCUUUGCCAUUAUUCUUUUGAAAAUCCAUAAAGUGCAGACAAAAAUGAACACCAUUUGAUUGCAUAUGUUACUUUUUUUUUUACCUUUUUUUUGUCCCUUUGGAGAAAAAUGGAGUAUGAAUGCAUGUUUCAAGUUUCAAUUGUUGACUUUCUGUAUUGGGGAGCCAAUUCACCUACAUUUUACAUCAGGUUGGCAACAUAAUUAAUAUAAUACUACAUGAUACUCCGAAAGAGUGGUUGAUAUGGAUUAUUGUAAAGAAAGAAAGAAAAUUAAUGGGAAAUAAAUCCUACACAUGGAAAAAAAGAAACGUUCUGUUUAACCGGUGUUCCACGGGCGCUCAUUAAAAUGUAUUUCAAGUGUUAGAUUUUUAGAAAUAAAAAAAAUGCAAAAGGAUUAAUUAGAAAAAGUGUAUAAAUAUAAAAAAAAAAGUAAUAAUUAUUAGCGUGUGUAUAUACAUAGUAGAUUGGGUAGAAUGUAGGUGCUUUACCGGUCAGAAAAACCCAAAAAGGAAAUCCUACUCAUUCAAAUGGUAAAAACAUAGAUAAGAUACAUUUUUCUGAUAUUUGCAUACAUUUGUCAUUUUUAGUUCUCUUAUUUGGAUUUGUCACUUCCAGCUACUCAAUAUCUUUUAUUUUCUCAUGCAAUAGCUGGUCUAAUUAUGUGAAACAAAUCAGCUUUCACGAUAAAUCUAACCAGUAUUGUUAAGUUAUUUUGGUACAAUAUAGUCCCAAAGCAAACGGGUAAACCUCAUCAUCAUUCUCAUCCUCCUGUAGGACUUGCUUCUUAAAUUAUUCAUGACAAGUGGGACAUUAUCAUUCUAGUCAUGAAAGGUGUACUCGAUCGAGGGCUGAAGGUGAAUCUUCUGCCAUUUACACCUCCAAAGUAAGGUGGUUGUCAAAUGCUACAGGAUUGAUGAAUAAUGCAACUACUGGUACAGUGAUUCUGGCCAUUAAUUUUUAGAACUGCAAUACCUCGGACUCCAACUUUUACCAGGUCUAAACUCCAAAGUAGAGAUAAAACAUUAAUUAUCAUUCAACUUGACUGACCAACACAGGUGAAGUGUCACCAUCCUUCUCAAAUUUAAUAAGGUGUUCAUAUAUACCAACCCCUGACUGAUUAACUUCUCCUAUUUCACUUGAGCACUUUUGCCUUCUGAUCUCCAUCAGAGCAAAAGAUGGUAGUAGAAACUAUACUUGGUGUUGUUUCAACAAUCUUGAUGAAGCUAAUUCCACUUGCUGUCGAGCAGAUCUCUCUUGCUUGGGCUGUUUAUGAAGAUCUCCAAAACCUUUCUAAGAAACUAGAGAUGAUUCAGGCUGCAGGCAGAUGACUAGCAAAGCUGUGCAGCAUUGGCCCAAAAAUCUUCAGACAGUAACACUUGAUGCUGACACCGUGUUGGAUGAUUUUGGACAUGAAGUUCUUGGCCACAAGAUUGAGAUUGGAAAGGGUGCUAAGGUGAGCAGUUCUUUUAUGUUUCGCUGAGCGAUGGCCAAGAAGAUAGAGAACAUAUUAUCUUUGAUGAAAUGGUAAGGUGCUGAGGUGCUUUGAUGAAAGAAUUUGCUUAGCGUAUCUGAUGAUUUUGAAGUGGAAAGGCUGUUGAAUGAGAUGCUGUAAUCUUUGAAGGGAACCAAACUUGGGACGACAAACAGUAAGGCAAUGUUAAAGAGGUUUUAAAAGCAUUUAAAAGUGAUGUAGAAUAGGUGCCAGGCAACUUUUGGGUCAAGAUGGAUUGGGCAAAGAAGGGAAGGAAGAGCCAAUCGAGAUGCAUCAUCGGUGCAGGUUUCUGGAGCCAAUUUGGCCAUGGAUUCAGCUGAGCUAAGACCGGAUUCUCAGCUGGAUUCAAGGUAGAGGUAAGUGUGGCUUAUAGACUGAAUCCAGUCCACAAUUCAGCCUGCAAUCUGGCCAUGGAUUUGGAUCGGGCCUUUGCACAACUUUUAUUUUAUUUCAAUAUUUUUGGAUAUGUACACUCUAUUUCUAGAAUAAUUUUUUAUAGCUUAUAAACAGGCAUAGUUAGAAUUUUUCCUAUCACACUUUUGUCAACUUAUAUCAAACUUUAUUGGAGAUUUAUUGGUAGUGUUCAAUGGUUCAUCCUAAACUUGUAGGGACAAGUAUAGGAUCCUCUUCCCACCAUUCAAAUUAGUUUGGUAGAACUUUAACAUUUCAAUGAUUCAAAAUCCAAGCUCAUUCAAAUUAGUUUAGUAGAACUUUAACAGUUCAAUGGUUCAUCCUCCCAAUUUCCAACGCUAGCUCUGAUAUCUUAUUUUCUUCAGUUUGGUACUUUUAAUUUUCUCCUGUCAGACAAGUACUUGCAGAAGUUUCAUAUGUACUGAUCAAGUUUAUUGGUUUUUGUAUAUCUGAUGAGUUGGACUAAAAAAAAUGAAAAAUGUAUAGUUCUUAUUGAUGAAUGAAGCCUGGCUUACAGUGUGUAUAACAUGGUCCUCAAUAUGAGUCCUUUUUUGGUUAUAGUUCUUUGUUUUAAGGUGGCUUCAGACUAAGGAUGGCAAUGGGGGCGGGUGCCGGAGAUAUAGAAAUGGGGCGGGAAAUGGGGCAGGGCUGGGAAGGGGCAGGGGCAAAAUAUUUUCUAAAGUUGCACCCUUACUUACAAGUAUAAUGCUAAUUAGUAUUAACGGCCACCGCAACAACUGAAGAAAUUUCUUGGAAUAUUGUUGAUUUGUUUCUAAAGCCCCCCCAAAGACUAAGCUAUCCAAUUCCAACCUGUUUUGCUCCUAACCUUUUUUUAUUUCGAUCGGUUUCCUUCCUUCGCACUGAAUGUAACUUGACUUGUUAUGCUUUAUUUCCAUCUUGACAGCUUUUUAAUCUUAUUUAACAUUGUUUACAAUUGUUUUAUUAUAAAUAAACAUUUAUGAUAAAUUGAUUUCUUCCCCGCGGGGGACCGCGGGGGAAACGGGGCAGGGGCGGGGGACGGGGGGGUUAUUUGACAAUGGGGCGGGGUUAUGGGUAAACAUUUAUGAUAAAUUGAUUUUUUCCCCCACAGGGGAAACGGGGCGGGGAGUGGGGGGCAAGAGGCGGGGGACGGGGGGAGUUAUUUGACGAUGGGGCGGGGGGUGGAGGAAGGAUCCCCUGCCCCAACCCCGCCCCAUUGCCACCCCUACUUGAGACUAUGAAUCUAUUGAUUAUUGAAUUUUUGCACAUAAACAACAAAACAAGUAGGAUAGGACCAUUUAUAGAUCUAGGCUUGCUUUCAUAUUAGUCAUUCAUUUAAGGGUUCCAUUAAUUUUUUUUUAAAAAAAACUCAAACAUAGCUUUUAUAAAUCUAUUCUGCAGCCCUAAUUUACAGAUUUGAUAAGAUCAACAUAGUGUUCUCAUUUUUUGAGUUGGCCGGAGCUUUCAAAAUUGAAUGCCUGCUUAUAUAUAUAUAUAUAUAUAUAAUAUCCGAAUUUCAUUAAAAUCCGUAGUAAUGACAGAAGUUAUAUCAUUAAACAUACAUAGAUAUCAAAGAACAGAUCUGAAUAAAGGAUACUCCAGAUCUGAACAAUAAUAAAAAUUACAUUGUAAAGCUUCAAAUUUGAAAAAUGAGGUAAAAUAAUUGCAACUCCAUGGACAUCUGUAUAUGCUUCCAAUUGUCAAAUCUGUUGAUUAACUGCUUCAAGUCCAGAUAUUAUAGUGAAAUUUGACGAAUAGAUCCAAGAAAUUCCAUAAUCAAAUGUGAUUUGCGAUGAAUUUAGGCAAACAUGUAUAAAAACCAGAAAACGUGCCCAAUUCAUAUGAAACUUUCCUUUUGUUACAACUUAUCGAAAGCAUUUUCUAUUAUGGAAACUACAGGAUUCGGACAGGUAUGGAUUGUUUUUACUAGUACUUUGUUUAUACUUUGUCAUGACUACCCAUCACUCUGGUCUAUCUUCAAAUAAACUGCAGGAAUAAUAAUAGUAAUAAUUUGCAGCUAUUGGAUGUUGAUAUUCAAUUUGAAUUUCGUUAUCAAUCCUCUUUGGAUAUUGAUCCAUUUCUUUUUUCUGUUGCCUUCUGUUGUAGAGUGGAGUUAGAUAAUGAAUUGGUAGACCAUUUAUGAUGGAGGGUGGCGGCACUGGUGUAUGUUGGACUACAAUACUGGGAUUUCGUUGCAGCCGUUGGAUGCUGAAGUGGAAGUUUGCACAUUUGGGUGCCGGCGGUUAUGGUUAAGUAAAUGUGGAUUGGAAGAAUCUGAGGAGGAGGAUUAUCGCGAGCGAGGCGGCUGAGUUAGGAGAGAGGGGACCAUUUUUUUCCUUUCUUCUGCAGGUUAAAAGGGAUUUUGGAUUUGUGGAUGUGGUGGAUGGUGGAUAUGGAUGGGGAUUAGGGUAGAAAUGAAUCUAAUUAAGUCGAACAUCCUAGUGUUCAAACUUGUUUAAUUAUUUUAAUGAAUUUGAAAUUUGGUACAAGUUUGCCUUGUUUAUUUGUCAAACCGAUUUGAACGAACGUUUUAUCUGACUUAAAAGUUAUUGAACAUAAAACGCUGUUCAAACUUAGUUUGACUAGUUGACGAUCUAAAUUAGAACGAGCUCUUAUAAAGUCGAGUUCAAUUCAAUUAUUGAGUAGUUUGGUUCAUCUUUCAACUCUGAAUGAGAAAGCGAUGUCGAGAGUGUGUCGAUGAGCUGAGCUGUGCCACAAACUCGGGGUGGGGUGGGGGCGGGGCUGUCGUUUCUUCUUCUUCUAGCAUGUGAGAUAAAUGGAAGGAAAAAUGAGGUUAAUUUGCAGAGGAAACUGGAAGGUCCCCCAAACAUAAGGGGAAGAAACCUUUCCAAGUCUUUAAAGCUGGAAAUAGCUAUUGCAACCAUGGUUAGCCAUUUCAGCCGAGUCAUAACCAGAACAGAGGAAACUGGUACGAUACCAAUCCCCAAAUCGUCAAUAAUUUCAUAUUCGCAACGAUUCGCUCUAACUCGGUCAAUAUUGGUUGAUGCAAAUCCGUGAUGCAUGGUCAAAUAUUCGAAUCAACUUGAAGUCGACUCGAAUAUUUUUUUAGAUUGUAUCUUUUAUGGUAUUUUUUAUUUUUAGUAAUUUUUUCAGAUUUUUUUUGAAAAUUUAUGUGUUAUAAUGUACGUAUUACUUGAUAUUCAAUCGUUAUGCCUCGGCAAAUAUGGAACAACCGUGACUGCAACCCACGCUGGCUAACCAUGAUUCCAACUAUGACCUGGUUUGAGGGGACCAAUUACCAGCCACCAUUGACGAAUCGCAAUCCUUUGGCUGGCCCGCCAUUAAACAUCCUAUUCUUGCAUAUUCUUCUUCAACACUUCCACAUGGAUGUAUCAACAGUAAUAGGUUUCCCUGAAAAUAUCUUGGGCCUUAAUUCACACAGUUGCAUUGGCUGCACUUACAGUUGAAUCUGAGAACAUGUUCAAGACGUCUUGGUUUCUUGAGUUUGGUACUUUCAAUCUUCUCUCUUGAGACAAGUAUUUGCUGAAAUUUGAUACACAUUGAGAAACUUAUUUGGUUUUUUUUUUUCCCACAAAUUUGACUAAAAAAUUCAUAGAUUCAUUAGAACACAAAAUUCAUCUUUUUUUUAACUUAGACACAAAUGUGAUCGUCAUCAUAAAUCCAAUGCAAGAAUUCAAACAUAAGAGGUAUACAAUGAUCCACGUUGAAGAUAAGUUUUUACCUCUAUUUAAAAAAAAAAAUCUAUAAUUGACAGUCAAUCCCCCCUCCCCCGCCUGGGGUACCUACAGGAUCCUAGCUUUGUCACUGGUUCAAAUUGAAUUUAGGUAUGAAAAGUCAAUUUAUCUCAUCCUACAACUCGCCUACUAGAUUGCUUGACUUUUUUUUUCUGUCAGCAAUCCUUACAAAAAAGAAGCCUUUAGAAAACUGUAAACGCUGUAGCAGGAGUAUAAACUAUCAUCAAGGAUACUGUAGUGCAUUCUUGAAGUUAAUCAUAAGAACCUUCCCAAUAAUGGAGACUACUCCAAGCACCAAAGUUCCAUGCAUAUUUCUUUGUUCAUUAGUUCUUAUUUUCUCAAUGCCAUGGAGCACUAAAGCUCAAAUUCAUGAGAGAUUUCUUCGGUGUCUUCAUUCUCAGAACAAUGACUCAAUCUCCCAAGUCAUUUAUACGCCAACAAACACUUCGUAUAAUUCUGUUCUGCAAUCUUCCAUACAGAACAUAAGAUUUUUAUCUCCCAUGGAAAGAAAGCCAUUGGUCAUAGUUACGCCACUGAGCAAUUUUCACGUUCAGUUAGUUGUUAAUUGUGCAAAAUCCAAUGACUUACAGAUCAGAGUUAGAUCAGGAGGCCAUGAUUACGAGGGUCUUUCUUAUCUUUCCUAUUAUCUCCAGCCAUUUGUUAUUGUUGAUAUGAGGAAUCUGAAUAGAAUAUCCAUCGAUACUGAGAGUAAAACCGCCUGGAUUGGAGCUGGAGUAGGCCUUGGCGAACUCUAUCAUGCAAUUGCUGAGAAGAGCCCCAAUCUUGGCUUUCCGGCAGGUACAUGUCCUACCGUAGGAGCAGGUGGACACAUUAGUGGGGGAGGAGAAGGCACGUUGACGCGAAAAUAUGGCCUAGCUGCUGACAAUGUCAUUGAUGCUAAAAUUGUGAAUGCGGAUGGAGCAAUUCUUGAUAGAAAAUCAAUGGGAGAGGAUCUUUUCUGGGCUAUUAGAGGUGGAGGAGGAGCCAGUUUUGGAGUAAUUCUUGCGUACAGGAUCCAAUUGGUAUCCGUUCCAUCGAUAGUUACUGUUUUUUCAGUCAACAGAUCUUUAGAACAGAACGCAACCAAGCUUGUCCACCUGUGGCAACAAAUUGGAUAUAGGCUUGAUCGAGACUUACUCAUCAGAGUUUUUAUUACACAGGCGAGGAGUGGUGGAAAAUUAACAGUUCAAGCUGCAUUUCAAUCUUUGUACCUCGGAACAGUUGCCAAGCUUCUACCACUGAUGCAAGAAAGCUUCCCUAUGCUGGGAUUGCGCAAAGAAGACUGCAUAGAGUUGAGCUGGAUUGAGUCUGCUCUUUAUUUUGCUGAUCUCCCAAGUGGAUCAACUGUAGAUGAUUUGGUACGCAGCACUCCAUAUCCCAAAAAUUAUUACAAAAACAAAUCAGACUACGUAGUCGAGCCCAUCUCUGAAGUUGCAUUGGAAGGAUUGUGGAAAAGACUCUUCGAAGAAGGGGC